UUACAUAAAAGUUAACAAAAUUAUGCCACUUUUUUAAAUUUUUCCUUAGGGUGUCAAUGUCAUAAUGUGGGUACAAACUGACAGUAUAGGAACAAGGACAUUGAUAAAAUUUACAAAGAAAAAUUGGAAAUGUAUUCAGAGAAGUAGCAUCAAUUGCCUAGGGAAUAAGUGUCUGUAGAUGUUACUCUUUAGUCCCCAGUAUGCUUGAAACAAACUGGAGGCCGAUCAGUUUCUUACAGUAUCAGAAGACAGCAGCCACAGUUACAGCUACAACUAACCACACAAAGAGAUUGAAUAACACUGAGCUGCAAAGAAGUAGUGACCCAAAAAGGAUCAAGGUAGACUUAUCUGGGCCUGUCUGCAAGCCUUUUGCUCUGUCUUCCACAGGAGAGAAGAAAUCUCUUCUGCCAACACAUUGUCUGUAUAAAUGGCUACUGCACAGAAGCAAUCCUCUUUAUUCUCCUUGUCAACAGUCAGUCCAAUCUGAAGUUCAUUAUUGGAGAUUUGCCAACCUGUGUUGGUUACCAAUCAAGAAAAACUUGGUAGAAUUAGCAUAGAAUAUGUAAAAACUGGAAAAUCACCAUGUUAAUUUUAGCAGGUCCUUCAACAAGUACAUUCUAUAUGAUUUUCAGCUGCUAGAGAAGUAUGAGAAAGAAAAUUAUGAGAAUGUCAACCAGUGGAAACUAAUGUCCUCAAGUAACUUCUCUCAAUAUCCUUUUCCUUUGUGACAAUAUUAAAGACCUAUGGUUACAAGUUACAACUUAAUUUUCAUCUCCGGACUUACAAUGUGAACAUACUUGAGAGUCUGAUUGUAACUUGACCCAACCAAGCAAGGGCCAUCCGUACUUCAUACCAUUGAGGUUGGUCGAUGGAAUUGAGUCACAUAAAAUGUUCAUCUUCAGUAUUUGGGUUAACUAAUUGUCAAAUAUGCCCUCAAACGAACUUUCCUGAGAUUGAAUAAGCUCAAAAUAUAGAAGAGUAAAUUUUCUAAAGCAUGAAGAUGAGGAAUAAGCUCAAAAUCAUCACUUCUAUACAAAAUAAGAAAGUUAGAUGAGAGAAUUACACUCGAAUGCUUUAAGAUAAUAAGAACAUUAAAAUAAGAAACGGAACGCCAAAGUCUUAUAGUCAAGACAAUUUGAUUAAAAUAUUAUUUAUGGAAGUUCUGUGGUAUAGACCUUCAUUUAGACUUGGAUUUUUUAAUUUUCUUUAUGAAUAACCAAUUGGCUCCUGCUCAAAUGAAAAAUGAGAACCAAUGCUCAUAGUCACAGACAGAAGUGUAGGCAUGGCAAUGCCAAUUUUGCAAAUGAUCAUCUAGUCAUAUCAAACUCUGUUCUCAUGGUAAGUCUUCUAUGCUGAUCCUUGUUGCUUAAUAUGAGACAUAAAAGAAAAGAAAAGAAAAGAAAAAGUAGUGAUUAAUUUAUUUUGAUAUCGAAGGGAUAAAAGUUACAACAUGUACAUUACAUAUGUAGCCAACUAAGAACAUAUUAUGAUGUGGGUAAGAUUCAAUACAUAUUUCAAUAACCAUAAAAUGUAUCCACAUGUUCUUAUAGGAGAUAAACACACAAAUAGUUAAGAGUCAUCUCUACCCAUUCAAAAAGGUAAAUUGAAGAUGUCAUGAAAAAAAUGAUAACUGGCUUCAUUAAAAUGUGAAUUACCAAGGAUCAAUCUUUCUUUACUCUUCUUCUCUUCAUUAGAAAAUUCUUAAAUAAAAAAAACAAAACAAAACAGAACAGAGCAUGCUGCACAACCAAAUUCCCCGCAACAAGACUAGAAAAUGCAUUAUGCAGACAUGCAACUCUAGAGAUUGUUAGAAAUUUUGAAACAUGAGUACUUGGACAACUACUUUAUGAAUUGGAACUUAACUUUUCUGAAGAAAAUAAGUUUAAGCAUAGAAUAAAUUACCUGACUGUAUAUUGAUGCAGUAACACUUUCAUUAAGAUAACAGAUCAUUGAUCACUAUUUUUGGAGUUGAGAGAGGGCAAUUCCAUAUAUAAAAGGUCAUGGGAUUAUGUUCCCUUUGGAACUCGAUUUUGCUUGUCAAUAGCCCGUCCAAUAUGAAGUUCAUAAUUAUAUGAACUCCACUGUCUGCUCUCCCUUCAUCUACUUGGCAACUGGGCAGUUGAAAAGAUUUGAUCUUUAAAAUUUGUAUCCAAGAAAGAAUACCUAUACAGGCAACAAUUUGAACAACCUCCCCUCUUCAUCAAACAAUACAAUGACUAUUAAAUCCACAAAUCCUACUACUAUGGCUAUUGGUUCCUAUGCUACAAAUGUAAUUAGGAAUUGCCUGCACAAUGGACCAAGAAAGAAGCAUUUGUUUUUAAGAUCAUAAGCUUCUAUAUAUAAGUAAAGCAUCUUAUACAAAAAAGUGUAGAUUUACCUUGUGCCUUUAAAAAUCACUUUUUGAGAAAUUUUAAAAUUUGAUAUAGUAAAUUUUUUUUGAUACCUUGAUUGUUUUAAACAGUUUUUAAAAUUAUUAAUUUUUCAAGAGUUAAAAUACAAAAGUUACUAUUAUUUUAUGAUUUUAAAAACAAAAAACUGGAAGUAUAUUGAAAAGACACUUUAUUUUAGGCUUAAGGAGGUCAUAACCUUAACAAUGUAGGAGAUUUAAGUGAUUCUUGAACGGAGGCAAGGAAUUAAUCAGAUAUGUUCUUAAGAUUAGAAAUUUAGGUGGAACAUAAAUUUUGUAAAGAAAUUAAGUUUAAGCACUGAACAAUUACCCGCCCAUGUGUUGGUGCAGUGCCACUUCCAUCAAAAUAGCACACCAUUGAUAACUAUUUUUGGAAUGUGAGAUAUAUAACGCCAUUCUUGCCCUUUCUCGAAUUGGCAUCGUUGUUCCAGUAAAGGACACCAUCUGACAUAAAGCAAAGAGAGGGAGUCUGGCAGUCUCUCUUUUGUCAAGUAAUGGAGAUUAGGGCAAUCCAAGAGAGUUAAGGUUUCAAGAGUGGUGAGGUGAUGAAGACCCGCUUCUGUCAAGGAUUGGAGCCUUAUGCACCAGUCGAUUCUUAAUUCCUUGAGAGAGAUAAGGCGUUGAAGAACAGAUCCUGUCGAGAAUUGGAGUUCAGGGCAAUUCCUGAUCUCUAAUUGUAGAAGAGAGGUGAGUUGUUGAAGCGCCUUGUUGUCAAGAGACUUGAGAUUUGGAAGAUCCCAGAUUGAAAGAUAAGUUAGAGAAGAGGGCAGCAGACACUCCUUGGGAAAUAAUUCCACGCUUUCACAUCCACCUUUGAUUGUGAAAUGAGUAAGAGAGGUCAGUGUUUGCAAAUCCCAGUCCACCUGGAAUGUGAGUUGGUUGUAGAACCAAAUUUGAAAAUCCCACGCAAAUGUAGUUUCUGCAGAGAUGAAUGGGUGUGCGUCAGCAAUCUGAGCUUGGAGCUCUUGCAUAUCUCAUGGCACAUCGAGUCGAGAGCGGGCAGUUGGAUGUAUACAAGAUUAGGGCACCCUUCGAUUCUCAAUCUACGAAGAGAUGUGGGAUCCUCCUCUGAAAUCGAGAUGCAGAGCUCUUCCAGCCCCUUAAGAUCAUUUAUUUGGAAAUCAGUCAACCUGGGGAAGAUGUCCAAUAUUGAGAAGGACAGCGAGAGAGAAUCACAGGUACUACCAUUGAUUGAUAGAUUUUCGAGAACUGGGUGAUGGCAUCUGAACAACUCAGGUAAAAGAAGGUCCACUUUGGUACAGUCAGAGAUUGAUCGUGAUUUCAACGUAGUGGGUAAACCAACUUUGUACAGGGAUCUAAGAAAACUACAAUCAGAAAUGUACAGAUAAUGUAUGUUGGUUUGCAAGAUUUCCUUCUUUAGAAGAGACUCCACAUAAUCACAUUUUCUAAUUGAGAGACAUUUGAAAUUUCAAUUUCUGAAGUUUGAAGAGCUGUGAAGCCACAAGUUUGUCUUUUCAACCACAAUCUACUGGCAGCAGGAACGUUGAGUGUAGGCACAAGCAGUUGUGGGCAAUUUCCAAGGGAAAGUUCCUUCAAUGAAGGAAGGUGUAUUGGUAAUUCCCCAGUGAAUUUGGGACACCUCCAUAUAGAAAGCUUCUGGAGACGAGGGAAUUCUCCAUGUCUGCCUCCACAACAUAACCAUUUCUCCCAAUUGGACAUAGAGGAAAAUGAUAGAGUUUGCAGGGAUGGGAAGAAGGGAUGAAGCGAGGAAGAAGAAUUCCCAUAAAACUCACUACCCACCGUCACUACUCCUUUCAUUCCAAAGAUCUCUAUAUGUUCAAGACAAGGUAGCUGCCCCAGUGGCGGCAAUAUUAAGUAAUUCCCACAAUACGAAAGCUGAAGGGACAUGAGAUUUGAAAAUGAUCCAUCUCCAAGCCAAUCUGGAAAUGUUAGACCAGGAUAGUGUUGAAUGGACAGUUUUUUUAAAUUUGGAUGAUGUAUUAGCCUGUUGAGAAUAUCAUCUUGUAUAGCAUCAUGACUAAUCCCGCAACUCCAAUUCAAGGAUAACUUAUCAAGGUAUUUCUUAUCCUUCAUAUUUGCUUGCAAUGCAUCCUCAACACCCACCACAUUCUCCAUUUUUGAAAUUUCAAGUCUUCCUCCAAUCUCUAAGAGCUUCCUCAAUUCUCCAAUUCUGAAUCCACUUUUUUGGCCCAUGGUAAAAUUAGACAACUGCUACAAACUUUUUAAUUAAUCUAUAUCAUUUGGCAUUUCUUUCAAUGAAUCAGUCCCAUUAAUAUUAAGAUAGAGCAAAUUAAUCAACUUCCCCAUUUUUAAAGGCAAUUCAAGAAGAAAGAGACAUUUACUCAGCAUCAUUGUUUGUAAAUUGCAUAAACAACAUAUUGAUUCAGGUAAUCUUUCAAUCAUUGUUGUAGAGAGAUCCAAGUAACGCAACUGUUUUAAGUUGUUAUGCGGUAUUCACACAAUGACAACACGCGCAAAGAUUUAAAUUUUGGUAAUAUAUUUUGUAAAACUCUUGUACUCAAUGUAUAAAAAGGAUAGUGCAAUAAUCUCUUCACCUUUAAGACUGUUCUGAGAUGUUUGGCUUCACCAACAGACUCAAAAUUUUCAAAUACAACUUCCCGGUCAUUGUCACUUUUAAAGUAGAGAAAAUGGCGAGCCUUAUCCGAUAUUUUUUGCACCUUAUAAUCUUCCAAUCGAAUGCAAAAUUCUUGGGAGAUAUGUUGAGCCAAGUCAUGUAUUAAAUCAUGCAUUACAAAGCAUGAUUCUUCUCCUCUAAUGCAUUUUUGAAAAAAAGACUUUGCUAAAAGUUCAUUAAAAUAUGAAUCACCUACCUCUUCCAUUCUUCUGUUACUUUGUCCUGAGUGUAAAAGCCCUUGUGCCAUCCAUAAUAGAAUUAGCUUCUCUUUGUGGAAUUCAUAGUCCUUGGGAAAAAUUGAACAGUAAGCAAAACAACGCUUCACAUGUAGAGAAAGAUGCUGAUAACUCAAUCUAAGAGAUGGAAGAAUUUCAUGAUCAGUUUGAGAAUGCCAUGUUUUGCUAUUCAAAAUAUAUUCCCAUUCUCUUCUUUUGGGCUUAGCGUACAAGAGACUCCCGAGUGCUUUUACAGCCAAAGGCAAUCCUUGGCACUUCUUCACAAUCUCUCUGCCUAUGGGUUCAAGCUGAGGAUAAGCGCAGGAGUCUCCAUUGGAAAUGCAAGUUUGGUAAAUAGGGACCAACUAUCUUCAGGGCUUAAUGUUCCCAGCUGAUGAGUAUGGAUUGCACGCAUGACUUUUGCAACAGUUUCGCUACGACUGGUCACAACAAUCUUGCUUCCCUGGGCUGCAGCGAGGAGUGGAGUUCGUAGUCUAUCCCAACUUUCCCAAUCAAGAGACUCCACAUCCCAGACGUCGUCGAGAACCAGCAGAAAUUUCUUGUUGCCAAGGUUGUCUUUGAGUCGACGUUGAAGUAAAUCUAGGCUGUCAUCGGAAGUAGGUCUACAACCGAUCGCCUCAAGAAUUGAUUUGGUUACACCGAUAAGAAGAAACUCAGUGGAAACACAGACCCAUGCUUUCAGGUGGAAGUGUUCCUUCACUCUGUCAUCGUUAUAGAGAAGGUGAGCGAGUGUGGUCUUGCCGCUGCCGCCCAUGCCCACUAUGGACAUCACAUCUAUGACGUUGUUGCCUGUCGUAGUUUCCUUGUCAGAAAGCAACCACAUCACCAUCUCCUCCUUAAUUUCAUCCCUGCCAUACACGAAGGACUCGUCUACCAAAGAAGAGGAUGGUAAUUUUGGUGACAGUCUCUCACCAUCACCUUCUUUCAGCCCAAGCUUCUCUUUUUCUUCAGCGAUAUCUUCAAGCUUAGCAGUCAUCUCCUUCACCCUGGACUCCAUGCUUUGAUUGGAAAAUGGAGCCUUAACCCUGGUAGAGAACUUGUUCCACACCUGAUAAAUUCCACCAGGUUGGGAGUCAGCAACUUCAAUCUCGCACCGCAAGGCUUCGGUAGCGAUCUCGUCCAACAGGUCCUCCGCAUGAUACACAGCAUCCUUAACCUGGAAUAGCCACUCUUUGACUAGUGGGUCUGAAAUUUGCUUCAUCUCCGCAUCAUUGAGCACUUUGUGGACAACCAGCAAUUUCCUCUUCAAUUUGUUGAGGAGUUCAUGGCUAAGCUUCUGUCCCCGGAUGAAGUUCAUCAACUCCGGAGAAGCCAACCUGUCGAAUAGAACUUGAAGUGAAGCGGAGAGGAGUACACCCAGGCACAAAUAUCUAAAGCCGUAUUUUCAAAAAAAUUUGGUUACCAACCAAGAAAUACCAUGUGGUUUUGGCCUCUUAAAUAUUCAAUCACAAGUACAUUCUAUAUGAUUUUAAGCUACUAGAGAAGUAUGAAAAAGAAAAUUAUGAGAAUGUCAACCAGUGUGGAAACUAAUUUCCUCAAGUAACUUCUCUCAAUAUCCUUUUCCUUUGUGACAAUAUUAAAGACCUAUGGUUACAAGUUUCAACUUAAUUUUUGUCUCCGGACUUACCAUGCGAACAUACUUGAGUCUGAUUGUAACUCAACCCAACCAAGCAAGGGCCAUCCAUAGUUGAUACCAUUGACGUUGGUUGAUGGAAUUGAGUCACAAGCUAGUCCAGCUUGACUAAAAGUCAAGUAUACUCUCAAAACGAACUUUCUUGAGAUUGAGAACAAACCUUGUAUCAUAAAAAGUUCAGAAGAAUAAAUCCGGAGAAUAUUUAAUAUAGUCAACAACGAACUCUUCUUCUUCAUAAGAGCUGGUGAAUUAGCUCAUAAUGUAGAAGAGUAAAUUUUCUAAAGCAUGAAGAUGGGGAAUAAGCUCAAAAUCAUCAUUUCUAUACAAUAUCAAAAAGUUCAAUGAGAGAAUUGUACUCAACUACUUUAAGAUGAUAACAACAUCAAAAUAAAAAACAGAACCGCAAAAGUCUUAUAGUCAAGACAAUUUAAUUACAAUAUUCGUCGUGGGAAUUUUGCGGUAUAGACCUUCAUUCAGACUUGGACUUUUUAAUGUUCUUUAUGAAUAAACAAUUGGCUCCUGCUCAAAUGAAAAAUGAGAACCAAUGCUUAUAGUCACAGACAGAAGUGUAUGUACGCAUGGCAAUGCCAAAUUUGCAAAUGAUCAUUUGGUCAUAGUCAAGACCAAGAAAAUCCAAAACAAGAACAAUAGAAACAUGUGUACCAACUACAUAACAAAGAAAUGUGUCAAUCUGCUCACCUUUUGAAGGUUGUCCACUGGGUUAGUGCAAAAUAGACUGACUUUUUUUAUAGGGGCCCUCAAUCAGUGCUGGAUGCUGAACCAGAAGAGAGUUUAGAUACUAAAAAAUUCUAUAAAUUUAAUACCAUAAAAUACCUCACAUAAAAAUGUUGCUUUUGGAACUGUAGUUUUCCAAAUGUUCCCAAAUUUAAAAAUACAUUGGCAUAAAGUUAUUGAUGUUUACCUCAUAUUUUUUUCCAUGGUCAUAUCAAACAUUGUUCUCAUAGUAAGUCUUCUAUAUGCUGAUCCUUGUUACUUAAUAUGAGACACAGAAAAGAAAAAGUAGUGAUCAAUUUAUUUUGAUAUCAAAGGGAGCAAAGUCAUAACAUGUACAUUACAUAUGUAGCCAACUAAAUACAUAUUAUGAUGUGGGUAAGAUUCAAUACAUAUUUCAAUAACCAUGAAUUACCUAAAAAUGUAUCCACAUGUUCUUACAAGGGAUAAACACACAAGUAGCUAAAAGUCAUCUCUGCCCAUUCCGAAAGGUAAAUUGAUGGUGUCAUGAAAAUAUGAUAAAUGACUUCUUUAAAAUAUGAAUUAUCAUGGAUCAAUCUUUCUUUACUUCAUUAGAAAAUUCUUAAAAAGAAAAAAAGAAAAAAAAAAAAAGAAAGACAGGAUUGAGCAUGCUACAUAACCAAAUUCCCAAUAAGAAGACUAGAAAAUGAGUUAUGGAGACAUGCAAUUGUAGAGAUUGUUAGAAAUUUUGAAACAUGAGUACUUGGGCAGCUACUUUAUGAAUUGGAACUUAACUUUUCUAAAGAAAAUAGGUUUAAGCAUAGAACAAAUUACCUAACUGUAUAUUAAUGCAGUACCACUUUCAUUAAAAUAGCAGACCAUUGAUCACUAUUUUUGGAGUUGAGAGAGGGCAAUUGCAUAUAUACAAGAUCAUGGGAUUAUGUUCCCUCUGGAACUCGAUUUUGUUUAUCAAUAGCCCGUGUACCACAUUCUUUUCUGCUCCCCCUUCAUCUGCUUGGCAACAGGGCAAUUGAAAAAAAUUUCGUCUUUAGAAUCUGUACCCAAGAAAGAAUACCCAUACAGGAAACAAUCUGGACAACCUCCCAUCUUCAUCAAGCAAUACAAUGGUUGUUAAAUCCACAAAUCCCACUACCAUGGCUACUGGUGUCUAUGCUGCGAAUGUCAUCAGAAAUUUCCUACACGACAGACCAAGAAGAAGUAUUUGUUUUUAAAAUCAGAAGCUUCUAUAUAUAAGUAAAGCAUCUUAUACAAAGAGUAUAGAUUUAACUUGUGUCUUUAAAACUUACAUUUUAAAAAAUUUUAAAAUUUGAGAGAAUAAGAGCUUGUUGGACAAAGUUUUAAAAAAUAAUUUUUCAUUUUUAAAAAUGGAAAACAGUUUUAAAAAAUUAAUAACAUUGUUUGGUUAUUCUUCUCUAUUUCCCGUUUUUAAAAACAAAGUAAAAUAAAGAAUAUCUUCUAGAAAACAAGUAAAAGUUAUUUUCAUCUGUUUUUUAAAAUAAUAGAAAAACACAUGCAUUCUAUUAUUUAUCUUCUACAUAAAAUUAUCAUUUGUCAAUUAAAAUUAUCAUUUGUUUUUAAAAAAAUUGUUUCAUAAUGAAAAAAAAAUUAUUUAUCUUUAACUAAUAUAUAAUUGUGUAUUUAAUUUUUAUUUUUUUAAUAAGACUUAACUUGAAUUUGAUUUCAUAUUAUUAUAAAUUAAUUUUAUAAAAUAAAAAUAAUCCAUUGUUUUAAAUUUGAAAACAAUUUUUAAAAAUAAAUUUUAAAAAACACCACCAAAUGAGCCCUAAAUUUUUUUUGAUACCUUCAUUGUUUUAAACAGUUUUUAAAAUUAUUAAAUUUUCAAUGUAAGCCUUUAAGAGUUAAAAUACAAAAGUUACUGUCACUUAAUUUUAGGCUUAACAAUGUAGGAGAUUUAAGUGGAGGCAAGGAAUUAAGCAGAUAUAUUCUUGAGAUUAGAAAUUUGGGUGGAACAUAAAUUUUGUAAAGAAAAUAAGUUUAAGCACACAAAAAUUACCUGCCCAUGUGUUGGUGCAGUGCCACUUCCAUUAAAAUAGCUCACCAUCGAUCACUAUUUUUGGAAUGUGAGAUAUAUAACGCCAUUCUUGCCCUUUCUCAAAUCGGAGCUGUUGUUUCAGUAAAGGACACCUGCUGACAUACAGAUAAGAGAGGGAGUCUGGUAGUCUCUCUUUUGUCAAGUAUUGGAGCUUAGGGCAAUUGAAGAGAAUUAAGUUUUCAAGAGUGGUGACGUGGUGAAGACCCGCUUCUGUCAAGGAUUAGAGACUUUUGCACGAGUAGAUUCUUAAUUCCUUGAGAGAGAUAAGGCGUUGAAGAACAGAUCUUGUCGAGAAUUGAAGCUCAGGGCAGUUCUCGAUGUGUAAUUGUAGAAGAGAGGUGAGUUGUUGAAGCCCCUUGUUGUCAAGAGACUUGAGAUUUGGAAGACUAUAGAUUGAAAGAUAAGUUAGAGAAGAGGGCAGCAGACACUCCUUGGAAAAUAAUUCCACUCCUUCACAUCCACCUUGGAUUAUGAAACGAGUAAGAGAGGUCAGUUUUUGCAAAUCCCAGUCCACCUGUGACGUGAGUUGGUUGCAGCGCACUAUUGCAAGUUCCCGUAGGUUGGAAGGCAAACCCUCUCUGUGCAACAACAAUUCGGGACAAUCCUCUAAACCCAGUUUCUGCAGAGAUGAAUGGGUGUGCGCCAGCAAUCUGAGCUUGGAGCAAUUGCGAAUCUCAUGGUAUAUCGAGUCGAGAGUGGGCAGUUGGAUGUAUACAAGAUUAGGGCACCGAUGGAUCUUCAAAUUACGAAGAGAUGUGGGAUCUCCCUCUGAAAUCGAGAUGCAGAGCUCCUCAAGCCCCUUAAGACCAUUUAUUUCGAAAUCAGUCAACCUGGGGAAGAUGUUCAAUAUUGAGAAGGACAACAAGAGAGAAUCACAGGUACCGCCAUUGAUUGAUAGAUUUUCAAGAACCGGGUGAUGGCAUCUGAACAACUUAGGUAGAAGAAGGUCCAAUUUGGUACAAUCAGAGAUUGAUAACGAUUUCAAUGUACUGGGUAAGCCAACUUUGUUUGGGGAUCUGUAAAAAGAGCAAUCACAAAUUUCCAAACUGUACAUGUUGGUUUUCAGGAUUUCCUCCUCUAGUAGAGACUCCACAGAAUCACAUUUUCUAAUGUAGAGAAUGUGGGGAACCAUUGGAAGUUCCUUCAACUGAGAGACCUUUGAAAUUUCAAUUUCUGAAGUUUGACUAGCUGUGAACCCACAAGUUUGCCUUUUCAACUGCAAUUCACGGGCAGCAUGAACGUUGAGUGUAGGCACAAGCAGUUGCAGACAAUCUUCAAGUUUAAGUUCCUGCAAUGAAGAAAGGUGCAUUGGUAAUUCCCCAGUGAGUUUUGGACAUAGCCUUAUAGAAAGCUCUUGGAGACGAGGGAAUUCUCCACAUAUGCCUCCACAACAUAACCAUUUCUCCCAAUUGGACAUAUCUUCAAAUGAUAGAGUUUGUAGGGAUGGGAAGGAGGGAUGAAGCGAGGAAGAAGAAUUCCCAUAAAACUCACUACCCACCCUCACUACUCCUUUCAUUUCAGAGAUCUCUAUAUGUUCAAGACAAGGUAGCUGCCCCAGUGGCGGCAAUGUUGAGCAAUUCCCACAAUUCGAAAGCUGAAGGGAUACGAGAUUUGAAAAUGAUCCGUCUCCAAGCCAAUCUGGAAAUGUUAGACCAGGAUAGUGUUGAAUGGACAGUUUUUCUAAAUUUGGAUGAGGUGUUAGCCUGUUGAGAAUAUCAUCUUGUAUAGCAUCAUGACUAAUCCCCCGACUCCAAUUCAAGGAUAACUCAUCGAGGUAUUUCUUAUCCUUCAUAUUUGCCUGCAAUGCAUCCUCAACACCCACCACAUUCUCCAUUUUUGAAAUUUCAAGUCUUCCUCUAAUCUCUGAAAGCUUCCACAAUUCUCCAAAUCCGAAUCCACUUUUUUGGCCCACAGUAAAAUUAGGCAAUUUCUGCAAACUUUUUAAUUGAUCCAUAUCAUUUGGCAUUUCUUUCAAUGAAUCAGUCUCGCUAACAUCAAGAUAGCGCAAAUUAAUCAACUUCCCCAUUUUUGAAGGCAAUUCAAGAAGAGAUUGACAAUUCCUCAGCAUCAUCGUUUGCAAAUAGCAUAAACAACAUAUUGAUUCAGGUAAUCUUUUAAUCUUUGUUGCAGAGAGAUCCAAGUAACGCAAUUGUUUUAAAUUGUGUAUUGAAUUAGGCACAUCUGUUAUGUAGUAUUCACACAAUGACAACACGCGCAAGGAUUUAAAUUUUGGUAAUAUAUUUUGUAAAACUCUUGUACUCAAUUGAUAAAAAGGAUAGUGCUGUAAUCUCUUCACCUCUAAGAAUGUUCUGAGAUGUUUGGCUUCACCAACAGGCUCAAAAGUUUCAAAUACAACUACCGGGUACUCGUCACUUUUAAAGUGGAGAAAAUGGCGAGCCUUAUCAGAUAUUUUUUGCAGCUUACAAUCUUCCAAUCGAAUGCAAAAUUCUUGGGAGAUAUGUUGAGCCAAGUCAUGUAUUAGAUCAUGCAUUACAAAGCAUGAUUCUUCUUCUCUAAUGCACUUUUGAAAGAAUGACUUUGCUAAAAGUUCAUUAAAAUACGAAUCACCUACCUCUUCCAUUCUUCUAUUACUUUGUCCCGAGUGUAAAAGCCCUUCUGCCAUCCAUAAUAGAAUCAGCUUCUCUUUGUGGAAUUCAUAGUCCUUGGGAAAAAUUGAACAGUAAGCAAAACAACGCUUCACAGGUAGGGAAAGAUGCCGAUAACUCAAUCUAAGAGAUGGAAGAAUUUCAUGAUCAGUCUGAGAAUGCCAUGUUUUGCUAUUCAAAAUAUCUUCCCAUUCUCUUCUUUCGGGCUUAGAGUACAAGAGACUCCCCAGUGCUUUCACAGCCAAAGGCAAUCCUUGGCACUUCUUCACAAUCUCUCUGCCUAUGGGUUCAAGCUGAGGAUAAGCGCAGGGGUCUCCAUUUGGAAAUGCAAGUUUUGUAAAUAGGUACCAACUAUCUUCAGGGCUUAAUGUUCCCAGCUGAUGAGUAUGGAUUGCACGCAUGACUUUCGCAACAGUUUCGCUACGACUGGUCACAACAAUCUUGCUUCCCUGGGCUGCAGCGAGGAGUGGAGUUCGUAGUCUAUCCCAACUUUCCCAAUCAAGAGACUUCACAUCCCAGAUGUCGUCGAGAACGAGCAGAAAUUUCUUGUUGCCAAGGUUGUCUUUGAGUUGACGUUGAAGCAAAUCUAGGCUGUCAUCGGAAGUAGGUCUACAACCGAUUGCCCCAAGAAUUGAUUUGGUUACACCGAUAAGAAGAAACUCCGUGGAAACACAGACCCAUGCUUUCAGGUGGAAGUGUUCCUUCACUCUGCCAUCGUUAUAGAGAAGCUGAGCGAGUGUGGUCUUGCCGCUGCCGCCCAUGCCCACUAUGGACAUCACAUCUAUGACGUUGUUGGCUGUUGCAGUUUCCUUGUCAGAAAGCAACCACUUCACCAUCUCCUCCUUAAUUUCAUCCCUGCCGUACACGAAGGACUCUUCCACCAAAGAAGAGGAUGGUAAUUUUGGUGACACUCUCUCACCAUCUCCUUCUUUCAGCCCAAGCUCAACUUUUUCUUGUGCAAUAUCUUCAAGUUUAGCAAUCAUCUCCUUCACCCUGGACUCCAUGCUUUGAUUGGAAAAUGGAGCCUUAACCCUGGUAGAGAACUUGUUACACACCUGAUGAAUUCCACCAGGUUGGGAGUCAGCAGCUUCAAUCUCGCACCGCAAGGCUUCGGUAGCGAUCUCGUCCAACAGGUCCUCCGCAUGAUACACAGCGUCCUUAACCUGGAACAGCCACUCUUUGACUAGUGGAUCUGAAAAUUGCUUCAUCUCCGCGUCAUUGAGCACUUUGUGGACAACCAGCAAUUUCCUCUUCAAUUUGUUGAGGAGUUCAUGGCUAAGCUUCUGUCCCCGGAUGAAGUUCAUCAACUCCGGAGAAGCCAACCUGUCGAAUAGAGCUUGAAGUGAAGCGGAGAGGAGUGCGUCGGCCAUAUCUGUUGACUGUUGCUUUGCAAAUCAAAGGAACUCAACGAUUCAGUUCAGGAAAAAACGAAGGUAAGCAGAGGCAGAAUCACACCGCCAAACUGUAGUGGACUGGUUGGAACACGAGAUCCAAAUAUAAUGGAAAAAUAAAGAAGGCCACAGAGAGGCACAUGGGGCUGCACCAAACACCAAGAGAAGCACAUGGUCUGUCACCGUCGAGCAUGAAACCCAUGUUUUGUUUAUUAAUGACUCUAUAUCUUUUUCAAAUCCAUAUAUAAUUUUAUCUAUAACUUCAUGGAUGUUUUUUUUUCAAUUGUUAGUAUUGAUUUUCCAUUUUCUUGUUCUUAAUAUAUUGGCAAAUCAAAAUAUUUUAUUUUUAAAUGAGGUUAUUAAUUGAUCAAAUACUGGGGAUAUAUAUUUGACAUUCUUAAAUUACUUAAUUAAAUGAUCAUUUUUUUUUGAGAAAAUAUUAGAAUCUGAAAUGUUUAAAGUAGGAUGAAUGAUUUUCUAAAUAAUGGCAAGGGGAAAAAAAAUAAAACACUAUCACUUGCAAUGAUUUGGAAAUGGGGUUAAAAAUAUUGUUUUAAGUUUAUAAUGUUUUCAAUGUAUUACUUUUAUUAUAAACUUUUUAAAAUUAAAUCAAUUGGUGUUUAUAUAUAUAUAUAUAUAUAUAUAUAUAAUCCUUUAAUAUUAAUUUUUUAAUUUAUAUAUAUACUGAACCUCAAUGUUUCAGUUAUAGGUCAAGGGGCAGAUCUUUUGACAUUGGUCUAGGUCUUCAAUUUUUUCUAGAUUUGCUCUUUAGAAUAUUGUAUUUUAUUUACCAUUGUAAAAUAAUUAUUCAAGCUCUUAACUUGAAAAUAUUAAAAUAAUUUUUUAUGUUUUCAUAAUGAUGUAAUUGUGACACUCCCAACCAAAAAAAAAAAAAAAUUAAAAGAAAAAAAGGCCGGAACCUAUUAUCAAUGUUAUUUUCACCUUAAUUGGUUUUUGUCGAAGGCAUAUAUAACUUUUACUCACAUUAGUUCUAUGCCUACUUGGAUAUCCUUAAUUGGUUUUGUACAAACCAUAAUGAAUUUCAUUCAAUUUGAUCGAUUUUAUAGUUCUUUAGUUGAUAUUAAUCAUAAUGAAAGAUCGUCUAUAUUUGAAUGUUUCUAUACCUGUCAUAAAACUUCUCAUAAUUACAUCAUCACCACCUUCACUUCCCAAUCUUGAAGCCACCUUACAAGAUUCCUUAACAACACCAUUAUUCAAUUCAAAAAAUUUUCACAUAAAUUAAAUAUAAAAAAAAUAUCUUUUUUCUCAAUUUUUAUUAUUAUUUUUUCUUUUAUGAGUAUUUUUCAGGCAAAUAAAAAAGAGCCUAAAUAACUUGAAAAAAAAAUUAAAUAAUAAACCAAAGGAUGGAUUGGUAAAAUUAUUUAGUAUUAUUUAAUCAUAAUAAACAAAGGAACAUUGCAAAGAUUAUUAUAAGAUGCCUACUUAAAUUAAUAACAUUCACCUCACUUCCUUCCAUAUACACAAGAUUCAAAAAAUAAAAAAUAGAACAAGCCAUGUGCAUGGGAUUCAUUUAGUUUUAUUGAGAGAGUUGUGCCUGCCAUGUACACACACCAGAUUAAAGAAAUAAUGAAAGAUGAAAUAAGUCAUAGAAGGCUCAUGGGGCUGCUUAAAGCCUCAAAGAGAGAGAGAGAGAGAGAGAGGUUUUUUUUUUUUUUUGGAACUUUGAAGUUAGUGAUGAUUUAAGACUCAUGGAGUUGAUUGAACAUUAUGAUAGAACCAAACAGUCCAUAUUGUUUGCCAAAAACAAUUUUAUGAAAAAGCAACCCAGAAAGUUUGAAAAAAUAUGUAAGAAAAAGAAAAAGUGAAAAAAAUAAUAUUCAAAAUUAAUAAAUUAUUUAAAAUUCAUUUUACAUAUUUAACUCUUUAAUAUAAAGAUUAAAUAGUUUAAAAAUAUAUAUAUUUUUUAAUUAUUUUAAUUAUAUUUGACUUUUCUUUCAUAUUUUUUUUUGAUAAAAUAAAAAAUAAGAAAAUAAUUUUUUUAACAUUUUGUUCUUUUUUUAGUAUUUUUUCAGGAACUAAAUAUUGAUUUAUAUUAAAAGUAAUCUUUUAUAUUAAAGUUAUAAUUGGUUCUCGGAAAGUGUUCCAAAAAAAAUGUUAAAUAAUUUUCUCCUAUUUGAUUUUACUAUUAAAAAUAUGAAAAAAAGUCAAAUAUAAUUAAAAUUAGUAAAAAAUUUAUAUAUUUUCAAGUUAUUUAAUUUUUAUAUAAAAGAGUUAAAUAAAUAAAAUGAGUUAAAAUAUGAUAUAAAAUAAUUUAUUGACUUUUCACAUCUAAUUACCUUAUCCUUCAUUUGUAAUACUAAAAGUAUCAAGGAAAUGAAAUAAAGGAAAGCUAAAUGAGAAUUUAAAAUCAUAUAUUUGAUUGAGAGUGAAAACUCAAAUACUUAAUUACAUAUGUUUUUAUUAAUGAAGAAAAAUGAGAAAUAAUAUUUUUUUUUAAAAAGGAUCUAAAUUUUUUUUCCUUCACUUUUUUUGCAUGUCACAAACAUGGUUCUCUUAGUUUCUAAUAUUUCCUAACUCAUCAAAGACUAAAUCCCCAUAGUCAAUGACACAAGUACUGCAAACAUGGCAAUGAGAAUUCCGCUAAUGAGAAGCUAGCACCAAAAGAUUUAGGUCUUCUCUUAUGACCCAUAACCAUGACAUUCAUCUCAAUGAUCAUCUCCAUAAAGACAUAAAUUCCUAGUCACAAUACUAAGAAAUGCCAAAACAGGAACAAAACUUCCUAACAAACUUCAAGCCACCUACCUUUAUAAGGUGGUCCACUGGGUCAAUGCAAAAUAGACCAACUUUUAUUAUAAAGACUCCCAAUCAAUGAUUGCAGGCCGCUAAACCAAAAUAUAAAACAAUGAGAUGUUUUUAGGUUAUUGAGAACAUGAACCAAAACAGAGAAAACCUUUUUGUUUUAGGGAAAAAUAAGACAUUGAAGGGAUAUGUAGUCAUAAAUCUUACAAUUUUGUAUAUUGUAAGAGUUAAAUCUCCACUUUUAUUACACUCGAAAGGGAAUAGAAGCAAGAAAAGACCAAAGCAAUUAAAAUUUCUUACUGCCAAAGCUCAAUACAUCAUUGCUUUCCUCCAUGCUUGUAUAAGAGAACAUAGACCAAGAAAGUGAGAAAAACCUAAGCAUCCAUGGUUUUCCAUAGUUAUCAAGUGGUUCACUAAAUUGAAGUACAUCUUUUUUCAACAUAAUAUUGAAUAUAUUUAAAUAACUAAAUGUAACUUAAAUAGGCAAGAACAAAACUUAAUAUGCAUUAGUACACAAAAUAGUUGUCAAAAGUUUGUGAAAUAAUAUACAUCAGUAUUAUGUUUCAUCUGGUAUUGUUAAAUUAAUUUAUUGUUGGAUGUGCACAUCAUUUGGUAUGAAAGUGCAUGUAUACCAUGUAAUGUAUACAGUUGUUGGCCAUGUGUGUCAAAAAUACACAUGUGUAACUUUUCAUUAGUAAAAACUUUUCUUUUGCUUUAGUAUGUGCAACAAAGUACAAUAACUUAAGCCUAAAUAUUGUAACUUUUCAGCUAAAUAUUCAUCUCCAUUAAAUAAAACUAAUAAUCCAAAAAAAUGCAAUAUUUCAAGUAUGAACAUGUGUAUUUAUAUAUAUUACAUGCUGAAAGUCAUUCAUAUAAUUCACAAAUAUUGAAUUUAAGUACUAAAAUUUUAAUUUAUAAAUACUAAAUGUCAGCUAGUUACGACCAUAAAUUUGAUAAAUAUUAAAAUUUAUCAAAAGUACUAGUCUUUUUGUUUGCAUUAAUAAACCUAUCCGUAGUUGAAGCCGCAUGGGACCAUAAAUUCCUAGUUUAGUCCAAAAUAUUUUAAAAAUAUUAUAUCAAACUAUAUAUUGAAUUGACAGCUUUUGAGUCAUUUUUUUACUGUGAAAACCAUCAUACAUGGGAUUUGGGUAGUUGGGUUAUGCACCUCAUGGUGAGAGGAACGACCCCACUUUGAAAUAAAUAUUUCUAGCUUGUCCUUUCAUUAAUAAGUAUGUAAUUGGUUGACAUCAUAAUCAUGUUAGGAUAAAGUAAAAGGUUGAUGAACAUGGUCAUCUAAGACCUCUACUUGCCAUGCUAUUUUAAUGGGUAUUUUUGGGAUUUCAUUUGUGUUAGCAUAACAAUAGAUUACAUACUGCAAAGCCAAUAUGAUACGGGUGGGACGCCCAUACAUGCAUGCCCAAAAAAAUGAAAGCAGACUAAUGCCAUAACUUAAAUAUUAAUGGAAUAUACUCCACUUGGUCUCUUCCAUAUUAAACAUAUGAACUAAUAAAACACCUCACUAUAGUGCCAAAAACACAUAAAAACAAUUGCAGGGGCAUAAGAAACAUAGAUGACAAGCUAUUUUCUCUGAAGUUACAUCAAUUUCUUACUGAUUUUUCUUUCACUUAAGUUUUAUAAGAUUUCAUACAAUUCUUAUUUAUAAUUUAUAACAGAAAGUUUUAUAAAUAUUCAUGGGGUUCACAAAUAGUCAAUAGCUUAAUAUGAAAUGAAGAUCAAAAGGCCAAAAGUGGUAAGAGUUUAUAGGAUUUUUACAAGUAAUCUUUUUCUUCAGGAUCUUCACUGCUUCUGAUACACUAUCCUGAAAAUUAAAGCAUAAACAGUCAGCAUUAUAAUGUAAUUUUAGCAGUAUCAUCCAACAAAUCAGUUUAUUAACCAUCUACACCAACACACUCAUAAUUCAACAGCCAAAUAAAAUUUGAUUGCUAAUUAUUUGGCCAAGAAUUUCAUCAGAAUGGUUGAAAAGAAAUUAAUUGAAGAUGAGGUUUGAUCUUACAACAGCAUAGGCAAGGUCGAAGAUACAGUACAGUAUUUGACCAUCAACUUUGGAUUAAACUUACUGUACUCAAAAUUUCAAACAAUGAAAACUAUAAGUACAUAUUAUGAAACGUAAGUUCCUAUCACAUCUGCUAAGCCAAGGCACACUGCCUACUGGACUGGUUCGAAGCUAGACCGGUACCAUACCUAAUGAAGACUGUUGAGUUCCACUAAUGAACAUUUUAAGCUGAAGAGAAAAAUCUCUUACUAGAGCAGAUUCUAGAGAAGUUUUCCCAAAAUAACGAAAUUACAAAAUUACAAAAUCACGAAAUCACAAAAUUACAAAAUCACGAAAUCAAGAUAGAGCAGAUUCCAGGAAAACUCAAAUCAAUCGAAGUGGCACAGCAAGCUUCUCACUAUGGUAAUUAUGAGAUCUGCCAAAAUUCAUCACAUUGGCAUAGUUUUUAAUUUCUUCUAUUUUCUUUAUAAUCUCCUCUAACAUUCUAUCUUCAUUAUGCUCAGUUAAGCCAUCAAAUACCUGCCUUGCAGAUUCCAAGCGUCCACAUUUUGCAUACAUAUCAAUCAAACCGCACCUUGCAUACACAUCAAGACGUGGUUCCAUGCGAACAAUCCGUGCAUGCAGAUGUGCACCCCAUUCCAGAUCAUAAAUGUUGGUGCACGCACUAAGAACACUAGCAUAUGUCAUGGAAUUAGGUCUAAAACCUUGUUUCCACAUCUCAAGGAACAUAUUAAGAGUUUCAGCGCCAAACCCAUGUUGCGACAAGAUUGAAAUCAUCGUAUUCCAAGAAACAGUGUCGCGCUCAGGCAUUUUAGCAAACAACUCAAGAGCCUUUUUAACGCUGCCAUAUUUUGAAUAACCAUAAAUCAUACUAUUCCAACAAAACAAACUUGGAUUCGAGGUCCUACAAAACACUUUCUGAGCGAAAUCCAUUGCACCACACUUGAUGUACAUAUCAAGAACUGACGUUUCAACACAAGUGUCUAUUCCAAAAUCAAAUUUCUCUGCAAAACCAUGCAAUUGCAAAGCUAAAAUAGAUUACAUACUGCAAAGCCAAUAUGAUACGGGUGGGACGCCGAAAUCAAGAUCCAUUCAAUUUUAUACCCACUAAUCCAUUCCAAUUUUCUCAUCACAUUUAGACCCAUUCAGAACUUCCACCACUAGAAAUCGAACUGGGGAGAAAAUUACCUUAAGCACGGGGAGGUUGACCAUGUCCUCGCCACUUCUGGCUGAUUUCCAUACCGCCUCUAUCAUCUCCUUCCCAUCAAUAACGUCGAGGAUCAGCCCCAACGAAUAUAACUUGAACAACCACUCCAACGCUGGCUUCAUAACCUUCAUGAAGGCUAAAUCAAGAGCCAGUAGAAGAGGCUGCAAAACAAACCCUCUUCUUGGGGAUUUCAAAUUUCAAACAAUGGGACGUGUUCACCGUAUGGGGCAUUCUGUACCUAUGAUUCUCACAAUUACUUAUUAAAAAUCAUUCUUUUUUUCCUGUUUUUCACUUUUUUUUAAUGACUUGAUCAUGUGUUUGGUUUAGAUUACAAAAUCAAUUAAUCUACAGUUUUUUCUUCUAUGCUAGAAGAUUAAACCUAAGUUUUUCUUCCCUACAACUCAAGAAAACACAAUUCACAAAAACCAUAAUACAAAGAUGUUGAAACAAUUAAUAUAAUGACAUUAAUAAAAGAAAAAAAAAUUAUACAUCUAAGAGAUUUUGGGUAACCUUGGAGUCCACAAAGUAAAGAAUGUCGGUUGUGAACGUGUUGACUAUGGGUGAGAGAAAAGGUUGAAGAAGAUCAUGAUUUUAUGUAUAGGGUUUAUAUUGAUAUUUUUUAGAUUGUGGGUGAAAUAUGGAAACAAUGGGAUUUUUAUAUAUUAUCCAUCAUUAUUACUUCUAAUUGUGGGUGCAAUAUGGAAACAAUUGGAUUUUUAUAUAUUAUCCAUCAUUAUUACUUCUAAAAGUGGGCUCAUUAAGUUAUAAUACUUAAAAAAAAUUAUUUUAUAUGAUGUCACUUCCCAAAAAAUGACACUAUAAAUAUAAAACUAAUAUCAUCUAACUACCUUAAUUGAAGAUUUUUUAUAUGAUGUGUCACCUUUAUUAAUUAUAAACCCUAUGGUGUCAUUAUUUUAAAAGUGACACCAUAAAUAGUGACACCAUAAACUAUUUUUGUAGUAGUGCACCCUCUCAAAUCAAAAUGGAGAGCUUCUCAAGCCCCUUAAGAACAUCAAUUGUGAAAUAAGUCAACUUGGGGAAGAUGCCUAAUGAGAAGGAUAACGAGAAAGAAUCAUCGAUAACACCACCAUUGAUGCUUAGGCUUUCAAAAAUAAAUCAGGUUUAGUGGGGCCCAACAUGCGUGAUUUUUCUUAUUGAUUGAUUGAUUGAUUGUCAUGCUUGAUUGAUUCACUUUGUGAUGUACAAGCGAAUGUUCUGUGUUCGUUCACUAACCUUUGUCUUCCAUGAAGCAGUCAACUCUUCACUUACGUACGUUCCUCGCCUUUCUUGUUCAUUCGAUUAUUUUUAAAUCAAUGUUCUUUGGAUAUCCAUGUUUAAUCAAUAAAUUGUUACAUGUGUUUCAUCUUAUUUUGUAGAGACUCAUUUUUGGGGUUUAAAGGGGUACUACGGUCUUUACCAUACCGUCCCGAUAAGUAACCUGACCAUCGAGUCCAAAUUUGGUUUUUCACAGACCACUUUUUCCAAAUAAGGAGUCACACUUAGGAUUUUCUUUCUUAUUUUGUUUUCCCUUUAAAAAUAAAACAAAAAUAAGUGGCGACUCCAAGUCAUUUUCUAAAAAAAUAAAUCAUUUUCAAAUAAAAAGUGAGUUGCGCUAUCGAGUGGAAGUGCAAGAGUAGAAAUGCGGGGUCCACACCACCACAUGGCAACACAGGAACAAAUUCAUAAACAGCCAUGAACCAACAAUAAGUUAUCAUUUUUUGAAUAGAGAAGAACUACUAAAAUGUGUAGGAAAUGUUUUAAAAAUGAAAAUUCCAUUAACCUUCGUUAAGACUUGCACUCUAUAAUUUUCUUUUUAAAAAGGAAAAAUCCAUGAAUAAAAGUUGUCACAUUAUGAAGAUUUUUUUUUUUUCAUAAUUAAAUAAUUUUUCGGUGAUAAUUUUUGAAAGUGUGCAAAAAGAUACAAAACUUUAAUGUUAAGUUUGGUAUUUGAAAAUUUUGAGAGAAAAUGUUGGGAAAAAAAAUAAAAAGUAAAAUUUGUAGGAAACCAAAGUCUCACUCAAAUGGGCUUGAACUCCAUGGGUGGACAAGACUCUCCCAUACCUCUUCACAAGCAUUUCAAACAAUAGAAAGUGGACUAAUUAAUAAACCCACUAAAGGUGUUUCUCUUUUCCUAUGUGGGACAAGAAAAAAAACCAUUUUUCACAUUUAAACUCUUCCUACAUAUAUCACCCUGGAAGGAUCUAGAUCAAAGGGAUAAGUCUCUAAAGCUUGAUCAAGUUUAUGAUGUUCAAGAAUUGAUGAGCAUGAUAUAUAUCAAUGAUAUUGCAGAAGACAAUAGAGCUUCUGAAAUAUUUCAGGUUCAAUAGUAGGAAAUCUUAUCAGCUGUCACUUACUGUAAUCCUAUGCUCUCGAUAUUCAAUUGUUGAAGAAGAAAGACGCAUCUUGAAAAAAAAAAUUUGCUUUCACACUACUCAAUUACGGGAGAAUGUUCAAUUAUGGAAGAAAAUAAUAUUCACUGGACUUUUUCAACUCACUCAACAUGCAGAGAAAACCAGUUGGGUGACCAAUUAUUCACAUGAUAACUUACAUACAUAGUCUCUCUACGUCUACUUGUUACUCAUCAGCCAAGCUUAUAGUAAUUUAAGCUUGGAUUCAUCUCUCUAUACCACUGAUGCCAACUCUACAUGGACUUCGCCUUCUGGUGAUUUUGCAUUUGGAUUCCGACCCUCUCCAAGUGAAAAGGAUCUAUUCCUUCUUGCUAUCUGGACUGCAAAUGGAAGUUAACCGGUGCCAAGAGGAUCAAAAGUUGAGCUUACCACCAAUGGACACCUUGUUCUCGAUGGAGGCCAAGAGAUAUGGAAGACAAAGACUGGUAAUAUGAGCAGCGAAGCAGUGCAUUGUGCCAUGCUUGGAGAUGGAAAUUGAAUACCAGUAUAUGGAGAGCUUCAACCACCCAACUAAUACCAUAUUGCCAACCCAGGGAUUGGGUGUUGGAACCUACUGUGCAGUUGCUAUUUUUGAGGACCUGAGGUUUGUAAAUGGAACUGGAAGCUGUUGGAGGAAAAGACUACCUCUUUCAAAUGGGAGGUUGGAUCAAAAUGCUGUUGCCAGAAGUGCCCUAAUCAAGAUAUCGAAGUCCAGUGAACUAACUUCAGGCAGAGGCAAGCAAAAUAAAGCAAUUCUAAUCCUCUAUAAGUCCUGCGCCCCUCUGUUCUUCUUCACUUCUGUCGUUGCAAUUCUCUAGUUUUCUACUGCUUGAACCUCAAAAAUCUGCAGCUUUAUCACAGAAUCCUGAGUACAAGCGAUGGUAGAAGCCUUUGGCACUGUCUAUAAAGGGAUAUUACCAUCAGGUUCUGGAAAUUCUGUUGCUGAAAGUUGGAGAAGGUGGUGAGAGAAGGUGAGAAAGAAUUCAAAGCAGAAGUGAAUGUGAUAAGCCAAACUCACCAUAAGAAUCUACGACACUUGCUGGGUUACUGCUGUGAGGGUGAACACUGACUUCUGGUGUAUGAGUUUAUGCACAAUGGCUCUUUAUCAAGCUUCCUGUUUGGAAGUGCCCGAGGACUUGUGUACCUACAUGAAGAAUGCAGUAAACAGAUUAUCCAUUGGGACAUAAAGCCCUCAGAACAUAACUGUUGGAUGAUUCUUUUAUAGCCAAAGUUGCAAACAUGGACUGAGAAAGCAUCUGAUAAGCAACCAGACUUGAACACUCACAGGCAUCAGAGGGACUAUGGGGGUAUAUUCAGACCACUCGGGCAGCCUAUAUCUCUUAUAAUAACACAUUAUGAAGCAUCAGCUCAACGCCAGGGUUCAAUCUGCAAAGCAAGGGAUUCAUCAAUGUUUCCUUCAAACUAAAUAAUGAGGAACAGAAAUGGAUCAUUCUGCAUUUUCAGUUGUGUUUGUUAUAGCAUUUAUACAAGAACUUUUGGGGUUUCUAUGUAUGACUUUAUUCCUAUUUUGUCAGUGAAUAUGGUGAUGGUGUUACAUUAUAAAUCAUAGUGAAACGGUGGAAUUUGAUCAUUUAGCCAACUUCAUCCAAAAUUGUUUCACAUUUGAGGGGAUUAUUAACUUUGCCAUGGGCCAAGCAGCAAUUUCUUAAGAAGCUGGGUAACAAAGAGUACCAUAAUUUGGACAAGUUUCAAUGGAAACUCCCCUGUUUUUGUGCAUGACAUCUUCAGCUUCAGCUUUUCCUUUGCUUUUGACUAGCCUGAAACUGAUCCAAAUCUCUUCAAUCGAUUAAAUGUAUAAAUGAAUCCUAUUCAUUGUUUGAAGUAACAACCAAAUUCUGGAAGACUGGGAAAGUCUGACACUGGAGAGAAAACACAAUGACAAGACCAUAAAUUCUGGAAGAGGGCAUUGCUUUCUAACCAUUACCAUAACUUUAGAGCUCAACCCGGAUGAGUAAAUUAUAUUUCAGAAUGUUCAGAAGAUAAUUCUAAAGAGAUGUACCUUCUACUCAGUUUCUUGUUCUUCUUGAACAGAGCAAUGAACAUCAAUAGUUCAGCACCCAGGAAUCUCCCCUUCCUCCAAUUCCUUCACUGGAAAAACUCUACAAAAAUCAGAACAAUCUAUCCUCUUCCUUGGAGGAAAAGUCACCUUCCCAAUCAAGAAAAUCAUCUGGAUUAAUUUGAGCAAUAUAUCAGAGUAUAGAUCAAGAAAGCCUUGCUCAAAAUCAAAAUACAUCAAGAGCUGCUAUUUUCUUCUAUUUCCUCUUCCCUGAAUAGAAUACCUUUGGACUUAGGCGAUCAAUGGUAACAGUCUAACACACUCCUUAAGCUCUGAUUGAGGCUGACGGGGAUUGGUAUCUUUAAUGACUUUGAAAUCAUAGCUCUGUGAAGGGAGACAAACAUGAGUCACAGAUCAUCUUUCAAUUUCUAAGGCUUGAUUUUCCAUUUGUAGUAGAAAGAUUUUCUUAUUACAAUGCCACAAAAUUGGUUGAUCUAAUUAAAACAAAAAUGAGGCUCUUGACAGAAAAUGAUUAGGAAGGCAUGCAUGUAACAAUUACAAAUGAUAUAUGAUAUAAGAUUUUCACGGAUUAAACAAAAAUACAUGGAAAAAUAGAAGCAGGAGGAUAAGGUCACAGACAGGACAAUAUUAAAAGAAACUACUAUUUUUCUGACCUGAAAAUUGAGGCAUUCAGAACAGUAUACAUUUGUAAGUAGUCCAUGGAAACCAAGGAACAUAUGCAGAUGUUGUAUUCUAUUGCAUAAGGCAGACACUCAAUACUCAGUAGCAUAACCAAGGCCAGAAAGCCAUAUAACCCUUUUUGUUUUUGCUUUUUUUACCUAUUCUCAUCUUUCAUGACCAGAAGUGCCAACAAUGUUAUAACCUCACCAAAUAAGUAAGGAACCAGCCCAUUCAGCAGGUUGAGGAGCCAGCUUGCCCUCAAUCUUCUUUGAGUCACCAAACAGGUGGACAUUAUUGCCUCCAACAGGGGGCUUGGAAAUAUUAGAGCUGGCAGCAGGGGUGGCUGUAAAACUCUGUGUUCCAAAACCCCAAGUUUCAGGGCCAGAAGUUGCUUCUGUGGCUGGUUUGUUGUGAUGGCCAUUUCUGGUCCUAACAGACUUGCUAUUGUUGUCUGGGCACCUUAGAGAAAGAUUGCCAUGGAUUAGAGCCUAGGCCAGGGGGGUUGUUAACCUUGCCAUGGGCGAAGCAGCAAUUUCUUAAGAAGCUGGGUGACAAAGAGUACCAUAAUUUGGACUAGUUUCAAUAGAAAUUCCUCUGUUCAUGAUAUCUUCAGCUUCAGCUUUUCUUUUUGCUUUUGACAUGGCUGAAACUGAUCCUGGACUCAAAAAUCACAGACACAAAUAAAUAUUUAACAGAAAAGGAUCGAAAUCUCUUCAAUUGAUUAAUGUAUAAAUGAAUUAAUAAAAUUUUUUUAGAGAUAAUUGAAGGGAGAUGAACCUUAUGCCUCUGAGUUUCUUAUUCAUAAUAAACAGAGUAAUGAGCAUCAAUUGUUCAGCACCCAGGAAUCUCCCUUCCUCCACAGCAAACACACCCCACACCCUCCCAAAAUCUGAACAAUCUAUCCUUUCUUCAGAUUCCACUUCCUUGGAAAAGUCAAAACAAGAAGAAGACAUCAUCAAAAUUGAGACAGAAAUAAGUGCAUCAACUAUCUCAAAAAGAGAUUUACGCCUACUGCUCACCUUCUGAAGAGGUCCACUUGGUUAGCACACACAAAAGAAAAUCUUUUUUUUUUUUAAAUUACUCACUAAUAAAGCAGCUAACUAGAAUUCGUCCUUGAGUUUGCUCUCUGCCCAGUAUAUAAGAAACAAACAGAGAAUAUAAAAAUAAAAUAAAAAAAUCCAAGUUUUUAAUUUUUUUUCUUAAUUUUUCGAUAGUUAUAAAUGGCUCAUUUGGUAAACAGAGCAUGAAAAUGUGAGUACCAUUAGAAUAAGACCAUCCUUCUCUCCUUCUCUUCAAUAUUUGUUUUAGGCUCGAAGCUUCAAGAAAAAGAAAAUCUUAAAUCAAAUAAACAGGACUAGUAAUUGGAACAUAAAUAUUUUUCUGAAGAAAAGAAGUUCAUGCACAAAAGAAUUACCUGACUACCUGACUGUAUAUUGGUUUAGUGCCACUUUGAUUAAAAUAGCACACCAUUGAUCACUAUUUUUGGAACGUGAGCUAUAUAACGCCAUUCUUUCCCUUUCUCAAAUUGACAUCGUGUUUCCAGUAAAGGACACCCGCUGAGACGCAGAAAAGAGAGGGAGUCUGGAAGUCUCUCUUUUGUCAAGUAUUUGAGCUUACGGCAGUCUCUGAUCACCAAUGUUUUAAGAGAGAUGAGGUGUUGAAGACCCUCUUUUGUCAAUGAUUGGAGCAUUGGGCAGUCCCUGAUUAGGAAUUUUUUGAGAGAGAUGAGGUGUUGAAGACCCGAGGAGUCUUGCAGUCUCUGUUUUGUCAAGUAUUGGAGCUUAGGGCAAUUGUAGAUAUGCAAUGUUUCAAGAGAGGUGAGAUGUUGAAAACCCACUUCUGUCAAGUAUUGGAGCUCAUGACACCUAUUGAUAUGCAAUACUUCAAGAAAGGUGAGGUGUUGAAGACCCACUUCUGUCAGGGAUUGGAGCCUUGGACAUUCAUCAAUUCGUAAUUCUUUGAGAGCGAUAAGGUGUCGAAGAACCGAUCCUGUCAAGAACUGGAGCUCUGGGCAGUUUGUGAUCUUUAAAUUUAGAAGAGAGGUGAGUUGUUGAAGUCCCCCGCUGUCAAGAGACUUGAGAUUGGGAAGCUCUUCAAUUUCAAGAGAAGUUAGAGAAGAGGGCAGCAGACACUCCUUGGGAAAUAAUUCAACGCCUUCACAUCCACCUUCCAUUCUUAAAUGUGUAAGAGAGGUCAACCUUUGCAAACCCCAAUCCACCUGAGGCGUGACUUUGUUACACCUUUGAAAUUGAAGUUCACACAGGUUGGAAGGCAAACCCUCUCUCUGAAACAACAAUUCUGGACAAUCCCAUAAAUCCAGCUCCUGUAUAGAUGAGUGCGUGUGUGCCAACGACCUGAGCUUGGAGCAACUAGAGAUCCGACAAGACUUCAAGUUGAGACCGGGCAAUUUGAUAGAUUCAAGAUCAGGGCACUUUGCUAGAUACAAGGAACGUAAAGAUGUGGGUUCACCCUCUGAAAUCAAAAUGGAGAGCUUCUCAAGCCCCUUAAGACCAUGGAUUGUGAAAUCAGUCAACUUGGGGAAGAUGCCUAAUGAGAGGGAUAACGAGAGAGAAUCACCGAUAACACCCCUACGGAUGCGUAGGCUUUCAAGGACUGGGAGAUGGCAUCUGAACAGCUCAAGUAGGAGAAACUCUAGUUUGGAACACCGAGAGAUUGAUAGCGAUUUCAAAGUAGUAGGUAAACCAACUUUGUAUAGGGAUCUAGAAAAACAACAAUCACGAAUAUUCAGAUCAUGUAUGUUGGUUUGCGAGAUUUCCUCCUCUAAUAGAGACUCCACAGAAUCACAUUUUCUGAUUGAGAGCUUGUGUGGUGCCAUUGGAAGUUGCUUCCACCGAGACACGCCUGAAAUUUCAAUUUCAAAAGGUUGAAGAGUUGUGAAGUCACAAGCUGGCAUUUGCAACUGCAAUUUGCCAAAAUCCACCAUCUUUAAUUCACGGACGGCAGGAACCGUAAUUGAAGCCAUAAGCAACUGUGGACAAUUAACAAUUACAAGUCCCUCCAAAGAAAGAAGUUGUUCUGGUAAUUUCCCAGUGAGUUUGGGACACCACCGUAUAGAAAGCUUUCGGAGACGAGGGAAUUCUCCACACCAUAACCAUUUCUCCCAGUUCAGCAUACCCUCAAAUGAUAGUGUCUCUAGGGAUCGGAAGGAAGUAUUCCCAUGAAACUCACCAUCCACACACUUUACUCCACUCAUUCCUGAGAUCUGUAGAUAUUUAAGAUGGGUUAGCUGCCCAAGUGGUGGCAAUGUUGAGCAAUUGCCACAACCCCGAAGCUCAAGGGACACGAGUUUCAAGACUGAAGGAUCUCCAAGCCAAUUUGGAAAUCUUACACCAGGAUAGUUUUUGAUGGAGAGUUGUUUUAAAUUUGGAUGAGGUUGUAACUGGUUGAGUAUGUCAUCAGUUGUAGCAUCAUAUUGUGUAAUACCACCAUCUAUAACCAAUUCCGAUUCCGAUUCCGAUUCUGAUUCCAAUUCCAAUUCCGAUUCCCAUUCCCAUUCCAAUUCCCAAUCCAAUAUUAACUCAUCAAGAUAACUCUUAUCCUUCAUAUUAGCUUGUAAUGCAUCGUUAACACUCACCACAUUAUUCACGUUUGAAAUAUAAAGUGUUUCUCGAAUCUCUAAAAGCUCCCUCAAUUCUCCAAUUCUUAAUCCACUCUUUUGGCCCACAAUAAAACAAGACAAUUUCUGUAAACAUUUUAAUUGACUAAUGCCAUGACUUGACCUUUCUUUCAAUGAAUAACAUUUAGAAAUAUCAAGAUAACGCAAAUUAAUCAAUUUCCCCAUCUUUGAAGGCAAUUCAAUAAGAUCUGAACAUCCUCUAAAGAUCAAUGUUUGUAAAUUGUACAAACAACAUAUUGAUUCAGGUAAUUUUUUAAUCAACGUGUAAGAUAGAUCUAAAUAGCGCAAAUGUUUCAAAUUACCUAUCCAAUCAGGCAAAUUAGUUAUCUCGUAUUCUUGUAAUGACAACACACGUAAAUACCUCAUUUUUGAUAUAUCUUCGAAAACUCUUUUACUCAAUGUAUAAAAUGGGUGGCAUAAUGAUUCUUUCACAUCUAAUAAUGUCCGAAGAGAUUUAGCAUUAGUAAAAGCCUCAAGCUUGUUAAAUGUAACAAACUCUUCAAAAUCACCGUGAAUGUAUGAAAAGUGGCGAGUCUUCUCGGAUACUUUUAGUACCUUAUUGUCUUCCGCUCGGACACAAAAAUCUACUCCAGACACAUGUUGAGCCAAUUCAUGGACUAGAUCAUGCAUUACGAAGCAAAAUGAUUUUUCUCCUCUAAUAGAUUUUUGAAAAAAUGAUUUCGCCAAAAGCUCAUUAAAAUAGGACUCACCUAUCUCUUCCAUUCUUCUUCCGUCGUCUUGUUGUGGAUGUAAAAGACCUUCUGCCAUCCAUAAUAAAACCAGCUCCUCUCUGUUGAAUUCGUGGUCUUGGGGAAAAAUUGAACAAUAUGCAAAACAAUGUUUCACAGGUAAAGAAAGAUGAUGGUAGCUCAAUCUCAAAGAAGGAAGAAUUCCAUAACGACUAUGAAGAUGCCAUAUUUCACUAUUCAAAACGUCCUCCCAUUCCCUUUUUUCGACCUUAGAGUGCAGCAGAUGCCCGAGUGAUUUAACAGCCAAGGGCAAUCCUUGGCACUUAUCCACAAUCUGUCUACCUAUGGGUUCAAGCUCAAGGCAUGCGUUAGAGUCUCUAUCUUGAAAUGCAAUCUUUACAAAUAGGCUCCAACAAUGUUGAGGGCUUAAUUCUCCCAAACGAUGAGUGCGGACUGCACGCAUAGUUUUUGCAACAGAUUCAUCACGACUGGUCACAACAAUCUUGCUUCCCUCUGCUGCACCCAGGAGCGGAGUUCGUAGGCUAUCCCAACUUUCCCAAUCAAAGGACUCCACAUCCCAGACGUCAUCGAGAACAAGCAGAAAUUUCUUGUUAACAAGGCUCUGUUUGAGUUGACGCUGAAGCAAAUCCAGGUUGUCAUCGGAAGUAGGUCUAUCGCCGAUUUCCUCAAGAAUUGAUUUGGUGACCUUGAUAAGAAGAAACUCAGUGGAAACACAGACCCAUGCUUUCAAGUGGAAGUGUUCCUUCACUUUGUCAUUGUUGUAGAGAAGCUGAACGAGUGUGGUCUUGCCGGUGCCGCCCAUGCCAACUAUGCAGAUCACAUCUAUGUCUUCCUUGCCUCUUGCGUUAUCAGAAAGCAAGCAGUUCACCAUGUCCUCCUUAAUUUCAUCCCUGCCGUACACAAAGGACUCAUCCACCAAAGAAGUGGAUGGUAAUCUUGGUGGCAGUUUCUCGCCCCCACCUUCUUUCAGGCCAAGCCCAACUUUUUCUUGAGCAAUAGCCUCAAGUUUAGCGAUCAUCUCCUUCACUCUGGACUCCAUGCUUUGAGUAGCAAAUGGCGCCUUAACACAAUCAGAGAACUUGUUCCACACCUGAUGAAUUCCACCGGUUUGGGAGUCCGUAGCUUCGAUCUUGCAGCGCAAAGCAUCGGUAGCGAUCCCGUCCAACAGGUCCUCCGCACCAUACACAAUAUCCUUAGCCUGUACCAGCCACUCUUUGACUGGGUCGUUUGAAAAUUGCUUCACCUCUGCAUCAUUGAGCACAUUGAGAACAACCAAGAAUUUCCUCCUCAAGUCGUUAAGGAGUUCUUUGCUGAGAUUCCGUCGCCGAAUGAAGUUUAUGAGCUCUGGAGAAGCCAACCUCUCGAAUAGGACUUGAAGCGAAGCCGAGAGCAGUGCGUCCGCCAUAUCUGUCGACUGUUGCUUUGCAAUUGGAAUUCAGAUGAUUGGUUUGUAUUAGCGCGAUACCACCAAACUUCACGAGACUGGUUUUGGAUUACCAAAUGCAGAAGGCUUGAAGGAAUGCUUGAGUGGUGAGAAAAAGAAAGAAAACAAAAAAAAGUUGAUGCCAAACUUCGUUGUGUAGGAACAAAGCAGAUUCGUUACGCAGGCUUCAAUUUUUCUCUUCUUUCCUCUUUUUAUUAUUAUUAUUUUUAAUUAUUUUCUUUUUCUUCUCCUUCUAUUAUUAUUAGUGCGUAUAUAUACCCAAAUAAUUGUUUUAACAUUAUCAUUCCUAAUAUUAUGAAUAUUAAUAUCCAUAUUAUUAUUUUAAUAAUUAUAGUAGUAUUAUAAUUUUAUAAUUAUAAUGGUUAGUUUUUUUCUCAUAAUUAUUAUUAUUAGAAUAUAUUACUAUUACUAAAUUUUUUAAUAUUAUGGUUAUUAUUAUUAAAUAAUGAUAUUAUUAUUUGAUUCAUUAAUUUAUUGCACAUAAUUAUAUAUAUAUAAUUAACUAAUAUUAUGAUUUAUCAUUUAAUAAUUGUAUAGGUUAAUUAUGAUUUUUUUUUCUUUUUAAUUCUGAGGCUUGAAGGAAUCAUUGGUUGUGAUGUACCCCAUAAGGAAAGAAAAAGCAAAAGCAAAAGCCAAAAAGCAUAUAUAUCCUUUUUUUUUUCUUUUUAAUUUUAUUUAUUAAAAUUUUAUUCCUUAGAAUCAAAUGUAAAAUAAUUAAUUUUAUGUUCAAUAAUCAUGAAUAAAAAGCAUCAAAUUAUGAAAAUUAUUGUUUUCUAUAUUUUUAUAGUGAAGUUAUGUUUUACAUAUACAAAUUUUUAUGGAUACAUGAUUUCCUUAAUUGGAAUGCGAAAGAAAAUCUCGUUGAUAAUUGUUUUUCAUCUUAGAAAAAAUACACCCUUAUUUCGGUGAAAUGAUUAAAAAAAUGAUUUAAAGCACAAGAAUAAUUAAUAGAUUUAAAAUUUGAAAAUCAAUAAUAGAAAAACGGUGAAUGAUUCAAAUGAGCAUUUACUUUUCUUGGUAAUAUGAAGUGUUGAACUUUGGAUUUGUUAGCAUGUAUGGAUAUUUAAUAAAUUAGAAAAAGAAAAAAAAUCUUAGGGGAAAGACACAAUAACUAAUUAUAGAAUUUUUUUUUUACAAAAUAUAAUAACUUGUAUAUUAUUUAAUAUUUAACUAAAAAUUUAAAUUUAGUAAAAUCUACUUUUAAGAUUAGGAAAAAUCAUUACUUUAGUGAGAUUAUUGAUUCAUCUAUAAAUGAAUAAUUUAUUAAUUAAAUAAUAAAUUUAUUAUAUUUUUAUUGUGAUACUUGUACAUAAAAAUAAAAUAAAAAAUAAAAAGAAAGAAUAUAUCAUAGGUAGUGUAUACAUUACAAACAAAUUAAAGACGAGGUUAAAUAUUAAAAACAGAGUAAAUGACAAAACCACCUGUAGACCCCAUUUUGGGGCUCAUUUUUCUUGCAUUUUGUGCAACACAUUCUUACAAAGUGGAGGGCCCUCAAGAAUGUUCGUGGUUUGAAGAGGCAAUGGAAGGUUGACAUGUAUCAUAGAAUAUUCUGAGGAAAAGCUAUAGACUGAUAGAGGGGGGUUGGAGAGCAUUUUUUUUGGGGGACGUGUUAUGUAUUAGCUGGUGAGAGGAUGGCUUGAGGAGCAAGCUUGCUGGGGAGGUUACAGAGAGAAGAGGCAACCAGAGAAAGAAGGUAGCUGAGAGCGUAAGAAGAUAUGGUGGGUUGGAGAGCAUUUUUUUUAGGAGAGAUAGCUUAAGGAGGAAGGACUGAGGGGAAUUCUUGUGGCUGGUUGCUUGAGAGGAAAGGUAACUGAGAGAAAACAGAGGAGGAAGGGAAGUGGGAGACCAUGGUGAGCAGAGUUUGAAAACCAUGGGAAAGCAGCUUGAAGAGGACUGGCUCGAGAGAAGAGGGAGGGUAUUUUCUGGAGCAGAAAGAAUGAAGUAGAGUAACUUGAUACCCAACUAGCCUCGCAGGAAGAGAGCAUUUUCAGGUACUUUUGCUAGACCACGUAGUGAUUGCUAUUGAUUUUCUUUGGGUUGCUGUGAUUAUGUCUAAUAAAUCUGUUCCUGGUUUUUUAUGUGAAAUUUGUUUAAGAAUGAUACAGUUCCUUUUUAGCUUUCCUUUGGGUGUCUGAGUCAUAUCUUUGGAUCUUAUUUCCACCUGGUUUUUCCCACCCAUACACAAGCCCAUUGACUUCAAUAUGAGAUGGGGCUCGGGUAAGUGUUUUCUUGAGUUCAUUUGAUGCUCUGUUUUCCUGCUUGCCCCCUUGUUGUUUACUCUCUACUCUCUGUGGCCAUUUGUACUCCCAAGGAAAAGAUUUUUUCUAGCAUUGCCAUUGGUUUUCCUAUGGGCAUAGUUUCUGAGCUUGGGUAGCCGUUGUUUCAUUUGUUCAUAAGGUUGCUGGGUUAUUUUGCUAAAAAAUUUGAGACGGCCAUAUUAGGGUAUUAGUUUUAUCUCUUGACUGUAGGUGGUUCUGGAUACUUAAUUGGGUCUUACAAGGGGCAAGGUUGUCAGCCAAUCAUCAGAUAUGAGACGCUAGCACUUUGAGAGCAUGGGAUGGAUGUUCAGCUAAGAUUGUUAGCAGAAAAGAAGGGUGUUGUAGAAAAAUUGAAUUCACUUGAGGAGAAAGGGAAAUAUUCAAAAGCAGAAUCAAUUUAUGUACAGGUGCUUAUGAGGAUGGGCAACGUGUCAGCAUCGAUGUUAUGUCAUCCAUUUUCGAGGAGCAGUCUGCUGUCGAUAAGCAAAUGAGUGUCUAGACAAAAUACCAACAGGGUUUGAUUCAGUGGUUUGAACUGCCUCGCUGGGAGGUUGUGAGAACAUGAUGAAAACCCAGAUUCUCUUGCUUACUUCUAGGGAGCUACUCCACAAGUUCCUCUCCUAUGCCUGCAGACAUGCAACUUUGGCCACUCAUGGCCACAUUUUCUCUCUGUAUUGAACAUACGACUCUCUUCAUAGUUCAUGUUUUGUGCUCAACCCAGGACCAUUCUCCAAACACUACAUUUUGAUCGAUUUCUGGGUUUAAGGGUUGAUUGCAUGUCUCAAUGAUGAAAGAUGAUCCUCUUGACAAAUCAUGGUUUUGGCUUAAAUUUUCUCCAGAGAAUUUUCUCAUUUUCCAUUAAGAAAAUUAGAACAGAAUGAUCUGGACCGCUUGUGGUUCAGCUAUGGACUCGACUCAUGCGUCUCAUUCGUUUGAUGUGACGAUCAUUGGAGCCGGAAUAAUUGGGUUGAGCACUGCCCAGCAGUUCCUACUGCACUUUAACCUCUCUGUCAUCGUGGUUGAUAAGGAUGUCCCCUGCUCCGACUCUACCGGUGCCAUGGAUCAUAAUCGCGGUAUCAGUCACUGACUCGGAUGGUCCCGAGACGUAUCGGUCUGGUAUCGGGCGAUACGUAAAAUAAGCUAAUUAGAAAAUUCAAAAAAAAUAUAAAAAUAUUAUGUAAAUCAUCAUAAAAAUAUAUACAAUUAAAUAAGCUCAAAAAAUUAAUAAAAUAAAAUAGUCUCACAUUUAACAUUAUUUAAAUAGUUAUAAAAGUAUCUGCUCAAAGUUAUUUAUGAUAAUGCUAAUAAAAGAAAAUUAUUUUAUUUCAAAUAUAAUAACAUUUUUACUAACAAACAUACAAUACAAUAAUCAAUUCCAUGUUGAAUGACGAGGGGGUUCAAAAUCAUCAUCAUCAGUCCUAUGACGAGCAUACAAAUUGGGGUGGCAAUUCCUGUAGUGAGGAUAUGGUUGAAAGAGUUGUUCAUAACUUGAAUAUGUUGGGUGAGAUGAUUGGCUUGAUGAUCCAUAAUUAGGAAAAUAUGGUUUCGAAGGCUGUUCGGGAUCAACACCAGAUUGAUAGUAUCCAAAACCUCGAUAAGAAAUGCUACUACUACUAGAAGAUUGAUCAUAUCCAUAUGAGUCACUAGCUCGUGUUUCAGUAUUUGAAUAUCCCUCUGGAUGCAUAAUUGGAAAUCGAUUAAAAUCAUUUCUACUAAAAGCACUGGAAGAGCUAUCACGGUCUCUAAAGUUGUUAUAUGAUCUAUCAUCUACCCCUCUGAAAUACGACCUUAAUCCUAUACCCAAAUUUUGUAAGUGCUCGUCAAUAUGGUGAUAAUUUGAUCUAUGAUAAUCAUGCCCACUAGAAUAAUCAUCAUUGUUGGGAAAUGUAGUUAGUUUUUCCAAAUGCUUUCGUUGUUCCCAUAUCCCUAGUCGAUAUCCAUGAUCUGUAUCUUGUGUGGCAUAGUAAUUUUCACCUCCUUAUGCCCAUGACAUGUCGGGAUCUACUCGACUAAAAUAACCGCCCCCAGUGCUACCAUCUCCUCCAGUACUCUCACUAGUGCCACCACCCCGCCUACUGCCCCUAUUGUCACCAUCAUUACUACUAGAUUUUGAAGAAAUUGUUCUAGAAGCCUUACCUUUACAACGGGAAUCAACAUCUCUUUCUCUACCUUUUUCAUUAGUGAAAAGACCUUUAUCCAACCAAUCCAAAUUAUCAGAUGAUAAAAUAGGCUCCUCUCCUUCUCAUAUCCACUCAUUUAAUAUAUCAUCAUCAUUAAAGAUAUGAUUCAGAUCAAUUGGAUUGUAUAAAUCUUCAUUGCUUCGCUCUUGCAUCAAAUUCUUAACUCAAAGUCGCAUAUUGUAGUGCACAUAAACUAACUUAUGCAACUUUUUCAUUGCCAAACGGUUGCAUAACUUUGUGUGAAUCAAUGACCAUGUGCUCCAAUUUCUUUCACAACCUGAUGAAGAACAAGUUUGGCUUAAAAUUUUAACAGCAAUCUUUUGUAGAUGUGGACCUUCGUCGCCAUAGUUGUUCCACCAUUCAGCUAUAAUAAAGAAAAUGCAUACUUAUUAAUCACUAUGAUAUAUUUAACAAAAAAUGAUGAUAAUUUCUUAUUUGUAAUAGACGUAAAUGUAUUGAGUACCUAGAAGAGAUUGAUUUAUUGCUUUCUUUGUAAGUGCACUUCCAAAUUCUCCUUGGCCAUCAACAAAUAAUUUCACCUACAUCAUUAACAUUUUUUUUUUAUUAAUGCACAUUACAUAUACAAAAUGCAUUAUAUAAAGGUCACAAACUAUUAUUAUACCUUGUUAAUAACUUUUGCUUGUCUAUCCAAAUCUGGCUCUAAUCUCUUGAUAACCUCCUUGAAUCCAACUUUAAUUUUUGGAUGGUUGGAAAAAUGCUUUGAAUAAUGGAACAUUGGAUUUAAAAAAUAUGCUAUCGUAAGUUAAAUAAUGAUCAGUUUAUAAUAAUUUAUACUUGAAAAAAAAAAAAUAUGUAAGGAAUUUUUUUAUUACCUGUAGCAUGCAAAUGUCUAUGCAAUUGACCGUCCCACCUUCUAUCAAUGACUUCCCAAUACUUUUCCCAUUGCUUGACCGAUGCCUUGAUAGCCAAUUUAGCUCUAUCCAUUGCUUCAUAAAUGAUUGAUAGUAUGGGCUUUUUAUCUUGAUCAACCAAUUUCAAUACUUUGAAGAAAGGUUCCAUGAUGGUUUAAACUCCCCCUGCCUUCUUCCAAAAUCGAUCAGUUAAGAUAAGGUUGGAUACCUUAUUUCUUAGACUUUUUUUGCUCCUAUCUUUAUUGAAUUCACACCACUCAUUUGUUGUACACAUUCUCUUCAAAUCAGCCUCAUAACGUAUAAGACUCUCAAGAGAAAUGAGUUCGAUGGCAAAACGGGUUAUUCCUGGCCUUAACUGAUCUCUAUUCUUGGUGAACACUUUCAUCAAAUUCACUACUUUCAAGCUAUUAUAAAUAAAUCCUGUGAUCAUCUUAGCUUGAUUUAAUGUCUCAUUAAUCUGCUUCAUGCUUCCAAUAUCUUCAAGCAUUAAAUCAAUAUAGUGGGUUGCACAAGGAGACCAAAACAAAUGUUUCCGCUUCUCCAUCAACAACAUACUGGCUGCUUUAAAACUUGCCUCAUUAUCAGUGACUACUUGAACAACAUUUUUCUCCCCAACCUCCUCUACAACUUUAUCCAUAAGGGAAAAGAUGUAGUCUGCUGUCUUAAGUAUGUUGGUAGUGUCAACUGAAGAAUGAUAUAUCAUACUUCUAUCACAAUAAAUCAUGAAAUUGAUGAUAGGCUUUCUAGUCCUAGAACUCCAACCAUCACACAUGAUUGUGCACCCAUAUAUAGGCCAUUUAGCCUUCAAUGUUGUUAUGUAUACCUCAAGCUCUUGCACCUCCUCUUCCAAAUCUGUAUUUCCAAUUUGGUAUCCCGUGGGACCCUUGAUGUCUGAACCUACUUCUGCUAUGGUAUCAAUAAUUGAUUGAUAGUAAGGCCCACUGUCAGCUGCAUUAAAAGGUAUUGCAUUAAAGAGAAAGAAUUUAGAAAUAGCUUUACCCACUUUCUUCACGCCUUCAGUAGAAAACAAGCUUUUUAUUGAUUUAUGCUUUGAUGGGAACAUGUAGGGAUCAAUUCCUUUUAGAGGUAUGCUAGCUCCUUCUCUUACACUGAAGCUACGUGUCAGUCCGCGCUUAAUCCUAGCAUUAGAAGGUUGUGAGGAACUACCACCCUUUUGAUGCUCUUGUCCACCUUCUUCAAAAAUUCCACGACUUUCUUUCAUUGCUUGCUUCAUUUGUCUUCUUUCAAAAUCAGCCAUAGCAACUUCCUCAAUUUCAUCAUCAAAAUCACCUUCAUCAAUUUCAUAGAAAUUUUUUCUAUUUAAGGAAUUCAAAAGUUGUUUUUUUUUUCUUAACUGUGUUUUUUCUUUUGAAGUGUUAGACAUAUGUUGUCUAACACUAUGUGACACUUCUAUCGGUACACGUGGACAUCCUUCCACUUGUCCAGAUAUAUGUACGAUGUGUUGCUUUAAUCUUGUUAUACUGCCAUGUAUAACUUUCCCACAAUAUUUACACUUUGUGAUUCUUCUACUACCACCAACAGGUUCUGCAUGCUCCCAACCAAUAUCAUGUUUUGAAGCCAUUUUGAAAUUUUAACCUAAUCAUGUAUAAAAGGAAAACAAUUUACUUUUGAAAUUAAAUAUAUAUAAACACAUUUAUAUAAGAAUUAUAAUAUUCAAUUUUCCACUCACUUAUAUGUUUCAUAUUAUUACCAUAUAAAAAUAAAUUGUACUAAAAAAGCAAUAAACACGAUCUCACCUAAGUUCAUCAUCUUUUGUUUUCUACUUAUUUAUAUGUUUUUUUUAUUAAAAUAAAUAAUAGUUAAAUAAAUGAAUAUUUUUAUAAAAAAAAUUCUUUUAAAAAAGUUUGUUUUGAUAAUUAUUGAUUUCCUAUUGUAAUUUAAUUGUAGAAUAUUAUAAAAAAAAAUCUACAUGAUAUAAUGAAGUAAGAUUGAUUCAAAUAUAAAUGUAAUUGACCAUGUAAAUGCAUAUCCUUCAUUUUGUAUUAUUAAAUCAUUUAUGAUUAUUUGAAAAAAAAAUUCAAUAAUUAUUAAUUUUCUAUAGUAAUUCAAUUUUGCAAUAUAGUAUUAAUGUAAUUGAGUAAUAGAGAAAUUUUUUGUCACUAAUAUAAUGUAAAUUUAUUUAUACUAAUAGAAAAUUGAGUGAUAAUUUUAAAGUAUUCAAUACAAUUUCUUGUGCAUUAUAUUUUGUACCAUUAUACAAAAUUUUAUAUAAUCCUUAUACUUGAAGAGUAACUCAAUUUAUUAAAACCUAAUUAGUUAAAAAUGAUGAAAAUAAUCCUUAUAUUUGAAGAGUAAUUCAUUUUUAUAUAUAUAAAUACCCUUGAUUAUUUUAAGUAUUUACAUGAAUGCUUUAAAAGAAAUAAUUAUUUUUAUAAGGAAAAAAUGAGAGUGUUUUUUUAAAAUGAUGCCAAAAAAAUAAUGAAGGGUUAGAUUUACAAAAUUGGGUUUUCAAUAACCUUUUUAAUUAAAUAAGUCAUUUACUAAUGCUAUAUUUGGUUUAUGAAUAUUAGAGGAAAAAAAAAGAAAACUAAACAAAUUUAAGGUUAAUAAAUUAUUUUUUUAUGGCUCUUUUAAUUCAUUUUAUUUAUUUAUUUUUCUAUAUAAAUAUUAUAUAAUUUAAAUAUAUAUAAAUGUUUAGCUAAUUUUUAAUUGUAGUUGAUUUUCUUUUAUAUUUUUUAUGAUAAAAAUAGUGAAAAAAAAUAAAUUAAUUUUCUUAAUAAUUUUUUGGGAAUCAAAUAUAACCUAAACGAAGGUUUAUUAUCUAUUACAAAAGAGUACUUAUAAUUUUUUACUUAUAUAUGAUAUUAUAAUAAAAUCAUAGGUUUAUUUUAUUUUAUUUUUAUAAAAAAAAAAAUACUAUUUUAGUAUAUGUUAGAAACAUAAAAAUAUUAACAUCUUCAUCAUUUUUUGGGUUAAAAAUUAAUAAUAAAUAUUUAAAGUAAUAAUUUUUCAUAAUAUUUUAUUUAAAUUGAAUAAUUAAUAAAGUUUAACUUUUUAAAAAUGAGUCAAAAUUUUCAUUCCAUGUACUCAUUUAGAAUUGAAUUAUGAACAUAAUAUUAUAAAAUGUUUUGAUUUUAUAUGUAAUUAAUUAGAUUGGUUUUUUGAAUUCAAAUUAUUUUUAAAAAUAAAAAAAUUCAUGAAAUAAUUUAAAAUUAUUAAUUAUGUCUUAUUUAGUUUAUAAGACAUAUAGCAACAAUAUUUGAAAAGGAAUAACAGAUUAUAUAUAACAACAAUAUAUAUUAAACCAUAUACAGAGAGUAUAUAUAUUAAUUUGAAAAGGAAUAACAGAUUAUAUAUAGCAACAAUAUUAAACAAUAUUUGAAAAUGAAUUCCUUCAUUAAUUUAUUACCCGCCAGUUUGAAAGUUGAAACCCUUACCUUUUCUGACUCUGUCUUCUUCUUCUUCCCCAGCACAGCAACACCACAAAGAUGCAACCCUCUGUCUUCUUCCCCAACACCACGAAGACGCAGCCUUGCUAUCUUCUUCCCCAACACACCACGAAGACCACGAUUUGCAAUCUCUCAGACUAUCGGACCACGACCUGCUACCUUCCCACCAUGCACCGCACCAAAGACGAAGAUUCUACACUUCGACAAUGGUGAAUUUAGGGUUAGGUAAGUUAUUCUUCAACUGAGGCUCUUUUUAAAGGCUUUUGAAAGGGUCAUGGGUUUGUUUCAAAUUUUCACGGGUUUGUUUAAAAUUUUCAUAGGUUUUCUUUUGUAGAGGAAUCUCUGAUUUCUCUGAAAAAUCAAGACUUAUUGUGAUGGGGCUUUUUUGCAAAGAAUUUGUUGAAUUUUUUUCUCCGAGUUGACCGAGUUAACUCAGAAUAUCGGUCGACUCAUCCGAGUCCAACCGAUUCAGGCUGAGUCUAGGUAUCUAGUAUCGGACUCGUCGUGGUCAACUUCGAGAUACAAUUCGACCAAGUCGUACGUGACUAGGCUAAUUUUUUGAACCCUGACCGAUGCAAGGCAUGGCUACUUAUGGAUGGUACAUAAAACACCUGGGAGUGAUAUAGGGAAUUGUCAACAAGAAGUCACAAACUGUGGGAGCUAUUGGCUGAGAGCAUACAGGAGCAAGGCAUGAAUCCUUUGGAAAUUGUGGGCACCCAAUGCCAAUUGAGUAUCAUGCCUGCUGCAACUAUAGUUGCUUCCCUGGUUAUUGUAGUUUCCCGUCUUACCAUCAUAUGGCACCACCAAUGCCAUUUCAUUGGCAUGGGUGCCUUCCCAUGUACUCCGAAGCCUCCAAUGCUCUUAUCUCCACUGUCAAACCUACUUCAUAUCACCACCCUUCCCCCGAACCCCUCAUACCCAUUCCUCUCGCUACCCAUAGUUCCCCCUCACGCCCUUUCUCCUAACCCAUCAUACUUUCACCUAGAUCCUCAUUUUUCCUUCACCCCAUGCAUGCUCUUCAGUUAAUGACCAUCAAUCAAUCAAAAUGACCUCCAAGGUGACCUCACCCAUUCACGUACCCUCAUUCUACAUGAUCAAUAAUAAAGGCGGUGUUUCACCUCGGCAUCCGUAUUGUAGCAUCAAUAAUGUCUGAAUUCUUUAGCUCACUAUUCGCGCACACCGGCAAAUAUGCUGCAUUUCGAAACUUGAAGAUGAAUUGUUAGUUAAGAUGAGCAUGCUUCUUGCGUCUGAGAAGGAAACUGGUCUAUUUUCUGACACCGUAACCGGUCACUUGGGCGUCAUCAGUCAAGCAAUGAUCAGCUACAUCACCCACCUGGGCAUUCCCGAUCUCUCUUAUGGAAUGUAUCUCACUCAUGGUCUACAGCUAAGUAGCUCCAAUCAAUAGCAAACUACUUGGUCCCACCUCGUAGAAAUGACAGGGGCCUCCAGAUUCAUAGUUCAGUCUUCCGACAUUUCUCAUGAGGUGUUUCAUUUUAUCUUGCUUCAAGAAAGGAUGAUGGAAGAAUCAAAGAAGCGAGUUGUUGAAGGAGAUCAAUCAGAUGGAAAUGGCAGCAAGGGCAGUAGGUUCGUAACCUUUGACAGUUCUGAUAUCGUGAAGAGCGUUUUGGCCAAUGGAAGUCCACAUUAUGUUUAUGGGGCUAGUGUUCUUGUGAAACCUUACAGAGAAAAGCCAAGAAACCUCAGAUUGUCAUGACCAGAGCAGGCAGCACCAGUGGAUUGCAUUAUGACAUGAAAAUCUGUGCACAAGCUUCAAAUCUGCUUACGUUUGCUGAAGGAUUUGGAACCCGGUUGAAAGGUAGUUGUUCCAACAUGUGAACUUCAAGGCGAAGUAAGACGCAUGCAUGGCCACCCUAGUAGCCACAUGGCUUUCUUUCACUCCAUCUUUGCUUUUUAAAAAUAAUUCCCUACACUCCCAUUCUUUAAAUGAUUUUCCAGAUUCUAGGUUUUUUUUUUUUAAUAAUCUCAACACUAUAAUUUUUCAUCCUCUGAAUUUUUUUAAAUUCCAAAAAAUCCUUCCAUUUUUAAUAAGAUUUGCUGCCAUUUUCUUCGACAAGCAAUUUUCACAUUUUCUUGAUUUUUUUAAAAUGUUUUAAAAUAAACAUAAAUCUAAUUUUGUAAUUCCAAGUGAUGGAAUUUACAGAAUUGGUUCAUGCAGAAAUAAAUCAGGUUUGGUGGGGCCCAACAUGCAUGAUUUUUCUUAUUGAUUGAUUGAUUGAUUGUCAUGCUUGAUUGAUUCGCUUUGUGAUGUACAUGCGAAUGUUCUAUGUUUGUUCAUUAACCUUUGUCCUUCAUGAAGCAGUCAACUCAUUGCUCAAGUACAUUCCUUGUUUCUCUUGUUCAUUUGAUUAUUUUUAGAUCGAUGUUCUUCAGAUAUCCAUGUUUAAUUAAUCAAUUAUCACACGUAUUUCAUCUUAUUUAGUAGAGACCCAUUUUAGGGGCUUAGAGGGGUGCUACGGUCUGUACCAUACCUUCGCAAUAAGUAACCUGACCCCAGAGUCCAGAUUUAGUUUUUUCACAUACCACUUUUUCCAAAUAAGGAGUCACACUUAGGGUUUUCUUUCUUAUUUUAUUUUCCUUUUAAAAAUAAAACAAAAAUAAAUGGCGACUCCAAGUCAUUUUCUAAAAAAAAAAUCAUUUUUAAAUAAAAAUCUAGUUGCACCAUUGAGUGGAAGCACAUGAACAAAAAUGCAGGGUCCACACCACCACAUGGCAACACAGGAACAAAUUCAUAAACAACCAACAACCAUGAACCAACAGUAAGUUAUCAUUUUUUGAAUAGAGAAGAACUACUAAAAUGUGCAGGAAAUAUUUUAAAAAGGAAAAAUCCAUUAACCUUCGUUAAGACUUGAGCUCUAUAAUUUUCUUUUUAAAAAGGAAAAAAUCCAUGAAUAAAAGUUGUAACAUUAUGAAGGUUUUUUUUUCAUAAUAAAAUUAUUUUUCGGUGAUAAUUUUUUAAAGUGUGCAAAAAGAUACAAAACUUUAAUGUUAUGUUUGGUAUUUGAAAAUUUUGAGAGAAAAUGUUGGGAAAAAAAAUAGAAAGUAAAAUUUGAAGGAAAUCAAAGCCCCACUCAAAUGGGCUUGAACCCCAUGGGCGCACAAGACUCUCCCAUACCUCUUCACAAGCACAUUAAGCCAUAGAAAGUGGACUAAUUAAUAAACCUACUAAAGGUGUUUCUUUUUCCUAUGUGGGACAAGCAAAAAAAACAUUUUUCACAUUUAAACUCUUCCUACAUAUAUCACCCUGGAAGGAUCUAGAUCAAAGGGAUAAGUCCCUAAAGCUUGAUCAAGUUUAUGAUGUUCAAGAAUUGAUGAGCAUGAUAUAUAUCAACAUGAUAUUGCAGAAGACAAUAGAGCUUCUGAAAUAUUUCAGGUUCAAUAGUAGGAAAUCUUUUCAGCUGUCACUUACUGUAAUCCUAUGCUCUCAAUAUUCAAUUGUUGAACAAGAAAGAGGCAUCUUGAAAAAAAAAAUUUGCUUUCACACUACUCAAUUACGGGAGAAUGUUCAAUUAUGGAAGAAAAUAAUAUUCACUGGACUUUUUCAACUCACUCAACAUGCAGAGAAAACCAGUUGGGUGACCAAUUAUUCACAUGAUAACUUACAUACAUAGUCUCUCUACGUCUACUUGUUACUCAUCAGCCAAGCUUAUAGUAAUAUAAGCUUGGAUUCAUCUCUCUAUACCACUGAUGCCAACUCUACAUGGACUUCGCCUUCUGGUGAUUUUGCAUUUGGAUUCCGACCCUCUCCAAGUGAAAAGGAUCUAUUCCUUCUUGCUAUCUGGACUGCAAAUGGAAGUUAACCGGUGCCAAGAGGAUCAAAAGUUGAGCUUACCACCAAUGGACAGCUUGUUCUCCUUGGAGGCCAAGAGAUAUGGAAGACAAAGACUGGUAAUAUGAGCAGCGAAGCAGUGCAUGGUGCCAUGCUUGGAGAUGGAAAUUGAAUACCAGUAUAUGGAGAGCUUCAACCACCCAACUAAUACCAUAUUGCCAACCCAGGGAUUGGGUGUUGGAACCUACUGUGCAGUUGCUAUUUUUGAGGACCUGAGGUUUGUAAAUGGAACUGGAAGCUGUUGGAGGAUAAGACUACCUCUUUCAAAUGGGAGGUUGGAUCAAACUGCUGUUGCCAGAAGUGCCCUAAUCAAGAUAUUGAAGUCCAGUGAACUAACUUCAGGCAGAGGCAAGCAAAAUAAAGCAAUUCUAAUCCUCUAAGUCCUGGGCCCCUCUGUUCUUCUUCACUUCUUCGUUGCAAUUCUCUAGUUUUCUACUGCUUGAACCUCAAAAAUCUGCAGCUUUAUCACAGAAUCGUGAGUACAAGCGAUGGUAGAAGCCUUUGGCACUGUCUAUAAAGGGAUAUUACCAUCAGGUUCUGGAAAUUCUGUUGCUGAAAGAAGUUGGAGAAGGUGGUGAGAGAAGGUGAGAAAGAAUUCAAAGCAGAAGUGAAUGUGAUAGGCCAAACUCACCAUAAGAAUCUACGACACUUGCUGGGUUACUGCUGUGAGGGUGAACACUGACUUCUGGUGUAUGAGUUUAUGCACAAUUGCUCUUUAUCAAGCUUCCUUUUUGGAGGUGCCCGAUGACUUGUGUACCUACAUGAAGAAUGCAGUAAACAACUAGACUUGAACACUUCAGGCAUCAGAGGGACUGUGGGGGUAUAUUCAGACCACUCGGGCAGCCUCUAUCUCUUAUAAUAACACAUUAUGAAGCAUCAGCUCAACGCCAGUGUUCAAUCUGCAAAGCAAGGGAUUCAUCAAUGUUUCCUUCAAACUAAAUAAUAAGGAACAGAAAUGGAUCAUUCUGCAUUUUCAGUUGUGUUUGUUAUAGCAUUUAUACAAGAACUUUUGGGGUUUCUAUGUAUGACUUCAUUCCUAUUUUGUCAGUGAAUGUGGUGACGGUGUUACAUUAUAAAUCAUAGUGAAACGGUGGAAUUUGAUCAUUUAGCCAACUUCAUCCAAAACCGUUUGACAUUUGAGGGGAUCAUUAACUUUGCCAUGGGCCAAGCAGCAAUUUCUUAAGAAGCUGGGUAACAAAGAGUACCAUAAUUUGGACUAGUUUCAAUGGAAACUCCCCUGUUUUUGUGCAUGAUAUCUUCAGCUUCAGCUUUUCCUUUGCUUUUGACUAGCCUGAAACUGAUCCAAAUCUCUUCAAUCGAUUAAACGUAUAAAUGAAUCCUAUUCAUUGUUUGAAGUAACAACCAAAUUCUGGAAGACUGGGAAAGUAUGACACUGGAGAGAAAACAAAAUGACAAGACCAUAAAUUCUGGAAGAGGGCUUUGCUUUCUAACCAUUACCAUAAUUUUACAGCUCAACCCGGAUGAAUAAAUUAUAUUUCAGAAUGUUCAGAAGAUAAUUCUAAAGAGAUGGACCUUCUACUCACAGUUUCUUGUUCUUCUUGAACAGAGCAAUGAACAUCAAUAGUUCAGCACCCAGGAAUCUCCCCUUCCUCCAAUUCCUUCACUGGAAAAACUCUACCAAAAUCAGAACAAUCUAUCCUCUUCCCUGAAGGAAGAGUCACCUUCCCAAUCAAGAAAGCCUUGCUCAAAAUCAAAAUACAUCAAGAGCUGCUAUUUUCUUCUAUUUCCUCUUCCUUGAAUAGAAUACCUUUGGACUUAGGCGAUCAAUGGUAACAGUCUAACACACUCCUUAAGCUCUGAUUGAGGUUGACUGGGAUUGGCAUCUUUAAUGACUUUGAAAUCAUAGCUCUGUGAAGGGAGACAAACAUGAAUCACAGGAUCAUCAACAAGUCAACAACUAUCAAUCAGCAAGGAAAAGGAAAUACCUUUGGAUAUUUACCAAUGAAAAAUUUGAGAGUCCAGCUGCUCCGCACAGAAAGGCUUGAGCUUAUUCCAUGGCCCAGGCUUUAGACGGUUCUUAAUUACAGAUAAGAGGGCUGAAUUUUCUUUUAUUCUGCAAUAAGAGUAGAAGCAUCAAUGAAACACUAAAAGUAUAUAUGUAGAAGCCCUUCUAAAUCACCUAAGAGACCCCACAAGCAGAUUUGAAGAGUACAUCAAUGGAAAGUUCCUGAAUCCAUUGUCUAGCUAAUUAUCUUUCAAUUUCUAAGGCUUGAUUUUCCAUUUGUAGUAGAAAAUUUUUCUUAUUACAAUGCCACAAAAUUGGUUGAUCUAAUUAAAACAAAAACGAGGUUCUUGACAGAAAAUGAUUAGGAAGGCAUGCAUGUAACAAAUACAAAUGAUAUAUGAUAUAAGAUUUUCACGGAUUAAACAAAAAUACAUGGCAAAAUAGAAGCAGGAGGAUAAGGUCACAGACAGGACAAUAUUAAAAGAAGCAACUAUUUUUCUGACCUGAAAAUCGAGGCAUUCAGAACAAUAUACAUUUGUAAGUAGUCCAUGGAAACCAAGGAACAUAUGCAGAUGUUGUAUUCUAUUGCAUAAGGCAAACACUCAAUACUCAGUAGCAUAACCAAGGCCAGAAAGCCAUAUAUCCCUUUUUGUUUUGCUUUUUUACCUAUUCUCAUCUCUUAUGACCAGAAGUGCCAAAGAUGUUAUAACCUCACCAAAUUAGUAAGAAACCAGCCCAUUCAGCAGGUGGAGGAGCCAGCUUGCCCUCAAUCUUCUUUGAGUCACCAAACAGGUGGACAUUAUUGCCUCCAACAGGGGGUUUGGAAAUAUUAGAGCUGGCAGCAGGGGUGGCUGUAAAACUCUCUGUUCCAAAAACCCCAAGUUUCAGGGCCAGAAGUUGCUUCUGUGGCUGGUUUGUUGUGAUGGCCAUUUCUGGUCCUAACAGACUUGCUAUUGUUUUCUGGGUACCUCAGAGAAAGCUUGCCAUGGAUUAGAGCCUGGGCCAGGGGGACUGUUAACCUUGCCAUGGGCGAAGCAGCAAUUUCUUAAGAAGCUGGGUGACAAAGAGUACCAUAAUUUGGACUAGUUUCAAUGGAAAUUCCUCUGUUCAUGAUAUCUUCAGCUUCAGCUUUUCCUUUUGCUUUUGGCAUGGCUGAAACUGAUCCUGGAAUCAAAAAUCACAGACACAAAUAAAUAUUUAACAGAAAAGGAUCCAAAUCUCUUCAAUUGAUUAAUGUAUAAAUGAAUUAAUAAAAAAAAUUUAGAGACAAUUGAAGGGAGAUGAACCUUAUGCCUCUGAGUUUCUUAUUCAUAUUGAACAGAGUAAUGAGCAUCAAUUGUUCAGCACCCAGGAAUCUCCCUUCCUCCACAGCAAACACACCCCACACCCUCCCAAUAUCUGAACAAUCUAUCCUUUCUUCAGAUUCCACUUCCUUGGAAAAGUCAAAACAAGAAGACAACAUCAUCAAAAUUGAGACAGAAAUAAGUGCAUCAACUAUCUCAAAAAGAGAUGUAUGCCUAUUGCUCACCUUCUGAAGAGGUCCACUUGGUUAGCACACACAAUAGACCAAUUUUCCUUUUUUUACAUGGACUCCCAAUCAGUUCAAACAUCUAAAAAAUUUGACUAAUUCAGUAUCAUAAAAUGCUUCACAUAAAUUCUAAAUGAUCUCAUAUCUAAAAAUUCAUUGGCCUAAAAUUAUUGUUGUUUACCUUACAUGUUUUCCAUAGUCAUUGUUGAACUUUGUUUGUCAUAAGAAAUCUUCUAUGCCCAUCCUAUUUACUUAUUACAAAACAUUGAAAGGGAAAAAAAAAAACACCGAAAAUGAUGAUUAGCUUUGUCUGAUAAGAAAGGAAAGAGUAAAAAAUAAAAAUAAAAUUUGAAUUGAAUAACUUUUUAAAAUUCUUAAUUGUAAAACUAUUUUGGUUCUCAAAAAAUGAAAGGAAAAAGUUGUAAAUUUUUUCUCUUGUUUGAUUGUUUAGGGAAAAAUUGAUGGAAAAACCUGAAUCUAUGAGGAAUUUAUUUAACACUUUUGAGGAAUCAAAAAUGUUUUAGAUGUUAUCAAAUCCAUAAUUUAAAAUUAUUUAAUAUUUACUUCCAUGUAAAUGAGUUUGAUCAAACAAAUGAAAUUGUGAAUAAAAUCAUUUUAAAAAGAAUUAAAUAAAAUAUUGAAUCAUAAUAUGCAAUUAUAAAUCUUGUAAUUUGGCAUAUUGAAGCAAAAAAAAAAAAAAAACAAAGCAAUUUAAAUUACUUACUAAUAAAGCAGCUAACUAGAAUUUGUACUUGAGUUUGCUCUAUGCCCUGUAUAUAAGAAAUAAACAGAGAAUAUGAAAAAAAUAAAAAUAAAUAAAAUCCAUGUUUUUAAUUUUUUUUUUAUAGUUAUAAAUGGUUCAUUUGGUAAACAGAGCAUGAAAAUGUGAGUACCAUUAGAAUAAGACAAUCCUCCUCUGCUUCUCUUCAAUAUUUGUUUCAGGUUUGAAGCUUCAAGAAAAAGAAAAUCUUAAAUCAAAUCUUAAAUCAAAUAAACAGGACUAGCAAAUGAAUUGGAACAUAAAUAUUUUUCUAAAGAAAAGAAGUUCAUGCACAAAAGAAUUACCUGACUGUAUAUUGGCGGAGUGGCACUUUGAUUAAUAUAGCACACCAUUGAUCACUAUUUUUGGAACGUGAGCUAUAUAACGCCAUUCUUUCCCUUUCUCAAAUUGACAUCGUCUUUCCAGUAAAGGACACCCGUAGAGACACAGAAAAGAGAGGGAGUCUGGAAGUCUCUCUUUUGUCAAGUAUUUGAGCUUACAGCAGUGUAUGAUCUCCAAUGUUUUAAGAGAGAUGAGGUGUUGAAGACCCUAUUUUGUCAAUGAUUGGAGCAUUGGGCAGUCCUUGAUUUCGAUAUGUUUGAGAGAGAUGAGGUGUUGAAGACCCGAGGAGUCUUGCAGUCUCUGUUUUGUCAAGUAUUGGAGCUUAGGGCAAUUGUCGAUAUGCAAUGUUUCAAGAGAGGUGAGAUGUUGAAGACCCACUUCUGUCAAGGAUUGGAGGUUUGGGCAUCCAUCAAUUUGUAAUUCUGUGAGAGAGAUAAGGUGUUGAAGAACUGAUCCUGUCGAGAACUGGAGCUCUGGGCAGUUUAUGAUCUCUAAUUUUAGAAGAGAGGUGAGUUGUUGAAGUCCCCCGCUGUCGAGAGACUUGAGAUUGGGAAGCUCUACAAUUUCAAGAGAAGUUAGAGAAGAGGGCAGCAGACACUCCUUGGGAAAUAAUUCAAUGCCUUCACAUCCACCUUCCAUUCUUAAACGUGUAAGAGAGGUCAACCUUUGCAAACCCCAGUCCACCUGAGGCGUGACUUUGUUACACCUUCGAAAUUGAAGUUCACAUAGGUUGGAAGGCAAACCCUCUCUCUGAAACAACAAUUCUGGACAAUCCCAUAAAUGCAGCUCCUGUAUAGAUGAGUGCGUGUGCGCCAACGACCUGAGCUUGGAGGAACUCGAGAUCCAACAACACUUCAAGUUAAGUGCAAGCAAUUCGAUAGAUUCAAGAUUAGGGCAAUUCAGUAGAUGCAAGAAACAUAAAGAUGUGGGAUCUCCAUUUGAAAUAAAAAUGGAGAGCUUCUCAAGCCCCUUAAGACCAUGGAUUGUGAAAUAAGUCAACUUGGGGAAGAUGCUUAAUGAGAAGGAUAACGAGAGAGAAUCAUCGAUAACACCACCAUUGAUGCUUAGGCUUUCAAGGACUGGAAGAUGGCAUCUGAACAACUCAGGUAGGAGAAACUCUAAUUCCAAACACUCAGAGAUUGAUAGUAAUUUCAAUGUAGUGGGUAAACCAACCUUGUGCAGGGAUCUGGAAAAACUACAAUCAUAGAUUUCCAAAUCAUGUAUGUUGGUUUGCAAGAUUUCCUCCUCUAAUAGAGAUUCCACAUGAUCACAUUUUCUGAUUGAGAGCUGGUGUGGUGCCAUUGGAAGUUGCUUCCACUGAGACACGUCUAAAAUUUCAAUUUCUGAAGUUUGAAGAGCUGUGAAGUCACAAGCUGGCAUUUGCAACUGCAAUUCACCAAAAUCCACCAUCCUCAAUUCACGAAUAGCAGGAACUGUGAGCGAAGCCAUAAGCAGUUGCGGACAUUCAUGAAUUUGAAGUUUCACCAGUGAAAGAAGUCGUUCUGGUAAUUUUCCAGUGAGUUUGGGAUAGUGUCGUAUAGAAAGCUCCCGGAGAUGAGGGAAUUCUCCACAACAUAACCAUUUCUCCCAGUUCGGCAUGUCCCCAAAUGAUAGUGUUUCUAGGGAUUGAAAGGAAGCAUUCCCAUAAAACUCACCACCCACACACUCUACUGCAUUCAUUCCUGAGAUUUGUAGAUAUUUAAGAUGGGUUAGCUGCUCAAGUGGUGGCCAUGUUGAGCAAUUGCCACAACCCCGAAGCUCAAGGGACACGAGUUUCAAGAUUGAAGGAUCUCCAAGCCAAUUUGGAAAUCUUACACCAGGAUAGUUUUUGAUGGAGAGUUGUUUUAAAUUUGGAUGAGGUUGUAACUGGUUGAGUAUAUCAUCAGUUGUAGCAACAUAUUGUGUAAUACCACCAUCUAUAGCCCCUUCCGUUUCCCAAUUCAAGAUUAACUCAUCAAGAUAACUCUUAUCCUUCAUAUUAGCUUGUAAUGCAUCGUUAACACUCACCACAUUCUUCACGUUUGAAAUAUAAAGUGUUUCUCGAAUCUCUAAAAGAUCCCUCAAUUCUCCAAUUCUUAAUCCACUCUUUUGGCCCACAAUAAAAUAAGGCAAUUUUUGUAAACAUUUUAAUCGACUAAUGCCAUGACUUGACAUUUCUUUUAAUGAAUAACACUCAGAAAUAUCAAGAUAACGCAAAUUAAUCAAUUUCCCCAUCCUUGAAGGCAAUUCAAUAAGUUCUGAACAUCCUCUAAAGAUCAACGUUUGUAAAUUGUACAAACAACAUAUUGAUUCAGGUAACUUUUCAAUCCAUGUGUAAGAUAGAUCUAAAUAGUGCAAAUGUUUCAAAUUGCCUAUCAAAUCUGGCAAAUUAGUUAUCUUGUAUUCUUGUAAUGACAACACACGUAAACACCUCAUUUUUUGUAUAUCUUUGAAAACUCUUUUACUCAAUAUAUACCAUGACUCGUAAAAUGAUUGUUUCACAUCUAAUAAUGUCCGAAGAGAUUUAGCUUUAGUAAAAGCCUCAAGCUUGUUAAAUGUAAUAAACCUGUCAAAAUCACUGUGAAAGUAUAAAAAGUGGCGAGUCUUCUCAGAUACUUUUUGUACCUUAUUAUCUUCCACUCGGACACAAAAAUCUCCUCCAGACACAUGUUGAGCCAAUUCAUGGACUAGAUCAUGCAUUACGAAGCAAUAUGAUUUUUCUCCUCUAAUAGAUUUUUGAAAAAAUGAUUUGGCCAAAAGGUCAUUAAAAUAGGACUCACCUAUCUCUUCCAUUCUUCUUCCAUCGUCUUGUUGUGGAUGUAAAAGACCUUCUGCCAUCCAUAAUAAAACCAGCUCCCCUUUGUUGAAUUCGUGGUCCUGGGAAAAAAUUGAACAAUAUGCAAAACAAUGUUUCACAGGUAAAGAAAGAUGAUGGUAGCUCAAUCUCAAAGAAGGAAGAAUUCCAUCAUGACUCUGAAGAUGUCAUAUUUCACUAUUCAAAACGUCCUCCCAUUCCCUUUUUUCGACCUUCGAGUACAGCAGAUGCCCGAGUGAUUUAACAGCCAAAGGCAAUCCUUGGCACUUAUCCACAAUCUGUCUACCUAUGGGUUCAAGCUCAAGGCAUGCGUUAGAGUCUCUAUCUUGAAAUGCAAUCUUUUCAAAUAGGCUCCAACAAUGUUGAGGGCUUAAUUCUUCCAGAGGAUGAGUGCGGACUGCACGCAUAGUUUUUGCAACAGAUUCAUCACGACUGGUCACAACAAUCUUGCUUCCCUCUGCUGCACCCAGGAGCGGAGUUCGUAGUCUAUCCCAACUUUCCCAAUCAAAGGACUCCACAUCCCAGACGUCAUCGAGAACAAGCAGAAAUUUCUUGUUAACAAGGCUCUGUUUGAGUUGGCGUUGAAGCAAAUCCAGAUUGUCAUCGGAAGUAGGUCUAUCGCCGAUUUCCUCGAGAAUUGAUUUGGUGACCUUGAUAAGAAGAAACUCAGUGGAAACACAGACCCAUGCUUUCAAGUGGAAGUGUUCCUUCACUUUGUCAUUGUUGUAGAGAAGCUGAACAAGUGUGGUCUUGUAAUGACCGGGUAUUUUAUGCCACGUUAGCAAUUUUAGUUUGAAAAGUCUUAAUUUAUGUGAUGGUUGAAAAGUCAAAAAGAAAAGCGUUUGGAGAACACGUGUCAAUUUCGGAUUGGUGAAUUUCGUUUUAUUGCGUCGGUCAAUUAAACGAGUUGAAAUUUUAUGUCAUGUCAGCCUUAGGAUAGAAAAUUCUUAGGAUUUUAGAAAUUGGAAAUUUACGGGAACGAAAAACGAAAACGAAAAAUGAAAAAUAAAUAAAUUAAGAUUAAUUAGAAUUAAUUAAGAAAAAUAAAUUAAUUAAUUAAAGUAAAUUGAUGAAUAAUAAUAUUAAGAAAAUUAGUUUUUAUUUGGUGUUAAUAAAUAAAAUUGUGUGUUAAAAUGAAAAAAAAAAUGAAUUGGAAAUUAAAUAAAACAAUUAGAAUAAAGAAAAGAAAAGAAAAUAAAAGAAAAGAAAUAAUAACAAUAAUAAUGGAUUGGGCUUAGUUUUUGAGUUGGGCUUGGAGCAAGUGGGCUGGUGGUUUUUUUAAAAAAGCCAUGUGAAGUGGGCUGGGCUGUUAGUAAAAAGAAAAAGAAAAAAAAAAAAGGAAAAUGGGGAAAAUUGGAAAAGUGCAGCACGCNNNNNNNNNNNNNNNNNNNNNNNNNNNNNNNNNNNNNNNNNNNNNNNNNNNNNNNNNNNNNNNNNNNNNNNNNNNNNNNNNNNNNNNNNNNNNNNNNNNNNNNNNNNNNNNNNNNNNNNNNNNNNNNNNNNNNNNNNNNNNNNNNNNNNNNNNNNNNNNNNNNNNNNNNNNNNNNNNNNNNNNNNNNNNNNNNNNNNNNNNNNNNNNNNNNNNNNNNNNNNNNNNNNNNNNNNNNNNNNNNNNNNNNNNNNNNNNNNNNNNNNNNNNNNNNNNNNNNNNNNNNNNNNNNNNNNNNNNNNNNNNNNNNNNNNNNNNNNNNNNNNNNNNNNNNNNNNNNNNNNNNNNNNNNNNNNNNNNNNNNNNNNNNNNNNNNNNNNNNNNNNNNNNNNNNNNNNNNCUGUUGAAANNUUCCUGUGUGUGAAGUGUCUUUUCGUAUUCUUUGAACUUAGUAAUCCCUUUAACCCUUGGGUGUUAGGCACCCUACUGAGCAAUGUGGAAAUGCUCACCCCUUCCUUGUUACACCUUUUUAGAUGCAGAUAUCUCUCCUGAGGAUCCACAGGUGGGACAGGGAGGACUUCAGGAUGCUCCUGGAGAGGCCUAGUGGAGCGUGACAUUUAUUUGUUAUUGUGUUCCUUUUUGGAUUUUGGGGAUUUGUUUUAGCAAUUAUGACUCAUGGAUUUGCUAUGAAGCUUUAUUUGAUUAAGUUGUUAAUUGAGAACUUUUAUUUUGGACUAUAAUGAAUAUUUAUUUAAUCUUGUUGUUUUGAGUAGUUUUGGGAUAUUGUAAAUUAUGAGAAUUCUAGUGAGAUGUAUAAAAAAAAAAAAUCCAGAGUGUUUUGGUUGACUGCCAACAUGGAAUAGGAGGAACCCUUAGGGUCAAACCUUUGACCUGGGAUCACGGGUCAAAUUUUGGGUCGCCCGGAAUUUGGGUCGUGACAGCGUGGUAUCAGAGCCAAGGUUGCAAUAAUACCUUGGGAUCAAUGUUUGUGGGUGUUUAUGUGUGUUGUAAUGUUAUGAUUUUUGUAUGUGUUAAUCAACAAGUUGAUGAUUAAUUGAAUUAUGUAUUGAGAGUGUAUGAAAGUGAAAGUUUUGAUAAUUGUUGAAGUUGCUAAGUGUGUAUAUGUGAAAUUUAUUUUUGCUCACCUUAGUAAUGUGAUUGAAUUAGGGUUUGUUAAACUUGAAAUGGCGGGAAGGACCAGAGGAGGAAGAUCAGAGAGGAAUGAGGAGUUGGAGACAGUUAGAGAAGAACUCCGAGAAGUAAGAAGAGAGUUGAGAGAAACUGUUGAAUUGAUGAGAGGCCAGGGUUCCAGGAGAGCAGGAGGUACCCAGGGCCAUGAGGAUUCAGGCCACUCACAUAGGAGGAGCCGCACUGAGAGGCCAGUAAUGAGCCAAAUGGAAGCAAUGAAGAGGUUCAUGGUGAUGCAGCCUCCAUCUUUUAAUGGAGAGCCUAGUGCUGAAGCAGCUGAGCAUUAGUUGAGGAGGAUGAGAAGAAUUCUGGUGGGACUGGACAUACCUGAGGAAAGAAGGGUAGGUCUGGCAACAUAUAUGCUUAUGGACAAAGCUGAUUUCUGGUGGGAAUCAAUGAAAAGGGUGUAUGACACUGAGGUUAUGACCUGGGAGGAAUUUGAGAGAAUCUUCCUAGGCAAGUAUUUUGGGGAAGUGGCUAAGCAUGCCAAGAGGAUGGAGUUUGAGCACCUCAUCCAAGGAACCAUGUCAGUGCUGGAGUAUGAGUCACGUUUCUCAGAGUUGUCUCGUUUUGCUUUGGGGAUGAUCAGUGAGGAAGGAGAAAAAGCUAGGAGGUUCCAGCAGGGGUUGAGACCUGCUAUUAGGAACAGAUUAGUCCCACUGGCAAUAAGGGAUUAUUCUGAGUUGGUUAAGAGGGCUUUGUUGGUGGAGCAAGACAUGGACGAAACCAACCAAAUUCGAGAGCAAAAAGGGGACAGAAAAGGGAAACAAAGAAUGAGGGAAAGUUCUCAGGGGCCACAGCAGAAGCAGAGGACUCAGCAGUUUGAGAGGCGUCCCUCGUUCUAUGCAGGAGGGGGGCAGAUUGCUCAGGGGGUGGCUGCUAAUAGAGUAUGUUAUGGUUGUGGAUCAGGAGACCAUUUAUGGAGGGCUUGCCCAUUGCGAGGCACACAGCAGGCACGACCUCAGUCUCAGGGAAGUUCUCAGCAACAGUCAGUAGUGUCUUUCCAGCCUCCUCAACUUCAGUUGCCUUACUAUCAGAUGCCACAAUUGCCCCCAGCAGCGCAGGGAACUAGGGCAACUACCACGAGUCAGACCCGCUCUUCUCAGGGGUCGAAUGCUAGAGGUAGGGGAAGGCCCGCAGCAGGAAGAGUUUUUGCCUUGACCCCAACAGAGCCAGAUGAGGAUGCCCUUUUGGUGGAAGGUAUGAUUUUGGUAUAUAGUACUUGGGUGCGUGUUUUGUUUGAUACUGGUGCAACUCAUUCUUUCAUUUCUGCAUCUUGUGCUAAUGCAUUGGGGUUGAAAUCGGAAAGGGUAGAGAAUUUGUUACUUAUUGAGUCUCCUAUGGGUACGAACUCUAGAGUUGAUAGAAUAUGCAAGGGGUGUGUUAUUACCUUGGCAGAUAGAGCACUAAAUGUGGAUUUGAGGAUUUUGGAUAUGACUGGGUAUGAUGUUAUUUUGGGAAUGGAUUGGUUGGCAGUGUAUAGAGCGGUUAUUGAUUGUCAUCGCCGCAGGAUAAUAUUUUGUUUGCCAGAGGGAUUUGAGGUUUGUUUUGUUGGAGGGAAGUGUGUUAGUUUGCCUUUUUCGCAGUCCGAUCCGUGCUAUCAGUAUGUGUUGAGGAAGGGAUCAAUAAAUUUCCUAGCUUGCCUUCGUGGUAAGGAGAAAGCCUAGAAGGACAUUACAGAAAUUCCAGUGGUGACGAAGUUUCAGGAUGUAUUCCCAGAUGAGUUACCAGGUUUACCACCGCAUAGAGAGUUUGAUUUCUCUAUUGAAGUAUACCCAGGAACUGAUCCUAUUUCAGUAUCCCCUUAUAGGAUGGCCCCUCUUGAGUUGAAAGAAUUGAAAACUCAGUUAGAUGAAUUGUUGGGUAGGGGUUUUAUUCGUCCAAGUACAUCGCCAUGGGGAGCCCCAGUGUUGUUUGUGAAGAAGAAGGAUGGUACACUAAGAUUAUGUAUUGACUAUAGGAACUUGAAUAGAGUUACUGUGAAGAACAAGUAUCCUCUUCCAAGGAUAGAUGACUUGUUUGANNNNNNNNNNNNNNNNNNNNNNNNNNNNNNNNNNNNNNNNNNNNNNNNNNNNNNNNNNNNNNNNNNNNNNNNNNNNNNNNNNNNNNNNNNNNNNNNNNNNAGAGUUGAUAGAAUAUGCAAGGGGUGUGUUAUUACCUUGGCAGAUAGAGCACUAAAUGUGGAUUUGAGGAUUUUGGAUAUGACUGGGUAUGAUGUUAUUUUGGGAAUGGAUUGGUUGGCAGUGUAUAGAGCGGUUAUUGAUUGUCAUCGCCGCAGGAUAAUAUUUUGUUUGCCAGAGGGAUUUGAGGUUUGUUUUGUUGGAGGGAAGUGUGUUAGUUUGCCUUUUUUGCAGUCCGAUCCGUGCUAUCAGUAUGUGUUGAGGAAGGGAUCAAUAAAUUUCCUAGCUUGCCUUUGUGGUAAGGAGAAAGCCCAGAAGGACAUUACAGAAAUUCCAGUGGUGAGGAAGUUUCAGGAUGUAUUCCCAGAUGAGUUACUAGGUUUACCACCGCAUAGAGAGUUUGAUUUCUCUAUUGAAGUAUACCCAGGAACUGAUCCUAUUUCAGUAUCCCCUUAUAGGAUGGCCCCUCUUGAGUUGAAAGAAUUGAAAACUCAGUUAGAUGAAUUGUUGGGUAGGGGUUUUAUUCGUCCAAGUACAUCGCCAUGGGGAGCCCCAGUGUUGUUUGUGAAGAAGAAGGAUGGCACACUAAGGUUAUGUAUUGACUAUAGGAAGUUGAAUAGAGUUACUGUGAAGAACAAGUAUCCUCUUCCAAGGAUAGAUGACUUGUUUGAUCAGUUGAAGGGUGCGAAGUAUUUUAGUAAGAUUGACUUGAGAACUGGGUAUCAUCAAUUGAGGGUUAGGGAAGAAGAUGUUUCUAAAACUGCUUUUAGAACGAGAUAUGGGCAUUAUGAGUUCUUAGUCAUGCCUUUUGGGUUAACUAAUGCCCCUGCUGCUUUCAUGGAUUUAAUGAACAGGGUAUUUCGUGCUUACUUGGAUCGGUUUGUGAUUGUCUUUGUGGAUGACAUCUUGAUCUACUCCAGGAGUUUGGAGGAGCAUAAGCAACAUUUGGUGACCACCCUUGGAACUUUAAGAAGGCAUCAGUUGUAUGGGAAGUUGGACAAAAGUGAGUUUUGGCUUACUGAAGUGAACUUCUUAGGCCAUGUGGUUUCUGAGGCAGGAAUAGCAGUAGACCAUUCAAAGGUGGAAGCUGUACAGGAGUGGCAAAGGCCUACCAAUGUAUUUGAGGUUAGAAGUUUCUUGGGGUUGGCUGGAUAUUAUAGGAGGUUUGUGGAAGACUUCUCUAGAAUUGCAGCACCAAUGACUAGGUUGACUAGAAAAGGGGUGAAGUUUGAUUGGAAUGAGGAGUGUGAGAAUGCUUUCCAGGAGUUGAAGCGGAAAUUGACCACUGCUCCAGUGUUAACUGCUCCUAUUAGUGGAGAGUUGUUUAUGAUUUAUUGUGAUGCUUCUACUGUGGGGCUAGGGUGUGUGCUAAUGCAGCAAGGCAAGGUGGUAGCUUAUGCCUCAAGACAAUUAAAGCAGCAUGAGCGGAAUUAUCCAGCACAUGAUUUGGAGCUUGCAGCAGUGGUGUUUGCCCUAAAGACUUGGAGACACUAUUUGUAUGGAGAGAAGUUUGAGGUGUACUCUGAUCACAAGAGUUUGAAAUACAUUUUCACUCAAAAGGAUUUGAACUCUAGGCAGAGGAGAUGGAUGGAGACAUUGGAAGAUUAUGAUUUUGCCCUUCAUUACCAUCCUGGGAAGGCGAAUGUUGUAGCAGAUGCCUUGAGUAGAAAGAGCUAUGGCCAGUUGUCUAGCUUGGGGUUGAGAGAGUUUGAGAUGUAUGCAGUUAUUGAGGACUUUGAGCUAUGUCUUAGUCAGGAAGGACGUGGUCCAUGCUUGUACAGCAUAUCAGCUAGACCAAUGGUUAUCCAGAGAAUAGUGGAGGCCCAAGUUCAUGAUGAGUUUUUAGAAAAGGUUAAAGCCCAGUUGGUAGCAGGUGAAAUAGAUGAAAAUUGGUCUAUGUAUGAAGAUGGGAGUGUGAGGUUCAAAGGGAGAUUGUGUGUGCCAAAAGAUAUGGAGUUGAGAAAUGAACUUCUAGUAGAUGCUCAUAGGGCGAAGUAUACCAUCCACCCUGGGAAUACCAAGAUGUAUCAGGACUUAAAGAGACAGUUUUGGUGGAGUGGGAUGAAGAGAGAUAUUGCUCAGUUUGUAGCUAACUGUCAGAUUUGUCAGCAAGUGAAGGCUGAACACCAGAGGCCUGCAGGGUUGUUGCAACCUUUACCUAUACCUGAGUGGAAGUGGGAUAAUAUUACUAUGGACUUUGUGAUAGGGUUGCCAAGAACUAGAAGCAAGAAAAAUGGGGUUUGGGUGAUUGUGGACCGUCUUACUAAGUCAGCUCAUUUUCUAGCCAUGAAAACUACUGAUUCCAUGAACUCUUUGGCUAAGUUGUAUAUACAGGAGAUUGUGAGAUUGCAUGGGAUACCUGUAUCUAUAGUGUCUGACAGGGACCCUAAGUUUACUUCUCAGUUUUGGCAGAGUUUACAAAGGGCUUUGGGCACCCAACUGAAUUUUAGCACCGCUUUUCACCCUCAGACAGAUGGUCAAUCAGAGAGAGUGAUCCAGAUCUUAGAAGACAUGUUAAGGGCUUGUGUUUUGGAUUUUGGAGNNNNNNNNNNNNNNNNNNNNNNNNNNNNNNNNNNNNNNNNNNNNNNNNNNNNNNNNNNNNNNNNNNNNNNNNNNNNNNNNNNNNNNNNNNNNNNNNNNNNNNNNNNNNNNNNNNNNNNNNNNNNNNNNNNNNNNNNNNNNNNNNNNNNNNNNNNNNNNNNNNNNNNNNNNNNNNNNNNNNNNNNNNNNNNNNNNNNNNNNNNNNNNNNNNNNNNNNNNNNNNNNNNNNNNNNNNNNNNNNNNNNNNNNNNNNNNNNNNNNNNNNNNNNNNNNNNNNNNNNNNNNNNNNNNNNNNNNNNNNNNNNNNNNNNNNNNNNNNNNNNNNNNNNNNNNNNNNNNNNNNNNNNNNNNNNNNNNNNNNNNNNNNNNNNNNNNNNNNNNNNNNNNNNNNNNNNNNNNNNNNNNNNNNNNNNNNNNNNNNNNNNNNNNNNNNNNNNNNNNNNNNNNNNNNNNNNNNNNNNNNNNNNNNNNNNNNNNNNNNNNNNNNNNNNNNNNNNNNNNUUUUUUUUUUUUUUUUUUUAAUAUAUAUUUAAAAAAAUAUUUUUUUUUUUACAUGGGAACUCGUCUCUUCAAGAGACGAGUUCCCUUUGGAAUUGUGUUUUAUUUUUUUAUUUUUAUUAUUAUUUUUUUUUAAUUUGGGAUUUUUUAAAAUAAAAAAUAUAUUUUUUAAAAAAAAUAUUUUUUUGAACUCGUCUCUUGAAAUUAUUUAUAUAUAUAUAUAUAUAUAUAUAUAUAUAUAUAUAUAUAUAUAUAUAUUUAAAAAUAUAUAUAUUUUUUUUACAUGGAGACGAGUUCCUGGAAUUGUGUUUUUUUUUUUUUUUUAAACAAAAUUUGGGAUUUUAUAAAAAAAAAAAUAUUUUUUUUUUAAAAAAAUAUUUUUUUUGAGCCCGCCUCUUGAAGUUUUUUUCGUAUAGAUAAAUAUUCGAAAAAAACAUAUUUUUUUNNNNNNNNNNNNNNNNNNNNNNNNNNNNNNNNNNNNNNNNNNNNNNNNNNNNNNNNNNNNNNNNNNNNNNNNNNNNNNNNNNNNNNNNNNNNNNNNNNNNNNNNNNNNNNNNNNNNNNNNNNNNNNNNNNNNNNNNNNNNNNNNNNNNNNNNNNNNNNNNNNNNNNNNNNNNNNNNNNNNNNNNNNNNNNNNNNNNNNNNNNNNNNNNNNNNNNNNNNNNNNNNNNNNNNNNNNNNNNNNNNNNNNNNNNNNNNNNNNNNNNNNNNNNNNNNNNNNNNNNNNNNNNNNNNNNNNNNNNNNNNNNNNNNNNNNNNNNNNNNNNNNNNNNNNNNNNNNNNNNNNNNNNNNNNNNNNNNNNNNNNNNNNNNNNNNNNNNNNNNNNNNNNNNNNNNNNNNNNNNNNNNNNNNNNNNNNNNNNNNNNNNNNNNNNNNNNNNNNNNNNNNNNNNNNNNNNNNNNNNNNNNNNNNNNNNNNNNNNNNNNNNNNNNNNNNNNNNNNNNNNNNNNNNNNNNNNNNNNNNNNNNNNNNNNNNNNNNNNNNNNNNNNNNNNNNNNNNNNNNNNNNNNNNNNNNNNNNNNNNNNNNNNNNNNNNNNNNNNNNNNNNNNNNNNNNNNNNNNNNNNNNNNNNNNNNNNNNNNNNNAAAAAAAAAUUUUUUUUACACGGGAGAUAGUAUCUUCAAGAGAGGGGUUCCCCCUAGGAAUUUUGAGGGGGGGUUUUUUUUUUUUUUUUUUUUAUUUAAUAUAUAUAUUUUAAAAUAUAUAUAUAUAUAUAUAUAUAUAUAUAUAUAUAUAUAUAUAUAUAUAUAUAUAUAUAUAUAUAUAUAUUUACAUGGUAAUUGGAAUUGCGUUUUUUUUUUUUUUUUAAAUUUGGGAUUUUUUAAAAUAAAAAAUAUAUAUUUAAAAAAAAUAUUUUUUUCCCAAGGAACUCGUCUCUUCAAGAGAUUAGUUCCUUUAGGAUUUUUUUUUUUUUGGGAUUUUUUUUAAAUAAAAAAUAUAUUUUAAAAAAAUAAUAUAUUUUUUUUCCCAUGGGAACUCGUCUCUUCAGACGAGUUCCCUUUAGUUCCAAAUUUUAUUUUAUUUUUUUUAAUUUGUGAAUUUUUUAAAAAUAUAUAUAUAUUUUUAAUGGGAACUCGUCUCUUGAAGAGACGAGUUUCCUUGAAUAAUUCUCUUUCAUGGAACUCGUCUCUUCAAGAGACGAGUUCGCUUUUUUAAAAAAUUUUACCCGUUCACCCUUUCUCCUCUCUCCUAUCUCCUCUCUCCUCUCUCCUCUCUCCUCUCUCCUAUGUGGCAAAAACUACCCUAUAUUUGUAAUAACUUCUUCCACUACAGUAAUUUAAGAAUAACUUUUUUAAAUUACUGCACUAUUGAGAAAAGUCCACGAAAUCGGUCAAGCAACAUCAAGUGGUUUAUUAAAGUCGAUAGGCUUUUAAAAACAGAGGCAUCUCACCAUUAUCAACGUUUUUAUGUAGAUUUCCAAGUCUGAAACAACUGUAGCUGCACCAGAAUCCGAGAGACCGAACGGGCGCUCGCAUUACAAAUUCUAUAAUAAUGUGUCAACAUCAAAAAAAAUUUCUAUGCGUAAAUAUUCAAUCACACCAACCAAAAGAGAGAGAUGUGAAGAAUUCCAUUCAGCUCAGCCAAAACAUUUUCCUCCAAUCCCCAGAUCCAACACACUCUAGAAAGUUGAUGUAUCCUUGGAAACAUAGCUAAGAAAAUCGAACCAUCAUCAUCAAAUCCCCUCGUCCUUCCCAAUUUUCAGAUCUCAAACUACAAAAGAACAAGGACAACGGAGAGAAAUGGAAGAGAGAAACUGGGAGCAGCGACAGAAGGGACUGAGCUAAGCUAAUCUGAACUGCUGUUUCUUUUUUCCUUUGGUCAAAGCCCAGCCUUCACCUCACGAAGUUUUUGUUUUUUUUUUAUGGGCUCAAAAACGGGUGGACUAAACCAGGAGAAAUGCAUGUAUAUAUAUAUAUAUAUAUAUAUAUAUAUAUAUAUAUAUAUAUAUAUAUAUAUAAAUGAGAUAUGAGAAGAUUUCCCAAUAUGAAAUAAACAAUUGAAGCACAGUUAGAUCAUCCAUGAACGAAAAUAGAGAAAAAUGGGAUGAAACUACAAUACCAAGCCAAGGCAAACUCACAAACAACGCAGAAAUAAUCACAUGGAAAAUAAAUGAGAAAAAUAUGAUGAUAUAAUGAAAGAUGAAUCCAAAUAAUCCUACCGGGCAACGCUUCUCUCAAACAAGAGUUUCCUUAUCUCCAGACCAACUUCCUCUACCUGGUUCCGAAUGGCGAACCCCUCCUCUGUUUUUUGCUAAAAAAAUCUCUUCCUCUCGAAAACUUAAAUAUCCCCCUCCUCCCCAGUUGCAGCGCCUGCCCCUUCUCUCCCCCCUAGGCUAUCACCUCAAGCUCUUUGGGCUGCCCAAGAACGGCCCACCUCAUCAGUCCCAUCUAGCCGUCCCCAAGCCGCUCGACGUCGGGGUGACCAACAGAAGAAGAAAAAAAUGAGGAGGAAAGAGGAAAACGGGAAAAGAAAGAAAAAUAAAAGAAAAAAACCGCCCCAUAUCUCGAGGGUCUACACAUUUUUUCUUAAAUGCUGAAAUAUUCUACGAAUUUAAUAUUCCAUCAAUUUGAACGUUUGAAAUUCAAACGUUCACCCCCUAUUCUACACACUACAUCCAUCCUACCUUAUUCCAACUUCUCUUACAAUAUAAAUUACUUUCAUAUUUCUUUACUCUCAUUUUUCUCAUUUUCCCCACUUGAAACUUAGUUUUUUACUUAUCAGUUUUUCACCUUCUAUCACUUUUAUCUAUAUCCCUCAUUCUCUUUGGGAGACUUAUUAGUAGGGGUCUCCAAAAAGCCCGCGGCCCGCGGCCCGCUUUAGGCCCGGCCCAAGCCCGUCGGGCCCAAGCCCGUCGGGCCCAAGCCCGGCCCGAGCCCGUUUAUGGGCUGGCCGGGCCGCGGGCCGGCCCGUAGGCCCGCCUUUAAUUUUUAAAAAAAAAAUAAUAUGCUAUAUUUUUAUAUAUAUAUAUAUAUAUAACUAACUCAUUUAAUAAGCACAAAAGAAAUGUAGCUCAGUUGGUUAGAGCCUUGAAAUUUAAGCUUGAGGGGAGGGGUUCGAAUCCCCCCCCUCUUCCUUCCUUUAUUUAAAAGCCAUUUUGGCUUAUUUAAAAAAGCUCGCGGCACGGCCCGCCUAGCCCGCCCCCCAGCCCGCCAGCCCACUAGCCCGUGGGCUCAUAGGCCGGGCCGCGGGCCUAGCAUUUGAGCUCGGCCCGGCCCGUUGACCAGUCAACGGGCCCAUAGGCCCAGCCCGAGCUGGGCCGCGGGCCUCCUAUUUAUGGCCCGGCCCGUUGGAGACCCUUACUUAUUAGCAUAUCUUCUCUAUUUUUUUCGACACUCACGCUAUUUAUAAGGUAAUAUUUUUGCUUUAUUUUUAUUUCAAGUUAUUUUGUAAUGCAUAGUUUUUAUUAUUGUAUAAGUUUUCAAAUUUAUUUGGAUUAUGUAAUAUUUGUUUGAAUAAUAUUUAUUGGAAAUUAUUAUUUUAAAUAGAUUAAAUCAUUAAAAAAAAUAAAAGAUAUAUUAUUUUAUUCCUAGGUUAUAUUUUUUUCUUUGUUUGAUAUUUUUUUCGUGUAAUGCAUGAUAUAUAUUUGUUGUUAUAUGUAUUUUUUUUAAAUUUAUUUGAUUUAUGGUAAUUUUGUUAGAAUAUUAUUUGUUGUAAAUUAUCAUUAUAUAAAGAUAAAUGAAUUAAAUCAUUCAAAAAAUAAAAAUGAUACUAGUUUAUUUAAUUAAUAUGAAAUAAUAGGAUUAUUAUUUAUGUUUAUCAAUCAAAUAAUACAUUUGAUAAAAUAUUAAAAUUAAAAAUUAAAAAUAAAAUAAAAUAAAAUAUUAGUAAAAUGAGAAUGAAAAAUAAUAAUAAUAAUAGAAUAAUUAUAUAUCUAUAUAUUUUGCAUAAUAUAUGAUUUAAAAAAUAUUAAAAUCUAAAAAAUAGAAAUACAACAUUAUCCGAAAUUAUGAAUUUAUCCUAUAUAUUUUUAAAAUUAACAUUAAUCUUCAAUCAUUGAAAAAAUUAUUGUAAAACAAUGAGAUGUAAAAAUAUAUAUAUAAAUAAAAGUAGAAAUAAAACUAAAAUGUUAUUUGAUUUAUUUAAAUGUCUAUAUAUAUAUAUAUAAAGUAAUUGUGUGUAGUAUAAAAUAGUAACAGUGAGUAUUAAAUGUAUAUAAAAUAUAUUUAAAUAUUAAAUAUAAUAAUAUAUAAAUUUACAUUUAAAAUGUAUAUUUAAAUAUCAAUUUUAAAAAUAAAAGAAAGAUAUAGUUGUAAAAUGUUAGAAUAUAUAAUUAAAAAAAUGAAUUUAAUAAUGAUUGUUAGUAUUAAAUUAUUUGUUUGCAUAUAAUAUUAUUUAAAAAAUAUUAAAAUAUAAGAAAUAUAAAUAGAAUAUUAUCCGAAACUAUGAAUUUAUCUUAUAUAUUUUUUAAAAAUUAAUAUUAAUCUUAAAUUAUUGAAAAAAUUGCAAGAUAUUGAGAGCUAAAAAUAAAAAUAAAAAUAAAAGUAGAAAUAAAAUUUUAUUUAAAUAUAUAUAUAUAUAGUAACUGUGAGGUCCGUGAGUAUUAAAAGUAUAUAAUAUAUAUUUAAAUAUUAAAAUAUUAUAUAUAUUUAAAUAUCAAUUUUAAAAAAGAAAAGAAAUAUAUAGUUGUAAAAUGUUAGAAUAUAUAAUAAAAUAAAAUAAAAAAUUUAGUAACGGUUGUUAGUAUUAAAUUAUUUUUUUAUAUAUAAUAUUAUUUAAAAAAUAUUAAAAUAUAAGUAGAACAUUAUCCGAAACUAUGAAUUUAUCGUAUAUAUUUUAUAAAAAUUAAUAUUAGUCUUAAAUUGUUGAAAAAAUUAUUGUAAGAUAUCGAGAGCUAAAAAUAAAAAUAAAAAUAAAACUAAAAUAUUAUUUAAUUUAUUGAAAUGGAUAUUUUAAUGUAUAUGAUCAUGAUAUUUUAUUUUAAUUUUUUUUAUUUUUAUAUUUUAUUCAUUUUACAGUGAAUUUUGAAAUUAAAGAAUAAUAUUUUUAAUUUUAAAAUUUAUAUAAUAAAAUUAAUUUAAAAAUUAAAACAAAAUAAGAUUAUUUAUUUUAUAAAUUAAUAACAAAAUUGUUUUUUAUAAAAUCAUUUUUCAUAUAAACAAAAAAUAGAUAGAUAUUAUUUAUCUUAUAAAUAAAAAAACAAUAUCAAACUAAAUUAAUUUUAUUAGUUGUAAUUAAUUGAAUUAAUUUAAAGAAAAAUUGAAGAUUAAGAACAAUUAAAAUUAUUUAACUUAUUUUUUUUAUAUAUUUUAUUCAUUUUAUAGUGAAAUUUGAAAUUAAAGAUUCAUAUUUUUAAAUUUAAAAUUUAUAUAAUAAAAUUAAUUUAAAAAUUAAAACAAAAUAAGAUUAUUUAUUUUAUAAAUAAUUAUUGAAUAAAUUAAUAACAAUUUUUUUUUUAUAAAAUCAUUUUUCAUAUAAAAAAAAUAGAUAAAUAUUAUUUAUCUUAUAAAUAAAAAAUAAUAUCAAAUUAAAUUAAUUUUAUUAGUUGUAAUUAAUUGAAUUAAUUUAAAGAAAAAUUGAAGAUUAAGAACAAUUAAAAUUAUUUAACUUAUUUUUUUUAUAUUUUAUCAUUUUAUAGUGAAAUUUUAACUUAAAGAUUAAAAUUUUUAAUCUUAAAAUUUAUAUAAUAAAAUUAAAUUUAAAAUUAAACAAAACAAAAUUAUUUAUUUUGUAAAUAAUUAUUUAAUAAAUUAAUAACAUUUUUUUUUAAAACUCUACAACAGUUCAUGCGAGCAAUAAUUAAUUCUACCUAACAGUUCAUGCACGUAAUAAUUAAUUCUGUCUAAUGAUCUCCAAGCAUAAAAAUGGAAAUAUUUAAUGUCUAAUUCUGUCUAAUUUAUUGCAGAAAUUUAAACAUAAUAACGCAGAAAUUUGAAUCUGAAAAUUUUGUUUAUUGAAAGUAUACCUUGAUUACAGAGAGUUGAUGAUUACAGGCUGGUUGACAGCAGAGGGAUGACUCAGGUUGAUGAAUACAACAAACUUAAAGAAGAAAAUUACAAGAGAAAAUUUUUUUGAACUCUCAAAUUUUUGCACUCUCUAAGCUUUCUCAGCUCUGAGUUCUCUUCCGCCCUCUACCUGAUGAAGAAAGUUGAGGCUCUAUUUAUAGGUGAGACUUCGAACUUGAAACUAUCUUCAAUCUUGAAAAUUUUGAAAUCCAUCACGUGUAGAGACAAUCUGCAGAUGGAGAAUAUUUUUUCUUGUCUUUGUUAGAGACUUGAGAAGAGAAAAUUUUCUCUUUGCUUUCCCAUCCUCCACGUUGCUUGCAAAGUAGUAGAAAGUAGACAAAUUCUACUAUUCACUACUAUUCAUGUUUUUUUUUUUUUUUUUUUACUUUACAAACUUUUCACACUUUCAAAUUUUUUUUCUCUUUUUUUUUUCUUUUUUACUAGAUAAUUACAAGGGAACAAAUUUAUAAAGAUACAGACAUACAAAAGAUUCUUGAAAUCUUUUAUCUAAAUUGACUCAUAGGUCCUCCGUAAAGGAUAAACUCAGGGUCUACGUAUGAGUCAUCUGAUAAAACUGCAUCUUCAGUUUCUUCUUGAUCUCCAAACUGUUUGAGGGUUUGAAUGAGUCCUUGAUGAUAUUGCUCUAAAUCAGUAGCGGCUGUUAAUGAAGCUUGACAUUUGCUUUUCAAAGUUAGGAAUUCUUCUUGAGUCGGUCCUUGAGAUGAACUAGUUGAAUCUUUUGAAUUUGAUGAUCUUGGCCUUAUUGAAAUUAAUUGCAAAAUCUUCUAUUGAGAUACAAAAUCAUGAUUGAAUUUGUCCCACCAUUUGAUGCUGAAUUCUCUAUAAAGAGAUAAUGGAAAUGGAGGAGGUUGCUCUUGCUUCUUGAUAAUAUUCCAUGAGAGAAUCCAUGGAAUUCUUAAUCUCGAACAGAAAGUCAGGAGUCUAGGCUGAGUGAUAGACUAAGAUGAAGUCUUGCUCUUGUAGAAGUUUAUUUUUUCUUGAAUUUCAGGAGGAAAUAAAGAGUCUAAUAGACUAAAGAAAGUCCACCAUUUUUUAAACAAAGCAGGAAAUUUGGUAUUGCAAUUUCUUGAAAAUUGGAUGAACCAAGAAUGUUGGUAGCUUUGUAAAUAAAACAUAUUAUACCAAGCAUCCAUAUAAUCUAUAUAAUUGUAACUCAUGGGAUGAAAAUGUUGACUAAAGGCCUUGCAAGUGAAGGGUUUUUUAUUCCAAUCAGCAAUGGUCAUGACUUUGAGAAUUUGACAUUUGGAAAAAGCAAUCCUCUGAGGAUUGUUUUUAUCAGUGUUAUGAGUAAUUUCAACUGAAUCGGUGUCCACCAAGAUGAACUCAUAAAAUUGACGAGUUUUCAAAGGAUCAUUUGAAUUGAAGUUGACUCCUUGAGGAAAUAUGUAAGGAAGAAUGUUAGGAAUCUCUUCAUAAUUGAACUUUGGCUCAAUGAAAGCAAUUUCUAAGAUUUUGGAUUUUUUUGACAUAUUGACUAUAAGAAAAGAAAGAAGAAGGGGACUGAGAAGGAGAAGGUAAUGUUGAAAUAGUGUUAAGGCUAGAUUGUCUCUGAACAUCAAUAUUUUUAGGGGUUGAUUUAGAAGCUUGAAUAAAACUUUUUGAAGGUUGAAGAGGAGGAAAAUCUGGACUCAAAACUUGAAAGGAAUUUGAUGUUUGUAAAGGAAAAGUAGGACGAACAUUUGAAAAGUUUGAAAUCAUGGCAUAUGAAGCUUUGGUUUUCUUGGAUGAGGAAGGAAGUUGAGGCCUAACGGGAGUACCCAUUAGGAUGGAGAAAGAUCCUUACCCUGCAAAAACUCCCAAGUAAGGAAAUUAGGAAGGGAAUUCAACUCUCCUUUGAUAAAUUCAAUUUCAAAAUCAAAAUUUGAAAGUAAAGCUUGCCAUCUUGCAAAAAUUUGUUUUGAAACUAAAUUUUUAACAUCUUUUUGUAAAAUAUCUUUUGCACAUUUGCAAUCAAUUUUCAAAAGAAAUUUUAUAUUUAUCAAAUCACUUUAAAAUUUUGAAAUACAUAAAACUAUGGAUAAAACUUCUUUUUUGACAGUUGAAUAAUUUAUUUGAGCGCCCAACCAGAUCCCUGAAUGAUAUCUAACUAUAUGCACUUUGAUUGUUAUAUUCUUGUUUUAAUAUGCCUCCAUAACCUAAAUUAGAUGCAUCUGAUUCUACAAUGAGCAAUGCAUUUGGAUGAGGGAUACUGAUGCAUGGUAAACGUUUGACUCUUUGUUUAAUUUCUUUGACCAAACUAGUAUGAUGCUCAAUCCAUGCAGGUGUAUUUUUUCUAAGUCUUUUGUAUAAUGGUUCACAAAUGAUUCUCAAAUCUUUGAAGUAAUCAGAAACAUAAUUUAAACAACCUAGAAAUCUUUGUAAUUGUUUUUUGUCUUUUAUUUCAUCAGGAAAUUUAUCAGCAAAUUCUAUUGACCUUUGAAUCGGUUUUGUUUUUCCUUGAAAAAUUUCAUGUCCUAAAAAUCUAAUUUUUGUUUGAAACAAUUUCAUUUUUGGAGCAGAACAAGCCAUUCCAUUUGCUUUAAUGACAUUGAAAAACUUUUUUAGAUGAACAAAAUGUUUUUCUAAUGAAUCAGAAAAUACUAAGACAUCAUCAAUGUAUAUAAUUUUAAAUUGAAAAUGAGGAUUGAAAAUAUCAUUCAUAAUAUUUUAAAAUUCAGAAGAGGGAUUUUUGAAACCAAAAGGCAUGACAUUCCAUUCAUAAUGACCAAAAUGGACAAUAAAAGCAGUUUUAUAUCUAUCUUCUUCUUUAAUUUGAACUUGCAAGAAUCUAGAUUUCAUAUCAAAUUUUGAAUAGAUUACAGAACUAUGUAGUCUUUUGAGUAGAUCUUGCUUAUUAGGAAUAGGGUAUCUUAUCCAUUGUAAUACUUUAUUUAAAGGUUUAUAAUUAAUGACUACUCUUAGUGCUCCUCUUUCUAUCUCGACAACAUUUUGUACAUAAAAAGCAGCACAACUCCAAGAAGAUUUUGAGGGUCUGAUUAAUUUAUUCUUUAAUAAUGAAUCAAUUUCUUGUUUACAAUAUUCUAAAAGUUUUUCAUUCAUUUGAAUAGUUCUAGCUUUAGUAGGAAUUUUAGAUUCAUCAAAGUUUUGAACGUAAGGCAGACUUAUCUCAUGUUUCUUUCUAGACCAAAAAACAUUUGGAAGAUCAUAACAAAUUUCUUUUUGAAAAAGAUCUUGGAUUUCUUUUAUUCUCUUUUGAACAUUUUCUUCUACAAGUUGUUUUUCUAUCUUUUUAUAUUGAAUUUCUUUCGAUAGAUAAUUUAUAUGAGCUUGUUUUCUUUGAAUUAAAUUUAUUCUUUUAUUUAUUGAAUCACUUUGAACUUGAUGUAUUUCUUUUUUAGUUAAUGGAUAUAUAAAAGGGAAAAAUAUGGUGUUUCCUAAUAUUGUAGUUUUGACACCUUCAUCAUUUACUUGAAAAUGGUAAAGUAAUGUAAUAAAAGGAGUUCCUAAGAUUAAAGGUUCAGUCAUAUUUUGUACUAAUAUAAAUUGAGUUCUAAAACAAUAAUUAUCUUGACAUAUAUGAACAUUUUAAAGUUUAAAUUCUAUUUCUAAUUUUCCUUUAUUUGUAGCAAAAAGUUCUUGUCCGAUUUGUUCAUAAUAUUUAACAGGAAUUAAUCCUUCUUGAAUGCAAUUCAUAUCAGCUCCUGAGUCUAUUAAUGCUACUAUUUCCAUUUCAAAAUCUUCUACUAUGAGUUUUAUAUUUGUAUACCAUCUUUGAAAAUCUAUUUUUGUUAUUAUAUUUAUAAAUGAUUCUAUAGGAGUUUGUUUAUUAGGUAUUAUUAUUCCCGGAUCUUGAUUAUCAGAUGUUUUAGCAAAAUCUUAUUUAUAUUGUAUUACAUUUUUUAUUUGUUCAUUUUCUUGUUUUAUUUGUUUAUUUUCUUGUUUUAUUAUUUCGUUUCCGAGUUUUAUUUGUUCAUUUUCUAAUUUUAAUUGAUUUAUUUGAGUUUUUAUUUCUUUUAUUUCUUUUUCCAAGUCUUUAAUAGUUAUUGGCCUUUGAGUCUUUUUGAAUCUAUUAUAAAUUUCAUCCAUUGAAUAUUGUAUAUGUUUAAUUUGAAUUUUAUUUGAAUCUUCAUUGAGAAUUAAAUUUAAAAAUUUUUUUAAAUAGUUUCUUUGUGUUUCUUCAUCUUGAAUUUUAUCUACAACAUCAAAAAAUAUUUGCUUAUCUACUUUUGAAGAUAUUACAUUUAUUGUUUUUGUUUUUUCUUUAUUUUCUAUUUUUUGUACUUCAUUAAUUUCUUUUAUGGUUUUUUCUUCUGUCUUUUUUUAUUCCUCCACCUUUCCCGGGGCGGAAGAAAACAAAAUUUGAUUAAAUUUUGUUUCACUUGACUCUUCUUGAUUUGAGUUUUGUUGCUCUAACAACUUUUUAUUAUGUGAAGAAUUUUCUAUUGCUUUUCUUGAAGUUAAUGUUGCAAUUCUUUUAAGAGGUUUCCUAUAUUUGAAAAACCAAAGGAAAAAAGGAAUAGUAAUCCUAACUUGUUGCAUAUAUUUUUCAUAUUGUUUUUUUAAAGCAUUUCUAACUUGAGGAGGAAGUUGUUGAAAAUAAUUUCUUUUUGCAGUAUUUUCAGGAGAAAAAUAAUUUGCUUUAAUUAAUUCUACUUCAGGAACAAAAGGAUUUCUUUUAAUAUUUCUUUUUCUAAUGAUAUUUAUGUUUAAAGAAGGUUCAUCAUGAGAGAAAAUAAUUGACUCAGACUCUUCUUUAAAAAGAGGAAUUUAUGGAACAAAGUUUGACAUAAUUUUUAGUUGAUUUUCUAUUUGACUCAUUUCUUUAUCUAAUUUUGAAAUAUUAAAUUUUAUGUGAUGACUAUACAAUGAUGCAGAUGAUGAUGCAGCUAAUGAUGCAGGUGAUGAUGCAGUAAAACUGAUUAUCUUAUAUGAAGAUCUUUCUAAAUUAUAUGCAGAAUUAUUUAAUGCAGAUGCAUGAACUGUUAGACAGAAUUAAUUAUUGUUUGCAUGAACUGUUGUAUGUCCUGGGUGCAAAUGGUAUCAGAGCCAUUUUCUGCUUGAAAACCGAGUGGUGUUACGAGUUGGAACAGUAAUUAAACGCAGAUUUAGUCCUAACUUAGUUCAGGUUGAAUUUCUUGUGAACGGAUUGGUCAGCCUGUGAUAGCGGUGUUUAAGGGGAGAAGGAGCGUAAGUCUCGUGUUGAUCCGCUUGUGGUGGUCCCUGUUCAGGAAAUUAUCUGAAUUGAUUAAGGAUGAAAUUGUGAUUAUUUUUUGUGACAAUGAGUAAUAUUAUUAGGGGAUUAAGUAGAAUUAGUUCUUCCAGAUCUCUUAAGUCCCAUGAUAGUUCUGCAUCUGUAUUAAAUAAUUCUGCAUAUAAUUUAGCAAGAUCUUCAUAUAAGAUAAUCAGUUUUACUGCAUCAUCACCUGCAUCAUUAGCUGCAUCAUCAUCUGCAUCAUUCUAUAGUCAUCAUAAAAAAUUUAAUAUUUCAAAAUUAGAUGAAGAAAUUAGUCAAAUAGAAAAUCAACUAAAAAUUAUGUCAAACUUUGUUUCGGAAAUUCCUCUUUUUAAAGAUUUGUCUUUCACUAUGACUCAAAAGUAAACUAGUGACUCAAAUGCAAUGUGAUGAAAAAGAAAAGAAAAAAAGGAGACAAGAAGAAUUUACCUUCUGCAAACCUCAUGCUUCAUACACGUGGAAGAGGAUUCAAAAAUUUUCAAAAGUGAAGACUCAAAAGUUCUCUUGAAGUCCGAAGCCUCAUCUGUAAAUAGAGCCUCAAAUUUCUUCAUCAGGCAGAGCUCAGAGCGGAGAAAGCUUAGAGAGUGCAAAAAUUUGAGAGUUCAAAAAAUUUUCUCUUGUAAUUUUCUUCUUUCAGUCUGUUGUAUUCAUCAACCUGAGUCAUCUCUGCUAUCAACCAGCCUGUAAUCAUCAACUCUCUGUAAUCAAGGUAUAUUUUCAAUAAACAAAAUUUUCAGAUUCAAAUUUAUGCGUUAUUAUGUUUAAAUUUCUGCAUUAAAUUAUACAGAAUUAGACAUUACAUAUUUUCGUUUUUAUGCUCGGAGAUCAUUAGACAAAAUUAAUUAUUGCGUGCAUGAACUAUUAGACAGAAUUAAUUAUUGUUUGCAAAUAAAUAAAUUUAGUAAUGGUUGUUAGUAUUAAAUUAUUUUUUUGUAUAUAAUAUUAUUUUAAAAAAUUUUAAAAUAUAAGUAGAACAUUAUCCAAAACUAUGAAUUUAUCGUAUAUAUUUUAUAAAAAUUAAUAUUAGUUUUAAAUUGUUGAAAAAAUUAUUGUAAGAUAUUGAGAGCUAAAAAUAAAAAUAUAAAUAAAANNNNNNNNNNNNNNNNNNNNNNNNNNNNNNNNNNNNNNNNNNNNNNNNNNNNNNNNNNNNNNNNNNNNNNNNNNNNNNNNNNNNNNNNNNNNNAUUUUACAGUGAAACUUGAAAUUAAAGAAUAAUAUUUUUAAUUUUAAAAUUUAUAUAAUAAAAUUAAUUUAUAAAUUAAAACAAAAUAAGAUUAUUUAUUUAAUAAAUUAAUAACAAAUUUGUUUUUUAUAAAAUCAUUUUUCAUAUAAACAAAAAAUAGAUAGAUAUUAUUUAUCUUAUAAAUAAAAAAACAAUAUCAAACUAAAUUAAUUUUAUUAGUUGUAAUUAAUAGAAUUAAUUUAAAGAAAAAUUGAAGAUUAAGAACAAUUAAAAUUAUUUAACUUAUUUUUUUAUAUAUUUUAUUCAUUUUAUAGUGAAAUUUGAAAUUAAAGAUUCAUAUUUUUAAAUUUAAAAUUUAUAUAAUAAAAUUAUUAAAACAAAAUAAGAUUAUUUAUUUUAUAAAUAAUUAUUGAAUAAAUUAAUAACAAAUUUGUUUUUUAUAAAAUCAUUUUUCAUAUAAACAAAAAAUAGAUAAAUAUUAUUUAUCUUAUAAAUCAAAAACAAUAUCAAAUUAAAUUAAUUUUAUUAGUUGUAAUUAAUUGAAUUAAUUUAAAGAAAAAUUGAAGAUUAAGAACAAUUAAAAUUAUUUAACUUAUUUUUUUUAUAAUUUAUUCAUUUUAUAGUGAAAUUUUAAUUAAAGAUUAAUAUUUUUAAUCUUAAAAUUUAUAUAAUAAAAUUAAAUUUAAAAUUAAACAAAACAAAAUUAUUUAUUUUGUAAAUAAUUAUUUAAUAAAUUAAUAACAUAUUUUUUUUUAAACUCAUUUUUCAUAUAAAAUUGAUAGUAAUUUUUUUUAUUUUUUUAAUUCCAAAAUGAAAGAAAAAAUUAAUAGAUAAAUAUUAUUUAUCUUAUAUUAAAUUUAGUAUACUAUUUAUAAAUUAAAUUUAGGAAAUAAAAUUAAUUAAUUUUAUAAUAUAUAUUAUUAAUAAUUGUAUUAUUGUAUAAGUAUAAUAGGGAAUAAAAAAAAUGAAUUUGUAAAGUUUUUUUUUAAAAUCGUUGUUGAAGACAUAAUUUCUAAUACUUUUUUAUUUUUUAUUUAAUAAAUUAAUAACAAUUUUUUUUUAAACUCAAUUUAUAAUAGUUUUUUUUUAAAAAAAAUUCCAAAGUGAAUGAAAAAACAAUAUAUAAAUAUUAUUUAUCUUAUAUUAAAUUUAGUAUAUUAUUUAUAUAUUUAAUUUAGUAAAUAAAAUUAAUUAAUUUUAUAAUAUAUAUUUUUUUUGUGGAAAUUGUCUAUUUUAAGAGACGUUUCCCACUUAGGUGUUUUUUUUAAAAAAAAAUUUAUCAUGUGAAAAUAGUCUCUUUAAGACAUGAUUUCUCACUUUUUUUUUUUAGUUUUUUUCGUGUGGAAAGUGAUGAUUUUUAUGAAUUAUUUUUUAAAACUGUCGUCCACUUAUAAAAAAUGGGGAAUUAGUGACUGCACUUUUAGCCCGAGUAGGGGAUUGGACCGGGUUUUGGAACAUAGCCUGGAACCCUCCAGCCGGCCACAUGACUCGACCGGUUUCCAUUUCGCGACUUGACUGGUAUAGGUAUAGCUUUUGCGCGAGCGAUUGACCAAAGAGACUUGAGACACUCUCGACUACAAAAGUGAAAGAGAAGGACAAGAGCCGGGGGAGGAGCAAGUCAGAUUCGUCGUCUCCAAGGUUAGUUUCAGUCUAUUCUCUUUCAAUAAAUUUCAGAUCUGUUGUCAAGUAUUCACUUCUACCUCUGCUGAAUACUAAAUAAGCAUUUCAUUUGUUCAGAAAUAAUCGUUAAGGGCUUAGGAGGGUGUUCUUGCGUUUGUACUUUUAGGGUUUUUAGCUAGUUUGCUUUCUUCAAACUCUUGAAGUGUCUAUAAGAAACUAGUUUUAGGAUAUUGCUUUGAUACCAAAGUUGUUGCUGUUUACAAUCUCGGAAGAUUGUAGAUUUUAGGGUAUUUGGAAAUGGGGGCCGGAUGUUUGCGUUAAAGGCGAUGUUUUUGGAGGUAAUUGGUUGCUGGAGUUAACCGAAAAUAGGUUUCCAGCAUUUCUGGAUGGCAACUCAUUUUUCAAUAUUGUUAUUUGCUGGGCAUUUAUCUACUUUGAAGCAUUGGCAUCGACUCUCUCCCAUAUGCUUUGGAGAAAGUCAAACUAUUGUCAUUCUGUAGUUAUGGAAUCAAACACUUAACAACUUCAAUUUGCUAUGGUAAUAGUUUGACUUUUAUUCUAAAUGUAAAUUUGAGAUGGUUUCUUUGGAGACUAGUUCAAGGAUACUUGAAUUUGGUGAAAGAGGAUUUUGGGUAUAUGAUAAGGCUUAUUAUGGUAGGGUGCUGGGGUAAAUCUUGAUUUUGCUGGUAGCCUGGCAAAAACACUGGGAGAUGAGUUAGGCAUUGGCAGGCUAUGUUUGGCCUCCAGAAAAUUUGAGGGAAAAUGCGAGGAAUUGAAAAUGAAGAGGAAAAGUAGAAGGAAAGAAAAAGUGAAAGAAAAUGAAAAAUAAAUUUGAAGUUGAUAAAAUUAUUUUUGUAUGUUAUUUCAAACUCAUUUAACUUAUUGUAACUCUUUUAUAUAAAGAUUAAAUAAUUUAAAAAUGAAUAAGUUUUUAACUAAUUUUAAUUUUAUUUGUUUUUUAAAAAAUAUUUUUUAUAGUAAAACCAAAUAUGAGAAAACCAUUUUCAUUAGCUUUUCUUUCUUUCUUUCUUUCUUUAAUGCUUUCCAUAGCAUUAGGGGAUGAGGCCCCCCUCUGGCAGCUGAGCUGGCAAGAACUCCCUGUUAGGAUUGGGGAUCCUCAGGUUUGAUCCCCUGCUUACCUGAUACACGGCUCCUGGGAGGCUGGUUUUGCAUCCUCCCUUGUUUUCCAAAGGGAGCCUAGUGCCCCCCCCCGCCUUCAUAUAAAUGAUCACAUGUUCAUUAACAUGAUAAGCUUUGUUAUUUGUUUGACAUGUGAUAUUGGCUUGGUUAUUUACUGUGAAGUAGUCAUAAAAACUUGAAAAUAGAAUGACUAGUUUAGGAAAAAUGGGGGAAAUGAAACUGGUCUCAGCUGGGAUUUGCUAGACAAACAGUUGAUUCAACACCUAAAUAUUGGGAUAUGUAAAUUUAGGGCAUUGUUGUCAAAUUAAAGGCUAGAAGUACUUUAACAGCUAUUAUUACCAAUGGAGCUAGAGCAUAUGUCAAAGUCCCUAUGAAAAUAUAGUAGCCAAAUGCUAGCUAAUCUCAUUAUAGCGAAAAUAUUUGAGAAAGGACUUAAUUAGAUGCUAUAGUAUGCCAGAUGUGUCCUAUGUCUCUGAAGAAACUAAUUUUCACAUGAUAGUAAAUUAAUUGAUAAGAAUCUUGUUUUAUAUUUUCUUUUUCUUCAUUAUGUCAUCUUCUUUAUUUGCUCAAUUAAAACCUUCAGAGUUGUUUUUCCUAGUGAUAGUAAGUUAUAAUGUUGGUUUCUCUAUGUUUUCCAACUUUUUUCUUUUUAUUUAUAACCUCUUUCACAAACCCCACACCCCAAUCCCCCUAUCCCCCUCUUCCUCUCUUUCUCACAGCACUUUAUCACUUUUUUAAUUGGAUAGGUUCAAAUAGUGUCUGCAAAUGAGGGGUAGAAGUUACAGUCCCUCACCACCAAGAGGUUACAGCAGAAGAGGUAGGAGCCCUAGUCCUAGAGGCCGCCAUGGAGGUCGUGGUAGAGAUCUUCCUACUAGUCUUUUGGUCAGGAAUCUUCGCCAUGAUUGCAGGUUUGUUAUAAUCUUUUCCCGUUUUUCCCUUCCAGUAUUUUGCUCUCUCUCUCUCCCCCCCUUUCUCUCUCUUCUAGUGUUAUCAUAGCUGUUAAACUGGGAUGGUUCUCAUUCUUAUCAAAGUGGAUGUCAAUUCUGCUUUCUGAAUUUUUGGACUUAAAAUUUUAAUGCAUCCUUAGAAGAGUAGUAUAAUAAAAACACUCAAAAGCAUAUAAAAAGUAGAUUAUCCAUUUGUUAUAGCUACUAAAUGAAGGAAUUUGUAUAAUAUUUAUGUCUAGAGGGGAAAAAACUUGUUCCCGCUGGAUUGGUUGUUCUUGUUAGAUAGUUUUUUUUUUUUUUUGAUAAGUAAAGGAUAUGCAUUAAAAAAGGCAAAACGCCGCAAACCAUACAGGAAGUAUACAAGGCAGCUUAGGCCUCAAAAAACAAAAACAAAGAAUCACCUCCCUUUAAGUGGAAGCUAUCCACUCUAAGAAGCCUAUAAGGGAGAACGCCUCCUCACCUACAUACAAUUUGGCCCAACUNNNNNNNNNNNNNNNNNNNNNNNNNNNNNNNNNNNNNNNNNNNNNNNNNNNNNNNNNNNNNNNNNNNNNNNNNNNNNNNNNNNNNNNNNNNNNNNNNNNNCCCCCCCCCCCCCCCAAAAGCUAAUCUAUUCCUCUCCUUCCACAGCGUCCAAAAAAUACACAACGGAAUGACAUCCCAUAUCUUUUUCCUUUUCUUUCCCACAAACGAUCCCCUCCAACUAGCUAAAACCUCCUUUACAGUUCCUGGAAAAACCCAUUUCACAUCAACUAAACCAAAAACAAUAUCCCAUAAAGCUCUAACCACUGUACAAUAUAUAAGGAUAUGAUUUACACUUUCUUUUUCACAUCCACACAAGAAACAACGAUUUGGAAGUUGAAGUCCUCUUCUUUGAAGUCUAUCCAAAGUUAGCACCUUCCCCCAUGACGCCUCCCACGCAAAAAAGGCAACUUUAGUUGGCACUCUUGCCACCCAAAUGCUUCUUGAAGGAAAACCUAUAUCAUCAGACUUCGUCAACAAACUAUAAGCUUCCUUGACCCUAAACUGACCACUUCUUCCUUUCCUCCAUAGAACUGAGUCUUCCUCCAAGGAGGGUUUGAAACCCCUCAAUAUGUGGAGAAAGUCCCCAACUAACUCCAACUCCCAAUCAUUGAAGUCCCUCAAAAAGUGUAGGUUCCAGUUUCCUUGACCCGAAUUUUGAUCCCACAUUUCCUCAACCGUUGAAUUUCGUUGCGCAGCCAUACCAAAGAGAUGAGGGAAACAUUGAGACAAUGAGGAUUCUGAGCACCACACAUCUGUCCAAAAUCUGAUCAUGUUACCCUUCCCUACUCGGAAUGUCAUGUUAUCCCAACACCAUUCUGAUUCUUUCCAAAUCUCCUUCCAAACCCCUACUCCAACCGCCCCAUUUGCCUUUUUGGGCCUCCAAUCAAGACCCUCCUGCCCAUACUUCACCUUGAUCACUUGUCUCCACAAAUUAUCUUUGUCACAGGCAUACCUCCAUAUCCACUUGCCAAGUACAGCUUUGUUCAACAAAGCUAGCUUUCUAAGUCCUAGCCCCCCUUUAUCCUUGUCUGUACAUACCACAUUCCAUUUAACCAGAUGAACUUUUCUCUCCAUAUUUCCCCCUCCCCACAAAAAAUCCCUUUGCACUUUCUCAAUCCUUCUAACAACAACCUUGGGCAUUCUGAAAAUAGACAUUUGAUAGAUUGACAUGCUAGCCAAGGUACUUUUUAUUAAGGUGACUCUUCCUCCUUUAGAAAUAUAUUGCCGUUUCCAAAGAGCUAGACUCCUCCUUACUCUCUCCUCCACCCCAUCCCAUAUAUAAGGCGCUCUAUUUGGGGCCCCUAAAGGAAGACCCAAGUACUGAGAAGGUAAAGUCCCCACCCUGCAGCCUAGCUCAACAGCCAACUCCUCCAUCUCCAUCACCUCUCCAACUGGAAUGAUUUCACUCUUGGCUAAAUUAAUCCUUAGGCCUGAAGCCGCUUCAAACCAGAAUAAAAUUCAACUUAAGUGAGUUAGAUGAUCCUUUCUGGCCUCACAGAAAAUAAUUGUGUCGUCAGCAAAAAACAAGUGAGAGAUGUUCAAAGAGGGGCCACUUCCACCCCUUAUGUUGCAUCCUGAUAAAAACCCCCUCUCCACAGCUCUCCUGAUAAGAACAUUUAACACUUCCAUCCCCAUAAUGAAGAGGUAAGGAGACAAAGGAUCCCCUUGUCUAAGGCCUUUAGUGCUAGGGAAGAAACCUGCAGGCACUCCAUUAACCAACAUUGAAAAUUUAGCUGAGGAUAGGCAACUCCACAUCCACCCCACCCACUUAGACCCAAAGCCCAUCUUUUGCAACACCUUCAACAAAAACUUUCAAUUGAUGCUGUCAUAGACUUUCUCUAUAUCCAAUUUGCAUAUAAUGCCCUUUUCUUUUUGUUUCUGCCACGUGUCUAUCACUUCAUUUGCAAUUAAAGAAGCGUCAAGAAUUUGUCUUCCCCUCACAAAGGCAUUCUGAGAAAUGGAAACCACCUUACCAACUACUUUCUUCAGUCUAUUAGCUAGCACUUUAGCCAAUAACUUGUAAAGCCCCCCCAAGAGACUAAUAGGUCUGAAGUCUCUAAGGUCCUCAACCCCACUUUUCUUGGGGAUCAGCACUAAGAAGGUAUUGUUGAGACUCUUGAGGAAAGAACUGUGAUCGUAGAAGUCUUUGAACAUUUCUAAAAUCUCCUCUUUAAUGAACUCCCAACAACUUUGCCAGAAUGCCAUAGUAAAGCCGUCCGGACCGGGGGCUUUAUCCCCAUUCAUCUCCAUCAAAGCCACAUGGAUUUCAUCCUUUGUAAAGGGCCUCUCCAAGUUUUCAGCCUCUUGUAGGCUGAUCUGAUCAAACUGAAGGCUCCCUAUGUCCGCCUUCCACCCCAUAUCUUCUGAAAACAAACUUUGAAACGCAUUAGCAAUUCCUUCCCUGAUUUCCUGCUCCUCUAUCAGUCACUCCCCAUUGAUCUUUAUUCUCUCCAAAGAAUUAUUUCUACGGUGAGCGCUUGUCAUGCGAUGAAAGAAGCCCGUGUUUCUAUCCCCCUCCUUUAGCCAUAUUUCCCUAGAGAGCUGUCUCCAAUGAGUUUCCUCCAUAAUCACCCAUUUUCUAUAAUUAUCCUUUGCCUCUUUCUUAAGCUCUGUUUCCUCCACAGUCAGAAUUCUUUCACUUUCCUCCCUAUCCCAGAAUUCCACCUGUUGCAAGGCUAAGGAUUUAUUGCUCUCCAGCUUUCCAAAGACUUCUCUAUUCCAAACUUUCAAUUUCUGUUUGAUUUCCUUCAUCUUAGUAGCCAAUUUGUAACUAGCACUGCCCCUAACCUCAAUUCCUUGCCACCAACUGUGCACAAGAUCUUUGAAGCCCUCAACCUUAAGCCACAUAUUUUCAAAUCUGAAUGGAGUCGGGCCUCGUCUUAUCCCCCCCCCACUAACGUAAUUGGGAAGUGAUCGGAUACCGGACGGGGCAGCCUACACUGAUUAAUCCCAUUGAAUUGGUCUGUCCAACUAGGGGACACCAGGAACCUGUCCAAUCUUGCCCAUGCCUGAUUGUUUUGUCCCCCAUUCCAAGUAAAUUCUCCCCCCUGAAGGGGAAGAUCCAUCAGCCCUAGAUCAUCCACAAUUUCAGCAAAUUUCCUCAUUGCUGAAUUCAUUCUCCUCUGGCUACUCCUUUCCCUCGAAAACAAAGUAAUGUUAAAAUCCCCCCCUAUACACCAAGGGUCUUCCCACAGCCCUCUAAUCGCCCCCAACUCAUCCCAUAAAGCAUCCCUUUCCACUUUGGAGAACAGACCAUACACUCCCGUAAAAAUCCAUAUAGCCCCAUUUUCUACAUUCCGGAAUCUGCAAGAUAACGUAAACUGACCCUCUUCCCAAUCUAGAAUAUCCAAAGACCUUCUAUCCCAGCAAAUCAGAAUCCCUCCCGAAACCCCUUCCGCAUUCACAGCUUUCCAAUCUAGGAAUCUUCCGGAGCAUAUACUUCUCGCAAUGCUAUCCGACAUAGCUUGAAUUUUAGUUUCCUGAAUACAGAUUAAGUCCACCCUCUAGUUCCUUAUGAACGUCUUAAUAACUUUUCUUUUAGAACUAUCAUUUGCUCCCCUCACAUUCCAACUCAGAAUUUUCAUCUUCAUUGGACAAUCACAAUCUGGCGCCCUUUGCCCUGUACCGAGCCUUUCUGUUUAAUUCCCCCCUCAUAAUUAAUGGAGCAUUCCAGUCUUUUUAACUCCCUUUCAAACUUAGAUUUUUCCAGUAGCUCUUUACUAUGGAUUUUCUCCCUUCUUUUUCUGAUUUUAGUCAGAAAAUUCAGGAUUUCCUUCUCCAAUCCCUCCGUGUGGAAUCCUAGGAAUUGGCUGAAUUUCGCCAAACCACUCUCCUCCCAUUUGCCCUCCUGCUCACCUCUCUCUGUUUGGGUAUCAUAUAUGUCACCGACCCCAAACAUCCCCUUGCCCUUAUCACUGUUACUUUUAUUUGCUCCCAAUUCCUUACAUCCAUUGCUCCUUUCAUUACAGCCCUCAUACACCGUUAACCACAUUGUAUUGUCAGCCCGAGCUUCCCAUUCCAGUCCCCAGAAUGAUCGAAAAACUCCCCUCCCGGAGUCCGAUAAAAAAUAAUAGAAUUGAGAUGAGAGGUCCCUAAAACCCUUUUCCCCCAAGAGCACAACCCCAUUCCAUACCUCAUUGACUCCUCUUCAAGCGCCUUAUCCGUCUCUGAUAUCCUAGCCACACCAUUUAACUUCCUCAUGUCCUCAGUCUCCCGUGCAACAAAAGGCUCUGGCACAUGAGUAUUACCUGGAGCGAGACCCAUCAACAGUAAGUCCUUCUUCUGAGAGUUAUUAUGGUCUUGGGCUGUUGAGGAAGAUGGGCCCUCCCUUAGCUUUACAACUAUAUCAGACUGUUGGGUACAUCCCUUUGAGUUUGGGCCUUUGUUUGAUGGCGACUCUGGGCCUAUAGUGGAACAACCCACCUCAUCAAGCCUAUGUGACGGGCCUGCUUCUGGACUAAUCUCGCUUGCAACCACACCCUUCAUCUUCAAGCCCAUGACUCCACUCUGCAGACCAGGCCCACCAACCCCUCUUGACUCCUUUGGGUUCGCAGUUGGGCUUAAGAGAUGCAUUGCACCAGUUUGAGCCCAAGACUGGGUUAUUGGGCUUCGGACUGCGCUGGAUACAACCCGACCCGGUCCAAUCUCCUGCUCACCCGUCCCAUCAUCUGACGGGUGCAGGGUCUCGAGCCUCACGCUCACCCACCCCUUCGUCACUCGCUUCUCCGCGUGUGAGAUCUCCUCACCCCUAACCUCACUGCUAUGACGACCAUCUGCUUGUCUGCAACUCCUCCUUAGCACCGGACGACAUUCCCACCAUAAGGAUACCGCGUAGACCUCCUCCUCCGCUUCGACUUCCAGGACACUCGGUCUAGCGUUACCUCUCCCUCUCACCAAGAUUCUGGCCCACUGGAGCUCGCCCAUCGUUUUCGUUUGUUCAUCGAUUGUGAUAAAGCCGCCACAUUCAUCCCCCACUUUCUUCAAAAUCUCUGGGCUCCAAAGCGAGACUGGAAGCCCAAAUAAUCUCACCCAAAUUUCCUUUGUCUCUUCCUCCUCUAUCCAACAUCCACUCCUAGGACUCCAGAAAUCCAGCCCUACCUGGACUCCUUCCAUCGUGCGGUUUCCGGAGGAUACAACACGACAAGCCUCUUCCAAAUCUUCAAAGUCCAGUAGAACCCUUCCCUUUUCCAACUUAGCCAACCCUAAGCUACCUUUAAGCUCCCACGAUUUUGCCCAAAGCUGUCCCAACUUCUCAAGAUCAUCUUCUCCCCCUAAGUUAUCUUUCCUAUUCGCCACGACACAAUGUUCCAAUUUCUUUAACAAUCCUAUUGAUUCCUCCCUUUUCACCUUCACUACGAUUGCGUUUGGAUUGCCCGACAGAGUUCGUUUUGCUAUUGAUGCAUACGAUCUCCCCCUAACAGUCUUCCCCAUGUUCUUUCCUUCCUGGGUUUCUGGUUUAUUGCCAUAAGAGCCUACCACCUGGUUAAGCUUCUCCGCCAUGGUCAUCCACCCCCUUUUAUCCCUUCUGCCUCUCGGGAUGAAGAUGCGGAAACGUUUCCUCUCUAGAUCGGAGACCCCUAGCCGNNNNNNNNNNNNNNNNNNNNNNNNNNNNNNNNNNNNNNNNNNNNNNNNNNNNNNNNNNNNNNNNNNNNNNNNNNNNNNNNNNNNNNNNNNNNNNNNNNNNNNNNNNNNNNNNNNNNNNNNNNNNNNNNNNNNNNNNNNNNNNNNNNNNNNNNNNNNNNNNNNNNNNNNNNNNNNNNNNNNNNNNNNNNNNNNNNNNNNNNNNNNNNNNNNNNNNNNNNNNNNNNNNNNNNNNNNNNNNNNNNNNNNNNNNNNNNNNNNNNNNNNNNNNNNNNNNNNNNNNNNNNNNNNNNNNNNNNNNNNNNNNNNNNNNNNNNNNNNNNNNNNNNNNNNNNNNNNNNNNNNNNNNNNNNNNNNNNNNNNNNNNNNNNNNNNNNNNNNNNNNNNNNNNNNNNNNNNNNNNNNNNNNNNNNNNNNNNNNNNNNNNNNNNNNNNNNNNNNNNNNNNNNNNNNNNNNNNNNNNNNNNNNNNNNNNNNNNNNNNNNNNNNNNNNNNNNNNNNNNNNNNNNNNNNNNNNNNNNNNNNNNNNNNNNNNNNNNNNNNNNNNNNNNNNNNNUCCCCCUCCUCACCAUCACACUCACCUACACACUCUCUCUUGCCUUCUCUCGCUCUCUCUCUCUCUCUCCCAUUUUUUUUUUCUUUUACACAUUCUUCUUAGUGUUAUUGUUCUUGUUAGAUAGUUAUUUAUUCUUUGUUUAAAUAAUGGUUUUUGAUUUUUUUAAUAGUUUAUUAAAGUCAACAAUGUUUUUUUUUUUUUGAUAAGUAAAUCAUAAUUGUAUUAAAACAAAGGCGAAAAGCCACAAAGCAUACGGGGGUAUACAAAGCAACUAACACCUCUCAAGCAAAAAAGAAAGCCAACAAAGCCUCACCACCCCUUAAUUGGAAGCUAACCACUCCAAGAAGCCUAUAAGGGAUAGAGACUCCUCUCCAAUAUACAAUCUAGCCCAGCUCCAUAAAUUACAAACAAAAAAAUUCUUAAGUUUUUGAAUAUCUAACACACCUCCCCUAAAAGUUAAUCUAUUCCUCUCCUUCCAAACCGUCCAAAAAAUACACAACGGUAUGGAUUUCCAUAUCUUUUUCCUUUUCUUCCCCACAAAAGGGCCUCUUCAGCUAGUUAAGACCUCCUUUACAGUUUCUGAAAAGACCCACUGCACACCUGAUAACCCAAGGACAAUAUUCUAUAGGACUCUGACCACUAUAUAGUGUAUAAGAAUAUGAUUUACAAUUUCUUCUUCACACCCACACAAAAAACAACAAUUAGGGAGCUGUCAUCCUCUUUUCUGAAGCCUGUCAAGAGAAAGCACCCUCCCCCACGUAGCCUCCCAAGCAAAGAACGCAUUCUUGGUUGGAACUUUAUCCACCCAAAUACAACUUGACGGAAAAGCAAUGUCAUUGGGAUUGACCAACAAGUUGUACGCUUCUUUGACCUUAAACUGUCCAUUUCUUCCUCCCUUCCAAAAAACUGAGUUUUCCUCCAAAGAGGGCCUGUGACCCCUCAAAACAUAGAGCAAGUCCCCUACCAUAUCCAACUCCCAAUCAUUAUUACCCUCAAAAAUCUUAGAUUCCAACUCCCUUGACCAAAAUUCUGAUCCCCCAUCUCCUCCACUGUAGCAUUCCUAUGAGAAGCCAGAGCAAAUAGAUGAGGGAAGUUUUGGGAUAGCGCUGUACCAGUGCACCAAACAUCAGUCCAGAAUCUGAUUUUGGUGCCCUUCCCAGCUAUGAGCACCAUGUUAUCCCAACACCAAUCAGAUGCCUUCAAAAUUUCCUUCCAAACCCCUACUCCGAACGCCCCAUUAGCCUUCUUUGUCCUCCAAUUAUGACCUUCUUGCCCAUAUUUCGCCAUUAUCACUUGUUUCCAAAGACUAUCUUUAUCAAAAGCAAACCUCCAAAUCCAUUUACCAAGCAAGGCUUUGUUCAAGAGCGCUAGCUUCCUUAAGCCUAGCCCACCCUUAUUCUUGUCCGCACAAACCACCUCCCAAUUAACUAGAUGAGCUUUCCUUUCCAAGUUUCCCCCCUUCCCCAAAGAAAAUCUCUUUGCACUUUUUCUAGCCUUCUAGCAACGGUCUUAGGCAUCCAGAAGAGAGACAUAUGAUAGAUUGGCAUGCUAGCCAAAGUGCUCUUUAUGAGAGUGAUUCUCCCACCUUUGGAAAUAUAUUGCCGUUUCCACAGCGCAAGUCUCCUCCUCAUUCUCCCUUCCACCCCAUCCCACACAAAAUGAGCCUUGUUAGGAGCCCCUAAAGGCAGACCCAGAUACUGAGAAGGCAAAGAACCCACCCUAUACCCUAACUCCGCUGCCAGCUUAUCAAUCUCCUCCACCACACCAACUGGGAUGAUUUCACUUUUGGCCAAAUUAAUCCUUAGACCUGAAGCAACUUCAAACCAGAAUAAAAUCCAGCUUAAGUGAGUUAGGUGCUUUUUAUUAGCCUCACAUAACACAACUGUGUCAUCAACAAAGAAUAAAUGGGAAAUGUUCAGGGUGGGCCUUCUACCACCCCGAAUACUACACCUUGAAAGGAAACCCCCAGCAAUAGCCCUCCUAAUAAGAGCAUCUAGCACUUCCAUUCCCAAUACAAAGAGGUAUGGAGAUAUGGGAUCUCCUUGGCGUAGCCCCUUAGUACUCGUGAAAAAGCCAGCUGGCACCCCAUUAACCAGAACUGAGAACUUGGCUGAAGAUGAACAACUCCACAUCCAACUCAACCACUUUGAUCCAAAUCCCAUUUUUUGUAAGGCCUUCAACAAAAACUGUCAGUUAAUGCUGUCAUACGCUUUCUCAAUAUCCAAUUUGCAUAUGAGCCCUUUCUCUUUUCUUUUCUGCCACGAGUCUAUCACCUCAUUUGCAAUUAAUGAAGCAUCAAGAAUUUGUCUUCCCAACACAAAGGUAUUCUGGGUUGGGGAUACCACUUUACCUAACACUCUCUUGAGUCUGUUAGCUAACACUUUAGCCAGCAGUUUAUACAGCCCCCCCAAAAGGCUAAUGGGUCUAAAAUCCCCAAGAUCCUCAGCCCCACCUUUCUUAGGAAUCAGAACCAAGAAAGUAUUAUUGAGACUCUUGAGAAAAUAGCUUUGCUCAUGGAACUCCUUAAACAUUUCCAGAAUCUCCUCUUUAACGAAAUCCAAACAGCUUUGCCAAAACGCCAUAGUAAAGCCAUCCGGCCUAGGGGCUUUGUCCCCAUUCAUCUCCAUCAAAGCCGAAUGGACCUCAGUCUUAGAAAAAGGGAUCUCCAAAUUCUCUGCUUCUUGCUGGCUGUUUUGUUCUAAUUGUAGCCUCCCAAUAUCCGUCUUCCAACCCGAAUCUUUAGAAAGCAUCUGCUGGUAGGCAUUAGCAACCCCUUCCCUCACUUCCUGCUCCUCUGAAAGCCACAUCCCAUUAAUUUUAAUUCUGUCCAGGGAGUUAUUUCUACGAUGGGCGUUUGCCAUAUGAUGGAAAAAACCCGUAUUUUUAUCCUCUUCUCUUAGCCAUAUCUCCCUUGAGAGUUGUCUUCAGUGGGUUUCUUCCAUGAGUACCCAUUUUUUAUAACUUUCCUUUGCUUCCUUUAUUUGGAGUGUCUUGGGUUUUGCCUUUUUCAGUUAGAGAGACCCUUCUAAGUUGGAAUGGUUUUUUCCUGGGCAAAAAUCGCAAGAAGGCGUGGAGAGCUGCUCCUCUUCACAUUUUUUGGACGGUUUGGAAGGAGAGGAAUAGAUUGGCUUUCAAGGAUGAAUCGUUAUCAAUUCAGAGGCUGAAACACUCUUUUAUUCUUACUUUCUGGGCUGAGGCUAAGUUGUUCAUAGACGAUCGCCCUCUAACUAUAGCUAAUUUUAUUGAUUGGUUGGGUUCUAAGUAGGUUUGUGGUAUUCGGUUCUCUUUGUCUUUUGGCCUUUUUGAAGGCGGGUGUAUAGGUAUUGUAUACUUAGAGUCGCUAUUUUAACGUCUCUUUUUUAAUGAAAUUUAUUAACUUAUCAAAAAAAAAAAAAUGACAGACUUCUCUCACUUUCCAUCCGGUCCUAGAAUUCCACCUGCUGCAGAGCUAAAACUUUAUUGGACUCCAGACUCCCAAAAACCUCUCUAUUCCAAACUUUUAGUUUCUGUUUGAUCCCCUUCAUCUUUGCAGCCAAUCUAAAGCUAGCAGUGCCUCUAACCUCAAUCCCCCUCCACCAACUUCGGAUAAGAUCUAUAAAGCCUUCAACCUUAAGCCACAUGUUUUCGAACCUAAAAAGAGAGGGACCUCUUCUUAGCUCGCCACCCUUUAGAAGGACAGGGAAGUGAUCGGAGAUAGGCCGAGACAAUCUGCUUUGGAGCACACCACUGAAAUGAUCUAACCAACUAGGAGACACAAGAAACUUGUCCAAUCUAGCCCAGGACUGAUUGUUAAGACCCUUGCUCCAAGUAAACACUCCCCCUUGCAGUGGAAGAUCCACUAGUCCUAACUCGUCGAUAAUUUGAGCAAACCUCCUCAUCGUUGAGGUUAUUGUCCCUUGUCUGCUUCUUUCUCUUUGGAAGAGGGUAAUAUUAAAAUCACCCUCUAAGCACCAAGGAUCUUCCCAAAUUUCUCUAAUGGCCCCAAACUCUUCCCACAAGCAUUCCCUUUCCUCUUUGGUGAAAGGACCAUAGACUCCCGUGAACACCCAGACAACCCCAUCUUCCACAUUCCUAAAUUUGCAGGAUAGAGAGAAUUGGCCAUCCUCCCAAUCCAAUAUUUCCAACGACCUUUUAUCCCAGCAAAUCAAGAGGCCUCCCGCUACCCCAUCCGCAUCCAAAGCCCUCCAAUCUAAGAAUCUCCCCGACCCUAAGCUUCUCACCACACCCUCCAACAUUGGUUGGUUUUUUGUCUCCUGGAUACACAGUAAAUCAAUCUUUUGAUUCCUUAUGAAAGUCUUGAUGAUUUUCCUUUUGGAAUUGUCAUUUGCUCCCCUCACAUUCCAACUUAACAACUUUAGCUUCAUUGAUCUACUGCAAUCUGACACCCUUUGCCCUGUGAUGGGCCUUUCUGCUUAUUCCCCUUCUCAUAAUUAACUGAGCACUCCAACCUCUUUAACUCCCUUUCGAAUUUUGACUUCUCCAACAACUCUUUGUUAUGAAUCCUCUCCCGUCUCUUUCUUAUUUUGAUCAGAAAGCUCAGAAUUUCCUUUUCUAGACCCUCUGUCCAAAAACCUAAGAAGUGACUGAACUUUGCUAGGCUACUUUCCUCCCAUUUGUCCUCUUUCUUGCUCCUGAUAUCUUGAGGCUCAGACAUAUCUAAGCCCCACUCCGCACCCCUAACCUUGUCACUGACACUAGUGAAUUCUACCAAGUCCCAGCAGCCAUUGCCAUCCUCUCCGGGCCCAACUUCAGUUAACAAUCCCAAUGGAUUCUCAAUCCCGGUUACCUCCCCUAAAACCCCAGAACGAUUGUAAUACUCCCCCUCCGGAGCCCGAUCAAAAGAAUAAGGAAUAAGAUGAGGAGACCCAUAGACCCAUUUUCCCCUUGUUUUUAAAACAGAACCAUACCUCAAAGAUUUUCCCCUGCUCUUCCCUGCCAUCUAUUGUCUGCCUUGAAGGCAACCCUUCUUGACGUGGGUAUAACCUAUUCUACACCCAAAGAGAGAAACACCAAGAUACUGACCAUUAAACUAUUCUAAAUUGCAGCAGAAGUUUUUUUAUUCUCUAUCUCCAUCCCUCUCUUACACGUAAAACUCUGGUUUGAGAGUUCACUCUCUUUCUUUAAAGUCAUUAAGAUUUAUUUUUUAGACUACCAAUAUAAAGAACAGAGUUUAAAGGUGCCUAAGAAUCCAAUAUCUCUAUAAAAGCAAACACCCUCCUACCUAAAUUGCCACCCAUAACAACAUUGUAGGAUUUCAUAGAGAAGACCUUGUUAGAAAGCUGCUCCUUUAUCUUCCUCCAGAAGCAAAUCCAUCCUCUCCAACUCUUGAACUUUAGGAUGAGCCCCUCAAGGUGUAUUCAAGAAAAAGAAAAAAAUAGUUUUAUAAUUUGGGAUGUUUUUAAAUUUUUCCUUAAAAUGAAGUUUCUAAACUUUAAAUAAAAAACACUCUUUUUCUAAACUUUCUAAAGUUUAAGUUUCUAAUUUUGAUAAGAAAGUUUUUAUUUUUCUUUUUAAUUCUAUUCUUUAGAGGUUUUAGGAGCUCUAGAAAAGAAAUAAAAGUUCUAAUAAAUUACUAUAUAGAUUAGGUGUUUUUCCUAUGGUUUUAUUGAGAUUUUAAAUUUUUUCAAAAACUAUAAAUAAGACUAAUUGUCCUGUUUACACUAUCUUUUUUGCACAUUUGCAAUUUGCAAAUGACACUAUCUUUUUUUCUAAGUGUUAGUGCAGAAGAGUUGCAAAACCUUAAGCUUGUCCUAUUGAUUUUUGUGCACAUUUCAAGUCUUAAGAUUAUUAUUAUUAUUAUUAUUUUUUGAUAUGUAGAUAGAGAAUCAAUUGAAAGAGUGCAAAUAAAAGGGGGUGCAGCCUAAGUAUACACAAAAAACAAAAUAAAGAAUACUAAUAGGUAUCUACAAAAAAUUAGCCUCAAUACCAAACUAUCUGCAACUAAGGUUAUCUAUGAAGGCCAACAAUGAGAAAUUUCCCCUAUCUAAUGAGGCUUUGGACCAAUCAAAGAGGGGAUUAAUGAAACUCUCCUUUAACCUUUGAUUUACAAGUUCUUCUUUAUUACAGAUUUUGCGAUUUCUCUCUUUCUAAAUACACCAGAACAAGCAUACAGGUGCCAUUUUUCAAACAUGAUGGCUCUUCUUAUCCGAUCCCUUGAACUUCCAUUCGAGAAGCAGAUUCCUCACUGUAGCUGGAAACAUCCAACUCUAACCAAAAAUUGACAUAAGGAACAUUUGUAACACCCUUGUCUUUGCACAGUGAAUCAAAAUGUGAUUAACAAAAUCUUCUCAUUCUUUGCAAAGAUUACAUCUAUUAGCUAUCGUCCACUCCCUCUUCAUUAAAAAGUCUAGAGUUGAGGUUUUCCCCUAAUUUAGACAAACACGUUGUUAGGAAUCAACAUGAGUCAAUAUCAUAUUACAAAAUUGGCUUCGUUUCUAAUACAAUCUUGUUUGUCUCACAUCCUUGGUUAUUUCCUCUCUUUGUACAAAAUCUCAUUAUCGAUAGUAAUUAUGAUUGAGACAAUGUAGACGGAUUUUCUUCGAUCAAGGUUUGGGGAGGGCAAGAGACAUCAUCUUAUUAGCUGGAACAAAGUGUGCAAGCCUAAGGAGGAAGGAGGGUUGGGGGUUAAGCAGAUAUCUUUGAGGAAUAGGGCCCUUUUUGGGAAAUGGCUUUGGAGGUUUCAUAGGGAAAGAACAACUCUUUGGCAUAAGGUUAUAUUGAGCAUCUAUGGGACACGCCUCAAUUGUUAGUACGCAAACAUUUCAGUUAGGUAGUCACGUUGUUGUCCUUGAAAAGCCAUUGGUUAGGCAUUUUAGGAUUUCUACAUAUUACCUGUUUUUUGGUGGACAAUGGGACAAAGAUCCGUUUUUAGGAAGAAUCGUGGUGGGGUGCCAUCCUUAUCAAAGAAAAAUUCACUAGGAGUUCUUUGAAGGACUAGGGGUGCAUCCUUGAAAUCCUUUUCCUCUUUCCUUUCUAAUCAAAUUUUCAUUUCUUAUAAAAGAAAAAGGAUAAAAGAAGAAACCUUUCUGGGGAACACACAUCUCAAACUGCUCAAGAGCCCCAGAUAGGCCAAUACAUAGGAAAAAAAUUAAUGCAUUUCCUUUCACAUAUCAGGAUCGUAGCCAUCAAAGAUUUAAUGUUGUCAAUUUAGGCUUCUUUUUCUUCUUGGGCUUUGACAUUUCAUUUUUGUUCUCUGCUAAACUAUAUUUGGUUUUGUUGUCCUACAGACCUGAAGACCUCCGCAGACCAUUUGGCCAAUUUGGUCCUCUCAAGGACAUAUACUUGCCACGAGAUUACUACACUGGGUGAGCAAACUUAGUUAAAGUAAAAUCGUUUGAAAUUUUUGGAAGUUUUAAAUUUACUUUGUAGUUUCAAAUUUUGUUCCUCUUUAUAUUUAGUUUUGUUUAUAUUUUCUUUUUAUGUAGGUUUUCAUAGAUAUUGUUGAAUCUGCAUCUAGUUUGAUUUGUGUGUCUUAGAUGAACUUAAUCUGUCCACCUUGGCACCUUACUCAUUCUCUCUCUCUCUCUCUCUCAUUUGCUUCAGCUCUUCCUUAUACCAAAAUUACUGUUUGGGUAAUAGGUUUCUCUUUAUGAUAUAUUUAUUAUUUUAGCUAUAGCUUUUUGUUAAAAUUUUUUAGAUUCAACAGAGAAAAAAACGUAUUGAAGACAUCAGUCAAGUAAUAAGAGUUCUGUUGAAGAUGAUUCUAAUGUUUGUGAAGAUUGGAAGGAAGUUGGUUUGAAUGUUUUGAAGAUGUUCAAGUCUUGAAGAAUUUCAAGUCAUAUUGAACCUUUGACAUGCGCAAGGUCAGCAGCCAUGUGCUUGCUUUUACUUGACCUGUGUGAAUACCAAUAGUAUUUCUGUAAUAAUCAUGACCUCCCUACCUGGAAUAAUUUUUUUGUUCAUUGUCUUUAACAUGCACAAUCACUGUCAUGGAAUUGUCAUUAACACAACCUCCUUUUGCAAUGUUGAAUCUGCUAACCCUGCAGGGAGCCUCGUGGCUUUGGUUUUGUCCAAUAUGUAGACCCUGCUGAUGCUGCAGAAGCCAAAUAUCAAAUGGAUGGACAAGUUCUUCUUGGCCGAGAGCUGACUGUUGUAUUUGCAGAGGAAAAUAGGAAGCGGCCAGUUGACAUGAGGGCUAGAGAGCGAACAAGGUAAACUGCUUAUUAUGUUUUCAGGGACAUGCUUGCUUUGAUUAGGCAUUGUUUUUGGUGUCUCCUCUUUUCUUUUUAUACGACGUUUCUUUACCUAUCAAAAAAAAAAAAAAAGAUUAGGCAUUGACUUGCAGCUUCACCUCUUUAUGGACUUUAGGGGAUUAUACCAUAUCAAGGCAAUUAGAACCUACCAAAGACCAAAUGCAAUAGUCAGAAUAAGUACAGGCAUCAAAAAGUUAGAUAGUGAUAGACAUGCUAGAAAUUAUGAGGCUUUUUAUGUUUCCCUGACUAGAACAUUAUAAAUGUUAUAAACAUCAUAACUCUCAGUCUACACUAAUAAAUUCCAAUCUAUAAGUUGUAUAGUGGAAUUAAAAAAAGGUAAUCCAUAGUAUCAAAUAUCAUAUCCAACAUAAAUUUUUUAUUGGCAAACAGAAAAUAUAUCAGAAAAUACAAAGGGGUGUCACCCCAGUCUAUACAAUAAGUAUAUAAGCGGCAUCUAAUAAUGUAAAGAAAAAAGCCUAUCAAUAAUAAUAAUAAUGUAAAGAAAAAAAAAAGAGACCAAAUAUAGAAAUAAACAAGGACCACCAAUAAAACAAAAGAAAGGAAAAAAUGCAAAGGGCCCAAAGCAAGGGUCAAAAGAAAGGCUUUAGGCCAUCCCCUACCUCUCAAUAGUUAUUAGCUCAUUUCCCAUAAAGAUUCCCUCUAUUUAAGGGAUAUGGUUUUCAAUUCAGCCCACUACCUGAGACCUUAAAAAACUCUUAAAUUUCAUUCCACCAAUGUAAACUCAAUGGACCUAUUCUUUCACUUCAUUCUGUUAUGCAGAGAACUGUGCCAUCUUGUCAAAGAAUCCUUUCACCAGUUUAGGCAUCACAUAGGAGACUCCAAAACAUGAAAUAGUGGAAGCCACAUGUUUCAAUCUAUUCCACAAGAGGGUGAUUAAUGGAUUUCUCAUUUUCUUUGCACAUCCAACACUUGUUAUUAUAACCAAUGUUUUUAAAACUGGACCAAUCACUGAAAUAGAAAAUUUACUAGGUCACAGUUUAACAGUUGGACUAAUGGUUGAACCAUAGCUGAGCCAUAAUGCUAGUGUGACAUCAUAAAUAUAUAAUUUUUACAUAUUAUUAAAAUUUAAAAUAGUUAUAAGUAGUUAAAACUAUAUAGAAAUAAUUAAAAGACUUAAAAUAUUUUAUCUUUAAUAUUAUUAUAUUAAAUCGUGGUAAGGAUCAAAUUUAAAUGUAUUAAGAUUUUUUAUUUUAUUAAAUUGUAAAAUUAUAAUAUUUAAUAAAAUUAUAAUAUUUAAUUAUUAAGAAGAUAUAUCAUUUAUCAAAGAGUGAAAUAAAAUUUUAUUAUUAUUUUAUUCACAUUUCAUUAACUUUUUAUUUUAUCAUUUUUUAUUUGAAUUUCAUUAGCUUUACAAUUUUAUCAUUUUAUUAUUUAGCUUGGUACAACUGCAUGUCUAAAUAGUGAAUAUAUUUAGUGUAUGCAAAUACUAGAACAACAAGGGCAUUUGCGUAGUGGUAACCGGCCACAAUCCUCUGAAGGGAUGGCUCAGAUUCAAAACCUCUCUAUGCCUUUCGUUGCAUUUUUGGGGACAAGAAAAAAAAGAACAAAGGGGUCAAAUUGAUGGUCCAGUUAGCCAGUUUUCUAGUCUGACCGGCUGGUCCACUGGUUCAAUGCUGUUCUAAAGCCAAAAAAGGCCCACUUAGUGAACCCAACUAGAGACAUGACCCAUCAGCUGUUCAACUGGUCUGGUCCAGCCAACUAGACACCUUCUUUGUGUGCUACAACCUGAACAAAUCCAAAAGCAAUCCUUUGGCAUGAUCUCCCCACACCUAAGAUUAUACCAGAACCUGGUCCUCAGUCCAAUUGCCACAGAUAUCCUAGUUAGAGCAUGACAGUUAUCUCACCCCCAUCCAAUGGCCCUCCCUUUCCCUCCCUAGAACACCAACCACCUUCCUUCUUGUCAAACUUGUCCACACAACUUUCCUCUAUGAUCUAUCUGAAUCAGUUGCAACCUUCUACAACCAUUUAAUAAAGCUUUGUUAAGAAAAAACAAACUUCUAUUCCUAACAUCAGCACCAACCCAAUUGCUUUCUUAGUUGGUAGUGGGUGGAGGGUGAAAUUUUGGAAGGAUGAGUGGUGUGAUGAUGUGGCACUGUGUACUUCUUACCUUGCUCUUUAUGCUAUUGCUGGUUCUAAGGAGGAUCGGGUGGCAGAUGUUUGGCACUCGACAAUUGAAGAGGGGUGUUGGGCCCUUCGUUUUUCUAGGGCCCUUAAUGAUUAGGAGCUAGAUUUGGUGGAACGGUUUCUCUUGAGUUUGCAAGAGAGGAGUGUGUGUAGGGAACAAAAGGAUAAAGUGAUUUGGACAGGAUCGAAAAAUGGGAAGUUUUCUAUUAAAGCCCUAUAUUCGACCUUGGAGACAGAAAGUACAAUGCCAUUUCUUGUUAGUGUGAUUUGGAAUUCUUGGGUUCCCUCGAAGGUGGGUUUUUUUUUUUUUUUUUUCACUUAGGAGGCUUCUCGGGCUAAGGUGUUAACUUUGGAUCAUUUAAAGAGGAGAGGAUGGUCUUUAGCAUAUAGAUGUUUCUUUCGUAUUGAAAACAAUGUUUGAAAUAUCGGGAUAUAUCGGAGAUAUAUCACCGAUUUUUCGAUUAUCAGAGGGCUCUGACACGAUAAAUAGCAUAGAUAUACUGAUCAUCUGAUUUUUAGGAAUUCUCUCUUUUUCGUUGAUUUGUCGGUGAUAUAUCGAAAUUUCAGUGUGGGCAUUUUUUUCGAAGCCACAUCAACACCUUUCAAUGGGUUUCACCUAAAAAUUCGAUUUGUUCGUGCAUUGGACUAGGAGAAGACGACCUAGUAAGUCCAAGCCCAACAACUCAUAAGCACUACUGCUAUAAGGGCGACGACCUUUAAAUAGGGCUUUGUUGUCUUUCAAAUUAUUGAUGUGGGACACUAUACUUUACACUUAAAAAAAAAACUCAUUUCACUACACAUAGGACCAAGACUCGAACCGAGAACCUCACAUUUGUGAGGAAUGCCCUAUGUCAUUACACCAUAACUUCAUUUGUGUAUGAAUUCAUAUAUAUAUAUAUAUAUAUAUAUAUAUAUAUAUAUAUAAUAUCUUUUAUAAAUAUAAAUAAAUUUUAUAUUUUAUAUUAUAAAUUAAUUAAAAUAAAAUUAUUAUAAAUAAGUUGAAUUUAAUUAUCUUAUCAUGUAUUUUAUACUAAGUAUAAGAUAAAUAUAAAUUUAUAAAAAAAAAAUUAUCAAUAUUUUUAAAUAAAAAAAACUUGUCUAAGCAUCAUUAUCAAUUUCUUCAAUAAAAAAUUCAAUACUUGUAUUAUUAUAUGUUUUAUCAUUUAUUAGAAGUAUUUUCCAAUAUUUUUAUGAGUUUUAAUCAAUUUUCAGUUCAUUGAUAUUUUAUGUCAAAAUAUCCAUCGAUAUUUUCCGAUAUAGCUUAAUAUAUCUAUGAAAUCAAGUUACCAAUAUAUUCGUUGAAACCGAUAUUUUUGUCCUUGAUUGAAAAGGAAGAGACCAUUGACCACAUCCUUAUCCAUUGUAUUAAGACAAGAGUGUUAUAGAAUCUUUUGUUCUCUCAGUUUAGAAGGCUUUGGAUACUUCCUUCUUUUGUUAGAGACACACUUUUAGGAUGUCAUGGUUCUUUUGUUGGUAAAAGGCAAAAAAGGUAUGGCGGCAGCUCCUCUUUGCUUAUUUUGGACCAUUUGAAAGGAAAGAAGCAGAAGAGCUUUCGAGAAUGAGGAACAGUCUAUUCAAGGGUUAAAACAUGUUUUCCUUUGUAAUCUAUGGGAUUGGUCAAGGUUGUUUUUAAUUUUUGGUCCUUCUUCAAUUGUAGAUUUUGUGGAUUAGGUGGGUUCUUUUUGCGGGGGGCGUAGUUUUUGUAGGUCCUUCUCCUUUUUUUGUGUUUUUAAGAGUUUGUUGUAUACCGCCCUAUGUACUUUGGAGCGUUAGCAUUGUUUUGACAUUUUUUGUUUAUAAUACACUAUUGCUUUACUCAUCAGAAAAAAAAAAAAAAAAAAACAUCAGCACCAACUCAUCCACAUUUUCCACAUUCCCUACCAAGAGAAGCUUACUCUUCCCAAGAUCUACUUUUAAAUCAAUAACUACUCCUAAGCAAAAAAUGAUGCACCUAAGAUACAAUGACUUUAGUCUCAUUGAAUGAUAGUGUCAAUGACAAACAUGAAACAAAAAUCUAGAACCCUUAUCACUAUUUUCUUUUCAAUGUUAAACCAUCUGUGAAAUAUUUCUCCCCUACCCUACAUUGAAAGAGCAACACAAGGCCUUUGUCAGCAAUACAAAGAGAUAGGUUGGAGGUUCCCUUGCUUUAAACGCCUUAUGUUUUAGAAGAAACCUGUAAGUAACCAACCUAACAAUUUAAACAGUUGGUAUGUAAGAUUUAAUCCACCUAAUCCAUUUCAGAUCUAGGUUGUCUCUCCUUUUUUAGGAACCAACACAGUGAAGGUUGCAUUUCUUGCCUUUUUGCAAAAUUGCCAAAGUCAUGGACAUCCCUCUAGAAAGCCUCAGACAUCCUUUCUGUCUCCCAAUUGUUUUGUUCAAAUACCAUAGUCAAACCAUCAAAGCUGGGGGAUUUAUUCCCUCUAAGAUCAUAUAAUGCAGCUAAAACCUCAUUGAGUUUCAAGGCUUUUUGUUCUUUUAAUAGGCAAAAAGAGUGAUUGUAUUAAAAGCACUUGAAAAAGGUGCAUCAAAGUACACAUAGAGCAUAAAAAUAGCACCUUACAACAAGCAAAAGGAAAGUGCAACAACAACCUUAACCCCCAAACCAAGCCUAAAGCCCAAGAGACCUAGAAAAAAUAGUGUGCCUCCGGAUGACCUUCUUGCAGGCAUACCAAAACGGGUUGUUGCAAUCCAAACAAAGCCUAGAUGAACUUCCUCUUGACAUUGUCAGAAGCCCUCUAGCAUUCCAAAGGGAUGAAAAAGGUAUCUUCUACCCACUGCUGUGAUUUCCCACUCCCCCUUUCCACAUCCUGAUUGUCUACCUUAUGGUACCUUAUAACUCACAAAACACUCCAAUUUCUUUAGUUCCCUUUCAAAAUUUGAAGAUGAGGAGCUCUUCUCUAUUCCCUUUCAAAACUUUGUCCUAGCCUUCAUUUUUCUGAGGAGAGCCAAGAUCUCAGCCUCGAAGCCCACUGUCAGCAUGCACAGCUAGUUGCUGAAAGCUGCCAAGUUGCUUGAGGACCAAUCCUCCAUAGGCACCUUUGCCCUUGGAACUAAACCAAGACAUGCCCACUAUUCCUUAUCCUCCUUACCCACUGCAACUUCGAUUGGCCUCACCCCAACCUCUUCAAACUCCACUGAAGUGUCGUCCACCAAAACCAUUUUUAGGGGACUGCUACCCUCUCCUACUGGAUCAAUUGCAAAAUCCACCUCAGAUCCCUCUAGACCAAGGCCAUUCCUAGAAAGAGAAGGAGAAGAAGUUGCCUGUGUCUCCAGGGAAGAAACAGAGAAAAAAAUAGUACGAGGGUGUCUUAUCGCUUCUGCCAUGAGGGCCAUGCCAGUGCUUGUGCGAAGAAACACCGGGGGAGAGAGCUCAGGAUGAUGGAAAUCGUGCCCUCUAGAGGCAAAAGAAGCCCUAAAAAAGAACCAGCUCUCCAUUGGGGUAUUCUUAGAAUCAGCACCAUAGCGCAGGUUAACAGAGCCCUCACCACCACCUUGGGCCACACAAACAAGAGUAUUAUUGACCUUCUUAGAAUGAUGGCCCACUCUGCAAGUCUCCUUAGAAAUUAAAACUUUUGACCCUUCCAAUGGCCUAUUAGAUAGAUGGGCAGCCACUUCACUUGAGAAUACUUCAAAGACUUGGGCCUCUUUCAAGCCCUCAAGGCCCGCUCUUUCCAAUCCACCAACAACCCCACAUGGGGCACCCUUAAAAGAUACCAUACCCAUGCAGCCCCCAUUGCAAACAACUUUCCUCCCAUCACCAUCACCCUCUACAGCUUUUUGCAGCCCACUACCUACCAUAGCCUUUUCAGAAUUGCCAGCCAUUACUAGACCUUUCCCCUCUUUCCCCCCCUACCAUAGGGUGACAAGACAUCUGCCUCCAAUUGCAACAGCAGAACUUGCACACACAUGCUCUCUUUAGCAUGUGUGAUGUAGUAAAACCCUAGGAUGGUUGUCUACACUCAAAAAUAGGUGGGCUAGGGUUUUGUUUUUAGGAUGUAAGGAGAUGAACAAGGAAUAAAACUUAUGGUAGAGAAAAAUAAGAUAAAAAAAUAAAGAGAAAGAAGAAACGAUGAAGAAAAGAUGAAAAAACCUUAGAGUCUCACUAAGGUCUUCUAGGAAUCUCACUUAGAAGAAAACCAAUAGAGUCUCACCAUUGAGGGUUGCAAUAAUUGCAAUGAAAAAAAUAUAAUAUUAUUAACAUCAAUCAAUUCAUUCUUUUGAUUUACAUCGAUUAGCCUAUAUAGGCUUCUCUAAGAAAUCCAAAGUCUACUAAGAUUCUAAUAACCUGUUAUGACUCUAAUUAUUAUUAUAAUGUCCAAAGUUUACUAGGUCUAUAAUAACCUAUCAUGACUCAAAUUCUAAUUAUAUUAUAACUUAACUAGCUAAUCUGAAUUUGACUCCAACAAAUACUAAUCCUAUUUCAAUUGUAAUUAUUAUUAAUUCUAUUUAAAGUUUAUUUAUGUCUUCACUUUCCUCCUUGAAUAGACUUUAAAAGACUUUCCCCCAUCAAUGUGUCUCCCCUGUAACUUCACCCCUAAUAUCUAGACCAAUCCCAUUGCUCAGAACCUCUUGAGAAAUAUGUGGUGGUACUUCCCACCACAAUUGAAUGGCGAAGCAAGACAAUCCCACCACCACCAUCAACAACCCAGACUUCCUUCUCCUAUCCAAUCUCACCAAAACUCAUGCCCUUUUCAUGUGUUGGGGAUGAGCUAUGUCUUCAUCCACUGCAACAAAACCACCACAACUAUCCUCUAGCUUCUUGAACACCUCCCAACACCAUAAGUGCAGAGGAAGCCCCACCUUUCUCACCCACACUUUCUUAGCAUGCUUACCUUCCCUCACCUCUGGGGCCCAUCUAUCCAAAUGCAAAACCUUUUCCUUAUACCUUCUUAAACCCCUUGACAGCACCAUCUUUGCAUUAGGGCUACCCUCAAAAUUGAACAAGAGAAGAGCACCCCCUAGCAAUGAAAUUCUCAAUCCUCCUUUUAGAAUCCAACUAUGAUGUCUCCAUCUCCUUAAUCCAAGCAAUUUUGGAGUUAGGUCUAGAUAUUCUCCCCAUUUCCCUACUAGACAGCUACUCAAAUGCUUCUUAGGUUGAAUCUCCUUCUCAUCUGAAUCUAGACUGCUUAACUCACCAAACCAUGCUCUUUCUUAACCAAUUCUACAAAAGACCCUUUCAACAGGUCCACUUAACUACUACCUCUCUCCAUAGUUCUUAAGGCAGCCGGUGUCAGAAGCUUCCUUUCCUUCGAGGAGGAAACUACUUCGAGAUAGUCAAAGCUUCGCAGCUAGGAUAGACCACCACCCAGGGAGACCCCUUCCUUUAUGGAAAAUCAUACCGAACCUCUUGGCCUCCAAAGACCAAACCAAUUAAAGAAUGAACUUCCCUCCCCCAUUUGAAGGUAGUUCCAGCCUGAAGUUCCUCCUAUCUUCAAGCCAAACUUUGUUGCACAACUUUCCAUCCUCACCCCUACAAAGCUUCCACACCUUCCAACAAACAACACAAACUUCUUUCCCUAAACCUAAUCCACGAGGACAUGUCUUUGCAUCUUACAAGAAUUUUCCCUUUCAGUUUCCCUCCAACCACCUCUACGAAGAUUUCAAAUGACUUGGACUCCACUGCAAACUAGCACUUACCACCUCUCAUCUCUCACCCAUCUCUUGCUAGAGCUUAGAAGCUUGUUGGAGAGACAUUUCUCAACAUCAUUGAUUCUGCUAUAAUUUUAUGGGGCAAUGUAUUAAGUUUCAAGGCUACCUUCAUAGUCAGCAAUACCUUUAAUAUUAAGCCCCUAUAUGUCAGGUCUUCUUACCCCUGGAUCUAAAUACAAGUUCAGGAAGCUCAUUAAUAUUUUUUAAAAUAGGGAAGAAAGAAUUUAUCAAACAAAAGACUAGUAAAAGGGGUGCAAUAUAAGUUCAUGGGAGAAAUACAAAGGUCACCAAUAGGCAAAAGAAAUGACAACACAAACACCCCUCUAAGACUCCUUUAGCAAUUAAUUUGAGCACUCCAAGCCUUUGAAAGUUCUACCAUUGAGUUGUUGAUGCCAAAUAGGGAAGAAAGAAGUUAUCAAACAAAAGCCUAGGAAAAUGGAGUGCAAUCUAAGUUCAUGGGAAAUAUACAAAGGCCACCAAUAGGCAAAAUAAAAGACAACAUAAACACCCUUUUACUAAUUUGAACACUCCAAGCAUUUGAAAGUUCUACCAUUCAGCUGUUCAUGCCAAAUGGGCCAAAGCAAGCACAAUAAGCCAUUCUUGACAUCUUCUUUUGCUUCUUACUUACAAAGCUCCUAUUCCAUCACAGUGGAACCUCUCUUCCUGAUCACAAAAACACCCUAGAAAGGCUAAAAAGAGAGAAUAACAAAGCCACUAACUUCUACCUUUAUCACAAUGGAUUAACAAAUGAUCAACUGAUUCUUCAACACACUUACAGAGGUGCAUUUGAUUAAGACCGCCGUCCUUUCCUAAGCUGGUCCAUAAUUAAAAUCUUUUCAAGAACAACCUCCCAUGCCAAAAUGAAAAAGUCCACUUUUAUGGGGACCUAAAAGCCCAAACUUUAUUUAGCCUGGUAAAACCUCCAGAAUUAGGUUCCAAAGUGCAAUAAAAUGAUUUUUGCAAGAAAUUUCCAUCUUUAGCAUACCUCACAUGGUCACACCAACAUAUUAUCCUGAUCUGAGCACUCUCCCUGAAGUUGCUUAAGGAAAGAUCCACAGUUUCUGACUCCCAAUCAUGAAAAUGCCAUAAAAUCAAGGUUCCAAUGCCCACAUCUGCUGACUUCUUCCCAAACAUUAGAGACACAAGCAUCCUUAGAGAGGCAGUUAUGGAGAACAAAGACGGUUGGAAGCACUUAACAAGAGUCACCACAUUAUGCAAAAACCUAACCGUUCUACCAUUUCCCGCUAAAAAGUUCAUUCUUGGAAAGACCUCCACCCAUCAACUGUCUAGACCCCACUUUCUGGCCCAUUAUCUUUAAGAUCAUAUCCCACUUCAUCCAGACCAUCAAAUCUGCUCUCAUAUAAAUUCAUAUUGCCCAUGUCCCAAAUAAGGAGCUUUUAAAUUGGACAAAAAAGGAAAAUUAAAAGCCUUGAGUAGCUCUUGACAUAAUAAUUAUUGAAAUUCCAAUUGAGUCACUCCACCAAGACUGGGUUGAUAAGCCUCUAUCUCUGAAUUGCCUUCCUCUUCAACAUCUAGUAGCCAAGUUGAAGUCAUUGAACUUGGCCUUUGAUUAUGCCUAGCAGCUAGUGUAAUCCCUUGCAUCUUCAACCAACUGGACUUGCACUGUGCUAAUAUCUCUAUCUACCUUUGUCAAAUGUCAAAUCAUUUUCUGCAUCUAUCAAUAGAUCAUCGCUCCUUUUCCUUAUCAAUCAUUGGUUAUCAUAAGAAUUUUCUAGUGUGAUGGGCCAAUAAGACCAUACAUACCAUAACAUGGUUUAAGAGUUUGACUAUAUUAUAUAUAGUUUUAUUUUGUGCGAGUUUAUAAGCAUUUGUAAUAUUGAGGUCAAGUGGCUGUAAUUUACUAUUCUGUGUACAUUAAAAAGAAAUUAAAUCUAGAAUAUACAAUUAGUGGGAUUAUAGAGCAGGAUAGAGCUAAAAUUCCUCUCCAAAGGUUGAAGGGGAAGAUCUAGUCUCCAGGAUCGGUGAAGGCAAGAGAGUUAGCUGGGGGCUUGCUGAGUUCCUAGGUCUUUAGGGUUUCGGCUUUGUUUGGUGGUGGUUUGUUGCCCUUUCCUUUCGCUGCCUUUCGAUGUUAUUUGUAUAUUUUGUGUGUACUUGGUGUGCCUUUUCUAAGCACUUUUAAUAUAAUUAUUUUUUUUCCUAUAAAAAAAAAUAGUGCAGUCUCUUCUUAUUUUUCUGGUAUUAAGAUUUCUGAUAUUACGUAGUGUUGUUGGUAGGGGUCGACCAUCUGACCGCAGGAGGUCUCCUCCUCGCUAUUCACGCUCACCUAGAUAUGCUAGAUCACGGUCCCGAAGCCCUAACCACUAUCCCCCUUCUCCUAGGAGGAGGCAUUACUCAAGGUAUUUGAUAAAAAUUCCCAUUUCAAUCAUGGUUUUGUUUUUCAUAUUUUCCAUAAUUGUUUUUCAUUGGGACAGAUCUGUUUCACCCCAAGAUAAAAGGAGGUACAGCGGAGAACAGCCUUACUCUGCUUCUCCUCCUGUUAAAGGUUCAAAGAGCCAAAGUCGCAGCCCAAGCAGGAGCAGGAGCCAGACCCCCGUGGACUACUCAAGGGGCCUGGACAGGGAAAGGUCUCUAAGUCAGUGAGCAUCUAAUGGAUGAAAAGUGUUAUGCCCUCUAGUACUCGUGGAUUAUCCGAUGUUGUCUGGAACUUUGACUAUUACAUAAAUCUUACUCUAUUUUCAAACUAUUGGUUGGGAUUUUCCAGAUUUGACAUUUAUAUUUGGAAACGCUUAGCAUUUUCUGCCCACUAGCUUGACAAAGAUUGUAGUUUAAAACGUUAGGAUGCUUUAUAAUACAGAUCCUGUUGAAAUUGUAUGUCAUUGCAGGUCUUGGGUUAUAUUCUAUUUUGUGGAAUUUUCAUAUAGCUCCAUUUGUGUGGGAUACGAAGCCCGAUUUUAUUGUUAAUGACAUGCACUUCCUGCUGCCAUCCCUAUGAAUUGAUGGCACUUAGGUACCGGCCCAUCCUCUGAUGUUGAGUUCGCCUGGUUCCUUGUAGAGAGUGGCUCCCAUUGGUUGGCUCAUCAAUUUGGGUGAUAUUUACCUGUUUGGUAAAAUUUGGUUUCCCCAAAAACUAAUUACUAGGGGAAUUGGUGAACCAGAAAAAUGGUUAUCAGUCGAGAAAAAUCCAACAGAACAAGGAUACCUUGGCCCCAUUGCCUUCAACUGGAGCCACACCAGAAGCAGGUCGAUUUGUAGGGGAUUUGUUCUAAUUGAUUAAGAGAUUUCACUGGGUAGCAGAAACAAGAAAGGGAAAGAAGACAAUGUUUGCAUGUUUGCAAAAAUGCCUUAUCAUUUCUAUGGAUGCAGCAUACAUGACAUGAUGGGUCCAUUGGCACACACGAAGAUAUCCAUCAAAGGGUGGCCGAAAAUGGGAUUGAUGUAUGUGUUUGGUACCACCUGCUCGAUCAAGAUCUAAUUGUAGGGAGGGACGUUGGUCUUUCAGUUUGAGUGAUAGACAAUUGGAAAGCAGACCUUCUACCUCAUAGAAAAGCCAUGGAACUUCCCUUUCAAUUGUUCACUAAGCAAAUGCCUCUUAACCAUGACAAGCAAUGUCCACUUUUUAUUCUUAUGGCUGUGCCUCCCUCAUUUCUCAUUGUAACACCACCAAAACACAAUGGGAAAUGACGUGCGCAGAAAUUCCGGUAAACGCCACUAUGAUAUUACCAUGUCCAGGAGAACGAGGAAGGCAUUGAAUCUUGAAGAAUCCAAGAAAGAAAUCCCUCUGAAAGGUGAUGGUCAUGAAGGAGAAAAGAGGAACACUACAGAAAAAGGAGGAGAGCACGAUAAUGACCACAAGAAGAGCUUGAAGCAACUUAUUCAUGGUGAUGGAAACUUGAAGGUGAUCCUGGGUGAAGAGAACAAAUGCAGGAGUUCAUUAGGCCAACACUUCACAGAAGACAAGCAGCUUCAGCUGGUGGUAAAACAGCAAGAAGAGGUCAUGGUAGGAGUGAAGCCCAAAGGGUCGGUGAGUCAUUAUAUCAAAGUUCUGAGCCAUUUGAUCAAGGUGAAGCAGGACUCACGUUUACCUUCCCGGAAAAAACCCAUUAUUGCCUUAACGAUGUAGAAUUUAAUCAGACAGCUGGGAUGGUAUUCCAGUGCCUGAACAUCUAUAUCAUGGACGCUUCAUAGACAUACAUAUGCUUGCUAGUUUUUUUUUUUCAUUUCAUAGCUAAAAGCCUUGAUGCAUAUUGCCAUAUGUUUUUGUGGUCUCCCCUUCCCACAAAACAGAGACACAAAAAUGAAGAGAGUGUAUGCUUUUGUUAUUGAAUUAUGCACACAAUUGGAGUAGUGUACGUCUCAGUAUUAAAUCCAUGAACUUGUAUAACAUACUAGAAAUUGUGUGUUCCAAAAUAAGCAGAAAAAUACUGCAACUAUUAUUAUUAUUUAAAAAAAAAUGCAGAACAUAGCGCUACUUUUGUUUGAAUGGCAAGCUCACAGGAAGUAGGGUUGGUUCUUUUCCAAAAAGUAACUUUUCCCCUCAUAUCCUCCAUUUAUUUCCAAUGAUUUCUGUUCUUCCCAUACUUUUACAUCAGCAUAGACAGGCACCUUGUAUUUGCUGAGAUGCCUACUUUUGUGCCAAAAAUCCUGAGAACAUAGCUAAAAGGUGCAUGAGAUUUAGAGGCAAAUUGCUGCCUAAUUUCUCCUUUGCAUACAUGGGGAGGGUGAAAUUUGAUAUAUAUAUAUAUAUAGCAUAUUCUAGAGUACCAUCUCAUGGAUAAAUACAAAUACCUACAGUUACUAAUUAUAUUAUUAUUAUUAUUAUUAUUAUUAUCAAUACUAAUAAUAGUAACUUUGAAGCUUCAUAAUUAAAUGAGAUCUCAGUCUCGUCGUGGAUGAAACGGUUGAAACACAUUACAUAUUUACCAAGUCUACAUGGGAGUGACUUGGAGGGGUUAAAAUGUCAGUUACAUGGGUACAAUCAUAGAGUUUUCCUAAUCUGUAAGAACAAGAGAGAAUUAGCCUUUAGGGUAGGUUGGAAAACAUAUGACCGAGAAGGGUGAGUAUAUAUAAUAAUUCUUCUGAAGGGUAGGGUGAAAUUAUGAUAAUUCUUCCAAAGGCCUUAAUUUAUUUAAAUGCUAAGACUACCCUUAAUAAGUGAAAAGCAACAGCAAAAAAAAAAAAUCUUCUUUAACCCAGCUGCAGCUUGGCCCCACAAGGACUUGUACCCAUAUGGGCCGUCAGAAACGCCGGAAUGAUGAUCCCACCCAACGCUGUCACAACUAGCACGUUCUGGAUGAUCCCACCGACCACAACCCCCGUCGCGGGAUCCCCAAACCAGCCAGAACUCAACCUAGAUAGCUAAAGCUCCUGUGCAAAAAUUUGCAGACUGCAUCUCUAAAUUCUUUGUUCCUUUGGUAAAUAUUAAAAUGUCUUCUAGUCUCAUUGGUUUCCUUAUGUCGAUAUUAAAGAAGAAAAAAGGUAAAAAAGAAAAAACUCCAGCACUUCAGGUUAUGAUCUGAAACCAUCUCCAUAAAGCUUGUAUUUUUGUGUGAAUCUAGCAAGAAAUCCAUUAAAAGUAUGAUUUUUUUUUUUAAAAUGACAUAUAAAAAAAUAAAAAUACGUCAGUUUAUGCAAAUAAAUAAAUAAUUUAAAAUUUGGAUUGAAUGAACGAAAUGUUAAUAAUUUUUACAAUGUAAAUCUAAAAUAUUAGAUAUGAAAUAUUGAAGGAGGUUUUGAGAAAAAAAAAUUACAUUUUUGUGUAAAAUGUUAUUUAAUUUUUUUUUAUUUAUUAUUUUGGUCAUAUUGAAAAUGUGUUUUUAUUUUUAAUUUAUUUUCCGGGUGGGUUGUUUGAUAUAAUUAUUAUUGAUUUCCAUUGAAAAUGUUCGCACUUUAGUUUUGUUGUUGAGACUUGUUUGACAUGGCAAAAGAAAAAAUUUUCUUAGUUGUUUCAUGUUUGUUUGAAACCACUUUAUUUGGGUAUUUAUGAACAUAUUUGGAUUUUCAUUUAAAAUUAAAAAUUAUAAUCAAUUGAGACAUAUUUUAGAUAAUAAAAAAUAAUAUUUGUUGUAUAUUAGACAUGUAUAUGCCAAAAAACCCACAACUGUCCAGUUUCAUAAGAAAUUUGAAAUUUUUAAAAUUUUACCUUAUCGUAAUGUAUCAUAAUGCUAUUAUAUUUAUAUUGUAAUUGUAGUGUAUUUUUAUUGUACAUUUAUAUUUUUAUAUAAAAAAAACCCACAACUGUCCAGUUUCAUAAGAAAUUUGAAAUUUUCAAAAUUUUACCUUAUCGUAAUGUAUCGUAAUGUUAUUGUAUUUAUAUUGUAAUUAUAGUGUAUUUUUAUUGUAUAUUUAUAUUUUUAUAUAAAAAAACCCACAACUGUUCAAUUUCAUAAGAAAUUUGAAAUUUUCAAAAUUUUACUUUAUCGUAAUGUUAUUAUAUUUAUAUUGUAAUUGUAGUGUAUUUUUAUUGUACGUUUAUAUUUUUAUAUAAAAAAAACCCACAAUUGCCCAGUUUUAUAAGAAAUUUGAAAUUUUCAAAAUUUUACCUUAUCGUAAUGUUAUUGUAUUUAUGUUGUAAUUGUAGUGUAUUUUUAUUGUACGUUUAUACUUUUAUAUAAAAAAAACCCACAACUGCCCAGUUUCAUAAGAAAUUUGAAAUUUUCAAAAUUUUACCUUAUCAUAAUGUUAUUGUAUUUAUAUUGUAAUUAUAGUGUAUUUUUAUUGUACGUUUAUAUUUUUAUAUAAAAAAAUUAAUUUUAUAGAAUUUUUUUUAUACAUCAUUGGAUUACCAUUAACAACUUCAUGUAUUGAAAUUAUAAUAGUGUAUUUUUGUUGUCUUUUUAUAAUUUUGGCUUACAAGGAUGCUUUAUGAUAGGAAUACAACAUGAUAGCCUAGAAAUGCUAGUUCAAUAAAAAACAAAUUCAAUAUUUUGUCAUUUUGGUAUAUUGUAAUAUAUCGUAAUGUUAAUAUUUUUUCAUUGUAAUUAUAUUGCGUUUGUAUUGUAUUUAUAAUUUAUAAUUGUUAGGAAAGAUGUACUUCUCAAUUGGUAAAUGGACUUGAGAAAUUCAGGAUAAAUUGGUCUAAUAAAAAUAUUAGGUCUUCAUAAGAACUAUCAAAUCUACCCACCAUUUUCAGUAAUUUUUUUUCCCAGCCUACCCUUAAUGGUAAUUCUCCCUAAGAACAAUAAUAUCCUUCAUCAUCAUACUGUGAAAAGGGUUUACUGAGUUGAGUAAUAUUUUAAUAACUAGGGAGAUAUAUAGGUACAUUUCGGCAGGCUCUGGUUUAUGUGUAAUUUUUUUAACAGUUUCAUACCCUUCUUCCCUUUGGCCUAAAUUUCCUUCAAAUGGGAAAACAAAAAGGGUCAAAAUACCUCAGAAAUUAAAAGCAUUGGCAAGGGAGAUCCACAGAAUCUUUAAUGAUAUCCAUACGUGCCCACCUUAUACAUGACUUAAUGGAUUAUAUCAACAUUCUUAUUGUUGCCAUUGGUUACAAUAGAGACAUGCAUACAAAUUGUUUCCCCUCCACAUGCAAAUUUUCAGUUCUCUACAACAAAGAGGUAUGUAAUGCCGUUGCAGAUGCCCCUGCCCAAGUAAAAGACAAGGGCUCCCAAGGGCUAGCCUCAUCUUUUAACAUUUGGUUACGACUCUGAUAGUUGUUUGAUCACUUCAAAAGAGGAAAAAAAAAAUCAAUCUGUAAGUCACUACUCUUGUCCUUCAAUGAAAAAGAACGCAUUUAUCUAGGUUUACGUGUCCUACAUGUUCAUUUCAUUCAACAUACCAGACAUCGCCAUCAAUCUACGAGUUAUAGAUUCGUUUUAUUAGAUUUGGCCACAUUUACCUGAGAAGCAAUGGGUCUGUAUGCGUAUAUGUGUGAAAAUAAAAGGGUUAGUUUGAAAGGUUUACAACGAAUAAAUUAACUAAUGCAAUGGUUAACUAGAGAGUCCUGUAUAUUUAUGGAUUCUCCUUGUAUUUUAUAGGUAAAAAAUGGCAAAAUUGGCUUGUGAGGAGGAAACAACUUUUUAAAUUUCCCAUCUUUUUUUUUUCAAGGAAUUAGAAUAUAGGUUACUUGAGGAAUAUCACAAAAACUAACUAUUUCAGCAAGAGAGAGCCAAAGCAGACUUCUUAUUAUGGUUCCUUGGCAUACAAUUUUCUUCUGAUUUAAGGGAUCAUGUGUCAGUCUCACAGAAACUGGACAACCAAUAAUGAAGUUUAGUGGGAAAAAAAUACUGAUAAAGACUUCAGUGCUCUGAAGUUCCUUAACAGAUCACCAUAUUAGAACAUCUAUUAUGCAUCAUUUUCAAGUAUAUUAUAAAGUGUGAAGCAUGUUUUGAAAAAUUAUACAACCUCUGGUAGAUACAUAUAAAGGGGUCUCUUUGACACCCUUAGGUGUAGGGCAGCCAUUUUCCUUAAGGUCAUUGCUACUUGCUAAAGGCAACCUUUGAAUUGUGUACAUAGCAACAAUGAGGCCUCUCUGUCUCAGCUCCCACAGUCCCUGUUACAUUGAUGCCCACCCUCAUACAAAGAAUAAUGGACUUUGCACCACAUCCACCAUUAGCUACUUCAACCACCCUUGGGGGUGCAAGAGUACGACUAGCAGCACUUUUUGUUGCCAAAACAUUGAAACUAUGAGAGGCUAUUGUUGAUGCCUUGCGUCCCAAUGAUCCACGUAGCUGCCAAGUGGACGCACGCUUUCAACCAAGAUUGAGUUCCGGUUCAGUCUUCCCUGCAAAAGAUGUCCGGACAGGAUGUCCGGACACACCCUCCGAUGGUUUUGUUAGCCAUGGCUCAAGAGAUUAAGCUAUCAGGCUUUUUCAGGGAUAGUCAGCUUACCUUUCUCCUUGUGUGAAGGCCCUUUUAUAUAGUGUCAGAAGCUCUGCCUACCUCUUUAAUGAUGGGAAGACUUUUUGGCUCGUCAUGAUGCCUCUAGGUGGUGGCAGGGCCAUCAUCACCCUACGGACGGCUGUCAGAGAUCGUGGGAGGCGACUUGCCAUCGCUCCUAUCCUUUCGCUCUGCAGGCGGCGGAACGUGGGUUGUGGCAGGCUGUCGGAAUGACGUAGCAAGGCUUGCUCACUUCAGUCAAUGAUCCGGACAACAUAUCCGGAUAGGAUAUGCUAUCGUUCGAGUGUGAUGUUCGCGAGUGUCGUGUGCUUCUCCCUGAGGGAGUCCGGAUAGGGGAGCGCGCCACAUGUCCUCUUGGGGAGUCCGGAUGGAGUUGCUCCAGAUAGCGAUGCACGCCACGUGUCAUCAAGGGGAGGGGUCCCUACAAUGCCCCCCUUUUAACCUGCCGAUUUUGCCCGGGCAGAAUGGGCGGGUUAAAAAUGAUUGUUUUUUAAACUUAGGUUACUUUUUGCGCUCAUUAGGCUAUGUGGUGCGCGGAGGCGAAAAGGAAGAAGAGCAUUUAUGACGAGCCGUCGUCCCUGGGAAUUCUCAGGCAGCGUGUCUUUUCAAUAACGGCACGACUGGGCGUUUGGAAUACCGAGGGGCUGUCUCUCUUUAAAUAGUAGACCGAGCCCCCUAUGCCUGUAUUUUUUCUCUUCUGCAUUUCUGCUGGUAGUGCUCUCUCUUCGACUCUCUACGUAUCUUCGUCUGCAAGUGAAGUUCUAGGGUUUCUGCCAUCAAUACUCUUGUCGUGACGGUGCUGUAUCGCGGACUUCAUCUCCAUUUUGCCAGUUUACGCUCGGUACGUUCUCUAUUCCUGCUUUCUCCUCAUUGUGUUUGUUUUGCGGUUGUUUCUAGCUUGUUGGGCAAGUUACUUGUGACUGGGGGUCGGUAUUGGUUUUUAGGGCUUUUUCGGGGGAUUCUGGUUGUGUUUCGGCUAUGUUAGGGCUCCUAUUGCCCCCCUGCACCUUUUGUGGGUUACCGAUCCUUCUUUGGGGUAGAGCCAAGACGUUAGGUUUUCUGGGCGUUUUUUCCAUUAGGGUUGUGUGGUGGGUCUUUGUUUUUUACUGUUGGCAUCCUGCCAUGCAGGUUCCGUUUCAGCCCCACUCUUAAAAAUGCUUGAGAAAAAAAACGUUGUUUUGUCUAGCGUGGCCGAGUAGAGCGACAAAGGUGCGUCUGAAAUGGUCUAUGCUGAAAAAUCCGUGGACAAACUGAACGUGAGGCAAUUUUGUGAAUGCUUCUGCAUUCCGAAUGGCGUGUCCGUUCAGCUUGUGGACGGAGAGGCCGUAUCCAUUGAGAAAUCCGCGAACAACGCUAUCUAUUUCACCAAGGAGCAAUUCAAUGCUGGGCUCCGGUUCCCCCUCCCAUCGUUGUUCAAAUAAUUUCUUCACUUCACCCAAAUCCCCCCAGCCUACAUCCAUCCCAACAUAGUCCAGGUGCUGAUGGGGUGCAGCAUUCUGAGCAUGUUGUUCAACCUGGACCUUUCAUUGUGGAGGUCAUUUUCAUCUACUCCAUCAAGAAGGGGAAAACUGACCUCUUCAGCCUGGCUGCCCACCUGUCUUCCCUCCAAUUGAUGACUCAUCUUCCGGAUUCAACGAAGGGUGGAGCCAAGGGGCAUGUAUUAGUCCGGGGUGUCUGGGCUGGGCUACUGGAGCAUCCGGAGAGACCAUUUUCCCCAAACCGCUCGCUGGUGCUCCCGGGUAGGGCAUCUUGUGGGGUUUGUCCCGCGCUCGCCUGUUGUUUUCUUAUUUCAGGGUUAUCAGAUGGCUAACAUCUUUGGUUGCUGAUAAUGCAGGUACGGACAAGAGGGGUCACGUAGUUGAGUGGGUAGAAAAAGCGUCCUUCGACCGUUUGAACAAGUUAUUCGAGAUCACUACAGCUGAGAGACAUCAUCAGACGCUGCUUACUGCACGUAACAUGUUGACGGUUGUCCGGGAGCCCCAGUCGUACAUCACCAAUAUUCUCCCUAGGAAGUUGCCAAAAAAAGUAGUGUCUGUGGAACAUUUCGUACUAAAAGACUUGCCCUUCUACAAGAGGGCCCGCAAGGCUGACGCAAAGGCGCGCCAGAAGCUCCUUGACGAGCAAGAAGAGAAGAGGCAGGAGGAGACGUUGAGGAAAACAUGUGGUGAGAAGGGGUGCGACUCUCCUCCAGCGGCUCGUCCCCCGGCCAGGAAGGAAAAGAAGAAAACGAAGAAGACACUUUCUCAAGUGUUCCGUAUUUCGGCCCCCAAUCUUGAGGCUUCGUCUUCGUCUUGUAGGUCCGGAUCCAACCGGCCUGACCAUACUAUUCCAGAGUCUGAGGAGGAACCUGAGGCCAUUUCCAGUUCCCUCCAGCUUGUAGUCUUCCACCCGGGGCCUAACUCUCCCCAACUUGAGCCGGAGUCUAUUAGUUUGCAAGUUACGGACAAGCCAGAUGAGAUGAGAAGCCCAAGUGAGCUUAGAGAGAGGCUAAUGCAAAGACAUGGUAAAAGGCUGCAUGUCCCCAUCGAUCUCGGGCCUCCCCCAGCUAAGAAAGUUUUUUUGGAUCGGGGCGGAGAGGACCCGAAGCCGAAUGUUCCGGCUCCAGCUGCGACUUGUUCGGAUGGGGAUGGUGUCGGCGCAAGUGCCUCGAUUCCUCCGGAUGCUGUAGGGUCCAGCACAGCGGCUAUGGUUCAGGCCGAUGCUCCGGGGCGUAGCUCCCCUGCUGUGGUGGGGACCCCUAUGGCAGAGGGGGUUCCGGGGGCACCGAACGAUGAGGAGGCUCCAGUGGAGAGGAACAGUCAUGCUGCAGUAGUUCCUCCAAGCUGGGAGGAAUUGAUGGAAAUGCUGAAGGGGGUGCCAUGUUUCACAAACGUCGAAGCGCGGCAUCCUCUUGGUGUUUCUGAGUCCGCUGUGCCCCCCAUUCAACACCUGCGGGAAUGGACGAUGCCAGAGGCCGCAAAAGUGGUAAAUACUUUGCUAUUUUCCUCUUAUUUCUUUAGCAGUUAUCACUUCUCCUUGUAACUUUGUAUGCUGCUUUGUUGUUGUUUUACCCAGGUUACGUCCGGCAUCCGCUACAUGAUGCGCUUGCGUGAGCAGCUUUUCGAGCGACUCAGGGUGGCGGAGGCCAUGCGUGCCUUUAUCUCCCAGCAUCCGGGUGGCAUUGAUAAGCUACGCAUCCAGUUGGAGAAGAUUGAAGCCGAGCUGGCCUCUGCGCGGAAAGCGGCAUCGGAUGGGGCGGAGCGGCUAUGCCAGGUGGAGGAGGAGAGGGAGGCUAUCUGGGCUGAGGCUGAUAGUCUAAGAAAAUAGAAAGAAGCCUUGGAGGGCCAAGUCAAUGAAGCUGGGCAGAAAAACCUCCAAUUGAGAAGAGAGAUGGAAGAACUCCGAGCUAGCCUCGCCGCCCAAAAAAAGGAGUCAGAAGAUUUGCGGGUGAGUAUGGCGGCUCAAAAGGAGGAGACGGAGGCUAGCUUUGCCGCACAGAAGAAAGAGGUGGAAGAGGAAUACCAGCAGCAGGCGGACGAGAUGUACUUCUUUGGUUACCGCUGCUGUAUGAAGAAGAACGGAAUCAUGCAUGAUACUCCCUCCUUCCCUUCUGAUGAGGAUGACGAAGCGCCCGGGGGCCCGUCCAGCUGAGAUUACUUCUUUGGACAGACUUUAUACUUUUUCUUUGCUUUGCUGUGUAUAAGGCGGCUUUUUGUAAAGACCCUUUGUUCUUGAUUUUAUAAAUACAUUACAUUCUCUUCUGUCUUUCUGACUUACUCUUCAUUUGCUUUCAUUGAUAAUAUUGCUUAAGAUUGGAUACAUUCCAUGGUCGGAGCAAUGGGGUUUCGUCUAGCUUCUGUAGAUGAUAGGAUCCACUUUCACUUGUCUUGGUCACUACAUAGGGGUCUUCCCAAUUGGCUUGAAACUUUCCUGUUCCUGUCUCAACAGUGUUUUCGAAAACCUUCCUAAAGACCAGCGUUCCACUUUUGAAGCUCCUGGGCCUUGCCUUGCGAUUGUAGUGAGUGGCUGCCCUUUGUUGAUAGUCGGCCAUCCGGAUGGAUGCGGUAUCUCUUACUUCAUUUGCCCAGUCCAAAUUUCUUCCUAAUUCCGCAUUUGCAUCAUCCUGUCGUCCUGCCUCGGUCCGGAUAGUGGGUAACCCUAUUUCUGUAGGAAUGACUGCCUUCAUACCGUAUGCGAGGGUGAAAGGAGUGUUUCCUGUCGAACGUCCGGGUGUGGUUCGAUAAGCCCACAGGACGCCGGGUAGCUCCUCCACCCACUUUCCUUUGGCUUGCUCAAGCCUCUUCUUUAAGGCAGUUAUUAGGGUCUUGUUUGUGGUCUCUGCUUGUCCAUUGCUUUGAGGAUAACGCGGUGUGGAGUAUGAAUUCCAGAUGUUUAGUUCUGAACAGAAAUUCCGGAAAGUGGUGUUAUCAAACUGUGGACCGUUGUUAGCUAUAAUGGUUUGGGGGAUUCCAAAGCGGCAGAUAAUGUUCUUCCAUACGAACUUGGUGACAUCUUUAUCUUUGAUGCUAGCGUAUGCUUCAGCUUCCACCCAUUUACUGAAGUAAUCUGUGGCGACGAGCAGAAAUUUCUUCUAGGCAGCUGCGGCUGGUAGGGGUCCUACUAUGUCCAUGCCCCACUGCGCGAAGGGUCAGGGGCCUGAAAUUGGUUUUAACGUCUCCGACGGCACAUGUGGUAUGAAGGCAUGCCUUUAACACUUGUCACAUUUUUUGACAUAGGCUGUCACAUCCUUUUUCAUCGUGGAUCAGUAAUACCCUUGCGAAUGGGACCGGUGCACUAGAGAUCGACCUUCGGAAUGGUUUCCACACACCCCCUCAUGUAAUUCAGCCAAGACAUACAGAGCCUCUGAGUGGUUUAGGCACCUGAGGUAGGGGCCUGUAAAGGACCGCUUGUACAAGUGCUCCCCGAUCAUGGUGAAACGGGCAGCUUGUACCCGAGUCUUGUGUGUCUACUUGGGCUCUUCGGGCAAAGUGCCUGUUUGGAGAUACCUUAUAAUGUCUCUCGCUCACUUUUGGUCGUCUGUUUGGUUUGCCUCAAUGGUAUUGCAAAUAGAGGUUUCCGUGACGAAGGGGUUGGUCUGCACAUGUACAAGCAAUAGUAUGGCUUCCUUGAUGGGAAGGGAAGCGGCUAUGCCUGCCAGGACGUCGGCACGUCCAUUUUCAGUUCGUUUAAUUUUUUCGAUCGUCCAUUCGGUGAACCGUUGUAAGGUGUCCCUUACUUUAGUCAGAUAUCGCGCCAUGCGCUCAUCCUUAGCUUCGUAUUCCUUCUGAACGUGCCUUACCACGAGUUGAGAAUCACUAUAGACCCGGAGCCUGGAGACAAAUAGAGUCAGGGCGAGGUCCAACCCGGAUAGGAUGGCCCCAUACUCAUCUUCAUUGUUAGACGCGGGGAACCCCAUUCGGAUGGCUUGCUCCAGAUGUUCUCCUGUUGGGGAUUGCAGCAGGAGUUCUGAUUACUACUCAAAAAGUGCUAUUUGAUAGCUUGUAAUUAACUCUUUUAAACACUUUUGAGUAGUAGUUAUUGCCUUUUAACCCAAUUAACAUAUUAAGGACCUUUGCAAUCAAUUCUAAUCAAAUUGUGUUAAGUUUUGAUGUUUUGAUAGCUUUUUGAUCACCAAAGCAAUCCAAGAAUGAGGGAGAGCUGUAUAUAGUUCAUGGCAAAGCUUUUAGAAGCUCAAAUUCAUGAAGAACCAAAGCUUUGAAGUCCUUUUCCAUAAGCAAAUCUGGAAUGCAAGGAGGGAAAGCAAAGAGAAAUCUGCCAUAAAGCAUUCUUGAUGACAGUCAUGUUAGCCACUUUUGGAGCACUUCCCGAAGUCCAUUUUGUGCAUGCUAUAUACCAUUUUAAAGCUCAGGAAGUCAACAAUCCAAUUCUUCAAACGGUGUGCAAUUUGGAGUUGAAAUGAAGAAGUUACAGCCAUUGCAAGCCAAUCACUCCAAGCUGAAGGAAGCAUUUUGCAAAGUGUUGCGGAAUCACCCUUUUGUUGCGAAGUGAUUUCGCAGCAUUUUUGUACAGUGUUGUGGAUUCCCUCCUGAUGUUGCCCGAUAUAUGCCGCAAGUUGGAAGCCGAACACCACAAGUUGAAAGACCACUUCGCAGCCCUACGAGAUCAGUCGUUUGCUGCGAAGUAAUUUCGCAGCCCUUUGUGUGCGUCUACGAAAUCUCGCAGACCUCGUUUUCACCUGCGAAAUGGUCCUUAGUGCUUCCCGAUAUUUACAACCGACACUUUGGGAUAUUUUUCUUCAGAUAUUUUUGUAUGAAUUUCCAUUCUUCUCCUUGUAAUCCACCAACCAUAAGAUUUCUUAGUUAGGAAGGUUGGAAAAACGUCUCUAUAUAUAUUCCCUUGCAUCCAUUGUAAUAGAUUCAUGUAAUAUCGAUCAAUAUAUAGAUAUUUCAUAUAUAGAAUCAACGAACAGAGCACUUGCUCUGUUUUUCAUAUAUAUUCUUGUUUUCUCGUUAGUUUUCUUGCUAUCCAAACAAACUCUGAGGAUUUUUCCUCAGAGGAUGAGAGGCUAGGCUUUUUGUCUCUUGGAGUGAGGAAAGCCGGGUAAGUUUCCACAUGCAUAAUUUGGAAGUUUUGUUGUUUUAGUUUUUAAUGAAGAGAAAGUGUGACCCGUUAAUGGUUUUUAUCUUUUUAGUUAACUUAAAACGCCUUUAAAUCACCUGGGCCAACACUUGGUAAGGCAAGUGAUCUCCGUCCAUGGAGAUGCACUAGUUUACCCCUUGCGAGCCUUUGGGAGAUGGUUUGAAGGUAGGAUUUUCUAGAAUAGCCAACACUUGGUAAGCUUUUGGACUCCAAGAAGACAUCCAUUAGUUAUCUCUUGCGAGCUUUUGACGGGUAAUCCAAGGUUAAAGAUCACCUUGAAUGGCAAGUGCUAGGUGAGAAGUAUGAGCCAUUGCAAGGUGCAUCAGUGAGAGGGAUUUAGUGUUUGAACCCAUUAAUGGGAAGCAUCUGUACAGCACCGGUUAGAGAAUUAACUAUAUGUUAAUUCUCUAAUGUGAGGAAAAGAAACAAGUGACCGGAACUCCCUUUUUGUAUGAAGAAUCUGAGCCUAGUGAUCUGAAACUCCAAGAAACAUUUUUCUUUGUAAGUAAAAUCAGUUACUAUUUUUUGUUAGCUUAAAACCAAUCCUUGUUCAUUCAAACAUCUUUAUGUUUUCUUUUAAAGCUAACCUUGAAAUGAAAAGGCACCAAUCCAAUUUUGAAUUAACAUCAUUUGUGAAGUGAAAACCCAUCCCAGUGAACGAUCCUAGAGCCACUAUGCUAUAGUAGUUUUGUCUUUGCUACCCUAGUAUUUGGUGUAAUAGGUUAUAAAUUUUGUUGAUUACUCCCUCAAUCAAGGAGCAGCAGCUGGACAUGAAUCAGCUCACCAAUUGGGCACGAAUCAAAUGGCGCCGUUGCCGGGGAUGGUGCCACUUUACAGUGAUAUCACCUUUUCAGAGUACUUGUAAUCUUCAUCACAAGUUUGGUGACUUUUCUUUUCCUUUUACUAACUCUUUUUAUUUUUUUAUUGUUCAUAUUUUAGUAUACCUUUCAUUUAGUUUUUAGUUUACCUUAAUUUUCUUUCUUUGAAUUGUUUUUCUUUUGUUUUCUUUUGUGUUCUCUGUUUUUAAUUCACAAUUUGCUAGUUGUGCAUGCCAUAUUGAAAAAGAGAUAGCAGAGGAAGCCAUGAACUCCAUGAGUUAUGUGGCUGAAGUCUCAAGAGGAUGGGAUGAACCAAAUGCUCGAGAUAUGGGGAGAAUGAAGUCUCAACCUAAAGCUCAGGGUGAGAUGUAUAUUUUGAAUGAUGGUAUGAACAUGAAGGCAAAGAUUGCAGCUAUGGAAAGGAGAUUGGAAGAGCUAGAAAUGAACCAGAUGCAAGAAGUGCAAGCCAUCUCUCAAACACCAUUGCAAGCUAUGCCUUGUGCCAUUUGUCGAUCAUAUGAGCACUUGGUGGAUGAGUGUCCUACCAUUCCAGCCGAGAGGGAAAUGUUUGGUGAUUGCAACACCUACAAUUCCAAUUGGAGGGACCAUCCAAAUUUCUCUUGGAAACCACAGCCGCCUCAGUACAAGCAACAUGUUCAAGCACUUCCGCAAGCCUCAAGCCUUGAACAAGCUAUGGUGAAUCUUAGCAAGUUCGUGGGAGACUUUGUUGGAAACCAAGAAGCCAUCAAUGCUCAAAUCAAUCAAAGAAUUGACAGAGUAGAGAGUUCAUUGAUUAAAAGGAUGGAUGAAGUGCAAAAUGAUCUAUCUCAGAAGUUAGAUAUUCUCCAAGAUUCAAUCUCAAGGCUUGCCAACCUCAACACAGUGCAAGAGAAAGAAAACUCUCCUUCUCAAUCUUAUCAAAAUUCCAUGAGUAUCCAUGAAAUGGAGGCUAAGGAGGGAGAAUCUUCACAAAAGAGGGAAGUCAAAGAAGAGAUCACUCUAAGGAGUGGUAAAGAGGUUGAUCUGCCCACAUGCAAGCUAGAGCAUAAGGUAGAGAGUGAAACAGAGAAAGAAAUUAUGGAAGAAAUCAAAGGAAAGAAAAAGGAGAAAAGCAUAGAGAAAGAUGGCUAUGAUGUUAAUGUACAAAGAGAACCACAGAGGAUAGUCAUCAAGGAAGAAAUGAUGAAACACAUGCCUCCACCUUUUCUCCAAGCUUUGUAUGGGAAAGUCAUACAAAUCAAGUCUCAAGUAAAGGAUGCAAACUUCAUAUGGGAUCCGAGCAAGCUAAAUCAGGAGCAAAUUUUUUGAUGGACUUAGUCUUUUUAAAGACUAUCUAGUCCAUAUCUUUUUGUUUUGUUAAUUUCUUGUUUUAAUUUUGAUUUCAAUGCUUUAAUUCUAGUUUUUUUUAUGUAAUAUAGGUUUUUGGAUGAUCAAAAUCAAGAGGAAUUGCAAAGAAAUUGAAGGAAGUCUUUCGGAGCGAAAUCGGAGUGAAAACAGAGCAAAAACAGGGCAAAAACAGGGGCCUGCGAGAUUUCGCAGCCUCUGCGAAAUCAGCACUUUGCUGCAAAACCAGUUCGCAGCCUCAGACCCCUCUCUGCGAAAAUUUUCGCAGCUACAAAACCAAUUUUGGCACACGAGUGCCACUUCGCAGCACAAGAGCCCCCAUUUCGCAGCUGCGAAACAACUGCAAAGCUCCAAAGCGUGAAAAUUCCCAAUUUCGCAGCCAAAGCUCCAUUCCGCAGGGUAUUUCGCGGCUGCGAAGCACAUUUUGGCACACGAGUGCCAUUUCGCAGCACAGUGAACCUCAUUUCGCAGUUGGGAAAUGACUGCGAAGUCCCAAAACGUGAAAAAUCCCAAUUUCGCAAUCAAAGCUCCAUUUUGAAGAGUAUUUCGCAGCUGCAAAACCACUUUUUGGCACAUGAGUGCCAUUUGGAAGCCUCGUACACUCAUUUCGCAGCUGCGAAAUGGCUGCGAAACCUCUACACCUUAAAAUCCUUCAGCGCGCACGCCAUGAACAGACAUAUCACAGCCGCACCCCCAUUUCGGAAAUUAUUGGACACAUAUCGAUCACUUCUCGAAGUUUAAAUUAUGCAUGCAAUAUCUCGUUUCAAAGAUUGGGAAGUCAGGAGUCCAUAGCUUCAAACGGUGCUCGAUUUGGAUUUGAAACGGAAAAGUUAUGGCCAUUUGAAGAUGACUGUGCAAACCAUGAGCGGAAAUGUCGCACCUCCAUUUCGCUACUGUUGGACACAUUUUUGAAGCACUUACUGGAGCUCAAAUUAUACAUACCAUAUCUUGUUUCAAAGCUUUGGAAGUCAGGAGUCCAGAGCUUCAAACGGUGCAUAAUUUGGAGUUGAAACGAAGAAGUUAUGGUCGUUUGAAGACAAGCGCGCAAAGCUGAGCAGGAAUUUCGCAACCGAGACACCAUUUGGAAGGGUGUUUCACAGCUGCGAAACCACUUUUUGGCACACGAGUGCCAUUUGCAGCACAGUUCCCCUCAUUUCGAAGCUGCGAUACAGCUGCGAAAUCACCUUUGAGCUGCGAAACCACUUUUUGGCACAUGAGAGCCAUUUCGAAGCCCCGUACACUCAUUUUGCAGCUGUGAAAUGAGCUGCGAAAUCAAUUUUGGGUUGCGAAAUCACUUUUGAGCUGCGAAAUGGCUAUGAAAUGGUCUCCAAGCUUCAAAAGGGCUGUGAAAUCACCUUAGAAAUGACUUUCAAAUUGCGAAAUUGACUUGCGAAAUGGAGGAAGGUUUGCAAAAACACCUUGCAAAGCCAAGGGAAAUUGCUAAAAUACCAACAGAGCCCCACACCAUGCAUCUGAAGAGGAGAGCCCCGCGCACCCUGGGAUCACACACACUAAGCCUCUCACUCCAUUUCUGACCUCCUUAAACCAUCAGAGCCCAUAGCUCCAGCUGAGGAGACUAUGCCACCUAAGGAGACUACCAGAACAGAGGUCAAAGUCCUGAUCCAACCCAUUCAAGAGGCCACCACAGACACAUCAGCUCUGCAUGACCUUACCAUUACUUGAUCAUCUCUUUAAUUUUUGUCUUUACAUAUUAUAUUAGUAUAGAUAAUUCCAUGUUUUGAUGUCUUACAUUAUGGGAUUGGAUGUAUUACUGAUGAUGCAUCAUAUAUAAACAUCAUUUUUGUUUAAACUUGACAUUUUUCUAUUUCCUCUACUCACUAACUCUUUUGUGUUUUUUUUUUUUUUGAAACAUGUGGUUUCUCCUAUAUGACUCAGACUCCAUAUCACAUGAGGUACCACUUCCUUCCUCCUUAUUUUCAAUUCAAACAUUGAGGAUAAUGUUCAUCUUGGUUGGGGGGAGAGAUGAGGAAGUAAGUAUUAAUUUAAAUUUUUAUCAUACUUAGUUAAAUUAGCUACUUUUUGUUUUAAAUUUUAAAAUUUUUGCUUUAAACUCCAUAGAUAUUAAGGAUUAACUCUCAAAAUUAAAUGAGAGAAGUCGAGUUUCAACUUGAUUACAUGAGUCUUAGAGUUUGUAUUAUGUUCUUCUAAAAGUUGAUGAAUUGUUGAAACUCCCAUUGCAUGCAAACUUAUCUCUUCCACCUUAAGCUAUUCGCACACACAUACAUUAGAUUCCGGUUAUAAGAUGUGAAACUAUCUCACCCUCUAAGCUUGAGAAAUCAUAAUUUGACACCUUUAACCUCUCUUUAAUAGUGUUGGGACACCUCAUAAAAACCAAUGAGUCUUUGUAAAAUAAAAAAUAAAAAAAUAAAAAAAAAUAAACUUCUUUACUUGCCUUGAAACCUGAGCAUGGUCCGAAGGGGUGGCGAAAGCCUUUAAAGCCUGGUGCCCUAAGCCUUUAUUGGUUGGGAGUCACCGAUCCUCUGCUUGUUACAUGGGUGAAUUGGUUAAGUUUAGUAAGUGAAAAGAAUUGUGAAUAAGAGGUGCGUUCUUAGCCUAUCAAGAGAUGGUUAAUUUUUGCUAAGCUUAAAGAAAGACUUAGGUUGGGGGGAGAUGAUAGUUAUCCAUACUAUACUCGGAAGCUAAUCACAUUAACACUUAGCUUUUAGUGAAAGAAUUUGAUUUGGAUCUUUUGAGAGUGGAAAUUCUUUUGAUGCUUAAGCUUGCAUAAUAUCCAUUCUUUGUACUCUAAGAUCAAGUGAAUGCUUUGACAACUCUUAUUAUAGGUUGAGUUUCACAUCUUUAUUGAUCCAUGGAUGUCCGUCAUGCCACUCAAUUAUUUUUUGGAGUGAUUUGCAUGACCUCUUUUAUGUAUAUUAUUAUGUUUGCUUAGUUUUUCUCUCCUUCAUUGUUAAGGGACUAGCAAUAUGUCGGUUGGGGAGAGUACCCCGGAUCCUGAUGACCGGGAGGCUCCAUCAACCCGCAAAGUCCAUCACUCCUCUCCGAUUGGUUCCUUGUGCUGGAUAGGCCUUCGGGAGUAUUCCAGCACGAAGUCAGCCAUCACUUGGCCUUUCAUGGACAACCUGGGUUGGAACUCGAUUCCAUAUUCGCUCAACUCUAUGGCCCAUUGAAGCAUUCUUCCAGUUAGGUCUGGCUUGUGCAGGAUGUUGCGAAGGGGCUGGUCGGUUAGCACGACCACCGAGUGGGCUUGGAAGUAAGGGCGGAGUUUCUGGGCGGCACUUCGAAAGGCCAAGGUCGUUAGCUCUGUCUUUGAAUACCUUGUUUCUACAUCCGCCAACACUCUGCUGACAUAGUAAAUAGGUUUCUGUUCCUUGCGCGAGGGGCAGCGGAAUAGAACAGCGCUAAUUGCCCACUCCGAUACAGCCAGGUACAUAUACAAUUUUUCUCCAGGGAGGGGGCUGUUUAGAAUGGGCGGUUGCAUGAGGCAAUGUUUAAUUUUUUCGAAAGCACUCUAACAGUUGUCCGUCCAUCCGUUCGCUCCAGCUUUUCGUAUUGCCAAGAAGAAGGGUCGCAGUUCAUCAGUGAAGCGGGCUAUAAAGCGUCCUAGCGCGACGAACUUGCCUAUGAGGCGUUGUAAUUCCUUUUUGCUCCUGGGGGUGGUGUUUCCAUGACUGCCUUAACUUGAUUUGGGCUAACCUCUAUCCCCCUUUGGCUGACCAUAAAUCCGAGGAAUUUGUCAGCACUUACGCCAAAGGCGCAUUUAGAAGGAUUCAACUUCAUAUCAUACUUCCUUAAGAGGUGGAAGACUUCUUGUAAGUGGAGGGUAUGUUCUUCUCAGGUUUUGCUUUUAACCACGAUAUCGUCAAUAUAUACCUCCAUUGUGCGGCCGACUAGAGGUUUGAAGAUCUUCGUCAUCAAUCUCUGAUAAGUGGCACCAGCAUUUUUGAGUCUGAACGGCAUGACUUUGUAGCAAUAAAGACCGUGUGGCGUUAUGAAGGCUGUCUUUUCUUCGUCAGUCGGGGCCAUGGGGAUUUGGUGGUAUCCGGAGAAAGCGUCCAAGAAGGAGAGCAUCCCUUGCCCAGCAGUGAAAUCUACAAUUUGGUAUAUCCGUGGCAGAAGGAAACUGUCUUUUGGGCAUGCAUUAUUGAGGUUGGUGUAAUCGACGCACACCUGCCAUUUGUCUUCCUUUUUGGGUACCACUACUACAUUUGCCAACCAGUCCGGAUACUCCACUUCUCUAAUGAAUCCGGCCUCCAGCAACUUGUCAAUCUCAUCCCUGAUAAUCUUUUGCCUGUCCGGGUGAAAACGUCUAACCCUCUGUCGGAUGGGCCUUGCUGUUGGCAAGACGUUAAGUCUAUGAGAGACGAUGGAGGGGUGAAUUCCCUUCAUAUCAUAAUGCGCCCAUGCGAAGAUGUCAUGACUUUGUCGGAGGGCGUUUUGGAUGUUUCGGGUCUCUUUAGGCGUUAAGAGGGAACUGAUAUAUGUAAGGUGAGUACCUUCUUCCUAAAUUUGGAUCGUCUGCAAGGGAUCCGCUGCCGGGGGAUCUUUGUCCGUCGGACUCAGUAAUUGCUAUUGGUCAAGUGUGUGGGUGGACUCAGGGAGGGGUUUAUCCUCCUGGCUGGUCCCUACUUCUCGUGCUAUCUGAUAGCAUUGGCGAGCGGCUAAUUGGCUGCCGUAUAGGUCGAUUUGCCCAUCCUUGGUAAGAAAGCUUACCAUUUGAUGAUACGUAGAGGGGAUGGCUUUCAUGUAGUGCAGCCAUGUGCGCCCCAAGAUGACAUUGAAGGGUGAUAAAUCUUGUACCACCGAAAAUUGUACGUUGAGAGUGACUGGGCCAGCUUCGACCGGCAGUACAAUAUCUCCUAAGGAGGUAGUUGCCACUUCGUUGAAUCCGGACAAAAUUCGCCCAGGGUUUUCGAGGCCUGUUAGAUUGCGUCCCAUGUGGCUAAUUACCGAUGCUUGUACAAGAUCGGUCGAGCUGCCCAGGUCAACUAAGAUGCGUCUCACGUUGAAGUCUUCCAUCUUUAGGGAUAGGAUGAGGGCGUCGCGGUGCAGCUGCAAUAUCCGUGUGGGGUCUACUAGUGGGAAAAUGAUUGUCCCAUCUAUGGGGCGAGCCCCCUCCCCAAAUUAUCCCAGGUCGUAUGGAGUUGAAGUGCUCACGCACCAAUGCUGCAUGCAACAGCCUCUGUCUCUUUCGCUUGGAGUCGUAUUCCUCGUCCAAUGGGCCUCCGUUGAUAUAGUUUAUAAUGGUUUUGGGGGCGGCUGGAACCCUAGAGGUUCCAGAGUUGUGAUUUCGGGAAGUGUCUCUACCUCUGGUGUCUGAGCGGAGGUAUUGCUUCAAAUGUCCCGUCCUUAUGAGUUUUUCGACCAAAUAAUGGAGGCUCCUGCAGGUCUCCGUUGUGUGACCAUGCUUCUUAUGGUCGGCACAUUUUUCACUAUGAUCCCUUUUGGAUGGGUCCGCUCUGAGGGGUCCAGGCCACCUGAAGUCGGACAUGUCUUGAAUCAUAGGAAGAAGCUUCUCAUAGGAUAUGGAAAGAGGUGUGAGGGGCGGCAGUUUCGGGCAGCUUUGUUUUACUGCCUUCGAUCAGACGGCCUUAGCCGGUCCGGAAUUUUGGCACUUCUUUCCGCACCACUUCUAGAUGCCUGUUAGGCGACCAAGAUUUGCUGGGUGGCUGCUCGCACUUCAUCUUCGAGCAUUGAGUAUUUGUUCGCGCGCCGGAACAAGUCGUCCAUCUUCGUAGGAGGCUUCUUAGCGAGCGACUCGAAGAAUGGGGUGUCUGGACAGAUGCUUCGCUUGAAGAUCUGCAGGACAGCAUCCAUGCUAUAAGCCUCUACCUGUAGCACGGCCUGACCAAACCGCUUCACGAACUCCCUCAAGGACUCGUUCUCCUCCAUUUUUAUAUUUUGCAAAGUGUUGAUGUUCUGUUUAUGCCGAGCGGAGCAUAAGUAUUGUCCCACGAAAGCUUCCGACAGGUCCCUGAAAUUAUCAACAGAGUUGGGAGGUAGGCGGUGAAACCAUGAGAGGGCCUGCCCUUGUAGGCUGGCGGGGAAUACUAUGCAUAACAGAGCGUUGUUUCCUAUAUCGAGAGUCAUGAGUUGUCGAUAAUGCAUGAUAUGGUCGAAGGGAUCACUGGACCCAUCGUACGUGGAGAAUUUAGGCACGAGAAAUCCCCUUGGGGGGUCGUAAUGAAUAAUAUACGAGCAAAAAGGCGUAAAGAGCAUGUCGUUCAGUCUUUUGCUGAUGGAGCCAGUGGGUGGCUCGUUUGGGGGGUUUCUCCCAGCUUGGCGUACCGCUUGGUGCGGGAAAACGUUCUGCACCAUGGGAGUGACCAGGGGGUCAGGGUGCGCUCCUCAGGUUGUGGCUACUGGCGGCCUUGUCUUCCCAGGUUCUUGUGGGCCUAGCCUUGCGCGUGACAACUGGGGUCUCUUGUCACGCUGUCUCUUCGACGAGAGACGAGUAGAGUCCGAGCUUUCCUCCUAGGGAGCUUGGUGCAUGGGCGUGUGUCGCUCUUGUGGUCUCACAUUGCCCGUCUCGGGGAUGGCCCCCGCAGUCCCAGGGUAUCUUGACUCUGGGUCAGGCCUUGAGUUUGCUCCCUGACCUCUUAAGCGCUAACCACGAGGAGGCCCCGUCGAUGAAGCCUGGAUACGCAACACAGCGUUUUCUUCUCUUAGUCUCGCUAUCUCCUGGAGGAGAGCCUGCAUUUGUCGCUCGCUUUCCAGCUGUCUUCUCUCGAUGGCUUAGCGCCAUUCGAAAUAAUCUUCUCCUCCCCUGGCCGACGAGCGGCUUCUGGAAGGUGUGGACAUCCUUGCCGUCGACUGAAUCAGAGUUUUCCCACAGACGACGCCAAUGUUGAUGCCUUGCAUCCCAAUGAUCCACGUAGCUGCCAGGUGGACGCACACUUUCAACCAAGAUUGAGUUCUGGUUCAGUCUUCCCUACAAAAGAUCUCCGGACAGGAUGUCUGGACACACCCUCCGAUGGUUUUGUUAGCCAUGGCUCAAGAGAUUAAGCUAUCGGGCUUUUUCAGGGAUAGUCAGCUUACCUUCCUCCUUGUGUGAAGGCCCUUUUAUAUAGUGUCAGAAGCUCUGCCUCCCUCUUUAAUGGUGGGAAGACUUUUUGGCUUGUCAUGAUGCCUCUAGGUGGUGGCAGGGCCAUCAUCACCCUACAGACGACUGUCAGAGAUCGUGGGAGGCAACUUGCCAUCGCUCCUGUCCUUUCGCUCUGCAGGCGGAGGAACGUGGGCUGUGGCAAGCUGUCGGAAUGACGUAGCAAGACUUGCUCACUUCAGUCAAUGAUCCGGACAACAUAUCCGGAUAGGAUAUGCUAUUGUCUGGGUGUGAUGUUCGCGAGUGUCGUGUGCUUUUCCCUGAGGGAGUCCGGAUAGGGGAGCGUGCCACAUGUCCUCUUGGGGAGUCCGGAUGGAGUUGCUCCAAAUAGCGAUGCGCGCCACGUGUCAUCAGGGGGAGGGGUCCCUACAGCUAUGGUGAACUCUCUUCUGUUUUCUCACCAUCUGAAAGGAGCACUGAACAUACGAAUGCACUAAAAGACCUGGUUAUUGAUGAUGGUGUUCCAAACACCAGCUCCUCCUCCCCUCUCAUGGAAACAUGCGAUUGUAUUGAGAGAGUCAAAUUUCUAAGGGGAAAGAACUAUUUCUCACUGGCCCAACUGGGUUUCUAGCCAAACGUAUUGCUUCUCCAGCAUUUCUGCAUGUUACAAAGUCCUUUUAUUUCCUCAAACCAAGGCUCUGGAGAGAGCUUUACAAUUGAUAUGAAAAAAAAGCUUAUUUUGAUUUUCAUGGUCUCAUGGGAAAAAUGCUUAUAUUGCUGUUCAUGAGCUUUACAACUUAGACAUAUAUACAAUGCCAGAGUCUUUUUUCUUUAACGAACUUCUUGUAUUUUAUAUUGAAUGCAGUUUGGCUCAAAAAGAUGCUAUGGUCAGUCCCUGAUGUUGGAAAGAUCUUUCUCUUGAUCAAGGCAAAAGAUAGGGAGACUGCAAUGGACAGACUGAAAAAUGAAGUAUAUAUGUUUCUGAAAGAGUGUUUCUUUUCGUUUCAUUGCUAUAGGAUCUUGAUUGUGUUGAAAUUUGACCCAAGUUGUAAUUGUAUUGCCGAUCAUAGGCUCAGAACUAUUUAAGUGCCUGGAACAAAUGCAUGGAGAAUCGUAUACAGAUUUCAUGAUGAGCAAGCUAGUCUCGGUCAUUGGUGAUGUUUGCAAGUCGAAUCUAGGAAUGGAUGCUACUUCAGCUACUGAGAUUGCAAAGGCAGUUGAUGUGAUUGUAAAUUCAGCUGCCAAUACAAUCCUUGAUGAAAGGUCCUGUCCAUUUUGCUUACAUUGUUGCUUGUAUGCUUUGUAUAUGAAAGUGGUCAAUGACACUGUCAUUAAGAUUUCUGACUUCUGUUUUAUCCAAACAUAGGUAUGAUGUUGCUCUCAACACAAACACAAAAGGACCUUCUCGACUCGUAAGCUUUGCCAAGAAGUACAAGAAACCGAGUCUGUCUGUGCAUGUAUCAACCGGUAAGUAAUGAAGACUAGAAAAAUGUUGAGAUAAGAGUUCCAAUGUAAUUAAGCAGAUGAAUGUUGUCUGUUACACAGCAUAUGUGAAUGGGGAAAGAGGAGUGGUGUCAGAGAAGCCCUUCUGCAUUGGAGAGAGCCACCUCAGCGAACUCUUCAACAUCCUUCCCUGUACUGGACGUCGAUGCUGAAAUAGAGUUGGCUUCUAAUGUAAUGGAAUCUUUGAAAGACAGUGAGGUAACCCAAAAGAUGAAAUAGCAUGUACUCAUGCUUUGUACAUUGUUCCUUUUCUUGUCAACAUUAGAAUGCUAGACCCAUUAAUUUUAUCCAAUGGAAAAGGUCAGCUCCCAGAUCUUCUUUGUGCAAAGCAGUGAUUGAUGUGGUAAGAACCCAAGCAAAUAUUUCAUUAGUUCCUUUACGUGUUUUCAUUUGAUUCACUAUGUGAUUUUGAAGUUAUGGGAUGAGUUUAUGGAUAUGAACUGUAGGUUCCAGCAGAUAUGGUUGUUAAUGUAACCAUGGCAGCCACAGCAAAGCAAGGGAAUGCUGGGAAACCAGGGCAUCAUGUGUACCACAUCACCUCGUCUGUUGCAAAUCCACUAGUAUUGGGCGAUGCCUUCAAAUUUUCCUGUAAUCACUUCAAUUCUUCUCCUCUUAUAGACUCAAAAGGGAAGAGGAUUGACAUUACUGGAAUGAAGUACUUCAGCCCCAUGGACACUCACUCCUCAUACAUUGGGAAUAAAUUAGUUCAACAGGGUGGGCUGAUGGAUGCAACCAUUUCAGACCAAAAGUUGCAUCGAGUGCGUGAAUUGAAAUGCAUAAGGAAGGUGGAGCGUGUUCUUCACAUGGUUAGGAUAUAUGAGCCAUACAUGUUCUACACUACAGCUCUAAACUAAGCAAUUUGCUCUGAAUCUCCUGACAUCCACAAUAUAUUAGGCCCCAAAUUCUUUUUCUUAUUUUAUUUUCAUUAUUUACGAACUUUUUCCUAUUUAUCCAUCCUCCGAAAAUUGCAGCCGUUUUACAAUGAUGUUACCACAUCCCAUGUCAAAUCAAUGCAUAAGAUUUCAACUGACCUAAGAUUCCGUGUUAAUGCAAAAUUUUAUUUGUAUAAACAAGCAACAAGGAAGAAUAUGGUGAAAUGUAUACACAGAUCAUCCCAACAAGGCAAGAAAAGAGCAGAGGCUAGAAUAGAAAUGCGUCGUUAGACAACAAACCAAAAAUCAGAAGACUUCAGGAUCCUAGGCUUUCUAAACAAGAAAGACAUGAAUAAAAUGAAACAUAAGACUGAUUGCUUUAAAUUUAGCUUUCUAAACGCUGUUGAGCCCAUCUCCUAGCGUCCUCUUGUAACUGCUCCUUUGAUACCUCACCAUUCAUAUAAUUCACCUUCUUUCUACAAAGAACCCAUCAUCAACAAAUAUAUUAUAUUAGGCUAACUUUGGUCCCUGCAACACGUUCAUCAAAUUUAUAUUAGCUCUGCGAUAAAACCACAAGCCCGACUCUUUGUAGCCCAUUUCUUGCGCAGCCAACAAAUGCUGCUCAGAUCCAUUUGUUCUGUCACUCAGACCAUCAAAGAAAAGAAAUGAAACUAAUUAACGCAAUGAAAUAAGAGAAAAUUAGAUUGCCAAAUAAAAAAUUGAAUCUCCUUGUACCCUCUACAGCCCCAAGGAAAAAAGGAAGAAGCAAAUCUAUGACAAAGAAAAGGACAAAAACAAAAAACCAAAAUAGCACCCCAAUUUAAGCAGGAAAUGAUACACUACAGCAUUGGCAGCUGCACAGCCUACAUAAUUUAAAUGCAAGGGGGCCUAAGCAAUGCCCAUUUUACAUGCUUCUGGACCAUCCCACCACCAGUAAUAAAAGCCUAGCAGCCUGAUUACUAACACCUCAUUCAGACUAGUAUGAAGAUGCUGCAGGAAAUUGAGUGACUGGGUGGCACCACUACAAAAAGUAAUCAGGCGUUCUGCGGGUUACAUCCGGUUCUCCUCUCCUUGGAGCUGGUUCAAACUGCAUCCACAAGAACAUGAGCAACUCUAUUACCAUCUCUAAAACUAGAUCGCUACCACAACUGCAUGCAGUAAUUAGUUUGGAAAAAGCCCCCAUGCCAAUGACAAAAUCAGGCAAAAUCUUGCUGUUUCCCAUGUGUCACAUGAUUUAAUGAGUACUUGAAGUAAGCUUGGAUGAGAAACAGCCCAGCUUAUUUUGAAAAAUUUUCAUCAUGUUCAUUUGCCUAUGUGCCUUCAUGCAUGUCUUUGUACGUGAGUGCAAAAGAGACAAACCUGAAUGAAUGUGUGACCUUUGCAGUCAUCAACUUCCAAAAUUGAUGCCAUGUUUCCACAGCGAUAACAGUAGUUGGGUGCACUAAAUAUGGUGACAACUUUUUGUUCCUGUCACAGGCAAUGUCAAAUUAACAAACCCAGCCACCUAAUAUACAGAACAAAUCAAAAUUUGCCCCAGCCACUGAAGAAUUAGUAAUUACAUGUCCCCAGUUAAAUCCCUCCAUAACCAGUUGAUGAGCUCUAGCAAUCAGCUUUAGGUUGUUAGUAUGAUUGAAUUGCUCAGAUAUGUCCUGAAAUAAUGUAUUUCACAUGUGAAGAAACUAGUAAAGGCUCCAAGAACACCAUUUUUUGGGGGAGAAGUGGGAGAAAGAAAUAAACAUAAAAAUGGUAUCUGAACCAUACCUGGCCAAAAGUAUAUCCAGCACCACGGGGAGAGAUACCCCAACCACACCGAUCAUCUGGAUCAGACCAUAAGAGAUCACACAUGGGCCCUUCAUGAGGAACUUCUUGAACACGGUCAAAAUUCCGAAUGUUAUCAAGUGUUUCAAUGGAUGGGGACAAUCCACCAUGCAAACAAAAUAUUUCAGAUUCAACCUAAAAGUCCAAAAAAAGAAAAAGACCAUCUGGUUAUUUAACAAAAAAGGCUAAGUUCCCUUACAAAAACACAGCAACAUACAGACUGCAGUCGGAAAAUACUAACAAGCAGUUUGAUUUGUUCUGUGAAAAAUCUAUGACCCCAUACUACAUGUAUCAAGGCCACUACUAAUUUAACAUUUAUCUACAAAGUUAGAAACACUAAAACAUGUACUUCCUUAUUAAACAACAAAUUUCAUAUAGAAGAAAAGGGGAACACCCCAAUGAUUUUCCUUUUUCUUUUUUCUUUUUUAAUCUUAUAAUAAGGAUAGUUAUAUAUACAAGCACUACAAGGCACAAAACCAGCUACACAAGAAGACAGGAAGUACACAACGACAAUGCAAAUGUUAAGUGAUAAUCAGCUUGGUAUAUUAUUGGUCCAUUCCUAACAUUUCAAGCUUUUUGAAGUCACUCUUUCACAUAGCAUUAGAACUUUGGUUCUCGGAGGUCUUGUAUCUAAAGAUAGGAAUUAAUAUAUCAAAACACAAAAGAGCACAAAACCAGCUUCACAGAAAGUAUAUGUUGCCAGGUAAAUCCUAAAGCUUGAUAUAUUAUUUUGGUCCAUUCUUAAAGCUUUUAGGGUAAGUGCAGUUUCACAAGGUAUAGGAGCUAUGGUUCUUGAAGGUCUUGUGCUCAAGCCUCUUCAUCUAAUUUACUACUUAAUUUGUUGACAUGUGCCAAAGUAUAUCAUAUUUGGGAUAGUGUGUUGCAUUAGCCAAAAUAUCUAAUAUAGCUUAAGCCUAUGGGGUAAGUGGUGGUCUAACACUACAAACGGAAAUCAGGAAAGGCAGAAAAAAAAAACAGAGAAUCACAAAAUUUAUUUUGCUAUUUCAACUCAAGAAAAUCAGGAAAGGCAUUAAAAAAAAAAAAAAAAAACAGAGGUAGAACAGAAAUAACAAAAUUCAUUUUGCUAUUUCAACUCAAGAAAGCUUCUGGAAAAUAAUAAGAAAGCAACAAUUUAAUGACCUCAAUUCUUAGUAAGAAAUACUAGUGGAUAACCAUAAAAUGACCUUAGAUAACAUGAGAAAAUAAUAGUGAAAAUGUAGAAUUCUACUAACCAAGGCCGUCAAUGGGAAAUAAUCAAAAAGGUCUGUAAAAAUCUUCCAAACAUUAGCAUUUCCAUACCUGUCAGAAACAGUAAAAAGGAGUAUCAGUACAGAAUACAGAUAUUCAAGAAGCAAUAGGAGAGGGAAAUAUGCUGCAUGACACCACCUACAUAGAAUGUCACUAAAAUGAACAAGUGAGACAGAUCAUGAAAGUAAUAUUAUCCAACAAGAUAGGCAUAUCUAGAAGCAGGUCCCAUGAUGCGUAUUGUUUGCUGAUGACAUUCACAUUGUUUUAUUUCAUGAGACUAGAACAGCUAUAAAUUUUAAGCUACAACUAUGGGAAAGUUACAGAAUCCAAAGAUUUUGUGGCAAGUCAGACUAAAAAGUGUAUAUGGUAUAAGACUUUAGCAAGAUCAGGGAAUAAUGGUAUUGGCAAUCAGAAGGUACCUAAAUCAAAAGUUAAUUGUUUAUUAUCAGGGAGAACAUUCCAAGUAGAAUGCAGGAUGGUUAAAGUGGAGAACUGCUUCUCAGGUAUUGUUUGAUUGUUAAGUACCCAUCAAAUUCAAAGGAAAUAUUUCUCAAAAAAUAGCAAUGGCCAGUGUUCAAAGAAACAGGUUUAAAAAAUUGGCACAGCUACAAUGGAGGAAUAAGAAGCAAAUACAUCCAUGGUAGAUGAUAAGGGAGUUACCAACAAACGCAGCAGUAAGGAUAAAUGAUUUGAUUCACAGUGAUUUAAUUUGUGCUGAAGGUGCUCCAAGGGCAUUUUCCCAUAGAACUUUUGGGCUUUAAAGUGAUAUUCAGGCUUACUUUAUCAUGAUAAUAUACUGCAGUCAUGCUAAUGCAACUUUGUACACACCAAGCCAACCCAACUUUGCCUUGUUCCCACUAUGCAGAGUCUUUCAUCCCUCUUGUUCAGCCACUCCAUUGGAUAUUUUGGGGAUUCCCGUUCAUAUGAUUGGAUCAAUGUUUUAAAGACUCCAGACAAGAAAAGUGGUUGGCUCACUCUGGAACAGCUUAGCCAAAAUGUUCAUGACACAAAAACAGGUGGAAAAACUAUAAAAAAAAUAUUAGAAAAGAAAAAAAAAAAGAGAAACAAAUAUGAUCAGCAAGUAAGAAGUUAUAAAAAUAAUCUAAUAUAAUUUGAGAGCAUAAUACUGCUAACAUAAGGAGUAUGCCAUAAAUAUUAUUUUAAUCUUUUAAAUGGUAAAAGGUCAAGGAGACUAGGAUAUCAACCAAAUUAAAAGCCAAAUGCCGUCCAACCAGUUCAGACAUCUAGUCCAGUUUUAAUAUGACUAAAGGUUUCACACCACCUGAUCACUUUGAAUAACCUCCCUAUUGAGGGCAUGGGACAGUGACUUGACAUGUUUCCUCCAAGUGAAUUUUUCUUCCCUCAUGGUGCCCAUCUCAAAAACUUUGGAACAGAAACAUAAAUCUCACUUCAAUCCUAUCAUCAACAGUAUCCUUCUUACAAAGCCUCACUAGGUAAACAUCAUUCCCCUUUUCUUUUAUAACAAAAAUUUGUUAUUUUGGAACAUUGCACAUGUAUGAAUGGACAAAUCAGAAAAGAUCAAGAGCAAUCUAGCAUAAACUAAAAUACUAAUGGUACAGAACUCCAUACUACCAAUGCCUCGACUCCUCUACCUUGAAUUUAAGCUCAAAUAGUAGAUAGUGUCAAGGAACAUAAGGUGUGGCAAAUAUAGGGAACCUCAAUGCAAAACAUAGGUAUAAAGAAGACUCAAUUAAUUCAGAAGAUAAAGCUGGAACUAUUCACGAUAUGUGAAGAAUAUAAUGAAUUGUAACAGACAAGAUAGGAAUUAAGAACUAGUUUUUUUUUUUUUUCCUUUUGAUAAGUAGGAAUUAGGAACAUAGUGGGACAGACAUUACAGCUAGAGUAUUGAAUAAUAACAAGUAAAUAAGCAAUCAUAUUAUAACUGCAUAAAAACUUAGAGCAAGAAAGAACAUUAUUUUCCUUUUCUAUCCCUGCUGGGACUUGACCUCCCAUUUCUCCACCCCAACCCCUUUCCACUUGAGCCAGUCUUCAAGGACAGCAAGAAAGAACAUUAUUCAGCACCAUGUGUGUGUGUAUGAGUGAAUGAGUGAAUGAGUGAGAGAGAGUGAAUGCGUGUGUAUGUGAGAAAGAGAGAGUUAGUAAAAUAGAUGCAGACUCAGCAAAUUUGCCUUAAAAUGAUUCAACAACGGUAGAAUAUAAUUUGUUGCAUUGUCUUUCAGAUCAAGGAUACUUGAAACUUACUUGCGUAAGCAUUCAUCAUAAAACCCAUAAACCUGAGUAAUCUGCAGGCAAAAGCAUGAGCCAAUAUCAGUAGAUAGCACUCACCAGAGUACAGGGAGACAAAUAUCAUUAGUAUUAAUAAGUUCAAAAAGAGAGAGAGUAACAAUUGUAUAGAAUUUCUGAAAAUAAUGUUGUAUAACCUAGACAAACAGGAAAAAGCACCUCAAAUAAUUUCAUAGAGAAGACAACCCCUAGUGAAGAAAUCAAGGAAACCCAAACAAAACCAAAAAAAAGCCAUCAUCACUACUACCACUACCAAAUCAUUCCAGCUGUUUCAUAAAGGAGAGCAUAUCAGAAAGAGGAAAGGAGAGCAGUGAGGGCCAAUAAUAUGCAUAUCAGUAAGUCCAAAUCAUGUUAUAGUGCCCAUGGAAAAAGCAAGCAUUUCUCUACCUGUCAAUUUAUGUCUGUAGCUUAUACUUUAAAACAUUCAAAGUGGAUGAUCCAGAUUAUUAAAGCAAAGGAAAAGAAAGAAAAGGCAAAACAAAGGAGAGAGAACACUAUGACAAUCUAAUCCACUUUUUUUUUUCUCUCCUCUCUGGGUCUCUCAUGUUUCCCUUCUUAGGGUUUGGCUCCUCAGGGCUUCUCACUUCUCUACCCGUCAAAUUAUGUGAUUAUCUGUGGACUAGGCUUUAAAACAUUCCAAGCGGAUGAUACAGGUUAUAAAAGCGAAGGAAAAAGAGGCAAAACAGUAUAGAAGUGGGGACAUCAUGACAAUCUAGUCCUUAGUUUUUAUGUUCUUCGUGUUUAGUCUGUCUUGGACUCUAGCUGCUGCUGCUUCUUCUUCUUUUUAAACUUUGUUUGGGUUUUAUUUGUAUACAUCCUUUAGGGCUCACCCCUUUUAACAUCUUUUUAAUAAAUUAUAUUGCCUAUUAAAAAAAAAAAAAAGGAUAAACGCACAAUUAAAAGAGGAAAAUUAAAUAAUAGAAUACCUGUCGGCUUUCAUGAUUUCCUCUGAGGAUUGUGAUACGUUGUGGAUAACGGACUUUCAGGGCCACCAAGAGCUGAAAUAAAAGCCAACCAAUGUCACCAAAAUGAUUAUGAUAAUAGUUGUCAAGAACUUAUGAUACACUAUAUGAUAUAAUUUCCAUGCAAAAAGAUACAUAUUACCAGUACAUAUCUCAAGUGUAUCUUUUGAUACAUAUAUAAUACAUGAUGUUUAAUAUUAUUUAUAUGAUUAAGAAGUGUCACAAUGUUUAUUUAUAUUAUAACAAUGGGAGAAAGAAAGGAGGUGAUCCCAAGCAAAAGAAACAUUGUGUGUUGUGGGAGGCAUCUAUGGAAGUUUGCAGCUUUAUGGAAAUUGCCUAGGAGGUGUUAUUUGAGCGAAACAUGUCUUAUUAGAAUGAUUUAAAUGUUGACCCUUUUUAUAGGUAACAUUGCAUCAAAUGGUGAUUGAAACCUACCUAUCCCAACCCCUCAAGACCAAUUUAAAUGCUAACCUUAAGGGUAUUGACAAAAGAAGAAUGAAAAGUUGUCUAAUAUCUCACCUUCCUUUGUUAUUUUUCUCUUUUCUUAGGGAUGGGGUGUUCAAGAUGAAUUUAGAACUUUGAAGAUGGCACACAAAUACACAUGUCAAUAGUCCAUACAUGUACACAAGCAUUCUUGUAUGUUCUCAUCAUUUCUUAUUUAGAAAUAUCGGUUCAACCUUUAUGGAAGCUUGGAACCUUGGCAUGAUGGUAUUUUUUGGCAAACUAGUUGGACCUUGUAAUUAAAAAUAUAGUUGAAGUUUAUAAGUUCAUAUUUUAUGAUGGUUUAUGGGCAAAAAUAUAAUGUAUAAUUACGGGAUUUCAUCAAAACUAUAAUGCUCAAUGUUUACAUACAUAUGCUUUAUUGAAUGCUUAUAUUCACCUAUUUUAAAAUUGCUAUCUUUUGUAAAAUCAAUUGCAUAUUGCUUUAAACUAUAUUCUUACAAUAUACAUAUGUACAUACACACAAACAUAUAUAUACACACAUAUGAAAGAAGAUGUGUUAAAAAUGUCAAAAUAUUGUGUGAAUGGCCGAAUACCUUGGCCUUGAGUUUUGUUUAUUAUAUAUAGACUUUACAAGGAUGCUAUACAUGGAAAGCAAAUAAAAGCAAAUAAAUUCCCACAUGAUUCUAGCCCUAUACAUGUAAACUAUAAUCUGUCAAAUAAUGUAUGCUAACUGUACAGAAUAAUAAAUGGAGAAAUAAGGAAACAAUUGUGGGCUAAAAUAAGGAAAGAAGUGUGGGCUAAAAUAAGGAAAGAAGUGUGGACAGCAAAGUUGUCAUUUGACAGCCCCCCUCAAAUUGAUGCAGGUUGAUCAACAAGCAUCAAUUUGCUACUUAGCAAUGUCAAUGACGAGGGAAAGCCUUGGUGAAGAUAUCAGCAAUUUGUAAGUCAGUGGAAAUAUGUGGAAGAGUGAUAACACGAGCUUCAAAGGCUGCACGGAUAGAGUGACAGUCCACUUCAAUAUGCUUUGUGCGCUCAUGAUAGACAGGAUUGGUCGUGAUCUGAUUAGCACUUGUAUUAUCGGCAUGUAGAGGUGUAGGAUCGGUCUCAGAAAAAUCUAACUCCGCAAGCAAACCUCGAAGCCAAAUGAUUUUAGAACAAGCAAGAGACAUCGUCCGGUACUCAAAUUUUGUAGGUGACUUAGAGACUCUGUCUUGCUUGUUACUUUUCACAAACAUCUUAAACUAAAACUCCCAACUAAGAUAGUUUUUGCCAUUGAAACGAACAAUAGAAUAUUCUCCAAACAUUACGAAAACAGAAAUAGCCUUGGAAACAAAAAAAAAAAAAAAAAACAUCGUCAAAGAGCCUAAAUCUGAUAACAAACCUCCAAAUAAUCGAAGAUCUCCAAGAGCCUAGAAGCGAAGAAACCCAAAGAAAACUCCAAGAUCACACCAUAGAUGUGUUGUCACAACCACCAGAAAAAAAAACAAAAAAAAAAAGAACCCAAAAGCUGGGCUAGAGUCUGAGAGCCCCUAGGGCUAAAUCCGAGAAAACCCAAAGAAAAACUAGAAAGUGUGUAAACUCUAGGUUCAGAACACAAGCUCUAAUACCAUGUCAAAAUAUUGUGUGAAUGGCCGAAUACCUUGGCCUUGAGUUUUGCAUAUUAUAUAUAGACUUUACAAGGAUGCUAUACAUGGAAAGCAAAUAAAAGCAAAUAAAUUCCCGCAUGAUUCUAGCCCUAUACAUGUAAACUAUAAUCUGUCAAAUAAUAUAUGCUAACUGUACAGAAUAAUAAAUGGAGAAAUAAGAAAACAAUUGUGGGCUAAAAUAAGGAAAGAAGUGUGGACAACAAAGCUGUUUGACAAAAAAUACUAUGAUCACAAUAUUACACCAUAUACAAUACAAAAAUAUGAAAAACAAUACGUCAUAUAGAUCACAAGGUGACAACCAUGGUAGGUCUUGGGUUCGAUUCCUACUACUAGUUGAAUACCCGGGAUUUCCCAGUGUAAGUUGUGGCGAGAGCAUGGUUAGCACCCUGAGGUUUGAGUCCCCAUGAAGAGUCCAAAGGGCUCGGCCAUGGAAGGUUCCUCGAUUAUCACAAAAAAUAAAAGGGCAACAACUAUGGUAAAAUCCGAAUUGAAUGUAGCUAAAAAUACUUUACAAACUAUCAUAAAUUUGUCAAGUCCCAUCUCUAAUCAUUUUUCUAAAUCCUUAUAUGCCCUAAUUUAUUUUGUCAACAAAUCCAAAAUUAUUGUGCUUAAUAAUUUCCAAUGAGAAUGCUCUUUAAUAAAAAAAAAUUUAAAUUCAUUAAUUGCAACCUUAUCUCAAGAAAAACAUAUUCUAACUGAUGGGGGGUAGAGAGAGAGAGAGAGAGAGAGAGAGAGAGAGAGAGAGAGAGAGAUGGGAUAAACCUUAAGAGUCUCACUAAAGCCUUUCUAGGAUUCUCACUAAGGAAAAAAGAAAAACGGAAUCUCACCUUUAACUAUUCCAAAGUGUGUAAAAAUUAAUAUCCACUCAUUUUAUUCUAGUUCCUAACAAAUAAAGUAGUCUAUCAGAACUCUAAUUCUCUGGCUAGAACUCCCAAACCUUCCAAAUAUCGGAGUUAGAACAUAGAAAACUUGUAAUUGAAUCAGAUGAAAAAAUAAAAUAAUUUUGGAAUUUAAAAAAAAAUCCAAAAUUAAAAAAUUCCAAAAAUCAUAUGAAUUUCUUGUGAUCAGAUUUUUUUUUUUUUUUUUUUUUACCAGAGAGGACUUCCCAAAUUCUAAAUAGAAGUCAAAUAACCAGCAACCACUAACCUUAGCUUCAAACACAAUCUACAACAAAAAUACCUUGAUUGGGUCAAAAUGGGAUUCUUCGUUCCCUUUUCAUUAAUAAACCUUAAGGAGCUCAAAGGAGGCGUACAAAAAUUUCCUGAGACUAAAUGAAGAUAUUGAACUCACAAUUCAAGAGGGAUCCAAAGGCAUGUUAACAAGGAGCAUUGUGCCUAAGCACAAACCUAGAAAAGAGCUUAGUCCAAGCUAAAUAUACUGUAUCUAAGUUAAAACACUCCAGCACUAUUCUUUUUAUCUUUUUUUUUUUUUUUUUCAAAAGAAAAUAAAGAUAUAUUAAAAUGCCAAACAAUCAAGCACUAAGAUAACCCAAGUAAAGAGGGCAUAACCCAAGUAACAUAGUCAAGCACUAAUUAUUGCUUCAGUACUAGCCUAUUUCUGGGAUUAUUUAUCAUUUGCGAAAUAAAUAGUUGACCACUAAGAUAAUAUAGUGAAGAACAUUGAUAAAUAGUUAACUAAGAUAAAUAGUUAACUACUAUGCUAAUAUAGUGAAGAACAUUCAUAAGAAUAAAUUAAUGAUAAAGAAAUUUUCAUACUGCCAUUAAAGCAAAAAAUAUUUAUGCCAAAGGGAUAAAAUAAGCUCCACAAUCAGAAAAAUAACCCCCACUUAUUGAAAAUUGUAAAUAUAACCUCAAUUUGACUUUUUUACCACUACUUUUUUUCCAGAUGUGAAAUAGGGAUAAAAUAUUUGAAAGGUAUUUUUGUCCAAAAAGAAUUAUUUUUGAUGGUUAUAAAAGAUGGAGGUUAUUCUUCCAAAUACGCAAUUGUUUUAUUCCUUUAAAUGAAACAACACUUAAAGCAAUAGCAUGAUAGUUGGCCAAGCACGCGUUGGACUGACAAGGAGCAUAUGUGUUUUGAAAGUUAAACAAAAUUGAUGUGCAUGUCUAAUCUGAAGUUUUUCUUCUAUGAUAGGAGUUGAAAAUUACAAUGACUCAACUGAUACUUACCGUGACAGUUUCAACUGAAUAAUACCCACGAUCCACAUAAUCUCCCAUGAACAAGUAAUUCGUAUCUGGACACUAACAAUUAAGGAAAAAGACAUCAUCAAGUUCAUACUUAAAGAGAACAGAAAGGAAAAACAGAUGGAAACAGAUGGUGUAGAAAAAAAAAAAAAGAACUUGAACUUGCUCAAUUUAUUUUAUGGAAGAUGCAGUUAGACACAAAGACAAACUAAUACAGAAAUUCACAAAUACAUCAAUUUUAGGUGGUAAAAAUACAAAAUAAGUCAUAUUAGUUUGUUCUUUACAUUAAAAUGCUAGUGUCCAAAUAUGUCAAUAAGAAUGAUAUUCUUUAGAUUUCUUUUACAGGACAAUUUAUUCCAAGGCAAGGGUAUUUAGAGCCUCAACAUUGGGCUUUUGUUCUAAAAAAUAUUAAUAAAUAUUAGAAGUGUUAAUUAAUGAACAAAGAUAUGAAAUAAUACUAAGCUAUAUUGGUGGCUGUAAUUUAGUGGUAAGAUUCCAUGUUAUCGCCAUAGAGACCUGGGCUAGAAUCCCAGCUGCCACAUUAUAAUCAUAAUCAUUUUUAUUUAUUAAAAAAACAUAUGAAAUAGUAUUAAGCAUGCUCCGAGAAAGAAAAUAAAAAAUCACAGUAAAGCAGCUUCAUUUUCAAAAACUAAACAUGCACUGGCACCUCAUGUCCAGUUCCAUCCUCAUUAGCAUACCUUUGGCACUCAGAAUUUUCUUCCCUAGCUCAAACAAAGAAACCCAAGAGAAAAGGAGUAUAGAAGGGCCACAGACGAAAUACCUUCCCUCCAAUUCGAAAAAGUUCUGCAAGAUCAUGAAAUUGCCCAUGAAUAUCUCCACAUAUGGUCACAGGGCUUUUUACUGGCUGUACAAUACACAAAUCAGAAAAAAAAAAAAAAAGGAAAAAAAAAUUAAACUUAGACAAGAGGCUGGAGUCAUGAUGGAGAAGAGAACAAAAAACAUAUGACGUGAGAAAUCCAAAAAUCAUGUGAAACUAAGGAAAUUGCAUGCAAUUUUACAGCUACACGAUAACCACACCAAAACAGCACUUAAUUGGGGACCCAAACUACUAGAGCGUAUUACAAUCAAGAUUGAGUUGGAGAAGCUCAUAUCAGUAUACAUUGAUUGCCAAGCCUGGUCUAAGAGAAGAUUCCACUUUUUUAGCACAAUAUUUAAUGCACAACCUACUAAAAGCAUGGCCAUAUACUUAAAUGAGUAAUUCUCUGGGAUUUCAUGAGUUAUAAUCACUGAAUAAAAGUCCAAUAUAGGAAUUUAUAUGGGGAAAAAUUGGCUUGGAAAGAUCAGAUUUAUUGUGGAAAAAGGCUAAGCAAAUGAUAAUAGUUGGAAAUUUUUGAAGCAGUUAAAGAUUGACAGGAAAAUAGAAGGUUUGACACACAAAUUUAAUAAAAUGUCCAUGCAAUGGUAUAUAAUAGAUAAGCAGACCAAUACUAAUUCCAGAGAAAAUGAAAGCAUAAUCGGUAUAGUAGAUAAAAGAGAGGAUAGAUCCCAUCCUCUCACCAAAGAGAACAUGUCUACAUGAGUUAAAAGAGCAAGACUACAAUAAAUGCCUUUCUGGUACAAAUCCAAGGAUUGCCAAUUUUUUGUUCUGUCUCCACCAGCCAUUUUUUGAUAGGUAAGAUUUUUUUCCCUCUUUUUGUCCUCAUUGGGACUUGAACCUAUAAUCUCCCACAAACCCACCCUAACCCUUUACUACUAGAGUCAAGCCUCAAGGGCCCAUCUUCACCAGCUUAUCAUCAAAACUUUGGUUUUUUUUCAUAAGGCAAAAAAGGUGUAUGGUCAAGGUCAGUCCUAAAUCACCAAACUUCACUAAAGAGCCUGGUCAAAGGCCUGAAAAGGCCAAAUGGUUAACUGCCAUAUGUCAUACAGCAAUAAUGGCAUACUUUGCUUGCACCCUUUUUGUUAGCUUCUUUUAAUAUAAUUUUGUUUGCCAAUCAAAAAAGAAGAAAGAAGGAAAAAAAUACAGAAACCAUAACGUAUAUAUUGUUGUGAAAAGUUGCAAAAGGCCCCCAUACAUGCAUAAGUAAAGCUGACUGACAGCCAAGAUCACAAUUCGAGCCCAGGAAGGGAUCAGUAAGUUCUUGAACAUAAGAAAAGUGGGUGCAUUAUUUAAUCAAAGAGGGAUGAAUGUUCCUAAGAAUAGAAUGUCUUUUAACCCAAAUAACAAAUCUAACCAUCAAAAAAGAGAAGUUUUCUUGUAAUGGAAGAAAAAUAGCAAGUUUAGCCAACAAAAUAAGAGAGCUGCUCUUGCAUAGUUAGACAAACUCCAUGAGAGAGUUAAACCAAAAGAAAUUAACAUAUUAGCUAAGGCCCUUGCCAACAGGAUCAAAUGAGUGGCUAAGACAAUUGUUUUUGAGGUUUGGUGCACUUUUUCUGGCCCUUUACAUAUAUAUUUCAUUUGCCUAUCAAGAAAAAAAAAAAAAAAAAAGACGAUUGUUUUAGAGGUUCAAGAUACUUUUAUGAAGGAUAAGCAAAUCCCUACUUCUGGUCCUAAUUACCCAUGAAGCCAUCAAUUCAAAGUUAAAUAGCUUCAAAGCAGAUAUUGUGGGCAAGAUCUCUCUCCCUCUCUCUCUGUUCAUUCUAGAAUGGCGAAAAGAGUUUCCACAAGAUUUUGAGGUAGUAAGGAUGAGGGUCAAGGUAUAGAGAUUUCACAUCCUCUAUUUGCCAUUAAUACUUUGUUUUCUGUGGUGCAAAGUAGAACACUUCUUCUGUGGCUUAUGGGUAUCCUCCUUUAGUUUGGAACUGUCUCUAGGUUAAAUGUCAAUUGUUUGGAGAAGGGUGAGACUUCCCCAAUGAGGUAAGUGGAGAAUAUAAUGCAUCUAACAAUCAUGUUAGGUUGGAAAAUGGACCAUUUAUCUACUACUUAUUUGAGAUUGUCUUUGAGAGCAUGUUGUAAGUCUAAAGCUGUCUGGGAUUCAACAAUUAAAAGAAGGCCAGCAUCUAGUAAAAGAUGAUAUCUCAAAAUGGGGCAGAUGGUAGCCUAUGGCACCUAUCAUUCUCACUUUUAGAUGUGUUUAGAGUGCUGUCUCUUUCGGUGAAAGAUGUGUUGUCAGGAUGACAUGGGUGUUCUGUCAGGAAAAAACGAAGGGCAAGAAAAACCAAGCUUGGAGGUUAGCCCCCUUGUAUUUGUAUUGGAUCAUUUGGCAAGAGAGAAACCAAAGAACUUUCAGAGGCUUGGAGCAGUCAAAUUCAAUUGCUAAAGGAUUCUUUUAUCUAGACACCCUUUUCUUUGGUUCAAAUUUUGUUUGGGAACAGGGUGUUGCUCCACACCAUAUUUCGUUGAUUGGAUGGGGUUGCUCUAGUGUGUUUACUUUUUCCCUCUCUUCCCUUUGAGGAUCUUUGUAUACCUCCUAUAUGCUUGGUUUUACCCCUUUUAUUGGUAUUUUUAAAUAAAAUGUCUUCUGUUUACCAAAAGAUCUUCCUGAGAGGGUAUGAGUAAACCAACUCAUUCAAAAUACUAAGUUGAGUUUUCCAAUAUAUUUUCUCUUGUUUUAUAAUGCCAAUAUAGGUGCAUGACAGAUCAGACACACUGAUGAGACUCCCACUCGGAAAGACAGAAUUAUGGAGGCAGACUACUCACUCGACAGAGAAAAAAGGAAGGUGGUUUAAGGACAAGAAGGCUGCUUGAUCUCAAUAAAGUUUUGAGGGGCAAGUAGCUAUGGAGGUUUGCAGGGAAUAGAUAUAGAUGAGAAAAGUUGUGGUGGUCAAGUAUGGGGAAAUAGAGAGAAUCGGCGUGCUAGAAAGGGAGGAAAGGGGAGUCAGGCCUAUUGGUGUGGUUUGUUCAAAAGCUAUUAUAAUGUUUCAGAUGUUUUUGAAGGUUUUAGUUGUGUCUUGGUGGGAAGUAGGCUAAGGACUAAAUUUUGGAAGGAUGUUUGAUAAUAGGAGACUGCUGCACUGAUUGAUUGUUUCCUGAAGCUCUUUCAUCAGGACAAAAAGGGUGGUCACAGAUUAUUGAUGUCCAAUUGGUGCAAGUAGUUAUUGAAGCUAACAAUUUUUCAGCAAUUCUCGUGACUGGAAGCUACAGCUGGUUAAGAGAUUUGUGGCUUGCAUUUACCUCCAUGUGGUCAAAGAGGAUAAGGAAACAUGAGUUCAAAGAUCACCAAAAAAUGUUGUAUUUUAGUUGUAUCUUUCCAUCAUGAGCCCCUUCCCUCUAGGCAAACAUUCCAGUUUAACAUCACGAGAGUGGGGGUCUAAUGCUCAGCCAAGGUUGGUUUUUUUUUCUUGGGAAGCUGCUUUGGAAAAGAUCCCUUCUUUAUUUAUUUAUCUUCAAUAGGUAAACAAAAAGAUCCCUUCUUUAGAGUUUAGAUUUUUUUUUUUUCAUAGAUAAAUAAGGAUUGUAUUAAAAAGAAGAUCCUUUCUUUAGAUUAGUUUAUUAAAAGAAGAAUCUUGUUGUAAUCUGUGUAGGUCAGGAAAGGAAUCAACCAAUCAUACCCUUAUACAUUUUCCCAUCCUCAAAGCCCCUAGUCUUGGUGUUUUCUAUCUUUAGUAUUUCAUGGGUGAUGCCUUAUUUGGUAUGAAGACUUUGUCAUCAUAAAAGAAAAGGGAAGUGGAGGAUAAAACUUUUGAAGGGAUGAACUGGUAAAAAAUUAAGCACAAUUUUUUUUUCUCUGGAAGUCCUUGUUCUCUUGUUUAGGAUUCUUUAGAGGCAGGGCAGUUUUUCUUUUCCAGAUUUCAUUACUUGAGGCCAAGGAUGAUGGUUAAGCCUCUUUUGCUGAGCCCUUUUUUUUUUUUCUGAUAGGUACUCUUUUGCUGAGCCCUUCUGUUUGUGUGUGUGUGUGUGUGUGUGUGGUUUUUUUGCCUUAUUCAAGUGCUUUAAGCACACUUCCUGUAACCAGAGUUGUGACCCCUUUUCUGGCGUUCUGAAUCUCACUAGCUUGCCUUUAGGAAGAAAAAAACGGAGAAGAAAAUUCUGCCUUAUUGAGUCUCAUGGCCGAAAACUAGAAAUUACUUUAUAAAUAUUCCACACUAAAAUGAUGAAUAAUAAAUGCCUCUAUCUUAUACUACACCUUGUGUUGAAACUAAAGCAGUGAAUACCACAUUUAAGUCACCUAUAAACACUCCCACACAAAAUGACUACAAUCACUGUCACAACUGGAGUGUAGGGAGAAAUGUUCCAAACAACCUCAGAAUAGCACACACCAUAAUGUCCUGGAAAGACCUCAAAUUUUUGUUCACGAAUUCUGAAUGCUUCAGAUUAUCAUUUUAUUAGUAAGCCAUAUGAAUUGAAAAACAUCACAGCCAGUAAAUAGGAAAUGAGAAAUAGGAACUGAGUGAUUCUAAAUUUUGAGCUAUCUAGGCAUUUACUAGCCACUACAAUGCUCGAAUGAGCUACAGGUACAGUAACUCAACCUCGGAACUACUAUUCACUUCAUCAGUUCAAACUGUAAAAAUUAGUUUUCAGACGACAAAACAAAACAAAUACUGGAACUGAACAAAUGCAAUUAAAAUGAUAGAAAUAGCAUUAAAAAGGACAAAUGAGGAUACCUGAACAUUACUUUCCUCCAUUAGUAUCUCCUUCGCCUUCUCGCAUAAUGUCCUAACCUACAGCCGCAAAGAAAGUUGUUAGACCUCCAAAUAUGGUUUCAGAUCCUCACUAACACUAAUCCAUUAAUAGGAUGGAAAAUGGCAUCAAUAAUGACACAAAAAACACGUCCAAAUGAGAAAUGAAAGUUGUUUGGUUGUUAUAGUGGAUAUGGGAAAUAGGAAAACAACCCACCUUUUCUUUUUUUUAAUAGUAUAUAAGAAUAAUAUUAAAAAAACACCUUACAGAAGGUGCAUCAAAGUAAACACAAUGCAUACAACAGCCAAACAUUUGUUUAUGGGCAACACAGAUUGGGGAAGAAUUUUGGGUUGGCUGGAACUUCUCCACCUCAAUCACUAAUACCCAAAUUCUAAUGCAACUCAUCACAUAUUCCAUGGUAUUCACCAGUUUGGAUAGACCUCACAAUUUUAAUCGCUUCCUAUAGUGUUUUUUUUUUUUUUGAUAGGCAAAAACAGAAUUAUAUUAGAAAAGGGCACCAAAAGGAAAGCCCAAAGUAUACAGGGAGUAUACAAAGGACCCUUAAAGCACACCCAAGAGAAAGGAAAACAAACCCGACCCUCAUCUAGCGCCUAGCCAAUCAAGAAAACUAGGUAAAGUGAGAGGAUCUACAUUUACAAUUGAUUUUGUCCACACCCAAAGAUUACAAACAAAAGAAUUCUUCAACCUAUGAACCGAAAAGUCCUCAUUAUCGAAAGCAAUCCUGUUUCUUUCCAUCCAAACCGCCCAAAAGAGGCACAACGGGGCUGCCUUCCACACCUUUCUAUGCUUCUUGCCCAACAUAAAGCCCCUCCAUUCAAUAAGGGUCUCUCUAGCCGAAUAAGGGAGGACCCAACACACUCCAAAAAGGGCGAACAAUAAAUCCCAUAAGGCUCUUGCCUUAGAGCAAUGAAUAAGGAUAUGAUCAAUUGACUCCUCUUCCUCACAGCACAUAANNNNNNNNNNNNNNNNNNNNNNNNNNNNNNNNNNNNNNNNNNNNNNNNNNNNNNNNNNNNNNNNNNNNNNNNNNNNNNNNNNNNNNNNNNNNNNNNNNNNNNNNNNNNNNNNNNNNNNNNNNNNNNNNNNNNNNNNNNNNNNNNNNNNNNNNNNNNNNNNNNNNNNNNNNNNNNNNNNNNNNNNNNNNNNNNNNNNNNNNNNNNNNNNNNNNNNNNNNNNNNNNNNNNNNNNNNNNNNNNNNNNNNNNNNNNNNNNNNNNNNNNNNNNNNNNNNNNNNNNNNNNNNNNNNNNNNNNNNNNNNNNNNNNNNNNNNNNNNNNNNNNNNNNNNNNNNNNNNNNNNNNNNNNNNNNNNNNNNNNNNNNNNNNNNNNNNNNNNNNNNNNNNNNNNNNNNNNNNNNNNNNNNNNNNNNNNNNNNNNNNNNNNNNNNNNNNNNNNNNNNNNNNNNNNNNNNNNNNNNNNNNNNNNNNNNNNNNNNNNNNNNNNNNNNNNNNNNNNNNNNNNNNNNNNNNNNNNNNNNNNNNNNNNNNNNNNNNNNNNNNNNNNNNNNNNNNNNNNNNNNNNNNNNNNNNNNNNNNNNNNNNNNNNNNNNNNNNNNNNNNNNNNNNNNNNNNNNNNNNNNNNNNNNNNNNNNNNNNNNNNNNNNNNNNNNNNNNNNNNNNNNNNNNNNNNNNNNNNNNNNNNNNNNNNNNNNNNNNNNNNNNNNNNNNNNNNNNNNNNNNNNNNNNNNNNNNNNNNNNNNNNNNNNNNNNNNNNNNNNNNNNNNNNNNNNNNNNNNNNNNNNNNNNNNNNNNNNNNNNNNNNNNNNNNNNNNNNNNNNNNNNNNNNNNNNNNNNNNNNNNNNNNNNNNNNNNNNNNNNNNNNNNNNNNNNNNNNNNNNNNNNNNNNNNNNNNNNNNNNNNNNNNNNNNNNNNNNNNNNNNNNNNNNNNNNNNNNNNNNNNNNNNNNNNNNNNNNNNNNNNNNNNNNNNNNNNNNNNNNNNNNNNNNNNNNNNNNNNNNNNNNNNNNNNNNNNNNNNNNNNNNNNNNNNNNNNNNNNNNNNNNNNNNNNNNNNNNNNNNNNNNNNNNNNNNNNNNNNNNNNNNNNNNNNNNNNNNNNNNNNNNNNNNNNNNNNNNNNNNNNNNNNNNNNNNNNNNNNNNNNNNNNNNNNNNNNNNNNNNNNNNNNNNNNNNNNNNNNNNNNNNNNNNNNNNNNNNNNNNNNNNNNNNNNNNNNNNNNNNNNNNNNNNNNNNNNNNNNNNNNNNNNNNNNNNNNNNNNNNNNNNNNNNNNNNNNNNNNNNNNNNNNNNNNNNNNNNNNNNNNNNNNNNNNNNNNNNNNNNNNNNNNNNNNNNNNNNNNNNNNNNNNNNNNNNNNNNNNNNNNNNNNNNNNNNNNNNNNNNNNNNNNNNNNNNNNNNNNNNNNNNNNNNNNNNNNNNNNNNNNNNNNNNNNNNNNNNNNNNNNNNNNNNNNNNNNNNNNNNNNNNNNNNNNNNNNNNNNNNNNNNNNNNNNNNNNNNNNNNNNNNNNNNNNNNNNNNNNNNNNNNNNNNNNNNNNNNNNNNNNNNNNNNNNNNNNNNNNNNNNNNNNNNNNNNNNNNNNNNNNNNNNNNNNNNNNNNNNNNNNNNNNNNNNNNNNNNNNNNNNNNNNNNNNNNNNNNNNNNNNNNNNNNNNNNNNNNNNNNNNNNNNNNNNNNNNNNNNNNNNNNNNNNNNNNNNNNNNNNNNNNNNNNNNNNNNNNNNNNNNNNNNNNNNNNNNNNNNNNNNNNNNNNNNNNNNNNNNNNNNNNNNNNNNNNNNNNNNNNNNNNNNNNNNNNNNNNNNNNNNNNNNNNNNNNNNNNNNNNNNNNNNNNNNNNNNNNNNNNNNNNNNNNNNNNNNNNNNNNNNNNNNNNNNNNNNNNNNNNNNNNNNNNNNNNNNNNNNNNNNNNNNNNNNNNNNNNNNNNNNNNNNNNNNNNNNNNNNNNNNNNNNNNNNNNNNNNNNNNNNNNNNNNNNNNNNNNNNNNNNNNNNNNNNNNNNNNNNNNNNNNNNNNNNNNNNNNNNNNNNNNNNNNNNNNNNNNNNNNNNNNNNNNNNNNNNNNNNNNNNNNNNNNNNNNNNNNNNNNNNNNNNNNNNNNNNNNNNNNNNNNNNNNNNNNNNNNNNNNNNNNNNNNNNNNNNNNNNNNNNNNNNNNNNNNNNNNNNNNNNNNNNNNNNNNNNNNNNNNNNNNNNNNNNNNNNNNNNNNNNNNNNNNNNNNNNNNNNNNNNNNNNNNNNNNNNNNNNNNNNNNNNNNNNNNNNNNNNNNNNNNNNNNNNNNNNNNNNNNNNNNNNNNNNNNNNNNNNNNNNNNNNNNNNNNNNNNNNNNNNNNNNNNNNNNNNNNNNNNNNNNNNNNNNNNNNNNNNNNNNNNNNNNNNNNNNNNNNNNNNNNNNNNNNNNNNNNNNNNNNNNNNNNNNNNNNNNNNNNNNNNNNNNNNNNNNNNNNNNNNNNNNNNNNNNNNNNNNNNNNNNNNNNNNNNNNNNNNNNNNNNNNNNNNNNNNNNNNNNNNNNNNNNNNNNNNNNNNNNNNNNNNNNNNNNNNNNNNNNNNNNNNNNNNNNNNNNNNNNNNNNNNNNNNNNNNNNNNNNNNNNNNNNNNNNNNNNNNNNNNNNNNNNNNNNNNNNNNNNNNNNNNNNNNNNNNNNNNNNNNNNNNNNNNNNNNNNNNNNNNNNNNNNNNNNNNNNNNNNNNNNNNNNNNNNNNNNNNNNNNNNNNNNNNNNNNNNNNNNNNNNNNNNNNNNNNNNNNNNNNNNNNNNNNNNNNNNNNNNNNNNNNNNNNNNNNNNNNNNNNNNNNNNNNNNNNNNNNNNNNNNNNNNNNNNNNNNNNNNNNNNNNNNNNNNNNNNNNNNNNNNNNNNNNNNNNNNNNNNNNNNNNNNNNNNNNNNNNNNNNNNNNNNNNNNNNNNNNNNNNNNNNNNNNNNNNNNNNNNNNNNNNNNNNNNNNNNNNNNNNNNNNNNNNNNNNNNNNNNNNNNNNNNNNNNNNNNNNNNNNNNNNNNNNNNNNNNNNNNNNNNNNNNNNNNNNNNNNNNNNNNNNNNNNNNNNNNNNNNNNNNNNNNNNNNNNNNNNNNNNNNNNNNNNNNNNNNNNNNNNNNNNNNNNNNNNNNNNNNNNNNNNNNNNNNNNNNNNNNNNNNNNNNNNNNNNNNNNNNNNNNNNNNNNNNNNNNNNNNNNNNNNNNNNNNNNNNNNNNNNNNNNNNNNNNNNNNNNNNNNNNNNNNNNNNNNNNNNNNNNNNNNNNNNNNNNNNNNNNNNNNNNNNNNNNNNNNNNNNNNNNNNNNNNNNNNNNNNNNNNNNNNNNNNNNNNNNNNNNNNNNNNNNNNNNNNNNNNNNNNNNNNNNNNNNNNNNNNNNNNNNNNNNNNNNNNNNNNNNNNNNNNNNNNNNNNNNNNNNNNNNNNNNNNNNNNNNNNNNNNNNNNNNNNNNNNNNNNNNNNNNNNNNNNNNNNNNNNNNNNNNNNNNNNNNNNNNNNNNNNNNNNNNNNNNNNNNNNNNNNNNNNNNNNNNNNNNNNNNNNNNNNNNNNNNNNNNNNNNNNNNNNNNNNNNNNNNNNNNNNNNNNNNNNNNNNNNNNNNNNNNNNNNNNNNNNNNNNNNNNNNNNNNNNNNNNNNNNNNNNNNNNNNNNNNNNNNNNNNNNNNNNNNNNNNNNNNNNNNNNNNNNNNNNNNNNNNNNNNNNNNNNNNNNNNNNNNNNNNNNNNNNNNNNNNNNNNNNNNNNNNNNNNNNNNNNNNNNNNNNNNNNNNNNNNNNNNNNNNNNNNNNNNNNNNNNNNNNNNNNNNNNNNNNNNNNNNNNNNNNNNNNNNNNNNNNNNNNNNNNNNNNNNNNNNNNNNNNNNNNNNNNNNNNNNNNNNNNNNNNNNNNNNNNNNNNNNNNNNNNNNNNNNNNNNNNNNNNNNNNNNNNNNNNNNNNNNNNNNNNNNNNNNNNNNNNNNNNNNNNNNNNNNNNNNNNNNNNNNNNNNNNNNNNNNNNNNNNNNNNNNNNNNNNNNNNNNNNNNNNNNNNNNNNNNNNNNNNNNNNNNNNNNNNNNNNNNNNNNNNNNNNNNNNNNNNNNNNNNNNNNNNNNNNNNNNNNNNNNNNNNNNNNNNNNNNNNNNNNNNNNNNNNNNNNNNNNNNNNNNNNNNNNNNNNNNNNNNNNNNNNNNNNNNNNNNNNNNNNNNNNNNNNNNNNNNNNNNNNNNNNNNNNNNNNNNNNNNNNNNNNNNNNNNNNNNNNNNNNNNNNNNNNNNNNNNNNNNNNNNNNNNNNNNNNNNNNNNNNNNNNNNNNNNNNNNNNNNNNNNNNNNNNNNNNNNNNNNNNNNNNNNNNNNNNNNNNNNNNNNNNNNNNNNNNNNNNNNNNNNNNNNNNNNNNNNNNNNNNNNNNNNNNNNNNNNNNNNNNNNNNNNNNNNNNNNNNNNNNNNNNNNNNNNNNNNNNNNNNNNNNNNNNNNNNNNNNNNNNNNNNNNNNNNNNNNNNNNNNNNNNNNNNNNNNNNNNNNNNNNNNNNNNNNNNNNNNNNNNNNNNNNNNNNNNNNNNNNNNNNNNNNNNNNNNNNNNNNNNNNNNNNNNNNNNNNNNNNNNNNNNNNNNNNNNNNNNNNNNNNNNNNNNNNNNNNNNNNNNNNNNNNNNNNNNNNNNNNNNNNNNNNNNNNNNNNNNNNNNNNNNNNNNNNNNNNNNNNNNNNNNNNNNNNNNNNNNNNNNNNNNNNNNNNNNNNNNNNNNNNNNNNNNNNNNNNNNNNNNNNNNNNNNNNNNNNNNNNNNNNNNNNNNNNNNNNNNNNNNNNNNNNNNNNNNNNNNNNNNNNNNNNNNNNNNNNNNNNNNNNNNNNNNNNNNNNNNNNNNNNNNNNNNNNNNNNNNNNNNNNNNNNNNNNNNNNNNNNNNNNNNNNNNNNNNNNNNNNNNNNNNNNNNNNNNNNNNNNNNNNNNNNNNNNNNNNNNNNNNNNNNNNNNNNNNNNNNNNNNNNNNNNNNNNNNNNNNNNNNNNNNNNNNNNNNNNNNNNNNNNNNNNNNNNNNNNNNNNNNNNNNNNNNNNNNNNNNNNNNNNNNNNNNNNNNNNNNNNNNNNNNNNNNNNNNNNNNNNNNNNNNNNNNNNNNNNNNNNNNNNNNNNNNNNNNNNNNNNNNNNNNNNNNNNNNNNNNNNNNNNNNNNNNNNNNNNNNNNNNNNNNNNNNNNNNNNNNNNNNNNNNNNNNNNNNNNNNNNNNNNNNNNNNNNNNNNNNNNNNNNNNNNNNNNNNNNNNNNNNNNNNNNNNNNNNNNNNNNNNNNNNNNNNNNNNNNNNNNNNNNNNNNNNNNNNNNNNNNNNNNNNNNNNNNNNNNNNNNNNNNNNNNNNNNNNNNNNNNNNNNNNNNNNNNNNNNNNNNNNNNNNNNNNNNNNNNNNNNNNNNNNNNNNNNNNNNNNNNNNNNNNNNNNNNNNNNNNNNNNNNNNNNNNNNNNNNNNNNNNNNNNNNNNNNNNNNNNNNNNNNNNNNNNNNNNNNNNNNNNNNNNNNNNNNNNNNNNNNNNNNNNNNNNNNNNNNNNNNNNNNNNNNNNNNNNNNNNNNNNNNNNNNNNNNNNNNNNNNNNNNNNNNNNNNNNNNNNNNNNNNNNNNNNNNNNNNNNNNNNNNNNNNNNNNNNNNNNNNNNNNNNNNNNNNNNNNNNNNNNNNNNNNNNNNNNNNNNNNNNNNNNNNNNNNNNNNNNNNNNNNNNNNNNNNNNNNNNNNNNNNNNNNNNNNNNNNNNNNNNNNNNNNNNNNNNNNNNNNNNNNNNNNNNNNNNNNNNNNNNNNNNNNNNNNNNNNNNNNNNNNNNNNNNNNNNNNNNNNNNNNNNNNNNNNNNNNNNNNNNNNNNNNNNNNNNNNNNNNNNNNNNNNNNNNNNNNNNNNNNNNNNNNNNNNNNNNNNNNNNNNNNNNNNNNNNNNNNNNNNNNNNNNNNNNNNNNNNNNNNNNNNNNNNNNNNNNNNNNNNNNNNNNNNNNNNNNNNNNNNNNNNNNNNNNNNNNNNNNNNNNNNNNNNNNNNNNNNNNNNNNNNNNNNNNNNNNNNNNNNNNNNNNNNNNNNNNNNNNNNNNNNNNNNNNNNNNNNNNNNNNNNNNNNNNNNNNNNNNNNNNNNNNNNNNNNNNNNNNNNNNNNNNNNNNNNNNNNNNNNNNNNNNNNNNNNNNNNNNNNNNNNNNNNNNNNNNNNNNNNNNNNNNNNNNNNNNNNNNNNNNNNNNNNNNNNNNNNNNNNNNNNNNNNNNNNNNNNNNNNNNNNNNNNNNNNNNNNNNNNNNNNNNNNNNNNNNNNNNNNNNNNNNNNNNNNNNNNNNNNNNNNNNNNNNNNNNNNNNNNNNNNNNNNNNNNNNNNNNNNNNNNNNNNNNNNNNNNNNNNNNNNNNNNNNNNNNNNNNNNNNNNNNNNNNNNNNNNNNNNNNNNNNNNNNNNNNNNNNNNNNNNNNNNNNNNNNNNNNNNNNNNNNNNNNNNNNNNNNNNNNNNNNNNNNNNNNNNNNNNNNNNNNNNNNNNNNNNNNNNNNNNNNNNNNNNNNNNNNNNNNNNNNNNNNNNNNNNNNNNNNNNNNNNNNNNNNNNNNNNNNNNNNNNNNNNNNNNNNNNNNNNNNNNNNNNNNNNNNNNNNNNNNNNNNNNNNNNNNNNNNNNNNNNNNNNNNNNNNNNNNNNNNNNNNNNNNNNNNNNNNNNNNNNNNNNNNNNNNNNNNNNNNNNNNNNNNNNNNNNNNNNNNNNNNNNNNNNNNNNNNNNNNNNNNNNNNNNNNNNNNNNNNNNNNNNNNNNNNNNNNNNNNNNNNNNNNNNNNNNNNNNNNNNNNNNNNNNNNNNNNNNNNNNNNNNNNNNNNNNNNNNNNNNNNNNNNNNNNNNNNNNNNNNNNNNNNNNNNNNNNNNNNNNNNNNNNNNNNNNNNNNNNNNNNNNNNNNNNNNNNNNNNNNNNNNNNNNNNNNNNNNNNNNNNNNNNNNNNNNNNNNNNNNNNNNNNNNNNNNNNNNNNNNNNNNNNNNNNNNNNNNNNNNNNNNNNNNNNNNNNNNNNNNNNNNNNNNNNNNNNNNNNNNNNNNNNNNNNNNNNNNNNNNNNNNNNNNNNNNNNNNNNNNNNNNNNNNNNNNNNNNNNNNNNNNNNNNNNNNNNNNNNNNNNNNNNNNNNNNNNNNNNNNNNNNNNNNNNNNNNNNNNNNNNNNNNNNNNNNNNNNNNNNNNNNNNNNNNNNNNNNNNNNNNNNNNNNNNNNNNNNNNNNNNNNNNNNNNNNNNNNNNNNNNNNNNNNNNNNNNNNNNNNNNNNNNNNNNNNNNNNNNNNNNNNNNNNNNNNNNNNNNNNNNNNNNNNNNNNNNNNNNNNNNNNNNNNNNNNNNNNNNNNNNNNNNNNNNNNNNNNNNNNNNNNNNNNNNNNNNNNNNNNNNNNNNNNNNNNNNNNNNNNNNNNNNNNNNNNNNNNNNNNNNNNNNNNNNNNNNNNNNNNNNNNNNNNNNNNNNNNNNNNNNNNNNNNNNNNNNNNNNNNNNNNNNNNNNNNNNNNNNNNNNNNNNNNNNNNNNNNNNNNNNNNNNNNNNNNNNNNNNNNNNNNNNNNNNNNNNNNNNNNNNNNNNNNNNNNNNNNNNNNNNNNNNNNNNNNNNNNNNNNNNNNNNNNNNNNNNNNNNNNNNNNNNNNNNNNNNNNNNNNNNNNNNNNNNNNNNNNNNNNNNNNNNNNNNNNNNNNNNNNNNNNNNNNNNNNNNNNNNNNNNNNNNNNNNNNNNNNNNNNNNNNNNNNNNNNNNNNNNNNNNNNNNNNNNNNNNNNNNNNNNNNNNNNNNNNNNNNNNNNNNNNNNNNNNNNNNNNNNNNNNNNNNNNNNNNNNNNNNNNNNNNNNNNNNNNNNNNNNNNNNNNNNNNNNNNNNNNNNNNNNNNNNNNNNNNNNNNNNNNNNNNNNNNNNNNNNNNNNNNNNNNNNNNNNNNNNNNNNNNNNNNNNNNNNNNNNNNNNNNNNNNNNNNNNNNNNNNNNNNNNNNNNNNNNNNNNNNNNNNNNNNNNNNNNNNNNNNNNNNNNNNNNNNNNNNNNNNNNNNNNNNNNNNNNNNNNNNNNNNNNNNNNNNNNNNNNNNNNNNNNNNNNNNNNNNNNNNNNNNNNNNNNNNNNNNNNNNNNNNNNNNNNNNNNNNNNNNNNNNNNNNNNNNNNNNNNNNNNNNNNNNNNNNNNNNNNNNNNNNNNNNNNNNNNNNNNNNNNNNNNNNNNNNNNNNNNNNNNNNNNNNNNNNNNNNNNNNNNNNNNNNNNNNNNNNNNNNNNNNNNNNNNNNNNNNNNNNNNNNNNNNNNNNNNNNNNNNNNNNNNNNNNNNNNNNNNNNNNNNNNNNNNNNNNNNNNNNNNNNNNNNNNNNNNNNNNNNNNNNNNNNNNNNNNNNNNNNNNNNNNNNNNNNNNNNNNNNNNNNNNNNNNNNNNNNNNNNNNNNNNNNNNNNNNNNNNNNNNNNNNNNNNNNNNNNNNNNNNNNNNNNNNNNNNNNNNNNNNNNNNNNNNNNNNNNNNNNNNNNNNNNNNNNNNNNNNNNNNNNNNNNNNNNNNNNNNNNNNNNNNNNNNNNNNNNNNNNNNNNNNNNNNNNNNNNNNNNNNNNNNNNNNNNNNNNNNNNNNNNNNNNNNNNNNNNNNNNNNNNNNNNNNNNNNNNNNNNNNNNNNNNNNNNNNNNNNNNNNNNNNNNNNNNNNNNNNNNNNNNNNNNNNNNNNNNNNNNNNNNNNNNNNNNNNNNNNNNNNNNNNNNNNNNNNNNNNNNNNNNNNNNNNNNNNNNNNNNNNNNNNNNNNNNNNNNNNNNNNNNNNNNNNNNNNNNNNNNNNNNNNNNNNNNNNNNNNNNNNNNNNNNNNNNNNNNNNNNNNNNNNNNNNNNNNNNNNNNNNNNNNNNNNNNNNNNNNNNNNNNNNNNNNNNNNNNNNNNNNNNNNNNNNNNNNNNNNNNNNNNNNNNNNNNNNNNNNNNNNNNNNNNNNNNNNNNNNNNNNNNNNNNNNNNNNNNNNNNNNNNNNNNNNNNNNNNNNNNNNNNNNNNNNNNNNNNNNNNNNNNNNNNNNNNNNNNNNNNNNNNNNNNNNNNNNNNNNNNNNNNNNNNNNNNNNNNNNNNNNNNNNNNNNNNNNNNNNNNNNNNNNNNNNNNNNNNNNNNNNNNNNNNNNNNNNNNNNNNNNNNNNNNNNNNNNNNNNNNNNNNNNNNNNNNNNNNNNNNNNNNNNNNNNNNNNNNNNNNNNNNNNNNNNNNNNNNNNNNNNNNNNNNNNNNNNNNNNNNNNNNNNNNNNNNNNNNNNNNNNNNNNNNNNNNNNNNNNNNNNNNNNNNNNNNNNNNNNNNNNNNNNNNNNNNNNNNNNNNNNNNNNNNNNNNNNNNNNNNNNNNNNNNNNNNNNNNNNNNNNNNNNNNNNNNNNNNNNNNNNNNNNNNNNNNNNNNNNNNNNNNNNNNNNNNNNNNNNNNNNNNNNNNNNNNNNNNNNNNNNNNNNNNNNNNNNNNNNNNNNNNNNNNNNNNNNNNNNNNNNNNNNNNNNNNNNNNNNNNNNNNNNNNNNNNNNNNNNNNNUUAGCCAUUUUGUGAAAAAAGCUGUGUUCUAUCCCCCUCCCUAAGCCAAACUUCUCUUGAUUUUUGUCUCCAAGAAACCUCCUCCAUUAGGGCCCAUUUUUCGAAGUCCCCCUUUGCUGCCUUUCUAGCUUCCAAUUCCUCCAAAGAUAAGGGACGAAGCUUCUCCUGACCAUCCCAGAAAUUUACCUUGUCCAGAGCCACUUUCUUAUUGACACCCACCUGCCCAAAAACCUCCUUAUUCCACGACUUUAGAAUAGCCUUCAAUGCCUUCAACUUCUCAGCAAGGAUGAAGCUAAACGAGCCAUUAAAGCUUAGACUCUGCCACCACCCCUUCAACAGAUCCUUAAAUCCCUCCUCCUUAAGCCACAUAUUUUCAAACCGAAAAGGAACAGGACCUCUUCUAACCCCUCCCCCAUCCAAUAGAAUAGGGAAGUGGUCGGACACAGGCCUAGGGAGGGUACACUGCACCGCCCCCUUAAAGUGAUCCUCCCAAUCCUCCGACACCAAGAAACGAUCUAACCUGGUCAUAGCUUGAUUAUUCAGGCCUCCACUCCAGGUGAAAGGACCCCCCUGAAAGGGAAGAUCCCUCAAAUCCAAUUCAUCAAUCACUUCCGAGAAUCUUCUCAUUGAAGAAGACAAUCUUCCCCCUCUUCUGCUCUCAUUCGGGAAUCUAAUUAAAUUGAAAUCACCUCCGAUACACCAAGGAUCGCUCCAUAGCCCGCGGAUGGCCCCUAACUCUUCCCAAAACAGCUCUCUAUAUCUCUUUACUGUAGGGCCAUACACUCCUGAAAAAAUCCAAUUAAAACCAUCUUCACAGUUUUUGAACCGGCAGGAGACGGAGAAAAGACCUACCUCCAUCCCUUCCAGCUCCAGCNNNNNNNNNNNNNNNNNNNNNNNNNNNNNNNNNNNNNNNNNNNNNNNNNNNNNNNNNNNNNNNNNNNNNNNNNNNNNNNNNNNNNNNNNNNNNNNNNNNNAUCCCCCCGACCUCGGCACGAGGAGAAGCCCUAUUUUCUCUUAAUCCCCCCAACACCGGUUCAAAACCUAUGUCGGCCCUCUCUUCGCAGCCCUCGAUCAACCCCUUUAUGAGGAAAGGCCUUUCCUCGCAGCCCAUUACCCACCCUUUUAAGGUGAUGGGCCUGGGCUCACAAUCUGGCCCAAACGUCUGGACUCCCACAAAUUCUGACUUAAGACCACCAUCUCCAAGCCCGCUCCUGGCUUGGGCCUCCCAAUCAGGCCCAAAAACACAAGCAGCUGGCCCAGAUUUAAAACCUCCCAUGUUUGCUAACUUCCCUCCCCCUCGACUGCUGAUCCCGCAGCUGUCUUCUCCACCAGUCACCUCCUUUCCAGGCCCCCUACCAGCCAACUCAUAUGGACAGCCUGAAAUCCCUUUAGAAGAACUACCACAGGGCGGCUCACCUGCUCCCCUCUGCUCCAUCGGCUGUCCAACCUUCACGAUCACGCCUCCUCUACACUCUUCACGAGACCCACUCCCUGCAACUUCUACAGCCACUGCAUCCCCUUUCCCGAGAGCACUUCCCGCCGGCACCACCUGAGAGAACCAAGGUGGGGAUUCCCACCACAGCUGGACUGAGAAGCACCCCAUCUCAUCCGCAAUCUGGACGGAGGAAGGUGUGUCCCUGCCCACCGAUUUCACCAACAAUCUAGCCCAUUGCAGCUCUGCCAUUGAUUCCGUCUUGUUGUCCACAGCAAUGAACCCACCACAACCAUCUCCUAUCAACUUAAACACCUCUCGAUUCCAUAAAUGAAGGGGAAGACCUACCACUCUCACCCAUACCUCUCUAGCAAAAACACCAUUGCUGAAACACCCCACCUCCGGGUGCCAUCUUUCCAUCAUUAAAACACUGCCUAGAACCUUUCUCUUCCCUCUAGCAAGAACACGCUCGGCCUCACUCAUCAAUUCGAACUCAAAUAGCAAUAGCCCACCUCCCAUUACAGCUAUGUCCAGCUUUCCUUUGAGGAGCCAAGCGUGGACAGCCCAGUUUUUCAGAAAAACCAACGCAGGAGGAUGGUUCUCCACCUUAUCCCAUCUACCCACUAAGCAACGACCAAGCUGCUCUAAUCUACCAGGCUUCACCCUCCCUCCCCUUUCCAGCCAAACCUUGUCCCCAAGUCUCCCCAAUCUCAGAUUUACUACAUCUGCAUAUGUCCUUUGAUCAGGCUCUUUUUCCUUCUUCAGCACCUCAAGAGAAAGAGGGUCCUUUACUCCUCUAAAAGGAGCUACCCCAACCUCUCUCAGCUUCUCAGCCAAGGUGUUCCAUCCUCCAAAUAGCCUCUUUCCUUCUGGAAAAAUUAAGCAAAACCUUUUUGCCUCCAAAUCACGAACAGAACAGAGAAUGAAUCUACCUGCCUCAUUUGUACGACGCUCCAAUCUAUAUUUCCUAUUCUCCUCCUCCCAUGCGAGGGACCAAUUACUAUCAUCUCUAUCUCUACAGCAGGACUCCACACCUACCAGCAGACUACUGAGGCUUGCAUCUCCAAAUCUGAUCCAAGAUGAUAGCCCUUUACAUCUCUCCCAAAUGCAUCCUCUCAGCUUUCCUCCUACUUCAUCAAUCACAAGAUCAUAAGCUUUAGAUUCCACAGUAAACCGUCUUCUACCUCCUCUAGACAUCUUCGUUCUCCCUCUGAUUCUACUAUUUUCAUUUCAUCUAAUCACUCUCUAAUCUCUUUAUCACCCAAUAUACCUUAGAUAUAAUGUGUCAUUUUUUUCUUUUGGAGAAAUUUUUGAAAAUUUUCUAUGAUGCCCUCUACACAUAACACACACGCAUGUGCAACAAAUAGCACACAGCAACUACAGCUGAACAUAGUUAGUCCAAGAACACAAUUUAGGAGCUCAUGUUGUAGGGCAAAUAAAGCAAAACAAGCUCAAAAAUUUCAAUUGAGCACCAAUAUAGUGUUUUUCAUCCCUUGUUUAAAGAACAAUUAAUGUUCUUUAAACAAGGGAGAAAUUAAUGUAUCCCUUGUUUAAAGAACAUUAAUUUCUCUAGGCACUAGAUCUAUCAAUCAUGAGUCAUCAAUGACAGGGAUCAAGUAUUCAUUUCUAAAUGAGGUCAGAACAGCCCACUAAUAAACCAGUGAAUGAUUUCCAAAAUUAUUUUACUAGAUGUUAGACCCUUUUCAUUUAGGCAUUAUUUAGAUCUUAGGGGCCAUAUACGAAAAGGAGAAAUUAAAGGAUUAUCAAUUUUCAUUUCUUUAUGAUGAAAAUAGUGAAAGACAAAAAAAUUAUAAUGGAAACUUGGGGAAGUUUAUACAUUUCAAAACUCUUCAUUUUCUGUUUAAAAAAAGGGUUGGGAUGAAGUGGAUGAAAAUUUUACUAGAUUACAUUUUCUUUCCUUGUAACAUAUUUAUUGUUUGAGACUCCAACCUAAAACCUCGAACCUUUUUUUCCUUUAUUUACCUUUUUCUCUACUAUUUUUCUUUUCCUCCACGUUUUCUGGUAAACCAAAUAGAGCCUUAGUUCUGAAUGACUUAUUUCUAUUGGAAUAUACUUACAUGCCAAAAUUUAUAUAAUCUAUUGCGGAGAGAUGCCAUUCAAUUGAUUUUCUCAUUCUUGUCCUUUAAAUAUAACCCAUUUGUCCGUGUUUACCAAUGGAAGAUGUCUCUUUAAUUAACAACUCUUUUGGUCCUAACUUUGUCAGCACGCAAGGAAGAAAGAGUCGUUAAUGAAGACAGCUUUAAUUCAUAUAAUCCAUCAUAUAGGCGUCUAUUUCCAACCACACUAAGAUCACAAAUUAACUGAAAUCGUUCACUCUAACAGAGAUUUUCUAAUAUAAAGUUGUUUGGUGAAAUUUCCCUUUUGUAAAUGUAAUGAACGGCUGGCUGAGAAAGGAAAGGCAUAGCAUUCAACAACUUGAAACACCUUCGACCUCGGAGGAUGAUGUAGACGAAAAAAAAGGGCGAAAAAAGGAAUAAUAAACGUCAUGCCCAAUGGUGAAGUGCGCUUGGUGAUCAAUUCCUUCCACCGGCUACACCAUGAACAUAUUCGUUCAAGAAAAUACAUUAGACCAAAUUUCCUUCAGGGGCCCAAUUGACAGUAUCUCAUGCCCACUUAUAUGGAAAAUCAACCUCCAAGUGGCACCAAAGUGAAAUUAAACGGAACCCCUUCAGAUAAAAAGAGUGAUAAAACUGAGAUUGGCUUCAAAGGUAGGGCAAAAGAACCCUAGAUCCGAGGUAAAUUACCAGAAAACAAGGGAAUGAUGCCGAAAUGAUGUUUGAAACGAAGGAAGAAAGGCGUAGAGAAGAAAGAGAGAACCUCUUGCUCGGACAAGGGCUUGCACUGCAUGAGCUGAGAAAUCUGGGCAUCAAGGUUGCCAUGUGAGUCGGAAGAGAUCAGAUCCAUACUCAUCCUCUUUCUUGCUGUUGUAGGGAGUUAGAGGCACUCCUCAGAAUCAAAUGGAAACAGCCAGAUUGGAAGCUGACACUAACCCUAACCCUAGAUUUCGCUGCUCUUGUGCUCUGGAGAGGGAUGAGGCUGUGGUGGUGGUGUAACCAAAGAGAGAAACCCUCGCGAAGGCUUGGAUCCCCCUUUUAUCUCAGUCCCAUUCAACUGCCACCAACAUUAAUUACAACAUUACCGCCUCACCUUUUCAAAUAUAAACCUUUGCCCCCGCCCCCUCUCCUCGGUUUUAUUUUUCAUUCAGAAUUUUUUCCUUUUAAGCCACUUCCAGUGAUGCAGAUAUUGAAUAGAAUCAAGCUUCUUUUGAGAUCCAUACAGAUGAUUAAUUAGAUGAAAAUUAAUUUGGACUUUAAUCUCAAUUAAUUUUUUUAAUUACUAUAACUUAAUAAUGAGGAAUUGUAGAUUACAAGUAAUAAAUAUGAAAAAAUAUUGUUAAACAUCAAACAACCAUAAAUCACAAUAAAUAAAAAUCUUGAAAUAUGAGUUUGGUUCAAUUUUUUUCCAUUUUUGGGCAAGAUAAUCAAAAAUGGGAAUCAACCGAAUUGAUUUUCACCAUUCCCAAAUCCAAUCCAUCCUUAUUAUGGUUGAAAACCAAGUUGACACAAAACUAAUUUAGAGUGACGUUUGUUACAUUUCUAACACUUAAAUAAUAAAAAUUUUAAAAUACUAAAAAUGUUAAAGGUGUUUUCUAAAAUCACUGUCGGGAGUUUAUAAUAUAAUUGAUAAUGAUUUUAAAAAAUAUUUCUAAUUUUUUUAACACUUUAAAUUUUUCAUUUUUUAAGUAUUAAAAAUUAUAGAAAUACUUCAUAAAAUUAUUAUCAAACACACAUUUUUUAAGUGUUUUUAACCUUAUAAAUACUUGAGAGAUAAAAAUUUUAAAGUGUUAAAAAUAUUAUAAACAUUCUCUAUAAUCACUGUCAAAUGCAUUUUAAGAACCCGCUUGACAGUGAUUUUAGGAAACGCUUUCAACAUUUUUAACACUUUAAAAAAUUUAACAUAUAAGAAUUAGAAAUAUCAGAAAUAUUUUUUAAAAUCAUUACCAAACACACUCUAAGAGUGUGUUUGACAAUGAUUUUUUAAAAUAUUUUUGGCAUCUUUAAUACUUAAAGUAUGUUUGAUAGUAAUUUUAAAAAACGUUUAUGAUUUUUCUAAUACUUUAAUAUUAAAAAAUUUAAAGUAUUAAAAAUAUUAAAAGUAUUUUCUAAAAUCACUACUAAACGAACUCUUAAAAAAUAAAAAAUUGAAGUGUUAAAAAUAUUAAAAACACUUCCUCAAAUCAUUAUCGACGAAUUUUGGUUAGUUAACUUCCAUCUCACUUGAACUAGCUAAAUAUAGCUUAUAACAUAAAGUAAAAUAAACUAGGACAAAAUAGAUGCAUUUUGAAAUAUAGUUUACUAAAUCCCCCUACUACGAUUGCAAUUUGCAUGGGUUAGAAAAGUAAGUCGUGCUAGGCCCAAAUGUCAAAUACAAUCUAAAGUUGAGUUGAAAUUUCUACACUUCUCAUGAUUUUUCACGAUUAUGAAAACAAAAGGAUUAUAAUGGAAUGUAAUGUUAUAAAAUAUAAGCAAUAUUAUAAAGUUAAAUAUAUACUAAAGUCAUAAACAAUAUUAUUAGUUUCUAAUUUAAGGUGAAUUAUAAUUUUAAACUCAAAUUUCAACAUUUUAAAACAUUUUAAAAAUGGUAAAUAUUAGAGUUGUUUCGUUAUAUUUAUAUAUAUAUAUAUAUAUAUAUUUGAAAUGAAAUAAAUAAAUAAUUUAAUUAAAAAGUAAUGAAUAAAGAAUAGUGUGUAGGUUUGGAUUUCGACUGAUUAUAGAGAUAGGUAUUAACAUGCUAUAACCAUAUGAUGCCCCACUAUAGUGAAUUAAUGCAUUUAUCCCCUAAUAUCUCGGAGUUUGUAUUUUUUUAACCAAAGUCUGACUCUAACAUGUUCAUGUAUUAUCCAUAUUAACCCAAGUUGAGCAUGGGUUGGGCACUUGGGCAUGCUACACUUGCGGCUAAAGCCCUACGAGCAUCUCAAACUCUUGCUUAGAUAUUUGUCAUUUCAUUGUAACUUUUAGGUGAUGUUUGUUUUUUUUUUACUUAAUUCUAAAUAGAAUUUUAAUGCUUAAUAGUAUUAAGUAUUAAAUUGUCUGUUUUUAUAAUAUUUUAUUUAUAUUAAGCAUUAAAAUGUAAAGAAAAUAACAUUUAGAAAAAGUUAAAUAUUUUGACCUUUUCUAUUCAAUAAAAAAGUUUAUAAUAAGUCAUAAAAAAAUAGAAAAACAAACAACUUAAAAUCUGAAAGCAAAUUACUUUAAGUAAAAAGUUAAAAAAACAAACACCCUUUUAGUCUUUUACAAGUUCAUUUAUUCAUGUUUUGUAUUAUUACAAAAAAUACAUAAGAAAAUAAAAUGUAAUUAAAGUUAGUUAGAAAGGUAUGCAUAUUUGAAUUAAAUUUGGCCUAACAUAUAUAAAAUUUAUUUUAUCAGUUUUGAGUUUAUUUUUUAGUUCUCUUUGUCACUUUUUCUCUCCAUUUUUAUUUUUCUUGCAUUUUCGCUUUUUUUUUGGAACCAUAAGUGAAAAAUGAAAUUCAUUUCACGAAUAAGUAUGAAAAAGAAACACUUUAUAAUAUAUAUAUUUUUUCUAAUAUAUGAAAUGUGAAUUUAAGAAUUUUUACAUUAACUCAUAUUUAAUUGAGAAGCAAUAAUGUCACUAUUAAGCACAAAGAUAAGUCACUCAAAUGACGACAGUAAAAUAUUAUAUAGGGUUUAACCCACCAUCACUUGCAUAAAUUGGUUUUUAAAUUAAAUAGUUAAAGUUUAUAAGAACAAAUAUCAUAGUUUCAAGAUGAGAUAAUUGAGAUACAACAAUGUCGCUAGUAAGCUUAAAGAUGGAUUAUCUAAAAAAACAAUGUUACUCCAAAUAACGAUGGUCAAAUACCAUAAAAGACUUUACAUACUUUCAUUGAGCAUUAAUUGGGUUUUAAAUAAGAUAGUUAAAGUAUGAUCUCAAAGUUAGUUUUUCAUCGAUACAAAUGGUCUUACUAGAUAUAUAGGCUUUAUUUGGUAACUAUUUUUUAAAACAAUCAUGAAAAAAUAGUUUUUAAGAACAGUUUUUAAAAUUGUUCUCUAAUGUUUUGUAGAAUAAAAAUUGUUUAGGAACCUAAAAUUGUUUUUUAAUAUAUUUUAAAAAUAUAUUUGAUGUCCAUAUCUUUAUUUUUAAUCAUUAUAUAUGUUUGUAUAAUUAUUAUUUAAAACAAGUCUAAAAAAAAUUGAAAAUAAUUAAAAUAAGUUAUCUGAAAAUACUAUGUUUUUUUAUAAUAGAAAACAGAAAAAAAUUUAAUUAUUAAAAGUGUUUUUCAGUUUUUUUGUUAUUAAAAACAAAAAAACUAUCAUUGAAAAUAAUUACCAAACAAUGCCAUAGCAUUUUAUGCAAUAAGAGAGUGUUUGUAUUUUAUUUUCAACUAAAAUUCUUUGGAUAAUCUUUACAUAUAUUAUAUAUGUUUUAGGUUACUUUUAUAUUUACACUCUUAUUGACUUUUGCAUCUUCUAAAGAUCUUUAUCACAACCCAAUAUUCGUGGCUAGUCUUACCCCUUUCUUUGGAUUUUUCUUCAUUUUUCAAAUGUUUGGGUUAGUUUUUCUGUGUACCACCAAUACAAGUUAGGUGCACACCGUUUUUUGCUCACCUAUAAGAUAGAUAUGUUAUUAACCUCGAAACUAGUAUGUUUCCUUUUUAUGCCACCUAUUAGAGUCAUACAUUAUCCGGUGUACAUCAAAACAAUAUUAAUUGAAAUUAUUGUCAAAUAUAUUUUAAAAUAACCCCCAAUCUAAUUGGUCAUUUGAAUUCUGAAAAGUCAUCAAUCUAAUUUAUUUGAAACAUGUAGAUAUUUAAGUGAAAAUAUUUUUUUAUGGGUAAAAACCGUCUUUUAUCUUUUAACAUUUCCAUUUCAAUAGAAACGCUGCAAGGUCAUAAUUGUAUUUCUAUUUUAUUCAAAAAGAAAAAAGAAUGUCGAGGGAGUCUUUUAUUCAAAAUUGUAUCGAUAACUUUUUUAUUUUUAUAAAAGAUCUAUAAUGCCCCAAAACUCUUAUAAUUUUCUCUUAAAACUUAGUGUUAUUUACAUAAAAGUCCAGUACAAUAUUGAUAUUAGGCCCCCAAAGUUGGCCUCAUUUACAAUAGUCCGAGGCCCACCCAAAUUCAGUGUACCCUCGUGCACCUGAUUAGUGAAAAUCAGAGUGGAGAGUAUACUGUAGAAGAUAUUUAAGGGACGUGUUUGGUAACAGGACAGAGCUUAGUCCAUGCUUGGAUAAGACGGCAAUUGGUAGGCGUGGAUUGAUGCAGCAAUGUACGAAAAUCUGAAAUUUUUGAUCACUCAACCCAAUUAAGUUUCCUCUCCUCUUCGCUACCCAAUUCUCAUAACUCUACAAAUCUCAUCCCGAUUCAGUAUAAAAGCCCUAGUUUCCUUUCAUCUGGUUUUAUUGAAAUCCCCUUUCUCUCCUCCGCAUUCUUUAUUUAGGGUUUUGCUCUGUAAAGCCAACUCACACAACACAGACACAAGAAGAGUAGAAUCAAUUAUGCGUACAUCUUGGGCCGAUUCGGAAGAAGCUGAAGCCGCAGCAGUACCUUCCACCAUCAUCAACAAUGGAGUAGUACCAAACAGUGGCGCCGCCGCCGCCGCCGCCGUUUCCGGCAACUCUCGUCCCGCCCGAUCAGCAUACGUUCCGCCACAUCUUCGCAACCGCCCUCCUUCUUCAACUCCUCCCCCUCCGGCGGUCAGUGCUCCCCCUGCUGCCAACACUCGUUGGGGCGGUGGCGGCGGCGGCGGCGGCCGCUCCGGAGGCAGCUUCGGGGGAGCUGCUUCCAACACGAGAACUGGUGGUUGGGACCGCGGGAGGGAAAGGGAAGUUAAUCCUUUUGGGGACGAUGUUGAUGUCGAACCCCCAUUCGUUCAGCAGGAGAACUCCGGGAUUAAUUUUGACGCAUACGAGGAUAUUCCGGUGGACACUAGUGGGGAUAAUGUUCCGCCGGCGGUCAAUUCUUUUUCGGAGAUUGAUUUAGGCGAUGCGCUUAAUCUCAAUAUUAGGAGGUGCAAAUAUGUGAAGCCAACGCCAGUGCAGCGCCACGCCAUUCCUAUUUCGAUUGCUGGCAGGGAUUUGAUGGCUUGUGCUCAGACUGGCUCUGGAAAGACUGCUGCUUUUUGCUUUCCCAUUAUCAGUGGUAUUAUGAAGGGCCAGUAUGCGCAGAGGCCACGGGGCUCCCGGACUGCUUACCCUCUUGCUCUUAUUUUAUCCCCCACCAGAGAGCUGUCAUGCCAGGUGAGUUUGUCAAUAUCCAGUCUUGGUGUUUGUAUGCUAGUUAAUGGGGAUUGUUGAUGUAAUAUUUGGUUGCAUUGCAGAUACAUGAUGAAGCAAAAAAGUUUUCGUAUCAAACUGGUGUAAGGGUGGUUGUUGCUUAUGGAGGAGCUCCAAUUAAUCAGCAGGUUCUUUCUAUUUCUACUUUGUUUUUUGCUUAUUUAUAUUAACCUAUAUGCUCAUCACUCUUCUUAACCUAGCUGUUUGUUUUGUUAUUUAAACCUUUCUGAUUUUACAUGUUGAGCUGCUUGGUGGGCAGUGGAACUAGCUAUUACUUGUUGCACAUGCAUUGUAUCGUGUUUCCAGUAUAAUCUCUUUCACAUCCUAACCGAAAUACAUGUAAAUCAUUUGGGACAUACUGGUUCAGGUUAUUCUAGUACUUAAUAAUAUGAUAUGCUCCAUAGGCCUCCUUACUCUCUAAUUCUCAGUGUAUCUGUACUUUUGAGCCUAUGUUCAGUGCAAGAAGAAAUGGAUAUACAAAUAGGCCUCCAUCCUGCAGACAAAAAAAUAAACAUGCACAUAUAAUGCUUUCUGUUUUACUAAUUUUAUAUGUGGUUGUAGGGUUAGGAGUUUGGUUCUGAGAUUAGUGUCUUUUGCUUUCUUUUUUUCCUUAUCUUUUUAAAUAUUGGCAAAGCAUUGUAGGUAAUUUUCUCGACAGUAUGUUAUAGUUCAUCAUCCUUGUUUUUACUUUAAGAAAUAUAUUUUAGUGAAAAACCUCAUUAGUGUUUAGUUCAAAAUGGAUGCUAACCCUAUUUCCAUAUGAUUGUUAAGUUUAAGUUUCUUCCCAUUUCUCCAGUGAAAUUUACAAGUUAUCUCUUGAAAAUAAGGUCUUCUAUAGCAUCUAAUUACAUCUUGGAGCUUCAAGUAGGUUUAAACUUUAAAUUAGUCCUGAUAAAUGAUUAUAAAAUAGUAAAAAGGAGAAUUGUAGAUAAGAUCAGGCUUUCAGCCAUUCAUGAGCCAUUCAGUUAGAUGUCAAGCUAUAUUGGCCUAUUAGAUGCCUUUUUGGCUAUUACAAUGCCCUAUGCGUACAUACAGUUGGGAUGCCUGACCAUUUUUUAAUCUCUCUCUCUCUCUCUCUCUCUCUCUCACGGACACACACACAGACACACACGCAUAUAUGUAUAUAUAUACCGUCGUUAUGUUAAUACAAUAUGUUUGAAAUGAUUGUUUACUGAAUGUAUGUUGUCUUUGUACAGCUAAGGGAUCUGGAAAGAGGUGUUGACAUUCUUGUUGCAACACCAGGAAGAUUGGUUGAUUUGCUAGAAAGGGCUAGAAUUUCUCUUCAGAUGGUCCAGUACCUGGCUCUAGAUGAGGCAGAUCGAAUGCUGGAUAUGGGUUUUGAACCUCAAAUUAGAAGGAUUGUAGAACAGAUGGAUAUGCCUCCACGAGGCGUAAGACAAACUAUGCUAUUCAGCGCCACCUUUCCAAAAGAAAUACAGGUUUAUUUACCGUAUAUGGAAUUUCCUUUUUCAAACAAUCAUGUUGAUGACAUUUGAUGUGGUGUUUUGUCUGUGUUGCUCGUGUGUUUGAAUGGUUACUGUUCGUAAAGUUUAGUAUUGUUCACAAAUAUUAUGUAAAGUACCAUGGAUGGAUCAUACCAUUUGUUGCAUGCUAUUAUAGGCCAUAUUUUGUGUUACAUGCUAUUUUGAUCAUUUUGAUUUACACUGUACUAACCUUGCUGUGGAUUUGACUUUUGUCUUUAACUGGCAAUUAAUUUGCUUAAGAAAAUCUGGUUGUAUAUAGAACAUACACUUUAAAUGAUGGCGUUACUUGAGAUUGUUUGGCUGCAUGCUUUGGCUGAAUGUUGAUAUUUGACCUUUCAAGAUACCAUCUUAGAGUUUCUGAACUGUUCAUUGGCAUGCAGAGAUUGGCCUCUGAUUUUCUCGCAAAUUACAUUUUCCUGGCUGUUGGAAGGGUUGGUUCUAGUACUGAUUUGAUUGUCCAAAGAGUUGAAUUUGUACAAGAGUCUGACAAGAGAAGCCACCUUAUGGAUCUUCUUCAUGCACAGAGAGAAAAUGGAACUCAUGGAAAGGUAAUGCUGGAAGAAAAAACCAUUGGUAUUUUAUUCGCUCUGGGCUUAUACAUAUUAUGGUGCAAUUAUCUGAUUUGUUUUCUUUCAACACCAUAUUCUGACUGAGAUUCGUUGGUUGUUUUCUCUUGAUAUUGGGCUUCCAGCAAGCCUUGACUUUAGUUUUUGUCGAGACAAAGAAAGGAGCUGAUGCUUUGGAACAUUGGCUAUGCAUAAAUGGGUUUCCAGCUACUUCUAUUCAUGGUGAUAGAUCGCAGCAGGUAUAGCUCUAUUUUGGAGUUCAUUUUACUCAUACGUAAUGGUGAUUCUGCUAGUGCAUGUCCUCUCCUAAAGUUUGGUCACUACAUCCCUUUAUUGUUGCUUUCUCUGCUGUAUAUGGUUGUGCAUUUUUAUUGAAUGUGUAUGCAACAUUGAAUAAUACAUGGUUUUUACUAUUCAACUAAAGAUUGAAAAUCUAGGGCCCUCUUUGUUGGUAUUUUUGUGUUUUUAAUUUCUAGUUUCCUGUAAUAACAUCAAGAUUUCCAAAAUAUGCUGCUGUUUUUGUUACAGCAUAUAUAGACUUCUGAUAACCACAGUCAAAAAUCUGUUUUGAAAAGCACAAAAUUGUACUAAAUAUUUUCUAGAACUUUCAACUGUGGUAAGAGAUGAUAUGGUGGCGGUGUUUGAGGCUCACAUAAUCAGGUUUUUGAAUGCAAGUUGCAGCUGGAGACAGAGGCUAGAAAUUUUCCUUUCAGCUGGAGUAGUCUAGUUUAUAAAAUAUACUCAGGGCAACAUAUUAACUGUAUAUUUCCCCCCCUUUUUUUGGGUGGUGUUGGGGUUCUUAGAAUUGAAUGCUAAAGAAGCAGAGUUCCAAUCAAGUAUCUCGAAAAGCGAGUGAACUUGUUGAGGUUCCUCAGGCCAAGUCCAUCCAAGGCUCUCCCAGGUCACUCAUCCCUAGCUAAUCCUACUCACAUUGGAAGGGGCAGUCAUCAGGGAAAGGCAAAUGGAAAGUCCUGGGGGGUGUGUCCAAGCUAACAUUUUUGUCAAUUCAACCAUCAGCCCAUGGCUGCCUUGCCUAGUGAUAAAUAUUAAAAUCAUGGGGAGUAUCUGAAAGUUUUGGGAUGUUGAAAAGGCCAUUAUCCUGCUCCACCCUUCUUACCUGUCCCCAUGCCCAAAAGUCAUUGGGCCAAGGGCAUGUUUGCUUGGUUGUCAUGCAGUAUCACUCUAAGCCUGUCCUUCAUGUUGCUUGGAGCUUGCUCAUGUAUCUUAUUCUUCUUCUUAUUAUUUUAAAUUGUAUGAGCUUUUGAUAAUGAUACAGGAGUCUGAAUUGUGGUUGUAUUUUGACUUUGAAGUUCUUGGUCUAGGUUAGUGGAAGGUUGCCAGUCCUUCCCAAUAGCUCAUUGGGAUUCCUUUGCCUCUUAUCUACUUACUUUGUUAUGAAGUUAUUCAACAUGUUGACUAGUUGACGGUGGUGUUUUGGUCUGAGGUAAGUGAAAAGGAGGGAGGAGGGAAAGUGUUAUGAAUUUGCUUGGGUGUCCCUUUUGGGGCUUUUUCUUAGGAACACUAAGGCGUAUGGUUGUGGAGUAAUCUAGAUGAAGUUGGCGAGGUGGAUGAAUUGGCACUCAUAUAAGGGGAAGGCUGAUUUUUACUAAAGUUACUUUGUUAGCUUGCUAAUUUACCUUGAAUUGAUUUAGAAUUCCAUCUCCAGUGGCACUAAGGUUGGAGAGGCUUUUGUAAGUAUAUAUUGUGGGACAGCUUAGGGAAGGAGUCCAGGUUUCAUCUAUUUGACUAGGUUAAGGUGUACAUAUUGAAGAAGUAUGGGAUUUGGGUAUCAGGUGUCUGAGUUUUGUCUAGCAUUGCUUUGUAUGGUAAAUGGUUAAGGAGAUUUGAAGUAGAGAAAGACUAGUUUGGUGCAAGUUGAUGGAAAUCAGUAUGAAGUUAGAGAGAGUUGUGGGUUGAGGAAGGUGAGAUGCUCACUUGGGAUUGGGCUUUGGGAAGGGAUGAGAAAGCUUGUAAGUACUUAGGCUAACGUAUUUCUUUAAUGGUAGGGGAUUGGAUUAGUGGGGGUGGGGUGAGGGGUUGGUAGAGAGCUCUUUUUGGAACCCCUUUUUAUUAAAUCCUUAUAUAUAUAUAUACAUAUAUUUAGAUUCUAGUUCAAUGUUUGGUGCAGGAAGAUGCUGUUGAAGAAUGCUUUUCCUGAUGUUUUUUGCCAUAGCUAGAAAUGAAGAUGUGUUAUUGGAUAGAGGGUUUCUCUUUCCUCUUUGGGCUAGGGUUGUGGGGAAGGUGCCCUAAGACCUGGCUGAGGUGGCAUUGAGUUAGGGUGAGGAUGGGGAGGUUCUAGGUACCAAGAAAAGGUUUUCCGUUGGAGGGAAACAGAGAGUAGGGGGAAGGGUACGGAUGGAAGGUUUUUGAAGUGGGAAGAUGGGAGAUUUUCCAUGGAAGAAGGUUUGGUGAAGUAGAUUUCGCCCUAAGCUGCCAUCCUUUGAUUUUGAUCACCUUUUACAAAAGGAAUGUCGUGCCCAUGCUGGUGUUGCAUAUGCAAAAGAACUGAAGAUUCUGUUGAUCAUUUGUUUCUUUGCUGUUCUGUUGCUAUUGAGUUUUGAUCUCUUCUUUGUUUGUGGUUGGGGUUUGCAUGGUGAUGCAAGGACAUUGAAGGGGAUCUGGUGGGAGGUUUGUGAGGAUGAGUGAGAGGUGCUUAGAGGGCAAACCCUUUGUGUUUACUGUGUGACCAAAAGGGAGGAAUUGAAGGGCCUUUGGAGAGAGGGAGAGAGAGAGAGGGGGAAGGGGGGGGGGGGGGUUCCUAUGAAAAAUGGGGAGGAGUUUCUUGUUAAAAAAGGGAGGGUUAUCUUAUCCAGAGAGGGGAGGAGUUGACAACUUUUAAGCUUGGAUGUUCCUUAACAUGGGUUGCCCGGCCCAAUUUGAUUUUUCUGCCGCUUCUUUUCCUCAUUGUUUUCUGAUCCCCGGAUGUAAUCCGGUUAUAUUUAUUUUUUAUUUUUUUAUAAGCCAAAGGGGAAACANNNNNNNNNNNNNNNNNNNNNNNNNNNNNNNNNNNNNNNNNNNNNNNNNNNNNNNNNNNNNNNNNNNNNNNNNNNNNNNNNNNNNNNNNNNNNNNNNNNNGAGUUUGAUUUUUCUGCUGCUUCUUUUCUUCAUUGUUUUCUGAUCCCUGUAUGUAAUCUGUUUAUAUUUAUUUUUUAUUUUUUGAUAGGCAAACGGGAAAACAUGUAUUAAAAGCGCCUAAUAGGAGGCGCUUUUAUGUAGCAUAAACAGGAAAUCUAUUUGUAUUUAUGUUGCAUCCCCUUUUCCAAUUUUAACAAAUUUCUUUGCUUAUCAUUUCUUUUGGAAUCGGGUUUUCAGAGAAUUCUUCUGCCUUUACUGGUAUGAUUAUGCAUUUAGGUUUUUACAUAUUGUCCUCGGCAUCACAUCAAUUGAGCAUUUUUCUAUGAAAAGUUGAAGUUUGGGGGGAAAAAAAUAUUGAUAAAUGGCCUUUGAGCUCAAAAGUCAGAAAAAUAGAUAUUCCUUAGGAAGUUUUUUUUUUGGUUCGUCUUUGGUUGAUUAAUAAAUGUCUAUUUAUCUUACAUGUUGAGGGAAUUUGAGAUGGAAAAAUAAAACAUGCAAUUUAGGGCUAGGGUAUCUUGAAAAUUUAUAGGCCAAUAGGGAAAAUGUGUGCCCUUCCCAAUGCCUACAUUUUAAGGUCUGUUGUUUUUUUUUUCUCUGACCUUUUUUUUUUUCUUUUCCCUUCAUGGACUUCUCAUCCUUGCUUGAAAAUUUUCUUUUAUUUGAAUGAAACGGUGUUCUUGUUUCUUACUAAGAGUGAAAUUUCAUCAUCAAGUGGUUAUCAGUCAAGGGGAAAAUGCUAGGAUUUUUGGAGGGUUGAUGGAGAUCUUUUGCAAUUGCAGGACAGAAUUUGCCUUUUGGUUUGUCUUUAGGUAUCUGUGACCAAUGGGUUUGUAAGCAUGCCAUUUAGCUCAAUGUAUUUGGAUUAGGAGAUGUCUUGAUUGCCUUGGGGGUUUUUCUGGUCUAGAGUCUUCAGUGUUUGUAGUUCAAGUGCAUCUGGUGAAGGGGUUUAGAUUCCUUUCUUCUCAAAGGGUAUAUGCCAUCAUUUUUUUAAAAUAAUAUUUCUCUGUUUUAUUAAAAUAUCAGUGUGAAAUUAUGCUCAAAUUACUUGCUUAUGACUUUUUCCAAAUUUGGAUUAGCUAUUGGGUACCAAACUAAAGCUUCUUGUGGGCUUUUGGUGUCAAAAACAUUGUAACAUUGAUGACCAUGAUGCAUGUAUCUUGUGUUGUGAUCCUUACUUCUUGCCUUCUUGGAUACUCCAUUUAUGUCAAAUGAUUUUGCUGCAACAUUCUUUUAGGUGAAUAUUGAAGGACAUAUUUAUUGCCAUUAAACAUAGUUUCUGAAGCUGUUUGUUAAAUUGCAAUUUUGUUGCCUUUUAUUGGUGACUAUUGUAAAUCAGUUUGUCUUGUUUAUACAUGCAUAAUGUUUUUUUGCCCAUCUCAGCCUUAUCUAAUUUCAUUAGCUUAAUAAGUUAUUAGUGGUUUGAUGAUAAUGAAACUGGAAAGGUGUUAAUCCAUUCAAAUGUGUUUCCCACUUGUAGGAAAGAGAACACGCUUUGAGAUUAUUCAAAAGUGGUGCAACUCCAAUUCUGGUGGCAACUGAUGUGGCAGCACGGGGUCUUGAUAUUCCUCAUGUUGCUCAUGUGGUAAAUUUUGACCUUCCCAAUGACAUCGAUGACUAUGUCCAUCGGAUAGGACGAACUGGCCGAGCUGGUAAAACAGGAUUGGCCACUGCAUUCUUCAAUGAAAAUAAUUCGUCAUUGGCUCGGGGCCUUGCUGAACUAAUGCAAGAAUCAAACCAAGAAGUGCCUGCUUGGCUUUCACGUUAUGCAGCUCGGUCUUCUUAUGGCGGAGGGGGAAGAAACCGUCGAUCAGGUGGGGGUCGUUUCGGUGGCCGGGAUUUCCGAAGGGAUACUUCUUUUAAUAGAUCUGGAGGCGGUGGCGAUUACUAUGGUGGAGGUAGAAGUAACAGCGGAUAUGGAGCUUCUGGCAGCAGUUAUGGAGGUGGUGGAUAUGGUGCAGGUGUGACUAGUGCGUGGGACUAGUGUCCCCUAUAAUUUACAUGGCUCAUUUCUCUAAAAUAUAAUUGAGACGUGGCUGCAUGCCCUUUUUUUUCUUUUUUUGUUUCAUAUUUGCGUUAGAUCCUGUCAUAGUUCAAAAAAUGAUAUUUUGUUCAACUGUUAUUAAUCCCUAGUUGGUAUUCUUACAGUUGAUAUAUUUUUUUUUUACCCGGUUAUAUGUUUUGGAGAGGCCUGCAGGCCACCUCCCUUGAAGGAUCUUAGAAGAGGCUUUGUAACAAUGGAAAAAAUGACGUUUAAAGUCAACUACCAGAUUCUACUCUCGUUUCUUGAUUUUGACAAUGUGGUAUGUGAUGGAGGUGGAGUCACUUCUUUUUUACCAGAGGUUUUCCAGUUCAUUGUUACAGUCUUCCUUUAUAUUAGGGGCUUUUGCCUUUUCAAUUGGAAUGCUACUGCAUAUUCUUUUGGCUUCUGCUACGUGCCAUCUGCUCGGCUCCAUCCUUUGAGGGCAUUUAUGGGUUUGUCUGGCAACCAGUUGGUGUGGAAACUUGAGGGCGGGUCUUGCUAGAAUUUAAGGGAAACCUCAAAACUGCAACUUAGGCGGCUCCAACCCUAGAAUUUAAGGGUUACAUUAGGGUACCCAUAUGUUAUUAUGAAUUUUAAAUAUAUUACUUAUUGUUAUAUUUAUAACAUGAAGAUUCAAAGUAUAUAAAAAGGACGAUGAAAUAACUCUUUUAACUUUCGCCCCUUUUAAAUCCACAAAUUUAUCAUUUGUGGAUUAAUUACAAAAUAUUUUCAAAGACGUGAGUUUGAAAUCGUCACCUAUAUUUUAGAUAAAAUUGAUAAUUAAUAAUACAUUAUGACUUUGAGAUCAAAAUAUUAUUUUAUAAUAUAAUUUUUGAAACAAACUUAUUACCCAUGAGAAUCCGUGGGGGUUAGACGUGGGUUGGGAGUUCCAAACGUAUUCAUAGGAUAGGAGGUGUUCAACUCGCUGAGAAUUCCAUUGAUAAGAGCACAUAGGAUUCGUAACCAAUACAAUUCCAUGACAUGAAUGCUAGUUCUUGCUUAAAAUUUGAGAGAUUCUGUACAUUUGAAUCUGUAAAAUGAAAUGUCAGUAAUGAAUGAUGAUUUGGUAAAUGAAGAUAGAAAAUCAAGAUUGUAUAGGGGCAAACAUCCUGCUAGGGUUUCAGCAAUGACUAAAAAAUUUAAAACCCAUCACUACUUUUUAAUCUGUUCCGCAGCCAAACACUUCAUCUAGCUUGUCCCCAAAGAAGUCUCAAGCCUUUUGAGUCCUUUAUUUCCAGGCAAUCCUUGAGGAAUAUCACCUGCUCCAGCCUUUUGACAUUAGGCCAACAGUGGCUCCAUUAUAGGUUUUGGAACGGGAGUAUGCAGAUUCAUAGUGUAUGUUACCACCACCCCAACAAGCGCACAAACUGCUGGUACAACACCCAAACCAUAUCUUGAAACCGAAAAACGUGAAAUAACUGAUCCCUGGAGGUCUGGAGAGGAAUCUGCAUUAUUCAAGAGUACGAUGUUAAAUCCAAAAUUUUUAACUAACAAACACCAACAGCAUACUACAAUUGCAAAAUAGUGAGAACUACCAGAAAAUGGACAAGAUAACUGGUCUAUCUCAUAUUUUGAAGCAUCAUGACCAUGCUCUCAAAAUCUGAGAAACCAAUUAUUCAGUAAACUUCCUAUGGGCUCCUACACCUCCUAAAUAAAGCUACAAAUUAUUGUGGCUUUAAUGAUUUUUAACUGAUGAGUUGAAUUCAAAGGAGGAAUGCACAGUUUGGUGUAUGUACAUGGGUCAUACUCAUGUAGUAAGCCUUGCAAGGGCUGCUUUAGGUCUAGUCUGGUGACACUGAUAAAAAGCAUUGAAGGAUGACUAGCUUAUCGACUUACUUCCAUAUGACUCAAGAACGAACAAGGCUAGCCCACAUGAAAUUUUGUCCAAGAAACUCAAUGAGCCAUAAACAAAUGCACAGCCAUGGAGAUCUUCACCAACUAGAAAACUUUGCAUGCUUACACCAGUCACCUGUUGUUCCAACAAAAACACACAACAAUGAGCAAACUGGGGACACAGAUGAAUCAACCUUAGUGUAUAUACAAUGCCAGCUUGACUAUCUCAACCUUAGUGUAUGCUUUUUCAGAGUUACGAUGACAUACACAUUAGAUAUUAUCCACUCCAAAUGCUAAACUAAAACCGUUAUCGACUUAAUUGGAGGCAUUUAUCAACCAAUAUAAUCAAGGGUCACAGUUACAAUAAAUGGCCAGGACUCAGGACACAGCUUCUCUUGUAUCUUCCUUUUAACCAACUUCUCCAUUGCAUGGAAUGAAGCAUGUACUGAAAAAGAAAAAAUGGAAUCUUUGAUCAUACCAUCAUUAAGGCGUUUGCUAUGCCGAUGAUUAUUGAUAAAAUGUACAUAAAAGCAUUCAUGUUUCUGGGUAGAAAAAGGAUCCCUGCUCCACAAAUUAUCCAAAGAAUUCCUCCAGCAGAAUAGAAGGCCUUCAAGCGUUGGCCUGACCAUGUGAACUCCUACAAUGUGAAUAUUUAGUAGUUAAAUAUCAAAAAAUAAAAAAGAUAUAUAACAUUCUGAAUCAUGGAUCAAUUUCUUAAAAGGAACCUGUAAAAUGAUAGAUACGAUGAAGCUGCAAAUGUAGAUGAUUGCAGGAACCUACUCACAUCAAUUAAACAAGAUAAUCAGUUUUGCAUGAUUCUUGAAAUGGUUAUACACAAUUGGGAUAAAUUUGAUGGUGGAAAGGUUUGUAUAAGUACCAAAGCUUUAGAUGAUUGUGACAUUUGCAGAUCAUUAAUGACAUAGAAAGCAAGAAAUGCCUGAAAAACAAGAAAACAUCUUCAUAUAAGAAAUUAUAUUAAUAUUGCAAGGACAGACAUGGAGCAUGAACAUCCCAUAUUUUACUGAAGUAAAUUUUCAUCAAAGAAAAAGAGCACAACUAAGCAGGAAAGGAGAUCAAUGCAGACCUGUGAAACAUUGGUCACUAGUCUGGUGAGCACAUAGACAAGAGCAACUUGGUAGUAUAAAACUUUUCUGAACCAGUGAGACCAUAAAAUCCUUGCAUAACCUUUUCCAUGAGCCCCUUUUUUUAAUCUGCAAGAGGAAGGUAAUUAAUUGCAGCCAUCAUAUCCAAAAAUCUCCUCAGAAACUGAAAUGAUAAGAUUAAGAAUUUUCUGCUGACCUUGGCUCUUUUGUUCCAAGGAGAAAAAUGGCCACAAAGCAGCAUCCAAUAGCGAUCGACAAAUAUGCAAUCCAGCGGUACUGCUCAUUUAGGAAUAAUAUGACAAGGAUACCCAGAGGAAAGAAAUUGAAACGCAAGGAAGGCUUCUUCACAUCACCUUACCUGAUUUUCAAUAUCAACAAGUGUAUGUGGUUUGCUGGAAUUGAACACAACGAAAGCAACUGCAUAUAGGCUCAGGUUGGCAACCUUUAAGAUCAUUUAAAUGAAUAACAAACUGCCUCAAUAGCACUCCAUAGAGAUGAGUGAUGAUUUAGAAAACUAUAUGUAAAAUCAAUAUGCAGAGAGGUGCUAACCAUUGUAAAAGCAUUACGACAGCUAGCAAGAACUACUCUGCUUGUUGAAUUCAGCGUGAUGCAAUUCACCAUAGACCUUCAACAAGAGCAAUUGUGGUUCAUAUUAGAUAAAUAUGUCCAAUGACAGAGCCCUCUUUCUCCCAAAACAUGGGGAUAACAAAAAAAAACUGAAGAAGAACGUAAGCACAAUGGUGCCUUUCAUCUCUCUUAAGCUUAAAACUAUGACACUUUUUUAACUUGGUGUAGCUGAAGAAGGUUCAUUACAUGUGUGAAACUUGAGUAGCAGCCCAGCCCACAUUGAAGAUUGCGGCAAACAUGCUGUACCCAACAGUUUGCAACGUGGAUGAAUUGGAACCAAAAAUUUUGCAAGGUAGGCAACCGCCAAAAACGGAGGAAAAUGAAACAGCAACCAAAAUAGAUCCUGCCCCAUGCCAUAUUUUGAAAUGUCCAAACCUGUCUAUCUGUCAAGUAAAACAAUGAAGGCAAAAUUAUUUUCAGCUAACUGUAGUUUUAUUUACCAAAAAAAAAGAAAGGAUUAAAAUGAUUGAAGAACUGAAAAAAGUUCUAUUUGUUUCAGAUAAAUAGGAAGAGAAGUGCUGGAUGCAGGCUUCAAAAUGAAUAAAUUAAGAAAAUUAUUGAUGCAUAGGAAAAAUAAUGCAAAUAAGUAGAAGCCAAGAGGUAUGCAACAGGGACCAAAGAUAUGAUAGAUGUAAAAUAAUAUGCUAAAUUUAGCCUCAGAAAUACCAGUUCACCGGCAAAUAUGGUUGUGAAUCCAUCAGCUAUCUGUCCUGAAAGCAUAACAGUAGCAGCAUCCCUGUGAAAUCAAAUGGACAAAACAUGCAACUCAGAAUAGAAAAGGUCCAAUGCAAAUUUCUUGUCAGAGAAGCAGGAAGACCUGUAUAUAUUAAGGAAAAAGGUCUGUGAACUCUAGGGAGAGAAAAUAAUAUUCACCAGAAGUACAGGGUUUGUUUUGUACAGUUCUACCUAAUAAACUGAGAAUGAGGGAGAGAGAGAAAGAGAGAGGUGGGGGUGUUUUCUAUAGGUCUAUUGGUGUUCUUGUCCAACAUGCUUAUCAUUUGCUUCAGAAUGAAUAUUUUUUUCAAGCAGUGCAUUUCACAUUGCUGAAAAGCUUCACAAAUAGACAUCCUAUUAGUCCAGGUACUUCACAUGCUUCACUAUGUGAAAAAGUAAUUGCACAUCUCAAAAACCAUUCCAGAUAUACCAUCUCUGCAAGUACUUCUCUCUCAGAAAAGAGUACUAAAUUUUAAAAGAAAAAUACAUCAUGAAUGUAUUGUAAUCAGAUAAAAUUCUGAGCAUGUAGUAAGAAAUAUACCUUGAAGGGAGGCCGAUAUCUGUCAAAAACACUAAGAGAUAAGUAAACCAACAAGCAGAUGUGAUAUCAUUGAGCAUAUGUCCUACUCCAUAAUAAAAGACGGCCUGUCUUCCAAGGGGCUUAGUGAAAGCAUCGUCAUCUUCCAUACCAUCAACCAUGACAAUAGGCAGGUUAAAUGUCAAACCCCCCUAAAGCAUGCCAAGCUUCAACUAUGUAGUUUCUGACAAAUGGAAACCCAGGAAAAACAUUAAUUGAAGCUUCAGAAGGGUUACAUUUAGAUGCUAAUAAUAGAUUCCAAUGCAGCAAACUAUCAAAUUGAAUUUAUUUAAAACCUUAUACCCUAACCCACCUUUAGUUUCCCGUGAUCCAUUAAAUGAGAUUGGUUAUACUUUAUCCUGAAUCUGUUUCACCAAACUACUGGGCAGACCAUGCCAUGCCAUGCCCUAAAAAGGAAAGAAAGAGAACAAUUUUCCAUUGAAGAACAAGGACUUCUUGAUUCUUGAAAAAAAUAUAUCCUAAUUUUCAAAGAAAUUUAAAGGAAACACAACAAUUUAAAAAUUUUCACUAUAUAUUAAACCUAAUCAGAAAAAUCAUAUUAAACCAAUCAUCCCCAAAUCUCAUGAUUCACAAAUGAGCAAUUUAGUUAAGGGAAGAACAGAGGGUGCAGAACAACUUCAAAGAUUUGCCAGCAACAAACUAAUUUUCCUAAAUAAACCAAACCCAUUUAGGGUGUGUUUUACUGUAACGAAGUCUGCCAAAUCUUCACAUUUACCUUAACCCACCACCAUACCCACAUAAGAUUGAAAUCAGAAAGAGCGUAAAACGACUGGUAAUAAGGAAGUGCACACCCAGAAACAUCACAACCGGUCAACUGAAAACUCAACAACCAACCAUAACAGUAUGAAGGCAACUAUAGAAGCAAAAAAGGAGAAAUUCAAAAGAAAAACAUGAUACCAUAAUGUUCUGUAGAACAAAAUAGAGGUACUAUAUUCAUGGGGGAAGCUAUAAAGAAGUAAAGAACCCAUCAACAGUGGCACUGGAAGAUACUGAUUGAGGAGAAAGAGAGGGAAAUGAGGAUACUUUGCCGGUGAAGGGGCUGUAUUAGAAUUUAGAUGUUACUUUGUUUCAUAGCAUGAAUUUCCCUCUUUGGACUUUCGUGAAAUUCCAUUAAUAACUGAUUUGAAUUUUCAUGGGAAACAAACAACCACUCAUGCCCUUGAAAAGACUAUAUUAUCCAUUGCAUGAUAUGCAUCCUCUAAAGUCUAAACCCAUAAACGGGAAGGACAAUUUGGACUUUAGGAUGGUGGUGAGUAAGUGGGAAGGUGGAUCUUUAUAAAAAAAUGAAUGGCCUGCCUUGUAGAAAUGGAGAACAGAUUUUGACUUUUAGUGGGUCUGUUACAACUUAAAGAUAUGGACAGUCAGGUUUGUGGGUGCUUUGUUGGGACUGCAAGGGCCACACUCUGCAACCGCCCAAAACUACCAGUCGUUUGCAAGCAGAAAACGAAGACCAAACACUUGGAAUGGUUGGUAGACGCAUUGAAUUGGGCACAAGCCAGUGAAUCCAAACACAGGAUUCCUUUUAAAUUCGAUACCAGUUCCCAAAAUUGACUGGAAGACAUGAAUUUUUUAGCACCCCGUUUGACAUGAUCUCAACAAUUUUCCUUUUCUGAUAUAGUUUCAAAAGAUUCAAUCACAUUUCACUUUGAACACCUCUUCUUGAUUGUAAGUAAAUGACAAGUAUCAUUAAUAAGGCAUCAUUCUUCAACUACUUUUUCUUUACAUUGCUCUAAGUAAUGGGGAUUCUUAUAUUUGUACUGGUUGGAUCUUGAGUUUGCCAGAUGCCCAAUUCUCCACGAUUCAGGAUAAGCAUGUUCAGCUUUUGCUCCAUGUGUAUGAAGUCCUUGUUGAGACACCCACCUUUAAAAUAUAGGCACUUGAAAAUGUCAUUUUGAAGUUAUGCAGAAAAGGAGGAGCCAUCUAUGGAAGAUGAGGUUGCCUACUUUAUAUUUUGGACUUCGUGUAGUGUAUCUGUAAGUGGCCUGAUUGGGAAGAAGACACGAGGCCAUGGAUGAGAGCCAAACAGAGUCUUUGGAGACAAACAUUGAUUUUUGACUAACUAUAAAAGGCUUAUGCCAGACGUUAAAUUUAAGGAUAAAUCUUGAGAAUGACGCCACUAAUAUCAAUCUGCUGCAAUAUUUCUUGUCAUUUAGGCCAUUAAAACCAGAUCAUUUUGAUGCUGACAUAGUUGUGCAUUAAUACAAAAAAUACAAUAAACAGAGAAUGACAACCCCAUCUUGCCUCUAAAUGAGCAAGUUUGAAGUGAGAAGCCAUAGCAAAGUCCCACCAACAGCAAACUCCAAAUUCAGCCAUUUCUUUCCAUUGCAACAGCCACCCUGAGCGCUCACGCCUUUACUAUUAGCACUUGCACUGGAAUUGCUUUUAACUGAUACACAAAGAAUCAGCAACUCCAGCUAGAGAUUUUUUCUAGAAAAAAAUUGGACUGAUCAAAGUUGUAUGUAUAGGAAUUUACCAGUAGAAGGAGUGCUGCUGGCAGUGCCAUUGGAGCUGUUAGCAAACUGGUAAAAGACCUGAGCAUCUGGUGAAUUAGGAGCCAAGUGUAGAAGAGCUGCAUACAAGUCAUUGAUCAAACACACAUGGUCCAAAUUAAGUAUAUAUAUCAUACUAGUGUUUGAGAGAUACGUAAAUAUAUGUAGUACCUGGGCACUGGGAAACAUUAGCAGGAGCAUGGCAAACAGAAGGAAGGCCCAAGGCAAGUGUGGCAUUAAGGUUGAGACCCAGAUCUGGAUCAUUUCUAUCUUUAAUAAUCACACACAGGCAUUUCUUGUUCUUCUGCAGGACUUGUUUGAGACCACUGCAGCAGUCUGGUGUUGGGGCUUUUGCAUCACCCCCAACAUAGGGAAGACAUGUGGCCAUCCCUACCAACUGCUCUGUACAUUCUUGUUUGUCUUUGGCUGAAUCUGAGGUUACACAGGUAAUCACCAUUGAUACAAUCACUAAGAUCAUGAAAGUACAGUGUGAUCCCAUUGUGAUGGUCUUAAAUCAGGCGCAAAGUGAAGAGGAACAAAGUUUGAAAUCUAGUUUAUGCUUUGGCUAGCUAUUUAAAUGAUCAGCAAGGAGGUAAAAAGAAGAGGAUGGUGGUGGUAGUAGUUGGAAAUUGGACCUAUAUCCCUUGCACCAACCUUCUUCAAUCAUUACAAUGAUCAAUCCUAGUGUCACCUCAUGGUCCUUGGAACUUCUUUUACAGGCCAAUAGCUAAGCACUAAUCUACAGACCAGACGGUGUUGGAUUGUUAACUUGAAUGGGAAACCUAAAACAGAUCAAAUUUUUUCUUCUCAACAACUUUUCGUUUGACAUCAUGAUUGAAAAUAUUCAUUUGGGGCAAUGAUGUGUAGAUUAGUAGAACAUUCUAGUUCUCCUGAGUUGUGGAAUUGGGAUGAAAGUGCAGCAGAAAGUGCAAAUUUCACCAACCCACCAAGGCCAUAGUGCAACACUAGUGAUGUUGAUUAAUAUAAAGUACUAACAGGUACAGUUGCCAAUGGCUUAGAUAGAGCUUGACAUCAUCCACACAUCAUCCAUCUCAAGAGUGAAAGAGGGAGGAUAAUUGUUAACUUUAAUUUGUAUAAAACCAUUGAAGUUAAAUUAUCUGAAAUUGGAAUAUAGGCCCUUUCUUCCUGAAGUGUUCCUCAUUUUUUAGGCUGGGCUCAGGGAAAAGGGCCUCACCCAAUAGUGUGUUGGGCAGGCCUGGCUUUCUGGUAGGCUCAGAUCAUCCAGCUAGUCCCAGGCCUGUCACCAAAGGGGAUUGAGAUAAAUUACAGGCCAUCAGCCCAGUUUACAUCCCCCUUUCUUGAAGAGAUUUUAUUUUGUUAUUUUUUCAAGUCUAAUGAAAUGUGUGAAUAUAACGCAUGCAUCACACUUUAAGAAAUGUCUACAAAAUGGUGUAAAAUCUAUGUAUUUUUUUUUUUAAAAGGUGUAAAUAACUUCUAAAUAAAUUUGUUUUAAGAAGUACAUGAAAAUGUUGUAAAAUCUGUGUUUUGACAGUGCAAUCUAAAGUACUGUCGAUUAAAAUGUUGCCUAAACUUCAACAAAUGGGUACAAUGAACAUUUUUAACCUAUAUGAAGGAGGACAACAGUGCCUUUGAAUGCCUGUCUCCAAAUUACAAAGAGCAAUGCUGUAUACUUAGAAGCUGGAACUUCACAGGCCAUGAUCAUUUUGACUAGAGAUCAUAAUAUGAUUUGCAAUGUGUGUUGUCCCAUGAUUUCAUUUGAGGAAAUUAGUGAUGCAACUUGGGCGGGUUAAGCAUAACCCAAUCCAAAUCCAACCCAAUUUUGUAUGGGUUUGAAGUUUGAACAACUAAAUUAAUUUGCAAUUUGAGUUGAGCUUGAAAAAAAUAAAAUAAAUGUCAACCCUGAUUAAAAUGGAGCUAGAAUUGGGUUGGUGAACGUAGCCAAUCAUAUAUUUAUAAAAAAAUUAAAUUAAACUGUAAAUAUGUAUAUGUGUAUAAAUGUAUAUUAUUUAAUAAUAUUGCACUAGUAUUUUUUUUUUAAUUUUUUUAAAUUGAAAUAUAUUUAUUGUUUUAAAGCUUGUAAGAAGUUGAAGAUUGAUGGACUUCUAAAGAUUCAAUUAUUUGUGUGUAAUGAAUAAUUAAUUUAUAUCUUUUGGCUUAACUUUUAGGAUGUACCUUAAAACUUGAUCAUCAACUUUUAAAGCUACUUUUAAGAACAAAUUGGAGGUGUCGCUCUUUCCUUUCCUCUAAUUAUGAUAAGUUGUUUGAAUGAUUGAUUAGAAAUUGAAAUGUCUUCUUGAACAUGUAAGAAGUACAACUUUUACUUUUAAUUCAAUUGUUGAUAGGAAAUUUCAUAUAAUCUUUAUUUUUUUUAUUUUAAAAUUACUUCGCCCGUUUUAUUGAUUAUAAAAUAGGGUUAUAACUAUUGGAUGGAUCAAGUAAAAGAAUAUUAUAAAUUUAUGUUUUAUACAUUGGAAAAUUAUAUUUCCAUGUACUCAUUUGCAAAAAAUUUCAUGCUAAGAACUCAAAUUUAUAAUAUUCAAACUUUCAUAUAUGUAUUUAAAAAUAAUUAGGAUUUUAUACAUUUUUUUUUAUUAAAUAAAUCGAUUUUAAGCAUUUAAAUACCAUAUUUUAAUAAUAUAGAUAUUAUCUAGGAUCAACUAGAUAUUUAAAUAUAUAAAAUUUGAAUUAUUUUUAAAGAAUUUCUACUUUUUUUCUAUCAGAAACAUACAGUUGAUAAAUUGAUUUUCAAAAGUUCAAGACUUCUAAUUAAAUGAAUGUUAUAAUAGCUUUUGGUAAAAUAUUUAGUAAAAAGGAUAUUAAGUUUAUAUAAAUAGUACUUAUCAACCUCACCAAUCCAAAAAUAUUAGUUUAACAAAAAUGUAUGAAUAUAACCACAAGAAGAGAAUAUCAGAAGGACCCAAUUGAGAGGUCUUCCUGAGUUCAUAAAUCAACCAACAGCAGAUUUCACGGGCACCGAUCGUAUCGGUUAGAUGACUUCUCUGGCAUUGAUAUUCCCUUGUGAAACGGCAGCUUUACUUUUGUUUUGUUUCAUUAUUUGAUUGAUGAAAAUGAUUAAAGGUGCAUUAAUGCAUGAGCAAUAUCUUUAUAGACUAUGAAUCAUCAUCAGGAGUGAGGACAAUGAUCUCUGACUAGUGGGUCAUCUCAUUACCUACAUCAUUACACUACUGAUAAGUUUUUCUUGCAAGAUAGCAGCAUCCUAGAUCAUUCCAGUAGUGUGGAGAGAGCAUCUAGACCAAGUCCAAAGCCCCAACUAGUGGGGUACAGCACAAAAGACAUAAGACCAAAAGAAAAAUUAGUGGACCCCCAUUUCCUUUUAACUAAGCAGGUAAAAGCAAAGACCGAAAUAGGACUUAGGAUCCUCUAGUAUGCGGAUCUCAAACCAUUCUUUUAGUGAUCUUCUUAGGCAGCAGCUAGUUUUGUCUAAUCAAGGCUUCUGCAGUAGAAAAUUCCCAUCAGGGCUUAGCCCAACUUGCCCUGAUCAUGAUCAUGAUCAUUCUUCACUCAUUUUAUAGGGCCUUAAGUUAAUAUAUAACCCUAGAAACCCCAUCCAAGAUACUAAAUAUAGUCAUGGAACAGGUCCUCAUUAACAAAGCCCCACCUUAAAAUAAGCCUAAUUAAAAUAGCCUGUGGCAACCUAUCAAGCCUCAAAUCAUAUCUGAAAAACAGCUCAGGAAGUAAUAUGACACUUGUCAAACCCAAAGUUUAGCUCGUCAUAUUUCCAUUAGGAAGAAUGAUAAUCACAUUACAUCUGUAAAAGAUGAUAAUGAAAGGAUCCAAACUUGAUGAUAGGAACCUUUCCACAAUCCUGAUGUAAAUUUAGUAGGGUUUACUAGAGUUAGAGACACACCCAUCUCAUACUUUAAAGUAUGUUGAUAUAAAAAAGGAAAAAACACAAAGAACAUUGCAGAAUUGAGAAAUGGGCAACCAUCUCUAAGUCUUCAAUAAUGUUUCCUCCCCUCAAAUCUUGCUAUUUUGUUUAUUGUGGCCUACCUCAGUAACUGGUCCAUGGUCGGUCGUAUGUGGCAGCUGUUCAUUGGCUCGGCCUUUUAAAUAAAUGAUGACAUGAAUAUCAACCAUGUAAAGUCAUCACCGGCCUUAACAGAAAGCAUAGUACUGCUAAAGGAAGAGAAUCUCCAUACUACUAAGUAAAGUCAAGAAAAGAGACUAUAUAAACCACGUUUGUUGCACAAUUUUCUUCAUCCCAUCAUCCAGUUGAAUCUGUAUUUCUCAUCUAGCUCUCUGCAUCCUGUCCUAGUUUCCCAAGAUAUGGCUAAAGAUCACUAUUCUUCUGCUCAGUCUGAUCAGCCUCUUCCCCUACACCUUUGCUGUUUCCUUGCUAUACUCUUCAUGUUUAUUGCCUUCUCAUGGUACAUCAACUAUGAGCCUGUGUUGGAUAGUAUGUUCGAUCAGCUCAAAUUGAUUCUAAUGGUGUCCCCUUUGCUGCUUCUACUAGCCGUCCAUUGGCUUUCCAGCGACUUGGGCAGGCAGUUUCCAUCUCUGAUACCUUUGCCGCAGCGAGACUCACUUCACAGAGCUGGAGGAACUCCUUGGGGAGUUGGGUUUCUCCUGGUUUUUUUCUUUUUCAUGAUAUCCUACCAGUCCUACUUCCAUGAACGCUGGUUUCCUCUUCUGAGCAGAUGAUGAAGUUAAUGGUCUCUUUGUAUUGUGUAAUUUGUAUCUGUUGUACCUAGUUGCCAUGGCAAGGCUUCCAGAUUUUGUUUUGUUGUCUUGUAAUCUAAAUUUUGUAUAAAUCCAUCUGGGUGUUACUCUUUUCUGACUGAAAAUUUUUGUGUUGCCAUUUUUUUUAUACAAACAUGUUGAUGAAUCUGCAAUUUUUAGGGGAAUUCAGUCCAAAUAAGGCCUGAAUCACAUUCCACCGGCACUAUAGUUUUUGGGUUUCACUAACAAUUCCCCAAAAUUAAUAUCUGGGUCAGUGGGUUCAUUCCUUGUGAGCGCAGUGCACAGCCUCCAAAUCUGUCAGUUGAGAACCCUAAUUCUCCCAGGGAGGAGAUAAGGACAAUAUCACUGUUUUCUGCAUUAUAUUCAACGAUGCAAAUCUUGACUUGGAUAGAUGACAGUCAUGAGUCAUGACACCAUGAUAUUUUAGCAAUUUUCAUGUAUUUAAUCCCAAAACCAAAAUGGUCGACAAGUCAAUGUGCCAUGUGUGAGGUGUGUGUGGAUUUGAUGAUGGGGUAGUUUAGAAGUCAUGUGUGAGAGGAAAAUGACUUGUAGGUCUCCUGAUAAUUGUAGGGCAAUGGUAGGAAAAGUAGGGAGCAUAUCAAUGGCAUUUAAUAAAAUUUUAAGCUUUAGUUCCGGAUCUGAAUGGGGGUGUGAGCUUGACUUUGAACCUAAAAUAUAAUCCUAGUUCUAUGGGUACAUUAUAGGUAUAGGGUUUCCAUUAAGGACAAGGAGUAUCAUUUUCAUUCUCAACCUAACAACCUAACCUUUCUCCAUCUUAUCUAAACUUUUGAAUAUUAAUAUACGCUCUUAUUACAUACACACACGUAUUGAUUUCCAAAUCAGAGUAGUUAGAUGGGGAAAAAGGCCUUGUUGGGAAUAUCUCUAAUUUUAACUUUUUUAGAAAUUAUCAACAUUCUCCUUUAACUUCUCCCAAUAGGCUUAUUAUUUUCACGGGUUUUCUGCUUGGAUUAGCUUUUUCUAUUCCUUGAUCCACUAGGAUUUGGUACCAUUGAAGGGAUUUUUAUUGUACCAUAAUCGAAACUUAUGAAACUUUUGCCAUGUUUGGUUCUUCAAAUGUAGUAAUAAAAGAAUUUUUUUUUUUUAAAAAAAAUUCUCAUAUUUGAUUUUAUCAUGAAAAAUAUUUAAAAAAAAAUCAAAUAUAAUUAAAAUUAAUUAUAAAUUUAUAUGUUUUAAAUUUAUUUAAUCUUGAUGUAGAAAAAAAAUAAUAAAUAAAAUAAAUUUAAAAUAACGUAUAAAAAUAAAUUAUUGAUUUUAAAUUUAUUUUUUAUUUUUCUCUAUGUUAUCUUUUCAUUGUAUUUUCCUUCAAAAUUUCUAGUAACCAAAUAUGACCUUAACAUAUUAACUAAGACCUCUCUUUCUGCGAAACAAUAAUUAUUAGGAUUCACCCCUUUUAGGAUAUGAGUCCAUGGGUGCUUAAUCUUGACAAUUUUAUUUUUUAUUUUUUAAUAUUCAUGGUUUUUGGGUUCUUAAACUUGGCAACUUUUUUUUUAAAAAAAAUAUUUUUUUAAUGGGAUUCACUUUUAAUAUGUUACCCAUAAAAAAUCUUGUAAAUAUUAUUUGCUUUACACUAUAAAAUAAGCACAUCAUAUGAUUUGUUUCCUAUAAGUAUUACAAACUUUUUACCAAAUCACAUGGGAUAUCACAUCAAGAUAUUGGAUUUUAACAAAAAUUUCUGAUUCCAAAACUUGUUUAAGUGGGCAAGUAUUUUAUUAAUUCUUAAUAAAUUAAAUAAAAUGAGUUUUAAAAGGCAUAUACAAACAAUUUAUUCAUCCUUAAUUAAUUAAUUAUUUUUCUUUAAUUUUUUAUUUUCUUUCAUUUUAGAACCAAAUAUUAAACAAAUAAUUUAAAAAUACAUAAGCUUCUAACUAAUUUUAAGAAUAUUUUAUUUUAUUUCAUAUUUUAUAUGAUAAAUCAAAUAUGAAAAAAUGAUUUUUUAAUACAUUUUUCCCUUUCAUUUUCCAAAUACCAAAUAUUAGAUAAAUAAUUUAAAAAUACAUAAGCUUCUAAUUAAUUUUAAACCUAUUUUAUUUUAUUUUAUUUUAUUUUUUAUAUUUUUUUAUGAUAAAUCAAAUAUGAGAAAAUAAUUUUUUUUUUAUAACAUUUGUUUCUUUUCUUAAUACUUUAUUUGAAACUAAAUAGAGCAUUAAUUUUUAUGUAGUAAAAAAAAAAUCAAGUGAAAUAAAUUUGAAGAAAUAUAUAAAAAUAAUUUUAUUAACUUUAAUUAAUUAAUUUUCGUUUCUUUUUAACUUUUCUAUUUAUCUCAAAUUCAAAUUUGUUGAGAUCAAACAUCGGAUUGCCAUCCUAAGCAAAGCCCAAUUUACAAUGGUGCUUGGACUUAACAAGAAACUAGUCACUCCACUUGGGCAGAAGUUGGAGGAGGUCAAGUCAUGCCAAAUUCCAGGAAGGAGCCCAUGCGGGCCUUCCCAUAUGAUCAUCAGAUGAGGUUUGGACAGAAACUGGGCUCAAGCCAUGCUUGAAAUUGAGCACAGCCCAUCCUCAUUUGUUACUUGUACAAAAGCUAUGGGACAAUGGAGCUUCAAGUGGGAGCAAUCAGAGUGUGACCCAAAUUGUGAGUCCUAUCUACUUCUCUCACUUUGUGGACACACCAUGAUCAAUAAUUUUCAGACUACACCACCUAUCCCAUAAACAGUUGAGUUGAACAUUUUACCAAUUUCAUCUUAAAAUUAAUUAAUUCUUAGUGAGAUUAUGACCAUACCCUAAAUCUGAUACCAAAUUUCCCAUCUCAUCUUAAAACUAAUUGAUUCCCUGAUGAGGUUGUGAUUAUCUCCUCUUAUAUGUUGUAUAAAAGAUGAUACAUAAUCUUCACUGAAAAGGCAAAAUUCCUUUGUUGAAGGUGAAGGUGAAACAAAAUGGUAGAAAUGAAUUAUUUUAGUAUUAUUUUUUACUCCUCAUAUAUAUUCGGACUAUUCUCUGAUUUGACAUGAUCUCAAUGUCUCUCUAGAAUUACUUUUAAGAUAUCUGUUAGGAUUACAUGGGGCUAAUUGUAUGCUUUUUAUAGCCUUUUUUUUUUAUUUAAGCUUUUUCCUAAUUUUUUAUUUGACCUAUCAUAUACUAUUCUCAGUAUUACCUUAUCUUAUUUUUGUAAUCUUUACUUUAUCCCUUUAGAGAUUUAUCACCUUUGGAAAAUUUUUGUUAAGUAAACCUAGGUAAAGAGAAAGGUGAAUUAAAUGAUAGUUGCUUUUAAUUUUUUUUAUUAAAUUUUAACACAAUCAACAUCUGCAUUCAAAAUAUAGUAAAGAUCUCACAAAGACUAGAUAGAUAACAAAUAUAAGAUCAAAUUAGCUUAGAAGAACUAAAAAAAAAAGGUUUUCAAUGGAUUGCCAAAGAUUUGCAAGAGUUCAAACCAAUAUUUUGACACAAGUUCACCAUAAGAGGCCCAUCACAUAGUCAACCAUAUGACUAGCUAUUAGAGUAUUAAAUGCAUAGCAAGUUAACAAUGGAGAGCAAAUUACUAAAGAGGUUGGUUGCAUAAUAGGAGAUUAAUUGAUGAUGAUAAGAAAAAAACAUUUCUUGUUAUGAUUUUGCUAUUUUAGGCAUGAAACAAUGCAAGAGUUUCCUAUGUAGACUUCAUUAUGUGAUUCCCUAAAACCUUUUAGAAUUUGAUAUCAUCUUUUGAGGACUUACACCAACUUUCAAUGCAAUUUUCAAGUUUAAAAGUUUUGUUUUAAUUUCUUGCAUUUUUAAGGCCUUAAAGUUGAUUUUAGUUCAAGAUAGUCUUCUAUCACUUAAAUAAGGACCUACCUAGAGAUCAUUUUUUAUGCCCUAGCAAGUAGCGACCACCAUAAUUCCAAGACUAACACGCAAGGAGUUCUGAGCUGCCUCUUGAGUCAUCAUAUUUUUUAGGAAGCACAACCACAAGAGUAACAAUGUUCGAUCCAUACAACAUUACUGAUAGUGAAAUUUUAAGGAUUAAUUGUUCAUGCUAUCCAAAAGGGCCGUUUACAACUUCAAGAUUGCAGAAGCAAAGCUAGAAAAUAGAGGCUCAAAAGUUUUGAAAGGAGGCAAAAGUUAUUUUUCAUAAAUCUCAAAAUAGCACAACCCCAUAUAUACUAUCUAUCCUUUAUUCCUCUUUUCUAAAGCUAACUUGUAUUUAUGCAUAAAUGUCUGACCUGUAUGAGUAUGAAGAAUGCAAGCGUUGAGGUUGAGAAUAUUAAACUUCAACUACAUUCCAUAGGAGUAUCCAAUGCUUCCUCGUGUGAACUUUUCCUCUCUUCAACAACGAAAACAAAAGCAUAUAUUAUAAAGCUAUGUAUAAUUAAGAAAAAGAAUUGAUUCCAUUCCACUGCUUUUAAUUAAUUCUCCCCACCACCUCUUGACUUACUCCUCAAGCCUCCCAACCUUUCCACAUGCAAAUGCCAACAGAUCAACUGUGAUUUUUGCAGCAAACCCACCAACUAAUCACCAUAAUUAAGCUACACAACAACAACACAAGCACCACUGAUUAAAACAAAGUGUUUUGUAAAAAUGUUUUUGAGACUAUAAGUGAUUUUUUAAAAAUGAUUGAUUUUUCUUCAAAACCAUUUUUUAUGCUACAGGUGCUUUUCAAAGCACUAUCAAACGGAUUAUUAGCCGACCCUCCAACCAUAAUUAACAUCAAUAUAUUUACUGAAAGGGAUUUGAUCAAGUGAGGCAUUGCAUUGACAGAAUCUGAGCCAUCGGAGUUUUGACAUUCGACAUUGAGACUCUUAAUCUUUGGCUUUAUUCUUGAUUCCCUAGGAACUCAAUGCUUUGUCACAAGGCUGACUGACCUGCACUCUAGCCUUACCCAUCUCCAUGAGUCCAUGGCAUGUAGUGGUAGCCUUUUAUGUCAAACCUAGGCCUCUUUUUCUUUUCUAAAUCUCACCUUUGCUUUAAUUUUUUCUUUUGAUUUUCAAAUUUUCAACCAUUAAUGAUGCUUAAACAGCUAAGAGGAUUGCAAAAAUUAGCGCUUAAGGCAUCAAAGCACCACUAGAUCAUGAUCUGAAGAUGUUAAUGGCAUCACUUUAUUUCUUGGAAAAGGCCAGAAGAUAAAAAUUGAUGAAAAAAGAAGUGAAAAUGAACCUUUGUUUAAAAGCAAUAGACCCUGAAAAGAAAAGAAAAUUUCAAAGUGGAAAAGAAAAAGAAUACCACCAGCUGCACCUCCACCACCCCCUCUACAACCCAGCCCAAAGUUCGAACUUUAUCGGAGUGCCCAAUUUCAUUGUCACCCUCACGGAAUCUUUGGUCAUGGGGUCGCAUAAUUUUGUAGCCAAAUAAAGAACUCACUGGCUUGUGGGCAUAAAAUAGAAGUCGAGAAUUAAGCCAUUUAACCCUCAAAACUUCAAAUCUUUCACACUUUUCCAAUUUCCUUUUAACAUUUAUGGGAUGCAAAGGAUCUUUUUCUCAUUGGGUAAUGAAGAAAGAAUAUUAUGAGCAACAAGUAAUGACAAGGAGCAAGGUAACAAAAAGAAUAGAGUGAGUUAGCUAGAUGUGGAUUGGAAAAUCCAGGAGAAGUCACUCUAAUCGAUGCUAUAAAUCUUGUCUGCCAUGAUCUAAGCAAGCAAUGGAAGGACUAGUACUUGGAACCAGUGAGAUUGAGCUGCAGGAAGGGGGCUCCACACUUGCUAACAGUGCUAAGAUAUGAACAACAAAACAUGAUCAUUAAGACAUGAUCUGCAAGUGUGAAGGGGCUCAUCAUAAGGAUAAUUAUUCUAAGAACAUUCUCUUUAACCCAAAUUACUAGAGAAAAAGAUAAAGGAAGGAAACAAAGCGACUCUCAAAAGCAAAAGUCCUCUGUCCCCUGGCCCAGUGUGUGCGUGCGUGUGCUUGGCCAGCUCUUACCCACCAGUCUAUUUGCUCUUCUCGGAGGGAUGAUGUUAACCAAAGAGCAGAAAAAAAAAAAAAAGGAGACAAGCUAUUUUUAAUGUGGUUUCAUUAAUGGGAUCCCUGAUUCCCUAUGUCUGUGAUGCGCAACGACACUUAAAAAAUUCACUAAUUAAAUAAAAGGGAAGGGUUACAAUGCUUAAGGCCCUCCCUCUCCUCUCAAUUUCGAUCACACUCUAAUUUUCUUAAAACAAAAUUCUAAAUCAUAGGAGGGUUAAAAAUACAAAAAAGGUAAACCAAUAAAUAAAUAAAAUUUCAAGAUGCAUUACACUCUUAAAUCCCGAUGAGUUAAUCGAAUGACUUGAUCCUACGAGCUCAACCUUUAGCAUUUCUUAUGUCAUGCAACAAGAUUGAUUCAGACUUCACAAUCUAUCCAAGAACUGCCCUAGGUUUUGAUCAUGAACAAUUUGUAAUUAACCCCGAUUUGAUAGAGAGAAGGUGGCAAGAAUUCGGUUGGCCAGAAGCAGCUAAAACCAACAAAGUCUGUAGGGAAAGAUAUCCUCUGUUUCGCCCAAGAAAGAUUGAUUGAAUCAUCAAUAAUUUGAAGCGUGAGUUGCAAUUAGAUCGAUUUUGUUUUUGGGGGAUCCAUUAGAAAGGAAGAUUGUUACAGGAUAUGCUAUGUUUGCAGUGAAUGAGUGAGUGAUUGAAGCUAGGCAGUGAGUGUGGGGUAGACUGUAGCGGAGGCAAAGAAACCAGCAAAAGCAAAAAAGAGGUAGAGCAGUGGCUUCAGCUUCAUGAUGCUUUAUUGCUUUAUCUUUCCCGCGUUUUGCUUUUUCAGCUAUAGCUCUCUUUUUUUGAGCCAAGGUGCUCUUAUCUCAAUCACACUCCCACUAAUUCUAUGCUACUUUUGUCUUCUUCUCUCUUUCUUUGCAGUUUGCAUACAUGCAAUCCUAUUUAAGGUCUUCAACAAUAUAUGGUGGGUGAUGCAUAGACAGAGACAAAAUCAUAAGCCACACUCAGGGUCAAGCCAAGAUGGAGAUAUUGUCACAGAUGUGGUCUUUCUUAGGCCUCCUCACUGUACUCCAAAACGUCUUGCCAUCCCAAAUUCUGUCACUUCUCCACUCCUUCUACGAGUCCCUUCAAGACUUCUUCUCCCCAUUCGCCUACUUCGAGAUCCCUGAAUUCAACGACUACUGCGGCGUCGACGUCAAUGACCUCUACCGCCAUGUCAACCUCUACCUCAACUCUGUCAACCCUGCCACCACCUGCCGCCGCUUCACCCUCUCGCGCUCCAAAUCCUCCAACCGCAUCUCCUUCACCGUCGCUCCUAAUCACACAGUCCAUGACUCCUUCAAUGGUCACACUCUCUCCUGGACCCACCACGUGGAGACGGUUCAGGACUCUCUGGACGAGAGGAGAAGCUUCUCCCUCAAGCUCCCCAAGCGCCACCGCCAGGCCCUCCUCUCGCCCUACCUCGAGCUCGUCACCUCUCGCGCUGAGGAGUUUGAGCGAGUCUCUCGCGAGCGAAGGCUCUUCACCAACAAUGGUCAUGGCUCCUACGAGUCCGGCUGGGUGUCCGUCCCAUUCCGCCACCCCUCCACCUUUGAAACCCUCGCGCUGGAGCCGCAGCUCCGGCAACAGAUAACGGACGACCUGACCGCGUUCGCCAACGGGAAGGAGUUCUACCAUAGGGUGGGACGCGCAUGGAAACGUGGGUAUUUGCUAUACGGACCGCCUGGGUCCGGCAAAUCGAGUUUGAUCGCAGCAAUGGCGAAUUACCUCUGCUACGACGUUUACGACCUGGAGCUCACCAAAGUCUCCGACAACUCCGAGCUCAGAGCACUUCUGAUACAGACCACUAACCGCUCCAUCAUCGUCAUCGAGGACAUCGACUGCUCAGUCGAUCUAACGGCGGACAGGCUGUCAAAGACGAAGAGAACGACACCGGCGAAAGGGUCCAGCAGAGACGAGGGUGAGGAGAACGGGCGGGUGACGUUGUCGGGGCUGUUGAAUUUCACCGACGGACUGUGGUCGUGUUGUGGGGAGGAGAGGAUCAUCGUCUUCACCACCAACCACAGGGACAAUGUUGACCCAGCGCUCGUUAGAUGCGGCCGGAUGGACGUUCACGUUAGCCUCGGCACCUGCGGCAUACACGCCUUUAAGGCCUUGGCCGCCAACUACCUGGGCUUGGAGUCCCACCCUCUGUUCGACGUCGUGGAGAGCUGUAUAAGGUCCGGCGGGACACUCACGCCAGCACAAGUUGGAGAAAUACUACUGAGGAAUAGAAGAGACGCUGAAGUGGCAAUCAAGGCGGUGAUAUCGGCAAUGCAGGCAAGGAUUUUGGGAGCCGAAAGGGAACCCAUAGAGUAUGAGGAGAUGGCGAAGUCGCCGGAGAGCGUGGAGAGGGGGCUGAUGGAGUCGCCGGAGAAUUGGGAGACGUCGUCGCCAGGGAAAUACGUGAGGAAGAAGAGGAAGGAGGGGGGUUCAGUUACAGGUUCAGGAAGUAGCUGGGAGAAGAAAGUCAAAUUCUUGGUGAGACUGAGAUCUUUGACCAAGUCUGACUCUGGAAGAAGGGGUUGUUAAUUGAAAGGUCAAAAUUUUGGGAUUGAAUUAGAUGUAAUUUUGUAGUUUCUUCCUUAAUUAAUAACUAAUUUAAGCUUUCGAUUAGUUAGUGACAUGGAUCCAAAGUCACAAUUUGUACAAAUGUCCUUAAAUUUAGCUUUAAUGGUAAUUUUGACGUAAACUUUAGUAUCAAAUUUUCAUAGCGCAAAUAGGUCAUUUUAUGGUACCCAAAAAGUAAAAAUGAUAACCAAUUUACAAAUUUUUUUUUUCAUUUUUUAUUCUACCAUAUUUCAUAUGAAGAAAUUAGUUUUAGAAAUAAUUUCCCAAUAUUUACAAGUGUGUAAAAUGUAGCAUAGCACCUCAACUUGAGGUAUUUAAAUUUGGUUUAGUUGGAUGCAACCAUUUCUACAAAUAUUUAUAAUUACGUGGCAGAAAAAAAAUCAAAAUAUUCUAAGAUUUAAAUCUACAAUUUUUGAGAAAUAUGACAAUAAUAAUUUGAAAUUUUCCUAAAAUAUUUUUAUUUUAUUAUAUUCAAGUGAUAAAUAAUAAUUAAUGCCCAUCUAGAUUUUACAUUUUGCAUUUGGGGUGGAUGGUCCACACAACAACCGGCACUAUUUCACGUGCGAAUACACACGAGUCCCACCACCAAACACACCACGUGGUGGAGGGAGGCCACGCAUUUAUUCGCCACACAACACAAAUAUCUUCUUCCCCUCCCCUCUUCCGAUAAAUACCACCCACCUACUGGCUACUGCCAAAAUUCUCACACCCCACCAACAACACACAAAAAAUGGGAGUGGUGAUAAUAGACGGAUCCACGGUGCGAGACUUCGUUGGCAACGACGCCUUGUUCAAUAAGAGCGUCGACGACCGCUUCUCUGCCCUUGACCUCAACGGCGACGGCGUCCUCUCCCGCUCCGAGCUCCGCAAGGCCUUCGAGACCUUUAGGCUCUUGGAGGCCCACUUCGGCGUCGACGUCGUCACUCCUCCAGAGCAGCUCACCCAGCUCUACGACUCCAUUUUCGAUAAAUUCGACUGCGACCACAGCGACACCGUCGAUCUGGAGGAGUUCCGAUCUGAGAUGAAGAAGAUCAUGCUCGCUAUUGCUGAUGGUUUGGGUUCCUGCCCCAUUCAGAUGGCUCUUGAGGACGAUGAUCAGAAUUUCCUCAAGAAGGCUGCGGAUUUCGAGGCCUCUAAGACUUCUUCCUGAACAACCACCCACCCUCAUGUCCUACCUCAUCUUUACUGCUGUAAUUUAGGGUUCCUUUUCCUUUAUUUUGUAAUCAAAACCUUUUGAUGAGGCUAUCUCAAUGUCAAAAAUCCAUUUCCCCCCACACCGUUUAAUCUAUUUAUUAAUCUGAUUUCAUUGGUUUAAACAAAGAGAACUAACCCAAUUCAUCUAAAUUCCAAUCACAUGAUGAAUAAUUGACAUUACAACCUCAACCCACUGAUGAUUUCAGUGGGUUUAAGCCAAUAAUACCAGGGGCGCUAAUUUUCAGAGUCAUCCCACCCACCUGCAAAACCAACAACCAGACCCCCGUAAAAGGAAGGAAAAAAAAACUCCAUCCCACUAUUUUUAUUACUUUUUCUUUUCAUAGGCCUAACCACCAGGAUCAAGGUGGUUUUAAGUUUUAUAUCCAAGACCAUAGGCACCGACAAUCAAUCAUAUGACAAGUACACUAAUUUGAUGAAUAUGUUGAAAAAAUAUCAAAAUCCAGUGUACCAUCCAUGUUACUUUUGUCUCAAAUUCCAAUCAUGAGAACAGUCCAAAUAAAAGUGUGAAUGGCCGAAGUUUACUAUGUCAUGAGAAAGUUCUGAAGACUCCAAGCAUUUUGCCAACGAGCAUAAAUGCAUAUCAACAACUCCAAAUGAGUUAAACCUUUCACUGUGUCCAAAAGAGGGAAAAUGAGACCACCCAAUGUGGAUUCAAUGCACAGAAAUAAAAAAUGAAACGUCACAUUUCGCAAAUGCGGAUUCAGUCCAAAAGUAAGUUAAAAAAUAAUACUACACUUCAACCUAAAUGAACAAAAAAAAAUUAAAAUGAGGUAGCCCCUUCGGAUUUUUGUUUACAUGGGAGGGCUGUUUUGGCCCAAAACUCUCUUCACCGCUUCAAGCUCCUUCACCCCAACCAAUGUGCGUUACCCGCCAUGUGAAUCCCAUGUGUAUUACAUAAUGCGCCCUCCAAAAAAGGUAGGAGUUCAAUACUGUUGAUCAUUAUAUACAAGAAUACCAUCGCAACUUGGUGAUAUAACCCAUUAGCGAAUAAUGAUCAUAGUGCUAACCACAAAACCAAGUACAAAAGGUUCUUAACCCUCGUAAUGCAAACUUAAUAAUUCUCUGGUUCUUUUCUAAACAACCUAGAAUGAUAACAAUAUACAAGCUUAUCACACACAAUGAUGACAAAAGGCCAGGUAAGUAAUUAUAAUGGUAACUAUUGUUAAGACCUCCAACUAUCAAUGCAGAUAUAACUUGAGCAAAAUCAAUUUCAUUAACAUGUUUGAAAGGAAGUGACAACAACACUUGCAGUUCUCCAUCAAACAAAGCAUAUAAAAAACAAGACACUCCAUUUAAUAAACAUAAUUCCAAGAAAAAAACAAAGAGGCUAAUGGGACCAAAGAUUAAUAGAGAUUAGCUUAGCGUAGCAUAUACAUGAGCUGAACUAAUAUUUUACAUCGAUAAAUUAGCUCAGCAUUUUUGGCUUACAAUGCAAAAUGGGAUGUUCUCAGAAACCUUUCAUAUUUCCAAGCACCCUGAGGAGUACUGUACCCUUAAACCCAUUAAGUAUUCUCAGCAUAUUACAAGAAAAACACAGCACUCUUUCAUUUAUGCAAUCAAACAAAUUAAUCAAGGCAUAUGCCCAAUCAUGCUGUGCAGCCUUGUACCAACACACACUUAAAAGUAUCACCUUAAAUGUUUUAGACUCAAUGAUAUGUAUCAAAUUAUGCUGGCUUUUACUCAAUGAAAAGGAGUCAUCAUGCUGUUAAAUGUCGUUAAUCUCACUAACUUUACUUACGACCAACAUUUAUUCCAAUAAGCAUCAUGAAUCCCACUAAUUUCAUUAGGACCAACAUCAUUGCAUCACAAAUGUACAAAACAUUUUUUGAAUAAAUGCAACAUACUUGUGUCAACCAUCAGUUCCUGGUUGUAAUCACAUCCUUUAUGCCAUGACAAUGAGAAACUGCGUUCAAAACCACAACCACCAAAACUAAAAAUAGGAAAAGUUCUAAUCUAACACCAAAAUUUCCAACUCCAAACGGAACAAGACAUUUAUAAAUGCAAGUCACAACUUUAUCAAGUGAAGCACAAAUUUAAAUGACUAAAAUUCGAACUAAUACAUUUAGAGCUAAAAUUAAGAUGGUAGGCCACAUCAAACUCCUCAAAAAUCACCCCUAAGGUGAGUUCCAAACAAGGAUAUGCUAUUUGCAGAACCACUUCUACCACUUGAUGUCGUGACAAGUUGUUUAGUAGGUAAAAAAGCAUGCAUUUUAUUUCUUAACUCAGUUUCUACCAUCAAUCACCACUUAUCACAUUGGUUAGAGUAAAAGCCAUUGUUUUUUAAGAAGAAAGAAUUGAAUGUUACUAUUCACUUUAUCAUCUUUUGAAGAGAUGAUUAAUAAGAUCAGAACAAUGAUGAAAGCCCCAUUCUACAUAUCAAAGUAGAGGAAAUCUAGAUUUGAAUGAUUCACAGUAUACAUCAUUAUUGAAGCAAACAAAAUUGGGAUGACCCAUGGGAUCACCACCAUCAUUGCCCUGUUCCCAGCAUGAAUUUGGAUAGGGUAAAUCAUGAUAAUCCACCCAAAUUGAUGAUGAGAAUGGGAGCUUUGGCAGCUGCAAAAAGCAAAGGGAAAUCAAGCUGUAACAAGAUCACACAGAAACAAUGUCGGAACAUCUGAAUGCAUAAACCCAGCGAAAACAAAGAGGCAAAUGCCAGAAUCUCCGCCCCGUUGUCACUGUAGGCAACGUACAGCGCUGAAUACGCUAUUGGGAAAGCGUAUCAGAGACUCUAAUUUGUUGCCAUGCACUACCAAAAGCAAUAUCACAGAUGAAAUAAAAUCAUCCAAAACAAUAAUUUCAAAGUAAGAAAAGGCUCAGAGAGUAAUGAUUCUAGAUAGCAUCAACAAGCUUCCAAGCUUUCAUAGUUUGAUGGUAUACGAUUCUCGUCAUCGCUGCCUCCUCAUCAACAAUUUUGAUUAUCCCAGACAACCCAUGAAAAUUAAAGAGAUUUAACAGAGAACCCAUAAAAACUCAACUCCAAAGAAGGCGAGAUCAGACCUUAACCUUGCGAACUGCUGUUGGAUGGUGAAAGGGACCUGAGGAAUAGAAGGGUUUAUAUGGGAGAGCCACAAACCCUAACCUUGCUUUUGAUUUGGGCCUUAACGCAAACAUUCCGGCCCUAAUAUUUGGAAGGCCCAUAGACGAGCCCAACUCGGUCCAAGUCCACAUCUAGCAUUUAAAUAAAAAAAUUUAGCUCAAUUUAUCUAAAAAAAAACCACGUUUGAAUAAUGGACAUAUUUCUUAUGAAAAUAAAAAUAAUGAUAGUUAUUUUAGUAGUUAAUUUAUAUUUAAUGAAAAUUUUGUAACAAAAUUGUGCUUUUAAAAUCAUAAGUUCAACUUGGGUUUUAGCCUUAAAAGUUAAUAUGUCUAGUGAUAAAUAAAAUUAAAAAAAAAAAAAAAACCACUCUUCUUAGUAGCUCAUUUAAAAGACAGGUUGAUGAUACUAAAAGUUUGACCUAUAAGGGGCCUUAUUAUCAUCGACUUCAUGAAUAGUUGCUUUAUAAAGAAUAUCAAUUUAUUUGCUUGAUUUGAAAUGUGGUGGAGAUUUUGACUCUAAUAUCACUUUAAUUUCCCGUUGAGUGAUGGCUCUCCCAUCACUUUUAUCAUUUAAAUUAAUUUUGAUCAUUUUAUUAGUGAAAUUUACGUUUCUUAACUAAAUAUAAAUGGAUGAUGUUGAUGUUAUUAAUUAGCUGAAAGCAUGAUGAAGAUUUGGUUAUGAUAUUACUGUAAUUCCUAUUUUUCGAUGAUGGUUUUCUUACUUCUUUAUCUUUGUAAUUAAUAUUCAUCAUUUUGUUAGUGAAAUUUAUGUUGCUUGGAAAUAAAAAGAAAUAACAUUACUACAAUAAGGUAAUAUAAAGAUAGUUUAUUAAUUUAUGGAGCGGUUUAAAACUUUAUUUAUCUUUAAGUAACAUAGUAUACUACCAAGAAAAUAUUUCUUGUCUUUUGAAAAGUCAUUUUUAUUAUUUAAGAAAAUUGUCACAUGUUGGAUGACAAUUAGUUUGGGUUUUAGUAGAAUAUCUUUAAUCAAAAGACUCGUUAACUAAAAAGUUUAUUUAAUUAAAAAUAUUAAUUCGAUUAAAUACAUCUAAGAAGAUUGUCAAGUCAUGAUGAGUGGACGGAUUCACCCACUUGUAUACGGCUACGAGUUGAUGUGUAUGGAUUUAUGAUCCAAAAAGACGCAUAAAAUUUAAAGAGGAAAAAGGAUGCGUCGCCUGAGAGAUUCGAACUCUCGCGGGGAAACCCCAUGUACUUAGCAGGCACACGCCUUAACCACUCGGCCAAAGCGACGGUUGAAAGAAGACAACAGCUGAUAUUGUAUUUGAUAUAUUACUUUUAAUAAUAAUAAAAAUAGUGUCACCGUCAAGUCUGUUUGGAGUCUGGACUACCCACCGUCUCAUUCAAACUAAUCCAACCCCCGUCACCAAAAACAACUCUCAACCCUUGAGCCUUCUGGAUCCAAACAACAUUUUUGGUUUUCCUUCUUUCUCUCUCUUCCUCUCACCCCCAAACCACCCUCUGUCUCAGGUGACGUCAUGUCGGCCACCGCCGCCACCACCCCCACCACUCCCACCGCCGCCACCGCCAUUGACCGCCGCACCUACUGGUGCCACGAGUGCGACAUGAGCGUCACCCUCUCCCCGUCCUCCUCCUCCUCCCCCACCCUCCUCUGUCCCCACUGCCACAGCGACUUCCUCGAAGAAAUGGACUCCCCCAACCCCAACCCCAACCCCAACCCCACCGCCCCCAACUUCUCCUUCCAUUCCGAAAACUUCCUCCUCGACAGCCCCUACCUCCACCGCCUCAUUCACCACCUCACCCAUCCCUCCGACACCAACAACGACGGAAAUGACAGCAGCGACCUCCCCCCUCCUCGCUACCUCAAUCCCAAUUCCGUCGCCGCCUCCAGGGCUUCCCUCGAAGCCCUCCCUACCUUCAAAAUCACUCCCUCCUUCCUCCAACUCGAUCCCAUUUUGUUCUGUGCCGUCUGCAAGGAUCAGUUCGUCGUCGACGUUGAAGCCAAGCGGCUUCCCUGCAACCAUAUCUACCAUUCUGAUUGUAUUCUCCCCUGGCUCUCGCAGCAGAAUUCGUGUCCGCUGUGUCGGUUUCGGCUCCCCACGGAUGAGGGUGAGGAUUCGGGGGAUGCGGGGGCGACCGUCACGAUGACCUUUGGGGAUUUGAUGGAGGACCAUGAGCUGUUUGGGCUGGGGAGUACUUUGAGGCACAUUGCCCGGAGGAAUAGGCUGGUCUUUCCGGCCUUGUCUGCGGAGGGGCAGGCGCAGGCACAGGGUGAAAGUCUAGGGCCUGAUAACAGUGUGGAGACUGUUUCCAGCUGGCCUCGUCAGGUUUUGGUUGGCGGCGGUGGCGGCGGUGGUGGUGAUGCAGAUUUUGGGGCCGGUGCUGUGGCGAAUGAGGAUGCUGAUGCUAUGAUGCCUGAAGUUAGGGUAUCGGGUUCUGUUUCGGCUUCAUCUUGAGGUGUGUUUUAACUGCUUUCACCCUCUCCCAUACUCCAAUUUCUCAUUUAUGCAAUUGAUCUAUUUAACUAUAUUGAAAUUCCAAUUGAACUGAUGUAUGUCACCUGGAUGAGCACCAUAUCAGAGUUUGAUCCUAUUCUCUAGUUCUUCAGAUGGAGAGUAGUGCAAAUUGUGGGAUGCACCUCUCUGUAAUGGGUUUCUGGGUGCUAUUGCUAGUACUGGUUCACUGUCCAUGUUAUCCAUAAUGUUAGAGUGAUUGGUCCAUGAUGUUUUGCUUUGAAGUAGUUUUCUGGGGCCUAGAAGUUUUGUUUAUCUGGAGACCUAACUGCAAACAAGAGGAAGGUAGAAUUUGGCUGCAGUAGAGGCCUUACACCAACUGGGUUUCAGUUGCAUUCCCACAUCGAUUCCAGUUGGAAUUGGGAUUGACGACUCAUUCCUUAGAGCUUAAACCAAGUAAACCAAACUCGUGGAGUAAUGAUAUUAGACAUUAGACCCUGCUAGCCCAAAAUGGACUUCUUGCAACCCAGCCUUGAUGGGAAGAGCUUGUGCCACUGGAGGAUCUGUAUACUCUGUCAAAUUUGUUGUUUCCCAGGAUGGUUCUUCUUUUAGAAGUUCAAUUGUUUGGAAUGGUGCAGGUUUAAAUAGUAUUCUUUUUUUAGAGGAAGUUAAAGCUUAGAAUCAUCAAACCUAACUAGUUAAGCUAGGUUGGCUAAAAAAGAUGCUGAUAUGCUGGCCAAUAGAGCAGACAACUCCUCUUUUAAGGAGUUUAAUGGGUGCUUUCUCCCCCAUUGAGCUUAUCCAUCUUAUGUUACUAGAUUGAGGCAUUGUUCUUUACUUCUUUUUCUUUUCUCCCAUUAUCUUUCUUCUUGCACCUCAUUUUGCCUUAAAGACUUCUCAUCCUUCUAUGUGAUUACCUCCUUUCUAUUUAUCCUCUUCUUGUUUCUUAUCCAAAAAUGGAAAAAGGAAAAGGAAAGGAAAGAUUACCUUGUUAAGUUCAAAUUAACUUUUUAUUCUCAUAGUCUAUCCAAAGUUUGUGGAUAUAAAGUUAGAUUAUGUGCUCAGGAACUUCUCAUGGAUGGUGAAGGGGACAAGUUUAAAUGUCGCUUGCUUGAAUGGGUGAAGAUUAGUGUGGGUAGAAUAAGAAGUUUUGAGCAAGUUUAAGACUAUGUUUGGUUCUCAGAAAGUGGUAAGGAAAGAAAAAAAAUGUUAAGGAAAAUGAUUUUCUUAUGUUUGGUUUUACUAUGAAAAGUACAAAAGAAAGUUAAAUAUAAUUAAAAUUAGUAAGCAACUUAUAUAUUUUUAAAUUAUUUAAUCUUUAUAUAGAAGAAUUAAAUAAAUGAAAUGAGUGUGAAGUAGAAUAUAAAAAUAAUUUAUUGAUUUUAAAUCUAUUUUUUAUUUUCUUUUACUUUUUUUUUCCUUCUACUUUUGUUCUCUAUUUUCUUUCCUUUGCAUUUUCCCGCAAACUUUCCAGAAACCAAACAUAGCCUUGAAAGGGUGAAGAUCACUGUGGGCAGGUAAGAAGUUUUAAGCUUUUAUUCCUGGUGUCUUAGUUCAACAUGAUUGUUAAUAAGUAGAACUUGCAAGGUUAGGUAAAGCACAUUGUAAUUUCUUAUGGAUGGCAAGGUGAAGGAAGCAAUAAGAGACAUCACAUGAAUGGGUAAGCUUAUAGUGGAGGAAGAUCCAUGAGGUCUGGACUUCUAAUCUUUUGGCCAUCUUCUUUUAUUAUGUUUGGUAUUGAAGGGGUUGACUGUAUAAGCUGCAAGGAGCAGUCAUGGUAAUCAUGGGCUUGCAAAAGAAGAUAGGCCACAUGUAAUUACUUAUGGGCCCUAUGAAUGGAAUUUACAUUGAAGAAAUUGAAAUCUAGAUGAAUUUAACUGGGAAAUCUCAUAAAGAUGGACAAAAAUGAUGGGUGCAUGUUUUAAGGAAAACAUUGUUGAGGCGGUUUUCCUUUAUUCACCUACAAAUUGGGGACUUCAAUUGAGUUGGUCGGCUGAUGAUUAGGUGUCUGCUUCUUUCUUUGAACUUGAUUUCAGCUGAGACUCAAAUAUGUUUGGCAAUUUUACAACAAUGUUGAACAUUUCUCUAAGAGGAAGAUUAAGUUUCAAAAAGUUGGAGUUGCAAUUCUUUUUGUGAUUUCUGUAGGUGUCAUUAGUCCUAGGGAUGAUAGAUUUAUAUAAUCCAGCCUUCAUCUCAUAUACACACUAUAAAGAUAAAAAAGGAUUGUAGUGUGAUGAUGCAUGACUCAUACGACAGCAUUCAGUGACCUCCCAUCUUGAAUCUGAAUGCUUCUCAAGACUAUUAACACCGCACCACAGGUGAAAGAGCCUUGGGGAGACUCUUCCCCAACAGACUGCUUUGUGAGUUCCUUUGAAUCCAUCUGAAUGAUAAAGGUGCUCAACUGCAAAAUUGUGUCGUCUGUUAAUCCUUAGAAAUGGAGCAUCUGUUGUUCUUAUCAGUUCAAUUAAAGUUUUUUUUUUUCAACAUACUAAUCUAGAUCCCUUACCAGGUGGGUUUAACUUCUCCCUUUUCAUCUGUUUGCAGGUAAUGUAUAGCUGACUGUUACAUGGAAUCUGAGGGGUAUUUUAUCACCAUACCUCGUCUAAUGAAGUGUAAAUCUACAGAGGAAGGCGGUCUAAUAACCCAAUGUUAUGUGUGAUCUGUAUUCUCUCUCUGUUGUUUUCUGCAGCAAUGGGGAAGGAACUCUUUGCUUUGUAAUGAUGCUCUUGUGAACUAGUUUCUAUCAUGUUUUUGGUUAAUAAAUUUCCAAGGUCAAGCUGCUUUUUUUCCCCCCCUUUUUUUCUCUAUUGCAUUUUAAUUGCCAGACUGCAGCCACUGCAAGGCCAUCAAACUGCCAAUUAUCAUCAUUGUGGGAAAAUAUUCAAAGUCUUGUUGUGUCCUUCACUUCAUCUAGAUGAGCAUCUUUCACACGUUUGUAAGGGUCCAGCUCCAUCUUACCAACAUUUAUCCCAUCAUUCUAACCCGGUGGGUGCAUUCGAGCAAGACCAUGAUUUUCUCAUUAGACCCAAUUCUUUGGCAGAUGAUUGGAUACUGAAAAUUCUUUAAAGGGAUUUUCGAUUUUGGGUUAUAAAAUUGUAUAUAAAAUUUGAGAUAAUUCUUACUUAAAGAUAAGGAAUACAUUGCCCACUGUGGGUGUGCUUCCUUUGUCCUCAGGCUGCUUGUCAAUUAGCCCACUAGAUGGUUCUAUGCUUAUAUUAAGCAUAUGCUAUUGUAGUAGUCAAGAGUCAAGACACGUUUCUUUUGGUUUUUUUAUUUUUUUUAUUUUUUAUUUAAUAUAUAUUUCAUUUUCAUUUUACAUCAUGUGGGCGGUGGACAAAAGCAAAGCGAUAUGGAUGAUGGAUUCCAAUAUUUAUAUCCACGGAAGCAACACGGCACGGACUCUAUCUGUUGGAUCUGGACUGUGACACGGACACCCAGGCUGCCACUCGUGUUGUACAAGCAAAAAUCCAACAUGCAGUCACACCCACACACUUGGAAACAAGCUCUGCCAAACCCUUCUCUUUUUUUUUUUUCACUGUUUGCCACAUCUUCAACAUUCUGAUCAAACUCCCCUUGAAUGAAGCUUCCUCAAUCAACUUCCAAGAAGACCCACAAGUCAGACAAUGACCAGACUUGAGGCCCUCAAUGAGGGAAAGUGAGAAACUUCUCUGCUUCCACCUAGAGCACCUUUGGUUUUACUUUUAUUUUGCCCUGCACCACACAUGACACCAUUCAUUUGAAUAUUUUGUUAUCCAUGUGGAUCUAAGUUGGAUGAGCUGAAAAGUCAGAGAGGUCGGCUUCCCCUUUUAUAUAAGAGACUUUGCAUGGAACAAUUUUCAUUCACUUCUCUCCGAUCCAAUCAGCCUUACAAAAUCAAUUAGUCUAGCUAAUCUUCAGCCAUGGCCUUUGAGAGCAGCUUAGCAGACAUGGUGUUGAAGGUGGGCAUGUUUGUUCUUGUCCAAGCUUUGGUUUAUCUGAUCCUUUCCAAGUCUUCCAACAUCUUCUCCAAGAACCCGAAGAGAUCUCACAGGUUCAAACCAGCCCGGUCUGUCAGUAUUCGUCGAGUUCUUGCUUGUCUUGCUGACCUACCCCCUGGAGGCGAACUCUCUCCUUCUCCUUCUCCAAAGGGCCCUCAGUUGCUUCCCCCACAAAAUUCAGCAACUGACCCUCAGACUCCCACAUCUUAAGAGACUUCCAUGCAUGGAUUUGUAGCAGAGCAGAAGAUUGCUGAUGGCUUGGCUUCUUGUGAUAGAUUUUAGACGUGACUUGAAUUUGAUAUUUAUCUGAAUUUAAGUUAUUCUUUUGUUUUGUAAAUUUGGUAGUCAAUCUAAAUACCAUAUUAUAGUUUUGAAAAUUUUACUUAUUAAGACUAGUUGUAUGCUUUAAGGUAGUUGAAUUUCAAUGAUCCUUUUGAUGUUUUGGGGAAACCACCCAUAUCCAGCCUCUGUAUUCCCUUGUGCUUUGUAAUGGUAAACAUUCACAAUCUUGUGGAACCCAUGUACUGUGAUUUGGUGCUUGGUCACUGGAGCUGUUUUCUUAACAGUCCUCAUAUGAGAUGAAACCUCUUCCAAAUCAUGGAUGCCACUGCUUGUUUUUAUUGAUAUCUAGAUGAGGGCCACACCUAACAUUACUUGAAACAGCAAGCAUGAAUGAUUGGUUUCGUACUUAUGCAUCUUCAUCUCCCUUACACCAACUUUUUGCAGCUAACAAGUGACCCUCAAUCUAUAUUCUAACCACAAUGGAGCCCUUACGGGGUCCCCUCAUGAUUUUCUGGUCUACAUCUACAAGUAACCUCAUUGCUAUUGUGGUAUAGAUUUCAUAUUCACAGCAUUUUCUGCACCUAAUGGUCCAGACUCCAGAAACACGUCAAUCGAGUUUAUUAAAGCUAUUAAUGCAAUGCAAUAAUGUGCCUAAUCCUAAGGUUAACACUUGAUACAAAUAUAGUUUUCCAUUAGGAGGCGGCACAGUCCACAGGAGCAAAAGAAAUGAACCCAGCAUCAAGGUCAUAUCCAACAUAAUAGUUCAUUUGCUGAAAGCUUCCAAGCAGGGACAUCUCUUCAAGCCCUUCAGAAGGUAGCAUUGCAAGGCACCAUAGCCCCUCUUGUGCUUCUAUGUAUGUAGUCUGCUUUGUUAGCAUGACAUCUGCACCAUCAAAAUGGAAAGUUAUGUCGGGUCCUGCAGCAUCCAGUUCAUCAAAACUCCCCUCGAAGCACAUCCUGUAGCGUCCAGAGUUAUAUUGUUUUCCUGGUAAACGUAUUACUUUGCUCAACAUAUAGACUAAAAGAUUGAAUGCUUCAGACCUUAAUACCGUGAAUUCUGAGCCAGAAUCAACUAUAAAUCCUCCUCCCUCUGAGGUCAUAUCAAAUAUCCCAUCUGGGAAGGGGGCCUUUUCGUCUCCAACACUGAUUCCCAGAAGAGUGACAUAGUAAUAGAUAUGCUCUCCUUGUAGAAAUGGAGUUUGUCCACCCAUGAGCACUGAGAGCGAUCCGAAAUACAUUCUGCUUCCCGAUCCUUGAUCAUCACGUAUCACCAUGCAGUAGGAGAACUUCUUUAUUUUCAACUGUGAGACUAAAGAGUGUGGAUCCCGGUUAAGGCCUACAACACCAGCUUCGUAGCCUUUAAAAGUCCCAAUUGUAUAAUCGGAGCAGCCAAACACCAAGUGGCCAACAUCAACCUUAUUCUGGUUAGAGUCUUCAAAGGCAAAUGCAUCACUUGAAAGAGUUCCUCCAGUUGAAGUACCACCAUCACCAUAUUCUAUCAUAUAGCAACAAUCUUUUUCAUCACUACCGCAGGGAAAUGCCCAGGUCUCCUCACAGGCUGGAGAAUCAGACGGUACUGUGUUGUAGGUGGAAGAUUUGGAGGGGUCGAAAAUAGGUGACGUUUGUUCGAAACACUUUCUGCAUGGAAGGCACUGAUGCCAUAUGAGUCCACUUCCUGUGUCAGGAACGGCAUAUAUUAGAUGAGGGGGGCUUCCCACAUUGUACAUCAUUAUAUAGCUGAAUCCCUCAGGAAUCAAUUUUGGGGACAAAUCUUCAACCAAGGAUUGGGACGUAUGUGAGUUGAGGUACCUGAGACGGGCUAUGGAGCGGUUAGCUGCCAGAAUGGCCCGAUCACUGGUGCUCAAAUUGGGGUCAUAAAAGGGGGAUGAAGGAGAGUCACGGUGGAUCAGAUGUACCACAAAACCGUCACUAAUAGUACUAAUAUUGUCGUGAUGGGGUGUGGUUGGAGGAAUGAGGAUACUUGAUAUUAGAAAGAUUACAGCUCUGAGGAAGAAAGAGGCAGCACCCAUGAUCAACUGAGACAAAUAAUGUGAUGUCUGGGCGCAUCCUUUCUAUGGGAACAAGGGUGUAUUUGAUCAUACUGGGACUAUAUGUACCAGUUAAUAGCCAGCAUUCCAGGAGGGUAAAAAUCACAGAAAGAUUGAGUUUAGUCACUAUGUACAUUCACACCCUUGAAAUAUAUACUUUCUCAUUACUCAUUCACUUGCCAUGACUACUAUUUUUUAUGUUUUGGUGAACUGAUUAUUCUGAUUACUAAUCUUAGAUUCAAUGCUUCUCAAGAAAAGGCUCGAAGUCUAUACUAGAAAUUGGCACAAUCCACUGGAGAAAAAGAAACCACCUGAGCUUCAAGGUCAUAUCCAACAUAAUAGUUCUGCUGCUGAAUAUUUCCAAGUAUAGAGACUUUCCAAAGGCUAUUAGACGAAAGCAUGGCCAGGCACCAUAGCCCCUUUUUCCCUUCCACAUAUGUAGUCUGCCUGGUCUGCUUCUGCUUGGCCAUUGGGAAAACAGGGAGAAGAGAAUGAGUUGCGUACACCAUAUUUUGAGCAGAACUGUUUGAACUUUGCACUGUCAAAUUGAGGCUCAUUAUCAGAUAAAAUAGCAUGAGGAAUACUAAAUCGGCAUAAUAUGCUUUUCCACACAAACUUGAUGAGAUCGCUAUCCUUCUACUCGAUUAGUGAAAUAGUCGGUGGCAACAAGAAGGAAUUUCUUUUGAGAGGGUGUGGUUGGUAGAGGUCCGACUAUAUAUAUUCCCCAUAAAGAGAAAGGCCACGGGUUAAUCAUAGGGUUAAGUUCUUCGGUUGGUGUGUGUAUGAUAUUUCCGAACCUUUGACAUUGAUCACAUUGAUUACUAGACGAGUUUCUAGUACGACAAUGACAAUGUCUAAUGUAGUCUAUUCCUCUUGAUACGACUUACACUCCUUUACAUAGAACCUCAACUUCUUAGCUUGCACCAUGCUUUCAACUAGGUGUUUUUGAAGUUUUGACAAUCAUCCAUGGAAUGGUCAUUGUCUUGAUUAUAGUUGCAAAAGCAUGAUCAACCAAUCGCAUUAUUUGAGUCCCUCCUCAUAGAUUAUGACUAGGUGAAUCCUUCCAUUCCCUCGAUCACGGGAAGGAGGCGAGAAUAAGACAUGGUAUGAUAGUUACAAGAGCAUGAUCAAUAGAUCGCAUUAUUUGAGUCCCUUCUCAUAGAUUAUGACUAGGUGAAUCCUUCCAUUCCCUCGAUCACCGGAAGGAGACGAGAAUAAGACAUGGUAUGAUAGUUACAAAAGCAUGAUCAAUAGAUCGCAUUAUUUGAGUCCCUUCUCAUAGAUUAUGACUAGGUGAAUCCUUCCAUUCCCUCGAUCACUGGAAGGAGGCGAGAAUAAGACAUGGUAAGGGCAGUAUAAGGGCGUCCUCGGUCGAAUCCUCAUUCAUAGUUUGUUCGUCUUCACUGGUUCUGUUGAGAAAAAGUUUUGUCCCUCCAUCGAUUGGUAGAGUCCCUUGUGUGGCGAUGACCUUCAUCCUAGGUUAAGGCCACCUUGCUUUGUUGCAACACGAAGGUCAUCUUCCAACAUUGAGUAUUUGUUAGCCCUUUGGAACAGUUCGUCUAUAAACCCGAGAGGAUUUAGAGAUAUGGAAUGGGAAAAUGGAGUAUUUGGAAAGAUGGCCUGCAUAACCGUGUCCAUGCUGACCCUAUCCAGUUAAAAUAUUGCUCCCUCAAAUCUUUUCAUGAAACUAUGGAUAAACUCUCAUCGCUCCAUUUUCACAUGAAAUAAACGAGCAACGGCUUGCUUCCGUCUCAUGAACACAAAUACUGGUUGGCAAAGAUUUCAGAUAACCCACGAAAUGAAUUGAUCCAGUUAAUCGAUAGUCGGGGAACCAAGAGAAAAGGCCCCUACAAACUUGACAGAAACACUUUACAUAAUAAAGGAUCAUUUUUGCUUUUAAGAGUCAUUACUUGGCGAAAGAGCAUCAAGUGAUUGAAGGGAUCUCCAAAUAUUCCAUUAUACAUGUUUGAAUUUGAGCAUUAAGAAAUGUUGUGGUGCCUCUUACCUUAGGAUGUUGUGCAUGAACGACAUGGUCGUCGUGUUGUUCAAGAUUCCAAAAGGUUGUGUUCUGGGUCCAUAUUGGUCGAUUUGUGAGACGAAAAGGGAUAUACCAUAAGACUCACAUGACAGUCCACAUCAAGCUGUCCUCAACCUGGCCAUUGCUAGAAUGUGAACUAGUUUUUUUUUUUUUCUUGCGAGCGAAGGAACCAUGUUGAGUUCCUCUUUUUCAGGGUGGGGAUUGGGUGUGGCACCAACACCGGUUCAUCAGUAGGUGUGGCCAGUUGGAGAGGAGGCUAUAAUCUACCGAUUAACUUAGAAUCAAUGUGUAUUGAGGGUUCCGAGCUACUACAACAACAUUGAGUAUCCGAUUUCCCCAUUGCAAAGCUUCAGUAGCGGAGAUGAAGGCCUCUAUUUGCUUGCAAUGCUCAUCUUACUGCUCUUUCCACUGUCUUGCCAUUAGGGCCAUCCACUCCUCCAUCGCUAGGUGCUAUUCUCUCAAUUGAUCCACCGACACUACCAAAUGUAAUGUCUCUAAAAAAUUCUUUAUACGCAAACCACCAUUAUAUACUCAUCGUGAUUCGUUUUUAUUGGUCACUUUUCCUAUCAAAGGAUAAAACCUCUCGCCUCUUCUGUGGAAACAUCCUUAGGAAGGUCAAAUCCAUAUAAGAGGACUAGUAUUAGCCCCUUGACAUACACGAACCAUGCAGCACUAAGGCUUCAUGAAGAAACACUAAGGCUUCAUGGGGCGGCACCUUGGUCUCAUGAGUGACAUGACAAUAACAAGGUGACACAAGGGAGCAAUGCCUUGCGGAAGGAGAUGACUUGGUGAGCCAUGGGCACAAUGCAAUACACAAAGGAGCAAUGUCGCGGAUGCAGCAGCAUGUUGCCUUGACAUGGAUGCAAUCUGAACAUUUAGGCCAAAAGAAAGCAUGACAUGCACACCAACCACAUAUAUAGAUGCAUGCCACAACAACAUGAAGAGUUGGACUCAAAGUGGGAUUGCAAGCUAAGCACGAGAAGGAGUCUUGAUGUCUAUUGUAAUUGUAGUCAGUGGGACUAGGACUCUAAGUCCUAGUAGGAGUGGGUGUACCAAAACCUAUUAGUAAGAGUCCUAGUAGAACUAGGAUGUGUACUCCUAGUCUGAUAAGGAGUGGCUGGUGACCACUCUAUAAAAGGAGGACCGAGCCUCCUUGACAAGGAGUGAGAUCUAGAGAGGGAGAUGUGAGGGAAACUUAAUCUCAUUGAGAUUAUUGUGGGAGUGUGGCCCAAAUCUUGUAUGCUUAUUCAGUUAUCUAAUAAAAUAAGUUGGGGUUGGUGCCCUAUAAGUCUCACGUGUGCCUUUGUGUGUUGUUGUCAUAUCUUGUGGGAAAGAUAUAAUGUGGACCCAUAUAGUGUAGACCUAUAUUUUUUAUGUGCGUCCCCAUUCAAUGACAAGACUCAUUUUUAUUAGUAAAACAUUAGUUUUAAAAAAAUUGGAGUCGCUACUUAUUUUAUUUUAUUUUAAAAGGGAAAAUAAAACAAAAAAGAAAAUCUUAAAGAAGUGAUUUCAUAGUUUUGGAAAAGUAAGUCUUGAAAAACCCGAGUCUUAGUUCGGGGAUCAGGUUACCUAUUGGAAAGGUACAUCUAAGAGGUAACACCCCUCUAAGCCCUAAAAAAGUCUUUAUUGACUAAGUUGAGGGAAAAGUGACAAUUAAUCAAUUAAUUGAAGGUACCUAAAUAGGCUAAGGUGAUUUUAGAACUAGUAUGCCAAAAAAGAAAUCAAAUCACAAUCGCAAAGGAGGGUUUGGAUGUGUAUCUAGACUGCCUCUUAAGCGCUAUCAUAAGACAUUAAAAUUAGCACAGAAAUAUAGCACAUGCAUGACAUGUAUUUAAUUAGAACAAAUUGAACAUACAUCUAAGCACCAAAGGAUUACAUCAAACAUAGAUAUAGAUAUGACUCACAACAACAUGCAUGUUCAUAAAAUUCCAAAAAGUAGGUGAUAGAGAGUGUACCUAGAUAAUAUGCAUAAUUGAUAAGAUUCCUCCGAAAAUGUUAGGGUGGUUAGGACAAGUAUAAAUUACAUAACAUCUUCAUUAUGUCUAAUAUGCAGUACCAAAGUCAAAAUUGAGUCAAGUUAAGUCAAAUGACUCAAAAAAAUAACAAUAAUUUCAAGUAAAGUACAAGAUCAUCAGCAUGCAAUUAGAAAAGGGAGCAUCACAAAAUAAUUUCUAAAAAAAAUGUCUUGGAGUGGAAUUUAAUUACGAAAAAUUUCAGGAAACAACACUUACACUUUUAGAACAACAUAUCAAAAACCGCACUCAUUCAAAUGACAAAUUGCAGCAAAGACAUCCAAAAGUUCUACAAAGUCUAGAUUAUGUAAAAAAAAAUAAUGACAUGCAUAAACGAAUUUUUAAAAAAAUAAUAAGAGAUCACAUAAAAUCAUACAAAAAAUCACACACAUUUUUCAAAGUGUUUGUAUCACAUAAAAAAUGAAUCCAAGUUAGAUAGUACUCAAAAAUAUUUUUAAAACACUUCAGUUAAUCAGAUAUUCAGAAUCCAUCACGUGCCGUAGGUACGAAUUUGAAAAAUCAUAUCUCCCUCAAAAAAACAUAUUUUUUAAUAUUUUAUAUGUCUAAAAUCAAUUUCAGGAAGUGUAGAAUUAAAGAAAAAUAUUAAAUCAAAUUUAAAAAGUCAUCUGUUAUUAAAUUUUUACAAAAAGAUUUCGGGUUUCCAGGGUGAAAAUAGAGCCCUUAAUACCCUGAAGUGUCUAGAGUUACAUUGUUUUCCUGGUAGACGUAUCACACUGCUCAACGUAUUGACUAAAAGAUCGAAUGCUUCAGACCUUAAUAUCGUCAAUGAUGAGCCAGAAUCAACUACAAAUCCUCCCCCCUCUGAGGUCCAAUUGAAUAUCCCAUAAGGGGACCUUUUCUUCUCCAACACUGAUCCCCAGAUGAGUGACAUAAUAGAGCUUCACUCCUUGCAGAAAUGGGGUUAGCCCACCCAUGAGCACUGAGAGCGAUCCAAAAUACAUUCUGCUUCCUGAUCUUCGGUCAUCACGUAUAACCAUGCAGUAGGCGAACUUCUUUAUUUUCAACUAUGAGACUAAAGAGAGUGAAUCCUGGUUAAGGCCUACAAUGCCAACUUCAUAGCCUUUAAAAGUCCCAGUUGUAUAAUCUGAGCAGCCAAACACCAAGUGACAAACAUCAACCAUAUUCUGCCUAUUGUCUUCAAAGGCAAAUGCAUCAAUUGAAAUUGUUCCUUCAGUUGAUGUACUGCCACUACCAUAUGAUAUCCUAUAGCAACAAUCUUCUUCAUCAAUAUGGCAGGCAUAUCCCCCGGCCUGGUAACAGGUUGGAGCAUCCCAUGGUACUGUGCUGUAGGUGGAAGAUUUGGAGGGGUCGAAAACAGGUGGUGUUUGGUUGAAACACUGUGCCACUUCCUGCAUAUGUCAGCAAUGGCAUAUACCAGACUAGGCGGGGUUCCCACGUUGUACAUCAUUACAUAGGUGAAUUCCUCAGGAAUCAAUUUUGAGGAUAAAUCUUCAACCAAUGAUUGGGAGGUGAGUGAGUUGAGGUAAUUGGGACGGGCAAUGGAGCGAUUAGCUGCCAGUAUGGCACGAUCGCUGACGCUCAAAUUGGGGUCAUAAAAGGGGGAUAAAGCAGAGUCUCGGUGGAUCAGACGUACAACAAAACCAUCGCUAAUAGUACUAAUAUUGUCAUGAUGGGGUGUGGUUGGAGGAAUGAAGAUAUUGAUGUGAGAAAGAUCACAGAUCUGAGGAAGAAAGAGGCAGCAGCCAUGAUCAACUGAGACAAAAAAUGUGAUGUGUGUAUCCUUUCUUCAGGAACAACGGUGUAUUUAAUUAUUCUUAUACCAUAUGAGCCAGUUAAUAGCCAGCAUUCCAAGAGUGUAGAAAUCACAGAAAGAUUUGGUUUAGUCACUAUGUACAUUCAUACCCUUAAAAUAUAUAAUUUCUUAUUACUCAUUCACUUGCCAUGACUACUAUUUUUGAGCUUAUACAAAAGAAGUUUAUACUAGAAAGUGGCACAAUCCACUGGAGCAAAAGAAACCACCUGAGCUUCAAGGUCAUAUCCAACAUGAUAGUUCUGCUGCUGAAUAUUUCCAAGUAUAGAGAGUUUCCGAGUGCUAUUAGACGAAAGCAUGGCCAGGCACCAUAGCCCCUUCUCCACUUCCACAUAUGUGGUCCGCUUGGUCAGUAUGAAGUCUGCACCAUAAAAAUGGAAAGUUAUAUCUGGCCCUGCUGAGGCCAAUUCAUCAGAUCUCCCCUCAAAGCAUAUUCCAAAUCUCCUGUAUUUCCUCCAAGGUAAAUGUAUGGCAUUGCUCAAUGUAUUGACUAAAGAAUUGUAUGCUUCAGACCUUAAUACUGUGUAUGUUGUGCCAGAAUCAAUUAUAAAUCCUCCUGUCCCAGUUGAGUUUAUAUUGAAUAUCCCCUCUGGGAGGGGUACCUUUUCUUCACCAACACUGAUGCCCUUGAGAGUGACAAAGUAGUGGCUGUAGUCCCCCUUCAGCAAUGGAGUUUUUCCACCAAGAAUGACUGCCCUUGAUCCAAAGUACAUUCGACUUCCUGAUCCAUGAUCAUCAGGUAUCACCAUGCAGUAUGAGAACUUUUUAACUUUCAGCUGUGAGACUAGCGAAUUGGGAUGCCGGUUAAGGCCUACGACACCAGCUUGGUGCCCCUUAAGGCGCGCCUUGGUGUCAUGGGAACAGCCGAAGGUCAAGUAGCCAACCUCAACGAUAGUUCUUGUGGGGUCUUCAAAAGCAAAUACAUCAGUUGAGAGAGUUCCUUUUGUUGUUGUGCCAUCACCAUAGGUGUGCUGAUAGCAACAACUUUUGUCACCUUCCCUGCAGGAAAUUCUCCUGACAGCAUUGCAAAUUGGGGAAUCACUUGAUACUGUUUCAUAAGUGUAAGACUCAGCUGGGUCAAAAAUAGGCGGUGUUUGGUUGUAACAAUGUGUGCAUGGAAGGCAUUGGAGCCAUAUGAGUUCACUUCCAGUAUCUGCAAUGCCAUAUACUAGAGUAGAGGGGACACCCAGAUAGUACAUCAUUAUGUAUUCAUAGUACUCAGGAACUAAUUUGGAUGAGAUAUCACCUAGCGAGGAUGAGGAUGAGGUGACUGAGAGCAGGUAAUUGAGGCGAGCAAUAGAGCGGUCAGCUGCCCAUAUGGAGCGAUCAGUGCUAGUCAUGUUGUGGUCAUAGAAAGGGGAAGAAGGUGAGUCAUGGUGGAUCAGAUCGACGACAAAACCAUCACUUGUAGUGCUGUUAAUGUCAUUGUGAGCUGUGGAUGGAGGAAUGAAGAUGCUUGAUGAGAAGCAGCUUACAACAAGGAAAAAAGAGGCAGUAGCCAUAGCUAAAACCGAAAAAAAUUGAACUACAAACCUAGAACUAGUCCAUUUAGAAGAAGAAUGUAACUGUGGAGGAAACAUGUAAAAUCUCAUGUGAAUGAAGGCCAAGUUUUCACUAUACUCGACAAUAAAAAGACAGAGUAUCCUUUAAUUUCACUUCAAAUAAUACUAUUUUUGGCAUUAAUUGCUUAGGCGUUUAUAUCUUGAAAUGGAACUUCCAAUUAAACCUGCACCUUUGUGACUUCCACUGCUGAAUCACUAAUUAGUACUUAUCUUGCAAGUUUGCAACAGCAAUUUGUGACUACUUUUGGGGCUUGCCCAGAAAUUGAUACUAUCAUAGGCUGUACAAAUUUCAUUCUUAGCAAUGAACUAAAUUAAGGAAGAUUAUUCCGACAUCACGAGGAUUUGUCCAUACUACUAAUGGUUUGUAGGAAGCUAGAAACAACUCAUACUAGGCAAAGGAAUAGUGGGCAAAUGGCCUUGAUGAGAGUGACUUAUACCGGCUCUGCAGGAGUUUAUUCCUCAAAAUCCAUGUGAAAACCAUUAAAAACCAAUCUUUAGAGAUGAUUAACCAGUUGUGUAAACAAUCUAGAAUUCAAACAGAUUAAUUUAUAGCAAAAUUGGUCUUUAGAAUGACCUGAACAAUUUCUUAUCCCCCACUUCACUAGAAACAUGCUUAAUAUAUUACACCAUCCACCAAGAAUAUAUUCCUAACAGCCUUAAUUAAGCUUCUAAUUAUGAUCAUUUCUACUAACUUUUGACAUUUCAAUCACUAUUAGAACAGAUUCUAUUGCCCACAAGAUUACAAAGAAGUUUCCUCCAAACCUAGAUUACCUUAGUACCCUUCAAUAUUGAACAAUAUUAAAAUAACCCUAGUAUUUUUUCUGUAGAAUUUCAAAUCUGAAACUAGUUACUGAUAUUUUUCCUGUCAUUGACUUGAGAUAUUGCCCGAAAGUCGUAUUAGAAGCCUUAGUUCUUGUAAUAAAUUAAGGUCAACAAGCCGGUGUUACAACUCAACAAUCUGAUACAAUGACUAGAGUUUUCCUCUUGGCAAUUAUUUUCGUCAACUGGUUUAUUGAUAUUACAAAAGCAUGUCAGCAUCAGUGGUUAGGCUAAAGCAAUCAGGCAUUACUUAAUGUGAAUCAAGACUUCUAAUUAAGAAUUUCACAUUUCCAUUAGUAUUAAUAUAAAGCUACCUGUCCGUACCACAAACAGUGGUUGAAUAAAGUUUUGAAUCCAGAAAUGGCUUCCACAGAUUGAUUUAAUUUUUUAUUUAUCAUCUUAUCCUCAAUUAUUGUUUAUGUGGGUGUGCAAUAAAAAAGUGGUUCAACAAGAGAUACAGGUGGUAUUUGUUUUUUUAACUUUUUGCUGAAAACAAUUUAGCUUUAGAAUUUAGGUUGUUUGUUUUUCUACUUUUUCAUGACUUAUUAUAAACUUUUUACUAAAUAGAAAAAGCCAAAAUAUGUAGCUUUUUCUAAAUAGAAAAAAUAACAUAUUGAUUUUUUAUAUUUUUUAAUAUUUAAUAGAAAUAAAAUACUACAAAAACAAACAAUCUAAUAUUUAACACUAUUAAGCAUUAAUGUUCUAUUUAGAAUUAAGUAAAAAAACAAACACCAUCAUAGUCAACUUGUUAACUUUAAAAUCAACCGAUAACCAGGCGGAUAUGCAAGCAAAUGAGCUUCCAAGAUACUGUAACAGGUCUAAUAUGGAGGGUUCAUAAUUGAUCUAGAACUGUUGUCUAUUCUGUUACUUGGAACCAGCCACAAUGGUUGGUGAUUAGUACUGGCCUUCUCCCUUUCCGAUGGUUUUGGAUCAAUUCUAUUAUGAUAAUAAAGAAAAGAACCUCCACUUUGUGCUUGCAAUUCAAGAAUUUCUACAUAUUCACUAGAGAAUUUGAAAAUAUACAUCGAAAUUCAAAUCCAGACCUUCCAUUCUCAACUACCCAGCCAGAAUCUUCUGAGUCCUUAGCAACUUGUCUGCAGUUGAUAUUUUUUUGUGGACUUCUUGCUGAGAUGGUAUAUGGCUCUUUCCUUCCUACUCCUUUCAUCAAGCUGACCAAGAUAAGGAUUCAUGUGGAUGUAUGUAUGUCCAACCAGACAUAUGAUCAUAGCAAUCACCCCUUGCCCUUACCUAGAGUCAUAUUACCGCAAACUAAGCCAGCCUUGCCGGCAAGUUGGGAAUAUUGAUAGUUUGACUUCUCUUAAAUAGGGAGAGAGGAAUGGAUUAAGCAGCUGACUUCGAACCUAAAAAAAUGGAGAAUAGUGGUCAACUUCCAAGUUGCUGGUAAUUAAGAUGAUGAACAUUGGAUUAUCCUUACCAUAACAUUUACUUAUUCCAUCUAUGUAUGCAUAAUAGUAAUAUAAUUAAUGAUCAUAUUAUAUGCAAGUUUUGGUCAUUAUAUCACGCAGCAAUAUGUAACCAAAGUCUAUGAGAGAGAGCAUAUAGGUCAAUAUAUUUAACUUGGAGAGGAUGAUCUCCCCCUCUUGCCCAUUGAAGUUCUAUUCCUUCAUUGACUUUUGGCAGACUAGGAUCAGUACUCCAAUGUAUGCUACUCUGGCCUCCAAAAGGCACAGUUUGUUUUUUAUAUUCAAAUUUGCAAUGUUGUCUUCCCAUCAACCAGCUGAUCAUUUAUGACCUUUCUGAUCUUCUAUUUAAGCGCAGACCUUUUUCUAUCUUCCACAGAUAAAGCCAACUACUUUCUCUUUCUCAGAGUGGAUCGGAAGAGGAGAUGAAGGCACGCUCUUGUCCUCCUAUCUCAGGCCCAUCUCCAUGUAGUCUAGCCAUGAACAAAGAUUCACAUGAAAUAUCAAAAUUCAAGCCAAAGAUUCGCAUAAUUCACGUAUUUGCACCAGAAAUCAUACAGACAGAUGCUGCAAAUUUUCGCGACCUUGUACAGAGGCUCACUGGAAAACCUGCAGCAAAUUUUAGAGGCCGUAAGAAGAAAAGAAGCAUGAGAAGCAAAGACGUACUGAAGACAUUGAUCCACCAUGAAUCGAGCAAGACCAUGGAAUUGCCUGAGGAGUUUCCAUGUUUGAAAAAUGGGGAGAGAGUUAAGCAGGAGCAAGAAAAGAUGUGGAGAGAUGAGAAUUCAAAUGGGUUCUUUGGUGGGUUUGCUGAUUUGGAUGGUUUCAUGCAAGAGUUAAGUCAAUUUCCCCUACUUCCUUUUGAAUCCUCUAGGAUGGAUGUGUUCCAGGAGAUGCCACUUGCUUAGCUGUAGAUUGGGAUGAUAAUAUCAAUAAAGGAUUGGAUUUCUCUUGCUCCUUUUUUAUGAUGUUUUCUACCUUCUUUGAUGUAAAGGAAUGGAAACUAUUGUCAUAGUUACAGUAAAUUUCUUUCUUCCCUGCACUGAGCUAUUGAAUUUUCAUAGGAUUAAUGCUUCUGCAUAUUGCUGCUUUAGUAUGACUAUAUUCAUUUCUGCUUCCAAUUUGAUUGUAAUUUUUGUAUUCCAUAAGGAGUUCUCUGUCUCACUCACAUACAAGGGCAGAUAAUGAUUCAAGGACUCAAAUACUCCACCCAGAUCCAAUGUAUGUGAUGGUAUUUAGAGCCUUAUACCCCAAACUCUCUGCAAAGAUUGGAGGAUUCAUGCUGUUUGCAUUUUCACUUCCUCAAAAUAUCUGAAUGGUGAAAGCAAACUACACUAUUAACUGCUGUGCUGCAAUAAUGCUAGGUUUAAGCCCCGGGAUGGAUCAUCCAAAUGAUGGUAAUGUCAAAUGUCAAAAAAGGUUUAGCCUACCCUUGCUGGACACCAAUACCAUUUAGUUUUCAUAUGAGAUGUUAAAAGUCCAAUCCAACAGUAACUCGCAAGCAAGACAGAGAUGAAAGGUCUUCUACCUUGUUUACUGGUAAUCAUGGCAGACAGAUUGACAAUUAAAUUGAGUCUCUAGGGUAAUGGUGUUAAAAUAAGAGAUCUUUAUAUUCUGAGCUUAUCAAAUGAAUACUAAGCUGCACAUGCCCAUUAUCAGUUUGCAAUUUCAAUUUCUUCCCAUUAAUAUUGGUGGUCUUAAACUAUAUGAUUGCCCAACCUAUUCUGUCAUCAACAGUCAUGGCUUGUUUUUUUCUUCUUUUUCCAAAAAUGUGAUAAAUGAGGCAGAUGUUUCUGUCCUGCCCUUGACUCUCUCACAAGAAGACAUUAGGUUUGGAGUUUACUGAAAAAUAUCUUGGUUUCAUAUCCUAAUGAGAGUGUUAACCAUGUUUCAGAUUAAUUAGGGCUCAAAUCAAGUUUAAGACACUUCUCUCACACAGUUUCCAUAUUAUAGAGAAGAAAAUCCAAGUUUAGGGGGGGCUAAGUAUGAACAAUGACUUUUUAACCGCUUGAAGACGGCACCAAAGUCAAUUUUUAUUCUCAAAUUGCAAGUUCAAAAUCUCCACCAAAUUCACCAUGAAAACAAAAAUGUCCACUAAAGUGACCGGACCCUCCAACCUACCCCCCUGCAAAUUGAAAAUUUCAUUGAGAUCUGGCAAAACAGUUGCUAAUUAUAGAAAAAUAUCUUCUGUUUUCAUAAUUAAAAUAAUGAUAAUCAAUCUGCAUCAUUCCCCACAAAACAACCCAAUUGAAAACUAAUUAAAUUUGUCAUUUUUGCCCAUCAGUUGGUUUUUAAUUAGCUGUAGGUUCAAUGUCUCUGGUUACCUGGAAUUCAACCCUUUUUGGUAACUUGUCCAAUUUGCUCAAAUUACUGUAUUAGUAUUACUUAGACGAAAACCAUUAACCCCGAAUCAAAAUCAAGUUCUGUUCAGUUUUCUUCCUCUUCAUCUUUAGCCCUUCCAGUCCAGUGUCACAUAUUAUCAUAUUGUAGGGGUCCAUUCAAGUUUUCUAACUAAAGUUCUAUUUUUUAUAGUAAUGACUAAAGAAAAAUAGUGUGGAAAGGAAAGAUUACAAAGAGAGAACACUUUCUAAGAAAAGUUAAGCAUAAAUUGACUCAGAUUUCCUGUUGAAAGAAGGCCAACAAGAGGGAUUUUGGAAGAGAAAUAGAAGCUCCCUGAACAAACAGUAUAGCUGAGAAGGGAAGAAGAUGGGAAAGCUGACCUCUCUAUGUGAGCAGAGCACCAUUCUGUUGAAAUUUGGCUCUGCAUGUGUUAGUGAAGCAGGUUCACACUCACCUUCCCUUCAUUAAUAAAUCAGUCUACACUUUAAAGCUUGAUGACUUUCAUUUGUGUUAUUUAAAGGUAUAGUGAGAAAAGUGUCAACAUAACACCAACCUUUGAAAUAGCUGAGGUUUUAAUGAUCCAGAAACUACCUCCAAGUAUUCUAAGAUUAGCCACCGUCUCCUCUUCCAUUGGCUUGAAUCUUUAUCUUCCACAUUAAAAAUGAAGAAGUAUCUCUGCUGAUGUACAAGGGUGAUCAUUCUCUAUCAGCAGCAAAAGUAAAAUACAUAAUUUAAAAAAAAAAAAAAAAAACCACAUACCCACGCGCGCACACACACGUAUGAGAGAAAUGGCCUAGCAAAUGAUGGUCUCAUGAGCUGCAUCCAAAGGAACUGUAGACAUAGAAAUCUAACAAGACUCUCUUUGAAUUGAAAAAUGGCCCUUUAAUGUUCUCCCUGAAAGGGUACUGUUCAUGAGAACUUAGGCUGACCCAUAUUGUUGAAGUGACUAUAGUUUGUUAUAGAAAUCUCAUGAAUUGCAGAGGAGCCUGAAAAGGAAUAAGGCCAUCAAACCUUAAAAAUCUUGUAGGUGAUCAUGCUGUCUUAACUCUUAAGUACUAGACUUCAGUACAGAAUUUUGACCCUUCAAACUCCACAGAAUUUUACAGCAUUCCAACAUCUUAACCAUCCUAUUAUUGAAAAUCUCAUGAUGAUUCAAUGAAAGGAUUUCAAGCAAAGGCAUUUGCUGUUCAAUUUUGAGAAUUAAUAUGGAUAACAGUGCACCAUAUUUUUGAUAGCAAUCAAUGCAAUAGAAAAUAAACCACCAAUUUUCAAUCCAGAUUGUUUUUUUCCAUACAAAGAAUAGAUUGAUCCAUACAGAACCUCAGAGAAACGAAUCAGUUGUGCAACAGUCCUUCACUGUAUUAGCAAAGAAAUUGAUGAUAACCUUAUUGAGGAUACAACAUAAACAAGAGUUCCCGUAUAAAUGAACUUAAUGGGUUAACACCUCUGCAUGCACAUCACUUUCCAUCUGUAAAUGGUUACAAAUAAAACAUGGAUAAAGUGCAAAAGUAUCUUUCAUCCUUUGUGUGGCAGAUUUAAACUGAAUGAGAGAGAGAAACGGCUGCACUUCCUCUAUGCCCCAAGCAAGUAAAACUUCCUCCAUAUAAUCUGAAACGAAGACUAAUGAGAGUUAAUCAUCAAAGUAAGUUCCCCGCCAAAAUUUGAUUGUGAUGGAAGUUGUUGUAGACCUCAGAAGUUAGAAAUGCACCAUAAUUUACAGGGUUCUUGCAAAACCUUGUAUAACGGAAUUCACUUAAACAUGCAUUCAUCAAAUCUGGAGUCAUCUGAAAUGUAAAUACAAAUAUUUAUGGUUUUAAAAUGUUAAGUAAGAAAUGGACUUUGUUAAAGGGGAAAAGAACAAGGCAGCCCUUUAAGAAUGUAGUUUUACAUAUCUCAUUUAAUGGAUGCAGGACAAGUUUCUAGUUGGAGGAGAGAACCAAACCUUAGCCACCAAUAUGUAUCAUGGGCCUAUUUGCGGUCUUUGCAAUGUCAAACAUUCCAGCAUGAGAAGCUUUCUUCCUCUUGACCUGCAGCCAACAAGAACAAGAAAUAUGAAAAACGUAUUAGGCAAAGACCAGACAAGGACACUUGAAAGCUGAAGUGAAUUUCAGGGCAAUGAUCUUGGCCACCUAGCCAUGCAAUGUGGUACAUAAUUUGGUCAGAGGAGCCAAUCUAUCAGGAGCACCAACAGAGCCUCCAAUAAAACAAACCAUAACCUAUAAGAGUACAGGGAUGAUAUAAAAACAUGGAUGGGAAAAGAAGCUUUAUGCUAUGUUUGGUUGCAGGAAAGUACUAACAAAAGAAAAAAAAAAAUUAAUUUUCCUAUGUUAGUUUUACUAUAAAAAAAUACAAAACAAAGUCAAAUAUAAUUAAAAUUAGCUAGAAACUUAUGCAUUUUUAAAUUAUUUAAUCUUUAUAUAAAAGAAUUAAAAUAAUUUAAAUAAGUUUGAAGUAUCACACAAGAAUAAUUUAUUGACUUUAAAUUUAUUUUUUAUUUUCCUUUUACCUUUCCUCUCUAUUUACUCUCCUUCACAUUUUCCUUCAAAUUUUAUGGGAACCAAACAUAGCCUUUAAAAUUUUUGACACUCAAUGGUUAAAUGUCUGCAACUAAUAGCAUCAUGAGAAGACAGUAAGAUGGAUACCGCUGCCCCAAUUAUUUCACCAAGUUCAUGAUCAUCAACACCAGAACGAAGGGGAUCUCUUAAGCUAACCUGCAAAGGAUAAACACAAUCAAAACCAGCAAGGAAAGCAUUUUAAUUGAACAUUAAAUUGUAAAGGAAAAAGAUUAAACUGCUCCACAGAAACCCAUAUAACUUUAUCUCAUCUUAUUGCUCUACAUGAGAAGACUAAACGCAUUUAGUAAUGCAGCUUUAUCACAUUUUAUUGCUUUAGAAAAUGCUGCAGUUACUAGGAACUAUUUCAAGGCCCUCACCAGUUAAACAGGCCAAACAAAUUCCCUAGUUGUUCAGAAGAGAGAAUUCUUCAAGGCAUUAAUCCUCUAAUUUGCUUUGGAUUUGCAACUCAACAUAGAUGUUGAUUAAAAUAAAUGAGCAGCAAUACCAUUUGAUAAGCCGUCAAACUCUUCUUUAAGACUAACUGCUUUUGAGUCUUAAACCUACUUCUAAUAAUAAGAAUUCCAAAUUCAAACACAGGCACUCACACAUACACACAGACAAAAUUAGACAUGAUAUUUUUCAAAUACAAAGCCAUAUAUUUUACUCAACGAUGCAAAUUAUCUGUGGAUGCUUAAAGCUCCAAACAAAUGCUUAAAAAUACAAAGGUCUUAGGACAAGUGGCAUGAGCAUGAGAAGUUGUGCAAGAUCAACCGUACUUUGAAUGGGAUGGAUUGAGUGGAUAUGAUAUGGUGUUGUGUGAACAAGAAUAUCAAAUUAAAGAGUUUAAAAUAGUUGAAGGGUCUUCCAUAAUUCAUUAUAAGAAUAGCAGGCAAUCGAAAAACAAUUUACCAUAAACUAAGCAUUGCUAGAGAGAUGAUGGUGAGAUAAUUGAGAGCAAGACAAAGAAUCAAACUGAAAAAUGAAUCAUGUAUGAGAAAUUACACGUAACCCAACUGAAUACAAAAAGAACAAUUCAGUAGAGAUGGUUUGGUUUUUUAUCAGCAAGGACAAUGACUACGGCAGAUGGGAUGUGAUGUGGUCAGGCAUGACAAUGGGAAGGGGAAAAAGAACAUAGAUCAAGGUUGAGAAAAAUUAUGGAAGGCCAAUGGUUUAACAAAAGACAUGAAAAAUUUGAAGGAAAAAACAUUGCAGCCCUAAGUCGAGCAAAAAGGUAAAAACUGAUUUAUAUAUCCACAACCCUGUAGCUGGGAUAAGGUUUGCUGAAGUCGACUUAAGUUUUAUAAUAUCACAUACUUUGCUUGAAAGUGUCUUCUAGGAGUUUGGAGCUUAUAACAUAUCCAUAGGGAAGAAAUUCACAGCCUUAAAAACAAUUGAAAGUUAACAUCUUUUAUUAGCAUACCAGAAAAUUUGUUACUGCCCUGCUCUGCAUGCCAAAUUUACAUAAGCACAAUACAACUGUUCCAUGCUAAAUAUAGCAUUUAAAAAUGGCAAAUUAGAAUCCAUAAACCCAAAAACUAAUUAGAUUUAGCAAAUAUGAUAAAAGCAUAUGACAUCAAAACAUGAAGCAAUGACUUUCAUAUCUACGACUGCAGGGUUUCACCCAAUUGGAAACAACAAAAAAUCAAGUCAAAAUAAAUUGCAUAUUCAAGUUCUAGCAUGAAUUGAAGUACAAUAGUGAAGAAGAUAAUUCACCUCUGACGGACCAAACAGGCAUACUUUGAAGUUCCCAUCAGCUAAAAGUCGCAAUCUAUUGCAACCAGCACAAAAAUUCUUAGUCAUUGAUGUAAUAAAAGAAACAGUACCACAAUGCCCAUCAAUCGUAAAAUUCUUGGCAGUCUCUGUAGGAUGAUCUUGAAGUCUCUUUAGGCUUGUAAACUGUUUCACCUGUCCAGUAAUAAUGACUGAUUAUGAAAAUGUACAAAGGGUUAUUCAAAAUCUAUACAUGGGAUCACCUGUCAGAGUUCUACCUUACCACUCUAUCCAACAUUUCUGCAUAAGGUACAAGUUUCUUGACAUUCCAAACAUUUCCAUCAAAAGGCAUGAACUCAAUAAACCGAAUAUUAAUUGGUUUAUCACGAGUCAUCUCUACGAAAUCACAGAUCUCAUCAUCAUUGAACCCACGCAUUACAACACAGUUCACCUGAGACAGCGUACAGAAUGAAUGGAAGGAAAAUAUGUUUUAAUCUUGCAUUAUAAAAGACAAUGAAUAAGACCUAAUGAAUAAGACCUAAUAUUACUUUGGCAGAAAGAGAAACUAUCUAAAAGAACAGAUUUUAGCAAGGAAAGGCAUGCAAUCAUAAAUUGAAAAGACAAAACAUACCUUAACAGGAUUAUACCCAAGGUCUAUAGCUGUGUGAAUUGAUUCCAUAACCCUUUCAUGCCCUUUACGCCUGGUCAUGAAUUCAAAUUUUGCUGGAACCAAAGUAUCUAAACUAAUAUUCACCGAACUCAGUCCACAUUCUUUCAGCUUUGGAAGCUUUCUGGCAAGAGUAAUACCAUUGGUGGUUAUGGCCAGUGUCUUUAGUCCUUUCAGGCUGGACAAUUGUGAGCAUAUUUCUUCAAUAUCUUUCCUAAUGGUUGGCUCCCCACCAGUCAAACGAAUUUUAUCCACUCCAGAGCUGACAAAAAGAUUUGCCAAACGAACAAUCUCAUUCUGGGACAGAAGUUGAGGGUUAGGAGUAAGCUCCACACCCUCAGCUGGCAUACAGUACAUACACCGCAGAUUACAACGUUCUGUCAAGGAGAUCCUCAAGUAAGUGUGUCGCCUUCCAAAUGAAUCAACUAACAUAUCAGACACUGGAUUAUCUCUUGCUGGAGCUUCAGACAACUGAGCACAAGAAGUUGCAUAUGAUAACUUAUCAGAAGUAGGAUUAUCUUUUAUCAGAGAUUUAGAUAACCUUUCACAAGAAGUUGCAUAUGCUUGUGACAUGGUUCCAUCAAUAAAACUGCUUGUUAGACCUUGACAAUUGCCACUUCCUUGACAGAAAUAGGACUCACUUUCACAAUUGACCUGGAAAUAAAAUAUGAACAUUGUUAUAGUUCUAAGGGUGGAACAGCACUUGUUAGAAAGCAUACUAAUAAAAUUCAUAACCAAGGUAAAACAUCCAUGCCCAAUAGACUAGCAAAGCUACUUAACUCAACAGUGCAAACUUGAUAGGCCUUAUACUUGGGAAAAAAAAAAUGACUAUCUAAUAAAAUCAGUGACAGAUUGGUAAAGCACUCUUACGACAAGUCAAAGGACAAAAAAAAUGAUACAAUCUGUGGGCAUUUGUUUGUCUCUCUUUGAUGAAGGAUUCGAGCAAAAACUUUUGUUUUUCCUAUACCAUUCACGGAUGUUUUAACAUACAUAACAAUUGAAUAGUUGGGAUCGAUAGCUUGUGGAUUGCAUUCAAAAUAUAAUACCAACAAGGAUGGGUGCAACACAAGGCAAGAUCCAUGUAGCUGCCAAAUGGUUUGUCUAAGGCUUAGUCCAGAUAAGUAUAAUCAAAAUCAGAAUAUAUAAUUAUACUGGGUGCCAUAGGGAGCACGAAAUGUAGAUAAACCAAAGAAAAAGGGAAUUUCAACGUAACCCAAAUAGCAAACUCCCACACAGAGCAUAACAAAAGGAUUAACUAUAUUAUGGGUAUCAGAAAUUGGCACGUAAAUUAAAAAUGAUGAUCGAUAUAUCAAAAAGAUUAUAGCUACCAAUAGUGGUUUCCCAUAACCAUCGGACAAAAACUCAUUUCUUGGCUGAUCAAACCAUAUGGGACCAUGAAACAAAUUUACAAAAUUUACAGAACAAACUAUUUCAUCAAGUAAAUUCAUAAAGAGAAAAACAGAACCCACAGUCAUACCGAGAAAAAAUUAAGCUUUUUUAAGCCCAGACGCCACCCGGAAGUUUUGGAUGCAUAUCUCCUCAUCGUCGCAGCUGAAACCACAAACACUAAAUCCCAAUAGAAAUCACCAAAAACCCAAUCAUUUUUCUGGGGCUUAUAGCCCCAGACUCUUUCCAAAACCUUAAUUCAGUUCUGAACAUGGGGUUCGGAGAAUUAAGCCAGAAUUUUCAGGAAUUGAAACCAGGACAGAGCACGAAAGACCCUUGUUCGGUAUUUUCAGUUGUACAUAAAUGAUAAAACCCAGAAAGAGAUGGAGGAAAAUAGAAAAAAAUAGAGGGCUUACGCAUCAUAUUCUCUGGUUUUCUUGUAUCUCCAUUCAACCAAAGUUCAAAAAGUGCAAAAGGGUUAGCUGUGAGCCUUUAUAAAGGUCCCAAAUAGGAAAAUAGAGAAGACAGCUUGGCUUGGCGGCAGACGUCUGUCCUCGUUCUGUUUGUGUUUAUCUUCGCAUCGCUUUGUCACCUUCUUUCAGUCGGUCGUGAUUGGAAAGAGGAAAUGAUUGGUCCGAGGUCUUCUAUUUCCAAGUGAUCAUAUUCAUUUCACAUUACAUGAAACGAUAGGUACCUGCAUCCGCAGUUGUUGAAAUUGAUAUGGUUGACCGUUGGAAUUUAGGGAAGGAAGGAUGAUAUGUUCAUCAUGGAAAAUGGCUACAGUACCGUGCCGGUUGGGUUCUAUUACCAGCCAUCCAAUUUAACCAAGCUCUGAUUCAGGAGGAUAAAAAAAAAGAAAAAAAAAAAAAAGGAGAUUGUUUUUCCUUAUCAUCUUUAUCCUUUUCCAUCUUAAAUAUAUCUACUAAAAAAUUUAUUCAUAGAAUUAAAAUUUUGUAAGAUAAAUAUUUUAUUUUUAAUUAAUAACAACCUUGGCCACACUAGCUUAUGUAAUAACAAGAGACUCUCAAGAAUCAUUCUAAUAAAUAUGUAGUAAAAUUUGAAUCAUUGCAUAAACAUAUGCAAUUAAAGUAUUAAAAAAUGAUAUGAAAAUCCAAAGUCAUAAAGCCUUAAAAAACCUAUUAACUAUAUGAUUGAUGACUACUUAAAAUUGACAUAGACCCAAAUUCAUUGCAAUGUCACAUAUGUUGCACAUGCCAGCCAUGAAAAAUGAAAAAGAAGCGGCUAUAUUGGGUUCAUGCAUUUAGAGAAAGGGAUGCCAAAAGUGUAAAACCCUAGAGACCACAACCAUUUCCAUGGGCCCUGCAUGGAGAGUAGAAGCACACCCACAAUAAAUUAAUGGCUUUAUAAAAUGCCCACCGACAGUGACAAUAAAACUAGUAGAGAUGUAUAUGAAUCCAUUGAGAUAAGCCCUUCUGCACGUUUUUAAUAUUGUGACAACCACUAAAUUGACCCCAACCACUUCCAAAAAUAAUGCCUACCUGAUCCCAUCCUUGACCUCCCAUUUUAUUUUUUUUACAUUUAUGUUUAAUAAUUAAUAUCUUAAUUAUAAAAUGAGUAUCUUAAAAUAAAAUUAUUAUUUUUAAAACCAUGUAUUAAAGAAAUUGUAGUUUUUUUUAAAUAAAUAAAUAAUUGGUGACAAGAUUAGGUAGAUUAACCCAUUUGACCAUGAGUUAUAUUUUUUAAACUCUCUCUCUAUAUAUAAACACUUAUGGGAGAACAAGUCAUCACAAUCAACCUAUUUCAACCUUUUGCUAGGCAAAUCAAGCUCUAAUUAACAUCUUUUGUGCCCUAUACGUGCUUUUAGGAUUGCUUUGAAGCCAUUAGUGCCAACCUUGGAGUUCCUAAUAACUACCAUCCCGAUCUAUAGCCUCUUAAGAAGGAGCAUUUUGGACCAUAAUUUUUUCAACAAGGAAAAAAAACAUUAGUAUCUCUAUGGAGUGGUUACUAAGAAAAUAUUAGCUUGCGAUUUUAUGACAAGAGAACAAGGAAUAGUAUCAUAUCCCCAUACCAAAAACCCUACAUUGAGAAGCCAUUAAAAGCCAUUGAAGCUGCCUUUGCAAGCAAUGGUGAUGCAUGCAAGGAAUCAAUACAUGCCACAAAGAAAGCUCUAUAUUCUUUCUUAUCACUGCCAUCCACUUCCUUUAAUUUCCCUCAAUGCUCCAUUGGUUUUUUUGGGCUACAUGCCAUUAUCAUCUUUCCUAAGAACCAAUCCAUUUCUCCCUAACCAUUCUUUAAAAUAAACAAAUCACCAAUACAUAUGAAAAAUGAAGAGUUAUUGCUUUUGCUCUUAAUAGUUGUCACACUUUGAAUUUUCUUCAAGGGGGACACCAAGCUACCAUAUACCCUUUUCCUACCUCCUUUCUUCCUUUGUUUUUCCUUUUUUUUUUUUUAACACUUUAUGACAUUCUCCAUAUGCUUAAUGGUAUAUCUUUAUCCUUUUAUCAUUUUUCCAUUUUAGUAAUAUAAAAAAUUAAAAAUUUAAAAAUAUUAGAGAGAAAAUUCUAAGAAUUUUUUUUUUCUUAAAAAAGGUCUACACUAAUGCAUUCCUCAUAAAUUUAAUAUUCCCAUAAAAGUCCCUCUUUUCAUAAAACAUCUUGUUUUCUAGUGACUUUUAAAGUCAGCCUUUUAUUUUAUUAUUAUUACUUUUAAUUCAUUUAUUAAAAGGUUUUUGACUUUAGAAAGAGAACACCUAACAAAGUUGAGCAUGGAGCUACUUGAGAAAAUCCUUUUUUAAACUUUUGUAUAAACAGUUGACUCAGAUUGCAUGAAAAUUUUAUUAUACCAAAAUUACCCUUUUGAUAUCAACUUAAAACAGAAAAUAAUAGAAUAAAAAAAAUGGCCAUUUAAAUUUUAAACUCAACUUAUAUAUUUAAAGGGUAAAAGAAGUUGUUUAGGCUUUCUUGGUUUUUGACUUGUUUUUAAUUUUUUUAAAAAAAUAUAGCUCCAAAAAUAAGAAAAUUAUAAGAACCACCCCAUAAUAUAAAAAAGGAAUAUAAAUAUUAUAGAUAUAAAAUAAAUAUUACUAUAAAUAAAAAAUUAUCUUUUAUGUAUUUGAAAUCAAAUAUUAUAUAUGUUAUAAAUAUUUUGUUUACCUAUUAGAUUAUGAAUUAUUAUAAAUGAAUAUAUUCUAUUAUAACAUUUUAAAAUAAGAAUAUGGUAAUAUAUAUAUAUAUAUAUAUAUUAUAAUAUCAUAUAUUUAUAUACAUUUUCAAGAAAAAUAAGAAAUGAAAAUUACCUACAAAAAAUAAAAAUAGAUAACAAAAAUAUUAUACCCUAUUGUCUAAUAAAAUUUAAAAUAUUAACAAACUUAUGUUUUAUUCCUAUCAAAAUAUUUUUUAAUAUUAAAAAAUAAAGAUAAAACAUCAUUAAAGUCAUAAAACCAAGUUUCAGUCCCCAUAGAUCCUCAGCCUUUUUAGUUAGGAACCAUAAUGAAGAAAAACGAGGAAAAGCUAGGAUGGUUAUUAAUUAUAAAAGAUUGAAUGAUAAUACAUAUGAUGAUGCCUAUAAAAUUCCGAACAAAGAUUCUUUGAUCAAUUCUAUUCAAGGAUGUAAAUAUUUUUCUCAGUUAGACUGUAAAAGUGGAUUUUGGCAAAUCAGAUUAGAAGAGGAUAGUAAACCAUGGACAGCGUUUUCAUGUCCUUGUGGAUUAUAUGAAUGGAAUGUAAUGCCAUUUGGACUAAAAAAUGCUCCUCAGAUAUUCCAACGAAUGAUGGAUAAUAUUUUUGGAAAAUAUUCUUUUGUUCUUGUAUAUAUUGAUGAUAUUCUUGUCUUUUCAUAUACUCUUAAAGAACACAUAAAGCAUUUAGAACUGAUUUUUGAAAAAUUAAUUAGUCAUGGAUUAAUAGUAAGUAAAAAGAAAUUGAAAUUAUUUAAGACUCAAAUAGAAUUUUUAGGAUUAGAACUAGAGGAUGGACAAAUAAAAUUACAAGAACAUAUAGUACAAAAAAUAAAUAAUUUUCCAGACAAACUCGAAGACUUAAAAACCCUUCAAAGUUUUUUAGGAUUAUUAAACUAUGCUAGGCCAUAUAUUAAAAACCUUAGUAGAUUAGCUGGACCCCUUUANNNNNNNNNNNNNNNNNNNNNNNNNNNNNNNNNNNNNNNNNNNNNNNNNNNNNNNNNNNNNNNNNNNNNNNNNNNNNNNNNNNNNNNNNNNNNNNNNNNNNNNNNNNNNNNNNNNNNNNNNNNNNNNNNNNNNNNNNNNNNNNNNNNNNNNNNNNNNNNNNNNNNNNNNNNNNNNNNNNNNNNNNNNNNNNNNNNNNNNNNNNNNNNNNNNNNNNNNNNNNNNNNNNNNNNNNNNNNNNNNNNNNNNNNNNNNNNNNNNNNNNNNNNNNNNNNNNNNNNNNNNNNNNNNNNNNNNNNNNNNNNNNNNNNNNNNNNNNNNNNNNNNNNNNNNNNNNNNNNNNNNNNNNNNNNNNNNNNNNNNNNNNNNNNNNNNNNNNNNNNNNNNNNNNNNNNNNNNNNNNNNNNNNNNNNNNNNNNNNNNNNNNNNNNNNNNNNNNNNNNNNNNNNNNNNNNNNNNNNNNNNNNNNNNNNNNNNNNNNNNNNNNNNNNNNNNNNNNNNNNNNNNNNNNNNNNNNNNNNNNNNNNNNNNNNNNNNNNNNNNNNNNNNNNNNNNNNNNNNNNNNNNNNNNNNNNNNNNNNNNNNNNNNNNNNNNNNNNNNNNNNNNNNNNNNNNNNNNNNNNNNNNNNNNNNNNNNNNNNNNNNNNNNNNNNNNNNNNNNNNNNNNNNNNNNNNNNNNNNNNNNNNNNNNNNNNNNNNNNNNNNNNNNNNNNNNNNNNNNNNNNNNNNNNNNNNNNNNNNNNNNNNNNNNNNNNNNNNNNNNNNNNNNNNNNNNNNNNNNNNNNNNNNNNNNNNNNNNNNNNNNNNNNNNNNNNNNNNNNNNNNNNNNNNNNNNNNNNNNNNNNNNNNNNNNNNNNNNNNNNNNNNNNNNNNNNNNNNNNNNNNNNNNNNNNNNNNNNNNNNNNNNNNNNNNNNNNNNNNNNNNNNNNNNNNNNNNNNNNNNNNNNNNNNNNNNNNNNNNNNNNNNNNNNNNNNNNNNNNNNNNNNNNNNNNNNNNNNNNNNNNNNNNNNNNNNNNNNNNNNNNNNNNNNNNNNNNNNNNNNNNNNNNNNNNNNNNNNNNNNNNNNNNNNNNNNNNNNNNNNNNNNNNNNNNNNNNNNNNNNNNNNNNNNNNNNNNNNNNNNNNNNNNNNNNNNNNNNNNNNNNNNNNNNNNNNNNNNNNNNNNNNNNNNNNNNNNNNNNNNNNNNNNNNNNNNNNNNNNNNNNNNNNNNNNNNNNNNNNNNNNNNNNNNNNNNNNNNNNNNNNNNNNNNNNNNNNNNNNNNNNNNNNNNNNNNNNNNNNNNNNNNNNNNNNNNNNNNNNNNNNNNNNNNNNNNNNNNNNNNNNNNNNNNNNNNNNNNNNNNNNNNNNNNNNNNNNNNNNNNNNNNNNNNNNNNNNNNNNNNNNNNNNNNNNNNNNNNNNNNNNNNNNNNNNNNNNNNNNNNNNNNNNNNNNNNNNNNNNNNNNNNNNNNNNNNNNNNNNNNNNNNNNNNNNNNNNNNNNNNNNNNNNNNNNNNNNNNNNNNNNNNNNNNNNNNNNNNNNNNNNNNNNNGUUCAAAAACUAAGGACACAGAAGAACACACAGAAGAACCAAAAAGUCCUGUAAAAGAACCAAGGAAUCCUGAAAAAAUAACCUCAUAAAACCAAGUUUCAGUCCCCAUAGAUCCUCAGCCUUUUUAGUUAGGAACCAUAAUGAAGAAAAACGAGGAAAAGCUAGGAUGGUUAUUAAUUAUAAAAGAUUGAAUGAUAAUACAUAUGAUGAUGCCUAUAAAAUUCCGAACAAAGAUUCUUUGAUUAAUUCUAUUCAAGGAUGUAAAUAUUUUUCUCAGUUAGACUGUAAAAGUGGAUUUUGGCAAAUCAGAUUAGAAGAGGAUAGUAAACCAUGGACAGCGUUUUCAUGUCCUUGUGGAUUAUAUGAAUGGAAUGUAAUGCCAUUUGGACUAAAAAAUGCUCCUCAGAUAUUCCAACGAAUGAUGGAUAAUAUUUUUGGAAAAUAUUCUUUUGUUCUUGUAUAUAUUCUUAAAGAACACAUAAAGCAUUUAGAACUGAUUUUUGAAAAAUUAAUUAGUCAUGGAUUAAUAGUAAGUAAAAAGAAAUUGAAAUUAUUUAAGACUCAAAUAGAAUUUUUAGGAUUAGAACUAGAGGAUGGACAAAUAAAAUUACAAGAACAUAUAGUACAAAAAAUAAAUAAUUUUCCAGACAAACUCGAAGACUUAAAAACCCUUCAAAGUUUUUUAGGAUUAUUAAACUAUGCUAGGCCAUAUAUUAAAAACCUUAGUAGAUUAGCUGGACCCCUUUAUAGUAAAACAAAAAAUACAGGGCAGAGAUAUUUUAACCAAGAAGAUAUUAAACUUAUACAGAAAAUAAAAGAACUUGUGAAACAUCUCCCAACCUUACAUUUACCCUUAGAAAAUGAAUAUAAAAUAGUCCAAACUGAUGCUAGUCAAACAGGAUGGGGGAGGUAUACUUUUAGCUGUAACUAAUAUAGGAGAAGAAAAACUUUGUAGAUAUUGUAGUGGAACUUUUAAUGAUUAUCAAAAGAACCUUAGCUCUACAGACUUAGAAAUUGAAGCAAUAAUAUUAGUCUUAGAAAAAUUUCAAUUAUUUUUGAACCAAGAACAAUUUACUUUAAGAACCGAUUGUGAGAAUAUUAAAAAAUUCUUUGAAAACAAAAAUUCUUCAAAACUGUCCACCAAAAGAUGGAUAAAGUUUCAAAACUCUUUAAUUGGUUUCAAACCUAAAUUUGAACAUAUUAAAGGAAAAGAUAAUAUAUUAGCAGACUGGUUAAGUAGACAAAUAAUUAAUAAUGUCGAUAAUACUAAUGAUUGAUUUCAUGAUUACAGGAACAUGGCUCAAAGAAAACCUACGAAAGCUAGAACCUUUCAAUAUGGAACCAUAUGUCUAAACGAAGUGUUGAAUCCAAACCUAAGGUUUAACUCUUUAUUUUCUCAAAACCUUUUUGAAGAACAUAAGGUUAUUGUAGAUAAUUUUUGGUCUUUAAAACCACAAAGUUUUCCGAACCAAAAUUUAGAAUACGCUUAUGGAAAAACAGUGUCAACCAAUCAAACCAGCUGUUCAAACAGUCAACCUGAAGUAAUUAGUUUAAUUAAGAAAUCAGCUCUUCUGACUGAACAAUAUGAAAGGCUUGUUGUUAAAAACAUAAUUGGAGUUGAUAACUACUCUUUCGUCAAAACCUUUUUUCUACAAAACCAAUAUAACAAAGUGUUUAAAAAUCAAGAACUUUUGUAUAAACAUUUUAGAACUAAAAAUGUCGGGAUAAAAACAGGGUAUAUGGCAUAUCACGACCCUGAAUUUUUCUUUGUUAUAUAUUUAGCUUAUGUAAAUAUGUCUGUUGUAAAUAAAGAAAAUUUUGAUUUAGUACCGCAAUUUAUGGAUCAGGGAAUUUUAAAAAAUGUUUUUAUGAACCAUAUAUCUCAAAUCCCUGAAAAUUUCCCAGAAAAAUUGAAAGAUAUUUUAACUUAUCUUUUUAAAACCGAAAAAUAUAUAGAUAUUUCUUUUGAAACCAUUCCACCGUUAUUUCAACCCGAUGGAUCAGUAGUACCAGCCUAUCAUCAUGUAUAUAUAAAACAUAAUAAAGAACCACUCAUCCCUCAACAAGAACCAGAAUGGGAAAUGACCCGUUCAGAUGAAUUUCCAGAAUUUUUUACUCGCUAUAGAGCUUUUCAAAUCUAUGAUCUUAGACCAACCCGGAAUAAAUUAUUUCAUCUCAUUGGCGAAACAAAAACCAUGUCUAUAUGGAGAAUAAAACCUUUAGAACACAUCAUUGUUCCAAACCCUUUUAUUACUUCUGAAGAACAGGAUUUUAUAACCGAACUCAGUGUAGAUAUACCGGAACCAUCUUCCUACCUCAGCGAUGACGCAUUAUUUUGGGACAACCUGGACGAUGAAAGUUAUCAUAAUCUACAAAAUGCAAUGGAAGGAUGAUGUCAGCAAUGACGACAUUGAAGCAGUAAAUGCGUCUUCAACUACAAAAAUUAAACAUGGCAGUACAAGUUCAGAAGCAGUAAAGACAUCCACAAGCCACGUGUUAUGCAUGUAAUAAAAAGAAAAGAAAAGGACAAGAGAAAGAGACAAGAAGGAAGAGAAGAACGGAUGAAUAAAAGUCACAUGUCUCAAAAGUCAAAAGUCUUUGUAUUUAUUUUAUACCAAACCUCUGAACACCGUAAAUAUUUUUCCUACCAUCCAACCACUUGAAAUUAAUUCUCACCUGUAUUCUCACCUGUCCCUUGUAAAUGCUUUGCCUAUAAAUUAGUGGUAGUAAAAGGAAAGAAGUGUGCCCGAGAGAAAGUGUGUGCAAUAGUGUGCAAAGUUGUCUGUAAAGAAGCUCCAUCAUCUUCAGCCUUGUAAAUUCAUCAGCAAUCAAUAAGAAAGUAAGAAUUUUCUGUUAAAUUUUUUGCCUUCAUUUAAAUUUCUGUAUUAUGUAUUUUUCUUACCCUUAGGGGGUAAAAAGGGGUAAAAAGGUAAAAUAGGGAAAUGAAAAUUAUUUGAAUUAUUUUUAAGUUUUCUUUACUAGUUAAUAUCUGUAAUAUACAUGGAUCCUUUUUAUAUAACGUUCUCAUCAACAUAAAAAAAAAAAAAAAAAAAAAUCGGUUUAUUUAGAAAAUUUUGGGUGUAAAAUCAUGUUUUAAAACUAGAGUCUUUAGUCUUAACCCUUGACCUCAAACCCGUUUUUGCCGGAAAAUUGGCGUUUUAGGGAGACUAUGUCUGGUCAGAAGGGGGGUAUUACCUUGACACGAAGUGAUGUUUUAAAAAUUUUUGAAUUUUAUUACCUGAAUUUUUGAGAUAUCCGAUUUCAAAAGAUUUCAAAACUUUAUUUUAUACGUUCAAAAACUUUCACUAUAAGUUUANNNNNNNNNNNNNNNNNNNNNNNNNNNNNNNNNNNNNNNNNNNNNNNNNNNNNNNNNNNNNNNNNNNNNNNNNNNNNNNNNNNNNNNNNNNNNNNNNNNNNNNNNNNNNNNNNNNNNNNNNNNNNNNNNNNNNNNNNNNNNNNNNNNNNNNNNNNNNNNNNNNNNNNNNNNNNNNNNNNNNGUGUAUUGCAGUAUAUUAAUUAGGAAAGGAGACUGUAGAUUCAAAUUGAUUUUCAGAGUACCGAACUUUACCUUACCCCAUAUAAAGUCUGAUUAAUUUUGCUUAAUUUAUUCUGAAUCUUUAUUUGCUCUGCUUACUUAACAUGAAUUAGGAAUUAAUGUCUUUUAUUCCUUAUCCUCCUGGUAUAUAUAAUAUAGAUUAUGAUCGUGUAAAAGAACUUAAUAAUAGGUUGUAUUCUCAACGUAAAGAAUUUAGAGAAACUUGUGAUAAAUUACAUAAUUUAAGAACUACUGUAAAAGAUUUAACCACAGAUAUUAAAAACUUAACUUCUCUUAAAUAUUUGAAUGAAUACGAAGUAGCUAUACAAGAAGCUUUUGAUGAACUUUUUGCUACAGAAACCAUAAUUAGAAGAGAAAUUAUAAAAUAUUAUAUUGAUAAUUUAUAUGCUAGCUCAUCUAAUUAAAACAUAUUAGAGAUAAUGAACCCUCAUCUACAAACCCAAGAGGUAAAGCAGUUAAAAUUUUUAGUAGAGACACAAUUAAAAAUAACAAACGAAGUAUUACAAGAACAAAUUCAGAAAGAAAACCAAAACAAUAUAGAUAUUUUAAAAGAAAUCCAGAAAAGACAAAUAAAAUCUGUAGAAAAACUAAACACGAUUUUAGGAAUUAGAAAAGAAGCUGGAAGACUUUAAGAACCAUAAUUUGCUAAGAAAUAACCUAGAUUAUAUUAAAGAACAAUUAGCUAGAGAAGAAAAAUUUGUCAGAAAAGAAAUAGAACAAAUAAAAUUAGAACAACAAAAUUUAAAAGAAACUUUAGAAAAAAUUAACCAAAAAGUAGAUAAACUUUUAGAACAAAGAAAUAUAGUAAUAUCAGAGGAACAAAAAUUAAAUAACCUUUUAAAACAAUUUGAAAACUUUAAUUUAGGAGAAAAACCAAUAAUUAAAAUAGAGAUUUUAAUUUAUUCUAAUUUAGAGGUAUUUUGAUUCUCUAUUACAAGUUAUUUUUAAAUAUAUUUUUCAAAAAUUAAAAAAUUAAAGACUUCUGUUUUUAGAUAAGUUGUUUUUACAAAUAAUUUUUUUAUUUUGGAAAAAAAUACAAAUUAUAAAUUCAAUUAAUGUUUUAUUAAAAAUGAAAACAAUUUUAAAUUAUAAGUAAAUUAAAAAUAAAUAUUUUUUAAUAAAAUAUAAAUAUUAGUAAUAUAAUAAAAUCAUAAAUUACAUUAUUUUAUAAAUAUUAUAAAAAAAUAUAGAUAUUAACAUUAAUUGAUUUAUCUUGUUUAAAAUAAAUAAUAAUUCAAAAUCAAUAAUUUUUAAUACUAUUUAUAUGAUUUUAUAAAUAUUAUAAAAAUAUGGACAUUAAUAUCUUAUAAAAUCAUAAUUAAUUUAUUUUAUUAAAAAUAAAAAAUAACUACUCCAAAUUAAUAAUUCCUAAUACUAUUCUAUUUUAAAUGAAUAUAAAAAUAAAUAAAUUUUAAUUUUUUAAGGUAUAAAUGAGUAAAAAAAUUUAUCAUAUGCAUAUAAAUUUAUCAUUUGCAAAAAUUUGUUUUGAAACUAAAUUUUUAACAUUUUUUUGUAAAAUAUCUUUUGCAGCUUUGCAAUCGAUUUUCAAAAGAAAUUUUUUAUUUAUCAAAUCACUUUGAAAAUUUGAAAUACAUAAAACUAUUGAUAAAACUUCUUUUUUGACAGUUGAAUAAUUUAUUUGAGCGCCCAACCAGAUCCCUGAAUGAUAUCUAACUAUAUGCACUUGAUUGUUAUAUUCUUGCUUUAAUAUGCCUCCAUAACCUAAAUUAGAUGCAUCUGAUUCUACAAUGAGCAAUGCAUUUGGAUGAGGGAUGCUGAUGCAUGGUAAACGUUUGACUCUUUGUUUAAUUUCUUUGACCAAACUAGUAUGAUGCUCAGUCCAUGCAGGUGCCUUUUUUCUAAGUCUUUUGUAUAAGGGUUCACAAAUGAUUCUCAAAUCUUUGAAGUAAUUAGAAACAUAAUUUAAACAUUCUAGAAAUCUUUACAAUUGUUUUUUAUCUUUUAUUUCAUCAGGAAAUUUGUCAGCAAAUUCUAUUGACCUUUGAAUCGGUUUUGUUUUUCCUUGAAAAAUUUCAUGUCCUAAAAAUCUAAUUCUUGUUUGAAAUAAUUUCAUUUUUGGAGCUGAACAAGCCAUUCCAUUUGCUUUAAUGACAUUGAAAAACUUUUUUAUAUGAACAAAAUGUUUUUCUAAUGAAUCAGAAAAUACUAAGACAUCACCAAUGUAUACAAUUAUAAAUUGAAAAUGAGGAUUGAAAAUAUCAUUCAUAAUAUUUUGAAAUUCAGAAGGGGCAUUUUUGAGACCAAAAGGCAUGACAUUCCAUUCAUAAUGACCAAAAGGGACAGUAAAAGCAGUUUUGUACCUAUCUUAUUCUUUAAUUUGAACUAGCAAAAAUCCAGAUUUCAUAUCAAAUUUUGAAUAAAUUACAAAACUAUGUAAUCUUUUGAGUAAAUCUUGCUUAUUAGGAAUAGGGUAUCUUAUCCAUUGUAAUACUUUAUUUAAAGGUUUAUAAUUAAUGACUAAUCUUGGUGCUCCUUUUUCUAUCUCAGCAGCAUUUUGUACAUAAAAAGCGGCACAACUCCAAGGAGAUUUUGAGGGUCUAAUUAAUUUCUUCUUUAAUAAUGAAUCAAUUUCUUGUUUACAAUAUUCUAAAAGUUUUUCAUUCAUUUGAAUAGGUCUAGCCUUAGUAGGAAUUUUAGAUUCAUCAAAGUUUUGAACGUAAGGCAGACUUAUCUCAUGUUUCUUUCUAGACCAAAAAGCAUUUGGAAGAUCAGAACAAAUUUCUUUUUGAAAAAGAUCUUGAAUCUCUUUUAUUCUCUUUUGAACCUUUUCUUCUACAAGUUGUUCUUCUAUCUUUUUAUAUUGAAUUUCUUUAGAUAGAUAAUUUAUAUGAGCUUGUUUUCUUUGGAUUAAAUUUAUUCUUUUAUUUAUUGAAUCACUUUGGACUUGAUGUAUUUCUUUUUUAGUUAAGGGAUAUAUAAAAGGGAAAAAUAUGGUAUUUCCUAAUAUUGUAGUUUCGAGACCUUCAUCAUUUACUUGAAAAGGGUAAAGUAAUGUAAUAAAAGGAGUUCCUAAGAUUAAAGGUUCAGUCAUAUUUUGUACUAAUAUAAAUUGAGUUCUAAAACAAUAAUUAUCUUGACAUAUAUGAACAUUUUGAAGUUUAAAUUCUAUUUCUAAUUUUCCUUUAUUUGCAGCAAAAAGUUCUUGUCCGGUUUGUUCAUAAUAUUUAACAGGAAUUAAUCCUUCUUGAAUACAAUUCAUAUCAGCUCCUGAGUCUAUUAAUGCUACUAUUUCCAUUUCAAAAUCUUUUACUAUGAGUUUUAUAUUUGUAUACCAUCUUUGAAAUUCUAUUUCUGUUAUUGUAUUUAUAAAUGAUUCUAUAGGAGUUUGUUUAUUAGGUAUAAUUAUUCCUGGUUCUUGAUUAUCAGAGGUUUCAACAAAAUCUUGUUUAUAUUGUAUUACAUUUCUAAUUUGUUCAUUUUCUUGUUUUAUUUGCUCAUUUUCUUGUUUUAUUAUUUCGUUUUCUAUUUUUAUUUGUUCAUUUUCUAAUUUUAAUUGAUUUAUUUGAAUUUUUAUUUCUUUUAUUUCUUCUUUCAAGUCUUUAAUAGUUAUUGGCCUUUGAGUCUUUUUGAAUCUAUUAUAAAUUUCAUCCAUUGAAUAUUGUGUAGGUUUAAUUUGAAUUUUAUUUGAAUCUUCAUUGAGAAUUAAAUUUUUCAAAUUUUUUAAAUAAUUUCUUUGUGUUUCUUCAUCUUGAAUUUUAUCUACUACAUCAAAAAAUAUUUGCUUAUCUACUUUUGAAGAUAUUACAUUUAUUGUUUUUUUUUUCUUUAUUUUCUAUUUUUUUAUUUCAUUAAUUUCUUUUAUUGUUUUUUCUUCUAUCUUUGCUUCCUCUACCUCUCCCGGGACAGAAGAAAACAAAAUUUGAUUAAAUUUUGUUUCACUUGACUCUUCUUUUGAUUCUUUACUUGACUCUUCUUGAUUUGAGUUUUGUUUUUCUAACAGUUUUUUAUUAUGUGGAGAAUUUUCUAUUGCUUUUCUUGAAGUUAAUGUUGCAAUUCUUUUAAGGGGUUUCCUAUAUUUGAAAAACCAAAGGAAAAAAGGAAUAGUGAUCCUAACUUGUUGCAUAUAUUUUUCAUAUUGUUUUCUUAAAGCAUUUCUAACUUGAGGAGGAAGUUGUUGAAAAUAAUUUCUUUUGGCAGUAUUGUGGACCCUCACCCGAUCCACCGGACCGACGUGACUCGCUUUUAAAAGAAAAGAAAGAAAUGAAAAAGUUGGUGUUUUCCAGUUUUGAAAAACCCGCCCCCGGUGAGGAACGGUGUUGUUUGGAGUCGCCACUUACUUUUUAUUUUUGUUUUUAAAAUGGGGAAAAUUAAGUAAGAACAAAAACCCCUAAUGACCCCAAUAUGGAAAAAAAGGGUCUACGAAAACUAGAUUCUGGGUCCGGGGAUCAGGUUACCCGUUGGGAAGGUACCUCAUGCAAGGUAGCACCCCUCUAGGCCCGGAACUCGGUCUCUACUAAUGAAUUGGGUAUGUGGGAGCAUAUGGGUCAAAGGUCAAAUGAAACCCUAGGCUAAAUAGAUGUCAUGAAUCACACAAUCCUAAUUGGUAUUUGGCAUGCAUAUGAAUUCAACCAAACAAAACAAUGGGUGCGUACCUGUGGUCCCUAGCCAAGCGCUGCAUAAAAGGUCAGCCAAACAUAGAUAAACACAUAACAAACAUUCAAGAUUAAGUACCAUGCAUGCAUAUGAAUUCAACAACCAAAGCCAACGAUGCGUACCUGUGGUCCCUAGCCAAGCGCUGCAGCAGAGGGUGAGUCAGUCACGCAACAAUGUAUUCAAAAUCAAGCAUCAAAGCUUGUGCCAAAAAGGAGGAUAGCUGGUUGAAAUGAGGUAAGGGACUCCACAAAUGUCAUACAAAUUGAACUAGACUCAUCUAGACCACACCACCCAUAACUUCCAAAUUGCCCAUACUAACUGAAAUCAAACACUGACUUAAACCUUCAAGAUGGCUCACAAGUGCCCUAUAGCAAAUGGGUUUGAGCCCCCCAUGGAUAAGGGCUCGAAAAAUGCCAAAAUCAAGGGCUACCUAAAGUCCUCCAGCAGAACAGGUUUAACUAGUUCUCAACUGGUACAACCCAUUGAGAAGAAUUCCCAAAUUUUUCUAGAAAACUCCUAAAUGAGUGAGGAUUCAAACAAAAGAAACGACACUCAAUCCCGAGCCCGGAUGAGUGAGAACCAGACAAAGAAAGGCAGGUGUUCCUUAUGGCUGAAAGAGGCAGCCAGCUAUGGUGCUGAACCGAUUGAACCGGUUCCCAACCAGUACAUCCGGUUGAUAAAAAAUCCCAAAUUCAGUCAGUAAGUUCCUAAGUGAUUAAGGAAGCAAACAAAAGAAACGGUUCUCAAUCCUGAGCCCGGAUGAGUGAGAACCAGACAAAGAAAGGCAGGUGUUCCUUAUGGCUGAAAGAGGCAGCCAGCUAUGGUGCUGAACCUAUUGAACCGGUUCCAAACCAGUACAUCCGGUUAAUAAAAAAUCCCAAAUUCGGUCAGUAAGUUCCUAAGUGAUUAAGGAAUCAAACAAAAGAAACGACUCUCAAUUCCGACCCCGGAUGAGUGAGAACCAGACAAAGAAAGGAAAGUAUUCCUCAUGGCUGACAGAGGCUGCCAGCUAUGGUGCUGAACCGAUUGAAUCGGUUCCCAACCAGUACAUCCGGUUGAUAAAAAAUCCCAAAUUUGGUCAAUAAGCUCCUAAGUGAUUAAGGAAGCAAACAAAAGAAACGGUUCUCAAUUCCGACCCUGGAUGAGUGAGAACCAGAUAAAGAAAGGCAAGUGUUCCUCAUGGCUGACAGAGGCUGCCAGCUAUGGUGCUGAACCGGUUGAACCGGUUGGUAAAAAAUCCCAAAUUCGGUCAGGAAGUUCCUAAGUUAUUAAGGAAGCAAACAAAAGAAACGGUUCUCAAUUCCGACCCCGGAUGAGUGAGAACCAGACAAAGAAAGGAAAGUAUUGCUCAUGGCUGACAGAGGCUGCUAGCUAUGGUGCUGAACCGGUUGAACCGGUUCCAAACCGGUUCAUCCCGUUGGUAAAAAAAUCCCUAAUUUGGUCAUAAAUUUCCUAAGUGAUCAAGGAAGCAAACAAAAGAAACGGUUCUCAAUUCCAAUCCCGGAUGAGUGAGAACCAGACAAAGAAAGGCAAGUGUUCCUCAUGGCUGACAGAGGCUGACAGAGGCUGACAGAGGCUGCCAGCUAUGGUACUGAACCGGUUGAACCGGUUUCCAACCGGUUCAUCCGGUUGAUAUAAAAUCCCAAAUUUGGUCAGAAAGUUUCUAAGUGAUUAAGGAAGAAAAAAAAAGAAAAAAAAAAGAAACGGUUCUCAAUUCCGAGCUCGGAUGAGUGAGAACCGGACAAAGAAAGGCAGGUGUUCCUCAUGGCUGACAGAGGCUGCCAGCUAUGGUGCUGAACCAAUUGAACCGGUUCCAAACCAGUUCAUCCGGUUGGUAAAAAAUCCCUAAUUCGGUCAGAAAGUUCCUAAGUGAUCAAGGAAGCAAACAAAAGAAACAAUUCUCAAUUCCGAUCCCGGAUGAGUGAGAACCAGACGAAGAAAGGCAAGUGUUCCUCAUGGCUGACAGAGGCUGCCAGCUAUGGUACUAAACCGGUUGAACCGGUUUCCAACCGGUUCAGCCGGUUGAUAAAAAAUCCCAAAUUCGGUCAGAAAGUUCCUAAGUGAUUAAGGAAGAAAACAAAAGAAACGGUUCUCAAUUCCGAGCUCGGAUGAGUGAGAACCGGACAAAGAAAGACAGGUGUUCCUCAUGGCUGACAGAGGCUGCCAGCUAUGGUGCUGAACCGGUUGAACCGGUUCCAAACCGGUUCAUCCGGUUGGUAAAAAAUCCCUAAUUCGGUCAAAAAGUUCCUAAGUGAUCAAGGAAGAAAACAACAACAAUCAUGUGUGGCCUUUAUUAUCCACACCCAAGCAAUACAAUCUUCAUAUCAAAGGGAGAAAAGAUGAUGAGGAAGGAGAAAAAGCAUAUGAAGACGAGGAAGAUAAAUUGUAAGUAAAGAAAAUUCAGCGUGCUUACCUCAGAAUCUCCACCAAAUAUGAUCCGUGCAUGCCGAUGAUGACUUCCAAAACUGAGAGGCUGUCACUCUCCUCUUCAAAAAACCACAGUGCUGAAGCUUUCCCCCACACUCUCAACUCAGAAGAUGCUACUGAUCUUUUGUUUUUCUCACCAGCAGAAUUUCCCCUCUCCAAAAUGUCCAAGGUCCUUUGCUCUCCUAUCCUCUCACCUUUUAUACUCAUACCCCUCUUAGCAUUUGAGCCUCCUGGGUUCCUUCCCUUUCAGCACCGAAAUUCCCUUCAUCAGCAUGGGAACCACACCCCUCAUUACUUCUCUUAGACUUACAAGGCCAGCUCACUCCCUUCAGUUUUUUCAGCUUGCUUCACCACCAAGAAUCCAUAUGGAUUCGUGGUGGGCUGCAAGGAACCCAAACCAAGGCCCAAAAUGGACCCACAACAUUGCCCAAAACCAAUCUGGAGCUUAUGAGCCUGAGCCAUGUAGGAUUUGGGCCUCAAAAUUACUAGAAUUAGUGUUUUACCUCAGCUGACUCAAUGAACCGGCUGAACCGGCCGAACCGGAUGCCAACUGGUCGACCCGAUGGAGAAAAAUUCUGAAAAUUUGACAGAAUGUUCCUAGUAGAGUAAGGAAUCCAUUAAAAAAAACGGUGCAUGAUUCCAAGUUUGGAAGUGGGAGAUAUGAUCAAAACAAUUACCAAAAAUCAGUGUUCUACACCGGCUGACCUAAUGAACCGGCUGAACCGGCUGCCAACCAGCCGACCGGUUGCAAAAAAUUUUGAAAAUUUUACAGAAUGUUCCUGGAAGAAUAAGGAAUCCAUAAAAAGAAACGGUUCUUGAUUCCGAGUUUGGAUGAGGGAGAUACGAUCAAAACAAGCCCAAGUGCUCCGAACCUCAACAUGCCCCUAUAAACUCCAACUAAGCUAAAACAUCGGGAUGACCCCACUUCCUUCCUAUAGCGUGAUGUGAACGACCAGGAAAAUGGCCAUGGUGACCCUCCUAAAUGAACCACAUAUGCACCACAAUGGACCACACACAAACCCACACGAGGCUCGGACACUGACUAAGCCCAAAAGAGGCCCUAGUGGUGCCAUAUGCGAACGAUGGGUGGAUGUGACACCCGAAGGAUAAAUGCCAGUGUUGAGGGACAAAAUUGAGGGUCUACAAGUAUUUUCAGGAGAAAAAUAAUUUGCUUUGAUCAAUUCUACUUCAGGAACAAAAGGAUUUCUUUUAAUACUUCUUUUCCUAAUGAUAUUUAUGUUUAAAGGAGGUUCAUUAUGAGAAAAAAUAAUUGACUCAGACUCUUCUUUAAAAAGAGGAAUUUCCGGGACAAAGUUUGACAUAUUUUUUAGUUGAUUUUCUAUUUGACUCAUUUCUUCAUCUAAUUUUGAAAUAUUAAAUUUUAUAUGAUGACUAUAGAAUGAUGCAGAUGAUGAUGCAGCAGGUGAUGAUGCAGUAAAGUUGAUUAUCUUAUAUGAAGAUCUUUCUAAAUCAUAUGCAGAAUUAUUUAAUGCAAAUGCAGAACUAUCAUGGGACCUAAGAGAUCUGGAAGAACUAUUUCUACUUAAUUUCCUAAUACUAUUACUCAUUGUCACAUAAAAUAAUCACAAUUUUAUCCUUAAUCAAUUCAGAUAAUUUCCUGAACAGGGACCACCACAAGCUGAUCAACACGGGACUUACGCUCCUUCUACCCUUAAACACCGCUUAUCACAGGCUGACCAAUCCGUUCACAGGAAAUUCAACCCGAAUUAUGUCAGGACUAAAUCUGUGAUUAAUUACUGUUCCAACUCGUAACACCACUCGGUUCUCAAGCAGAAAAUGGCUCUGAUACCAUUUGCACCCAGGACAUACAACAGUUCAUGCACGCAAUAAUUAAUUCUGUCUAAUUAUCUCCAAGCAUAAAAACAGAAAUAUUUAAUGUCUAAUACUGUCUAAUUUAUUGCAGAAAUUUAAGCAUAAUAACACAAAUAUUUGAGUCUGAAAAUUUUGUUUAUUGAAAAUAUACCUUAAUACAGAGAGCUGAUGAAUACAAGUUGUUGACAGUAGAGGGAUGACUCGAACUCAAAAAAGAAAAUUACAAGAGAAAAUUUUUUGAAUUCUCAAAAUUUUUCACUCUCUAAUAUUUUUUAUGCUCUUGAGGCUCUCUCGAACUCUUUCCAAACUCUGCCUGAUGAAGAAUGUUGAGGCUCUAUUUAUAGGCGAGGAAUCAAACUUGAAAUUCUAUUGAAUCUUCAAAAUUGUUGAAAUUCAUCACGUGUAGAGACAGUUGGGGCAAUGAAGUCUGUAGAUGGAGAAUAUUUUUUCUUUUCUUUGUCAGAGACUUGAAAAGAGAAAACUUCUCUUUCCUUUCCCAUUCUCCACGUUGCUUGUAAAGUAGUAGAAAGUAGACAAAUUCUACUACUCACUACUAUUCAUGACUUUUGAUGUGAUUUUUUUUUUUUUUUUUUACUGGAUGAUCACAAGGGAGCAAAUUUACAUAGAUACAGAUGUACAAAAGAUUUUUGAAAUCUUUUAUCUGGAUUGACCCAUAGGUUCUCCGUAAAGGAUAAACUUAGGGUCUACGUAUGAGUCAUCUGAUAAAACUGCAUCUUUAGUUUCUUCAUUUUCUUGAUCUCCAAACUGUUUGAGGGUUUGAAUGAGUCCUUGACGAUAUUGCUCUAAAUCAGUAGCGGCUGCUAAUGAAGCUUGACAUUUUCUUUUCAAAGUUAGGAAUUCUUCUUGAGUCGGUCCUUGAGAAGAAGUUGUUGAAUCUUUUGAAUUUGAUGAUCCUGGCCUUGAUGUAAUUAGUUGCAAAACCUUUUGUUGACAUACAAAAUCAUGAUUGAAUUUGUCCCACCAUUUGAUGUUGAAUUCUCUUGAAAGCGAUAAUGGAAAUGGAGGAGGUUGCUUUUGCUUCUUGAUAAUAUUCCAUGAGAGAAUCCAUGGAAUUUUUAAUCUCAAACAGAAAUUCAGGAGUCUGGGCUGAGUGAUAGACUGAGAUGAAGUCUUGCUCUUGUAGAAGUUGAAUUUUUCUUGAAUUUCAGGAGGAAAUAAGGAGUCUAGUAGACCAAAGAAAGUCCACCAUUUUUGAAACCAAGUAGGAAAUUGGGUAUUGCAAUUUCUUGAAAAUUAGAUGAACUAAGAAUGCUGGUACUUUGUAAAUAAAACAUAUUAUACCAAGCAUCCAUGUAAUCUAUGUAAUUGUAGCUCAUGGGAUGAAAAGGUUGACUAAAAUCCUUGCAAGUGAAGGGUUUUUGAUUCCAAUCUGCAAUGGUCAUGACUUUGAGAAUUUGACAUUUGGAAAAAGCAAUCCUAUGAGGAUUGUUUUUGUCAGUGUUAUGAGUAAUUUCAACUGAAUCGGUGUCUACCAAGAUGAACUCAUAGAAUUGACGAGUUUUCAAAGGAUCAUUUGAAUUGAAGUUGACUCCUUGAGGAAAGAUGUAAAGAAGAAUUUUAGGAAUCUCUUCAAAAUUGAACUCUGGCUCGAUGAAAGCAAUUUCUAAGGUUUUGGGUUUUUUGACAUAUUGACUAUAAGAAAAUGAAGGAGAAUGAGAUUGAGAGGGAGAUUGAGAAGGAGAAGGUAAUGUUGAAAUAGUGUUGGGGCUGGAUUGUCUCUGAACAACAAUAUUUUUAGGGGUUGAUUUAGAAGCUUGAAUAAAACUUUUUGAAGGUUGAAGAGGAGGAAAGUCUGGACUCAAAACUUGAAAGGAAUUUGAUGUUUGUAAAGGAAAAGUAGAACGAACAUUUGAAAAGUUUGAAAUCAUAGCAUAUGAAGCUUUGGUUUUCUUGGAUGAUGAAGGAAGUUGAGGCCUAACGGGAGUACCCAUUAGGAUGGAGAAGGAUCCUUACCCUGCAAAAACUCCCGAGUAAAGAAGUCAGGAAGGGAAUUCAACUCUCCUUUCCCAUAAUUUACAAGGAUAUUAGACAAGUUCAACAACAAUUAAAUUAUACAAAUCAUUCUCUUCAACAUCUAAAUCAACAAACAACAAAAAUUUCUAAAUUUUUGUUUUCUUCUGCCCCGGGAGGGAAGAUAGGAGAAACAGAAACAUCAUCAUCAAAAUCCUUAAAAAUUUCCUCAACGUUAUCAUCAUUAUCAUCAUCUUCUAAAUCUUUAGAACAACCUUUUAUUAUUCCUAUAAAUGCUGCAAAAUCAAAUAUUCAAUUAUCCACACCAACAGAGACAACGUUAAAAGAAAUACAAAUUAGAUUAGACAAACUCAAUAUUAACGGUAUUAAGAAUCAAAUUCAAACUAUAACAAAAGGAAAAUUAGAAAUAAAUAAAUUAGAAGAACAAUUCAAAAUGUCUCUUAAUUCAAUAAAAAAACCUCAUGCAACAGUCAAUGCAAUUUCUAAUAAUUUUGUAAGUAGAAAAAAUUAUUAUUCAAAACCCUCUUUUCCCGACGUCCAAUUAGAAGAUAGAAAUUAUCAAUUAGCUGCUAGUUAUGAUGGUAGUAGUUUUUAUGAAUGGAAUAUAGAUGGAAUGAGUGAACAUCAAAUAAUUAAUUUACUUCAUGAAAUGAUGAUGACUGCUAAUGCUUAUAGAAUCAAAACUAGUAAUUUUGACUUUCAUGUUGUCGGUGCCCUAGUAAUAGGAUUCACUGGUUUACUUAAAGGAUGGUGGGAUCAUUAUUUGAGUCAAAAUGAUAGAGAAUACAUAUUAAAUGUAAAAAAGACAAUAGUUAAAGAAUAAGGAACUUCAGUCCAAUCCUAUGAAGAAGAUGUUGUCAAUACACUAAUAAUUUGCAAUAACAAAACAUUUUAUAGGAGAUCCAGUUUAUUUUCAAGAAAGAACUUCUGAAAUCCUUAAUAAUCUUAGAUGCCCAACACUUCAAGAUUUUAAGUGGUAUAAAGAUAUGUUUUUGGUCAAAGCUAUGACAAGACAUGAUUGUGGAAGUCAUUAUUGGAAAGAAAAAUUUAUAUCAGGUUUACCCACUUUAUUUGCAGAAAAGGUUAGACAAAGAAUAAGAAAUAUUCAUAAUGGUAGAAUUCCUUAUGAGUCAUUAACAUAUGGAGAAUUAAUUACUUUUGUCAAUAAUGAAGGAUUAGCCCUUUGUACAGAUCUUAAAUUAAAGAGUCAAAUGAAAAAAUAAAAACAAGAUAAUAAAAAAGAAUUGAGAAAAUUUUGUUCAUAUUAUGGUUAUGAUACAAUAGUUGCUCCUUCAAAAAGAAAAAAUAAACAAAAUAAAAUAAAAAGUAAAAAACCAUACAUAGAGUCAAAAUUUCAAAAGAAGUUUGUAAAAUCUACUCCUAAUAAAUCAAAAUCUUCAAAUAAAACAACUUUAAAAAAGAAAACACCAACAUGUUAUAAAUGUGGAAAAGUAGGACAUUACUCAAAAGAUUGUCAAUUAGAAAACAAGAUUAAUUCAUUAUAAAUAAGUGAUAAACUUAAAAAUCCAAUGAUAGGAUUAAUGAUUGAUAAAGAAAAUGAAGAAUCAAGUGAAAAUUAUGACUCAGAAGAAGACAAUCAAAUACUAAUAACACAAGAAAUAUCAAGUGAAGAGUCAAGUCUAGAAGAAGAAUCAGAUACUCAAAAGGAUUGUGAUGGUAUUUGUGCAUGCUCAUAUAAAUCAAUAAAUGUGAUUUCAAAAUAUUCAAAAACUCAUUUUAACAUCAUUAUUCGAAAUUAUGUUCCUCUCAUAAACUCAAUAUAUUUUCAAAUUUGGUAUGAUAAAGACAAAACCAUUAGAUAUUUGUUUUAUUCUUCAAUAGAGAUACUAAAAUUUGAAUUUUGUCUAUAGAUGGAGCAAGAAAGAAUUACAUUUGGGAAAUUUACUCUUCCAGUAAUUCCUAAAUGUAAUCUGUCAUUCCAGAUUCAUAAAGACAUAGAAAGAUUAGACAGAUCGCAAAAAUGCAUUUUAGACAAUCUCUGGAAUGCAAAAAGUGAUAUUCAAAAGUUGAAAGCUUUAAAUGCCUUAUCUUUCCAUUUUAAACAGUUAAAUGAUAAAUUAGAAAGUUUUUCUAACCCUUCAAGUUCUGAUAUACAUCGCACCCCAAUGGAUACAGAUCUUGAAAAUUUCAUUUGUAGGGAAAAAGCAGAAGAAUCCAAAGAUGCAUUUUCAAAAGCUUUUCAAAAUGAACAUCAAAAAGAACUUUCAAAACCAAAUGAAGAUUCAAAACUUUCUGAGGAAAGGCAAGAAUGUCAAAUUUCUAGAUUUUCAUUUUUCAAGCUAAAGAAUUUGGAUCUUCUUGAAAGCAUUAUACAGAUGAUCUGUGAAAAGGCUAAAGCUAUAGGGGAAGCAAAGCAAGAGCAUAUUAUGCAAUUUCUUGCUGACUGUAGCACUUUUGGAAUUACUAUUCAAGGGAUGAGCUUCACUUGGAUUUCUUAUUAUGACAACACUUAUAAUAAUUGUCCAAAUAUCGAUCCCUUGUGUAAGGAAAUUCCAUUAGAAAGGCAUGACUGUAAGUGUGCUCUUACUUACAGUAUUUGCAAAGCCAACAUUGACUUAGACAGUUACAAACCAAUAAUCAUUAAAUUCAAAAAUGAGUCAAUAGAGCUAACUCAUUCUCUUCUCAUGGAUUAUGGAGUUCUUUAUCAACUAAUUUUCUCUCAUCCUGAUCAAACCGAUGGAUUUGGAAGAAAAUUAGCAGUUUGUGUUUUAAAUGCUUUCAUCAGAGAUUUUAAAGCAGUUGAACUCAUCAUAGAAAGUAAACCUCCUGAAUGGUCAAAUGAUGGAGGAGUUUACCCUGCUCAACAUCUCAUCUUUCUCAAAGCCAAUCAAAGAAAAUAUCAAUUGUUCGGUACAGAGAGCCCUUGGCCUUGUACUAAAUUUGUCCUCAAAAAACAAAUCAGAUACUGGAGGUCAAAAAUGAUUUCAAGAAAUCUUGAUGCCGAGAUUUAUAGUUCUUCUAACUAUAAUCUCAUUGCUGAAAACAACAAUCAAAAAUUCAUUUCUUCAAUCUAUCUUCCAGAAGUCCCUUUUCUUUUCCAGACUCAAUUUACUUAUCUUGUUGAUAAGUACAGAAAGGAAUAUGUCCUUGAAGAAGAAGCCAGACAAACUUUUGAAAAAUAUCUCUUAGAAAUGCUCAGUUAAGAGAUAUCAAGAAUCUUUUGUACAUUUGUAACUAUCCAGUAAAAAAAAAGAAGGUGAAUAGUGUUUUUUGAAUAGUAAAUUUCGUCUUUUACUAUGACUCAAAAGCAAAAUAGUGACUCAAAAGCAAAAAGGAGACUCAAAGGCAACGUGAUGAAAAUGAAAAGCAAGAAAGGAGACUUACCUUCUGCAAUCCUCAUACACAUGGAAGAAAAUUAAAAACUCAAAGUUUUCUUGAAGCCUAGAGCCUCGCCUAUAAAUAGAGCUUCAAAGUUCUUCAUCAGGUAGAAUUGGGAAAGAGUUCGAGAGAGCUUCAAGAGCAGAAAAAUUAGAGUGUGCCAAAAUUUUGAGAGUUCAAAAAAUUUUCUCUUGUAAUUUUCUUCUUUGAGUUCGAGUCAUCCCUCUGCUGUCAACAACCUGUAUUCAUCAGCUCUCUAUAUUAAGGUAUAUUUUCAAUAAACAAAAUUUUCAGACUCAAAUAUUUGUGUUAUUAUGUUUAAAUUUCUGCAAUAAAUUAGACAAUAUUAGGCAUUAAAUAUUUCUGUUUUUAUGCUUGGAGAUAAUUAGACAGAUUUAAUUAUUGCUUGCAUGAAUUAAUUAUUGAAACUUUUAUAUAUAUAUAUAUAUAUAUAUAUAUAUAUAUAUAUAUAUAUAUAUAUAUAUAAAAGUUUUUUUUAAAUUAUUAAAUUUAUUAAUAAAUUCAAUACAAAGUGUCCCUUGAUUUAAAAUUUAAUUUUUAAAAAUACAAUUCUUUAUUUUACUUUGUUUUUUUUUUAUAAAUAACAAUAACUAAAUAAUGAUAUUUUUUUUAAAUCACACAUCUAAAUAGAUUUUUAUUAUUUAACAAAAAAAAACUCUUAAAGAUUAUUUCAAAUAAAAAUAAAAAAUUAUUUCAAACUAUGUACAAUGUGAGAUUUUUCUAAAUAAAAUAAAUUUAUUUUAAAUCAUGUGCAUAAAUAUUAUUAAUAAUUUAUUUCUUUUUUUUAUUUUUAUUAUCAUUUAUACUUACUAUUAAAACAGUAAUAAAUUUUCAUUUCAACGUUACGUUUCUUUAUCCAUCCAAUUAUAAAAUUUGAUAUUAUCAAAUUCAUUCCUACUUAAUGGAAUAGAAAUGGAACAAAUGUUCAUUCCCAUUCCCGCUUCUCCAUGCUAACACAGUGGAAUGAAGGGUAGUUGUGGAAUUUAGGAAGCAACGACCUUUGAGCGUGGCCAAAUCACAAAAUCUGAUAGUAAUAGUCUCCGUUGUUGCGCUAAUACCUCUCGCUUUCUCCUACUGCCAGCGCUUUCUCCCGUCUGACCACUGACCAGGUAUUUUUCUCCCCUUUGCCUUGUUCCGCUUCUCCUUCUCCUCCUCUUCACCUCCGAUUUUUCCAACUUUCCGGGAAUUAUUACUUGAUCAUCAACAUUUUUCUCCAUUUCAUGUCAUACAAACCCUAGAGCGUUCACGAUCUGUUUUGGUUUUUAGGGAAUUGUUGUCUGCAAUGGUCUUCUUCAGGAGCGUCUCUGCGCUCUCCAAGCUCCGUUCUCGCCUUGUAAGUUCCAUACUAAUCCUCCACUCAGCUCUUGAAUUUGGAAUUUGUUUUUUUUUUUCUUUUAGUGUUUUUACUUCCGUAUUAGGUUUGAUCAUGUUCUGUGGAGUGGAGCUAUGAGAUUGGAAUUUUCUGAUUUCUUUUAUCUUUGGUGCAUGUCUGUGAAUUGGUUUCGCUGCAGAUCCGAUUUCCUUGGUGUUUUUAAUCUGGAUUUUUAUUUUUUGUGGUGAUUUUUAUGUUACAGGCGCAACCGUCUAGUCUCAACGGUUCCGUACGAUGGCUUCAAGUCCAAACCUGUUCUGAUCUUGUAACGAUCUUUCACUUCAUUGUUCUUUUCCCGUUAUCUCUCUUCCGCCCAGUGCAAUUAUUAUUAUCUGAAAACAAAAGGGAAGAGAUCAACAUUAUGAAAAAUUUAAGAGAUCAACAUUAUGAAAAAUUUUGGCAUUAGAAUUCUGGAAUAUCCUUCACAAAUGGAUGAAAUAGGUUAUGUUGGGCGUGCAAUGGAUCAAAAGAAAGACUGGUAAUGACCAAUUAAAUUAAUAGGAAAAAAUAGUGAAACCCAAUGCAUAUCAGACAUGAUUUUUUUGAGAUGAAAAAUUAUAAAAUAAAUGUUUAAAGAUCAAGAGCAUAUGGAGAUGAGAUUAUGCCUGAAUAUUAAGUAAACUAGAAAGUAGUAAGGAACCAAGGUUGAAAUACAAAAGUAGUUGCACUAGUUGGUUGACUUACAUGGUUGUAUUAUGCAUAAAAUAUUUAUAUUUAUUGUUUCCAUCAUAUAUUUAGAGUUUAAAAGAGAAAGUCUUAGAUUUCUAUGAGGUAAUGCAUUUAGCAUGCUUGGGAGGGUGUAUACAUAUGGUCUUCUGUUAUAUCAAAUUAAAUGCCAACCUUAUCUUUUUUUAUUCUUUUUCCUAUUUGUUUAUCGCAUAUCUUGCUUAUACUUCUGUUUGUUUUUUUCUUCCUUUUUCUUUUUCCAUGUAGGACCUUCAUUCCCAGUUGAAGGAAUUGAUUCCAGAACAACAGGUUUGAUUUACUUCUUUUGUUACUUUAUUAGUUUCCAUCCCUAAAAUUUCUUUCUUUUCUUUUUUGGUGUUUUUCCCCAUUCCCAAUAGUGUGUUGAAUUGAAUAGGUUUUUAGAGUUUCUUUCAACUCCCUUCCCUUUUGUAUAUAUUAUGGAUAAAAAAUGGUUUAUGGUGAUUCAGAUCCAAGGUUUCAUACCAUGAUACAUCUAUCUCAAUAUUCCCCAGGGUUUUAUGAUCUGGAAUUACUGUGACUUUCAAUGGUGUAACUGAAACUGAUAUUACCCUAGAUCAAAGCUCCUAAAUAUUUUUGGUGGCAAUUACAGUAUUUCUUCUUGUUCCUCUUCAUUUAAUUUUUGUUUUCAUUUUUUCUUUUUCUUUUUUUUUGGGAUUGCAGGAACGCCUGAAGAAACUGAAGGCAGAAUGCGGAAAGAUUCAACUAGGGAAUAUUACUGUUGAUAUGGUAAUGAUAGUCUCUGUUUAUUCUGAUGUUUGUAAGUUUACAAUCUUAGAGCAACACGUACAUAUAUUACAGUGUGUAACCUCUCACUGAGUUAUCACUGUCACAAUUGCAAAGGUACUUGGUGGAAUGAGAGGAAUGACAGGGUUGCUGUGGGAAACCUCGUUGCUUGACCCAGAUGAAGUAAAUAUCCCUUUUAACCCAUUCUUGAAACUUUGUUAUGGAUUCUUUUAUAUUUUAUUUUAAUGACUGUUUGAUGAAUGUUGGGACAUGAGGGAAGAUUUUUAUUUUUUUUUGGGUUUCCAAUUUAGUUCUGAAAGUUGAGCUUCUGUUUUUCAGGGAAUUCGCUUUAGGGGUAUGUCUAUCCCUGAAUGCCAAAAAGUAUUACCAAAUGCAACACCUGGUGGAGAGCCUCUGCCUGAGGGUCUGCUUUGGCUUCUUUUGACAGGAAAGGUGGGUUUGUGUUAAAAACAAAAGACAUUACAGGAUACCUGAAUGAAUGAAAAUAGGAGGAAGACAUUGCAUGUCAUAUGAAAAUUGGUUUAUGAGGUUUUACAACUAGUGCAAGAUGUAAUCCCAGCCAAUCAUCUUGCUUAAUGCUGCAUUAUAAGUUCAAGCAUAAAAUUGAACUGCCUGUCACAUAAAAUCUAUUUAUUCCUAUUUGAUUUUGGAGGUUUUUUUGGCAUAUUUAACUAACCCCACCUCCUCCACUGCACUGUACCUUAGGUACCGACUAAAGGGCAAGUAGAUGCUUUAUCCAAGGAAUUGAGCACUCGUGCCACUGUUCCAGGUGCUGUAGCUGAUGUUUCUACCUUAAAAUUCUCAUAACUCGAUCACCUGUAAGAUAGUUUUGAAUUUUGAGAAUAUGCUUAUAUUUCUUCUGAUCCAUUAAGCUAUUUGCGGCUGGCUGGAUGAGGCUUCUCUGAGUUGAGCAUGUUUGUUUGAAGUUUUCUUUUAACCUUAGUUGAAAAAUCACUUCCUCAUUUGUUAGCUUCCAAGUUGAUUGUGUUUGAUGCUUUAAUUGAAUACGAGAGAGUUCAAUGUUGGAAUUUCUUUUAUUUUUCUUUUUCCAUAAAUUAGACCUUGGGUUUUCUUUUCUUUUUUUCCAAAAAUUAAACCUAGCAUCAGGAAAUUCUAAAUGUUCCUAUGGAUUGACUAUAGCCUACAGGUUAUAUGCCAGCUGUCAACCAAAAUGAACUUCUUCCUUUGACUUGGCUUGUGAUAGAUAUAAUGCCUAUUUAUUGGUGGGUUUUUAUUUUUGGUUGCAGAUCAUGUUUAUAAAGCCAUAGAUGCCCUACCUCAGUCAGCUCAUCCAAUGACCCAGUUUGCAACGGGUGUCAUGGCCCUUCAGGUUGAUUAAUGGACUCUGAAACAUAUUCUGUUGUUUAAUUGCAUUGUUUAUGGUUCAACCGUUUUUUCAGCUCAGUCAUAGUGAAUCUGAAUGGCUGUUUCUGUGUCCUUGCAUUUGGUUAUGUACUUUCUACUACAGCUUUUUUAGUGCUUAGGUAGGCAAAGCGGAGAGGCUUUUAGAAAUUGAAAGAGUUGGUGAUGCCAAGAAUAGUAGUAGGUGGGUGUAUUUAGGUGAGGAGGCUUUCUCCCUUUUAGGCUUCCUGGAGUGGAUAGCAUCCACUUAAGGGGAGGUGAUUCUUUUUGUCUCUGUUUUUUGAGGCCCUAGCCGUCUUGUAUACUCCCUGUAUGCUUUGUGGCGUUCUGUCUCUCUAUUAAUGCAUAUCCUUUUACUUAUCAAAAAAAAAAAAAGAAUAGUUGUAGUUGGGUGAGUAAUGACUGAAUUGGUCAGCGGGAAGGCAAGAAAUAUGGACUGUUAUUUCUCUUGAUCCCACUGAUCUAGCUAUCCUGUGGCUAAUCCUCUCUUGAAGAGGAGUGCUAUGAUUUCAGAAUUUGUUUCUGGAGCAUUUGUACAGUUGUAGUUGUCCUUUGUAGGUGUUAUUGAUUGCCUGUCUUCCCUGUUGUGCCUAUGUCUUCAUACUUCCAUUUUAGUGUAGACUUCUUCAUCCUCAUAGUGUAUCCUUGUCUUUUUAGCGACUUCAUUUGUAUGGUGACAUAAAAACCUUCAUCAAAGUGAAGGGACACAUCAAGCUAUUGGGUAUGCAGGUUUUGAUGAGCAGUUUAGAUGUUGAUUUUAACAAUAUUCAAUCACUUUUUAUUGUAUUUCAGGUUCAGAGUGAAUUUCAGAAGGCAUAUGAGAAGGGGAUUCCAAAAUCAAAGUAGGAUUCUUUUUUGCAGUCAUGUUUACACAACUUGAUUAUCUAUCAAUUAUGCAAGCACUUAAAUGUGAUGAUGUUUUCAGGUACUGGGAGCCAACAUAUGAGGAUUCUCUUAGUUUGAUUGCUCAAGUACCAGUUGUAGCUGCUUAUGUUUAUCGAAGGUCAGUUAAGCACAUCAUAUCUUGUUAAUAAUUGUAUACUUGGCCUAAUUGUGCUUGUGUAUGGUUCUGGAAUGAUGUUGGAUUGAGGGUUAUGGUAAAUUUUUAUAGGUAUUAAAUGAUCUGGGUAAGAAAUUAGCUUCUUAUAUAAACUAGUCUUUACUCAACAACUUUGGGUGAUGUUUAUCUAUCUAUUGAUAUGUGAUCCAACAUUAUCUAUUCACUGCUCUCUCUCUCUCUCUCUCUCUUUUGUUUGUGGUUCUUCAUAAUUUGACAAAUAGUGGUCUGUGUCUAAAUGAAUUUUCAGUGCCUCAUUACAUGGAAUUGUGCUUAGUAUGAAAUCAUAGUUUCCUUACAUAGUAUGGAAUCAUGGUUGGCCUCAUCUUUCUGUGCUUUUGAAGGGUAUACAAAAAUGGACAAAUUAUACCCAAGGAUGACUCUUUGGAUUAUGGUGCAAAUUUUUCACACAUGUUGGGAUUUGAUAGUCCAAAAAUGCAAGAGCUAAUGAGGCUUUAUGUCACCAUCCAUAGGUGGGUGUAUAUUUCUCAUCUUAUGGCAAUGAUAAUAUGUAGGAUUUUCUUAUUGGAUCAUAUAACAAUCAUAUGCUUAUUAAUUUUUAAAAUGUGUUCCAGUGAUCAUGAAGGCGGGAAUGUCAGUGCUCACACUGGUCAUCUAGUAAGUGAGCCUAGAUUCGUUCUAAUUAGUUAAAUGGAAAUGUGUAAUUUUGUUGUAUUUCCGAGGGUAAAGUCAUUAUUUUAUCCUGAAGUUAUUUAAUGGAAUUAUGGCUCAUAUUUUCAGUCAGUGUGUUUGUUAUUAUUUAGUGAUCAUGAAGAGGAAUGUUCUCUAUUGACUGAUAUUAUGCUCAAUUCAGGUUGCUAGUGCAUUGGCAGAUCCUUACCUUUCAUUUGCAGCUGCAUUAAAUGGUCUAGCUGGCCCACUCCAUGGUUUGGCUAACCAGGUAUUGCAUCUUCUGUUGAUAUACAUAGACAUACACAUUCCUAAUUUUUUGUUUCAUUGGCUGUUCAGAUCCUCAGCUUUUUUCAUUCACGUUUAUCCUUCAUUAUUUGACUACAGGAAGUUUUGCUUUGGAUCAAAUCUGUGGUGGACGAGUGUGGAGAGAACAUAAGCACAGAACAGUUGAAAGACUAUGUCUGGAAAACAUUAAAAAGUGGCAAGGUAAUUUGGAUAAAUUUGCUGUGUGCUUUGUUUUGGAAGUUAAUUAAACAAGAAAUUUAAAGACCUUUUACUAUAACGACUCCAUGAGCACAAAAAUAUCCAUUUUACCUUUAUAAUGGGAAAAAUUUUUAGUUGGACCUCUUUUUUCCUAUGUUAAAUUGUUCUUGUUCCUAGCAUAUUCUGUAAAUAUUUCUGUUCUCAGUGGCAAGUAAUCUGAGUUAUCUUUUUGUGAUUUCUACACCAUAGCAAAUUCUAUAACAAUCCAUUAAUGCAGUAGAAAAUUGUCAGCCAAACUUGUUUCUAUUGGGAUUUUAUAAAUGUUUUGGCAGUUUGAUCUUUGAUAGACCUCCAUUUGUGGUGAUUUGUUUGUUUUCCUCAGAAAUUCAUGGUUUUGUAGAUGCUAUUCCUGUUUUCUUUAGGAAUGAAAUUCAUCUGAUUCAUGUCCACCCAUCUGAGAAACUUUAAAUGAAUUUAAAUCCAUGAUCCGGGCUAUGUAUGAAUUCAAUCAAUCCCUACUUUACUUAUCUGUUUUACCACACACAUAGCAAUGAAUCUUAAGUUACUGCACUUGAUCUCUUUUUGGUUUUGUGAAUAAAAAUGAUUUCCCAGAAACAUUUUAAAAUUUGUAAUUGGUCUUCUGUGCAAAUUUUUAUUUUUUUUAUUUUUUUUAGGAAGUGAAAAUUAUCUUAUUAAUAGCAUGAAAUGGAUGAAGCCCAGUAGUACAUGAGUAUACAGGAGGCAUACAACAAUUUUGUGCAUCUUAAUUAUCCUUUUCUUUUUAUAGGUAUAUAGGAUAAAUACAUUAGAUAUGCACCAAAGUACACAAGUCAUAUACUAAGGGAGCUAGGAAAGCAACAAAAAACAAACACCCCAACAAAGCAAACCUAACCAGUCUAUAAAACCGACAAUGGUUAGGGAGCCUCUAUCAAAGUACACCCUCACCCAUAACAAAAGAUUUACAAAGAAAGGAGAAAACAAAUGGAUGAACAAGCAUUUAUAAGCUCUCAAAAGAUCUUUGGUAAGACUAUUUCCAUUAAGUCCAAAAAAUGCAUAAUGGGAUAACCCUCCAAACCUUCUUCCUUUUUUCACCCACAAAAGAACCAUGUCACUCUAACAAAGUCUCUUUGACCAAUUGAGGCAUCAACCACUCUACCCCAAACAAAGGGAAUACCAAACUCUAUAAGUCUCAAGCUUGGGCACAAUGAAGGAGCAUGUGGUCAAUAGUCUCUUCCUCCUUCAUACAAAAAAAACAUCUAUUCACCAGGUGUCAUCCUCUUCUCUGCUGCUGAUCCAAUGUCAAAACCUUGAAGCUUCCCACGAAAAAAAAAAAAAAACAUAUACUUUGGUUGGGACUAAUGGGUUCCUAAUAGCCUUUGAUGGAAAAGUAACUACUCUAUCCUACCUUGUAAAGGAGUAGAAGGGUUUAACUAAAAACUUCCCCUUCUUUGUAUCCAACCAAUCUAGCCUAUCAUCUUGAUUCCUUCUUACCGCCUUUCCUUGAAGUCUUGAGAGAAACUCUUGGAGCCUUUCCAAUUCUUGAUUAUUCAGAUUCCUUAAGAAACGGGGAUUCCAAAUCCAUCCCUAUUUGUGGGGGUUCCAAACAUUCACCACCCAAACUUCCUUUGUCAAGGAUAUGCAUCUUAAUUGUCAAAAACUAUUAGUUGGGUUAUUAAGUUGUUCUGGCUGUAUAAAGGCUGAGAGGGGAGAAGGAAACAGGAAGGAAUAUACUGAGCUUGAGCUUAUCAUAGCUACCAUUUAACUCUCAUCAUAUCAAAUAGGAUUACAAAUUUUUCUUACUAUAUAGCAUAUGUUAGCCAUCCAACCUAUAACUCUGAAAGCAGAUGUCCCAUCACAUUCAAUUAAAUGCAGAUGUCCAAUUGCAUUCGAUUAAAUGCAUAUGUCCAAUAAAGUAGAUGUCACACCUUGUCUGAUUACACAAUUAAAAGUUUGAGGGUUCUUAUACUAACUGAUAUAUCAAUCCUUGUGCUGGUUCUGUAUGAACAUAAUAACAUACCUGGGCUAAGAGUGAUUCAAUCCUGUUCUUUUUUUUUUCCUUGCUAUGAUUAGCAAUGUUCUUAACAUUGUUAUCCUAUCUUUCCUGAUGAGCAUCUUGGAUUUUAUUUACUUUCUAAUAAGCUAAUGAGCUGGUAGACAUGGCUUAAUAAUUUAUUUAUUUUUGUUAAUUAAUCAUUGUGCCUGUAGGUAUUUGGCUCCUGAUCCAGAUCAUAACAUAUUUUUUAUUUGAGAUUUUAUACCAUACAUUUUGAUUCUUCUCCCCCAUUUCAAUAAAGCCUAGCUGACUCCAAUUGAGUCAGUAGGAUUGAUCUACUUUUGGGGUCAUCAGCCACUAUCAUCAAAAUAAGGCUUGUGUCCAUCAGUUGGAAGAGCUUGAGUUUUGAUAGCUCAAUUUCUUCUAGUUCCCUGUGUCCUUAAGAAGCUACAAGAACUCAGAAGGAAAAACUGAGAAGUAGGUUGCUUGAAGGGACAAACCAUUCCAAGGAGUACUGUUGUUGUUCUGGUUCCAACUUCUUUUAGCCAGGACUUGUGCCAUCGGUUUGGUCAGCUUAUUAUUCAAAGCCCCUCUCUUCUCAGUUUCCCUAUUCUGUGCUUCAAUAGUUUAAUUCUCUCCAAUUCACUUGUCCUUGAGAUCUUGCCUCUUGAUUUUUUUGUCAAUGGCUGUCUGUUCACACUUCUUAUCUGUAACUAACCCACUUUUCUAAUGAUUCAUGAACAAAAUUGAGUUUUCAUCUUUCCCUAAUAUCUCACCAUCUCAUACUAACGUUUGAACCUCUUUAGGAGCCCUUUUUGACAAAUUGUUUCCAUCUCUAAUUUAUUGUUAUUGUGUGCAGGUUGUUCCUGGGUUUGGGCAUGGAGUUUUGCGUAAAACAGAUCCAAGAUAUAUGUGUCAAAGGGAGUUUGCAUUGAAGCACUUGCCUGAUGAUCCACUGUUCCAGCUGGUUAUUACUUAAAGCCCUGAUUAAAGACAAUGGUUUGUUUAUUUUUGUGUUCCAGUUCAUCCUUGAGCUGACUUGGUUUACCAUUACAGGUUUCAAAGCUUUAUGAAGUGGUGCCUCCUAUUCUUACUGAGCUUGGCAAGGUAUUAUCAUUGAAGGAAAGGGUAUCUAAAUAUUAUUGAGAAAUGAUGAGCUAAUGUGCAAACCUAAAAAUUAAAAGGAAGGAAAAAAAAAAAAGGAAAAAUGAUUCUUUUGUUGAAGUUUUUCCGAAGCACAAUAGCACUUUGUAUUUUCCUAAAAAGAGUAGCAAAAACUUUGAUGAGAUAAAGGCGGAAAGCUAGAAUAAUUCUAGGAGGAAGGAGGUAUAGAGGAACAUCAAUGAAAAUGGAGAUUUGGAGCGUAUUAAAAACCCUGUUCACUUGCAAGAUGUCAAUGACGUAUAUCAUCAUAGCAUGAUAGUAAGCCAUUUGAUUUGGAAGCUUGUGUUUCAUUGCAACACAAGCAAAACAAUGGACAACCUGAAGCAACAUCCUGGAGACACACAACUGAAUUCCAGAACUAGCUCAGCUAAUUAACAGUAGCCUGACUGAAAUUGUUAAGUUUUAACGGGGCAGAUUAAGCAAUUGAUAUGAGCUUUAGGUUAAGUCUCUACAAAGUUAGAGGCUAUUUUCCUGCAAUUUGAAGUUUAUGCUUUCUGCAGUUCAAAAGAAACAAGAGUUUGAUGUUCUGCAACAUGCCUACUAGAAUUCUGUAAAAUAAACUUUGGCUUCAGUGAUACCUGUGGAGUUAACAGUGAUUGUUUUUGGGAUUUGGGACACUUGUAGGUUAAAAACCCAUGGCCCAAUGUCGAUGCUCACAGUGGGGUCUUGCUGAACCAUUUUGGUUUACACGAAGCACGGUAAAGAGUUCUCUCUCACAAUCAUUAUAAUUGGAGAUUUCUUAAUUUGGCUAUUUAAUAGUAUCUUGGGUAGAUGGUAAAAAUCCUUUAACAAUUGAUCCCUUGCAGAUAUUUUACUGUUCUUUUCGGGGUAUCAAGGAGUAUAGGGAUCUGCUCUCAGGUUCUCACUAUGUCCCUCACCUUCUUUUCUCUUCUCCCUUUCCGUAUUUUGUUUGUUUUCUUAAAUCUCUCAUUCUUCCUUCGGGUGCAUCUGAAUCAUUAUUAUUAUUAUUUCUUUUCUCAGUUAAUAUGGGACCGUGCUCUUGGAUUGCCCCUUGAGAGGCCAAAAAGUGUUACAAUGGAAUGGCUUGAAAACCACUGCAAGAAAGCAGCCGCCUAAUUCUAAAACUCGAUAUAGGCAGAGAGUAACAAUGUAAAAUAGUUUUGAUAAUAAUGGCGCAAAAGGUACAGGCUUUGUGGGUGAUGGAGGAAUGCUUAAAGUCGAGAGCUUUGUAAGGUUAUAAGUUGCGCCUUGGGUUCAACCUUCUGGCUGGUGGGAGUUUCUUCCACUAAUUUUGAAUUUAGUUAAACGGUUUAAUUCUUGUUCUUUUAGUUCUAAAUUGUUUGGUUUUCACGGGUUUUCAAUGGUGUAUUUGAGGAAAACAUCAAUUGGGGUUUAAUGACCUUUGAAUAAAUGCAGUUUUAAUAUGGUCAUAUAUUUGGAUGAGAUGGAAGCCUUGUUCUAUGGGAAUCCACAUUCAAAGAAGGCUGUUGAUGAAAUGGGCUAUAUAACUAUAGAUUUGAUGUACAUGUAGCUCUUAGUCGCUAUAGAUUUGUUGUGCAUUGGUUAAAACUAAAGGUGUAAGACUCCAAGACUAGAAAUCUAGCACUAUUGUCUCAACCUGCUCAAGUGAUUUCUCACUAUAGCUUUUCCGUGAGAGCAAGCUUCUUCUAGAAGCGGCCAAAGACAUCUAUAAAUCUUCACAAACAGAUGGGAGAAAAUAGAAUGGUUUGGAAUAGUUUGUGACAAGUUGUGAUUUAGCAUUUAAUAUUUCUAAAAUUAGGAUAAGUAUUUCUGUAUUUGUUAAUAUUUUUAUUGGUUUUAUUCAAGAUAACCUUUUGUUUUUUUAGUGGAAGUGUAAUAUUAGUAUUGUAAAAUUUUAUUAAAUAUGAAAAAACUUUUUCCAUAAAUUAAAAUAAAACUUUUAUAAAAAGAAAUAUGUUUAUAAAUUUAGGUUAUGUUUGGUUUCCAAAAAAUUUAAGGGAAAAACAUAAGGGAAAGAAAGUAAAAAUGAAAAGUAUGAGGGAAAGAAAAGCGAAGGAAAAUAAAAAUAUAUUAAAAAUUAAUAAAUUGUUUGAUAUAAAGAUUAAAUAUUUUAAAAAUAUAUAAGUUUUUAACUAGUUUUAAUUAUAUUUGAUUUUCUUUUAUAAUUUUUUAUAGGGCAAUUAAAUAUGAAAAAAUUAUUAUUAUUAUUAUUAUUUCUUUCCUUGACAUUUUAUGGGAACCAAACACAACCUUAAUAUUAUGUUUUUCGAAUAAAAAUUAAUCAAACAAAUAGAAAAACUCUUUAUUAAGUGCAUAAAUUAAAAAAAUAAUGAUUAUUAAAUUCAAAUGAUUUUCUAUGUUUACUUAAUUUUAUUAAGUUUUGAGAAGUUGAAAUAUAAAUAAAUAGUUAGAUCAUAUUAAUCUUAUACAAUUAAGGUAUAGAAUACUUUCUAGGUGUUUAUAUAUUUCUAAAAUUAAUGCAAGAAUAUCCAUAUUUGUUAAUUUUCAUUUAAGGGGGAAAGAUUACAUUUUUUAAUGCUAAUUUAUUCAUAUAUUAUUAUUAUUAUUAUUAUUAUUUUGAAGAGGAGUUUUGGCAAAAAUAAAAAUGGAAAGAAAUGGAGAGCGAAAAAUGAAACCGGCUGGAGGCAGGUCAACUGCCAUCCGCCUUAAAAGGAAGUACUCAUCUCAGUAAUCUUACCACUCACAGCUCACAAGAAUCCAUCAUCUGCCGCCACUCAAAUGGCAUUUCUCUGCAGGGCACCAUCAUUUCAACCCCAAACCCAGUUGCUGAAUCUGGGGUUUCAUCGUGCAAUCUCCUCUCCUCAACUUCCCCCAGUCUCCAAUUUCCCCUGCACCCCUCUUUCUUCCAGGUAUUCCCCUUCCAUUUUCUGGGUUUUCUGUCUUUCUUUCACUAGGAAGUUUCAUAAUAUUGGUUUGAUUUCACUCCAUUUUUCCAUCACCUCCUACGUUCUCAUGUUUAUCUCUGUGCCAUUUUAGCUUUUCCUGGAUUGAAUACCCCAUUUCAGACCAUGAAUUCUUUGGGUUUUACUCAAAGAGUGGAAGAGCUCAGUGGGGUUUCUACUAUCAAAAACUGUUUUUUUCUAGGGACCCUUUUUGGAGUUGGGAAUUACUAAUCAAAAUAGCAUUACAUUUUUGAGAAUUCGUAUGAAUAUCUGUUGUGAUGUUGAUCAAAAUCUUCUAUUCUAUGGUUGAGAACUCACUGUGAAAUUCUUACUUUUAGGUUCAAUAAUGAGUUACGUUUGAGGGUGAGGCAAAGGAUGGCUGUCGUGUUUGCAUCAAAUACUGUUUAUCCUGUAGGGGGAGAUUCCAAGAAGGAGAAAUCAGAUGCCCAAGGUCCUCCAUUCUUGACCAUUUUGGCUGGAUUAUUACUAUUUCUCCUUGUAUUUUGGCUUCUAGGGUCCAUUGUGAUGUGGCUGUUUGGCCUAAUAGUCAAAUCACCUCCAUCUAAGUAAUGGUGUACUUUCUACCAUCUUCCAUGUCCAUGUUGAAGGGCUUUAGCCUGUACUUGUUCAUUUGAUUAUCCCCAUCAAUGGAAGCAACUCUGUUUUCUGCUGUAGUUUGAUCUGGGGUGAAUGGGGAUGGAAUGUGAAACCUGAUACAGCAGGUACCCGCUAAAAUGAAUGCUGUUUUCACUCAAAAAUUCGUCAAGCCUCUUGGGUCAUGCACCAUUAGAUUGUUUGGUGAAGAAAAGAAGAAUCACUAACCAUGCAUGAGUUCAAUUUUGUUCUCAAGUAACAAGAUUUCUUUCUCUUUGCUCGAUCUAUACUUUCAAAACCCCUAAACUGCCCAUUAAUGUGGGAUUGAAAAAAUGCUACCCAUUAACAUUAUAACAAUCAGAACAAUUGUUUACGCCCGGAUUGAUUUUGAGAGUUCCGCAGAAAUUUGAAAAUAUGUGGAAAAUCACUUGAAAAAAUUAUUCCUACAAAAUCAUUUAGUAGAUAAUUCUUCUAAAAAUUACUUUUCAAAAGCACUACAAAUUAAAAGCUAUAAAACAUUAAGAAAUACAAGUCUUCACUUCAAGCAAGCCCGUUGAAGAGUGAUAUCAUAGUUAAUAGUUAAAAUAAUUAAUUUUAAAAAUUUUAUUAAACACAUAAUUUCUGAAGAAAACAUAUCUAAAUAUUUUCAAAAAAAAAAAAAAUACUUCUAAUCAUUUUUAAAUGGCCAUGAAUUUAUAAAAAAAUUCAAACACCUCAUUUUUAAUUGUUUUAUUUACAAGAAAGCCCUACAACCCUCGAAUGGUCAAGCUCCAAACAGCCAGAUCGCCCCCCCAACAGCCCGACCGCGCUCUUAAAUGCUCAUCAAAUCAAAGUUUCUUCUUCCUUCUGAAGAGUUCCUUCUUGAGUUUAUACCUCCAACCAAAAAUACCGACAACAAAUAAUUGUUAAAUUAAUGCAUCUCAACCACUUCAACGUCCACCCGAGAAAUCGUCACAAUCAUAUCCAUGAUUAGUGAAUAUAGGUGAUUAUGACUUUAAAUUUAAACUUAAAAUUUAAAUGGGUCCAUUUGAUCAUUUGCAGUGGAAACCAAUAAUUCUUGACAUAGUUUCUAUUUCCUGAUUGAAGAAAGGACAGAUGGAAUCUAGGUUGGAAGAAAAGCAAGGAUGAUUCCCAUAGGAAAGUCGCAUGUAGCUGCCAUGGAAUGGCACAUUGGGAAGUUUCUGAAGAUACAUGCUUAAGCUUAAUUAUAGAAGCCUGACAAUUAAACCAACACCAAACAAAAGCAAGCAGAUGACAGACCAGUCUCAAUUAUACUAGCAAAGAAAACCUGUCUGCCAAGAGAAUUAUCAUCUUUAUCAUUCUUUGUAUAGAGUAAUGUUGGAUGAUCCUAAAAGAUGGUUCCAAAGUAGAAAAAAUGGCCAAAGACAGAAAUGCAAUAGUAUAAGAAAAAGGUCAUUUUAUUACAAUAUGAAAAGGGAUACAUCUAUUUAGAACUUGUUUUUUAAAGGUUAUCAUCCUCAACUGGUGCUGUAAAAUUACGCCUUUCAUCAGAAGUUGCAGUUAUAACCGGCAUCCAUACAUCAGCAGUACUGCUCAGGAGAGACCGAACCUCUGGGUCUUCAGCCAUGGUUGAGGAUAUCAUCUCAUCCACAUCAUCCAACUUUGCUGAUAAUUUAUCCAACUCCUUGGCUAUUUCCAGCUAAAUUCACAAGAAAUCAAACACCAAUUAGGCCAUGUUUGUAAUUCGUCCCUAACAAACAGAGAGCUGCCUCUUUUUGGAAGGCAAACAAAAAGAAAAGGUUUGAAAAUGGCUGUAACGGAUUCUCAAACAUACCUCGUCAAGGGGUGGUGUAGACUUUGAAGGAACUUUUGUAACCUCUAAUCCAAGGGCUUCGAUUUUGGCACGCAAUUCAACUUCCUCUUGAUUGGUUAGUGCUUCAACCUACAGAAUAGAAGUCAUUCAGAAAAAACCUCAUUGGAAAGAAAUGAUGGUGAAUAAAGAUAAAAGUAAGAAGCGGUUGCUAUGUUAUAGCCUGCUUUUGGUACAUGGGAUGACUCCUAGUAACAAAGCAUUCCUCUCUCUUGUAAGCCAACAAAAAGCUUAGGCUAUACAAGGGUAAUAUUCAGGUUUUGAUACCAUUGUUUACAGGGAGAGACCUAAAAAUAUUAGUUCUUUUAGACCUUAAGGAUCAAAAAUUGAGAGAGAGAGAGAGGCUGUCUUCAAUGAGAGCCCUCCUCACAGUAAAGGCAGUCUCAGUUUUUUUUUAUUGUAGAGAGCCAUCUUAAUAUUAGAUAAUUAAGAUGUAUAUAUAUGAUAUUGCCUUAAGUGCCUAAAAUGAUAAGAAUCGGCUCACAAUAUUUCGUGUAAAUCCAAGAGAUGAGCCCCAAUUCUACCAUGCUUAAGCCACACCAAAAUAAAAUUUUCAGCCAGAUGAAGUUCACACAUUGUAGAAUCUCAUUGAUCCCAAGAAGUUUUUGAUCCCCUAUUGGAAAAGCACUUUCUUUCCCAUAUGCAGUCAGCAAUUGAAUGAGUCCCAUGUUAUUAAAUUCAAACUCUUAAAAUGAGGGUGAGAUUUCUACUCUUAUCAUCAAAUCUUCAAACCAUCCUAAAUGUUGCUUCGUUCUGCCUUUCUCCAUUCUCAUGAGCCAAACUGUUUGAUACACAUCUCCUACUCAUUCAUUUUGGAAAAUAAACACUCCUAUUCUUUUUAAUCAGAUUGUUCAUGAAUUUCAUUGAUAAAACUGAGGUGUAUUAACAGGGAGAAACCUAAUUCAUUUCAAGAACAAAGCGCUGAGAUCAAGAACCCUAAUUCAAGCCUUCUAAAGCUUGAAACACCCAAACAAUCAAGUACAAUGUCAGAGAUUUACAUAGGGAAUAUGACUCCGGAGCAUCCAAUAAGUCCCAAAUAACCCCUUAAUCCACCAAUUGAAACCUAGUCUAAGAAGAAGAUUACAAUUCAAAAACCUAACAACAAACUGAUGCAAACCAAAUCCCAAUUCAAAUACCUAACAACUAACAAAAUCAAAUGCAGGCAAUUCCCCAAACACCCACGACAACAUAAAUUCAAAUGCCCUAUAUUAAAAAUUCAAUUCAUUUUCAAAGAAAUAACAUAUAUUCCAGAUACCCAGAUAAAAAAUUUUGCCAAUUUCAAUCCACAAACCCCAAAAAGGUCCAAAUCCAAGUGCCCACAACCCAAAAAAAAUGGAAACUUGGGAUGGCUUCGAAGAAUAAUUUUGCACUCAAAAUUGGAAAAAAGUAUACUCCUCAACCCAAAAUCAAAAUAACCCAAAAAAAGGAAACGAAGGUGAGUUUGAUAAAUAGAAUACCUGCUGAAGGAGAUUAGCGAGGAGGUCAAAGAGUUGCUCAUCUGCCUUUCCUUCUUCCGCCAUUGAUCUUUCCCUCCGUCUUUCUGUCUCUCUUUCACAGUUUGGCUGCUUGUAGCACACCGGUCUGACGUGUACACUUGGCACUCUUUGGUUGGGGUUUCUGAGGUUAUUUCUUUUUCCUUAAUUUAGAAAUUUGCUAACUGAAAAAAACAAAACAAAAAAAAAACCAAAAACUGGAAAUUAAGUAUAUCUAUAGACUAUAACUCCAGUUUUAGAAAAUCAAAAAAUAGAUUUUUUUUUUCUGUUUCUUUACUCGUUGUUUUCUUUAAUUAAAAGUAGAAAGUUAAAAGCUAAAAUUAUGUAAAUUUAUUAUUAAAAAGUUUUAUUAGACAAAAAUUAACAUUUCCGGACUAAAUUUAAAGAGAAAAUACUUUCAUAAAAGGUAAAUUAUACUUCUUUGUUAAAUUUUUCUUUUUCUAGUUCUAAACCUAUUUUUUAAUAAAUAAAAAACUCAAACACUUAUAUAAAUUUUUAUUUUAAAUUUAAAAUGAGUUUUUUUUUAUUUAUAAAUAUGAUUAUUGUUUUUAAGUUAAGGAUAAGUUAUUUAAAUGAUGGUGAUAUUAAAUGUCAUAAAAGAUUUGAUUUAUCAUCAUCAUUAUAUUCUAAUUAAUUUUUAAAUAAAAUGGUAAAGUCGAAUUUGAAAAUUGAUAUUACAGUCAAGGCUUCAAGUUACCGGAGCUUCAUGUUGGAAGAUCAGGGUGAGUUACCUGCAUGAUUGUGAUGUCUAAACAAUUUGACCUAUCCUUGUCGGACACCAUUUGGUUUUUGGAUGAAAUGAUCAAAGUCUCAUCCAAAAAUUGGUGUUAGAGCCAAUAUUAUGAGCCAUGUUGGAAGCUUGGGGAUAGGUCACUAAAAUGAUUACAAUGUCCAAUGUUAUAUAUUAGGUUUAUACUAAUUCAAUGUAAGGUAAACACAAAAGAGGAAUGGUGAAUUAGGUAUUGGUCACUUUAAAAAUUUUCUAAUAAGAUGAAUGCAAAUGACAAAUAUAAACAAUAAUAUAAACAAUAAAUUGUAAUUAUAGUGGUUUGCCCAAUAUCAACCUAUGUCCAAUUUUCUCUAACUUUAAUCCAAACUCGAAGUUCAACUAUCAACAUGGCUUCAAACAAAGCCUUAAUAUGGUACACUUGGAUUAUUGGGUUCAAGGAAUCUUUCGUAAUUCCUUUAGAGAUACCCUCGAGUGAUCCCUUAUACUUAGCAAACUCAAUGGAUACCUCACACUUAGCAAACUCAAGUGAUACCUCACACUUAACUAAUUUCCUCUCAAGAUUUACAAAGAAAUAGAAAAAUCCUAAUAACAAUUUUUGGUUAAGGAUUAUGAUACACACUAGUAUUGAGGCUAUACGAAAUGGAUAUGAAAGGUAUAAGAAGAAAGUGUACUUGUAGACCUUAAGGGAGAGAGGAAUGGUUUUUUUGUUUUUUUUUUUUUUCUUCUUUCUUUUUCUUUUUUUCUUACAACCUCGAGAAUGAGUUGUUCAAGGCAGCCAUGGGACUGAUGAGUGAGCUGUUUUUGGGCGACUAGAUGGGACUGGAAGUGAGCUGUUAUGGUAGCCAGACAGGACGACUUGAAAGAAAAAUUAGUCUAGAUAGGACUGGAAGUGAGCUGUUAUGGUGGCCAGACAGGACGACUUGAAAGAAAAAUUAGUCAAGAGUUGGUUUUGAAAAAAGGAGAAAGAUACGUGGGGGGGGGGGGGGGGGGGGGGGGGGGGGGGGGGGAAAAAAAAGGAAAAAACAAAAGGGGGAAAAAAAUUUUUUUUUUGGGGUUUCAAAAAAAAGGAAAAAAAAAAACCCCCCCUCUCCCCUUCCUGUCCGGGGGAGAAUUUCAAUUUUUUUUAAUUUUCCCCUUUGAAAAAAACCCCCCGGGGUUUUCCCGCCUAAGGGGGGNNNNNNNNNNNNNNNNNNNNNNNNNNNNNNNNNNNNNNNNNNNNNNNNNNNNNNNNNNNNNNNNNNNNNNNNNNNNNNNNNNNNNNNNNNNNNNNNNNNNGCGGGGGGAAGAAGAGGGAACGAGCAGAGAGGGGAAAGAGAUUUUAUUUUGGAGUUGCAAGAAGAAGGAGCAAGAAAUCAACCCAUCAUCCUCUUCCUAGUCCAGGUACGAUUUCAACUUACUUUACAUUUCCCAUUUGGAACUAUUCUCCUGGGUUUUCCUGCUAUUAGUGGGUUCAUCUUGGUCCUUGAAAGCAACUUAUGCAUGCUCUGUUUUUUUUUUUUUCUUUUUCCUUUAUUUUGGAGUUGCAAGAAGAAGGAGCAAGAAAUCAACCCAUCAUCCUCUUCCUAGUCCAGGUACGAUUUCAACUUACUUUACAUUUCCCAUUUGGAACUAUUCUCCUGGGUUUUCCUGCUAUUAGUGGGUUCAUCUUGGUCCUUGAAAGCAACUUAUGCAUGCUCUGUUUUUUUUUUUUCUCUUUCCUUUCUCCUCUGUUUUUGGCAUAUUUCAAAAUAUUGGGUGAUCACGAGACGAGGGUGUUUAUAGAAUGUGGGUUUAGAAAGCAGUUGUGGUUGUCUGAUGCAUUGAAAUCUCUAUGGGUUUAUUAUGCUUGAUCAUUUCCUGGUCUCUCUCUCUAUACUCUUCAUCAUCAUUUCUUAAGUGCCAGACCGAACCCAUCAUGCGAACCACCUCCAUCUCCAUCUCCAUUUCCAUUUCCAUCUCCACCUCCAUCUCUCCUUGUCUCUCUCCAACACCGAGUCCACCACUCGCACCAUCACCAAAACCCAUGCUGGCGUCAACGUCGGUGCCACCAUGGACAUGACCGAUAUGAAUGAGAUCAAGGCUCGGAGCGCACCUCUGAGAUAACGAACAAGGUCCUUCUUCGGCGGCAUUAUACGGUUCAGCUCGACCUACUCCAGCCAUGUGGCCAGUUGCGCCGAUCACUAGUAACGACGGUAGCGUUUUCUAGGUGCUUUCGGAUUGCCACCACUGCUUCUGUCUCUACUGCGUCGUGGUUGAAGCUCUACGCGUCGUGCCAUGCUUGCCAGAACUCAUGUGUUGCCAUGUGUAAAUGGGCUGCAAGUUGGUGCUUUUUUGUGGAGAAGUGGGGCUUCAUUACUCCACUUCCAAAAGCUGGCAGUUGACUAAUGGCAUGAAACUGUUUAAACAAUUGAUGAAUGGCAUGAGAUUUUUCAUAAGUGGCAGGGGCACUUCAAGUUCUUUGAAUAAAUAAGUGGCAGUGGCAUGGGUCCUUGUGGCCUCAUGGUGAUUAUUUUUUUUUCUUUUUUCUCACAUGUCAAAGUUUGAUUUUUGUAAAUUCUUUUUAAAUGAUUCUUAAAAUCUCGGUUUCUCGAAUACUCUCAUUUCUAUUCCAAUUUUCAAAUUUAAUUCCUAAAAAUACCAUUUUAAAAUCAUUUCCUGAAUCUUUAAUUUUCAAAAUUUAAUUUCCAAAACUUCUAUUUUCAAAUGAUCGCUAAAAAUUCUAUUCUCAAAUAAUUUUUCGAAAUUCCGAUUCUCAAAUUUAAUUUUUAAAACUUUGUUUUUUUAAAUAAUUCUUCAAAAUUCCAAUUUUCGAAUUUAAUUUCUAAUUUCCAAAAUUCCAAUUUUCACAUUCGUUUAUUAUUAUUAUUAUUAUUAUUAUUAUUUUAUUUUAUUUAAAAAAAAUCCAUCUUUAAAUAAUUCUUCAAAAUUCCGAUUUCCAAAUUCUAAAAUUCCAAUUUUCACAUUUGUUUAUUAUUAUUAUUAUUAUUAUUAUUAUUAUUAUUAUUAUUAUUAUUUUAUUUAUUUUUAAAAUUUUCAUCUUUAAAUAAUUCUUCAAAAUUCCAAUUUCCAAUUUUUGAAAUUCCAAUUUUCACAUUCAUUUAUUUAAUCAUUAUUGUUUUCGUUAUUAUUAUUAGUUUAUUUAUUUUUUAAAUUCCAUCUUUAAAUAAUUCUUCAAAAUUCCAAUUUCCGAAUUUAAUUUCUAAUUUCCAAAAUUCAAUUUUCAUAUUUGUUUAUUAUUAUUAAAUUCCAAUUUUCACAUUUGUUUAUUAUUAUUAUUAUUAUUUUAUUUAAGAAGUGCACUUUUGGAGUGACUUCUGGAAAGCUGCUGGGAUACAUGGUCAGUGAGAGAGGUAUAGAGGUAGACCUAGAUAAGAUCAGAGUCAUCCUUGACAUGCCUACGUCGAAGACUGAGAAAGAGAUCAGAGGCUUCUUGGGUAGACUUUAGUACAUUAGCAUAUUCAUUGCUAGAUUGACAUAUAUCUGCAAGCCCAUUUUCCGACUCUUGAAGAAGAGUCAACCUACUGUUUAGGAUUAUCAGUGCCAGCGUGCAUUUGAGAUGAUCAGAGAGUACUUGUUGUCACCUCCAGUCUUGUUGCCUCCUACACCAGUCCAUCUUUUACUCCUAUACUUGUUAGCUUCAGACGUAGCUUUGGGUUGCAUGUUGGCUCAGCUCGAUGAUUCGGGCAAGGAACAAGCUAUUUAUUAUUUGAGUAAGAGGAUGCUAGAUUAUGAGAUGAGAUAUGUCAUGAUUGAGCGCUACUGAUUGGCAUUGGUUUGGGCUACUCGAAGACUGAGACAUUACAUAACCGAGUAUUCAAUGCACUUGAUAUCCCGUCUAGAUCCUUUUAGAUAUUUGUUUGAUAGGCUUACUUUGGUCGGUCGCCUCAUGAGAUGGUUGGUACUUCUGACUGAGUUUGACAUUCAUUAUGUCACUCAGAAGUCUAUCAAAUGGAGCAUUGUUGCAGAUCACUUAGUCUCAUUAUCGGUUUCUAAUGGUAGAGUUAUUGAUGAUGAUUCCCCAGAUGAUGAUGUUGCUACUGUGACUAGUCUGUCAGGUUGGCGUAUUGUAGACCCUCAAUUUUGUCCCUUUAGCACAUGUUUUAAAGUUCAUUAUCAAUACUUUACAGUAAUCUCUUGGUAGCCCAUAGCUACUCACGCUACUUACCUUUCUUGAGCCACCUCGGAGACUUUAGUUGAGGGGUUUACCCGGCUCCACAUUAUGACCUUGGCUGCCCUUCAAGUUUAGAUUAGGCCUCACUUAAGUGCACUUCAGACUUAGUUAGGCCCACCUAGUCUCACCCUAGGCCCACUUAGGUAUACCUAGCCCACUUAAGUCCACCUUGACCCAUUUAGGUCCACCUUGACCCACUUAGAUUCACCUAAGCUCACUUAGGUCCACUUUAACCCACUUAGACUCACCAAAGCUCAUUUAGGCACAUCUAGGCCCACUUUGGUUUACUAGGUCCACUUAGGCAUCCUGGCCCACCUAUGUUACCUUUUAGAUAACUCCUGUAUGGCUUGCAUAGUUCGCAUGACUUGUAUUUCUUAACACUUGCAUGAGCUUGAUUUCUUAUUCAUUUAUCUAUUUAUUUAUUUAGUUAUUUAUUUAUUAUAUUUGUUUAGCUAUUUGUUUAUUGUUAUCUAUUUUUUUUUUUUACAAGAUUGCAUGUGAUCAAUUAUCUCAUCUCUUUUUAUGAUUACUAUUAUUAUUACUAUUAAAUGUUUUUACUAAUAUGUACGUUAAUAAAUUUUUUUAGUAAGUUAUUUUGUAUUUUAUUUUAUUUUAUUUGGUUAUUUUCUUAAAGUGCUUUUAAUAUAUUUUUUGGCAAGUUAAGUUUUUUAAUAUAUAUAUACAUAUAUUUGUUUAUACCAAUUUGAUAAGUUAUUAUUAUUAUUAUUACCUUUAAAAAGGUUUGUUAAUAUUUUUUUAAUUUUUGAAUUAUGAUGUAUAUAAAAUAGAAAAACACUUUCCAUAAAAGUUAAAAUACCACUUUGCAAUUAAAACAUCACUUUCCAUAUAUCCACGUACAUAUCCCAAAAGGAAAUAAAAUAUUCCAUGAAAAGGAUAGGUUGCCAUAUAAAUGGGACAAAAAGGAAUAGAAGAAGGACGGUGGGACUUUUUCUUGAAGGAAGAUCAACACAUGCAAGAGUUUUUUGGAGGGAGCGAUAGAGGACUUGAAGGACUAAUUGGGCUGCCAUUUCGACAUAUCAAGAGAGUAUUUUUCCGAUACAAUACAGGUUAGUUUUCGAUUUUUGAUACAAUAUUUCUUUUUUUAGUUUGGGUUUUACUUGAUUAGUUUAAUUAAUUGUUUGCGAUAAAUUCUUUUAAAUCUCGAUUUCGAAUAAUCUUUUAUUUUUCUUAGAUUAAAUGUCUCUCUUUUAUGAUUGCAAUUCAUUAGUUCUAUGCUAGUUUAUUUUAAUCUACAUGAAAGUUUAAAUAAAGUUUAUAUUUUUAAUUCCAAUUAGUUUAAAUUCUAGUUUAUUUUUAAUUUGAAUGAGUUAUUGAUCUUAAAUCUAUUAGUUUAAUUGGACUUGUAAGGUAAAGUUUAUAUUUUUAAUGCCGAUUAGUUUAAAUUCUAGUUUAUUUUUAAUUUGAAUGAGUUAUUGAUCUUAAAUCUAUUAGUUUAAUUGGACUUGUAAGGUAAAGUUUAUAUUUUUAAUGCUGAUUAGUUUAAAUUCUAGUUUAUUUUUAAUUUGAAUGGGUUAUUGAUCUUAAAUCUAUUAGUUUAAUUGGACUUGUAAGGUAAAAUUUAUAUUUUUAAUUCCAAUUAGUUUAAAUUCUAAUUUAUUUUUAAUUUGAAUGAGUUAUUGAUCUUAAAUCUAUUAGUUUAAUUGGACUUGUAAGGUAAAGUUUAUAUUUUUAAUUCCGAUUAGUUUAAUUCUUGUUUAUUUUUAAUUUGAAUGAGUUAUUGAUCUUAAAUCUAUUAGUUUAAUUGGUCUUGUAAGAUAAAGUUUAUAUUUUUAAUUCCAAUUAAUUUAAAUUCUAGUUUAUUUUUAAUUUGAACGUUUUAUCGAUCGUAAUUCUUUAGUUUAAUUGAUCUUGUGAGGAAAAGUUUACAUUUUUAAUUCUAAUUAGUUUAAUUUUAGUUAUUCAUGUGUUUCUUAAAAUCUAAAUGUUAGUUUUUGGAUGAUAAUUUUGUUAGUUUAUUUGAUUAGGAAGUUAUAAAUUUGUUGCCUUAGUGAUUGUUGGUCAAAUUUUUUUUUUAGGGCCACUGGAAACCCAUGAAAGUUGGCCUUUACUCUCACCACUUUAAUUGACAAGAUUUCCUAAAAUCUUUAUUUUGUGAUCUCUGUUUCCUUUUGUUUUGAUUGAUAUUUUGUUUUCUAUUUUUGUUAUUUUAAAAAUUAAUUUCCUUUAUUUUAAAACAAAACUCUUUUUCUCAAAAAAAAAAAAAAAAAACCCCUUUUAAGAGUUUUUUUUUUUAAAUUCAUUUAAAGCCUCUAGAAUCAAAAUCUCUUUUCUAUUUAAAAAAUAACAUGCAACCAUAUCUUAAUCGGUUUGCAUCCUUCUCAAUUUUCAAUAAAAAUUUUGGUUUUAAACAAAACGCGAAUCAAAGCUUGUGGUCCCAAAUAAAUGGGACAAUUGUAGGCUAAAUUCGUGUAUAUUAAUUUGGGGAAUUGGUGAAACCCUACAUAAGAAAAUCUUUUUCAAAAUUCAUUUUUGCUACCACCCUGCUAUUUAUUGUAAUUAUAUUUACAUUUUUCUUUUUAGGAAUUGUAUACAAGAUAUGUAUGAUAAUUAAUUAUUCCGAAUUCUAAUAAUUUUUGCUAAUUAAUUAGAUAAGCAUGCUAGGAUUUAUUAUUUAUUAUUUAUUAUCUAACCCCCAUGUCCUGAGGAAGCGCAUUAGGAGUUAUAUAUGCUAUCCAGGUAUGUUCCCAAAAUUUCAUGAAUAUGCAUGUCAUUGCCCUUGUUUGAUGUCAUACUUGAUUAUCUCAAUGCUUGUUUGAUCGUCCUUGAUAAAAUGCAUGUCGUGUGUCAUAUUUUUGAAUUAACCAUUGAUGUUUUGUGAUAGCGCUUAAGAAGUGGUUCAGGUGUGCACCCUAACUCUCAUUUAUUGUGAUUGAUCUCCUUAUUUAGCAUGUUACUUUCUGAAAUCACCUAGCUUACUUAGGUAUCUACAAUUAAUCAAUUAAUUACCACAUAACCCCCAAUUUAGUCAGUAGAGACCUUUUUAGGGCUUAGAGGGGUGCUACCUCCUAGAGGUACCUUCCCAAUAAGUAACCUAAUCCCCGGACUUAGACUCGGUUUUUUCAAAGACACGCUUUUCCAAAAAUUAUGGAGUCAUUUUUUUAAGGUUUUAUUUAUUGUUUUAUUUUCCCUUUAAAAUAAAAAUAAAAUAAGUGGCGGCUCCAACUUUUCCAAAACUAAAUAAUUUUUCACAAAUAAAAAGCGAGUCUCGCCGAUCGAGUGAGGACGCACGUGAAAAAUGCGGGUCUACAAAUUUGAGACAGUUUGCAUUUAACACUGUCAUUGAUGUUUCGAGGAGAGAGUUAGAGGCUUUGAGACAGAGGCCAGUGGAGUCGCCAAUUUGUGGACCCGCAUUUUUCAUGUGUGUCCACACUCGAUCGGCGAGACUCGCUUUUUAUUUGUGAAAAAUUAUUUGGUUUUGAAAAAGUUAGAGUCACCACUUAUUUUAUUUUAAUUUUAAAGGGAAAAUAAAACAAGAAAGAAAAACCCUAAAAUGUGACUCCAUAAUUUUUGGAAAAAAACAUGUCUUUGAAAAAACCCAAGUCUAGGUCCAGAGAUCAGGUUACUUAUUGGGAAGGUACCUCUAGGAGGUAGCACCCCUCUAAGCCCUAAAGAGAUCUUUACUGACUAAAUUGGGGAAAUGAGACAAUUAAUUUAUUAAUUAUAGAUACCUAAGUAAGCUAGGUGAUUUCAAAAAGUAGCAAGCUAAAUAAGGAGAUCAAUCACAAUAAAGGAAAGUUAGAGUGCGUACCUGAACCACUUCUUAAGCGCUAUCAUAAAACAUCAAUGGUUAAUUCAGAAAUAUGACACACGACAUGCAUUUUAUCAAGGAUGAUCAAACAAGCAUCAAGACAAUCAAGUAUGACAUCAAAUAAGGGCAAUGACAUGCAUAUUCAUGAAAUUUUGGGAACGUACCUGGAUAGCAUAUAUAACUCCUAAUGCGCUUCCUCAGGACAUGGGGGUUAGAUAAUAAAUAAUAAAUCAUAACAUGCUUAUCUAAUUAAUUAGCAAAAAUUAUCAGAAUUCGGAAUAAUUAAUUAUCAUACAUAUCGUGUAUAUAAUUCCUAAAAAUAAAAAUGUAAAUAUAAUUACAAUAAAUAGCAGGGUGGUAGCAAAAAUAAAUUUUGAAAAAGAUUUCUCAUGUAGGGGUUUCACCAAUUCCCCAAAUUAAUAUACACGAAUUUAGCCUAAAAUUGUUCCAUUUAUUUGGGACCACAAGCUUUGAUUCGCGUUUUGUUUAAAACCAAAAUUUUUAUUGAAAAUUGAGAAGGAUGCAAACCGAUUAAGAUAUGGUUGCAUGUUAUUUUUUAAAUAGAAAAGAGAUUUUGAUUCUAGAGACUUUAAAUGAAUUUAAAAAAAAAAUCUCUUAAAAGGUUUUUUUUUUUUUAGAAAAAGAGUUUUGUUUUAAAAUAAAGGAAAUUAAUUUUAAAAUAACAAAAAUAGAAAACAAAAUAUCAAUCAAAACGAAAGGAAACAGAGAUCACGAAAUAAAGAUUUUAGGAAAUCUUGUCAAUUAAAGUGGUGAGAGUAAAGGCCAACCUUCAUGGGUUUCUAGUGGCCCUCAAAAAAAAAAAUUGACCAACAAUCACUAGGGCAACAAAUUCAUGACUUCCUAAUCAAACAAACUAACAAAAUUAUCAUCCAAAAACUAACAUUUAGAUUUCAAGAAACACAUGAAUAACUAGAAUUAAACUAAUUGGAAUUAAAAAUGCAAACUUUACCUCACAAGAUCAAUUAAACUAAAGAAUCAAGAUUGAUAACACGUUCAAAUUAAAAAUAAACUAGAAUUUAAAGUAAUCAGAAUUAAAAAUACAAAUUCUACCUUACAAGACCAAUUAAACUAAUAGAUUUAAGAUCAAUAACUCAUUCAAAUUAAAAAUAAACUAAAAUUUAAACUAAUCGGAAUUAAAAAUAUAAACUUUACCUUACAAGUCCAAUUAAACUAAUAGAUUUAAAAUCAAUAACUCAUUCAAAUUAAAAAUAAAUUAGAAUUUAAACUAAUCGGAAUUAAAAAUAUAAACUUUACCUUACAAGUCCAGUUAAACUAAUAGAUUUAAGAUCAAUAACUUAUUCAAAUUAAAAAUAAACUAGAAUUCAAAUUAAUCGGAAUUAAAAAUAUAAACUUUACCUUACAAGUUCAAUUAAACUAAUAGAUUUCAGAUCGAUAACUCAUUCAAAUUAAAAAUAAACUAGAAUUUAAACUAAUCGGAAUUAAAAAUAUAAAUUUUACCUUACAAGUCCAAUUAAACUAAUAGAUUUAAAAUCAAUAACUCAUUCAAAUUAAAAAUAAACUAUAAUUCAAAUUAAUCGGAAUUAAAAAUAUAAAUUUUACCUUACAAGUCCAAUUAAACUAAUAGGUUUAAGAUCAACAACUCAUUCAAAUUAAAAAUAAACUAGAAUUUAAACUAAUUGGAAUUAAAAAUAUAAACUUUACCUUACAAGUCCAAUUAAACUAAUAGAUUUAAGAUCAAUAACUCAUUCAAAUUAAAAAUAAACUAGAAUUCAAAUUAAUCGGAAUUAAAAAUAUAAACUUUACCUUACAAGUUCAAUUAAACUAAUAGAUUUAAGAUCAAUAACUCAUUCAAAUUAAAAAUAAACUAGAAUUUAAACUAAUCGGAAUUAAAAAUAUAAACUUUAUUUAAACUUUCAUGUAGAUUAAAAUAAACUAGCAUAGAACUAAUGAAUUGCAAUCAUAAAAGAGAGACAUUUAAUCUAAGAAAAAUAAAAGAUUAUUCGAAAUCGAGAUUUAAAAGAAUUUAUCACAAACAAUUAAUUAAACCAAUCAACUAAAACCCAAACUAAAAAGGAAAUACUAUAUCAAAAAUUGAAAACUAACCUGUAUUGUAUCGGAAAAAUACUCUCUUGAUGUGUCGAAAUGGCAGCCCAAUUAGUCUUUCAAGUCCUCUACCGCUCCUCCCAAAAAACUCUUGCGUGUGUUGAUCUCCCUCAAAGAAAAAGUCCCACAGUCCUUCUAUUCUUUUUUAUCCCAUUUAUAUGGCAACCUAUCCUUUUUAUGGAAUAUUUUAUUUCCUUUUGGGAUAUGUACGUGGAUAUAUGGAAAGUGAUGUUUUAAUUGCAAAGUGGUAUUUUAACUUUUAUGGAAAGUGUUUUUCUAUUUUAUAUACAUCAUAAUUCAAAAAUUAAAAAAAAUAUUAACAAACCUUUUUAAAGGUAAUAAUAAUAAUAAUAACUUAUCAAAUUGGUAUAAACAAAUAUAUGUAUAUAUAUUAAAAAACUUAACUUACCAAAAAAUAUAUUAAAAGCACUUUAAGAAAAUAACCAAAUAACAUAAAAUAAAAUACAAAAUAACUUACUAAAAAAAUUUAUUAACGUACAUAUUAGUAAAAACAUUUAAUAGUAAUAAUAAUAGUAAUCAUAAAAAGAGAUGAAAUAAUUGAUCACAUGCAAUCUUGUAAAAACAAAUAAAUAGAUAACAAUAAACAAAUAGCUAAACAAAUAUAAUAAAUAAAUAACUAAAUAAAUAAAUAGAUAAAUGAAUAAGAAAUCAAGCUCAUGCAAGUGUUAAGAAAUACAAGUCAUGCGAACUAUGCAAGCCAUAUAGGAGUUAUCUAAAAGGUAACAUAGGUGGGCCAGGAUGCCUAAGUGGACCUAGCAAACCAAAGUGGGCCUAGAUGUGCCUAAAUGAGCUUUGGUGAGUCUAAGUGGGUUAAAGUGGACCUAAGAGUGGGUCAAGGUGGACCUAAAUGGGUCAAGAUGGACCUAAGUGGGCUAAGUGUACCUAAGUGGGCCUAGAGUGAGACUAGGUGGGCCUAACUAAGUCUGACCUGAAGUGCACUUAAGUGAAGCCUAAUCUAAACUUGAAGGGCAGCCAAGGUCAUAAUGUGGAGCCGGGUAAACCCCUCAACUAAAGUCUCCGAGGUGGCUCAAGAAAGGUAAGUAGCGUGAGUAGCUAUGGGCUACCAAGAGAUUACUGUAAAGUAUCGGUAAUGGACUUUAAAACAUGUGCUAAAGGGACAAAAUUGAGGGUCUACACGUAUGUACUUUGAUGGUGCGGCCAACCAUUCUGGAUACGAGAUAGGUGUUUUAUUGAUAUCCACUCAUGGUGACCACAUUCCUAGAUUUAUUCGUCUGGCAUUCUCAGAUCGACACCCUGCCACAAACAAUAUUGUUGAGUAUGAAGCUUGCAUCUUGGGACUAAAGAUAGCUCUUGAGCUCGGGAUUAGAUGGAUGGAGGUAUUUGGUUACUCCAAUCUGGUAUUGAGACAGAUUCAGGGCCAUUGGAAGACUAGAGAUGUGAAGCUUAGGCCUUACCAUGCAUACUUAGAGCUGCUGGUUAGGAGGUUUGAUAAUUUGAGUUAUACGCAUUUGCCUAGAGCACAGAACCAGUUUUCUAAUGCUACUCUAGCUUCCAUGAUUGAUAUUCUUACUGAUACCGUCGUUUUCCCUUUACUGAUUAAGUUGAGAUCUGUUCCUACCUAUUAUUGCUUGAUUGAUGAGGCAGAGUUGGAUGAUGGUUUGCCUUGGUACCAUGACAUAUACCAGUUUUUGAGACUUGGUGCAUAUCCUGAGGCCGCCAUGGCCAAGGAUAAAAGAACAUUGAGACAGUUAGCCAUUAUUUAAUUAUUUAAUUUUCAAUUUCAAAAAUUCCAAUUUUCACAUUAUUUAAUUAUUUAUUUAUUAUUAUUUUAUUAUUAUUAUUUUUAAAUUCCAUUUUCAAAUAAUUUCCAAGAUUCCAAUUCUUAAAUUUAAUUUUCAAAACUCCAAUUCUCAAAUAAUUUUCUAAUUUCUUUCAGAUUUAAUUUUUAAAGUUCCAAUUCCUUAAUUUAAUUGUCAAAACCAUAAUUCUCAAAUAAUUUUAAAUUUUCCAAUUUCUUUCAAAUUUAAUUUACAAAAUUCCAAUUUUUAAAUUUAAUUCCCAAUACUCCAAUUUUCAAAUAAUUUUCGAGACUCCAAUUUUCAAAUAAAUUUCAAAAAUCCAGUUUUCUCUCUAACAAUUUUAAUUCCACUCCGGUUUUCAAUAAUCUUUUGUUUCUUUUGAUUUUAAAUAAGUAAUAAUGAAUUUUUCAUAAUUCCAAAAUAAUGGAAUUUGUGAGUUUAAUUCAUGCAAGAUAAAUUAGGUUUUGGUGGGGGUCAUACAUAUGAGUUUUCUCUUCUGAUUGUCAAUUGUUAUACUUAAUGAAUAUUGUUUGAUCUUUGUCUUCCUCUUUGAUAUGCAUGUGAUGAUUUUAUACUUGAGCUAACUUUGGUUUCAUGAUAGUGCACUAUUAUUUGUUGUCAAGGUACACUCUCAUUCCCACUUUGUCUAUUCUCAUACAUGAUUCAUUUUAUUAUUUGAUUAUUUCAGUGUUAUUAAUUAAUUUUCUUAUCAAUUGUCACAUUUGUCUCACCUUAUUUAGUAGAAACUCAUUUUUAAGGGGCUUAGAGGGGUGUUAUGGUAUUUUACUGUACCUUCCUAAUAAGUAACCUAACCCUUGGACCCAAACUCAAUUUUUCACAGACUUGUUUUUCCUUCAAAAAUCACACUUAGGGUUUUUCUUUUUUAUUUUGUCUUUCCCUUAAAAAAUAAAACAAAAAUAAGUGGCAGCUUCAAGUCUUUUUUUAAAAAUCAAAUUUCACCAAAUAAAAAUAAAAAGCGAGUUUCGUCAUCGAGUGAGAACGCAUUGUGCGAAAUAUGGGUCCACAGUACUACAAAAAAAUAUUUACAAAGGCUUCAAAUGAUUUAUCAACAAAGGUUUGGAACUAUUCUCUCUUUUAUAAAUGAGGUUAUGAGCUUUUAUAUAGGAGUUGGAAUGUCAAACUACAUAAUUAGGCUCAAUCAAUUACAUUGUCGUUGGUAAGAGGAGACUGCAAGAUACGACCACUAGGUCCUGUAGCUCAAUUGGUUGAGCUUUUGGCUCAACUAGUGGUCACUAUUAAGGAGCAUCUUAUAAGCCCUUAAGCCAACUUGAAUGGUCGAUCUAGGUAGUUCGAUUGACUAAUUCCCCCUUUCUUAGAGCAUUUCAAUAAAAUAGGUAAGUUUUAGCUUAAAAACACAAAGAUUAAAUGACUAUAUAAACUCCUUAACAUUUUGAAAACUUUUUAAACAUGAAUUACAUUAGUCAAAUAUAGUUUUCAUUUAAAAAGAUACUUUAUCAAAUUUUAAAAAAAUUUAAAACAAGUUUGAGUUGAAUUUGAUGAGUUUUGGUGUUUUAAACAAAAUAUAUGCGAUGAGAACUCAGUGCACCCAUAAUUUUACAUAAAAUAAUUUAAAGAUAGUCUCGAUAAUUUUUUUUCUUGAUUUCUUCUUUAACUUCAUGUAGAUUCUUCUUUAAAAUACCAUUUUUAAAUAAUUUCUCGAAUCUUUAAUUUUCAAAAUUAAUUUCAAAAACUUCUAUUUUCAAAUGAUCACUAAAAAUUCUAUUCUCAAAUAAUUUUUCGAAAUUAUGAUUCUCAAAUUUAAUUUUUAAAACUUUGUUUUUUUAAAUAAUUCUUCAAAAUUCCAAUUUCCAAACUUAAUUUCCAAAAUUCCAAUUUUCACAUUUGUUUUAUUAUUAUUAUUAUUCCAAUUUCUAAAAUUCUAUUUUUCACAUUCAUUUAUUUAAUCAUUAUUAUUUUUGUUAUUAUUAUUAUUUUAUUUAUUUAUUUAUUUAAAUUCCAUCUUUAAAUAAUUCUUCAAAAUUCCAAUUUCCAAAUUAAAUUUCCAAUUUCCAAAAUUUCAAUUUUCACAUUUGUUUAUUAUUGUUGUUGUUGUUGUUGUUGUUGUUGUUUUUUCUAUUUAUUUAUUUUUUAAAAUUCCAUUUUUAAAUAAUUCUUCAAAAUUCCGAUUUUCAAAUUUAAUUUCUAAUUUUCAAAAUUUCAAUUUUCACAUUUGUUUAUCAUUAUUAUUAUUUUAAUUAAUUAUUUAUUUAUUUUUAAAAAUUCCUUCUUUAAAUCAUUCUUCAAAAUUCCGAUUUCCAAAUUUAAUUUCCAAUUUCCAAAAUUCCAAUUUUCACAUUUGUUUAUUAUUAUUAUUAUUAUUUUAUCUAUUUAUUUAUUUUUAAAAAUUUCAUCUUUUAAUCAUUCUUCAAAAUUCCGAUUUCCAAAUUUAAUUUCUAAUUUCCAAAAUUCCAAUUUUCACAUUUGUUUAUCAUUAUUAUUAUUUUAAUUAUUUAUUUAUUUAUUUAUUUUUAAAAAUUCCUUCUUUAAAUCAUUCUUCAAAAUUCCGAUUUUCAAAUUUAAUUUUCAAUUUCCAAAAUUCCAGUUUUCACAUUUUAUUAUUAUUAUUAUUAUUAUUAUUAUUUUAUCUAUUUAUUUAUUUUUAAAAAUUCCAUCUUUAAAUCAUUCUUCAAAAUUCCAAUUCUCCAAUUUCCGAAUUUAAUUUUCAAUUUCAAAAAUUCCAAUUUUCACAUUAUUUAUUUAAUUAUUUUAUUAUUAUUAUUAUUAUUAUUAUUAUUAUUAUUAUUAUUAUUAUUAUUAUUUAAAAAUUCCAUUUUCAAAUAAUUUCCAAGAUUCCAAUUCUUAAAUUUAAUUUUCAAAACUCCAAUUCUCAAAUAAUUUUCUAAUUUCUUUCAGAUUUAAUUUCUAAAGUUCCAAUUCCUUAAUUUAAUUGUUAAAACCAUAAUUCUCAAAUAAUUUUAAAAAUUCCAAUUUCUUUCAAAUUUAAUUUACAAAAUUCCAAUUUUUAAAUUUAAUUCCCAAGACUCCAAUUUUCAAAUAAAUUUAAAAAAUUCAGUUUUCUCUCUAACAAUUUUAAUUCCACUCCGGUUUUCAAUAACCUUCUGUUUCUCUUGAUUUUAAAUAAGUAAUAAUGAAUUUUUCAUAAUUCCAAAAUAAUGGAAUUUGUGAGUCUAAUUCAUGCAAAAUAAAUUAGGUUUUGGUGGAGGCCAUACAUAUGAGUUUUCUCUUCUGAUUGUCAAUUGUUAUACUUAAUGAAUAUUGCUUGAUCUUUGUCUUGCUCUUUGAUAUACAUGUGAUGAUUUUAUACUUGAGCUAACCUUGGUUCCAUGAUAGUGCACUAUUAUUUGUUGCCAAGGUACACUCUCAUUCCCACUUUGCCUAUUCUCAUACAUGAUUCAUUUUAUUAUUUGAUUAUUUCAGUGUUAUCCAUUAAUUUUCUUAUCAAUUGUCACAUUUGUCUUACCUUAUUUAGUAGAAACUCAUUUUUAAGGGGCUUAGAGGGGUGUUAUGGUAUUUUACUGUACCUUCCCAAUAAGUAACCUGACCCCCGAACCCAGACUCGGUUUUUCACAGACUUAUUUUUCUUUCAAAAAUCACACUUAGGGUUUUUCUUUCUUAUUUUGUUUUUCCCUUAAAAAAUAAAACAAAAAUAAGUGGCGGCUUCAAGUCUUUUUCUAAAAAUCAAAUUUUCACCAAAUAAAAAUAAAAAGCGAGUUUUGCCAUCGAGUGAGAACGCAUCGUGCGAAAUACGGGGUCUAUAGUACUACAAAAAAAUAUUUACAAAGGCUUUAAAUGAUUUAUCAACAAAGGUUUGGAACUAUUCUCUCUUUUAUAAAUGAGGUUAUGAGCUUUUAUAUAGGAGUUGGAAUGUCAAACUACAUAAUUAGGCUCAAUCUAUUACAUUGUCGUUGGUAAGAGGAGACUGCAAGAUACGACCACUAGGUCCUGUAGCUCAAUUGGUUGAGCUUUUGGCUCAACUAGUGGUCACUAUUAAGGAGCAUCUUAUAAGCCCUUAAGCCAACUUGAAUGGUCGAUCUAGGUAGUUCGAUUGACUAAUUCCCCCUUUCUUAGAGCAUUUCGAUAAAAUAGGUAAGUUUUAGCUUAAAAACACAAAGAUUAAAUGACUAUAUAAACUCCUUAACAUUUUGAAAACUUUUUAAACAUGAAUUACAUUAGUCAAAUAUAGUUUUCAUUUAAAAAGAUACUUUAUCAAAUUUUAAAAAAAUUUAAAACAAGUUUGAGUUGAAUUUGAUGAGUUUUGGUGUUUUAAACAAAAUAUAUGCGAUGAGAACUCAGUGCACCCAUAAUUUUACAUAAAAUAAUUUAAAGAUAGUCUCGAUAAUUUUUUUUCUUGAUUUCUUCUUUGACUUCAUGUAGAUUCUUCUCGAUUACUUUAAGAAAAUCUUCUUAUCUAUCAUACUUACUAUUAAAUGCUAAUUUCAAUCAUUGUAAAUUAAUGAAACCUUAGUCCAACACCCUAGACAACUUUUUAGAUAUAUUUUAAAAUUAAUUUUUAUAUGCAAUUCUUCAUUUUAAUUUUUUUUAUAUUUAUAUAAUUAUUUUUUAAAAUAGAACUAAAAAAACUUAAGUGAAAACAAUUCAAAGAUUUUUCCUAAAACACCUCCAAACAUGUUUCACCUCUUUUUCAUAACCAAACAUAAUUUAAAGGCAAAAUAAGUUCAUUAUGGUGCAUAGACCUUUAAGAAAACCUGGUUUAUUGCUAUGUGGUAUGUCAUAGGAGUUGCAUCUCUUAAUUUUGUUUCAUAAUCUUCUCAACCUAUGUAAACCCAUUUAAUAAAUGCAUUAUAUUUGAAUUUGACUACUUAAUUUGUCUAACUCAUUUACGACCUAAGUCACCUAAUUCAUUCACAACCUGUUUAAUUCGCAUAGAUUUAUUAAUUUUAUAUAUUUAUAAAUUAUAAAAAUAUUUUGUUUAAUUAUAAAUAUCAUUUCGUCAUUUAUUAAGUCUGGGGAUGGAUCUUAUUUUUAUUAGAUACCAAAUAAUUUUCAGAUGAGAUGGUCAAAAACCGUGUGCCCACAGACAGCCGAAAGAAUACGGAUCCAAGAAAGAAUUUUGCACUCUAGAUUGGCAAAACGGAACCAAAAGAACCCAAAAGAAAAUAACAGUAAUGGUGGGUUUUAUACUUUUAUCAAUAGAAUACUUGCUGCAGCCUGCAGUAGAUUCGAGAAGAAGUCAAAAGGUUGGCUGUCUGGCUUUCCUUUCUUCCGCCAUAGAUCUUUUUCUCUCUGUCUUUCUCAUGGUUGGCUGCUCGUAUUCAUAAUCGUCACCACAGCUGUAUGACUUUGAUUGAAGUUCCUUCAGAAAUUUGCUCACUGGAAAUUAAGUAUAACAAUUGCACCACUAUUGAAUUUUUCAUUUUUCGGGUUAUAAAACUAUUCUUAAUAACAAUAAUUCAAAUACUAAGACGUUCUUAUUUUAACUUAAAAAUGAGUUGUUUUUAUUUUAAUUAGGAUUAUCCAAGUAAAAUGUCCAUUGAUAGGACCUACGUAACUUAUAUUAUAAUCUUCAUUAAAGCUUUCAUAAUUUAUAAAUAAUUAUAAUCUUGAUUAAAAUUAUUAAGGUGAAACAAUAUUAUUCUUCUGUUCAUGAUGGAUUAGUCAAUUGAUUAUGAUGUUAAAUGUCGUUAAAGACUCGAUCUAUUUUCAUCAUAUACUAAUAGAUUUAGAUAAAAUAAUCAAAGUUCAAUAUGAAAACAAUAUUAUAGUCAAUGUAUAAAACUCGAUUCGAGAAUUGGUAUCAAAGUUGAGUUAUAAAUUUAAGUUAUAAGAUCAUCAUAUUAAGAGAGAGAUCAUUAAAGUUUUUAAAUUUGAGAUUUGAGUCUGAUGAUGGAUCUGAAGUCAAAUGUUAUAAAAAACUUUAAAUAUUUUUAUGUUUUUAUAUGAAACUUAUUUUCAAACCAUAUUUUUUAAUAAAAUUAUUCAAAUAAAUAUAUAAGAUUUUCAACUUAAAAAGUGGAAAAAAAACAAAAACAAAAAGAUGUUAGACUUAUCCAAAUCAAGGCUAUAACCCAAUCUAAGUAGAGCUAAUAGGUUUGCCAAAGUGGCAAAUUUGGAAUUUUGUAAAGAAUAAGUGGAUCAUGACUCUUGAAGUGGACCUUUCCAACAUUAUCAUAUCCUCAUUUAUAAAUCUUUAAUUUGUUUAGGCAAAGCAUGCAUUCCACUCCACAACAAACAAACCAUAACCAUUAUCCCUAGCAUAUGAUGCUUUUCCCUAAAGCCAAUGAGGGGCUCAAUCCAAUUUGGUUUGGGUCUCUUUCGCAACCCUCCCACCAUCUUUCUCUCAAAUGAAAAGAUGAACCUUAAGUUUAUCUUUAGUCGAGGAAAGAAAAAAACUGGUCGUGUCAGUUUUCUUAUAAAAAUUAUUAAAAGAAAUUAAAUAUAAUUAAGAUUAAAAAUUUAUAUAUUUUUAAAUUAUUUAAUUUUUAUAUUAAAUAAUUAAAAUACAUAAAUAAAUUUAAAUUUAAAUAUAAAAAUAAUUUAUUAACUUUAAAUCUAUUUUUUAUUUUUCUUUCUCUAUUUUGCAUUUUCCCUCAAAAUUUCUAAAACUAAACAUAACUUAAAUAUAGUGGAAUUAUAAAUACACCUUAUAUUUAGAAAGAAAAUCUAUAAUAUUAAUUUAAUAUCAUAUCAAUUUUUUUAUUCGAUCUAUUAAAGCAUAUGAUAAAAUUAGCAUCGUUAAAUAAAUAUACAAAUAGAUAAAAUCAACAUGAAGUAUAAAAAAGUAAAAUUAAAAUAUAAAAUAAUACGAUCAAAUCAUAAAAAUAAUGAAAUUAUAAUUAUAAAAUAUUAAGACCCGAGACACAAAAAAAUAAAACUAUGCUGCAUGAAUGGCAUUUCUUGAUUGGGCACGUAAGUUCAAUAAUGGUACCAUCGCCUCAUCCUUAUCAUGUUCUUGGUUGCAUGUCCUUUUAGAAAUUAAAUAGGUACGCUUGCCCAUCAAAUGUGGUUAGGCCAUCACUUGGACCCACCAUGGCCCCACAUAAUAACUUGUCUUUUGUCACCAACAUUCAUGUCAAUGCAAAUUGUCACAUUCAUGUAAUAUUUCGACCUUAACUUUCUCUCCUAAAAUUAUACACUAAAGUUUUAAUAUGAGCAUAUAUAUAUAUAUAUAUAUAAUUGUCUAAUAUAACCAUGUUUUCUUAUAAAAUAUAACAUCUAAAUUUAUAUUAAAGUCACAAUUUUAAGAUAGACUUUAAGGGAUGUUUGGUAAUACGUAACAUUUAUUACUUAAGUUAAUUUUAAGUUAUUGAUUUAAAAUUUUUUACUUAAUUUUUUACUUUUAAGUAUUAAAAAUAUUUAAUAAAAUUUAUUAUAAAUUAUCAAAUUGACAUAUUUAUCCUUAUAAAUUAUAAUUAUGGUAAAUGAGAUAAAAAAAUAAUGAAGGUGUAUAAUAAAAAGUAUCAUGAAAGUAAUUAGAAUAAAUAAUAGAUGAAAAUAUGAAUUUAAAAAUAAAUUAAUUAUUUUUAUUUAUUACUGAAAAUCAUAUUAUUAAGUUAUUUUAUAAAACAUAUUUAAUUUACUUAUUAACUUAAAUUAAAUUAUUAAGUCAUUUUAAAUUAUUAAAUUACUUAAUCAAACACCCAGAUACUAAAGUUAUAUUUUUUUUGGAUUGAGUUUAUUUUAUAAACUUGUUACCCUUUUUAAUAAAAGACUUCCGCAUGACAAAGAUCUAAAACUUAUUAUUUCAAAAAAAGAUCCGAAACCUAUAUAUUUUUUUUAUAUGUAAUUACAUUAUUUUCAUCGCUUUAUGUACUUUAAGUCUUAAAGAUUACUUUUUUAUAUUUAACCACACGUUAUUAUAUUUCUAUUAUAUAUAUAUAUAUAUUUUAUGUUCACCAUGUUUUUACUUCAAGCAUCUUUGAAUGGUAUAGGACAGACCAUUAUGAUGACUCAAAAAAAAAAGAAAAAAAAAAUCAGCACCAAAGAGCAAAGACUAACCCAUGGCUUAUAGGCUGUCCUAUUGCUUAAAAGGAUAAUGUAAAGAAAGAAGAAGAAGAAAGAAUAAGAAAAGUAAGGUCAUUUAGAAAUGGGUGACUGGCUUUUGGACGAACCUUAGCCCAUAAGGGUCGUGUGAAAGUGACUUGUGAACUCAAUUGAUGCAAUAGUUUAAUAUUAUUUUGUAUAAAAGAAUGACCUUUGAGGAUACCCUCAAUGGAAAAAUUCCUCAAAUCAUGAUUAAGACAAAGGCUCGACUCUCCACCCAUCCAAUAACUUUAAUAUAUUUUUAUUACUCCUCGAUCCUCACCCACUUUUAUAUAAAAAUAAUACAACACCCGUAAUUAUUAAAUGUUCGAUAUUUAAGGGUAUGGAACAAAUUUCUAACUUAAAAGACAUAAAUAAAUAAUAUAAUUAAUAAAAAGAAAAAUUUAUUGAUUGAAAUGUGACAAACACUGUCCUUAAAAUAGAUGAAUAUCAAUAAAAAUUCUUCCAAAAUACUCACUGAAAAAUUCUCUAAAAUAUUGGUAUUUGUCUAAAGAUUAAGGAGUGACCUACUUUUAUAGGUCACUAAUACAGUUUCAAUGAAAAUAUACUUAUAAUUAGAACAAGACUCAUAAUAGAAAGAGAUUUUACUUAUAAAAUGAAUAAGACUUCAUUAAUACAAUCCAAUAGAAUUUUUUCAAAAAAUAUAACACUAAUAGAAUAAAAUAAAAAUAAUUACCGAUUCUUUCCAAAAAAAAUAAAUUAUUUACACUCUUCAUACAUUAAAUACUUUAUACAUACAAAAAAAAAUGGAGUUCAUUGAAUGAGAAGUGAAGGGCUAAAAUCUAACUGCAUUUCGCCCAAAAGGAAGCAACUUCAAAUUAAGCCACCUUCACACAGUUUGGGAAAAUUCUUAUGUCAAAUCUUAUACCUAAAGAAGAUAUGCAUUAGCUUUUGUUUUGAUCAAAACUAGCAAAAAGUUGAAAAAAAAACCCAAAACUUAUAAAUAGUUGAUCUUAACUAAGAGAAAGGGUCUUCCACUUUGCAUUGGGAUUUUUUUUUUUUUUUUUUUGUGGGAAAACCAUAAUUAAUUAAAAGUUUAGAACCACAGAGGCAUCUAAAAAAGAAAACCUCUUUCUUAUGAAAAGGGUAGUCAUAGAAGGCGGCAGUAGAAAAGCUAUUUAGUAUUUACAAACAACAUUAAUUUUUGAAAAAAGAUAUGGAAAAAAGAAAAAUAAAAGAACGACAGGGUGACGUGCCAAAUUCUGAUUGGAUGGACGUAGACAGUUGCUUUCUUCUUCAUGUUACCCUCCUAAGUCACCUACGACUUCAUCUUCAUUGACUUACUCACUCACUGCUCUCUGCAAUCUCUCCUUGUCUUUCAUGGCGUUUUCUUCUCUGUUUUUUCUGAUGAUUUCAGCUGUUUCGUAGUAAUCUGGAGCUCUUGGGUUUUGGGAUUUUUGGGUUUUUCUCUUUUUAUGUCUUCUGGUAACACUACUUCUCUUUCAUAUCUUCUUCUUCAUUUCUCUUCCCUGCUCUGUUUUCCUCUUAUUUUUCUUCUCAUGGCCAUGACCCAGUGUAGGUUCUUGAUUUCGCCAUUUGUAGAUACAAGUACAGCACAAAUCACAUAACUAUUUGAAGCCUUCUUGUCUUUUGUUUUUUUUUUUUUUUUCCCCUUAGCAACCAAACAGUAGGUGAUUGGAAUGUUUGGAUUCUGUUUUAGUUUGAAUCUGAGUUUCAUUUUUCUGUUUGCUUGAUUCGCUUUGGGUAUUUGGAUUCCUUUGAUUUUUUCGUUAGUGAGAUAGGAAUAUUCAAUAUCGAAAUGUUGUGUUUUCUUCAAUUUUCUGAGCAACCAAACGGGCUUUUGCCUUAUUUAUGUGUGGUGGAUUUUGGGGAUGCAGGUAAAGAGGGAACUUGAAGUGGGUAUUUGGUUGGGGGAGAAGAGAUGGCGUACAGAAGAGGGUCUGAGCAGCAACCGCCGAGGCGGAUUAUGCGGACUCAGACUGCAGGAAAUUUAGGGGAGGCGAUGAUGGAUAGUGAGGUUGUGCCAUCAUCAUUAGUCGAGAUUGCUCCGAUUCUUCGUGUUGCCAACGAAGUUGAAUCCAGCAAUCCAAGGGUUGCUUAUCUUUGUAAGUUCCAUCUCAUCCAGCAAUUGAUGAUUUGUUGUUUCUUUCCUGAUUCUACAUGCUUAAUUUUUGUAUUAUCUUUUAGAAUUAAACUUCUUUGUUGUGAUUUUAUAUUUUGGAAGCUUCUGUUUUGUUUUCUGCAGUGCUUUCUGCAACUUCUACACAUACUCAUUUCUUCCCUAUCCCAUUUUUUUUUUCUUUUUAAUCACCAUCGUAGUUUGAUCAUAAGCCAGAUAAGAGCUGUCUUUUUUGCCCUAUAGUUGAAACUUCUAAAUUUCCCUUACGGUCUACUUCAAGCUUUCCCCUUAAUUCCAGCCAUAACCUAUUUGAAACCGUAUUCUUUGUAUCCUUACUCAAUCCACAAAUCCUAAUUCUACCUUUUUCCCUCCUUUUUUUUCAGACGCAUUGUAGUCUCCCUCUUUCUCAUCUCAAAAGUUGCUCAUCUUCUUGUUUGUGUCACUUCCUGCCAGUCAUUCCUUGAAUUUUGACAGUAUGCUCAGGUAAUUUACUUGGAGUAGUGGGGUCAAAUUAAAUCUUCAAUGUAAAAAGAUUAUAUGAAAUUAAAUGGUUGAAUUUCUAGGUGUUUUCAGAUCAGUAAAAAAUUGUAUGCAGCAGCUCUCACUCAGAUCAACAUAUGAAACACAUACUGCUUAUGAAUGACAUAAGCAAUAUUUCCUCCGAGUAAAUUUUAAUGAAUGCACAAAUUUUAAUCCCCAGAAGAUGUUAUUACUUAAACAUGUGAAUGUUUGGCUUUAUUUUCAAUAUAUAAUGCUAUAUGAAUCAUUGGUUAUUUGAUGGUGCAUAAAACAUAGAAGUGACAAUGCCCAUUUGUUCCUUUGUUUGUUUUUAUCCCUUCAAAUUAUUUAUCCUCAAACCAGUUUGUACUUAGUUCCGUUUUAUUUUAUAUCAAUCUUAAUCAAGUUUAAGUGCACUUAUAGGUUCUGUACAUUUUUUUUUUUGUUGGCUUUACUUUUCCAUUUUUACUUGUUCCUUCUUUCUUUUGAUCUUGGCAUCUCUUAUAACAUACUCUGUUGUCAGUGAUUCAAUUAUAUUUCAAAAUAGAUGCAAAUUGGUUGUUAAAUGAGCUGAUUUAAAUAUGGACUCUAAUGCUUAUCUACAUUGGUGCUCAAAUUAGGUCGAUUCUAUGCAUUUGAGAAAGCUCACAGAUUAGAUCCCACAUCAAGUGGACGUGGUGUUCGACAAUUUAAAACUGCACUUCUUCAACGCUUAGAGAGGGUAAGCACUGUUGUUAAGAUACUCAUAAUCUCGUAACAUAAGAAUGAGCAGUUUAGAUGAACAAAACUAUUAUUCUUGUGGUUUUAAGGCCAAAAUUUAAGUAUAAUUAUUAUUUAAGGCAUUCAUGUUGAGUAGGGAAAUGUCCUCACUUGUGAAGUGAGAAACGUCCAAUUAUUAGAUCAAUAAAUCAUAAAGAAAAAUUAGUAAGCAAAAACAGUUGUUUCUUUUUGUGUAAUCAAUUUGUUAUUGACAAUAGUUUUAAUACCCUUGUUUCAGUAAGAACUUUUGUUCCAGCCUUUUCAGAAGUUUCUAUACCUCUUCAUUUCUAUGAUAGGUGGCAUCAAUCAUUUGGUCCUUUGGCUUUGAUAUGAUUAUUUCUUUUAAAUGCAACAUUGAUAUUUUCUAUUUUUUCUGAUAAAAUGUCAUGGUUAGGUGUUUUUUUAAAGGAAAAAUAAGUUCAUUGUGCUAACAUACCCUUUCAGAAAGCCUUUUUCUAUUGUAAGUUUUUGUUUUUCCCUUUCUGUUUCUUUUAUGGCCUAAACUAUUUAUGCCUUUCUAGAGGAUAAUUUGGGAAUCAAAGAAAGAAGAGAAGAAAGAGACUUGUUUGAGUAGUCUCCUUAUGGAAGUUGAAUAUUUGGGGUUGCAAAAAAGAAAGUAGAAGAAGAAGAGAAAGGGAGUUGAGCAACAGAUGUUGUCUCUGAGCCUCCACUUGUUUAUAAACCGCAUCUGUGUUUAAAUUGAACUUAUUGUCUUUUUUGAAAACAACAUCAUUAUUUAUCAAAAUUUUCUGUGCAAUUAGAUCCCAAAAUUUAUACCCUUUCAUAACUUUUCUUCAUAUCCCAUAAAAAUGCAUUAUUUGGAGUUUGGUUCCAUCAUUAACUGCUAUGACCCCUGCACACAAACAUGGACCUGGCAAGAAAAUCUUCUCAAACUGGAGUAGUUAACCAGUUUUUCUGUCACAAAUCUCUCUAGAGAUCUUUGUGUUGGUAAUCAAAGAUGGUGAACUAUUGACAUCAUAGCAUGCCAUAUUAACAGCCUUAGACAAUAAUGAUUUUGGCAAGCCUACACAUAUCAUCAUAUCUCUAGCUCAUGAUCAUUCUUUCUGCUAUACCAUUUUGUUAUAGCUUACCUGGUGUAGUAUAGUGUUUAGUGCUCCCUUUGCCUUCAUAAAAUUUCCUAAAUUCAUUGAGUUUAUAUCCAGCUCAAAAUGCCAUGAGCUGCUGGGCCGUGAUUCUCACCAACAAAUAAAAUUUCUUCCUUUGACCUGUGAAAAUGUAUACUCUGGAGUUUCCCAUCUCCCUCCUGAGUGGCAACAUGGGGGCAAGAAAAGGAAAGAGGGAUGGGGUUUCUCUCGCUUUUGGCAUAGCGGUCCCUCAGUGGGAGGCCUGCACUGCACAAUGGGCUAUUAGCUCAAUGGUAGAACACAACUCUGAUAAUUGUGUCGUUGUGCCUGGGCUGUGACAAUGGAAACACCUAAAAGUUCUACUUCACUCUUUGCUCUAUAUGGAGUGCAUCUAAUAUGGCAGUGUUUUAGCUUUUAAGGUUGAGAUGCUAACUUUACUAGAAAGCUUGAUUCUGGCAUCCUCAUUAGUUGUUAGUGAUCUCUUGGUGGAGAGGAGUCUUGAUGAUAAUACUUUCAUGGAUGUUUCCAGGUAGGAGAUGGCUGUGGAGAAUUUAUUGCUGUAUUCCACAAAUUGUUUUAUCUUUCUAGAAGGUUGGGAUGGUCCUCUCCUUUAAAGCUAUAGGCUUUCAGAGAGGAGAACUGAUUUAUCUGGCAGUUUGUAGAGGAUUCCUCCCCCUUAAGUGUUGUUAGGUUUUGUUUGGGAUUUUGGAGUUUGGUCACUUGUUUCUGGGAGUUGCCUUUUUUACUUGCACACUUUAUUUUGUUUUUGCUGAUCUUUUUGUAGAUGUCUCAUCCUUCUUUGUAUUUUCUUCUCAUAGAUAAUAAUAUUUUCCAGUUUCCUAUUGUGGUAGUUGCUUUUUUUUUUUUUUGUUGUUGUUAUUGUACAUAGUUCUAUGAUUUGGGGUUCAAAGGAUGAGCCUUACUACAGAGAAGUUGAGUUAGAGAGGCAGAAUUCUUCCCAGUUGAUGCUGUGUGUGCAUAAGAAAGAUGGAGAGAUAGCAAGUCACCUUUUAUACCAAUGAGAUAUCUCAUAGGAGUUGCAUCUCUUUUCCUAAAUAUCUCUGAGGUGCAGUGGUUGAUGCUGAGGUCAGAUUGAGAGUUUUUGGUUUGUCAUGAAUGGUUUAUGGUAAAAUGGAGAAAAUCAGUUGGGUGACUGGUGGUCCCUAUUCUCUCUUUUGGUGCAUGAAGAAAGAAUGCUACAAGCAGCUAAAGGAAUCAAGCUUCAAUCCUUAUGUUCAAAUCCUUAUUUUUACAUUCUUUGUUUUUUUGGGGUUUGGUAUCAACUGGUUGGAGUAAUGAGUUUUUCUUGGAUUUUGUACAUGACCUAUUUUGUAGUUGAUUCUGCUAGUUCCAUUUCUGAGGUUGAUCCUGUUUACUCUGGAUAUACAAGGCUUAUGCUUCCCUUUUCUUCUGGUUGACAUUAAUAGUUCAUAUUAGAAGCAAAGAUAGAAGGAAAGAAGUUGUCUCUAUAGUUAUGAGGGUCCAUGUUUGGAAGUGUGAUAUAAGAUAGUUCAUCCUUUCUAUUCUUCCCAGGAAAAUGAAAUUACACUUGCAGGAAGGGCGAAAAGUGAUGCUCGUGAAAUGCAAAGUUUUUAUCAACAUUACUACAAAAAAUAUAUUCAAGCUUUGCAGAAGGCUGCUGAUAAAGCUGAUCGGUAUGUUGUCUUGAGAUUUGAUACAUUUUUCUGAUGAUUUGCUAGAAACUGUUUUGUUUGACGGCAUUUUUCCUAAUUCAGAGCUCAGCUUACAAAAGCGUAUCAAACAGCUGCUGUUCUCUUUGAGGUCCUGAAAGCUGUCAAUCUGACAGAAUCUGUUGAAGUUGCUGAUGAGGUGAAACUGAUUGCUUUUCACCAGUGAAUUUUGAAUGAUGUCCAUUAUUUGAAUGAACAGUUAUCUCAAUGCUUUUUCAUGCUGAGAGCAGUCCGCUUCGUCUAAGAACUUUCUAAUGCUGAUGGCAGCUAUCUUAUGUGAAUAAUGAUAUGAUGAAUUUUUUUUCUUUUGUACAUAGAUUUUGCAAGCUCACACUGAGGUCAAGGAAAAGACGGAGCUAUAUGCACCCUAUAAUAUUCUUCCUCUUGAUCCCGAUAGUGCAAAUCAGGCUAUUAUGAGAUUCCCUGAGGUUGAUUCCCUAAUUUAUCUGUCAUACGUUUAUACUUGAUUUCCUUCUUUCUUGAUUUUAUCAAGUUUGAGAGGCUUAUGCUCUUUGUAGAUUAAAGUUUCUGUUGCUGCACUUCGUAACACCAGGGGUUUACCAUGGCCCAAGGGUUACAAGAGGAAAGCUGACGAAGACAUUCUAGACUGGCUUCAGGCUAUGUUUGGGUUCCAGGUGACUAGCUAACUUUUUUGUUAUCACUCAAUUAGUUUCUCAUGAUUCAUGAUCCCCUUGUUAAUGUGCAGAAAGAUAAUGUGGCAAAUCAAAGGGAGCACUUGAUUCUGUUGCUAGCAAAUGGGCACAUAAGACAAUUUCCAAAGCCUGAUCAGCAACCAAAGGUUUUAACUUCACAGAUUACUCUGCCUUGUGAUCUAAAUUUAUGAAAAAUACUAUCUAUUGACUUAAUAAAAUAACUGUGCACUAUUUAUGUUUAGUUGGAUGACCGUGCAGUGACAGAAGUGAUGAAGAAACUUUUCAAAAACUACAAAAAAUGGUGCAAUUAUUUAGGUCGCAAGAGUAGUCUCUGGUGAGUCUUCUAUUCAAAUCUUUUUAUUCUACUCAUUCAUUUUUGGCUACUACGAGGGCCUUGCUACUGCUUUCUUUUUUUUAAUUGGCAACAUGGAACAACAUUCUUUAAUAAAUUUAUAAUUUUGUACUUUUCUUCUGGCUAAUUUAAUUAAUCUCAUUUUUAUUUGAGUUUUCUUUUGUAUAUUUUUCAUGUUUGUUUUUAAAUGGCAGGUUGCCAACUAUUCAGCAGGAUGUGCAGCAGAGGAAAUUGUUAUACAUGGGUUUAUAUCUUCUAAUAUGGGGGGAAGCUGCAAAUUUAAGAUUCAUGCCCGAAUGCCUUUGCUAUAUAUACCAUCACGUACGCAUUUCAUUUUAGUUUUUUCCUUGCAUAUGACACAAAUUUUAUUAUCUCAUCUCCUAUGGGAUUUUUUUAUCCUUAUAUUUAUUUUGUUUCUCUAAAAGUUGUAACCAGCAUUUUAUAAUCAUUGGAGUGGUAUAAUCCUAAGCACAUGUUUACACACACAUACACACUAAUGGUGUGACCAUGGAAAACGCCUAUUCCAAAGCAUAACAGUGAAUGAAUAAAUCAUUGGUUGAUUGCCCACUAGCUAAUGAAUAAUGCAUCUGUUAUCUCAAGGGCUUUAUAAGGCUUCUGAUCUGAAACACAUUAUUGGUAUUAACCGUCCCUCUAAUUCCUGCUGCAAAAGCUUUGAAUUUGGAAGGGAUUUUGGCUUUCUAGACUAGUUUGCCUUGGUUUGAAACAUGGGUGCAUUCUUGAAAAGGAACUAGGAAAAGAUCUGGAAGUGAAAAAGCCUCUCCUAUCCAAAGACCAAGAUCACAUUUUGGAAAGAGAGAGAAAUGAAGGUGGAAGAAAACAAAGCAUUUUUUUUUUUGCUUUAGGACUUUUAUUGACAUUAUUGGAAGUGAAAAUGGAAAAGAUCAAUGAAAAAGAGAAAUACUACUAGUCUACUACCGCUACUAUUGUCAAUAUAUAUAUAUAUAUAUAUAUAUAUAUAUAUAUAUAUAUAUAUUUUUUUUUUUUUUUGAUAAGUAAAGAAAAUUCAUUUAUAAAGAGACGCCAAAAGAGCGACUCAAGGUAUACAACCUAUGUAAGGUAUACAAACCUAUACACCCACCACCAAAAGAGGCCAAAGACAAAUAAGAGACCCACCAACCAAAAGGCCCAAAACCUUACAAUGAUCCCAACCAAUCUAUAAAAUUCACCAAAGUUUGAGGGCAUUCUACUAUAAACAACUUUGCCUCAUACCAAAGCGAGCAUAAAAAGGAAUAUUUCAAUCUCUGUAUUGAUAUUUCAUCAUCCUUGAAGGCUAAUCGAUUUCUCGCCUUCCAAACCGUCCAAAAAAUAUGCAGGGGAGCCGCUUUCCACACUUUCCUGUGUUUCUUUCCCACAGAAGAAGUCUGCCAACUAAGCAAAGUCUCUCUAACUGAACACGACAACACCCAAGACACCCCAAACAAAGAAAAAAGCAACUCCCAUAAGACCCUUGUUUUUGAGCAAUGGAGAAGCAGAUGAUCUAUGGUCUCCUCCUUUUCAAUACACAUGUAACAUCUAUUUGCCAAUGACCAUCCUCUUCUCUGAACAAGAUCUAGGGUAAGCGCCUUACCCCAUGCGGCCUCCCAUGCAAAAAAGCUGAUUUUGGGUUGUACCCACACCUUCCAAAUACAGCUAGAUGGGAAAGAACUAGGGCAGUCCGCUUCUAGGGCAAGGUAUAGAGACUUAGCCGAGAAAAUGCCGCUCUUUGUUUCAGUCCAAACAGCCUUAUCAUCUACGUCUCCAAGGACUCUCUUCCCGUGAAGACACCCCAAAAAUAAUUCCGCCUCCUCCACCUCCCAGUCGUUUAGGGCUCUUGAAAAACAAGGGUUCCAACCCCCCCUACCCCCUUGUACCAAGGGAUCCCAAACAUCCGCCACCCAAGCUUCCUUUUCAAUCGAUAAGGCAUAGAGGGAAGGAAAUGACUCGCUCAGAGGGGCAUCCCCACACCAUCUAUCCCUCCAAAAACUCACCCUCAAUAUAUAUAUAUAUAUAUAUAUAUAUAUAUAUAUAUAUAUAUAUAUUCAAAAAGUUUUAUUAGAGGGAGAGAUCUAGAGAGACUUUGGAGGAAAGAUCAAUGAAAAAAAGAAUUACCACCACCACCACUACUAUUAUUAUUAUUUUGAGGUUUCUUCAUUUAUAGAAAAUUCUUGGAUCUUUCUUCUUUUUCUUUUCUUGGAAUUCUCAAUUAUACUGUUGUUGUUUCCUAAUUUAUAUAGAUGGCAUUUGAAGUAUACGGGUCACUGUCUGGUAGUGUCAGUCCCAUGACUGGUGAAAAUGUAAAGCCAACAUAUGGAGGAGAAGAGGAAGCUUUCUUAAAGAAAGUAGUAACUCCAAUCUAUGAAACGAUUGCGAAGGUCUGCUUCUGCUUCUGUCCUUGAGUCCAUAAAAGCUCUUAUUUAUUUAUUUUUUACUUUUAAUUGCUCCAUAUAUAUGUUAUUUGGUCAUUUGAGGUUUGCAGGAAGCUGAAAGGAGCAAAGGUGGAAAAUCAAAGCAUUCCCAAUGGAGGAACUAUGAUGAUUUGAAUGAAUACUUUUGGUAUUAUCCUCUCCAUUUUUUUUUUUUUUUUUACACUGUGUUGCUCUAUUUUGUUUUAAUUUUCAUAUUGAUUCACCAGCGCAAAAUUGUAGGUCGAUGGACUGUUUUCGGCUGGGUUGGCCAAUGCGUGCUGAUGCUGAUUUCUUUCGUCUGCCUCCAAAACAGUUUAACUCUAGCGAAGAUGAGGUAUGCAUAAAUUUUGGCCUGCAUUGUUUGUUUGAUAUUUUUUCUGUUUAUUUUUCUCAUUUUAACAUUUGAAUAUUGAUUUCCUAAAUGAAAAAUUCUUGGAAUAUUAUUCAUUCUCUUUAGCAAGUUACAUAUUCUCUUUGCAUGCAGAGCACACACUAUCACAAAAGAGGGUUAAACUUCUUGAUUUAUUCCAUCUUUAGAGAGUAAUGUGGCUUUUGUUUCAAAAGGUUGCUUUUUUUUUUUUUCAUUUUUUUCUUUUAUACUUUUCUUCCACAAGAAAUAGAAGCAGCAUUAUAUAAAAAUGCAGCUAAAGAAUGAGGACUUCUUCAAAAGGAACCUAAGGAAGAGAAACAAGUACAUUGCAAGAGCUACCGCAUGAAAUGAUGAUCCACACAACAACGAGCUCCAACUCAAGCGGUAUAAGAAUUGCCCAUAAACUCAACCAAAGACUUGAUGCUCCUGUUGGAAAGCUUAUCAGUUGCCUAGUUGGCUGACUGAACUAUUAACAAUUAACAACCAGUUAGCACAAUCUGCGCAAAUAAGAGAGCAAUUCAAUUAACAAGAUGGCUGCCAAUAGUGCACGAAUUUUGUAGUGGUUUUGCCUUGAACCUUCUCCAUUCCUAGACCCAUCUAUUAUUGCCUUAAUAAAGUACACUACUAAUGUGUACAUUGUUGUACAUUAAAUCCAUUGUCAGGACACAUUCAGGUCUACCCACAAGGCCUGUUUAAAUUAAUCUUAAGUCUCAUGCCAUACAUGCUGGCCUAUAUACCUACUAGUGGAGCUUAACAAAUGCCUACAAAAAACUUUUGGCCCAAUUCAAACAGGUUUUGUCCAGCCAAACAGCAACCAAAACUAGAACACUUAGAAACUUGGGAUUGACAAACUCAAUGAAAGAAUACUCCUUGAAGGUUUUCAAGACUUGACAAGCUUCAAAAUCUUCUAUGAGCAGUUGCCUAGCUUGAAGCUGGUCUUAAAAUGCAAGGAAUACAUGUACAUUCAACCUCACACAAGACCGUAGAAACUUUCAUAUAACUGUGCAUACGACACCAGGCACCUUGCGUUCACAUCUUUCAUCCAAUGAUCACCUGCAGUAGCUUUCAUCUCUUAGAUCUUGCUGAUGACAUGACUGCAUUUGAAUUUCCUUUAAUGAGAAGAUUCAUAAUCCCUAUAGAAUGCCUCUCUCAAGCCUAUGUACGAGCAUUAGAUUGUGCAUCAAAAUCAGAGCAUGUUAGCUUAUAGAAAAUCCAGAUCAUCUCUUCUAGUCUUCUAUGGUUCUCUCUGGUUCUUAACCAACGUAAGGUUACCUCACAAAGGACCAUCAGAAUUAAGCUUAAGGUUGCCAAACAGGGGAUGGGGUAAAAUUUGGCACAUAAUUUUUCCUUUCCUCCUCCUACCUGAGCAAAUAAUCAUUCAGUAUCUCAAAAUAACACUUUAAGGACUUAGGGACUGACACCCAGAUAAAUUGGAAACUACCCACUGUAGUCUUAACCAUUAAAUAGUUGCUGUAGAAGAUUCUUGCAAUCCUUUCCUACUGAAUAACCAAGUUUUACUAGGAUAACCAUAAAUCACCUACACUAGCCAUGAGAGGCUAUAAUCAUCAUAUCAGGCAUCUCCACUGGAGCCACUGAAUUAAUCCUUGCCCAGGAGAACAAUCUGCUAGAGUGUAAUUGUAUAAGAAACAUGAAUAGUCUUGUUUAUCAGUAACUUCCUUAGGACUAUUAUGAAUAAUUAAGUUCAUUCAACUCCUCUUAUGUAAGUUGUAAUUCCAGAUUUCAAGUUUAUAAACAUUACUUCAGAUGGCAAGAAGUGAUGGAGCUAUUACCCACAUCACUCAUUGGUGACAUACUGUCUCAAUAUGAUAGCAAGUCAUACCAACACUACACUUCAAGUUAAGGCAUCUCUCUUCUGAACCUAACUUGCCUAGUUAUUUAUGAAAGGUUGUCAACAAGUUUGUCACUAGUAGCCUUAAGCUUCACCUUGUUGAAAUGUCUGUCUACCACAAUAGCUGCAGUCAUAUUAUGACAGGCCAAAUAGUGUCCAAUAUUAUUGACUAAGCUAUCAUCAGUAAAGAAAUUCAUGGGCAAUGGCACAUAUUCAUUAAACUGCUUAGCGGCAUGGUAGUCACAUGAGUUCAUAAAUGCUUGGCCUUAUUAACUGACAAUAACUACUAAUACUAUUAGAAUUACAAUUAUGUGAGUGGUGAAUCUUUGAAGAGAGUUAGAAAGUCAAUAUGAACCACAGUCCUCAUGAGUUGUGAGUGAAUCGAAUUAUUUUCCAUGUGAAAAAAAAGGAACUGAGUUUAAGAUUUUGUGAUACUAGUAACUGACAAGAAAAUGGAAAAACUCAGAAUAUAAAGUAUUGGGUGGAAAAACAAUGAAGGUGAAUUAUUUCUCGUGGCAAAUAAAUCAUAUCAUUAACGGAACUAUGAAGCAUUCUUCAACCAUAUUUAUUCUGAACACCAAAACACAUCAUAGUAUAAUCUGAUUCAUUAAAACAAAUGUGGAACAGGAAUACAGGGCUGCCAGCUUAACAAUCUAAGACAAAAACUAUAAUAAAAGCUCUACUUGUCCCACAUAUCAUGAAGAAGCUCAUUCUAAACCAAUUGCAGCACUAAACUGGCUACUGCAAAUAUACCUUUAAUUUUGUUAAGUUAGACGAAUAUCCUCCCUCACUUGCAUACUUGAACCUGAGAUGUCUAAUUUUCUAGAGCACUGAUACCAUGUUAAGUUACAAAGUUUUCUAAAAGUUUAUGUUAUUUGAUUAUGGGCCCACAAUGUAGACCAGAAUAACAAUUGCAAAAUCAACUUUUUGUAAACUUAGACCAACAUAGCAGGAUGCACACCAUUUUGGAUUCUGAUAUUUGUUUCUAGAGACUUUGAGUGUUUGUUGCAUAAUUGUAUCAUCUUUUCACUGUCUUUAAAAGGAUUAAUCCUUGUCAUUGUUGAGAGCUAGUAAAUCAGGAUUUAUUUCAACUAAAAUUUUCCAAUCAAAACAUACUUUCUUAUUUAAUACUCUUCAAACAUAACUCCAAUUAUUUCUCAGCCUGACUUUGAUUAGAAAACUGUUUUUCUUAUAUAACGGAUUUUCAUGAUAUUCAGGAGAAAAAACCAGCUGCUAGAAGAUGGAUGGGAAAAAUAAAUUUUGUUGAGAUACGCUCUUUUUGCCAUAUAUUUAGAAGUUUUUAUAGAAUGUGGAGCUUUUACAUUUUAAGUUUACAGGUAAUCCCCUUUUCAUUUGUGUUUCUGAUUUCCUUGUUUCCUGUCCUUUGUGGUUAAUGUUACGAUGCCAUGUUGGUUGUCGAACUAGGCAAUGAUCAUAAUCUCUUGGAAUGGAUCGGGGAAACUAAGUUCCAUACUUGAUGGUGAAGUUUUCAAAAAAGUGAUGAGCAUCUUCAUAACUGCUGCAAUAUUAAAGCUUACUCAAGGUAGAUAACAAUAAUUGAUGUCUCUAUGUUGUUCUCUACCUAUUUAAUUGCUUUCUUUAAGGUAUUAUCAUAAUCCUAAUUUCAGUUUACCAGAUACCAAGCAUCUGAUCUAUGGACUUUGCAUUUUCUUGAUUCAUAUUGCACUCAAGCUGUCAACUAAUUGACAAUGAGCUGGAUAAAAGGCAAAAUGUCUUGAUAUUUCAAUGAGAGGAGAGGACUGUAACGGAUUAUGAGGCAGUCCUUAUCUUUAAUUUGUAAUUUGUGAUAAAUAUAAAUUACAGUGAUCAUCUUGUGUUUGUAGUCACUAUAUCCUAUUUUUUUGGUGGAUCCAUCCAUCUGUUUCAUGUUUAUGGGGAAAGCAAUCUGGGGCUUUCUAUCUUUUUUCCUAAUCCUAAUCCAUGCCUUUUAGGCAUAUAAGUGCUCAGCAUUUUUGCUGUGGCUUCACUUUAGUGAAGGAUACGGAUGUCUCAUUUCUUUAUUUACUUCAUCCUGAUUUUUAAUAAAGUAAAAAAAAAAAGGAAAAAGAAAAAUAAGCCUAUUGUAAUAGGCAACACUGAUAAGCCACAUCAAUAAUUUUCCCGAAAUUUAGUUAUCAAACUAGUUCUGCCUUCUUAUAAGCCCUGGUUAAAACUAUAUGUGAACCAUCACUUUUCUUAAACUUUUCUGUGUCUAAUUUUUUAGGUCAUCUUGUUAGUCUUCAUGAUACGUUUCCGGGUUCCCUUUAUCUUUGAACAAAAUGUUUUGAUUUCCUAGUGAUUUGUUCUGGCAUUUUAUUUUAACUUUAUUAUGAGUUUGUUCUCCUCAUUGAGUCAUCAAUAUAACAAGCAUUUACUUAACAAAAGCUGCAAUUUGAUUUUACAUUUUUGUUGUUUUUUUUCCCCAGCUAUUCUUGAUGUAAUUCUGAGCUGGAAAGCAAGGAAGAGCAUGCCAUUCUAUGUCAAGCUAAGAUAUUUGUUGAAGGUUGUUUCUGCAGCAGCGUGGGUGAUAAUUUUACCAGUAACUUAUGCUUAUAGCUGGAAGAAUCCUCCUGGGUUUGCACAGACCAUCAGGAAGUGGUUUGGCAAUAGUCCAACUUCUUCUUCUCUGUUCAUUUUGUUCGUCUUCAUUUACUUAUCCCCAAACAUGCUCUCUGCAUUGUUAUUUCUGUUCCCAUUCAUUCGCCGGUAUCUUGAGAGAUCAGACUAUAAGAUUGUGAUGCUCAUGAUGUGGUGGUCUCAGGUAUGCAUAAACUGAUAGGCAUAUGUGUGAAUUAUUAUUUUUUUCUUGUUAAUAUGUUUUUUGGUUCCUAAACUAGAACUUUGUACAUGCCUGUAGAUAAAUUAACUUAACUGUUGAUAUAAUUAUUUGGUUAGUUUUUCUUCUGUCACAAUAUCCAUUAUAUUACGUGAUAUCUUGCAGCCUCGGCUCUAUGUUGGGAGGGGAAUGCAUGAGAGUACACUUUCUCUCUUCAAGUAAGAGAACAGACUUUGAUUCUUUGUUUGAGGAGGCGGGGGGUUUGCAUGUCUUGAUUUCUUGCUGAAACAUUUUGAACUAUUUCCAUUUUUAGGUACACCAUGUUUUGGGUUCUAUUGAUGAUGUCAAAGUUAGCAUUCAGUUACUUUGUAGAGGUAUUUUUCUUUUUGAUCCUUAAAAUCUUGUGUUCCAUAGAAUAGCUACCAUCAAUGCGGUGAAUAUAUGCCGUUAUCUUGAUCUUAUUUCUGGUUCAAAUGACCAAUCUUGUGGGGAUAUGGGAAUGCUUUUAAAGAAAUCUAUUCAUGAAAUGCUUUUAAAUUUUUUUUCUUCCUUUGUUUAGAAAGAAAAGGAAAUAAGAGGUAAUCUUAGAGUGUUGGGGUUGAUAUAUGUUCCUUGAAUCCACCCUGAGACUGCCAUCUGUUUUUGUUCUUUAUUGCAGAUAAAGCCUCUUGUGGGUCCAACAAAAGCCAUCAUGGAUGUUCACAUUACGAAGUACCAAUGGCAUGAGUUCUUCCCUCAAGGUAGUGACAUGAGUAAAAUGAUCUGAACAAUUAUUUUCUUUCUUUUCUUUUUUUUUUUGUUUUUUUUGGAGAAAUAAAAUUAUACAAGAGGUAUGUAAUGCUGCUAUUUUCUGUUUGCAGCCAAGAAAAAUGUUGGUGUUGUGGCUUCACUAUGGGCUCCAGUUGUUCUUGUAUGUUCUCUUUUGUCCCUGUGCUGGAUCCAUCCUAUCCAAUUUUUUUUUUUUUUUUUUUUUUUUGAUAUGCACUUUAAUUGCAUCCUAUCAUUUUCAUCUUAAAUUGCAAUGCCAUUGAUUUUUUUCAGGUCUAUUUUAUGGACACUCAGAUUUGGUAUGCAAUCUUCUCCACAAUAUUUGGAGGCUUAUAUGGUGCAUUUCGGCGUCUUGGAGAGGUUAGUGGAACUUCCUUCCCUCUAUAUCUCCUAUUGAUUGUGGUUGUCUUCUGCCCUUUCCCUCUGUGCAAGCACAUAUUGUGCUUCCAUAUGAUAAAUAAUUCAUGCUGGUAUAAACCUUCCCACUGUGGUUUGAAUUCAUUUGUCACUUCUUCCUUUAAGUUUGUUUAUACCAUCUCAUCUUUGCCCCGUUGUGGAUGUGCUGAGUGGGAUUCUGAUAAUUGACUCUCCUACCUUGUGUUAGUGGGGCUCUGAUAGUUGACUCUAUAACCUUGUGUUAGCACAACCUAGCCUUAUUGGGUUCAUUAUUGAAUUUGAUCCUUUUAAGGAUAGAGCAGACAAGGAUUUAAUUGGAUUUCAUGAGGGGGGCUUUGACAGAAGAUUCACUGAUCCUGAGUUACCCUAAUCAUUUGAAAGUCAGAAAUAAAAAUAAGAAUUAAAAAAAAAAGAAAAAGAAAAAAAAAGAAAGAGAGAAAGAUUAACUCCCUUCAACAGAGGCAUUCUAAAUUUCAUUGACCACUUUGGCCACCAUUCUUUUCAAUCUAUUUGCAACAACUUAGAGAGACACUCCAGUAAGCUAAUGGGUCAAGAAUCUCAAAUAUCCUCUGCAUUACCUUUCUUCAGGACUAGGAAUAAGCAGGUAGCACAACUAUAAUUUUGGACUCACAAGAUCGUAUCAGAGAUUAUUGCUGGAAUGGUCCUCUACCUCUUAAAAGAGUAUAUAAUAUUUUUUUUUGAUAAGUAAAUAAGAUUUCAUAUAUAAAAGAGACGCUAAAAAAGCGACUCAAGGUAUACAAUACCUAUACACCCGCCUCCAACAAGGCCAAAAAACAAAGAUAGCCCAACAACACAAUCCUACUUAGAGCCCAACCAAUCAAUAAAAUUAGCUAUAGUUAGAGGGCAAUCAUCUACGAACAACUUAGUCUCGGACCAAAAAGAAAGGAUAAAAGAGUGUUUCAGUCGUUGAAUUGACAACAUAUCAUCCUUGAAUGCCAAUUUAUUCCUCGCCUUCCAAACCGUCCAGAAAAUGUGAAGAGGAGCAGCUCUCCACGCCUUUUUGCGUUUUUUGCCCACGAAAAAACCAUUCCAGCAUAGAAGGGUCUCUCUAACUGAAGAAGGCAAUACCUAAGACACCCCAAAUAAAGUAAAAAGUAGAUCCCAUAACACCUUUGUUCUUGACCAAUGAAGGAGAAGAUGGUUUAUGGUCUCCUCUUUCUCAAGACACAUAAAGCAUCUAUUUGCCAAUGCCCGUCCUUUUUUCUGGACCAUAUCCAAGGUUAAAGCUUUGCCCCACGUAGCCUCCCAUGCAAAGAAACUAAUCUUGGGUUGUACAUUCACAUUCCAAAUAUAGCUUGAAGGAAACAGAGAUGAACAACCCGCUUCAAGGGCAACAUAGAGGGACUUGACCGAGAAUUUACCACUCUUAGUUUCAGUCCAGGACACCAUAUCCUCCACAUCCUCAAUAACUCUCUUACCAUGUAGUCUCUCCAAAAAUCUUUCCGCCUCCUCUACCUCCCAAUCAUUGAAAGUUAUUAAAAAACAGGGGUUCCAAACCCCCCAACCCCCCUCAGCCAAAGGGUCCCAAAUAUCUGCCACCCACGCUUCCUUCUCAACAGUCAAAGCAAAAAAAGAAGGAAAAGACAUACACAAAGGAGAAUCCCCGCACCAUCUAUCCCUCCAAAAUCUCACCCUCUUCCCGUUGGCCGUUACCAACAAUGAAAACCAUCCUACCACUCACCAACUCCCAAUCCAUUCUUAUUCCUUUCCACAACCCCAUACCAUGAGCCUCUCUCACUUCCCGAGAGCACCAACCCCCUCUAUCUUCUCCAUACUUCCCUCUAAUCAUUUGAUUCCACAAAGCCUUUUAUCUCAUUUGCGAAACGCCAAUUCCAUUUAGCAAGGAGAGCCUUAUUGAGAAUGGAAAGACAUUUGACCCCCAAACCUCUUUUCUUCUUACUUAAACACACCAACUCCCAUCUUACUAAAUGAGGCUUUCGCUCCAAAUUGCCCCCACCCCAAAGGAAGUCCCUUUGGAUUUUCUCUAAUCUUUGUCUGACUGAGCUUGGUAAGCACAAUAAUGACAUGAGAUAGAUGGGUAAAUUCGAUAACGUGCUUCGAAUAAGAGCCACCCUCCCUCCCUUGGAUAAAUAUUGUCUCUUCCACAUGGCUAACCUUCUUCGGAAGCGCUCUUCCACACCAUCCCAAACUGUAACUGACUUAAAAGGAGCACCCAAGGGCAUCCCUAAAUAGGUGGUUGGAAGACUACCUAGUCUACAACCAAAUUCCCAAGCAAGAUCAUCCAUAUUCUCUACCCUCCUUAUUGGAAUGAGUUCACUUUUUUCCAAAUUUAUUCUCAAUCCCGAAACAGCCUCAAACCACAUAAGUAACCAACUGAGAUAAGUUAAUUGAUCUUGUGAAGGUUUACAAAACACCAGUGUAUUAUCAGCAAACAACAAGUGGGAAAUUAGGACCCCUUCUUCACUCCUACCCUUCACUCUACAACCGGAUAAGAAACCUCCCUCUACAGCCCUUUUGAGAAAAGCACUAAAGACCUCCAUAGCUAUCACAAAGAGAUAAGGGGAAAGGGGAUCGCCCUGUCUCAAACCCCUGGAGCUUUGGAAGAAGCCCAUAGGGGUUCCAUUGACCAACACGGAGAAACUUGUAGUGGAUAUGCACCACUUAAUCCACCUGAUCCAUUUAUCCCUAAAACCCAUUUUCUGCAUAAUUGUGAGAAUAAAAGUCCUGUCCACUUUAUCAUACGCCUUCUUUAUAUCCAGUUUGCACAAAAUGCCACUCUCAUUAUUCUUAAGGACCGAAUCAAUGGCUUCAUUAGCUGUCAACACUACAUCUAGGAUUUGUCUACCUUCCACAAACGCCCCUUGAGCCUUGGAGACCACCUUUUCAACCACCUUAAAAGAGUAUAUAAUUAUACUCUAAUCAUUGUGAUGAAAGUUGAGAUGUACCUUGGGACAGACACAUGUGGGUAAUGACAGUUACCUACAGCUGUAACUGCAACUGCAAGUAAUCAAAAAGGAGAACAAGAUAAGGUUAAGAAGCCUGCAUGGAAACUUAAAAGUUUUAACAAUUGAAGCAAAUUGAAGUGUGAGCAUUAUGUGGUACCUUCUUUUUGAUGGGUAAAAAGAAGCAAUUUAUAAAAGAGAAACACCAAAAAUGGUGUUCCAAAGUACACAAGAAGUAUACAAAGAAAAUGCCUAAAGGCGCCACAAAAACAAAGAGGGACCACAAAAGACAACUUCCUUAACCCAAACCCAACCAGUCCACAAAGUCUGGAAAGAGGACUAGGAAUUAUAUACAACUUGCACUACGCCUGAAAAUUACAAAUGAAAGAGAAUUUAAACCCUUGAACCAACCGCCCCUCAUUUUCAAACGCCCUACUGUAUUUAUGUGGUAACUAAACAAACCUAAGAGGCAUUCUAUGAUUUUGGUUAGCUUUCAAACUAGGUUGCAAAGUCAAAGGCCUCAAAUGGAUAAGGUUCUAGUUCUGAUUCCAUGAUUGUAUUGAAGAUCGGUUUGGGUGUACCUGGACCAUUAAAGUAGGUACAUCAAAGGAGGCUUCAUUCCCAUCUCCAGGAGACUUAGGAAGAGUUAAAUGUUUCACGAGUUAUGGCACAUCUAGAGGGUUCCACUGCAGCAAUAACACUAAUGCCAUCAUGCUUACAUUUAAAAUGUGAUUAUGUAAAAGAAUGUGGAAAUCUGCAUUAGAUGUAUAUGCAUAUACUGGCUCAAUUUGCUUAUAUGUAUAUAUGUAAUAUGUAUAUGUAUGUGUACAUUUAUUUAUCUAUCUAUCUGUAUAAAAUAUCAUUUAUGUAAAAGCAUUUAUCUAUGUGUUGAGCCUUUUUCAGGAGUGUGUCUAUAAUAAUGGCUUCCGGUUGAUUUUUCAGUAUAUUUUUGUUUUGGCAUCAAUUCAAUGAGGUUCAAACUUUUAUAAAACAUGAUAAUUAAGUACCAAUUUUAAUUGCAAUUUGCCACCAGGAAGCAUAGAUGUUUUCAUGGGCAUAAACACAGAUGCAUGCAUGGCAUAUAUAGACAUGAAUAGCUUGAAUAUUUGCACCCACUUGAGCUCCAUAGCAUGAAUAAUUUAGUCCAAUAUGUUCAAACCUCAUUGAAUCUUUUUUUCCCGAGAGUGGUUUGAUUAGCAUUUCAAAUAAACCUGAUGCAUAGAUUAACAAAAACAUUGUGGGUUCAUUUCAGAAAAGUUGGCUUGUGUUGAUCCUUAAUUACUGGUUCUUGAAACACCUAACUUACUGUUAAUUUUUUUUUUUCUCAGAUUCGAACAUUAGAAUUGCUGAGGUCUCGAUUUCGGUCACUACCAGGAGCUUUUAAUUUCCGCUUGAUUCCAGUAGAAGAGAAUGAGAAGACUAAAAAUAGGGGAUUAUUGGCCACAUUAUCUCGCAAAUUUGAUGAGGUUGAGUGACUGUUGUGUAUCAUUAUCUGUAAUAAUCGAUAAGGAUCUGCGUGUUUGCACCUGUUUCUUUUAAAUUGAUUCAUUAAAAGAUCUUUCCUGGAGAUUUGUUGAGUUGAUUGGUUAUUGCAGAUCCCAUCAGAUAAGUCAAACCCGGCAGCAAAGUUUGCUCAGUUAUGGAACAAAAUAAUCAGCAGUUUCAGAGAAGAGGAUCUGAUAAAUGAUAGGUAAAAUGAUGAUGCUGAAAUUGUAAAGUGUUUCCCUUACUCCAAACUGGUCAUUUGUUAUUGACUUUUGAAAUUUCCAUUUUUCUUUUGGAGCGAACAGUUUCCCUUACUCCAAACUGGUCAUAUGUUAUUGACUUUUGAAAUUUCCAUUUUUCUUUUGGAGUGAGCAGUUUCUGCUUUAUAAUGCUGUCUUUCUUUUAAUUUUCAGCGAAAUGAGCCUAUUGCUUCUCCCAUAUUGGGAUGACCCUGAUUUGGACCUUAUCCAGUGGCCUCCAUUUUUACUUGCUAGCAAGGUCUGUUUUUUCUGAGUUAAUUUCCUCUAUUAGACUUUGGGAAACCCCUAUAUAUGCAUCUAUCUUGUAUCUACCAUGUAGAUCCCCAUUGCAGUGGAUAUGGCUAAAGAUAUCAAUGGGAAAGAGUCAAAAGUCAGUGAGCUGAAGAAAAGAUUGCAGCAAGACGAGUACAUGCAGUGUGCUGUUCGUGAGUGCUAUGCCUCCUUUAAGAACAUAAUUAAUUUUUUGGUUCAAGGGGAACGUGAAAUGCUGUAAGUUUAUUUACCAUCUGCAACAUUUAACCAAGUCUUGGACUAAGUUGUUUAUAGAUGAAGGUUCUUUAUCUUUAAUCAUUUUUUUGAUUGGUUAGGUUCUAGAUGAGGGUGGAUAAGUUUUUGGUUUCCCCUCUUCUUUUUUGCUCUUGCCUUUAGGCACCUGUUGUACACUCCUUAUAUGCUUUGGGUUGGCCUUUAGGCGCCCUUUAUUCAUUAUAUAUACUAUCUUUUUGUGCUCUUACCUAUUAAAAUAUAAUUUGAUCAUUCCAUGAUGCAUCUUCUUGUUGACAUGAUGGUUUACUCUGUGUAGGGUUAUAAAUGAUAUUUUCAACAAAGUUGAUGAUCAUAUAAACAAAGACAACUUGAUGGAAUUGAAUAUGGGUGCUCUCCCUGACCUCCAUGAACUAUUUGUUAACCUUAUUGUAUUUUUGGUAAGUUAACAUGGCUCACAAAAGCUUCCAUAUUUUGUUAUUAAACUAAGGGUGAUAGUGUGUCCUGACUGAAUCAGUCUAACAAAUACAGAAAGACAAUAACAAAGAGGACAAAGAUAAGGUUGUAAUUCUCCUACUUGACAUGCUAGAGGUUGUGACAAGAGACAUAAUGGACGAUCCAAUUCCGAGGUAAAUCAUUUCCAUACUGCUAUAACUUCUAGUAUGUCCAAAUGUUGAGGCCAUUAGUGGGUUCACUAUUUUAUGUAUGUAGUUUGCUAGAUUCAACCCAUGGUGGAUCUUAUGGAAAGCAUGAGGGCAUGAUGCCCCUUGAUCAGCAACAUCAGUUCUUUGGUGAACUUAAUUUUCCAGUACCAGAUUCAGAAGCUUGGAAAGAAAAGGUAAAUUUCACUGGCACACACUAUGAUGGUAUUCUGAUGAGAGCAACAGAAUAUUUAUCUUCUGUUUAUAAACUUGGAGAGCCACUCAUGAAUGUGCAUUAGUCUAUCAUGACUGCUUUCUUUCUCCCUUUCUCCCACAUCUUCUUCUUAUUCUCCUCCUCCUUCAUCUCUUUCCUGUUGUUGAGACAAGUGAUGGUUUUCUAUAUUACAGUAUAAAAUUCCUGUCCUAUAUGAAGCAUUCUUGUUGGCAGAUAAGAAGGCUGAAUCUAUUGCUUACUGUCAAGGAGUCUGCUAUGGAUGUGCCAUCCAACAUAGAUGCUAAAAGACGCAUUUCUUUCUUCUCAAAUUCGUUGUUUAUGGACAUGCCUCCAGCACCCAAAGUUCGAAAUAUGCUUUCAUUCUCGUAAGCUUUCUUCUUUCUGAACUUUCUUACUGGAAAUAUUGUAAUUUGGAUUUCAUGAUGCUAUAUUACAGUAACACUCGAUAAACUUUCUUCACUUUAAAUAUUGCAACUUUUCUAUCAUUCUUCAUCUAUUUCAAGUUUGCAACUAUACUUGAUGAAAUUAAGGUUUAAAGUUUGGCCGUCCUAAUGCCAAAGUCAAUUCAGAUUGUUGUUCUAAAAUGUCAACAAAAAGCACAAUAGAAAAUGUUGUUCUAAAGUAUCAUUUUGUCUGCAGCAGCAGGAUUUUUUAGUAUCUAUUAGUAGCAUGUAGUUUGGAGGGAGGUGUCUUCUGCUUUUGACUUGGGCUGAUAUCUUUUCUACUACAUAUCUUAUUUGCAACAUAUAUCAUCUGAUACACCAAUAUUUUUGUUGCAGUGUCUUAACUCCUUACUAUAAAGAGGAGGUGCUGUUCUCCCUAAAAAGCCUGGAAGAGCCAAAUGAAGAUGGUGUUUCUAUAAUUUUUUACUUGCAAAAAAUCUUCCCAGGUUAAUUUGUUGUUCUCCUUUUCUCCCUCAAGAGGUGUCUAUACAGUUUUGUGUAAAUUGAACUGGUAUUGCUCUUUUAUCAAUUAAUGAUCCAUUUAUAUUAUACGGACCUAUGUCAUGCAGAUGAAUGGAAAAACUUUCUUGAACGAGUCGAUCGCAACAGUGAAGAAGAUCUUAGAGGACAUGAAGACUUGGAAGAAAAACUUCGUCUAUGGGCAUCAUACAGAGGACAGACACUCACUAGAACUGGUAUAAGAUUUACUUUUUGAGAUUUUACCAGUUUUGUUAAUAUGAUAAUGAUUUUUCUUUGUAUUUUGAUUAUUUUCUCUAUGAUUUCAACAAACAAGUGCGAGGCAUGAUGUAUUAUCGGAAAGCUCUGGAGCUUCAGACUUUCCUUGAUAUGGCACAAGUUGAAGGUACUUACAGAAAGCUUGGUUGUAAUUGUACUUACCUCAUUACCUGUUCAAUACUUAGGCAAUUUUUAAUUUUUGAUUUUUCUUAAGAUCUAAAGAAAGGGUAUAAGGCUGCUGAAUUAAAUUCUGAGGAACACUCCAAGAGCGAAAGGUCAUUAUGGUCUCAAUGUCAAGCAGUAGCUGAUAUGAAGUUUACAUAUGUGGUGUCAUGCCAGCAAUAUGGCAUUGAUAAACGAGCUGGUGAUCCUCGUGCCAAAGAUAUUCUGAGACUCAUGACAACGUAAAUCUCACAAAUUAAUUUGUUGUUAAUUUGUUUAUUGCAUUGGCAUGCCACUGGUCAUUACAUUUCCUUAAUUCCUUGUGGCAGAUACCCAUCUCUCCGUGUAGCCUACGUUGAUGAGGUUGAGAAAACUAGUAAAGAUAAAUCCAAAAAGACAGAAGAGAAAGUUUAUUAUUCAGCUCUUGCAAAAGCUGCUUUACCAAAGUCUAUCGAUUCUUCUGACCCAGUUCAAAAUUUAGAUCAGGUAAAAGUUUUGAUAUUGAUGCUCUUAUUGUUUAGAAUUUAAGGCCUAUGACACUGGUUUCUAUGAUGAGAAGUGCUUCACAGGGAAGGCCUUUGUUGCCUGGCUUCAACAGUAAUUGGCAAUUGAUUGCUUUGAGGACACUUCAAAACCAAAAAGUUCUUUCAUUUAUAUGAAAAUUCUUUAGUUACAAGCAAGAAGUAAAAUAUCAAUGUUUGCAGUCAAUGAGAAUCUGGAAAUACAGACAUAUUGAUGUUGAAAUUUGAAAAAUCAUAAUAGUUAGUAGCAAAACCAGGAAUUUUUGUUGGAACUUUGAAAAAUAUAUGUCAACACUUAUAGGCAAUAGAGGUGCUAACAUAUCAAUAUAUUUAAGACAUUGGUUAUUAGAACUAAUGCAUGCCCUCUCCCAGUAGCAUUAUGUUGAAAUAGUACUCUCACUACAUAUUUAAUUUAAUAGAAUUGCAUUUUUUGAAUCCCAUGUUUAAUCAAGAACAACUGUACUCCUGCUGAUUUUGUAGACACUCCUCUUUUAUUCUAUUCUUUUCCUUGAUAGAAUCAGCUAUGCUCUGCAAUAGUGUUCUCUACAAUGUUAUCAAACUAAGAUUUCAUUUGAAAUUACAAAAGAAAGCAAAGAAGGGUUUUUACUGUAGCAAUAGUAUGCUAAUCAGAAAGUAUAAACCUUAACCAGAAAAAGAAAAAAAAAAAAGAGAGAGAGAGAGAGAGAGAACUGAGGAAUUAUUAAUCAUAAAGCUAAUUUAUUAGAUUCACAGAUAGCUGAGGAACAUAUUAGAAAAAGAUAGCCUCCCAAGGAUGAGUUAAACUCUAUAUCAAACUGUUGCAAUGAGGAAAACAUUGGUUAAGGUAUCAAGUGUUUAGGAUUUUGUAUACAGGAGGCUUUUGUAUACAAAUCAUUGUCAUAUUAUAAUGCUUUGUAAUUGAUGUUUGGAUUUUCUUCUGCAGGAUAUUUAUCGGAUAAAACUUCCAGGACCUGCUAUUUUGGGUGAGGGAAAGCCAGAAAAUCAAAACCAUGCCAUUAUUUUUACACGUGGUGAAUGCCUGCAAACAAUAGAUAUGAACCAGGUAUUAUCUUGGAUGUGCAUGCUUAGAAUUUGUGGUAAACUUGGUCCCUUGGCCUAAAGAUGGAUCUUUUAAAUGUUCAACUCGAUAGGAUAAUUAUAUGGAAGAAGCCUUCAAAAUGAGGAACUUGCUGCAAGAAUUUCUUAAGAAGCAUGAUGGUGUUCGAAAUCCAACGAUACUUGGACUUAGGGAGCAUAUAUUCACUGGCAGGUACUUUAGUUUCUGUUGUUAAUCUGAAUUGGAUUCCUGGUUGUGGCUCUUCUAGUAAAGCAGCAGUCAAUAUAACUAACUAUUCUGUUGUUCAUGACAAUUCUUCCAUUAAUUUGUGCAGUGUCUCUUCUCUUGCAUGGUUUAUGUCAAACCAGGAGAAUAGUUUUGUAACUAUUGGUCAGAGAUUAUUGGCUAACCCUUUGAGGUAGGAUUUAUGAAAAUAAUGCUUCAUAUUUCUGGUGCUAAAGGAUCCCAGUGAUGCCACCUUUGUGAGAUUUUAUAUAGACCUGGUUUAGGUGUGAUGUUAGCAUGCUUAUGCGUAAUCCAUAUUCAUGUGGGUAUAUUUUAUUGGUUGCUGUCAAGCCAUUAUUUGGUGUCCUUACCUGAACUUGGGACUGGAUUAACAAGUGCAUUAAUUAAAAUCUCUAAAACAUAUAUUUUUGACAGAUCAAGGAAUUUGAAGGCUAGGAAGCUCACAAUAGUAGAUAUUUCUAGAGAAAGCUAACUUAGCUAGUGAUACAAUUCUUCUCUCAUACUCUUUUCGUGUUCUCACUAGAUUUGUGAGUCAAGAGGUCUAUCUGAAAAUGGUACAUAUGAGACAUAUUGGAUUCCAGAAGGCGAGAUUCAAGAUUGUGUAAAUGAUAUGAGGAACACCUUUCCUCCCCCAGUGAGCCCCUUUCUCCUUAUUCCACAGAGACAAAACAUAGAAUUGGUGCCAAUCUCAGUUUUUGCCCAAAGCAGUAUCAUUUCAUCUGAAAUGGAUUAUAUCUCCAAUACAAAUUGAUACCAUAUUGUCCCUGCUGAAUGGUAUAUGAAGCCUGCCAACUAGAUGCCCCAUUGAAAUAUUGUUGUUUCAUUUUAUUUGAAAACUUGAAGCAUUAAAAAACCAGAGAGACCCUGCUAAUACACUGCUUUUGAGGAUCUAAACAUCAAUUCUUUACUUGAAAGAGAUUUUUAGAUUACUAAAAUAUGGUGAAAGUGCUCUUUGUUGAUAUUUGUGUUAUUUCUUUCACAAGGUUCUUAGGUUUCAAGGACUAUUCUUAUUGAUUCAAAGCCCAAAUUUUCUGCUUUUUGAGAAUAAUUAUUUUGUUAUAUAUAUAUAUAUAUAUAUAUAUAUAUUAACCUGAUGUGUAUAUUGAUGUUCAUCGGAUUUAAUAUUCAUAAUCUCUGUGUUUCCCCUCAUUCAGGGUUCGCUUCCACUAUGGUCAUCCAGAUGUGUUUGAUAGACUUUUCCAUCUGACUAGAGGGGGUGUUAGCAAAGCUUCCAAGGUCAUCAAUUUAAGCGAAGACAUAUUUGCAGGCAUUUCCAUAACCAUUGACUCUUUCUUGUUGAAGUAAAGAACUUGUGAUCUGCAUGUUUAACUUCAUUUGUCUUUUUUCGUCUAUCUGUGGUCUACAGGUAUCAAUUCUACGCUACGUGAAGGCAGUGUUACUCAUCAUGAAUACAUACAGGUUGGUAAAGGGAGAGAUGUGGGCCUUAACCAGAUUUCUAUGUUUGAGGCAAAGAUUGCUAAUGGAAACGGCGAGCAGACAUUGAGUCGUGAUAUUUAUAGGCUUGGACACCGAUUUGACUUCUUCCGGAUGAUGUCAUGUUAUUUCACCACUAUUGGUUUCUACUUCAGUACCUUGGUAUCAUAUGAAUCAUUCUCUCCUUACUCUGUGGAUUAUAUGAUCUUUUAUUAUUAUCUGAAUCACUCUGGUUCUGGUUUGACAGCUAACCGUGCUCACGGUGUAUGUGUUUCUUUAUGGCCGCCUUUAUCUUGUUCUGAGUGGUCUUGAAAAAGAGCUGAGUAAUAAGCCAGCUAUUCGGGACAACAAGGCUCUUCAAGUAGCUCUUGCUUCUCAGUCUUUUGUGCAAAUUGGUUUUCUAAUGGCUUUACCUAUGAUCGUUGAAAUUGGUUUGGAAAAGGGUUUUCGUAAGGCGUUAACUGAUUUCAUAAUAAUGCAACUACAGUUGGCCCCUGUAUUUUUCACUUUUUCUCUUGGAACAAAGACCCACUAUUAUGGACGGACAUUGCUUCAUGGGGGUGCAGAAUACAGGGGUACGGGUCGCGGCUUUGUGGUGUUCCAUGCCAGGUUUGCUGAGAACUAUAGGCUCUACUCACGCAGUCAUUUUGUUAAGGGAAUGGAAUUGAUGAUCCUGCUCCUUGUAUAUCAUAUCUUUGGUAGCUCAUACAAAGGCACAGUUGCAUAUAUUUUGAUCACUAUAUCGAUGUGGCUCAUGGUGGGUACAUGGCUUUUUGCUCCAUUCCUCUUCAAUCCAUCAGGGUUUGAGUGGCAGAAGAUUGUUGAUGACUGGACGGAUUGGAAUAAGUGGAUAAGCAACCGCGGAGGUAUUGGUGUAUCUGCAGAGAAGAGUUGGGAAUCCUGGUGGGAAAAAGAACAGGAGCAUCUCCAUCAUUCUGGGAAACGUGGCAUCAUAGCCGAAAUAUUGUUGGCCUUGCGCUUUUUCAUCUACCAGUAUGGGCUUGUAUAUCACUUGAGCAUUACCAAGAGCAAAAGUUUUCUGGUAAAUGCCUUUCUGCAUUUUCUUCAAUGUUGACAGUGAGAUUUAUCAUGUUUAUGAAAUGGAUACUAAAUUGGACUUAACACUUUUUCUAUGGGUUUACAGGUUUAUGGUAUCUCAUGGGUGGUGAUCUUUGGAAUUUUGUUUGUGAUGAAGGUGAAUGCCUUUCCUACCAUAUAUCUUGAAAAAGCACCAAGUUUUCAUGGUUCAAGUAGUUACAUAGGACUUCUCCCUUCAUAACAUAGUAAGAGGCCAGAUCUUUUAGUCCAAAAAUUAAAUACAAGGAGGUUUCCCUCAUGGUUCUUCUUGGUGCAACCAAAACCGUAUCCCUGGCAUGCAUAAUGGAAGUGGCUUCAGACAUGAAAAGUAUGCUUCAAUGUAUUGCUAUUCUAAAAGAUUGUGUCCAACUCCAUCGUUCCAUUUAGCUUCCUCCAUAUUAGAACUUUAACUACUGGAUUGCAGCACAAUGUCUAAAGCCAGAGGCUUGUACUAAACUUGAACACUAGAGUCGUUAUAGUUGGAUGCACAUCAACUAUGUUUGUGAAACCAGCAAGUCAAGCUGGUGAAAUCACCAGGUGGGUUGCGCUGUAAACUUUGGAUUGAAUCCUGCCUUCAGCAAAGUUCUAGGCAGUUCAAUUUAAUCCCACCUUCAGCAAGGUUUUGAGAGUUUAAAAUUUAGCUAAAGGCUACUCCAAAAGGGAAAAUUUUGUUUGAGGCUUUCACUUUUGACUUGAAAAUAAUACGCAUGCCUUCUUCCAACUGUGUUGCAUUUGUUUUUAACAAGAUUGGUCAAAUUUUUGCAGGCUCUCUCUGUUGGAAGGCGAAGAUUCAGUGCAGAUUUUCAGCUUGUGUUUCGACUGAUAAAGGGUCUUAUCUUCCUCACCUUUUUUGCCGUUUUGAUCAUUCUAAUAGUAGUUCCCCAUAUGACAUUUGGCGACAUCUUGGUGUGCUUUCUUGCAAUUUUGCCAACUGGAUGGGGAUUGCUGCUGGUCAGUGAUAAACUCUAGUCCCUAUCUUGUUUGUUACUUUUUCUUUUCUUGUCUCAUUUCUUUACCUUGUGAUACUGGUUGCACUGUGAUUGUUGUUGUGAAACAAAAUCCAGUCUUGUUCCUUCAGUUUCAUUAUCUGAAAUCUGUUUGUGUCACUUCUCUUUGUUGUUUAUAUAGAUCGCACAGGCCUGCAAGCCUUUGGUUGUGAGAGCUGGAAUUUGGAAAUCAGUCAGGACACUUGCUCGUAGUUAUGAACUAUUCAUGGGCUUGAUUCUAUUCAUCCCAGUUGCCUUCCUGGCUUGGUUCCCAUUUGUUUCAGAAUUCCAAACAAGAAUGCUCUUCAACCAAGCAUUCAGCAGAGGUCUACAGAUUUCUCGUAUUCUUGGUGGACAGAGAAAGGACAACUCCUCCAACAACAAAGACUAAAUCCAUCCCCUUCUCGCGAAUUCUCCAAAUCUUUCCUGUACAACUCUUGCUCAUUCCUCAGAUCAUAUAAUCCUAAAAAUGUAAACUGUCAUAGCUACCUCCUUCAGUGUAAAGGUUCAAACUAUGAUCACUUCAUUGUGGAAACCGUGUUCUCUUUCUAAUGUCAAAAUGCAAAUGCCCUUCUAUUCCCAGUUUUUGAAUUCAUAUCUGACUCAAGAUCCACACAUUACACUACAAAAAAUAUUACUAUACAAAAUUUUCUCCCUUCCAAAGAGCAAAAUUUUCCAUAUACUUCACUAGGAUUUUGAUUGAAAUAUUGAAAUCUGAUGCAUAUUUUAUUUAAAUUCUAUGACGAUAUAGUAUAUAUCGUCUACAACCCCUCUCAUACAGACAUUAUGUUCUUGUCUUGGCCCAUGAAGAUUACAGAUGGCCAAAUCCUGUAUUUUUUUUCGUCUGGGAAUUGGCUUUUCUAUUAUUUAUCAUGAUGACCUUUCUAGAUAUUGUCCUUUUAGAUUCAUUGAUUCUCACGGUUUUAAAAGAUGUCUACAAGUAUCAAUGAGUUGCUUCUCGUAGGUUUAAGAAUUUCCUCGAAGACCAUGUGAGAUAUCAUAAAUAAAUACAGCCAGGAAUUUAAACAAAAAAAAAAAAAAAAUGAUAUAGAUUGAGACUGAAUGAGACAUCUAGGCCAAACUUGCUCCAUUUUAUGCCAAGAAGUUUUUGAGGUACCAUUUCUGAAAUCAAAAGAAUUUAAGGAAAAUUGUGUUACAAAUUUUUUUUUUAAAAAGGGUCAUGUAUACUCCACCUUCUGCCUCUUCACCAUUUCUUUAUCAUUCAUUCUCUUGAUAAGGACUCUGGUAGUCUGGUGGUUGACGAACUGUCCCUUAAAAUGCACUUAGCUUUGAGUCACAAUGAAUCCUAUACCUUCAAAUUCAUUGCCCACCAAUCAAAAGGACCCCAGUGCCCUAAGAUGAUUGGUUGGGUUUUAACAAAGCUAAAUGAGGGUUUUUGUUUUGGGGAUUUUAACAAAUUUGUUUCGAAAUUACAUAAACAACAUAAAACAAUUUUCUAAUUUUAAAAUUUUGUUAUAGAUUUUUUACUAAAAAUAAUUUAUUGAAAAUAUGCUAUUUUUAAAAAUAAAUUUGAGGUAUUUGUUUUUUAAAAAAUAAUUAAAAAUAUGAAGAAUAUUGCAUCAUAUAAUACCUUUUAAAAAGUAAAUUAAAAUAUAAAAAAAUUUGUGUUAUAUAUAACAGCAUAAUACCUUCACUAAAAAUAAGUUGAAAAAUCUAUUUUCGAGAAUUAUUUUCAAAAUUGUGGUUCACACUAUUAUUAUUAUUAUUAUUAAAAGGUGGAGUGAAAUAAAAUAUUUUUUACAAAAAGAUUUAUUAUUAUUAUUAUUAUUAUUAUUAUUAUUAUUAUAACUUACCUAAAAAGUUGGUUUUGAUUGAGCAUUUAUGAUAUUAAAAAAUUUAAUUCGUAUUUAAUGAAAUUGAUAUUACUCAUUUAAAAUUGUAGGUUUUAUUUCAAAUUUUAAGAUAUCAUACUUGUCCACUUGAAAUUAUAAAUUUCAACUUUUAACUUCAAAUUAAAAUUUAAAGGGCAAAAAAAUGCUAAAUUAAAAAACAAUAAUGUCACAUUAACAAGAUUUUUUUUCGAUGUUUAAGCAAAUUAGGUUGGAUUAGUAACUAAUCCAAGCCUAGUCCGACAUGACUUCUAAUUCAAGAUAUUUAAAAAAUAAUAAUGUCAAAUUAACAAGAUUUUUAUAAUAUUUAAGCAAAUUAGGUUGGAUUAGUAUCUAAUCCAAGCCUAGUCCGACAUGACCUCUAAUUCAAGAUAUUUAACUUGAAAACAAAAUAUUUUUUUCAACCUUAAGUUGAUUUCAAAUUGAAUUUAUAUCAAUCAGGUUCUAUCAAUCUAAAUUGAAUCGAAUAAGAUUGGAUUUUGUUGAAUCUACUUUUCAACAUUAUUUUUUAGAACUUGUUUUAUAUAUUCAUUUUAAAAUAUAAAUAUUAAAUCCAAUAACAUUGUAAAAUAAUAAUAAUAAUAAAAAUAAAGUAAAACAUAAAUUCAUGUAUAUAUAAAUUUGAAUUAUAAAACCUUAAUCAAAGUACAACCUAAGUAAUAAAAAGAACUAUUCAAGUAUAGUGAGAGAUCAAUUUCCCAAUCCAUCAAAAUUGUAACCCUAACAUUGUUUUGAUCAUCACUUUAAGAAUCUUAUAAUUGUUUUGUUAAAUAAGUAAUAAUAUUAAUAAAAAGGAAAAUAGAAGAGGGCACAUCGUAAAUAGAAGGCAAGGGAGGGAACAUUUGGGCACCGAAUCCGGAUCUCGAGGCAAGACUGACGAUCUGAGCCGUCCAAAAUCGAAACUAAAAUCCAACCGUCCAUCACCUCCUCGUUCUACUAUAAAUAGCCCAACCCCUCCCGAGUCGACCCAACAAACAAACGGCUUCCUAAUAUCCGGAUUGUGAAUUUCCAGGUCUCGGCAACAUCCCUCUCAUUUUCUAGGGUUUCUUCCCCUUCUAAAAUUCAAAAUUUUCUUCUUUCCAACGGUUAUUUUUCUCGAUCCAGGCCAGACACUCAGUGUAUCAGUUGAUUUCUAGGGUUUUUACAACGGUUCUGAUCUCCCAUUUCUCUGUGGAGAUUGGAUCCGAUGAACGAACAGUCUCAGAUGAUGGAUCAAUCUCAGAUGCUGAAUCGAAACUACGUCGCUUGGCCGCCACCACCGGUUCCUCCGCUGGAGGAGCCGAUCAAGUUCCAGGCGUCUCAAAGACCUGUGUUUGCUGCCACUGCGAAGCCGGGCCGGGGCAAUUGGAAGGGGAAGAAGUCCGAUAAGCGCAAGGAAAUCCGGCGGAAGGACCCCCUCGGAUUAGGUACCGCAGUCGCUGGCGGAGUUGGCGGGUACAUGCCUCCCAAUCUUAACGAGUUGCAGUCUCAGAAUCGGUUGAAGGCUCGCAGGUUUUACCCAAAGAAAAAGUUUAAUAAUAGAUUUGCCCCGUUUGCACCGAGAAAUACGACGUCUUUUAUAAUUAGGGCUAAGAAAUCCGGGGGUAUUGCCUCUCUGGUUUCGCCAUGUCCGGUGACUCCAGCGAUACUUCCGACGCCGAUAUUCUCGCCGUCGAGGGAGGUUUUGGUGGAUAUGGCGAAGGAAGAGUGGGGUGUCGAUGGUUACGGGUCUAUGAAGGGUUUGAUUCGGCUCAGAUCACCUGGGCACGAAGCGCGUGACGAUGAGGAAGAAGAGGAUGGUGGGUCGAGUGACAGUGAUGUAGAAGAACAUGUUGAGGUGGAGAGGAGGUUGGAUCAUGAUUUGAGCCGCUUCGAGAUGAUUUACCCAAAUUGUAGUGAUGAGCAGACCAAUCUAUUGGAGAACAGAGUGGACGAUCAGGAUACGCAUAUCGCGCAACUAGAGGAGGAGAAUUUGACGUUAAAGGAGAGGCUUUUCUUGAUGGAGAGGGAGUUGGCGGACUUGAGAAGGAGGGUGCAUUGUUUGGAAACUGAUGGCGGCCGAUUAAGGGAGAACAAUGAAGAGGCUUCCGAGAACGCCUCAGAUAAUGAAGGGGGUGGAGAUGUUUGCUCUGAGAAGAGUGUCGGUGACGGUGAUGGUGAUUGAUUCAAUCAUCCCUCCCGGUUACCGUGUAAGUCUCUUCUCUGAAGACACAACUGUAGCUAUGCUGAAUGGGUUUUUGCCCUGCUUUUCUGCUGGUUUUAUCUGUGCAAAUUUCUGUAUAUAUGUCCUGUAGUCUAGAGUUGUGUGGUAGAUUUUAGUGGAGUUCACUCUCUCCCUCUUACCUACAUUUCUGUUUAAUCUGACUGUGGCUUUGUGGACUAGGUUCUAUCGACUCCAAGAUAGGAAUUCAUAAUGUUCUGCAGAGUCCAGACUCCAAACAGACUCUUUUAUUUCUGACCUAUAAAUUCCUUGUUUGUUUAAAUAUGCUCUUUUAAUUCUACUAUUGCAGUUUUCCGUUUUCCUCAAGAAAAACGGAAAUAUUUGAAGCUGGUAAGUACCCCUUGUUUAUUCUCUUUCAUCAAAAUGCUUUGUUGUUCUUCUUCUACUAGAAUUUUAUUGAGUGAAGAGAUAUGGGUAUUACUUGCAGUAAGUUUCAGUCUAAAAUGUGUAGGAUGCUAUUUUGAUGGCCGAUAGUAUAAAAGAAGCUCGAGUUUUCUCUGUAAGUUCUCUCUUGUGGUAACAGCUCAGGAAAAUGGAAAAAGAAAGCCUUUUGAUCAUCUGCAGAAGGAGAUGAAUUAUAUGAGGAGGCAUACGGAUUCAGAAGACAUGCUUAGAUGGUUGUUAUGCUGCUUCAUAUCUUAAUUCUGAAUAAAAUACUUGGGUAUUUGUAUUUGAAGUUUGCUUGUCUGAUAGGGUAAGAGAAUUUUUGCUGAGACUCCAGGGGAGUGGUCAUUGAAAAUGAAGAUGUAGAAUAAAUGUUAGUAACAUGCAUCACUAUAGACCUGCAGGUGAGGUUGGAUUAUGAAUCUUAGGACGUUUGCUUUUGGUGGUCCUAAAGAGGACUUGAUUGUACUAUUUGGAAUCAGAAUAAGAAUACCUUUUAUUUUUGGAGGCAACUGCUCUCAUCAUCUUUUUCCCCUUUAAUUUUGAUCAGCUUGUGUAUGUAAAAUAAAUAUAUGAUUCAUUUGUCAUAUGUGAUUGAGUUUUGCAUACUUCUGAUAUUCCAGCUUUUUAGAUUUGAGAACAUCUUAAAUUAAUAUUUUGGGUAUUGAAAUUAAUACAUAAGCAUUAUUGAUCAGAUAGAUGGGGAGGUGGGUUGCAUGUAUUUGCUUUUGUUAGUUAAGCGACGAUUAGAUAGAUGAGGUGGUUUGCAUGUAUUUGCUUUUGUUGGUUUUAAGAUAUUCUCUUCCCUUCUUUUCAAUGUAUUGGACCUUUUGGAAAUUAGCGAGAGAUGCGGUUGAAAAAGUGCCAAAGUGCCACAGUGACAACAACUAUUUGAGCACUUCAAGUGUUGUAAGCAAAAAAAAGCAAAUAGCCUUUUCCUUUUCUCAUGAAGAUUUUAGCGUUUGUUGAUUUAAAAAAUACAAAAAAUGUAGGGUUGAUGAUGCAAUUGUAGGCUUGUGAAAGUUGGACCUUUUGAAAUCCAAGUGCUAGGAGUGGAUUUCUGAGCACAGAAAGAUGUGUUUAUGCAUUCUGCAUCAUACUCUUGUAUAAGCUCUUAACAUUUGCCCAUUCUUGUUAUGGCCAUUAUUUAGGGGGCAUAUUGUAUUGUGUCAAAUCCUUUUUUGCCCCUCUUUUUUGCUUCUCUCUCAAGUCAUCCUCUUUGCAUCAACUUCUUUUCCUGCAAAUGUUGGCGUGUUGGGAUGUGGGUGGAGAAAGAUAAGAAUGACAUUGAAAGACUUGUCUUGGGGUUUAGAUGCCCCACUGGUGAGGUUCAUGCAUUAAAAUUAGAGUUUGAUAAAAAUCUAGGUAUGUGGGUGGAGAAAGAUAAGAAUGACCUUGGAAGACUUGUCUUGGGGUUUAGAUGUCCUACUGGUGAGGUUCAUGCAUUAAAAUUUGAGUUCGAUAUAAGUCUAGGUAUCUGGACUUUCAUCCAAGUUUCAAAGGAAAGCCCCUUGGAUGAAUGAACUAUCAUUUGAAAUGAGGCCACCCUGAGCAGAUAGGACAAGUGUCAAGCUUCAUAUAUUUAAGCUAAACAGCCUAAACCUAUUGAACUCAAAUUUUUAAUGAACUUGAAGGUGCUUCCCAAUUGCAUUGCAGGUGGGAAAAUCAUCACCCGCAAUUUCACCUGCUGGCUGUUGCAGGGAAUCUCAUCCACUGCAUGUUCACUCAUCCCUAGAACAGCUUUGCUGUCAUCCCAUUCUUUCAAAGCUGCCACCACUUUUGCCUUUCGAUCCAUGAGUCCAUGUUGGCCUGUAUCACACUUGGAAUAAGGUAGAGAAGGAAUUGCAGAGACAAGUCAUCAACAGAUUAGAGAUCAAUGUGCAAGAAUUGACACUGCAAAUUAACAGAAAAUAACAGGCAACUUGCUUACCAGUUACUAACAUUUGAUCAAUUAAAGAAAUAUACAAGGGUAUAGGGGUAUGCAACAAAUGAAUGCUGUGUGUUUGCUUCCACCACUUGCACACAACUAUUGCAUCAUAUGUUUUUUCUCCUUUUUUUUUUUUUUUUUUUUUCUCUUUAUGCAUUUCUAGCCCCAGACAACACAUGCAGAGAUGAAGCGGUACAGGCCCGAGACUUUGGCAUCUGUGGCUCCAGGUCUUCCUUAAGCAAGACGUUCAGAUGCCAAUCUCCCCAGAGGGAAAGAGAUAGCUGCAGUUAAAAAGAGGAAGAUCAAGCUCUUUAUCAGCCAAUAUCAAUAAUCAGCCCUCAGACCAAACUCAUGCUCCACUCUUCAACACGUCAUCAAUGGUUAGAGCUGACAUCUUCAGCAGAUGGAUUUACUAUUAUCAACAGUGCAAUUACGGAUGCUGCCUGAACUAAACAACUGUUGAAGAAUGCCCAAAGAUAGGAAUCAGAAGAUCUAAUGGUUACUGGUGGCUGGAGAACUAGUAACCAACUCUGCUCAUCUGCAUUUGCUCAGAGGAAGGAGGAGGAAUAUGAAUCAGCUAACAAAGGUCUGAUUUCAUCUAAUGUUGGUAGCAUUGCCUUGAAUUUGCUUAGAGGAAAAAUCCCAUCAUUGUUUUUUCAAUAGGUUUCAUUACUUUACAUGUAAAAUGUUUGUCUCUGUGUUAGGAUAUAUACACACCCAUCAGUGAACUAAGGAAUGAAAGAUACAUGCUCAUUUCUGUAUCGGAUUCAUUUGAUAAUUUUAAUUUGUUGUAAUAGUUGCACCGAGUUUUGUUUGAAUACCUUGUAUCAAUAUAACAUUGAGACUGACACGAUCUUUUCUGUGUAGAAGAAAAAGUAAACCUGGAGGAUCAUAGGAUGAAUGUGAAAAAGUGUCUCAUCACUUGGGAAUAUAUAGCUUUGUUCAUAGGAAGCUUCAACUUGGUCCCCUGGUAGGUGAUAAAGAGUACAUGUAAUGUCAAAACUCCCAUUGUCAAGGAAUAUUACGCGGUUGCUUCAAGAAAACGCUUCUAGAAAACACUACAAAGUAGUAAGAAAAGAAUCCUCGUGUUUGAAUGCCAAUCACCAAGGAAUAUUAUGGGCUUUGCUUAGAAAGAAUCAUUUCAACUCUAUCAUCUCGUUGCAGAUGAUUUUAUGAGAAAAUCAAGACAGAAGAGAAGAGGCAUUGCAACAUUGUUAGUGGAAGAAAACCAUACCCCUAACGUCCUCCACAGAAAGAGAGGCCUUUAACUGCAAUUGAAGAGGAAGGAAGCCUUUACCGCAAUGUAUGCAGCUUCCCCAUUAUAUUUUGAGGAAAAGACAAGAUUAUUUACUAUGCUUGUGAAAGAGACCUUUUGAGUUUCAGCUCACAGUUGGAAGUUGGAAUAAGUACUUAUUAUUUGGGCUUUGGAUCACGACAACUGAUUCUGUGGGCAUAGAGUGAACCAUAUGAUGAGAAUUUAAAUUGCAUAGGAUCACAUGUUGAUAAUUAAGCAUGCAUUUAACAGCAAAAUUCAAUCCGUUACCUUGGUUUGUGCUUUGGGAAGUCAUUUUUGCUCUCCUUUGAUAUCCAAUUAUCUGCUUUUCGGGUGCGUGAUGGUCCGAGAAUGAGCGAUUAAUGAGCUCUUCCCUUUUCUCCCAAAAUUCAGUCCAAAGUGGAGUGUGUGAGUGUGUUUGCCGGGAGAGCUCUUCAAAUAGAGAAGAAAGGAUGCUCACAAAAAAUGCAAACACAUCUCUAUAUAUAUAUAUAUAUAUAUGUAUUGCACAUUACACACUUUAGUUGGACGACUUGACUUAAUGGGUCAGUCAAGUGAAUUAGGGUGAGCCCAUAAAAAAUCAAGCAACAAUAUGUGUCCAGUUUCAUUAUGGACCACAAUGCAAAAAUAAAUUAACACUGAUUUAUGAUAUUAUCAAAUUAAUUAUGUAAGUUCACACAUAAAAAUUCCAACACCAUACUGUGACCGUCUUUGGCCUAUUAACAGAUGUGAAUUUUAUAAAGUUUAUAUAGUGAUUAGUCAGGCCGGGAGAGAGAUAAGGUACAUGAGCCUUUAUGUAAAUGUAUUAUCAUUCCCUCAAAAAGGAAGAUUUCAUAUCUGUUGCUUAUUUUUAAGUCAUACGGACCUUGACCCAGAAUGUGUAAUAUCUACAUAUAGCGGGCAGUUCCCAUUUACAAUUUUACGUGCUUUUAUCAAUCAGAGUCAUAGGAAAUGCUCUUGCCAAUGGUGGUAUUUCUCUCUCUUAUUUGUCUCUGGUUUUUUCCUGCUUUACAUCAAGUUUCAAAUUCGUAGUCUCAAGCUAUAAUGUAUAUGGUAUACCCUCAAAACAACUUAAUGCAAUGAAUCUUGGGAAAAUGAGAUACGUAAUCGAUCAAGGCCAUCUUAUCUCGAACUCUUUAAUUAAAUAUCAUUGAUGAACCCAACUGUUCAUUUCCUAAGCUAGCUAACUGCCUUCACCCUUCUCGACUUCUGAAUACAACACUUUUAUUCGAAUGCACAAAGCUAGUACAAGAAGAGCCAAACAAAUUGCAACCACAACAUGUCAUUUCAAACUGAACACAACAUAAAAGAAAUCCACAAAUCCACCCAAAUAUAAUAACUCACAAUGAUAAGAGGCUUAAAACCUCUUAAGUUGGUCUGGACAACAUCCGUGCUGCAUCAAUUAUACUCUCUGCAUUUUGUUGAGCCAAUUGCAUUUGAAGUUGAAGCAGUUUUAAUCGACUUUCAGCUUCAGCCAUGGAAUAUUCUUCUGUUCCUUCUUCUUCUUCUGCCACUGGACUUGCUUCAGCUGUAGCGCAGCCCAAAUGAGUCCCAUAAUCACAACUCUUGCAGUAGUAGAUCCAGCAGCCGUCGGGGACAUUGCCAUGGCAGACAUCACAGAUGAAGGUGUUGCCUUCCUCUUUGUAUCCGCAGUAGAAGAGAGUAAGUGGGUGUUGAUGAUCUCCACGUAUCACUGUUUCAGGCAGAGAAGCACAUCCAACAUGAAGGUCAUAGUGGCAAGUGGGGCAGUGGUAGGUAAAAUCAUGGCCACCAUGUCGACAAGCAUCACAAGUGAAUCCACCCCCAUAGUAAGGUGGGGUGGAGAGAAGGAUCAGAGGAUGCCAUGGGUGGGACUUGUGUUGGAUCACUUGUUGAGGUAAGGGGGGGUGGUGGUGGUUGAAAUAGUUUGCCAUCUCCCUCUUCUCUCUUUGGGUGAUCUUGUAAUGAAUCAUCUCUUGCAGAGAAAAUGUAUAUACAUAUAUACAAGUUGUGGCAAUGCUGUUAAGCAAGUUGUUGUUCAGUUUUAUAUAAUGCAUGCCCUUCUAGGCCUCAUUUUUCCAUUCUUAAUCUUCACCUUUCUCUCUAGACAAGAAAAUAGGCACCAUGCCACUCAUGGGAAGUACCCAUUUUCCUUGUUCAUUUUUUUCCUUGUUUUCGGCUAGUUGACCAAGUCGUGUGUGUCUGCACAUAGUUCUAAGUUCUUCUGCAAUACCCUCUUUUUCAAAGUUGACUUGUUACCGUCUAUGAAGCUUUCGAAGUCUAUUCUCGCUAAACAUGUCACCUCAGUGAAAAGAUAAACUUUGCUCCCGAGUAGAUAUUAUUUGGGGCAAAGCUUUCAUGAUUUUGAAACGAGAGGGGUUAAAAGGAUUUUAUUUUAUGCGUAGUGCAAGAAAAUUUUUUCCCAAGCACGAUAUUCUCAUCUUAUAAAGUGGGAUUGUGGGAUCAAGCACAUAAAUACCUUGUAAACAAAUUGACUCUUAUGUUAAGUUAUAGACCAUUUGUAAUAAUCUGUUUCAUCCUAUUGAUUUAAGAUUAGUACAACAUUGAGGAACUCAUAUUUAUAAGGGAGAAAAGUUCUUGACACUAUACGUGAAAUCUGUCAACUAUAUGAUCCCACAAUCCCAUGGGAUGUGAUCUCAAAUCAAUUAAAAGAAAAUUCAUGACAAUGUAUAUGUAUUCAACUCUCUUCAUUAUAUACUUGAAUUUUUAAGUUGUUUGGACGUUGGCCAUCCACACACAGUGGGUCACUACAUAUGCAAUUUUUUGUGCCUUCAUGGAUAAUUGGCGAACAUGAAGGUCAAAUUGGCAAGCGGCACAGUGGUAUACAAAAGCAUGGCCGUAGUAUAGACAGGCCUCACAAGUGAAGCCACUGUCAUCAUAAGGUGGGGAGGGGAGAAGGGUGAGAGGAUGGUGAGGGUGGGACCUCUGCUUAAUCACUGGGGCUAAUUUGAAGCAUGAGUCAUGGAGGAGGAAGUCACAGUUGGAGAUGGUGCACUUGUAGGCUGAGCCUGAAAGGCCUAGCUCACAACCAGAGCAGACGAACCCAUCUUCCUCUUUCACUUCUGCAUGGCACAAGGGGUGUUUGUGGCUGAAAUGCUUCACAACUGCCAUUUCUCUCUGAUCUUUUCUUAUCCUGUAAUGAAUCAUUUAAUACAUGGAUGAGUAUAUGUAUAUACAAGUAGAAGCUUAGAUUUGGAUGCCAGCUUAUUGUCUUCCCCAGUGGUUAGACUUUCUAUCAUUCUGUGCCUCACUAAUUUCCAUGUAGAAAAAAUGCCUGUGGCACGUUCAUGGCAAGUUGCAGUUUUCUUAGCAUUGUCCGCCCCUUCGGCUAGUUGACCAAAUUGUGUGACCACUUAGCAUAAACAAAUGGUUGACUCUAAAAAUUACGAGUGGGCCUUUGAAUUAUGAAUUUUAAUUUAUUUAUUUAUUUUUAAAUACUAGAUUAACUUUAAGUAUGGUUUGUGUUCAAUUUUAAAUUGGAUUAUUAUGAAUAUCUACAAAUUGUUAUGCAAAAAAAAUUCAUAUAUAUUGUCACAUAAGCAUGUGCUAUUUUAGAUUGAAUUAUUAUGUGGUGAUGUAAUAGGUUAGAUUACAUACUGUUUGAGAUAUAUAACCGUAAUUUUUCUAACAAAAGUAUAGGGCUCAAAACAAUAAAUUAAAAUCAAUAUCUUGCUAUAGAUGAGAAUCUGUUCAUCGUUGACAAGAUUUAUUGUAGAGAAAGUAAAAGCUAAAUGAAUCCAGGUAACAUCAUCCAUCUUUCAUUUUCAAGGAGCCCAUUAGCUUAACGAUAAGGCCAAGUCAUUAGCUGUGCAAACAUCCUGGUCCUGUUCAUCUCAUUCUGCAGCCUCAUCAUCUCAAGCUGAUUCUCCAUCAUCUCAUCCACCACUUGCUUAAAGGGAUUAUUAGCCCCAUCAUCUGACCCACAUGGCUGAUCAGUCUGGGACUGAUCAGCCACCUCACCGCUGGCCGGCUCCUCCAUCCCUGGCUGCUCAAUCGCCGCCGUGGCACAUUCCAAGUGGGUCCCAAAGUCACAUUCAGCACAGUAGUACACCCACUGAUGGCGGUCCGCCUCAGACAAAACUGACCUUCUCGUCAUCAUAAGGAGACUCAAAGGUCAGCUUCAGUUCAUGUGGGUGUGCAUCAAGAAGUACAGUGCUGGGUAGAGAGGAACAGUGAAGGUGAAGAUCAAACUCACAUUCAGCACAGCUCUUGCUGAAGGAGUUUGCAGCUGAGCCACAAGCAUUGCAGGAGAAGGAUCCAGAUGGGUAUGUGGGGGCUGGCAGCAGGGUGAGUGAGUGGGAAGGAUGAGAUGGGUGUUUGAUCCAGCGAGGUAAGUUGAGACACCGGUCAUGGAGGUAGUAUUUGCAGGCAAUGCAGCCAUAGAAGGUCUGCUCAGCUAUGAGUCUGUCACAAGCCUUGCAAUUGAUCUCUUCGCCUUCAUCCAGUCUCAAGGAAAGCAGGAGAUGGCUAUGGUUGAAAUACUGAUAACUCAUAUUUUUCUUUCCCUCCUCUCUUGUGCUUCUCACAUUGCUGUUCAUGUUCAUAUAUGAGAUGCAGCUUAUGUAUCAGCAGGCACAUCCCUUCUGGCACACUCCCCCUUUUUUUUUCCUUUGUUGGGUAACCUUCUAGACAGGCUCAUCUGAGUCAAGUCAAGAAAGCAAGUCUUUAAUGGGGUUUAGGAUAUGCAUCUUCUGGUACAUUGGAUCAUGAUCAUCACCAUCUCAGUAUCCCUGCAUUAAGUCAAGUCAACGGUGAAUCUGCAUAGGUAGGCAGAUCUGCUUUGGAUGCGUGUGGAAAACAGAUCCCUUGUUUUCAGACCAUUAAUUAGUCCACUUGAGGGCAUCAUUCUCAUCAGCUGAACCCAAUACCACAGCCUUGGGCCACAAGGUUUCUUUCAAUAGGUUUUGUUGUGAAGUUUUCUCCAUUGGAGUAGACCCACCGGCAAACUCUAGUGUGCUUAAUUGAUCUUACUUUUUUUUUUCAUGAUUUGAUCCUUGAAUUCUAACAAAAUUUGACUAGGAAACUUCAAGGAAAGAACACUAGAAAUUUUGAAAAUAGUUCCCAACAAACAGUUUUUUAAAAUAGGAAAUUCAUGCUAAAUUCCGUUUAUUUGACUAGGAAAAUCUUCUUAGAAAUUAAGAAGGUUUUGCUUGGAAACUCUGAUUUAUGAAACAAUUUUCUCAGUUUAUUAUUCAUGAAAGUUGUAAUGACUCGUUCUCUCUUAUAUAAAUAUCAUCUACUCUAAGACCAUGGUCCCUGUAAAAUACAUCUACUCGGUUGAGAAAACUUAGGUAGGAACUCUUCCAUGUUCAAUAUAGGAUAUCAUAAAAAUAAAUUUCAAGUUUUCUUCAUAUCUUUAAUUGUUUUUCAAAAGAAAAUAAGUUAUCAAAAAGUCUUUUUCAGCUAAAAUAAUUGCAAAACGUAUGUUUUAAGUUAAAAAACUGGCUCCAAGAACACUCUCCAAACGGCCCAGAGAACGAUUCUUUGAAGCUUUGUUUUCCAUGUGAAUGCGGAAAACCAUGCCAUAUCGGCAGCAAAGGAUAGAAACCAUGGAGGUUGACUUUGAGAGCCAACCUACCGACCAGUAACUUCAUUCCAAGUUUCCACUUAGCUCACAAUUCAUUGACAAAGUCACCUACCUACUCACAAUUAUCAAACCCAAUAUUACGUUUCCCCAGUAUCCUUCCGCGUCCUCUAUUGGUUGACUUGGUCUCCUGUUGUCAGCAACUUGAUGCUAUUGCUUCAAUAAUAAAAUUAUCUCAGGAGCUUGAACCCAUUGAGAGAGAGAGAGAGAGAGAGAGAAAGAGAGGGAUGGGAAGAAUGAAUCAGCAACCUGAAACUGUAAUCCACCAUUUCAGCCAUUCACAUCCCUUGCAGCUCUCCAAUCAUCAUCCCCAACAAACCCUAACCCUUGCCUCAUGCUCAGGAUGCAAGCUCAAAGCCAGUGGAUUGAUCUACGACUGCAAGCGCUGUAACUACUUCCUCCAUAUCUCAUGUUCUCAAAUGCCUCAACAGAUCACUCACUCAUUUCACAAAGCCCAUGCCCUCUCCCUCCUCCCAAAUCCUGCAUACCCAGAAGGCUUAUUCAACUGUGAUGCAUGUGGAAAGCAGGGCAAUGGCUUCUCCUACCAUUGCGGAGUCUGCAACAUUGAUCUCCAUAUCUUAUGUGCUUCUAAGCCGUUGUUUCUCAAUCACCAAUCCCACCAUCACCGGCUUGCCCUUUCAUUCUCACCUCCUUACCAUAACAAAAGCUUCUCUUGUGAUAUAUGCCGGCAGAUAGGGACCAGCCACUGGCUCUACCGAUGCGACGAGUGUGAAUUUGAUGCCCACUUGAGCUGCGCAACUGCUACGCCUGCAGCUCCAAUCCAAGCCCCACUGCAACAAAAUUUUAUGCAGCAGUUCCAAACAGCAUCACGAGCCACUCCUCAUGGCCAUUUUCCUAGGAACCAAUCAGCAAUAGGUCAGAACUAUAUGCAGCAGUUACAAACAACACAACCCACUCUCCAUUGCCAGUUUCCAACUGGGCAGAACUAUAUGCAACAGUUCCAAACAACACCACGAGCCAUUCUUCCUGGCCAGUUUCCAGGGACCCAGGUUGGAACUGGGCAGAACUACCCACCAAUGAAUCAAGUAAACAAUCUCAACCCAGGGGUGGUUUAUAGACCUGUUAGGCCUGCUGCGACAAGUGGGCAGGGAAAUUCUUUGUUGAGCCAGGCAAUUGACGGCCUAGUUAAUGGUGCUGCUCAGCAGGUAGGCAUGAACAUGGUGCAGGGAUUACUGGGUGGUGGUGGGGGUGGUGGCAGCACAGCCCUGGAUGCAGGGGGUGGAGGCACAUGGGAUGGAGGUUCUUCCUCGGUGUCUUAUGACUGCUACAGCGGAACAGAUGGGGGAUGAGGAGACUUCCAAGACACGACCUACUAAAACCAUCUCUGUCAUGUGAUGAAGAAGUUGUGUCUUCCUUCUUUUUUUUCUUUUUGGGUUUCCGAUCUGCAGUUAUAAUCAGUAUCAACUAGAAGGAACGAUAAGAUUAUGUUUAUGAAUUUUCUUUCUCCCAAAUUAUGGCUAAACUUGAGCACAGAUCCUUUGCGAUCCCCCACCAUAGGAAGAAGUUGACGUGGGGAAUUAAAGCCUUGAAAUGAAUUAAUAUCAAUAUUAAUUAUAGCACCUUCCCAACAUCUUUUUCAUCAUUUAGUUCCUCUGCCAGGCUUUGCAUGCACUCAAAAUCAUAGAUCUGGGAUUUUGAUUAUUUCAUCCUAAAAAUCUUGAAAUAUUGGUUUAAUUUGAUUUUGUUGGUAUUAGCUGCUUCACCUUCACCCAAUUUUCGAUAUUCCUUUUUAUUUAUCAUCAAACUAAUUACAUAUUCUUAUAAUUAGAUCUCAUAAUAUUAGGAAAAUUAUUUUUCUAUAUUUGAAUAAUAUGAAAAAUAAAGAAAAAUUUAAUAAAUUUUUCUUUCCUUCAAAUUAAAAAAUUUAAAAAAAAAAACCCAUUUGAAAAAAAAAAUAGUGAAGAAAAGAAAAAAAAAAAAAAGAAAAAUGAGAAAAAAAAAAUUUAAAUCAAUACAUUAAUUUUAUAUAUUACUUCAAACUUAUUUAAUUUAUUUUAAAUCUCUUAUACAGAGAUUAAAUAAAUAAAAAAUGUAUAAAUUUUUAAUUAAUUUUAUUUUCUUUCAUAUUUUGUAUAGUAAAACCAAACAUAACAAAAAUUAUUUUUCUUAUUAUUUUUUUUCUUUCCUUUGAAACCAAACAUAAUCUAACUUUUUUUUUCCUCUUUAAUUUCUUUCCCUCAAAUUAUCAAAAAAAACAUCCAUAAUGUAAAGUUAUGUUUGGUUUAGAAAAUAUUAAGGAAAAAAAAAAAGUUAAAGAAAAAUUAUUUUCUCAUAUUUGUUUGUAUUAUGAAAAAAUUGAAAGAAAAUCAUAUAUAAUUAAAAGAAAUUAUAAAUUUAUAUAUAUUUUAAAUUAGUUAAUCUUUAUAACAAAUAAUUAAAAUAACUAAUGAGUUUGAAGUAACAUAUGAAAAUAAGUUAUUAACUUUAAAAUUAUUUUUUUAUUUUUCUUCAUUUUUCUUAUAUUUAAAAAUAUUAAAUGGACGAAUAAAAUGACAAUUUACACAUUUUUAGAAUCAAAACCAACCUAAUAAGACCUUCUUCUUUUUUCAUGCACAUGUAAAAUCCCAAACUACACUUAUAUAGUGUGUUUUAUUUUUCUAUGAUUAGCAUGAGCUGUAACAAUGGUUAUUCAUAUCAUUUGUAAUAAUAAUAUGAUUUGAAAUUAGUUGUAAUAGUUUUAUUUAAGUUUUUUCACCCAAAAUAUCUAAUUAUGAGUUUUUUUUGUUUGAACAAAAAUAAGGUUUGAAUUCCUAAAAUCUAAAUUGGUUGUUUCACUCAUGAAUCUUCAUUUCAAGUCGUGAAUGAAAUUAUAAAAAUUGAAAAUCAUUUUAUUUUCACAAUAUAAUGCCUUGAUAUUUGUUUUCACGGAUAAAAACAUAUAAAAUUAUAAGAGAAAAUACUUUGUUAUAUAAGCGUGUUCUUUCAUAUUUUUAUCUUGAGAGUAAUUUUUGCUUAUAAUUAAGUCAAAUUUUGAGUAAUUUUAAAACUCGUAAAAAUUGUUCUUUCAUUUUUUUUCAUUUAUUCGAUUGGGUCGGAGCAACCAAACUCAACUCUAAUAGAACCGGAAUAAAGAAAAAACUUAAUUGAAUCAAAAUAAAAUGCACCAAUUUAUAUAGGUUCAUGUUAGUAAAUUAAAUGCAACCUAUCAAUUCCUUCUUCAAAUUCAAAUUCAAAUAAUUUUGAAUUUGUUUUUUAAUAAAUUAAUCGAUUUGAUUUUAUUUUAAUGGCUCCAACCAACUAAAUACAUUUGAUUUUUCAAACAAUUGUUAUUACUAGGCCUUUGACAAAACGGCGUCGUUUUUGUAUGAACGACAUCGUUUUGGAGGAGAAUCCUUUGACCGGACCAGCUGGUACAAAAGGGGAGCAGUAACCAGACGCUUAUCUCCUUCGUUUCGGGCCUUUUGGCGCCUCUCUCUCCCUCUAAAAGCCAUGCCUACAGUGAAGAAGAACAAGAAGCCAAGGACGAUCCUUUUCCUGAAACCCUAGAUAUUGCUUCCACCAGCGCCCUCAGUUGAUCCUCAUCCUCUCUUUCUCAGCAGGUUUUCAAUUUUGUUCUCUCUCUCUCUCUUUUAUUUCGCCGAUUCGUAAUUCACCUUAACAAGCUUGUUUGGGUUCUUAGAAAAUAUGGGUAAAAAAGGGGGAAUUGAAAUUUCGAGCCUUGGGAUUUUCAUUAUUUUUUUCAGACCCACGACGGCUAGUGAUUUUGGAAUGUGAUGAAAUUUGGGGAGGUGCAUUAUUACGACGGUCAUUUGGUACUGAUCGGUAUAUAGAAGGAUUUGGGUUUUGUUUUAUGGGAUUAAUCGCCUAGUUUGUGUAUUAAAGUUGAUAUCUUUCAUACUGGUUCCUUUAUUUGCUUGUUUCUGUAAUUUAUCUAAAUCCAUCUUGUGUGUUAUCAAUGCGGUUCACUGAAUUCUGGUGGUGUUGUUAGGUGGGCGAUGGAGAUAUUUGUGUCUCUGCUUCUAUUAGCUUCCUUUUUUCUUUUUUUUCUUUUUUUUUUUCUGCCUUCUUUGCUAUGGCUCUGAGAGUUAGAAUCCUCUUUAUGAGCUGCAAAUUCUUAGUCCGGUAUGUCUAUAGGUGUUUCUUUUCUGAUUUGCACUGCCAUUAGUUGAAACUACGUGAAAAUCCAUUAUCAUUGUUUUCUUCCUGCUCCCAAUCCAUAUCCUAUCACCUCGAUUGAGAUGGAUUCAAGAUCUGUUUAUCAACAUUUCUCCUAUCUGGUUUAGAUUUUAUGAAAUCUCGUCAUAGGCUUACUCUCUGUGGUGGUGGAAUGAGUGUUAAGGUCCUUUGAAAUUGAAGAUUUUCUUGAAUGAAUGUGUUAAUCCAGAUUCCAAUUUGACUGCACAAUGCCAGGGGGUUGUUCUGUAUUCCAAUAAAAUAAUAGGUAGUUUCUCAUGGCUUUGAAUGAAAUUCUUUUACUUUUAGUUGUUGAACCAGGUGUUGGAACUUGUUAUCCAGCCUGUGAGGGCAAAGUUAGUAACCUGUUUGACACAUUCUUACUGGACUGUUGAGUUUUUUGAGUUCAAGGGCUUGGAGCAAUGCAUUUCCCGCCCAAAGCUGUCACGAGCAAUGCAUUUCUUGCCUAGUCAGAUGGCUAUAUCUAUUUAUUUCCAGGCUAUUUCUAUUGAGGUCGACAUGUGUUGUAUUAAGCCUGUUUUAGGCUGUUUUUCAGUUAAUUGGCCUGUUUUUAGGCCCAUGUGAAGUUCAUGGACGCCUAGUUUCAGUUGGAUGCAUUGUUAAAGGGGAUGAACACUUUCUUCAGGGACCUUUGUUUCCUAUGGUUUGAUAAUAAUGGGUUUCUUCUUUACAUAGAUUGGGAUAGUUGCAUGGAAAGAGUGUGUGUGUGUGUGUUUGGUAAAUUGAUGGAACAUCAAAGUGAGGAGGAUUGCUGGAAUGUGAAGAACUUCAGGAGAAUUGCAUUAUAAUUCGGUGUACUAGGGUAGUCUGAAUGGACCAUAUCAUUUGGCAUGGAUUGAUAUUUAGUUCGAUUGGAUUGCAUCAGAAUUGUCAAUAGAUUAUUAGAGUGUUAUUUUUUUAAGAUUUAUUGCAUUGAGGGUAUGUUAGAGUUUAUAACCCAACUUGAGUAUUAUGAAUGCAAUUCAGUUAAUUCCAUUGCUGUUUCUUAUUUCCCAGCUUGGUACUAGAGGCUUCAGAGCUUCAGGUUAGAUCCUUGUGCUGAGUGGUUGCUUGGCAUCCAACUACUUCUCAGCAGAAACCAGCAAUUUGUGGGUCCUUUUCUCUAUUUGCUUAUUUCUUGCCUUGUUUUAUAAUAAGGGUCAUCUAAGCUCCAAAUUUAUAUUGGCUUUAGUGUUUUAUCUUCCUUUUUAAGUUCCUUUUCUUAUGGUUCUGAUAAUUAAACCCUCUCUAGAAGCAGCAAAUAUCGAGUCUCUCAAUUAUGUCUAUCUAAUUGUUUCUCUAUUUGUUGAUUCCUUUGCCUGUGUUUUCUAGUAGGAGUCAACUAAGCUCCAACUCUGCAUUGAUCUUCCAUUGUCUUUCUUCUUGCUAUGAUUCUGAUAAGCUUUAAUUCAUUUGCUCUCUAGAAGCAGCAAAUAUAUAGUAUCUCAUACAUGUAGAUCUUUUUAGAAUUGUACUUCUUGAAUGUGAACUUCUAUUUUUAUUUUUGUUUUUAUUUAUUACAACCACAUUCAAGGAGUGUGAUUUUGUGUCACAAAAUUGGAAAAGAAAAGAAAAGGUGUUUUUCUAAUCCCAUAUAGCAAAAACAUAAUAGAUUGCACAAAUUUUUUGUUCUCAUAUUUAUUGUAAAAAAAAUUCUUCAACAAUUAAUAUUAUUUAGGGUGAAGAAUCUUGCUCAGUGGUGCUAUAAGAUAAGGGCAUUUUCUCAUGGGUUGGAAAGAAAAUGCCCCAUUUUAGUUUGAAGAGCUGCAAGAGUUUGUUCCUCUCCUAUGGGUUCAAAGUAAGUAAUCCACUUGACAGUUUCUGAGGUGAGCCUUGGAAUUUUUCAUUCAAGCGGUUGGAGGAUUAUGUCUCCCAUCCAAACUUUUCAGGGAAAAAUGUUUCACAACCUUUUUGAGUGGUUAUGCUUAGUGAGGUUGACACUUGUUCUGAGCCUGUUUAAGUUCUUGUUCAAUUAUUAGCCUAAUCUUAGUUCUUUGUGAUGCUUCAGGAAACAUACUUUCAAUUGGAUUCAUUGCAAAAGGGAGUUGCACUUUCUUUCAGGGCCUAGGUUUUCAAUUAGCAAUGAAUUUUCUUUUUCAUGAAGAUUGCAAUGAAAUUGUGGAAAGCCUUUUUUUUCUUUUCUUAUUUUUUUGUCAUUUUUUUUCUUUUUUGCAUACUGAUGGAACAUUAGUUUGAGCGGAGGGAGUCAAGUGGAAUAUAAAUUAGUGUGGGAUUCACUGUAAUAUAUUACAAUCACAUACACCAUGUCAUUUAGUAUUGUUGUAUGUCUAGUGGGACCUUUUUAGGUUAGGAUUUGACAAUACAGUCAUAAUUGCCAACUCAUGGUUUGUAUCUUAUCAUGCAUUCUGUGUUUUAUGCAAAUUGGAAGAUAAAUAGAAAACAUAUGCGUACAAAUUGAAGCACAGAUAUCUUGCAAGAAUGACAUAUAUGCUUUGAGCACAAAUAUUGCAAGAAUGACAAAUAUGUGUUCAUAUGCCAUGUUUGAAGUUUCAACUUCCAACUUCCAAUGCUUUCUACAUUUAUAAGUUAGCAUGACUCCUUUGUGGGAAGAAAAUGACAAAAGGUUUGGAGAGUCAAUCUCCUAUGUAUUUUUGGACAAUUUGGAAGGAAAGGAAUUAAAGUGGAUUCAAUAGCAAGGUGCAUCUGGUUCAAGCACUAAAACACUCUUUCCUUAUCAAUCUCGUGACAUUGGUUAGCUUGAAUGUAGAAUAAGGCUCAAUGCUUUUAAUAGAUUUUGUAGAUUGGCUGAGAUUUGGCCAAGGGAGGGAGUAGUUUUUUGUGUUUUCUCUCUUUUUGGCAACGCUUUUUUGUACCCAUUAUAUACAUCCUGUGUACUUUGGUGUAUAAUUUUCUUUGAUAUUUAUAAUAUUUUCUUGCUUAUAAAAAAAAAAAAAAAAGCUUCCAAGUUCUUCAUCAUACCCACUAAAAAGGAAGGAAGAAAAAACUUUAAAAAGGAAAGAGAAAAACAAAUAUAUUAAUUGAAAUAUUUAUUCAUCAAAAUCCUCAAGGUUAUAUAUAUUUCUAGUCCAGUGACACCUUUAAUUCCAGCAAUACCUCUCCAAAUUAAUCAGAGGAAUGGUUACGCACUUGAGCCUCCAUAUUACACAAGUGCCUUUCUAAUAGAAAAAUGUACUACAUGUGUGCCUUCAACAACAUGUGCACUAAAUUUCCAUGCAGAAUUAUUCUUUUUCUUCCGUUCUUUCUUGUCAUUCAUUUCUAACCUUAAAGUGCCUUUUUGAACAGUAAUACAAUAAUCUUUUUGAAGAAAGAAAUUCAAACUUAUUGUUCUUAAAACUGUUAAAACUAGUCACAUGGGCUCCUACCAUGCUUAUAUAAUAUUGUAUAUUGUUUAUGUAUCAUGAGAUGCUUAAGAUGUGGUACAUAGCAGUCAUAUGUGUUGCCUAUCAUAAAAACAAAAAAUAAUGAUCAUGAAAAAGUAAUAUAAAAAAAAAAAAAAAAAAAACAGAGCAGUCAUAUGUAUCACUUCACAUGCAAAUUGUAUCAUGUAGUAUGUUUUUUCUAAUUGUGUAUGAUAAGUUUUUCACCACUGUGAGUAGCAUGUUAUUUUAUAAAGAUGUAUUGCCUUGCUUUCAUGCUUGGUCAUUUCUUUAUACACUCAUCUUUCAUAUUAUCUGUGGAAUUCAAUGAAUUCUACCCUUGUUUCUUAACUCCAACUAACAUCUCAAUUUAAUUUGGUCAUAUGGUGGCAACUAUUUGACUUUGUUGAGCUUAAUUUUUUCAUUUUUGACAAACAAACAGAUGUGAACUUCUCUUUUUUGGCUUGGGAGAAAUAUUGCUGCAAUCUUGAGCAUAUAAUCACAAGGGAAUUUUAUUUUGAUUUUGAUUUUUUUCAGGUGAAGAUUUUGCUGGAUUGGUGUGGUUUUGAUGGAGAAUAAUUCAAGGGGAGAUAUAAUGGAUCUUGAUUUAAACCUAGAGCCUUUAGACCCUCCUCAUGAUUCCAUGUUGGGAUUAGGAUCUUUAUUGACUGAAAUUGAAACUGCACAUGGACGGAUUGAAGAACGUAUCCGACAACUUGAAGCCGUUAAUUCCAGGGCUAGGCAGCGUCAGAGAUGGCGCCAAGGUCGAAUACCCCCUCAAACAACAACAAUAUCCACAGAACCCAUGCAGGUUAACUCAAUUGAGGGUAGAGUGCAAAAUGGUGAGUGUAGUGUCGCUGGCCAAGAAAGAACUGUUGAGAAUAGGGAGGGCUGUAAAAGGAAUGGAGCCUAUUUGGUAGCUAAGGCGUUGGGAAUGGGUACAAAUGCUAAUGGUGGGGCGUUGGAAAUGGGUACAAAUGCUAAUGGUGGGAGCUUUUUUGAUUGUAAUAUAUGCUUGGACAUGGCCAGAGAUCCUAUACUGACUUGUUGUGGUCACUUGUUUUGUUGGCCAUGCUUCUAUCAGUUGCCCAAUGUUCAUUCAAAUGUGAAGGAAUGCCCUGAAUGUAAUGGAGAGGUGAUAGAAACACACAUUACUCCAAUUUAUGGCCAUGGGAGCAAUAACCAUAAAGUGGCUACAGGGGAUUUAGGAGUGAAGGCCCCCCCUAGGCCUCAUGCACAUAGGAUUGAAAGUAUGAGGCAGCAACGUGUUGCCCGAGGCAUACCUUCGUUUCCAUCUGAGGAAACACUGCGGAUUAUUAGCAGCCAGAUUUCACGGCAACAGGCACGCACUACAACUGAGAGAAGCAAUGUCUUGCCCAGCCAAAAUUCUACUUCACAGGUACCACCCGGCUCUGAGGCUGAGCCCAGCCAGGGCCUCCGUUCUGUUCAGUUUUCAAGAUUAUUAUCACAAGGAACGGCUUCCUUUUCUUCCCUUUCAUCUGCAUUGAAUACUGCACUGAAUUCUGCGGAAAGAUUGGUUGAGGACCUUGAGGAGUAUAUUCAUAGCCACCUUACAAGAAGCCAUGCUUCAUCUGCUGUUAAUGAGAGAGAGACUCUUACAACCAUUGCAGCUGUUCUACAACUGGAAAGCCAAGCUCUCAGCACUGGUGUUAACACCACUGUGCCCCCUUCUUCUUCAUCCUCCAGAACUGAUGUGUCUGCCAUUGCUAUGCGCUCUGAAGACCAGGUAACAGAUUCUACCGAAAUCAAUAUAUCAGUGCCCCAUUCUUCAUCUUCUAGGAGAAGAAAUGAUGCUCCAGGAGCCUCAGAUAUGGAGACUGGAGAUACCCGUGAGCCUCGAAGGAGAAGGUUGAGAUGAUAAGUCUUUUCCAGAGGAAAAAGUUUGGCUCGAGAUAAGCUCCCUCUGACUAGAAACUGCAAUCUAGUUGUUUUCCAAAUAAGAAACUAUAAUGAAGUCGAUGAAUUCAUCAGGAUGUUGAACCAUUUUCUGUAUUCCUUUGUCCAAUGAUCGGUCUUCUGCAGGGAGAACCUGUUCAUGCUUGCAUGGUGUCCUCCUUUCAGAAGGGUAGGACUGGUGUUGCAAGCUACUGCAACACAGCCCCCCCAUAUAUGCCUUUGUACAAUUCUACUGGUAUAUACAUGUUGAAUAGCUUUUUCAUAUUUCAGAUUAUCAUUUUGCACCACUUUUAUCCCCUUUCCUCCAUCUUCAUUUUGUAGCCUAUGCUGAUGGAUAGCAUCAAAUGUAGCUUUUUCUUGCCCUUGUCAUAAUGGGGCUCAGGGAUUUAGACCAUUCAUCCUUCUAUGUGCUAUUUGUGGAAUCCAUUGAAAAAAAUCUAGAUCACUUGCUUGGCCAGGCCAUUGUUUUGUUGGAGUGAGGAAGACUAAAGCAGAUGUGGAGUGACAUGACUGAAGAAAAAUGAAAGAGGAAAGGAGGGUAGAGUUUAACUUAUUUGGACUUCAAAGAAGCAAAGAAAGAGUCUGAAUGACAGGGGUGAGGAUGAAGCUGAGGAAAGGGUUGGGGUCUUUGCGUGAUAGUGACUAGCCUCAGAAAUGAAAUGAAAUGAGAAGAAAAAAAGGAAAAAGGAAAAGGGUAAAAUGAAAAAGAGAGGAUAUCAAUCACUGCGAUAAUAAUUGGAGCAUCGGAGCAUCGGAGCAGGUAUAUGCAUAUAAUGUUAAGAGAAAGAAGGAAAGAUAAGAGGGGGUGGUGGGCCAGCAGGAAACCACCAAGGGCAGAGGGAGUGAGUUGCAGAACCGUACUAAUGAUUGCUCAUGUUGGAGCAUUGUCCCCUUUUCACUAUGCACCCUGCCCCCCACCCCCAACCCCCAACCCCCCUCCUUGGCAACUAACCCCUGCCCCUCCGGGCCCUCCCAUUUGCACCUCCACGGCCCCCACUGCUCCCCACCAUGGCCAAUCUAUAUCCUAAACAGGAUCUUUCUAAAGCAAAGAAAAGUGGAGACUGUCCUUUCCUGCAUGCAAAGUUAAAGACGUAUUUGUCGAAAGAAAGUCUCUUUAUUUUUUUUAUUGAGAUACAUUUUUAAUCUUAUUUUUUUUAUAUUUAAGUUUUUGUCUUUGCACCCUCAUUUAAUUAUACACGUGUCAGAGGUUUAAGUGAUCAAGUAAUUCUGGGAGGUUACGAUAUUAGGCAUGUGCUCAUAUAGUGAGUUUAUUUUAAUUAUAUAAUUACGAAUUUUAAAUAUUUUCAUCCCAUAAUAUUACCAUAUGUUAUGAAUUAUGAUUUUAAAACACGUUUAUAUCAUUUAAAAAUAAUGUAAACGGGGAACUUAUCCAUAUCCUCUCGUGUCUUUGGAGCACUUGUGUCCCUACUUCGGACUUGUAUUAUCCUGCAAUAUUGUAUUUGUCGCCAAAUGUAUACGUGAUAAGGAUAUAAUACGAAUAAUAUUAUACACUUGAUUAAUUAUUAUUAUUUUUUUAUUGCCUUUGCCCAUCUCCCACGCCCUCUUCACGUGACCCCUCCUGACCCACUCACCUUUUUCACGCUCCCUCACCUUGACUUUUGAUGUUCCACCCCCUCACGUGACCUCUCACUAUCGCCAUCACUAUCCAUUCGUUCCACGCCCUUAUCCAAAAAACAUUUCCCCAUCCUCCACGCGCCCAUCACAAAAAUGAUUAAAAAUUUUCCCUAUAAAAAUGACUACCUCGGUCCCACCCAUUUGCCAUUGGCGAGUGAACGCACGCGAAACAGGUGGGAGUGGGCCUACAGAGGCAACUCUGGACUAUGUCAUUUCCUCCUCUCUUUAUGAAGUCUGAGCAACGCAUGGUCUGACGCACCAUAAAUACGAUACUACCCCUCGAGUUCAACCCUGUGAUUAGGGGUAAUUACGUCAUUUUAAUCACUCUUUAUCACACGCUAACCUCAACCAAGAUCCGCAAAAGAUCUUCUGAUUUUCCCUUUUAAUUCCAGUGCGCAAAUCCACCAGCCCCAUUCUCCUCGUUGCGCGUGCUACCCACGCCCCCACACAAAAUCCAAGUAGAUUCCACUCCACGCGCUUCUGAGAUGUGUGUGGAGCCAUGUCUUGAACAAUAAUUCACCUAGAUUUCCCCGGGUAUUAUGCGCUUGAAGAAUAUCGUACGGUCAAAUAAUAAUAUACCCAUUAUUAUUAUUAUUGCUACUACCAUAUGGACAUUUUUAUUUUUUAAUUAUUUUUUUCAAUUUGAGAUAUUAGGAGGAAUAAUGCAAUACACUCACUCACACCAUUGACUGGUUGUGAGUGCCAUGUUGAAGUUGAUAAAAGGUUUCAAUAAAAAGAAUUUAGGAUUUUAAAUUAUUUUUAAAAACUCCAAAAAUUUCCUCAUAAAAAAUGGAAUUAUUUAACAACUCUUUGACUAUCUUAUGCCCACUUCAAAGUAUUACAUUCAGUAUAACUAUAUAUCAAAAAGUAGAAUUUGGAAUAAUAAAUCUAUUAUUUUUAUAAUAUAAAUAAAAAAUAAAAAGUAGAUCAAACUUUGGAUUAGGGUUUGACCAAAUCUAGGAUAGGUGGGAGGACAAGGUUCUGGUCGGGAAUCAUGAUAUAUCAUCUUAUUAUAAGUUUUUUUUUUUUUUUUCUUCACAAAUUAUCUUAUCAUGAGUAGAAUAAAUAUACAUGUAACUUUGAAAUGAACAACAUGGAUGGUGACCACAUCAAGUUGUUGGGACAUUCAAUUAUGAUGUGAAAUUCUUUUUUCUUUUUUUUCAUUAUGGAUACUGGUAGAAUAAAUAUGAAUGAUAUUUUUUUAAAAAAAUUUUAAAUAAGGAAAAGAAUAAAAUAAAAAACGUUAGGGUUUGUGAAAAGGGUUUGAAAGGUCACUUUCUAAUCAACCAUGGUCUCACAAAUGAUGCUCAUGAUUAAAGUUGUGCAUGGCUUCAAUUAUUGCAAUGACCCUUAAAGCAUGGCACAUGUUACAUCACCACCCCCAUUUUCCACCGGCUAUUGCCGGUCACCACCACCACCACCAUCCCCACCACCCUCCACCACCCAUCUCCACUUCUCAUUAAAGCUUCAAUUAUUGCCAUCACCCCAAAAGCCAGACACUUGAUAUCUUCUCUUUCCCACCCUCUACCCCCUUUAUUUGGAUUUUGGGCAUCUAGAUUUAUUGGCAUUGAUGGUGAAUUAAAACCUCAAAAGUUGCCACUUGGUUUGGUCCAAUUUGGGAAUGCUCUAGUCCAUUGGUUUGGUUCAAUGCAGUUGGUUGAGAUGGCUUGGCCUUUACAUGGAAACCCCUCAACAUUUAUCAUUAUGAUGUCUAAAAUUUGUGUUAUUUUUCUUAAAUAUGUUGAUUGAGAUAGCGAAAAAUGUACAUUAUCGUAUUGGCUAUUUGGUUUGUCAACUUCUAGUGAGAAAAUAAAUUCUCUAUCUACCAUAAAGUCGCAUAUAUGCCCCCAACAACUUUCAUGUGAGAGACGUUAUUAUGAUUUAUUUGACUCAUACCUUAAAGGUCUUUAACCUUGACGAAGUCACCAAAGAUAUAUGAAAGAAAAUUAUUUCCUAUCACUCAUUUUUGAGCAAGAUAACCACAUCCAUCUUCAUUACUCCUAUAAAAUUACAAAAAUUCUUGUCACCAACUCCAUCAUCAUAUGCCAUACUUUUUACACUCCACAACUUGCAUUAUUGACUCUUUCGACACGUCUAAAGAAUUCUCUACAACUUGCAUACUAAUCCACCUUUCAAUUCAAGUGCUUUUCAAAAGAGCCCCACAUCGAUAAUUGAACUCUUAAUCUGAUUUAUUGAAAUUUAUGAUAGCAUCUCAUCAAGAUAAAAAGUAGUGAAACCGCUUAUAGUAUAUAUAUAUGAGAUAUUAAGUACAGACAAUAGAACCAAGAUGUAUACAUGGCAAUCUCUAAUUGGUAAUGAGUUUAUCAUGCACUAGGAUAAGCUAAUACCUUAAGACUAUGUUUAGUUUUAGAGAGUAUUAAGAAAAAAAAUAUAAAGAAAAAUAAUUUUCUCAUAUUUAGUUAUUUUAUGAAAAAUAUAAAAGAAAAUCAAAUAUAAUUAAAAUGAAUUAAAAUUUGAAAUGUUUAUAAAUUAUUUAAUUUGAUGAAUUAAAAUUUAUAAAAUGAGUUUAAAAUAAUAAAUAAAAAUAAUUUAUUAACUUUAAAUCUUUUUUAUUUUAUUUUUCAUUUUUGUUUUCUUUUUCUCCCAUUUUCCCUCAAAUUCUCUUAUACCAAACAUAGCUUAAAAAAGAAAACAUUAAAACCCUUUAAUUAUUAUAAUAUUUCUUGAGUUUCUUGGAUUAAAAAAAGAAAUAAAAAGGUAAGAAACAAAAUCUAAGGAGAUUUGACUAAUGGGUGAGCCAAAAAGGCAGCGGAAAUUAUGGUCAAAUUGCAGGGCUAAAGCAUCACCCUUUUUUUUUCCAUCAUCAGUUAAUUUCCAACUAACGUUUCAAACUUCCAAGAAGUUUCCCUUCAUCCAACUCAUUUAUGACACGUGGCCAAUAAUACGUUAUGUUUGUUGGUGAGUCAAUAUUCAAUAGCCAUUUCCUCCCAAUCAAUAUCCCUCACUUCCCCAAAUUGCCCUCACACAAACAUUGAAUGGACAAUACUACCAUUACCAAUUUUAUUAGGUUAUUUUAGAAUAUAGUCAUGAAGUGGUUACAUAGACAAAAGCAUUUUCUCAUGAGUGAUUAUUACCUAUUAGUAGUAGAGGUCAUCCUAAGUAGUUGAAAUAAAGGUGCUACAAUAGUCUAAUGUUGCUAGAAGGAGUUAGAACGAGUAAAUAAAUUUAAUUGCAAGUCUCAAAUGAUCCAUGUAUUUGCACUUUAUAUAACAUACACCCACAAUGAUUUAUAAAAAUGUUAAUAAUACUCACAAGUCUUCAUAAUUAAUAUUUGUUGAAAGCUGACUGACUUAUGUUUGUACGUAUACGAGUUGGUUAUGAAGAGAUCAAUUCAACUUUUAGUUUUGACUAUUUUUAAGAAUUUGGUAAUCGAUAUUUUACUGUAACGUAAAAACUUGGUAAAACUCCUUGAUAAAUUAUUAUUUUCAUUUGCCUUGUUCAAUACUUCAGUAUGUUUACUUUCAUCGGUUAAUAUUUUCAAAUAAAAAAUAAUUAGGGUUUUCAUUACGUGGAACUGAAUCAUUACAUCACCAAGUAGGUCAAGUCCAUUUUUUUUUUCCUUCUUUCAUAUUUCUUACAAGGAUAAACUUUUGGUUGUCGAGUCUUAUUUUUGUAUCCUAAAAUUGAGGUAUUAAUAACGCCACCUACUUAUAGUACACCUUAUUAUUAAUAUGGUGAUAUUAAAAUGAUUGUGAGAGUGCGACAAUAAAAACAACAACAAUAAUAAUGAGAAAUUAUUGCAACGACUACCCGAAUAUUGAUAAAGUGGAUCAACCAUUAAAUAUAUCUAACCCAAAAUAAAUUAAUGUUGCAUGUGAGCAAUCCUAAAAGCCCAAAAAAAUUAGAUAUUGAGAAAAUGUAACAUUAAUAGCAAUAAUGCUUUAAAAUAUUGUUACCUAUGACUUAUGGGUAAUAAGAAUUUGGAAUACUUGUCAAAGGGGGAUGCUUAGAGUGUGCCUUGAAAAUAUGUGUGGUACAAUUAAAUAAAUGUAGUAACAAGAAACACAAAGGAAAAGAAUUGUCACUACUUUUGAUAAACCUAAUUUAAGAAUAACAUAAUAUUAUACACACAUAUUCAUAGCUUGUGGUCCAAAAAUUAGGUAUCAAUAAAUCAUAAGAUUAAUGUUGUCAAAUGCUACCUAUGAUUCCUAUAACUUGGAAUAUUUAUGUUUGGCCCCCUUAUCAUUACUAUGAGCAGGUGUAGCAGUAAUUUAGUGUCUUUUUCAAUUUCAGAAAUAGCUUAAAUAGUUGUUCUUUCUUUUUUUUCUUUUUUUUUUUAAAUCAAAUUUUGGUAAAUAGGUAGUAUUGAUAGUAUGAAAAAUUUUACAACUCUUCAUAUAGUUUUUUUGGAUAAGUUUUAAGAUUAGAUUUUUGUGGGAAAAAAGGAAAAAAUAACAAUUGUUAUUAGAACCUUGUUGAAUUGGGUCCCAUCAAUAAUCAAUAAAAAAUAAAAUGCUCAACAAAAGGAAAAAGGACCGGGCCAAGAUGCAAAGCCCAAGAAAAUGGCAGGGCAGUUAAUAAUUGGGCCUCUUUUGAAAUAGGCCUGGAUCGGAGCACACGCGCCGUGAAGGAGAGUGGGGAAAGUCCCACCAAAAUCACGAAAAAACUCAUAUUAUAGAGGGUUUCACGUGUGUUUGUUAACCUGAGCUUGUCGGUCAAACUGGUUUCAGGAGAAAAAAAAAUUAAAAUUAAAAUUAAAAUAAUUUCUUUUUUAAAAACAAAUAAAUUAAAGGACUGUUUGGGACUCUGUUUAUUUUAAUGAGAGAAGGGAUAGAAUCUCUAUAAAGACUCUUUCCACUGCUCUAAUCAUCCCAGACUCCCCCUCCUUCUCUCUCUGCUUUCUCUCUCUAGAUGGAGCUGGAGCUGAGCCUGGGCGAUGCUUCUUCGAAGCCCUUUGCUUUCAUGGAGAAGGCUCACCGUCAGGUUGCCAACAAGGGUUUAGGGUUUAGCAUGGGUUUAGGGCUGGGUUCUGCUGGAAGAGACCAGGAAGAACAGAAAAUCCAUGAAGUGGCUGAUGAUGACGACGACGACGACGAUGGAGAAGACGACGAUGAUGGAAGGGACCAAAGGCCCUCCAUGGGUCUGCCUCUUCAGCUCGAUCUUCUUCCUCUCGCUCCAGUUCCAAGGAAUCAAGCUUCGCACCAGGGCCUGACAUGGCCGUCUGACAACGGUAAUCACACCCACAAGGCCUAGAAAUCAGAAGAUUCAGACGGGGAUUUUUCCUGGGUUUUCUUUCUUUUUAUUUUUUUGUGGGAUUUUUAUGUGUUUCCUGUGGUGGGUUUAGGGAGCUCCGAGGCGGGCUCGUCCGGAAACGUGGGGCUACCGGCGAGGGGGCUUGACGUGAACAGGCUGCCGUCUACGGCGGUGACGGCGGCGGCGGGGGAGGAGGUGGAGGACGGGGCGGCGGCGGAGGUGGAAUCGUCUCCGAAUAGUGCAGCGUCGUCUUUUCAGAUGGAUUUCUGCAUUUACAGAGGCGGAAAUGGCGGAACCAAGAGGGACUUCGAAAGUGGUGAGGCGGAGAGAACUUCUUCCAGAGCCAGCGACGAAGACGAUAACGGCCUCACCAGAAAAAAGCUCCGUCUCUCCAAAGAACAGUCCGCUUUCCUCGAAGAAAGCUUCAAAGAACACAACACCCUCAAUCCUGUAAGCAUCUCUACUGAUAAUCAUUUCGCAAUCGAAACAGCACACUAUUAAUGGUGAUUUUGACGAUAAUAACUUUCUCAAUAUCCAUACAGAAACAGAAGCUGGCGCUUGCAAAGCAGUUGAACCUGCGGCCACGGCAAGUGGAAGUUUGGUUUCAGAAUAGAAGAGCAAGGUGGGUGCAAAACCACUAUUAUCAAGCAAAUGGGAUUGCUUUUCAUUUUCCAUUUUUUUUUCAUUAACCAAACGGGGUUUGGGUUUGGCUUCCAUUACAGGACGAAGUUGAAGCAGACGGAAGUGGACUGCGAGUAUCUGAAGAGGUGCUGCGAGACACUGACAGAAGAAAACAGAAGACUCCACAAGGAGCUUCAAGAGCUGAGGGCUCUCAAGACUUCCAACCCAUUCUACAUGCAGCUCCCCGCCACCACCCUCACCAUGUGCCCCUCCUGUGAGCGGGUCGCCGCCACCUCCACCGCCCCCUCGGCCGCCGCGUCCACCGCCACCACCGCCACAGACCCCUCCACCACCACCACCACCACCGCCAACAGACCCAGAUUCUACCCUUUCUCACAUCAGCCUCCUGGAGCUUCAUGAAUGGUAGUGGGUUGAUCAUCAUCAUCUGUACAUACUUCUCAAAGUCUCUGUUUUCUAGGGGUUGCUGAAGAUGGGGUUGUUUGAUAUUGGAGUUUCUGAAAUUGGUUUGUUCAUUUUGGAUCAUGUGGGGAUACAGAGGUGCCAGACACAAAAGUAUGGAUCUAGGAUAGACGAAGACAAUUUUUUUUCUUUUUCCUUUUUUCUUUUUUCACUUUCUAGGAAAGUAAAAUUGGGAAAGAAAAUACAACGGGAAAUAUUUGUUGACAAUUAAAUUAUUAUAUAUGAUAUAAAUAUAUGAAUUUAAGCAUAUAGUGUUGAUUGGUGUUCGUGUUUUUGUGGUGUCUCCUUUUCUUUUAUACCAAAUGAUUCACCCAAACACCAUUCAUUAAAGGGGAGACAUUUGUAAUUUCAUAUGAGCAUGUUCAAGUACAUCCCCCGCGUGAGGGGUCAUGUGACUCUUACCUUUUUAUAAAAAAAUAAAAUAAAAAUUUUAGACAACAUUAAAACAAUAAAGCAUGGAGGUCCAUGAUGGUAUCUGUCACAUGGGCUUGGCAGAUUUGUUUACAUUUAUACCAUUCUUUUUUUUUAUAAAUAUUUUAUUUAUUUAUUUAUUUAUUUUUUCAAAAUUGGCUCUCUCAUGGCAUGGGGGGUCGCACAAGAAAACACAUGCAAGGAAUUCAAAGGGCAUGAUUUGAAAAAAAAUAAUAAUAAUGAAGGGGGGAAGCAAGGAUGGACCCAUUUGAAAAUCCUUAUUGGGAAUUAUAAGGUAAAAGGACAAGACCUAAUCACCCAAAUGGAAAGUUCAACUCCCAUUAUUAUAUGCCACCCAAUGAUUUGUGUCUAUCUCACUGAUUGCAUAAGCAUCUUCAAAUAAAUUGAUUAAUUCUUUUCUUUUAAGAGACACCCAUAAUGUGAAUACGAAUUAACACCCAAGUGAGAAGACCUUCUCUCUCCAAUUAGACUUUUAACCAUUUUCAAAGAUUGUGAUGGACCAAGGAGUUGGUAGUCUUCUUUUUUAUUUGGUGAAGGAGAUUUCCUAUGUAAAACCCGUUUAGUGGGGUUUCCACCUUUUAGAGAUUUGGAGUUGAUGGGCACCCUAUAAUAAUAUGCCCUAAGGCCCCUAACCUCUAACCUCACCUCUCUUUUUCCAAGCAAUUAUCAUGUGAAAAGCAAAACCCCAACCUAGAGGACACCAUCCCUUUGAUUUGUAUGUAAUGUUGAAGGGACUUUUCCUUUGUCAUACCCAUUGUUAUUUGUAUCUAAUUUUUUUUUUAUUUUUUUACUUUGAUUAAUAACUUAUUAUAAUAAGAAAACCAAGUAGGUAGGUUAACAUGAAAUAGACACCUACAUUUAAUUUUUGGAUUAAUUAUGAUUAGAUAAGCAACCAACUCUAAAUAGUUUUUCUAAUCAUAUAAACAUGUGUUUUCGGGCAAUUAAGCAUCAUAAUCAUGACAAGAUUCAAACACAAGUCAAAUUUUGUUUCUCUUUCCCUUGUAUUAAGCUUAAGCUAAACCACCCCCCUAAUGGCUUUUCAUGAGCCCUUUUUAAGAUUUAGGCUAGGUUCUUGACAUGAGUGAUGGGAUAAGAUGAUGGCCACAACCCUUUUGAAAACUCAACCCCCAAAAUCCAAAAACACCUUGAAUGUCAAUAUUGCAUGCUCAAAAUCUUUGAGAAGUCAAGAAAAUCAUUAAUAUCAACAAAACAUUUGCAUACAAUUCAAUGGAUUCCAACAAUUCCAUCAUUAGGGUAAAAUACUUUAUUUAUUUUUUAAAAAAAGGGAAAAUUGUUUCAAAAAAAAAUAAAAAUGGAGGGGGGCAAGAUCAUGUGAUUUAUGUGUGAAAUGGCCCACAUGGGUGGUGCCAUUUUCUACACGCAAGGUGUAAUGAUUUGGAAUUGAAGAGUUGAAAUUAGAAAAAAAUUAAAUGCCCCUUUGACCAUAAGGAAAAAUCUUUCAAACCCCAUUCUUAAAAAUCAUUGUGGGUGAGAAUUUGGGAUUGUAACAGACAACUUAGAAUUUAGAAAAAGGAAAAUUUGUAGAAAAGUAGAGGUAGUUGGUGGGUGGUGGUGCUAUUUUGAUGUAUAUGAUUAGUAUAUAAUUAUUUUAUGAUUUGAACAAAAAGUUGGAAAAUUUUUUCUUAGGAUUUUAGUAUGUGACAUUACUUUAUUUCUUCAAUUUUGGCUUUCCCAUUUGUAAUCUAUGAAUGCUGUGCCAUAUUUUUUGAGUCCAUAAAGUCAAAAAAAUGACCAUAUUGGCAUUAGGAAAUUGACGAAGUUUAUUUGCUUUUGUGGUGUUGGGUUGACUCAUAUCCCAAAAUACUUUGUUUUUGGGUUGACAAGGGCAAAUGGGUUUGAAGAUAAAAUUAUAAAAUCCAUAGUCUUUAUCUUAGAUUUGACUAAUAAUGAUAAGAAAAUAUGGGAAAAAAAACAAAAACUUAUAGAUCAAAGACACUAGGGCUAAUGGGUCAAAAUGAGACUUGGUAUUCCAAGUAUAAAAUACAUUUUCUUUUGACAUCGUGGACACUGAAAUGGUGAUUCAUGAUCAUCCAUCUUUGGAGUGAGUCAAACUUCUCAAAGAAUCAUUUGGAAUUUUCAAAGGACAUUUAGCAUCGGGGUUGUUUGGAACGCAAGAAAUGUAAACAUUUUCCAAGGAAAUGGAAGCUAGAAGCAAAACGUGGGUAUUGGAGAGAGAGAGAGAGAGAGAGAGAGAGCCUUUGGUUCAAUUUUCAAAAGGAAUAAGGUGGCUGUUGAAGGCACAUUCAAGGUUCAAGGUAUGGUUUUGGGUGAGAAAAAAAUGGUUAAAGAUGGCAAAGAGUAAAGGGUCAUCGUUCAACCCCUUGAUUGACUAUACCAAUGGGUUUGGUCCCCAUGACCCAUCAUCUACAACCUUUAAUUCACAUUGUGACUUUCUUUCCGCUUGCAUGUGGUUCAAUAAAUACAUAAAAUGAUUUAAUUCAUAUGAUAUUUUUAGAUUUACACAUAAACUUAAUAAAUAAAUGAAUCAACGAAAAAUUUAAAAAAAAAAAAAUGGGUCAUGAAUUAUCAUAAACCAAUGGAUUUGGUCCCAAGACCCAUCUACAAAAUCAAGUUUCCAUGUGAAUAUCGACUUGCACCCGACUCAAUAACGACAUCAAAAGACAAAAUCCGCAUGCCAAUUUUUGUCUUGCACGGAAGUUCUAUAAAUGGAUACGAUCGAUAAAAACGACAAAUAAACAUAUGCUUGAAACACAUGAACUUCGUGGCUCAUGAACCGCUAUAAAUCAAUGGGUUUGGUCCCAAUGCUCCAUCUACAAACUUUAGUUUCAUGUUUUGGAUUUGCACGUGGAAACGACUUAGUCUGUCUACAAACUUACAUUUGUUAUGUGACUUUUUGCAUGUGAAUUUAAUAAAUAAAUGAAAUGACUUGCAUGUCACCCCAAUGAGCAGGAAAGAUAAAUUUAUAUGAUAAAAAAAAAAAAAAAAAAAGUUAGAAGCCAUCCAAAUCCAAACAGACCCCAUGAACAUGUCAUGCCAGCUUUACAUUUGUUAAAGCCAUAACACAAACAAAAUGCCCCAUAUUGACUUCUUCACUCCAAUCAGCAUGAAGAAUGAUUGAGACCCAUUAUUUAAUUCAUAUUGGUAACCAUUCAUGUCUAGUGGGUUUGAAUUUUCAGUGAUCAAGACAUACGGAUGCAAGGAACAAUUAUAUAGAAACUUCAUGAGCAAUAAGAAACACAGUAAAGUACUAGCGUAGUAAGAAUUUAGCUUAAAAUCAGACAAGACUUGUUCCACAAAUAACUUUUAUGGCACUCUACAUGGAAACUCGGUGAUUCUAAUGGGAAAUGGGUGGUAAUUCAGUACAUAGGAACCCUAGAAUUGUCAUCAAAGUCAGAACUGACAGCCCCCGUGACUCAACCUUUGUCAAAACCUAUUACUAUACUCUGAUCUUUACAUGAGAAAAGGCAACAUGAUUCUCCAUCUGUUUAAUGGUUGCAGAAUUAUGUAAACGACAAGAUCUCAAUGGCAUAAACCAAGAUUCAACGAUUUAGAAGUCAAGUUAUUCAUGGAAGAACUAACCAUUCUGUCUGUCCUUUCCUCUGGUUGGUGUACCAAUCCAGUAACUCCACAGCAACUUCAUAACCCACCAAAUGUGAGUGCUGCCCCCUUUUCAGAUAAACUCAGAGCAUCACCAUGCUUUGGCAUGAUAACGUGAGGGAGCUCAAUAUCCACAGGAUGUGAAAUCGUUAGGCGUUUGUCAGUUUCCAGCACCUGUAUCAUUUCUGAACCGUUCUACAGGUGGGGGAAGGAGAAGAGCAAGCCUAGUUUUGUAUCUUGCAAUUCGUUUUAAUCGUUGUUCCCUUAAUCUGCAGGCAAUACAAGAAUGUCGGUAGAUUAACAUUUGCACCUUAGCUUAUGGCCACGUAUGGAAAAUCAGAGGCUUGAAAUACUCAACAGUUUACAAUCUAUAUUUUCGGUGUAAUAUAUUGACAAAUAUAUCAAUUUACCUAAAAGGAAAUCAAUGAUCCCUGACAGAUGAGAUAAAAGCACCAAGUGGUAAAAGAGAGACUUACCGUGCCCGAACCUUUUUAGCACGCUUGAUAUGCCUUUGUAACAGAUCUUGUGGAAGUAAGUUCUCAACAGACCCCUCAUCCUGAAAGCAGAUGCAGGCCAAAUCAAGCUACUUCUUCAACCAAAUGGCACAUAGAAACUAGAAGAAGAGGUGGGUAGGCAGGUAGAUAGAUAUGGAUUAAAAUAUCAAAACUGAAAAGAGAUCACCAGAAUUCAAUUCCUCUGCUUCUUGAAAAUCUCAAAUUGAAUAAGAUAACCAUUCAAAAUCAAACAUAUCUUCUAUUAUAAGCUAGAGAUUCUCAGUGAUCCAUUUGAUGAUCUAAAGAUGACCACAGAAAGUAUGCUUCAACCAUUAAUCAAGGAUGCAACCACAACUACAUUGCUGCAACUAUGAUGUGAUAUACAACUUCACUUUUAUUUUUCUUAUUAAUUUGAAAGUAUAUAGAAUAUUAAAGGUUCACCAGUCUGCAGAUGAAGGACAAGUGACCAUCUUUGAUAACAAAAUGCAAGAAAUGCAAUUGAAACUGGUUGUUCUGAAAUCAUGCAAGUAGAAAUGAGGCAUGGCCACUCUUAAAGUGCAUGAAGCAAAACUGUUGUUUGGGGUCACAGAUUGUGUCUUAGUCUACAACACAUAUCUUAUAGCUUAGUAAUUUCAUAUGAUUAUCCUAGUUUUAAAUGAUCAUAUGAUAUUAUAUGUUUAAUCUAUGAAAUAGAUGGGGUUUCUAGAAACAGAAACAGAAACAGAAAAGAAUGAUUUAGCUUCAGGGUUUAGGGUUGGGCCAAUACCACACUCCACUUAGUAAUUUCUGUCCAAAGCAAAGAAUCUUCCACUAAAGCAAUGACCAAUAGUUUUAAACGGCACACUUAAAAAGUGCCUAGCCUCAAGGCACAAACACUCCCUAGUUAUAGUGUCUUGCUUGCCAAAACAUGUGCCUUGUUGAAAAGGCGCCCUUGCCUACUUUACUUUUCCUUUUUAAACACCUUUUAUUCUUGAAAUUUCGAACUGUAUAUUAAAAUUUAUAAAGUUUAUUACUUUUUGCUAAAUACUUCUUUUAAAUGUUUGGAAUCUUAAAUUUGUUAUUUAUUGGAUUAGAUGUUGGAUCAUAUUUUAUAAAACUGAUAUGCAUCUUAGCUCAAGUCUCUCUUCACUUAGGCACCUACCUUGCGACCUACCUUGCAUUGCGCCUUAUGCCUAAGUUAUAGGAGACUUUUGUGCCUGGCGCCUCUUAAAAGUAUGCAUUGCCCCCAUAAUCAUGGAAUAUGGGUAAGGCAACUUGUGGAUGACGCCAUUAUCUGGUUAAAACUAUAUCAAAAGUGAGGAUAAUAUGUCAAUGCCCCCAUAAUCAUGGAAUAUGGAUAAGGAAACUUGUAGAUGAUGCCAUUUUCUGGUUAAAACUAUAUCAAAAGUGAGGAUAAUAUGUCUUAGAGUUCCAAACCAUAAUACACAAAAAUGGAGUUGUACAGACAGACAUCAAUGUCUAAAAAGCACCAAAAAAAAACAGGUCUCGAGGAUAAAUUAGUUGUUUGCUCACAAGAAUUUCAAUCACAUUCCUGUCUAUUUAAGUUCCCAAUUCCUUUGAGCAAUGUUCAAAUGCACAAGUAAUAAAGUAAAAAAAAUAUAUAUAUACACAGCAACCAUAUAAUAACAAAACAAAUGCAAUUGCCCUCCAUUCACUGUAAGCAUGGCUAGCCUCAGGACAUGAAUUAAACAUACAUUUCUAUCACUAGACAGUUCUAUAAAAAUUUUAGAACAAUGGAAUUAAGAGGCAACUGAGUUUUGUGUGAGAAAGGGCACUGGAAACCUUGCUUUGUUCAAAAUUCCCGAGAUUGGGAGUUGGAUAGUGUUGUUUGUCCAUUAAGGAGACCUCAUGAGGAGCCAUGGCCUAUAGAUGGAGAUAAUAAGCUAUUGUGGUAGAGCUUCACCAGACAGAAUUUUCUGUUAAGUCUUUCUACGUGACUUCGGAGUUAUUGGAUGAUGAAGCCUUCUUUCCAACAAAAGAAGUGUGGGUUUCCUAGCCCUCCCAAAGGUGGAAUUUUGCCCUUGGGAAGUGGUAUGGGGCUAAAAUUUGACCUCAGAUCAGCUCAAAAGAAGAGGGUCAUUAACACAUUAUUGUCUAUGCGAAAGAAAAGAGGAAUCAACUAAUCAUCUUCUUAUCCAUAGUGGGAAAGCAAGGAGUUUGUGAGCUUUGUUCUCAUUUGGGGUUUCAUGGGUGCUCGCUGGUACAACAAAAGAAAUUCUGUUGUCUAAGCAUGGAACAUUUGUGGGAGAAAAGAGGGGAAAAGCUUGAAGAACCACCCCAUUUUGCCUUUCUUGGACUAUUUGGCAGGACUUUUGAAGGGGUGGAGUAGUUGGUUCAGUCCCUUACAGCCUCUCUCGUUUCAACCAUGUUUGUUUGGUGUUAUUAGUUCAUAGAUGUCAGCCCCUUAUCCUUGCUUGAUUUAAUAGAUUAGUUGGGGACUCCUUAGGCUAUGUUUGGUUCCUGGAAAUUACUAAGGAAAGAAAAAAAAUGUUAAGAAAAAAAUAUUUUUUCAUGUUUGAUGUUACUUUGGCAAAUAAGAAAGAAAGGCAAAUAUAAUUAAAAUUAUUAAGAAAUUUGUAUGUUUUUUAAUUAUUUAAUCUUUACAUAGAAGAUUUAAAUGUGAACAAAAAUAUGAAGUGGUACAUAAAAAUAAUUCAUUAACUUUAAAUCUAUUUUUUAUUUUCCUUCACUUUUUUUUUCUUUUUUUUUUUUCUACUUUUCCUUUCUAUUUUCUUUCCCUCACAUUUCCCUCAAACUUUUUGGAAACCAAACAUAGCCUUAGUGUUUUGAGGCCUUGUGGGUGUUUUUUUCUCACAUGUUAGCAUGUACAUGGUUUAUGCCCCCCUCCCACCCACCCCGCCUCUUUUUUUUAAGUUAGGUGCUUGCCUAAUAAAUUUUGCUUUGCCUAUCAACCUUCUUAAUAUAAUUUUGAAGUGACUAUAUAGAUAGUUUCUAGCCUUGUGUUUCCAUGUUUUAAAUAUCACUUAAAUAAUAAUAACAGCAACAAAAAUGAUAACGAUAGGAUGACAAUGGCAGUAGCAAAUAAAGGACAAUGAUGAUAAAUUAACCAACCUCUUCUUCCUCGUCAUCCUCCUUUUUCUUCGGCAAAUUGGGAUCUGUCACAGGUAUAGGCAAAGGUCUUGGAAGAGACUUCAUACUAUCAUAAUGUUGUGGCUGCCAAAAAGAUAAAAUAUUAGAAAAGCAUGGGGAGUGGGAUGGGACCUACUACACAAACCCAAAGCAAAAGAUUCUAUAGAUUCCUCAAUUACAUAGUUGUCAUAAUUAGAAAUUAGAAAUGAAUUCAUGGAAAUUAUAGAAAUACUUACUAAUGGUACCAACGAGCACAGAAGCAAAUGGCAGAAUCUUACAAUUUUUUUACAUUAUUUUGCCCAAAAUAUCACAAAAGAAAGGACUAUAAACGUAUCCUGACUUUUUUUUAUGAAAGAAAAAAAAAAAACUAAAUCCACGUUGUUAGGUGUUGCCCAAUACUGAUAACAAGUUUUACUUUAACUUUCUGCCUUCAUAUCAGACAAGUACAACUUUCUUUUGCUCCCAUAUAAAAAGUGACAUUUCCAGAACUGUGUAAGAAUACACUUUACCAUGAACCAACUAUAUUUUGGUGGUUGCAUUACCAUGAAUAAUUCAGGAGCCAUUGUGACAUUUGACACUCCUAAAAUCUUUGAUUCAUUGACAAAGGAUAGUGUAUUAUGCAGAAGCCACAAUAUCCACAAAAAAGCAAGGACAAGCACACACAAAGAAACAAGAUUUAUGUUGUUCAGCAGUGUUCCAAUGUUGCUGAAAGAGAGGGCAUCAAACCCACAAAAGUGCCCUCAUUUUUUGGGAGGAAAAAACAAGAUUAAUUUUUUAUCCUUGUUCGUAGCCUGACACAUGCAAAUUUCACUUGCCUCGAACAUACCUUAACCCAACAUCUAUCACCUUUUUAGAGAUAACGACAUUUCUAGAACGAUGAAAGGAUACACCUUUUCCAUCUAACUGACUACAUACUGGUACAGCACCACCCCCGCCCUGCUGAAAAUGUUAAAAAAAAAUAAAAAUUCUACUUCUCACAAGGGGAAUCGAAGACCUAGUGUUUGCCCCCCCUAAAAAGUGUCAUGGCUGGUCAUUGGGUUAAAGCCCACAUCUUUUGUGAUUGGCAAACUUUACAUAUGUUUUAGAAGUUGCCCCCCGAACUAAAAUCCUGGCUACUGUAUUGGUGGUUAAGGAGGGUCGGAUGGGGGGGGGGGAAACACUAAAGAAUUUUGCAUUAUCAGCAAUAGUCCUGGAGCAAUUGUGACAUUUGAUAAUCCUAAAAUCUUGAUUCAUUUACAAAGGGUUGUGUAUUAUGCACAAACCACAAUAUUAAAAAAAAAGCACUUAAGUAACUAAAGCACAAUCACACACAAAAACACAAGAUAUGCAUGGUUUAAGAUGAAAUCAAUUAGAGUUAUGAAAGGUUGCAACCUCUCAAGUCUCAACCCAAAAACUCCAUGAAGAAAAUGCAAUCCUAAUCUUGCUCCAACAUAGCAUUUGUUACUGUUGAAUAUAAUGUAUGUAUAGUAUACUAUCUUUCCUUGUUAAUAUAGGUCACAUGUAUGGUAGUUAGGACUCCUAGCCUUGUAUAUAUAUAUCUCUCAAUUGUAAGUAGAAAUACAAGAAUGAGAAUAAGGUUUUUCUCCUCUCUCUCUCUCUCUCUCAACAUGGUAUCAGAGCCAAAGGAGAAAACCUAAUUUUUUCGGUUUAUCCGUGUACUCAAUUCCGGCGAACCGUCUAGUGACCGUGUUUCACUCCGGUCCCCUCAUCCUCUUCCCGAACCACCCCGGACUACCUCAUCGCCGUCGGAUCUCCACCACGCCGGCAACCUUUUCCGGCGAAAUUUUCCGGCGACCUCCUUUCCGGGAACCGACCACAUAUUCUGAAACGCCGGAGGCUGAUCUACACGCCAGUGGAAACCCCAUCGGCAACCGGAAUCUCACGCGCCCCCACGCGCCUCUCUUCUCCUCCGGACUGUCACCCACGCGCCGGCGCGUGACGGCGCGUGGCUCACUUUCCGGCCACUUCCGACACCUCUCCAGGCUCGUCCGGCGCCGUCUUGGACUUCUAUCCCUCCGGCAGUCCUCCCCGAGCCCUGCAUCUCCAUUUUGUCCCUGUUUUUGGCUUCCUUGCCAUUCCAGCCACCUCCGACAGGGCUCCCCCUCCAUCUCCGAGGCUUAGGUGCUGCUCCUCUUCCUCUCCAGGCACGUCACGACCGUUUUUCUCCAUUGAUUGCACCUCUCACAGCCGUGGUUUCACUGUUUUUCUCUCUCCGCCGAAAUCUGAACCCAUCUUAGGGCUCUCUUCGAUCCAAAUACGUGAAUAUGACCACCAAAAAUCAGAUCUUUACCUUUGUUCUCUCUGGAUCUCCUCUGAUUACCUCAGAGAAAUUGGUUGGCAAUGAGAAUUAUCUCUCCUGGUCUGCCUCUGUCGAACUUUGGUUUAUGGGUCAAGGAUAUGAGGAUCACUUGGUUACCCAGGAGGCAGAUAUCCCUGAGGUUGACCGCGUACAGUGGAGGAAGAUAGAUGCACAGUUAUGUGGUGUAUUAUGGCAAUCGGUUGAUCCCAGGAUUCUUCUUCAUCUUCAGGCCUAUAAAACUUGUUUUAAAUUUUGGACUCAGGCCAAAGGAUUAUACACGAAUGAUAUCCAGCGUCUUUAUAAGGUGGCUUCUGCUAUUGUCCAUCUCAGCCAACAGGACUUGGAUCUAUCUACUUAUAUUGGUCAGAUUGCCUCUCUUAAGGAGCAGUUCUUGACUGUGAUGCCUCUUACUCCUGAUGUUGGGGCCCAACAAACACAGCUUGACAAGUUCUUCAUGGUCCUUACUCUUAUUGGUCUCCGUCCGGAUCUUGAGCCUAUUCGUGAUCAGAUUCUUGGUAGUUCAUCAGUUCCGUCCUUGGAUGAUGUGUUUGCUCGCCUCCUCCGUAUCUCGUCCACUCAGACUUUGCCAUCUGAUAGCGCUUCAGAUUCUUCUGUGUUAGUUUCUCAAACUACCUCUCGAGGAGGACGCAGUGGUACCCGAGGUAGAGGCCAACGUCCUCAUUGCACCUAUUGCAAUAAACUUGGCCACACUCGCGAUCGUUGCUAUCAGUUACAUGGAAGACCUCCUCGCACUGCCCAUAUGGCCCAGUCCUCUGAUUCUCCGCUACCUCAACCUCCGAGCUCCUCCGCAUCUCAAACAUCUCAGGCUUCUAUUGCCUCUGUUGCCCAGCCUGGUAAUGCCUCUGCCUGCCUUACCCACACAUCUUCUCUUGGACCCUGGAUUCUAGAUUCUGGAGCAUCUGAUCACCUAUCUGGUAAUAAGGAUCUUUUCUCCUCUAUUACUACUACCUCUGAUUUACCUACUGUUACCUUAGCUAAUGGUUCUCAAACUGUGGCUAAAGGUAUUGGUUUGGCCCUUCCUCUGCCUUCUCUACCUCUGACUUCUGUCCUUUAUACUCCUGAAUGUCCUUUUAAUCUUAUUUCCAUCAGCAAACUCACUCGUACUCUUAAUUGCUCUAUUACCUUUUCUGAUAAAUUUGUGACCUUGCAGGACCGGAGUACAGGGAAGACGAUUGGCAUAGGACGUGAGUCUCAAGGCCUCUAUCACCUCACCUCAGAUUCAUCUCCUACAGUUUGCAUUUCCACUGAUGCUCCUCUCCUCAUUCACAAUCGUCUGGGCCACCCUAGUCUCUCCAAGUUCGAGAAGAUGGUUCCUCGUUUUUCCACUUUGUCGUCGCUUCCGUGUGAGUCAUGUCAGCUUGGGAAACAUACUCGUGUCUCGUUCCCAAAGCGUUUGAAUAAUCGAGCAAAGUCUCCUUUUGAGCUUGUCCACACUGAUGUUUGGGGUCCUUGUCGGACUGCGUCUACUUUAGGAUUUCAGUAUUUUGUCACUUUCAUUGAUGACUAUUCUCGAUGUACUUGGUUAUUUUUAAUGAAAAAUCGAGCUGAGUUAUUCUCUAUUUUCCAGAAAUUUUAUACUGAAAUCCAAACCCAGUUCAAUAUUUCUAUUCGUGUGUUACGCAGUGACAAUGCCAGGGAAUAUUUUUCAGCCCAAUUUACUUCGUUUAUGUCUCAUCAUGGGAUUCUUCAUCAGUCUUCUUGUGCUCAUACUCCUUAACAAAAUGGGGUAGCUGAACGCAAGAAUCGACAUCUUGUUGAGACAGCUCGUACUCUCUUCCUCCAUAGUCACGUUCCUUUUCGCUUUUGGGGGGACGUUGUUCUUACCACUUGUUAUUUGAUUAAUCGUAUGCCCUCCUCUGUCUUACACGAUCAGAUUCCUCACUCCCUUCUUUUUCCUGACCAACCACUUUAUUUCCUUCCUCCUCGUGUCUUUGGUUGUACUUGCUUUGUUCAUAUUCUCACUCCUGGACAGGACAAGCUUUCCGCCAAAGCCAUGAAGUGCCUCUUCUUGGGAUAUUCCAGACUUCAGAAGGGUUAUCGUUGUUAUUCCCUUGAGACUCAUCGGUACUUUAUCUCCGCUGAUGUCACCUUCUUUGAGGACUCACCAUUCUUUUCCACCACUUCUGAGUCUCUUCCUGUUUCUGAAGUCUUACCCAUUCCCAUUGUCUCCCCACCUGAUGCUAUGCCCCCUCGACCACUUCAGGUUUAUCAUCGUCGCCCUCGUGUCGUUGCUCCUCUCCCUUUUCCUGAGGCACCUGCUGACUCACUUCUUAUCCCUUCGGCUUCACCUGCCCCGGCUUUGCCUUCUCCUAAUGACUUACCCAUUGCUGUUCGGAAAGGUACUCGCUCUACUCGUAAUCCUCAUCCUAUUUACAAUUUUUUGAGUUAUCAUCGAUUAUCUUCACCCUAUUCUGCCUUUGUUUCUGCUAUAUCCUCUGUUUCUCUUCCAAAGAGCACCCAAGAAGCUCUUUCCCAUCCAGGCUGGCGACAGGCAAUGGUGGAUGAAAUGACUGCUCUGCACUCUAAUGGCACUUGGGAUCUUGUUGUUUUACCCUCUGGUAAAUCCACAGUUGGUUGUCGUUGGGUCUAUGCAGUUAAGGUUGGUCCUGAUGGUCAGGUUGAUCGCCUUAAGGCCCGCUUAGUUGCUAAAGGCUAUACUCAAGUUUAUGGUUCUGAUUAUGGUGACACAUUCUCCCCUGUUGCCAAGAUUGCUUCUGUCCGCUUGCUUCUCUCCAUGGCUGCUAUGUGUUCUUGGCCUCUUUAUCAGUUGGAUAUUAAAAAUGCCUUCCUUCAUGGUGAUCUUGCCGAGGAAGUUUAUAUGAAGCAACCUCCUGGUUUUGUUGCUCAGGGGAAGUCUGGUUUAGUGUGCAGGUUACGCCGUUCUCUAUAUGGCUUGAAACAAUCUCCUCGAGCAUGGUUUAGCCGUUUUAGUUCUGUUGUUCAAGAGUUUGGCAUGCUUCGCAGUACAGCAGACCAUUCAGUUUUUUAUCAUCAUAACUCCUUGGGGCAGUGUAUUUAUCUGGUUGUUUAUGUGGACGACAUCGUCAUUACAGGCAGUGAUCAGGAUGGUAUUCAGAAACUAAAGCAACAUCUUUUUACCCACUUUCAGACCAAAGACUUGGGGAAACUCAAGUAUUUCUUGGGAAUUGAGAUAGCUCAAUCCAGUUCUGGUGUGGUCCUUUCCCAAAGGAAGUAUGCUUUAGACAUCCUGGAAGAAACCGGUAUGUUAGACUGUAAACCGGUAGACACACCUAUGGAUCCGAAUGUCAAACUUGUACCAGGACAGGGGGAGCCUUUAGGAGACCCCGGGAGAUAUCGACGGCUCGUAGGUAAAUUGAACUAUCUCACCAUUACUCGUCCAGACAUUUCCUUUCCUGUGAGUGUUGUUAGUCAAUUCCUACAGUCACCAUGUGAUAGCCAUUGGGAUGCCAUAAUCCGUAUUCUUCGAUAUAUCAAAAGUACACCAGGCCAAGGUGUAUUGUACGAGAACAGAGGUCAUACUCAAGUUGUUGGUUACACAGAUGCAGAUUGGGCUGGCUCACCCACAGAUAGACGUUCCACUUCAGGGUACUGUGUUUUUAUUGGAGGUAAUCUAAUAUCUUGGAAGAGUAAGAAACAAGAUGUAGUGGCCAGAUCUAGCGCUGAAGCCGAGUAUCGAGCUAUGGCUUUGGCAACAUGUGAACUCAUAUGGUUGAGACAUCUUCUUCAGGAGUUGAGAUUUGGAAAGGAUGAACAGAUGAAACUCAUCUGUGAUAACCAGACCGCAUUACAUAUUGCAUCCAAUCCAGUCUUUCAUGAAAGGAUCAAGCAUAUUGAAGUUGACUGUCAUUUCAUUAGAGAGAAGAUCGCAUCAGGAUGUGUUGCUACAAGUUUUGUCAAUUCAAAUGAUCAACUAGCAGACAUCUUCACUAAAUCUCUCAGAGGUCCUAGGAUUAAAUAUAUUUGUAACAAGCUUGGUGCAUAUGACGUAUAUGCUCCAGCUUGAGGGGGAGUGUUGAAUAUAAUGUAUGUAUAGUAUACUAUCUUUCCUUGUUAAUAUAGGUCACAUGUAUGGUAGUUAGGACUCCUAGCCUUAUAUAUAUAUAUCUCUCAAUUGUAAGUAGAAAUACAAGAAUGAGAAUAAGGUUUUUCUCCUCUCUCUCUCUCUCUCUCAACAGUUACUAUACAACAAAUGCAACCCUAAAAUACUCACAAAGAAAUUCACUGUUCAGCCUCUGCCCAUUAAAGAGCCUUGUGCAGUGCUACAUACAAGUAAACCUGAAGAAAAAUCAUGACAUGGGUGUCAUUUUUUUGUUUUACAUUUUAUUUUUUUCUUAAAGCACCCUGACCUUUAUAUUAUUUAAUAUGAAGAAACUUGUUUUCCCUGAAAUAAUCACCACAUGUUUCUACUUUUUCUUCAAACCUCUUGCUUCAGUUUCACAUUAUGGUUUUAUUGUUGGUUCAGGAACUUAUGCUGGAGGAGUAGAUGCAGAAAUUAAUGGAUGUGGAGAGAGAGAGAGAGUACUAUUUUAAUUUCAAUACAUCUUAAAUUUUUAUCUCUUGUAACUGGAAACCUUAGAUGGCUUUCGGGGGCAAAUUUGAUGAUUGAAACUAGAUUGUCUUAAAUAGCAUCAUGAAAGAGUAGAUGCAUUCUUAACAUAAAAGGCAAUCAAACAACAUGGCAUGCUAAAACUUAUAAAUAAAAGACACUGUCCGGUCAACAUGAUGCAAACCUGAGUUUCUUCAGAAAAACCAUUCCUUAACCAAGAUCGACAAAGUGCAUAAAUUGAAGCACCAUCUGAUAUUCUGACCUAAAAACCAAAACCAAAUGUAACAAACACCAGCAUAAGGAUCAUACCCACAGUCAAAAUAUAAAUUCAAAGUAAUAGUGCAUAACCAAUGAAAAUUUGGAUAGCACAUCAAUGGUUCAGCAUGCUUCGAACAUCAAUGCAUAAAAUUAUUUCCUUUUUUUGUCUUUGAUCCUAGGACAGGGAGACUAGUUCAUUCCAGAAGCACCAUUUAUCCACUGAAAUUAAUGAAGUAACAUAGGGCCCAUUUGAAUAUAAUUCUUAAAACAUUUUCUUAUUAUACACACAUAUCUCAAACUUGAGACCUCCAAUUAACAAGAGCUCUUAUAUCGUGUUAAGUUACCAACUUUCUUAAAAGCUUAAUCUAUUCAAAUUUAGGCUCACAAUGCAUAUGAUGCUCUAACAGUAUUAUUUUUAAAAUAAGGAAAAAAAGAGGACAUUCAUUUGGAGUAUGAGUUUUUUUUUCUUUUAACAAAAUGAAAAUAUCAAAAGCAUGACGAUCAUAAAAAAAUUUAAAAAAAAUUCUAAAACAGAAGUGGAAAACAAUAAAUGAUACCAAGAAAACCUAAAGGGUUCAACAUGUUUAAACCAUCGACACUUCAAAUUGUGGCAGUCAUUUUUUCAAUCUAUUUGUUCUUUUAGGUGGGUGGGUUCUUUCCCCAUUUCUUAUGGGUGGGUAUUUAGGGGUGUUCUAAAAGGACUGUUCAAUACAUAAUAUAGCGCAUGCAAGCCUUUCUCUCCCCUUGGUAUUCUAAACCUAUCAGAUGCUCUAGAAGAUAUGUGCUUUAUUGAAUCUUGCAAAGUUAACACUAUUUAUCGGAAAAUUAUUUCAAAUUUUCAUGUGCUUUUGUGCAGUUUGUGCUAGUACAACUUUGAAGCAUUGCUCCAUACAAUAUAUAGGAGACUCUUAUAUGCAAGUGCACUGGGCCACUGGCACCUCUGUCCAGCACCAUGGAGAUUCUUACAGCUUCUGAUAUGUUUAUUCCAAUUUUUCUCUUGUGACAAGGCCUUCUCCAUGUUUUAUUCCUUUUCCAUCUUUGACUAAAUUUUCUCUUAAUCAAAAUAAAAAAAGGAAGAAAUUGGCAUUAUAUUGCAAAUCUAGAGACCAUGACUUCAUCAAGAUGUCAUAGGGAUACAAACAGAAAGCAUCAAAUUCUUGCUUACUUUUCGGUCUCUAACAGUCACAAAAGUAUCAUCUCGAUUUCUAUCCCUACAAAAUGCAUAAGAGGAGAACUAUGUUAGUUCACAACACAACCAAAUGAAUAAUAAAUGGAGAGAAAAAAAAGGAAAUGGAAGGGAAUAGAUGAUAAAUUAUAUACAACACUACCUUGAGUCUUUAUAGCCAUUACAAUCAGAAACUGAUGGUGGAGAUGGAGCAACCUACCACAAGUAAACAAAAGUCUUAUGAACUCACUGAACUCGAUAUGAAAUAUGAGCAUAAUGAGGUAUCACUCAUAGGAUCAAAUUAAACAUAAUCAAUAAUCUUGGUCCAAAGACAUUGCAAGAAAGAUAUGCAGAAGUUAACAUUUAUGAAUUGGCUUCAGAAAAGGAAGCAAUGGUUGGGACAUUUUUUGUCAUACAGCUCUCAUCUAAAAAUAGUGUCUAAGUCAAAAACAGUCAUAGAAAUAAAACUAAUAGAGAGAUGAUACAAAUAAAUCAUUCAUCAAUUCAAAUCCAAUGCAGGUCAGAGAUAUUCGUAAGCAACUGCAGCAGUUCACAUAUUUCCAUCAUUAAUUGACAUAGAUUUUUAAUCCUUUUAAUGAUGUAUGUAUGAUACGAGGAGAUACAAUGCUUUUUUUUUUUUUUUUUGAUCAGAAACGAAGAAAAAUAUAUUAAUAGAAGAAAAGAUACAAAAGAAAGAGAAGAAAACAAGGGAAGGAUGAGAGGUCCUUCCUACACAAACUGAACAAAAGAGAAAACUCCCAACAAUAGAAAUCUAAAAACAAAGAGAAACCCCAACAUUCUCAAACUUUAAUAGAAGAAAAGAUACAGGAGAAAGAAAAGAUACAAUUGAAUUGCCUCUGCAUUUGCUGGCGGACCAUAAUAGUGGACAGAAAGCGUUGUAUCUCUUUGUUGGGGUUUCAUGCGCAAUAUUAUGUGUCAACUUAAAGACCUCAAAAAGUAAUGUUUUGGAUAAGAAAGGGAUUUAAAAUCAUAUAAAAUUUAGAACCUUGACUCCAAUUAAAUUUAUCGCUGAGGUAUUAAAAUCAGGUUUCUAGGUAGUUGGCAUGAUUGAACUUUGAAGCCAUACAAACAAGUUUCUAGAUUUUGAUUUCCUUGGUUAACUAUUGCAAAAAUAGACAACUUCAUAAAAAAUAAUAAUAAAUACAAAUAAAGGAACAAAGUGUUAAUCCCUUAAGUUUAUAGGGCAACUAAACUUUAAAUAUUUAUCUCAAGGUUCUAAAUUAAGUUUACCGACAAUAAUGAAGGGAUGGCAUCAACAAGCCUGAAAUGUGGCACUUGGGCAGGCCCAAGAAGCCAAAUGGGUUGGGAUCUAAGACCAAACCCACAUCCACCUGCCAGCACUGCAAGGGGAGGCAAGCAAUGGAAGCUUAAGCUCUCUGCCAAGCUCAAGAGUGAGGCGUUCUAUGGUGGCAUAAGAAAGGGUUUACACUCUUGUAAAGAAAUUGGGAACCAUCUCUAGAAGGAAAACUGUUUAGAUGAUAAGAGGGAUGCCACAAUGGCCAUUUGUGACACCUGUUCUCAGUGCUUAACCACAUAACCACAAGGUUAAUUCAAGUAACCCUAGCUGAAAGAGAGGUAUAAAAGCCCAUCACUCUUUCUAAAAAAGGGUCUACACAAAUACCUUGGCAUUUGCUUUUCCUAAAAAAACCCUCUUCUUCUCUCUUGCAUAAGAGUGUUAAUACCAAGGUUCCUCCAGUGUGUUCUUUCAGGUUGAUAGCGAGUUAAGUACUAGCUGACCCCUCCAAUUCCAGAUUCUGCAGUCCUCAGUUUCUGAGUCUCCACAAUUAUGAAUACGUCUUUUAGUUUACUAUUUUUUAUAUUCUUUUUGCCUUCGAAUGGACCAAAGGGUAUCUUUAUAUCCAUAUGUGAAAUUUCAGUUUUCAACAACAAUUCCCAACAUGUUUCUAAAAGUUCAUCAAUUUAUGACUAAAUUUAAAAGCAAGGAAAAUAUUUAUUCCAUAAAAAUAAAACCUUCUAACUCCAUCUUGAACAAAAUCUAUCACAUCAUUACAUACCACCCAUGGACCGGAAAAAUGAUAGCAUUUCAUUAUUCACAUAAUUAUGUAUGGAAAUGUUCACAAAAAUCAAAUUAGCCUAAUUUAAACCCCAUCCAUAACAAGACAUAAAAACAGAUCGAUUCAGUACACGCUAACCAUUAUUAAAGCAACCAAAAAACCAACCAAUCAAACAAAAAUUACUCUACAAAGAACACAUAAUCUGACCCUUCAGGCACAGGUUGCUAAAUAUUCCUAACUCAUGCUUAAAUAAAAACCUCUAGCUUCAUCAUGAACAAAGGUUUUGUGUCCGUUACCUAACAUCGUUGAGUCAAUAUCAGCAUCCUCUAUUCACAGAAUCAUAUCAUUGUACUCACACAAAUCAAAUUAGCACAAUAUAAAAUUAAAAUAAAUUCCGACGGAAAGGAUAAAAGAAAGAAAAUUCAGUCGAAAAAAACCCAUUACCAAAGCAACCAAAGAAGAACGAAUCAAAAAUGCAUUCCUCAAAAUAAGAAAAUUAACGCAGAAUUUGAACCUUGGGGUGUGCGGAAACCGGAAUUCCCUUGAUGGGAGCCGAACCAGGAACCGCAGUCACACCUACGUGAGAAGGGAGCAAGUGGGGCAUUCUCAUGGAGUGCACAGGGUAGUUGAGGUCCGACUGGGGAAACCCAAAAGGGCGAGCCUGGUGGGAGAAGGCGGCGGCGGCGGUGGCUGCUGAUCGAGGAGGGAAGGCGGCACCGGGGUUGGCAACUGUGACGGUGUUGUGAUCGGAGGAUUGGGGGCGUAGGGGUUUGGGGAUGAAGCCGCGCCCGGAGGAGGCGACCGGGUAGAGAAUCCCCUGUGGAGGGUCAUGGGGUUUGGCCAAUUGAGGGUUUGGGACUCUGAUUGUGGAGUAUGGAAGUGGGUGGGGGGGUUGGCCUACGGGGUAUCGGACUAUGGCCAUCGGAUCCACGGUUAGUGGUGCCGCUGGGGGUGGGAGUGUAGAGAAUGAACGGAUGGUGGCCGUGGUCAUGGCAGUGGUGGCGGUGGUCGUGGAAGUGGUAGCAGUGGUGGCGGCGGGCGUAGCGGCGGUGGUGGGAGGAUCUGGAGAAGCCAUGGGCAGUGUGGUGGCGGGGGAUUUCGGGGGAGUCUUGGGUUUCGAUUUUGAAAUUCUGAUGCCAAAACUGUUUUAUAUGUCACCCCCAAAACGGUGUCGUUUUUCUCCUCCCAAAUUAACUCCCUUGAUUUAUUAAAAUAGUGGAAUAUUUGAAUAUAUAUAUAUAUAUAUAUAUAUAUAUUCCUCAUUUUAUCUUUUGAAUAAAGAUUAUUUUAAAUAUUUGAAUGGAAUAUUACUAAAGAUAUUAAUACAUUAAAAAGUAUUGAGAAAAUGGAAAUAAAAUAAAAUCAAAAUACUUUAGAACUUAUAUAUUAUUCUAUUCUAAUUCUUUGUAUUAAAUUUUAAAAUUUAAUAUUGGAUUAUGCCUGGUUGCAAGAAAAUUCCAAAAAAAAAAAAAUGCUAAAGAAAUUAAUUUUCCAUUCUUUUGUUUAAAAGAAAAGUUAAAUAUAAUUAAUAUUAAUUAACAAUCUAUAUAUUUAUAAAUUAUUUAAUUUUUAUAAAAAAAAUAAGUAAAAUUCAUUUAAAGAAACAUUUAUAAAAUAAUUUUAAUUUUUUUUUCUUUUUUCUUUUCUGUUUGGAAGGAUUUCAAAAUUAAUUUUUGAAAUUUAUCCAUUUCUAAUUGUUUUUAAAAAUAAAUUUUAUUUGAUGACUAAAAUUUAAAUUCUUUUUUUUUAAAUUUACUCUUCAUGGUAUUUUCAAAUAUUCUUUCAUAUUCUAAAUUAUUUCUCAAAAUACUACAAAAGAAUUGAAAAUACCUUAAAUCUGUUUUAAUAAAAUAUUUUUCAGAAUAAAUUAUAUUUUUAAUAAAAAUUCCGUUAAACAUGUUUUUAAAAUUUUUUAAAAUAAUUUUCAGAUAAAAUUUGUGUUUUUCACUAAACAUUAUUGCCAAAAAAAAUGGUAACUGCAUAAUAACAAAAGAAUUAUAUGUCAUAAGCUUAAUUUUUUCUAAUAAAGAUGGGAUUUUCAAUUUAUUUUCUUUGCUAAUAGAAUGAUUAAGAUUUGAUUUUCCGACUGAGAUUUGAUGGGAUAUGUUGGUAAUUGGACACCAUAGAAAAUUUCGACCUAUUAUUUUUAUUAUUAAUCAUAAAGUGAUAAAUAUUAUUUGUAUCACCAAGAAAAGACUCAAAAUUGUAUUGGGAUUGCUCCUCCCUCUGCUUCAAUUGACUUUCUCAUAGGUGGUAGUUGACCAGGGAGAGUGUUUUUCUCUCAAUUCCCAGAUCAAAUCCCACAAAGAAAGAUGAUUUUUGUAGGUGGGUCGGUGGUGGAUCCAUCUGAGACUCGAUCAUCUCCGUCUCAGGUACCUUCUCUUUUGUUUUUUGUUUUUUUUGUUUUUUCUCUAAACAUGAUUUUGUAUGAAUCAUGGUGUCAUCUACAAAAACCCCAACUUCAUUAUUUUGUUCAAUUCCAAUUCAAGAACCCCGAUUGCUUGAUGGGUUAUUCUGCUGUGAAGGUGUUUGUGAAAAUGUCGCUCUGAGCUAUGAAAGGAAGGUGUUUAAGUUUGAUAUCCGAUGCUUUCACAACCCUAUUGCUUCUAUUAGAAUUAUCUUUUUCCAUGUCAUGGUUUGAUUUGUUACAUAUGGGUUUUGGCUUAUGAUUCUAUCUGCAAAGGGUAGGGGUGGGCACAUAUUGAAGGUUAUUAUGUUGGUUCUGCAUGUGGAUGUUUUUGCCUAUUGAUUUCUCUUGCUGGCUUGUGUCUCUAAGGGUUUCUGAGAAUCUUGGAUCAUGGGUUUUCUUCCUGAGUGGAAUUUGUAUGAUCACUUGUGGUGUUGAGUAGCUCACAGACUCGAAAACUUGUGCUUAUCAACAGGCAGGUGAUCUUCUGAUGGCCUUGUGGGAACACCCUGUUCUGGUAUCUUCUUCACAUUCAUUCAAAGCUAUCCCAGAGAGGAAGUUUUCAGUUUCCGAGCAGGCUGGUUCAGAGGGAUCAAGUCAGAGCAAAUGUGUUUACGUGUUCCAGAGAGAGUAUGCAACUGUUGACCCUGAGCUCGUGGAUGUAAGUUUGUUUUGGUAUUUGCUUAGGCAAGUAGUUACAAAUAUAUCCUCAAGAGGGUUUUUCUAAUUUCAUAGGUGAUGGUAUUUCCUAAGCCUUCUAUGUAAGCUUGUUUGCCUGGCUAAAUAUGUGGUAUCAUCCUUAUUUUGGAUUAGUUCUCGAUCUUCCUAUCAUCAUCAGUCCUGGAUAGUCCAGCAGACACCAAAAUUUUAAAGGGACUUGUACACUGCAUGUCAUAUAUGGGCACAUUCUCGAGCAUAACACUGUUGAGGAUCUCAUGCACUUGAGGUAGUCCACAUCUUUGCAGGAUAGCAUAUUAGCUAGGGAUUCUUGUGUUACAUAUCACUACAUGAAACUGCAUGACAUGAACUGCUGUUGUUAUUUAAGCCCGGGUUGUCAGCUGCCUGAUGUUUUUAUAAAAAGAUGGGAUGAAAUGCAUUUCUUGUUGGAUGGCUGUCAUCAUAUUUUGUAAAAUCUAGGGGUAUCCUUUUGAUAUUCCAGUUUUGUGGAUUUGCAUACUCUCCUUCCCUCCCCAUUUUCUUUUGCAUUGUGUCUCUAGAAAAUGAAAAAGUGUCUGAAACAUUUCCUUUCUUUUAACCUUUAGAAGCAAAAGGAACCAGUUAUUGCCCAACAGCAAAGAGAUUUUGACUCUGUUUGGAAACUGUUCUUAAAAGCAGUUUUCUAACUUAGAAAACACAUUUGGCAAACUUUGAUAGAAAACAAUUUUUGAAAAUUUGUUCUAAAAGUAGCUUGUUUUUUAAAAUAAAUUUUAGAUAUUUUCAAUUGUUUUUGUCGGUGCUUGAGUAACAAUUGAAAAUAUGGAGAAUACUUUUAAAACUUUUGCAUUGUAUAUAAGUAUGUUGUAUAUCUCCAUAGAGAAUAAGCUGAGAAAGCUGGUUUUCAUAUUUAAGUUCCCAAACAGAAUUUUGUUCCUAAAAACAAUUAAGGAUUGUUUUUCUCAAAAAAAUGUUCCCAAAUAGGCCCUUUACUACUGAACCUUCAUUAUGCAAUAGCAUCCAGAAAGUAUACUCCCAAUUCAGUACCCUCACAACAAUGUUUUCUCUUUUCUUUGCUAUAUGUUUGAGACUCUGAAUUGACAUUCUCAACAUUGAAUUCACACUGAGAGUUUGUUACUUUAUUUCCCAAUUCCCUUUCACCUAUGAAUUCUUUGUUUUUUUUCUUCACCUUGAAAAGUUGGUUGGCACCGAUGAAGCAACAACUUGUGUGGGCAUUGUGAUCCGAAACCGAAAAUCUGGAAUGUAAGAAUCCACUAUAUCCAGUAGGAUUUGUAAGGAACUUCAGAAUUUGCGUAAUUCUGCAUUUCUGAUUUUGUUUGUUUGGGACCUUUGAUUUCAGGAUCUCUGUUGCCCAUAUGGAUUCUCCCACUGUUGUUGAUGGAGGCCUCACCCAGAUGUUAUCACUUGUUCACAAUCACGGCUUUGAUGCCGAGUUGGAUGUACUCUUCUUUUUCUCCUAAAACUUUGUCACUUUAGGGAUAAUCUUGAUUGAUCGACUUCUGACACUUCUAUGUGGGUUUAAACUUAUUCAAAACUAUCAAAUGCAGGUGCAUCUUAUUGGUGGUUUCGACGAUUCCUCACCUAAAGUCUGGCCCAUGAUCCUCAACUUUGUGUUUGAUUUUCCAGAGCUCUAGUUACCAGCUCAGAGGCAGAAUAAUAGUUGAAUGUAUUGAAUUUUUGAUGCAGCAGGCCAGCCAUAAAACUAGAUCAAAAAGGCAGGAAAAAUGGGAUGGUUAUUCCCUUCCUUUGUGCAUCAAAAUUAUUGAUGCUUUGUGGAGAAGCCGAGAAAAUUUUCACAUUCAAACUCUGUGUGUUCUUGGGCACAACACCAGAAGGGAUUCUGAAGGAAAUGGAUACCCCAUUUUCAAUGGGUUCUUGGUCAGUUUCAAACUCAAAUGACUUCCUUUUCCUUUUCUGCUAUCUGUGUUCAAACCUUUUAAAGAUGACUUUGAGAUUUUUGUCAAACUUAUUGUUUGGAUGAUAUUCCACUGGGAUUCAUGGAAGGAAUCUUGAUUGAAACAAUGUCUUAGAGGGAGUUCUUCUAAUGAUUUCCAAGCUGAUCAAAUUUUAAUUUUCAUAUUCCAUGUAAACAUUUGAAGUUAAACACAUACACAUGCAUUGAUUGUAUGCACUAUAAAUCAUAUUUGACAAAAGAAAAAUAUGAAAAUAGUUUCCUAUUGAGAAUAGAAAAUAGUUUUUUAACUUAGAAACCGAGGUUAGUAAACUUUUGGCAAAACACAACAUUUUUAGAAUUUGUUCUAAAACCAUGUUAUUUUUAGAGCAAAUUUAAGGUGUUUCAGUUUUUUUUUUUUCUGGAAUCUUCUUAGCAAUAAUUGAAAAUACAAAGAACAUCUUCAUAAAGAAUAAGUAGUGUGUUUUCAAACAGAAUUUCAUUGCAUGAAUCUUAAGUUAUUGAUAUGGAAUCUGUUAUGAGAAAUUGCAUCUCUUUGGUUGUAUCAUAUGAUUUCUUUUAUUGAAUAUGCAGCACACUUUAAAAAAAUGAAGUUAUUUCCAAUGAUCCAACACCUUCCAGAAUACAAAAACGAAGAUUCAACCACAAUUUUAAUGUGUUGAUGUUACCAUUGAGAGAUGAGAUGUUUCAUUUCUUGAAUCUUUGGAAUUCGUUUCUAUGUUUGAAGCAUUUUAAACUUGUUUUCAGGCAGAAACUUCCACCGGGCGGAUCCUCCCAGCAAGCUUUGACAGAACUACCAGAUGCCCAGAAGAAAUCGUCCGGCGGAUUCGAGUGUCUGUCUCCUACGAGGAUCCCAGUUGGGAUGGCCGGUUACUUGAGACAUAUGAUACUCGGACCGACCAAUUCAAAAUUGCGCCCUGCACCUGGUAAAUGCUGUUGCUUCAUACUUUCAGCUUCCAUGGGUUGGGCCAACUGAACUGUGGGUUAACUUCUUUUUGUUUAGGACCAUGCGCCAGUUACAUAUUGCUAUGACACUACAACAUCUUUCUGAUUCAGAAAUUCUCCAGACAUGCUCGACUUCACCUUCUGCAGAGGCCCCGGAUUUCUUGGACAAUAUCAGAAGGUAAAUAAAGGUUGAAAUAGAACAUGGAUUUCAUAGUCCUCAAGCUACCCCCAGAUUACAGUGAUUGAUGGCAAGCACUUAUCAUCCUGUAGGUGUUGGGACUACUUGAUUCAUCGACCAGACUGGAGGGAGACCUUUCCCAUGAAGCAGCCUCGCGUAUUCAAGAGGACUGCAGGAGGCUGGGCAAGAUGCACACAGGGUUCUUCCAUAAACCACCCUGCUCGGGUUGAUUACUUGGUAAAUUAAUUUCCAUGGCAGGAAGACAUUAGGGCUAAGUGCAACUGGUUUCAUCGUACACAACAGCUUGAGCAGAGAUGGCACUGAGAUUUGGUUGUUCACUAAUAGGUCUUACUUCUUGGCAUCAACUUUGCCAAGGGAAAAUUCGACUUGUUGGGUCGUUGUACUCGUUAUUCCCACUCCGACUAAGUUAACAUAUUUAAUUGAAAACCUAUUUAAAAAAACUGUUUUUGGGGAAAUGUUUGGAACGGUUUCAAAAAUACGACUAAAAUUUUGAAUUAUUUAAACACAUGUCCCAAAGCAUGCUGAUACAAAAAUCAAAACUUUUACUAAAUCCUGUGAGUUUCAUUCAUGGGGUCCUCAACCUCAAACCACCACCUACACCAAAAGAGAAAACAAAGGCACAAAGGCGCAUAAUGGACAUGGCUAUAAGGUUAUGAGGGUAAGAAUAAAACAGAAUCCAACCAAGAAUGGAGUGGAGAGGUGCUUGGGAAUGUGCGGGAGUGAAGCUCCUCUCUGCUCCAAAACGGGAGGGAUAUGCAACCAAUCUGAUUGGUCCAUUGAAGAUCCGUGGCCAUCCAAAUGCCAAACAUCCGAACCACUAGCAUACAAAAAUCCUCAUCAUCCCAAGCAUGUAUGCGUCCAAAAUAUCAUCCAUGCCUAAAUCUCUUUUAUGUGCCCAUUGUAUGGGGAAGAUUAAUUAAUUUAGCAAAUGAAUGAUUAAUUUAGCAAGCAUGUUAUGUCACAAUAUCUCACUGGAGGAAAGAGGGGCCGAUAGAACAGAAACCAAACUAUCAUACCAUAUUGUUGAGAAAUACCUCAUCUCUUUCUUGAAGGUGAUGAAAUAGUUUAAAGGAAAUGCAAAUACCUAAGCCACUGGCUUCCGCAACUCAUUAGCUCCAUGAGCGAAAUGGCAUCUGUCUCCAAAGGUGCAUGAACCCUUGGCAAAGUUGUCACACAUCUUUGUCUUGAAAUUGUUUGCUGAAGCGGCUGAACCUGUAGGAUUUUUAGCGUGACCUGCGGCAGAGCCAAUGUUGAAGAUGAGUUCCCGUACCAUUGCACUAGCCUGUUUGAUCUGAUCAAAGGUUCCUUCGAGUUCAAUGUUUCGUUGAUUUGGGUCUGAUUCAUGCUCCUUUAUGGAAAGCUUGACACCAGUGAGGCGACAAAUCUGCUUUGAGUUUACCCCACCUUUUCCAAUGAUGGCUCCUGCAAGAGAUGCAUCCACACUGAUCUUGGCAGUAGCUGAUGCACCAAAGCUGGCUGCAGCAGCCAGGCCUGGUGGCGGUGCCUCAAGCCGUCCAGCUAACCUGCCACCCAUUGGUCCCAUUGCUCUGGGAUCUUCAUGGGUUGGGACAAUUGGCCUGCCAAGCUCCAAUUCACCAUGAGCAAAAUGGCAUUUGUCACCAAACUUACAUCCCUCUGGAGUGUUGAAUUUGUUGCAGAUCCGAGUUUUGACAGUAGGAGGGCCAUCAGGAAUUGUUGGUGGGGCCAUGGGAUUUCUCGCAAUGGGAGGCAUAGCAGGAUUUCCACCCAGGUUUGUCAUCUGUGUCACUGCACUAUAGCCACCAGGAACGUAAUGCAGGAAGUGACAUCCCUCACCAAACGGGCAUCCAGAAGUGCUGCAUCCAAAAUCACACGAAUAAACUACAAUAAGUGACACAGAGAAAAGAAAACUGAUUAUUGUACUGAAAGGGAAGCCUUAUCUCACAAAUCACAAGGCACAGCAGAAUCAUUACUUUUAACUAGAUCAUAAGUCACUUGAAAUCAUGCUUGUAAAAUGCCAGAAAUAAAUGUCUUAAAGAAAAAUUAUCACAGCAGCUAACAAAACCCAAAUUGUAACAAAAAAGGAUGACAAUUGAAUCGACACAAGACAUUGAAUAAGUCCAUUUGGUUUUACAGCCACAGAAAUUGAUACUCCAAUACAGGAAUAGCAAAAUAUGAAGAAAUAAAAUGGAGAUCACAUUGGUUAAUCCCUAAAAAGCCCAAUUUAGGGGCAAGUGAUCAGAAGAACAAUUGGUUUAAGCACUAAAAAACAGAAUGGCUGUAUCAAAUCCCAAAAAAGAAAGGGCUCGUUCAUUCUCUAGUCUUCAAUGGGAAACCCAAACAUCCCAAAAGGAAACAAAGUGGUUUGAGAAUUUCAAAAAUUUUUAGAACAGCAAAUUACAAUAACAUUGGAAGUUGUCAAACUUCGAAAGUUACAAAAAAUAGUCCCAAAAAGUAAGAACACAAACAGAAACCAGACAAACACAAAACUUCAUGCCUUUCUAGCUUACCCACUCCAAUCAUUUGAUUUAUUUCCUCAAAUUUCUACAAUUGUUUCUUUUUGUCAUGCUAUAAAGUGAAAUCACAUGCCUUGAAAGGAUGAUACUACUCUUAUUGCAUGGGUACUAGUAAAAAAGAAAAAUUGGUGGCAAUACAAAUAUAGUAGUCACUCCUUUUCCAUCAAUUCAACUAUAUUUAAUAAAUUACCCCUGUUAUAUUAUACGGUGUCAAUAGAAAAAGUUUAAACCACUUUCUUUUGGAAAUAUAAAAAAUAAAUGUCACUGCAUAGAAAUAACUAAGGGUUAAGAUGUAAAUGACUUGAGAGUAUGAAAGGAGAUAAUCCCACAAGCCAUUGAACUUCAAUUCAGGAAGGGCAAUGAAGGAAGUGAGGGACACAAUAUAAAUCUGACUCACCAUAAGAUUCUUGCUAUAAAGAGGGAAGGACAUAACAAAAGAUGUAGGCAAGGCACAUAUAUGCAUAUCACAUGUCAACUCAGAUCAUUGCUCACUUUCCAUUUUUAAUGUUUGGACUCCCAAAAAAAGAAAUGCCUGGACAUAUUUUUAAAAAAUAAAUAUAUGCUAACCCUAAAUGUUAACAGUUCUCACUGUCACUCCAUAUUCAGAGAUACCUUCUACAUCAGUAUACCCACAGUAAAGUUCAAAGUGACACCCUCAACAUAACCCAUUUGCCCUGUUUUGUUUUUGUCUUCACAGAAUGAUUUUUUCAUUUUAUUUUUUUUUAAAAGGAGUUAUCAGGUGAUAUAAUAAAAGGUGAUUAUUGCAGCUGAACUGAUUAUUAACCUCCACUCUUUUGUUGCUGCAACACCAAUCAGGAUUUGAUUACAUCCAUAGUUGAUUUAGAAUGCUUAUAUUCCCUUUGAGAUGAAUUAAUUUCAUGCAAAAACAGUACAUCUGUGCUCUAGCAUCAGGACCAAGGAUGCUUACAAUCAAAAUGAAUAGGGAACUAAAACCAAUUGACUAAAAUUCAACAACUAAUCAGAAACAAUGUAAUCUACUUGUAUAUCAAUGCAAGAACAGAUGCAAUGGUUAGACUUAAAACAAUGAUGACAGGAGCACAUUCUUGAUCAACUGCUUAUAGAUUAAAUAUUGCAUUAUGAUCAAUGAUUAGACUUAAAACAAUGAUGAAAGGAGCACAUUCUUGAUCAACUGCUUAUAGAUUAAAUAUUGCAUUACAAAUGGGCAUAUAUCACAGUUGUAAAGACAUCAUCUCUGUUAAAAUUUGGAUUUACAUAUUUAUAGUUGAAAAAAUAUAACCUGUAUCACAAUCUAGAUGCCAAAGUCAUAACCUGGAUCACAACAGUCAUGCUUGUGAAACUGCUGUGCAAAAUUUUAUUAAAAGUUAGAAGCAUUUGCAAUAUAAAAUUUAAAAUUUAGAGUAUUUAUCUUGGGUAGGUUAAGAUUAGAACCUGAAAAACUUGGUGCAUGGCUUCGAUUUGCUUCCUAUACCAGUUGAAAAGGACUCCGUUUCUGUGGCAAAAAAUUAAUUACUUUGUUUCAGUUACGAUUUCAGUGAGUUUUGGAUCUGCGAACUUUUCAAGAAAAUCCAGGACUCAUAUACCAUUAUUUAUUGUAAUUAAGUUACCAAAGACUAAGAAUUCAUUAACUAGAAAUUACAAGAUCACCAAUCCCAAGCAGGCAAUGAAUCAAUAAAGUGCUAAGUUUAGUAUUGUACAUCACCCUUGUGCAAGUGAAAUUUACCUGUGUCAUUGCAUGCAAUUAUAUGAUUAUAAAAACAAAAAUCAAAGCAAACAGGUAUUAAGGUAUCCAAAUAAGUUGACAAACCUAUAACAAAAACUAAUGGAACCACCAAUAUGUCUUAGUGGAGUACGUAUACGAUGCUUGUCAAUUGGAGUCUCAUGAUAAUACCACUAAAAGGCAGGCACCAAUUAGCACAGCUUUGAACAGUUCUAAAGCACUUCCAGGCUGCCAAAAUGCACAGAAUGUGCUUGGAUAGAACUUAAAAGCUCCUUUCAGCAAAGAUGGGAAAAAGCUUUUGUAGAACAAAAGGUUUCUAAAAAUGUGUUGUGUUUUGGAUGGCAACCUCGACUCAACAUGGCUCUUCUCAAAGAAGCACUUUGCUAGAGGAUAGAGCUUCAACAAAUGAGCCAAAAUAUAUAAGCAACAUACAUUACAAUUCCCCACACACAAAAUGAAGGGAAAAAAAGGGCAAAGAAAACAAACAGAUAUCAAUAUUACCAAAAAUCGAAUGGAAUCAAGCAAUGAAAAAAAAAAGAGAAAGGAAAGAUCUCCUAAACAUAAAUGUAAGCAAUGUAGUCAAUAAUCACCUAAAUGAAUUCUCACAUCCAAACAAUUGUCAAACAUAAUCACUUUCUUUGGAACCAGUCAUUGAGGGAAAUGCAUCUUAAAAACUAAUAGAAAAUAAAAGAAAUCGGAUUUCAUUUCCUUUUCCCUUCUGUAAAACUAAUUGUACCUUGACACAUUUUGAUCUUCAUAUUUUGAAAAUUUGAAGGCAUUUACGAAUUGGGAAAGGGAUAGAAAAAAGAUUGUACAGGGAUGUGAAAUAACUAUUGGAAACAAAAACACUCUAUUUGGAACCAAAUAGUUGAGGGAAAGAAAUAGAUAUUUUGUUUAAAGUUGUGAACAAAUAAACUGUAUAUGCUACCAUUUCCUUCUUUCAUAGUAUACUGGACACUAUUUUACAUAUUGUAAAAUAGAUAGAAAAAUACAUGCACAAGUAUAAAAUACACACUGUAUGAAAUAUAUAAUUGAUUUCAUAAAAAUUUGUAAGGAGGCAACUGAACCAAAAGAAAGAGAAAAAAAAAAAACAGGGUGUCAGAUUAAUACUCCACAAAGAGAAGAUCCAUGUUUCAUUAGAUGCAAAAGAAAAGCAAAGGAAAGUUUCUAGUGUUUUAUAUCAACUUCAAAGUACAUCCAAUAGUACAAUAACAUUGUAAGGGGAAAAAAUGAAAAUUUUUCUUCCUUGCAGGCUAAUUAAACUAGCCAAGCACUUAUGAUUUUUUAAUAGCCAAAUAUAGCAUAUAAGGAGCACUAAAAGGGGUAACCCCUAGUGCUUUGGAUGUAACAUAGAUCACCCAUAUAAUGAUAAGCAGAAGAAUCCAAAACAGAGGAUACAACAAUCAGAGGCCAAAACAAAGGCCUUAAACCAUUCUAAAUAUAAGCUUCACUCCCAAGAGAACCCCUAGACUAUGAAAAAGCAAAAACUUGAUAAAAUUUACUUUUAACUCCAACAACUUCAACCCGUCAAAGAUUCUCCAAUUCUGUUCAUUUAUAUUGCAUGGCAUGCCUUAUAUGUGUAUUGUAAAAAUAUUCUUGUACCACAGCACAUAUCAAUGCCGCCUAGUAUUUAUAUCAUAGAAAAUAAGAAAGUCAUAAAAUUUUAACCGAAUUCUUUCAAAGCGCUAUCUUAAUUGUUUUCCAUCCAAAUUCAUUAAUUUUAAAUUAAUAAUGAUCAAUUACUACCCACCAAUCUCCCAUGCCGAUCUAAUGAAUAAACAACAACGUAACAGCUAAAGCAGAUACAAAAUAAAACACUUGAAAAGCAUCUGCAAUCCAGCAAAGAUUCAGCUCCUUCCCACUCAAACAAAAGAUUAAACUGCCUUCACUGAAAUAACGAAGUACGAAUAAAACAUAUACAAAAUCCCACCUCACAAGACAUAACGCACAAACUACAACUCUAUAGUAUGGAUAACCAGAGAAAUCAAUUCUCCGAACUAAACAACAAUUAGAGCAGAAAUGACUGAGAAACAAAAACAACACCCGAUUGGAUCUCACGAAAAAAAAAAGGACGCCAAACAAAGCAGAUUUCAGUACUCUGCUCCACGUUCCCAUCCUCCUCCCAAGAUCCAAACAGAAACAAAGGCAACAGUCUCGAAUUCAACCACCGGAGCUUCUAGGAAGAGAAGGAAAAUAAUAACAAUAAUAAUAAACGAACCUUGCUUGGAUUUCUUGAAGCCUCCGUUGCCGAAAGCGGCGCCGUCCGGACGACCUCUCCUCUUGCCUCCGACCUCCAUUUCAACAAGCUAGAGACUCCAAACCAACAGAAGAUUUCUGAAUCGAGAGAGUGAGAGAGUAAAAACCCUAGGGUUUGAAGAGACGGAGGCGGUAAGACGGAAAAAAAAAGAGUUCGUGAGAGAAAAUAAAAAUAUAUAUCAUAAAAUAAAAAAUUAUAUAUACAUAUAUAUUUAUUAGUUUUUUUAUUUAUUAUUAUAUAGGAUUUGAAAGUUAGGGUUUAAAUUUGGUUUGUAUUUUGAGUUGGCGCCCGUCCAGUUGUGAUGUCACGCAUAUCUAGUUGGUUCUGCCGUUCUGGGCCUAGUAUUUUUGUGGGCUUUGGGCCCACGCUUCAUCAUUAAGGGGCCUUAAUUUGGUUUCUUACACUAAUUUUGAUUAAAACGUUUAAAAUCUUUGGAGCGAAUUCGAGAGGAUUAAAACAUUUUCAAUCCCUCGAUGCAUUUUUUUUUUAAAUUAGGUGUUUGACGUAAUUCUAAAAAUUAUUUUUAAAUAAUUAAAAUAAAUCUUAAAUUUGGUAUUGGUAAGUGAUUCUUCCAAUACUUUUUUAUUAUAUCAUGAAAAAUAUUGUUAAAAAAUAUAUUUUUAUUUUUUAUAUUAAGAGAGAAAUUAUAUUUUCCCCAUCCUUUUUCCAAAAUCAAAAUAGAAUUUAUAGAAAAAAAUUAUAAAAUAAAAGAUAAAUUUUAUUUUAAUAUACAAUAAAAAGUGUAAAAUAAAAUAAAAUAUAAUGAAUUUGAUUAGAAAAUAUUUAUUUUUAUAAAAAGAAAAAGAAAAAUGGCUUUGAAAUAAAAUUUGUUAAAUUUAAAUCUAUAUCUUAUUUUUCUUUAAAAUUUUUCAUUUAUUCGAUUUAUUGUAUUUCAUUGUCCAUAUUCUCUUCAAAAUUUCUAACGUCAAACCAAGACUAAGGUGAUAUUUAUUUUUUUUGCUUAAUUCUAAAUAGAAUCUUAAUGUUUAAUAAUAUUAAAUAUUAGAUUGUUUGUUUUUAUCUUGUUUUAUUUCUAUUAAGGAUUAAAAAAAGUUAAUACGUUCUUUUUUUAUUUAAAAAAAAUUACAUAUUUUGAUUUUUUUACAUAUUUUGAUUUUUUAUUUAACGCUGGCAAAAACAAAUUACUUUAAAAAAACACAAAAAAAAAUAAACACCACCUAAAAAUCUAUCCAAAAAUAAUACUAAUCUUCUAAAUUUUCAGAUUUUACAAAUAUCUUAUAAAACGUGGCUUAUAUAUAUUAAGAUAUGUUUUAAUUUAUUAUAAUAGAUAUAUAUUAAAUUUUAAAAAACAAUAUUUAAAAUUAUAUUAUAAUAAUACCAUUGCUCCAUCCGCCACCGCGAUCAUACAAGAAUGGCGGUUCUACUGUAACAGUUCCAUCUUAUUUGAACCUGUAGUGUGUUAGGGUUUUAGAAGAAGAAGAUGAUGAAAGCUUCAGUUAAGUUUCGAGAAGAUGAGAAAAAACCUUUAUUCAGAGCCAAAGUUGCUCUCAACAUCUUGGGCUUUCCAUUUCGGUACGGCGUCGAAGCCGGAGACGCCACAGACCUGCGUUUUAACCUCUCCACCUUCUUUGAAUCCGGGCCGUUGAUCAAAUUCUCUUACCGCCACAAUGAUUCUCUCACCCCUUUCGCCGUUGCCGUCAAGACCGGAAUCGGCCGCUUCGGGUCCCCGAUCGGGGCUCCCAUAGCCAUGGCUGCUGAGUUCAACCUCCUUGGUACUGGAAGUCCCAGUUUCUUCAUCCAUUUCAGGCCUCAGAUCGGUGAUUUCUCCAUCAAACGAUCUAUGCAGUCGCAGAUCGCUUUGCCGCCUCAGUCUUCGAUUUUCACUCCCAAAUUCAAGGCGCCUGCUGACGGCGCCGAUUUGGAGGUCGAUGGAUCGGUUGACGAUGCAGAACCGCCAGGGGCAACCGGGAAGAGAAUCAGUUUUCCCGUUGGAAAAGUGAUCGAUAGUGUGUUUUCUGGCGUGGAGUUGAGUGCGGGGACUGCUGUACGGUUGAUGAACCGUGCCGUGCUGAAACUCAGGUGGAACCUUAAGUUUCCGGCGGAGUUCAAACCUACCUGCGCCGGAGACAACAUCACGAAUCAGACGGCCGGGAUAUCUGGCGACAAAGCCCCUUUCCUUGUGCUAAGCAAAAUCGGAAUCGAACACGUGGCAGCUGAUAACAGCCCGCACAGCAGCACUGGCGUGGCAGGGACGUGUUUGUCAAUGAAGCGUGAGCUGGACGCUUUACGAGCACAGAACGAGUCAUUGAGAAAAGGAAUAGCCGAGCUCCGGUCAGAAAUCAACGCUGGAAAGUAUUCUCCGGUACAGAUAAUUGGAGGGAAGGCUCCAGGAGACGACGGAGUCACCGGUAAAGAAACUGACGGGAAUGCCACGAGCAGCGCCGGUACGUAACAUCUUUGGGCCUCAUUUCGUGUUUCGGAUUUGCCAAAACUGAUGGGCCUAGGGCCUCAGGCCCAUGUCCAACAUCUCAUGGUCCGAAUUGUGAGAAAAACCGUAAAAACAAUGAAAUCCGAUGGUUGAUUUCAGCAUAAUGCUUCCAAGAUAGAUGUUAGAAAUGGAUCCAAAGUACAAUACAUGUUGAAGUGGCCCAGAUUGCAUGUAUUCAAAUUAUAGAAGAAAGGGUCUCUAGGGCUAGAGAUGUUAGAUUGCUUUGUUAUUUUAGGUUCACUCUUUAUCCAAUGUAUGGGUUGUAAAACUUUGGAGAAAAUGACAAAAAUGUAAGAAUUAGAAAAUAAAGAGCAAAAAUAAAAAAAGAUAGAUGUGAAAAAAUGAAGAAUAAUUCAUUUUUAUAAGUUUCUUCAACUUCAGAGUUUUUAGUAUUUUUUUUUUAUUUUUUACUUUUUUUUAAUAAUAAAUCAAAUAUGAGAAAAAAAAUAUAUUUUUAUUUAUUUCCUUAAUAGUUUCUAAAAAUCAAAUAUAUUCUUAUCGUAUGUUUUGUUCUAGACAAAUUUAGAAGAAAAAAAAAGGAAUAAAAUAUGCAUGAAAAUGGAACAAAGAAAAAAUUAAAUGAAUGUUUUUUUGGUAUUUAUUUUAGAUUCAUUUAAUUUAUUUUUACUCUUUUAUAUUGAUAUUAAAUAAUUUAAAAAUGCAUAAGUUUAUAACCUAUUUCAAUUUCUUUUUUUUUUUAAUUUUUAAAUCAUGUGAGAAAUCAUUUCCAUCGAUAAUUACCUUAAAGACUUUCAACUUUCUUUGGGUUGAACAAACGAAAAAGCCUCAUUUUUCAAUUUGACCAAGUAACAGUCAAAAAUAUUUAAUAUAAUGUAAAAACUUUAUCUUUACUUAUACCAAAAAACCUAUUUUAUAUUUAAAAAAAUUAUAAUUCUAUUAUUAUUUAAAAUAUAUAUAGAACUUUGGCUUCCAUCCAAUUAAUUUUUAAAGUGUAUGAAAGAAAACAAAAGGCUAUUUCAAAAUAAGGAUAAGGGAAAGUGGGGUUGCUUAGGCUUUCCACUCUAACGUUGUUGGGUGUUAUAAAAAUAUUACCUAAAAAAAAAUGAAAACUUAUAUUUAAUUUAGUUAUAGAAAAAAAAUAAAAAUGAAUGUGUUUGUUGUUUUCGUCGGUGUGCUUAGUUGUAUAUAAUUUAUAAGCUGGCAUAGUGCUCGGGCUUGACACCUCUUCUGUGUAGCAAAUAAAACAAAUAAUAUGGUCAAUUCUUGGUGUACUUUUUAGUUAUCGGCUCUGUUUUUAAAUUUCAAAAAAUCCGCUUCAUACAAAAAAGUAUAAUAAAUUUAAAUUAAAAAAAAAGUAGAAUAAAGAUAAAUUUACUUCCACCCAUAUCAUAUGGAACCAACCAUAUGUCUUUCAUGUCAUUUAUAUUAAAAGAUCAAUUUUACAUGCAUGUGUCUUUUGAGAGGAAAUUCUAUGGUCCAAUUUGAUAUCAUAUCUUCAUUCUAAUCGUAGAUUUUUAAAAUUUAAUUCCAUCUAUUGGAGAAAAAAAAAAUCAUAAUGUCAAAGAUUUCCUUAUUUUCAUGUAUAAUUUUAAAGGGAUAAUUUAAUAAUUCAAUGUUUUUUACUAAAUGUAAAAUAAUCUUAUUAUAAACUAAACUAAACAUAAGCGAUUUGAACCCGAGGAUUAUACUAAAUUUUCAAAGUUAAUUUUAACAAGUUUUAUUAAAAUAAAUAAAAUCAAAAUACAAAAUAAUGAAAUUCUAAAUGCGCAUAAUAAUAAAUAACAAGUUAUAAUUAAUUUCUAAGAAAUAAAUAUAUAUAUCUGACAUGUCACCUUUCAUCUUUACAAAGUCUCGCAGGAAUCUCUAAGAAAUUUGAUGGUAUUGGAAAAAGUAUAAAAAGGAAAAGUUAGGUAACUAAAAGGUUGUGCCGUGUAGGAGGAUACACUUGACUUUAGAUUGAAUGAUUGUCUUAUCAAUUAAAACAUCAAACAAAAGAAAUCAAUUUUAAUAAUUUAAUUAUAAUUAUUUAUUUUAAAUUCAGAGGGAAGCAUAACAAUUAAACGAUGAGGUAUUUUUUAUAAUAUUUUUUAAGAUAGUUAAUAAAUAUCAAUUUUCAAAUAGAAUUAUAAAAAAAAACCCUCUAAAAUACCUUGAAUUGAUUCUUAAAAAGGUAACUGUUUUUUCAAAAACAAAAUUAAAAAAAAAAAUUCUUUUAUUAAUCACAUUUUAAGAGGUGAAAAAGUAUUUUUAAAAAUAAGUGAAAUUGUAAUAAUGAAAAAUAUUUCUGAAAAAUCAAUUUUAAGUUGUCAUUCAAAUUACAGAAUAUAAUUUGGUGUUUACAAAAUUAAGAUAAAAUCCUAUAAAUAGACAUGUGGGAUUACCAAAAUAAAACAACAUUUUGUUUUAACGUAGUAGUAAAAUUCAUAUGAUUAAUCCUUACCCGGCCCAUUACGUGAUUUGGUUUCAAUGACAAAAUCCAAUUGGUUCGAGAUUCGGGUCGACUCGGCCUAUCCAGCCCAUUCAAAACCUAACCUUUACCUACCUUACCACGACGACAAAAGAUUGAGGGCCUUUUGGUAAAUUCAGUGAGCGGCGCUCUAUAAAACAUUUGAACGAGGGACAACUAAGGGAAAUUUCACAUUACAUCGAGGGCAAUUACGUAAUUUCAAAAAACUCGCGAUCAGGUCCGUAUAUAUACACGGAACACACCAACGCAAUGAGAGAAGGUUGGAAUUUCCUGCUUGGCUAUCCGGAAAAUAAAAAGAAAAGAAGGUUAAGAUUCUGGGAAAAUUAAAACAAAAACCCUAGGUUUUGAAAAGAAAUGGAGGGAUGAGCAAAAACACACCAAUCAUCAACGUCAGUAACGACGACAACAACAUCAUCAUCGACAUGGCUAGAACAGAGAAAAGAGAUAACGAUACCUGGACGACUUGGGAGGAGCUGUUGCUAGCAUGCGCGGUGAAGCGGCACGGCUUCCAGAACUGGGAUUCAGUUGCCAUGGAAAUACAGACUCGAAGCUCUCUUCCUCACCUUUUGACGACCGCUCAGAACUGUCAGCAGAAAUAUCACGACCUCAAACGUAGAUUCACGGCCACGGCCAAAGACAACGACGCCGAGACCCAAAGCCAAAACCAAGUCCGCGACGAAACCGAUACGAUUCCAUGGUUAGAAGAGUUGAGGAAGCUCCGAGUUGCAGAGCUUAGAAACGAGGUCCAUCGUUCUGAUGUUUCGAUCCUGUAAAGUUCUUUUUCGAUUUAUUUUUUUAUAAUAAUUUUGGAAUGGAAUGAUUUAUCGUGUUCUUUUAGUUAUGGUAUUAGUCCUUGGAUCUGAGAGAUUUAGAUGGAUCUGAUUUUUUUCUACAGUUCGUUGCAGUUGAAGGUGAAGAGAUUAGAAGAGGAGCGGGAGCAGUCCACGAAGGAGAAUGACAACGACGUCGUAAAACCAGAUCUGGACGAUGAGGUAAAGGAGGAGAGAUCUAAAGACGAAGUAAAGGAAGGAGACGAAGUGCCGGAAAAAUCCUCUCCCGAAGGAGACGCCGGAAAGUUGAUCUCCGGCGAGGAAUCCGACCGGGAAAACCGGUCGGUCAACGAGUCGAACUCGACCGGAGUGAAGGGCGAGAAUAUAGAAACCGCUGUGGAAGAGGCAGCGAGAGAACCGGAACCAACAGAGCCCGGUUCGACAAAACCGGAUCCUGUUUCCAGCGAUUCGAAACCGGUCGGAGAAGACUCGUACAAUGGAAGCUCCGAGCCGAACCGGGCCAAAAAAGCCGAUGACUCGUCCGAGUUAAGAGAAUCGGCGGCUCACUCAAAGGACGGGACAAAGGAGAGCAGCGACGUGCAAAGCUCAGCCAGCCUUACGAGAAAGAGGAAGCGUCGCCGCAAAAAGGAAAUCUCCGGCAGUAGCUCCGGCGAUGAGCCGGAGACCGAAGCGGUAUCUCCGGCGACCAAGCGGAUCUGCGUGAAAUCACAGCCAUUGGUUAGCUUUUUGGAGAUUAUCCGGUCGCACAAACACAGCUCCUUGUUCGAGCGCCGGCUCGAAACCCAGGUAUUCGCCAUUAUUUUCUUUUUUCAAUAAACUAACUCAAAAAAGAAAAAAAAAAAAAACCAGAAUCCUCUAAAACGCGUCACAGCCAAACACCCAUCCUAAUCAUCUUUCACAACCAAUCUUCACCGUUCCAUUCCCGGGCCCAGUUCGCAAAUCUUAAUUACCGACUCUGCACAUCUAAAAGAGUCUGAUCUAAAGAACGGAAUGGAGGGUAUAGAUGCGUGAGUGACGUGUACCCGCCAAAUCACAUCCAGUAUUUAUUUAUUUAUUUUAUUUCAAAGGAAUAAAAUAAAAAAUAAAGAUAAAAAUAAAAAUAAAGCAUAAGAGAGUAAAUCCUUGGUUAUAUAGGAGCUCCAUCAGUCAAUGAAAAGCACGUGGCAUCCAUGCAAAGUGAAAUAGAAGAGAAGUCGAUUGUAGCCAGCUACGUUGCUCGACCGUCGGAUAAGAUAAAAAGCAAUCCACCACCGUCGGAUCAUUUUGUGAGGAUAAAAAGCUGAUGUGGUUGUUGAAUUAUGUUGUAGAUGAAAGUAUGCCUUAUUCUCUCCAGAAUUUCCGGAUAUUCUUCUAAUUUAACUCCAAUUUAAAAUAAUAAGGAGAUUUAUUACAUUUAUUACAGGAGACGGAGGUAUACAAAAGCAUUGUUAGGCAGCACGUGGACCUCGAGUCCAUACAGACCAAGCUGGACGAUGGCACUUACUCCUCUUCCCCACGAGCGUUUUACAGAGACCUCCUCCUCCUUUUCACUAACGCCAUUGUCUUUUUUCCCAAGGCUUCGGCGGAGGCCCUGGCUGCCGGAGAACUGCGGGCAAUGGUCUUGAAUGAAGUUCGCAAGCAGCAACCCCCGGCGCCCGAACAUCUCCUACUGCCCCAACCCAAACCGGAGCUUGAAAGAUCGGAUUCCUUGCUUGCGAAGCAAAAGUCGUCCGCUCCCAUUAUUGUCUGCCGCAAACGGAGCUCUAUCUCGGCCAAGGCUUCCAGUUUUGGGGUGAAGGCGGGGGAGUCCAGGAGUGAAGAGAAACCAGCUGUGGAUAUCAAACCGUCGGUGAGGGAAGAGCAGAGUUUGGUGAAAGCCGGCACAAAGGAGAAGUCGACAACUGGUGUGAGAAGCUUGAGGAGAGGCGGGAAGAACCGGUCGGGUAAUCUCAAUAAGAAUCAAAGCACAAGCACCAAUCAUGGGUCGUCGGAUAAAGGAGAGACGCCCAAAGCAGAAAAAAAGAAAGCUGAUGCCUCUGCUUCCGCCAAAAAACGGGGUGCGGCGGACUUCUUGAAGAGGAUUAAGAAGAACUCGCCCAUGGACAUGGGGAAGAGUACGGUGAAUGACACGAGGAGUGGCAGAGGAGGGGGAGGUGGGGAGGAAAAGAGGAAGCGGAAUGAGAAGGGAGAUGGGAGGAGAGACAGAGUGUUGAGGCAGAGUGGGGGAGGGAAGCAAGGCAAGGACGAGAGCAGCCCAUCAAAACGGAGUGUAGGGCGGCCGCCAAAGAAAGCGGCCGCAGACACAGGGAAGCGAGGGAGGGAGAGUGGCGGCGAGAAGGAAGCGGCGCCGGCAGCAUCAUCAUCAAAGAGGGCAAGGAAGCAGGCCAGGAGGUGAUGACUGGAUGUAAUUUUCAUUGUGAAUUACAUGUAGUGUUCAUGUUUGUGGUGAUGAUCAUUUGGUCUCUGUAACAAAUUUAUUUUAAUUUAUUUCACCAUUUCAUAGAAUGAAACCCUCCCAAUCACCACCAAACACAGCCUCAAGCAUUUCCAAAGUUUUCAUUUAACAUAUCAGUCUCAGAUCUUAAGUCACAUAUGCAAAUCAAGGUCGUAUUUUCCCUACUCAAUGCCCUCAGCCUGAGGCUUUAGGAUUUAAGGUUACCAUCAUCCACCGUUAACUGACAAAUAUAUCAAGCAGUUUUUUUCCAUGAUUGACCGCAAAGUCUUCUUCCUCUUUCACCACAACCUGCUGGGGAAAACAACCCAGAUGAAGCUACAGUUUCUUCAGAAGGAAAAACUAGAGCAAUGGCCAAAAGAAAGACAUCUCAUUUGUUUAAAAAUCAACCAAGGCGGCAGUGUGGCAAUUUCUAAAAUCCCAUCAAUGAUUAAAAUUCUUCGGAAAUAUCGAUACUAAUACCAGUCAUUUAGAAUAUGUACUUCAAUAAAAGCACUAGCAGGGAGAGGUUUCGUAGGUGCUAUGUUCCAAAAUGCAAUAUUUUUAAUCAUACCAUGUUAUCACCUACAUUGGAUUCCGCAUUCCCUUCGUUAACCCAAAAACAAGACAACAAUAUUCCGGUAAUGGGUUUGUUGGACAAACAAUUUACCUGUGGAGGCACGGAUUGCAGUAACAGAAAACAAGCUCAGCGACAAUCAUUUUUUCUAAAAGCUUAAACCGUUAAGGUUUUAGCGCACAAUGAGGAUAAGUUUUCCUACUAUUAAGGUUCAAUGACUAGAAACUAUAUUGAAUAAACCAAAACUGCAUCAUCAAAUUUAGAAAAAUUUGUUGUUGCAGUAGUAUAAAAACAAAAUAUCAGUAUAUCUGCAAACAUAUAAUAAAUAAAUAAAGAUGGGUUCACGUAUCGUUUCAAUUAUAACCUUUUUUGUUUCUUUUUAAAAUUUGAUGUUAUUAUGAUAAUAUCUUUUUAUGUGGAUGAAGAGCAUGCUAAAAAUGCCAAGAAUGGAGUUUAUGCUUGAAUUCAAAGUGAUAAAACCGGGAUUGAAAGCAAUAUUCUUUCUUCUUACCCAUGGCCUGAUAUCAUCCAAGUCAUGAACUGCUGCAGAAAAACCUGGAGAAACAUUCGGGCAACUUGAAUUCCAGGAUGGGUGAUCCGCAGUGUUGACAGGCCCUGUAACCAUGAAAAACAAACACAAAAUGAAUAACCAUGAUUCUUAAUUCAAAUGAAGAACUCUGAUUGGAUUGAAGCAGAAAAUCAAAUAAGGAAAGCUUACAGGCAGAGGGCCAAAUCCAAAUUCCAUGUAGGGUUGGUAAGCAGCAAGCACUUCAGAUGCCAUCCUACUGGCUGUGUGCACGGUACCAACCCGGAACAUUCUUUUCUUCUCAUACCUGUUCAUGAUGAAGCCAUACAGAUUAUGGAGCACUCUGCAUUUUUCUGUAUUGACGGAAAGAAAUUACCUGAUCUUUUGGCUAGAACCACAUUCAAGGAAGAGCGAUUUAACCUUUGGGAACUCCACAGCUUCCUAUUUGCUUAGUUCUAAAAUAGCAUUAACCAGUAACCAUCCAGAAGUUUUGUACUAAUACCCUUGUAAGUUUCAUGUGAAAAAGGCACUUUUGAUCAUUUCCCCCCUUAUUGUCCAAAAAUUCUUAAGCUAUGAUCAGGGUGAACUAGCUGAUGAUGUACUUGAAUCAGUUUUAUUUACAGGUCUUAGAGGCUAGAUUUCUCGUUUUUUACCUUCUAAGGGCGGAAACAAUUUGAUCCGACAGUAGAAUGCUGGAGCCACUGUUGGCAAUCUUAUCAAGCUCAAGAAUUAGUUGGUAACAGUCCUGCAAAUAUAAUUGCCAACAUGAUAAGUCCAUGGCAAUUCAAACGGUUUAGUAAAGUGCAAUCACCCCUGAUCAAUAUCCUUUAACAACCUUACUAGAUAAAUUGGAAAAAUGUGCUCAAACAACCUACAACCUAUCUUACUAAUAAUAACAAAGGGCCUGAUUUACAACCACAAGCUAUAGCUCGAAACCCAGUCUUAACUUCUUUGGUAAAUUGCAUUUACCUUCUACAAGUCUCAGUAACAAACUCUCCAACUCUUUUUCUAUUCAAUCAGCUAGAGAUAAAAUUCAGUCACAUAUAACUUACCUCAAUUGCCAUGCAACCCCCUUGGCCGAGAUUCGGUUGCAUUGGGUGAGCGGCAUCACCUACUAGAGUCACUCGCCCCGUUCCCCAGGAAUAGAUCAUAUCUCUGUCGUAUAUGUCCCUCUGUAAAAUCAUAUGAUCUGGGGUUUUCAAAAUUAGUGUAAUCACUUCAUCACACCAACUCCUGAAUAGUUCCAGAAGCCUCUGUUUUUUACCUGCAGAAUGUAAAAGGAAGGUUUCUCAAAAUCAUAGAAUUGAGUUCCUUUAAAAGUAACAUUACCACAAGCAUAUUUUGAGGGAGAUACCUUUGGGAGAAUCAGUAUUAUUCAUGGGAGGCUCCCUAUUGAAGGCAUACCAUUGCAUCUUUCCAUUCCCAACAUCUGAAGCAACAAAGUACUGGUUCAAUCCCAAGAAUACUCGAUACCUUCAUAGCAGAACAUGAAACUAAGCAAACCAAAUUUUGCAUAACUGCAAAAAAUAUCACAAAUUUCGCUGAUAUUUUUUUCUAGAGAAAAUUUAGAGAAACUUCCCGAUUUGCAUAUUUAAGUCUUGUUCUGGGAAGUAUUCCAAAUGAUUGUGCAAUUCAGAGGCAUCAACAUUUUCCUAUUUGGUUACUUGUCUUUAUAGGAAAGAAGUUGAAAGUAAUAAUAUAAACUCUUCAUUAAUUUUCCCAACUUCUACCAGGCUUUCUUUAUUAACAUAGGGCUUUUCCUUUUGAAAAAUAUAUUUUCCUGAGUAAUUCCAAAAUCCCAAAUUUCAAUAAUGCCAGCAUAUUGAGUUUGUCAACAUGAUGCCAAAUUACAUACCCGACAGUAUUGAUGUAUGGCGGCACAAAGUUUGUCAGACCACUAUAACAUGUGUAAUUCGAAUAUUUUGCUUCUUGCCUUCCAAAUAGUUUUGAUCGCACCUGACAAGAAUGGCAAAUCAGAAUUUGGGAACCCCAAAAUGAGGAUAGAAGAAUCGAUCUGUUACAAAUAAACAAAAGGAAUGAAUAUACAAAAGGAGAAGUAGCCUACUUCUGACCAUAUCCCAUCUGCCCCAAUUAGAACAUCACCAUCAUACUGGCGUCCAUCUUCAAGGGUGACAGUGACCUGAAAAUUCAAGCAAAGAGGUCGAAAAUUAAUUCAGAUCUUCAUCAGAUGGGUAAUAAAUAUUCUAGGACAUUACAGACCUUGUUAGAGUCUUCCAUGAAGUCCACAACUUUAGAUUUGUUACUUAAUAUCUCGAGCCCAACUGCAUUGACUAAUAUGUCUUGCAGUGACAUCCUACAUAUUACUUGAGUCACCGGGAGUCCCCUCCUUAUGGCAGGAGUUAAAAGAUCAAACUUGCUAAGCCUGAUAUGAGAAGAGAAGAGCUAGAGAACCAUGAUCGUAUACCAAGACUUAAAAAAUGUUUCUCUCAUGUAAUUGAAAAGUAUGUCAAUGUUAUUGAAAUUCCAAGAAUAAAGGAAAGGAGGAGCGUUGUGUCGGGUGCAAACCAGUAAAGAUACUUUAAUCAGACUGAUGUCCAAAUGAAAAUUUCAAGCCUAAGCUACAAUGGUUUUUAAAAGGAAAAUGCAGAAUAGAAUAUCCAGUCAGCCCCGAAUGGUUUGGAUUCGUGGGAUAAACCUAGUGGAAUUCAGUUGUAAGAAAAUAUCUAGUCCUGCCUCCCCUGCACCCAUAUCAUCAAACACAACCACAAGGAAAAUUAUAAAAAAGAAAGAAACCCGUUUGAAAAAACUCCAUACGCAAAACCAACAAUCGCAGGGGUAAUGAAAAUAAUGUAAUGAUGGAGAAACCCCAUUAUUUUGUCUUAGAUUAGACAGUAUGCAUUGUUUGGAGAAGAAUACCAAAUAGUAUGCAUGGUUUGGAAAAGAGUAAUAAACCUUUCUCAGGCUUGUUCAUGGCAGGGUCUUAUAAGUUCUAAUCACAAAAUUCAGCCAUAAGAAACAAAUGUAGUUCCUGAAACAAGGACAAACUCAAACCCAAAAUUCUAAUCAAACAACCUUGUAAAGGUAGUCAAGAAUGCAAAUAAACGUAAAUUAUUCUCAUCGGUAUAGCGUAAGCAACUAAACAAAUUCAGUAGAAGAAAUGCACAAUUUAAUUCUAUAUUCAAACUUGUGAAUAGCAAGGAGUAAGAUGUAUAUACCAUUCGCCCGAAAGACCAUCUGCAAGGCCAUUGAUCCUAUCACCAGUAACACAACCAGCUUCCAUAAUUUGCUUUGCAACAUUUUCAUCAAUGGCUUCCAACACUGCCAAAGCACUACUUAAGAGUUGAAUCGGGCCACGGUGGCGUCCCUCCCCUCUCACUGCACUCAAAUCCUUCUCAAACACCUUCACCUCAAAACCCCUAUGCUUCGCAGCCAGAGCCAGUACUAGCCCUCCUAUUCCUCCGCCAGCUAUCAAAACCCUAAACCUCUUCUUCUCCUUCUUUCCAUUACCAUCUCCAUCUAAACUAACAUAAUCUCUACCCUCACACCUAAUAUAAUAGCUCUUCAUACUCAACUUUUCUACCCUAAAUUCAGAGAUAUUGAUAGAAUUUUGAUAUCGAUUGCAAGAACUAAGACCUUGCAAUGGUGCCAUUUGUAACAGAACCUGAGGUUCUUCCACUGAUUGCCUAAUGGGGUUCUUAGUAUCUAUGACAGGGAAGACAAUCAGCAGGCUCAAAUGUUAAACUUGUACCAUACAUGAGGUCCAUCAACUGAAUAAAACCCUAAAAACAUCCAAAUUUCACAACAGGAAAACACCUCAGAAUUCUCAAAAAGUGGAGAAACUUUAAAGGAGGAUCACAUGGGUACAAUGAUUCCCAGAACGAAAAAAAUGGACAAAAUUCAGUUGAAUUUGAACGCCCAUGAAGAAAGAUUGCAUCCCAUUUGGAAAAAAACACCAAAACCCGACAAAUCCGCACAGCAGCAAGGCGGAACUACAAAACCCAGUUUGAAAAAUCUUCAAGAACUAAUCUUUUCUUUAUUGAAUGCGCAAAAUUGAAGUGGGAAUUCAGUCUUUUUGACAAAGAGCAGUACAGGGGAAACGAAGAGGAAGAUACAGAGGGAAAAACGAACUGAAACUCAAAACCCAGAAAGGGAAUAGAUUGAACUGGAUUAGAAAUGUCCCAUGAAACGAACCCACAAAAGCCUAGAUGGGGUUGAAGCAUUUGUGAUGGAGACAGUGACCAAAAGGAAGUAGAGAUUCUUGUAAUAUAGUCAGCCAUCAAGAGAAGAAGUGGGAAACAACACAAACUUUCUCCUGUAGCUUUCAACAGAGAAGACAAAGUCUCAAAACGCAGCGUUAUGAUAAUUCAGAAAAAGGAAAAAAAAAAAGAAAAAAAAGAAAUAGGAAUCACUAAAUCUGCUGCACACGUGGCUCUAAUUGAUUGGUAAUUAGUGUUUUUAUGCAAAAUCGCGUGAAUCUCUUGGGUUCUCCUGUUUCGGAUAAAUUUUGGAAAAGUAGUGACCCUUCCAAACAGACCUUUGCUUGCUGGUAAAAAAAUAAAAUAAAAUAAAAACAGAAAAAAGGGAGUUUGGGAUAUUCUAAAAAAACAUGUUUUCAAAAUUUUAUCCAAUGUGUUUUCUAAUUAAAAAAUAAUUAUGAAACAUAUUCUUAUUUUUUAUAUUUGAAAGCAAGAUAGUGUAAAAAACAAUUGAAAAUUCUCAAAAAAAAAAAAAGUUUGUUUUGAGAAUAAUUUAAAUUUUUUUUUUUUUUAGUAAAAACAAAAAUGUUAAAUACAUUUUUAAAUAAAAAUAAGAAAACUGAAUGUAAAAGAAAUAUUUAUGCCAAAAAGACCAAAAUACCCAUCGUUUUGAAAACAUGACUCCCAUGUGUUUUGAAAUCCACUUUUGUCAUCAUCAUUCAUGGAACCCUACUUUUGCAAAAGCUCCAUUAUUUGUGGGGACAUCAAAGCUCCUUUUAUUUUGUUUGAGACACCUUAAGUUUUUUGAACAUUGCUUUUUAAAAAUACAACAAAUUUUAAAAAUAAAUUUAAAAUAUUCUAAAAAACAAUUUAAAAUAUUUUUUUAGAACAAGAAGUAUUUGAUAAAUUUUUAACUGAAAUAAUUUUAAAAAAAUUUAUUUUUAAAUUAAUUAUAUUUUCGUGUAUUUCUUUUGAAAAAUAUUUUAAAAAAAUUAUUAAAAAAAACAACAAAUAUAAAAACUUACUUAUCAUAUGUAAACAUUCCAUGUCUUCACCAAAAAGGUAAACAGGAAAAACUAUUUUUAGAUCUAAAUUCCCAAAUAAAAUUUUAUUACUCAAAACAAUGAAAAACCAUUUCCAAGAAAUACUUUCAAAAAACUGUUUUCUCCAAACAUUCUCAAAUAAUAAACCCCUAUGUUUGAAUUCUCAAGCUUUGAGGUUCCCAAAUGCUGGUCUAGGAACCCAAUUUGAAGAUCCCACAUUAAACCUAGAAAAAUUCCACUUCUGAAAGAAUAUCUUCUUCUAUGACUAACCCUAAUUAGCAAUAAUGUGGAAAGAUAAAGAGUCAAAAGACAUCCCUUUUUAAGGCCAAAAAUCUUUUACAGAAUCACACUAAUAAUCAGCAACAAUCUGCAACAUGGGAAAUCCAAUAAAAAGGCCAAGAAUAUUUUACAGGAUCACAUGUUAAAUCACUACAAUAAUUUUACACAAGCAUCAGCCUUUUACCUCAAACUGAUUAUACUGUUAGCCGAUAAACUAACCGCCCCAGUUAACUCAAAGACCCAAGCCCAGAAUUAUUAUUUCAUGUCGACAAAAAUCAUCUCAUCUGAGGACUGGCAUUAUAGGAGAAAAAUCAGUUUUGAUAAUCUCUUCAACAUCUUACGGGUCAUUGCCAUUUACAUAUCCUUCUGCAACCAGUUUAUCGCCAGAGUCUAUGCCUAUGUUGGAUCUUCUCAUCAUAUGACAUGCCAGGUCCUCCGGUCAUUCUCGGUCCAUUGAGUGCCCAUGGGAGAACUGAUGGCCACCUUCAUCUGCCUCAAGGAAAGGGCCAACAUAGACAUCAGAAAAAAAGGAAAGAAAGGGAAGGGAGGAACUGAAAAAGAUUAGCUGGGAGACGAGUACUUCCAUGCCAACUACUACCAUGCUAAUGGUUGGCAUAUGUCAACAAAGAUACAAAGCAUAUGGCAACCGGAAUUUAGAUUCUACUAGCACAGAAAUAGGAGCAAAGGAUUAUUCAUUUGGUGAAAAUAAUGUCAGAAAUUUGAAGAUAGAAAAUAAUAACCUAUUCGAGCUUCCAGAUGAUAAUAAUAGUAGUACAUGUGUGUGUGUGCUUUUUUUCUUUUUUUCUUUCUUUCUUUUUUUUUUUUUUUAUGGUGGGUGGGGUGUUUAAAAUAGGUUGAUUUUUCUUUCUGUUGCAUUUGAUAUGAGUGCUUCCAGAGCACUAUCAAAUGCCAGAAACUGAUGUGCAGCUCCGUUUUCAGCUAUGCCUCCAUUCUAGUGGAUGCAAUUUGUCAUCCACUGAGACUGGAAAUCAAAUAUAUCCCUUCAAUUUCAAUGGAACUCUAAAUGCCAAACUAUUUGUCACAGCCACAAUGGGGCAAUGCUAGCUUUGAAUAAUCAACUGAAGCAAGAUAAAAGAAAAAGAGGAGAAGAGAUGUGAAUAUUUGUACCGCUUUCGCCAUCAGAAAUAUCUGCAAGCCUCCCAAUUGCAUCAAGUAAUGCUUGUUCAUGCUCCUACAUUACCGUAAACAAUUCAGUUAUGUAACUUGAUGCAGAGUCAAAGGAAACUUCAAAAGGAAAUUGAAUAAGACGGUUCAUUUUCUUACCUUCAGCACUUUCUUUGCUUUGUCAAUCUCAAGAGGGUCCGGAUGAUUUGCAGUAAAGACCCUCUCCACCUGCCAAGAUCACCAGAAAAAUUAAAUAUAUGAAUAUAGUAAGAACAAAUUCAGUAUUAACAUGGAUCAGGCUGCUUUCAUUUACCUCCUUAAUUAGAGUGUCUGUAUGAAGUAUUUGAAUAUCAUCUGGUGCCUUCUUCCCAAUGCCAUUCUGUGAUGGCAGAAAAUCUUUUUUAGACUGCCCCUUUGGGAGCCCUCUACCUCUACCUGCACCCUGAACACUAUCACGACCUACAGCUCUAUUCAUCCCAUGACCUGAUCCAUCAUAACCUCCUCUACGAGAGAUUCCAGGGUCCUCACCAUCCCACUGUAUAUCCUCUGGAGAAAUCUGAAUUGAGAAACAUCGAACCAAUAACAAGUAAAAUUAGAACACUUCGAUUGUGAUGGUUCUGCUGCUCUGAUAAAUUUUUUUGAUAUGCAAAUAGGAUAAUUGUAUUAAUAGAAGUGCCUACAGAAAAAGGUGCAGUCCAUGUGUAUAUGAUCCAUACAAGCUGCACAAAAAACAACAUAUAGAAGAAUCAACCUAGCUAACCAAACCCCAAACUAUCAACAAAAUUCUUUGGAUGGUUGAACCCACCCCUUUAACAGCAAAGACAAUGUCUUAAGAAAAAACACUUUUUGCCACAAAAUUGACCAGCUCCACUGUGUCAAAAGAUCUAUUAUUGAGCUCUGGAAAAAUAACUCAGAAUAAAACAUCCACAUCAUCUUGCACUUUGUACCCUAUAAAAGCGCCUUUCCAACUGAUCAGGACAUAACCAUUGUAGGGGAGCAACCAAGGACACAGCAAACAAAGAGAAUGCUAAUGGCCAUAACUCAGAAAUCCAAUUGCAGUGAAUGAGGAUGCAGCCUACAGACUCAAAAAUCUUGUUUACACUGGCAACACCUGAUUAACCUUUAUUCCAGUAAGCUGGUAGACAGUAAUGAUUCCCCCCCCCCCCCCCCCGCCCCCCCAAGCUGCUCCAGCAAAAAAAAGUCAAUCUUUGAUAGCACCCUGGAUUCCAAAUGAGCUUAGCUGGGCAGAUGAGGGAUUCUCCCUGUGUCACAGAAUAGUAGAAGGAUCUAACUUGAGCCCCACUUGGAAAUUCCAAACCAACUAGUCUGCAAUGACUCUAGAAACAGAAAAAUAACUCAACAGCAGCAACAAUGACUCCACCAAAAUUAACCCCCAAUCUGAAAAAUCCCUUCUAAACCCUGGAUUCCAGCAGAGUCCAUUCCAAUAAUUCAACACCCAAGCCACUUUAUGGACUGCAAGACUAAAAGGAACCAGAAGACAUUCUUUCAAAAGCCCCCCACCACAAGAAGGAUCAUACCAACACUUAACACAAAGACUAUUCUCAAUGGAAGAACUCAUCCCAAAGAAAAAAUGGACCACCCUCCCUCAUUGCUUUCCAUAGGCUCACACCAUAAGCUUCUCUACCCUUUCUAGAGCACCAACACAUACAGAAUUGGAAGGAUAAUUGCUACUCUAUCAGAAAAAUAGUUGGCCCACCUGAAGUAUAUUUUAAAUGGCUCAUCUAAAGAAACAUGUUUGCGGCAACGGAUGCAUAUAAAUACAUACACUUAAUCAAUGUCAUUCAAUUGGUUUUGCAGGUUAAACCAAUAAUCCCUUCCUUUUUGUACAAAUUUUAGAUGCAACAAGUGACAUAUGCUCAGCUCACUCCAAGGCGACGCUAGUUAAAUGUUCAAAUCUGCUAAACUCAGAUGUGUGCAUAGCCCAUAUAGCCUGUUGGUACACAAGCUGACUCUGGCCUAGCUUAGCCUGUUUGCAUUAGACUCCUUGGUAUUCAGACUGGGAUGUGAAUCAGCUUCAAGACCACUCUAUAAAAUGGGCUGAGAUCAGGAUGACAGUUGUGGGCUGCAGUAAGCCUCUAACUUCAGGUUAAACUUGGUCCAGCUCAGCCCUGGACCUGAAUGACAUCCCUCUGCAAUUCCUGCCAUCUAUACAUCGUUCUUGCCAUUACAAGGGUUAUUUGCUGGCUGAGAAAACAAUUGCUACAUGAGGCCCCUCUCCAUGGUGUUGAUUGAUAUCUCUUCUAGCAGUUGCUAAAGCUCUUUGGAAAAUUUUCAUGUUUUACCAAUAAAAUAUACAAUAUUUAUUUUUAAUUUCCAACAUUCAAUUUGACGUAGCAUCCAACCAUAAAUCUGUAUUUUACAACCCUGACUUAUCUAUCCAUAUCAACAUUCAAACUAUAAUUAUAAAUCCAACUCUACCAAAAUAAAAGAUGAUAAUCAAUUCUUGAAAACCAGAUUUAUCAAAUUACAUGAUGACCAAUUGAUUCUGGUAGAAGAUGAUUCAAGAAUUAUAUGAUUCAACCAUAAAACGGCAAGAGGCAUGGGCAAAAGAAAAGGGCUCUCAUAGCUGACUCAAAGUAAGUGAGAUUGUGUUUUCAUAAUAGUUACUAGAGAAAGAAAAUAAAGUGGAGAAUCAAGCAAAAGGUAGAGAAGGUGAGAAACAAGGCUCUUAGUGUAGGAAGAAGUACUGAAGCAAGAAGAACCUAGGAUUUUGAAGAGGCAUUUUAGGAGUACAUCAAAGAAUAAGCAGUUAUGAGAAAUAAAUUUGUCAAAACUCACAAAACAAGUUGAUUAACUAAUCUUAGUAAUGGGAAGUUAAUCUUAGAAAUGAUCAUGCCUCAAAAAGGAAAACAAAAUCUAAAUGAUCAUAGAAGUGGAAUUCUGGACUCCAAGUAAUAUAUUUUCCUCUUUAAAAUUUACAGUGUAUGAUCUUUCACAAGAAGUGUGAACUAAUAUAUAGCAAUCAUGAAUUUGGUAGCUCUGAAGUUCAUCCUUGGAAAAUGCAGGAGCAUAUAACUUCCUGCUUCAAAAGUAUGCUUCUGCAGAAGUACUGUUCAAACCAACUAUAAAAGGAUCCGCCAUCUAGGGGUUAUGUUUGCCUAAAAAAUUGCCCACAUGCAGUAGAUAUGGAAAGUAAGAAAGAAUAUCUUAGAAACCACAAAGAGAGAUUCAGAAUUACCUCUGAAAGAUUAACCCAUUCCCAUGUCUCAUUUGCUGAACCCAUAUCGUAUACCAGAGCAUGCCGUCCCUGACAUGGAAGGAUUUGAAGGAAAAAAAAAAAAAAGUAAUAUCAGCUGCCAAACCUGCAGGAUACUGAAUCCCUUCAUAUCUGAGAAGGUAUACCUCAACUGGAUUGUAAUCAGUUAUAACAGCUUCAUAAAAGUUGUUAUCAUCAGGCCACCUGGUCCUCACUUUCCUCCCAAUCAAUGGAUCAAAUGUUGCUGCUUCAGCAGGCUCAUUCACUCCCCGAUUAGCAACUUGACCUCUUCCAGUUGGACCUGAGGAAGCAUACUGCAUGGACUUCAUUGAAGAUGCCCCAGGCAAUACCUGACCCAGUUAAAUAAAUGGAACAGAAACAAAACAUAAAAAGAUAUUCAGACAUAAAUUUUAGUUACUGAGCAUAAUACUGGACUUAACAUUUAAAAUAAAAAAUACAAUGGCAUUCAAUGACCUUGUGUGAACCUCAGACUUUAAAACUUACAGAUUUAUGCUUCUUUCCCUUGGGUCCUAAAAUAGGUCCUCGUUUUGCAGCUGAUGAAGAUGGCUGGUUGGAUGCAGCUAUUGCUUGUGGGUGAAAAGAUUGAGAUGGCCCACCAAAGGAUUGAGAAGGUAUUGACUGGGUUAUUUUCUGUUUCUUGCGAGAAGCUGAGACGGUGGGACUAGGUAUGGGAUCAUGCACAGCUUGACCAGUAGUGAGCAUGCCAGGUUGGAGCCCGCCUGCCUGUCUCCACUCCCUAGUGGGAUCAUUCAAUAUAUAUCCAUUAACAAAUAAAGGACAACAAGGCUUACUGAAACCUAAGAAACAGAUUUCCCUCAUAAGAGCAAAAAAUUUGGAAUAAAACACUAAAAUACCUUAUCCUACGGAUGACAUCAUCUGCAUUAACCCUGCCAAGAAGCUCUCUGUGUUCCUCAUUUGAUAAUCUUAACUCUUUUCUAAGUUCUGUUAUUAAACUUUCCUUCUCCUGAAGAAAAAACAUUGCAUUUAGCAGUUACUAAACCUGGUAAAAAAAAUUCCUUAGAAUAUUAGGUUCAUGCAAACAAAAUGACAGAAAAGUACCCAAGUAAUGGCAUCAGCUUGAGCUUUGAAGGCUCUUAAAACUGAACUAUAUGCUUCUUGCUCUAGUUGGUGAAUUUGGGUCUCCAUAUCAGUUUCACCAUACAUUCUAGAGUAUGGGAUGGAACCUACAACAGCGGAUCUUCCAUUCCCAGCGACACGCCCUCCUCUGGGGAUUCUAUUUUGAUGUGGUGGAGGAAGAUCAUCAUCAGUUCCUGCAAUUAUUUUAGAAUGGGACAUGUGAAUAGAUCCAUGAGAUGUGGGUGGUAAAUCAAUCAGAACUUCAAUAUGAGAUAGAAAAGAGAGCAAAACUGAUUGGUUAAUCUGGUUAAAUGAUUGAAACGGCAAAGUCCAACAUACUCACAGAUGGAGACAACUUAUGUCAGUUGACUCUUUAAGUGUAUGUUUGUUGUCUCUUUCAAUUGGUUGACAGUCAGUAUUUUUAUCUCCAACAAAUUUGGGAGUCAUUUGUCAAAAAAAUACCUUAACUAUGUUGUGUCAGUUACUCCUUAAAGCAUACAAUGAAAAGAUUCAGUAUAUUCCUGUUUGCACUGAGGCCACAUUUAUUAGAUUGCAAAUUCUUAUAAAUGCAUUUAUAAGCUUUGGAGGAUCCGUCAUCCAGUACAGAAAGGAAAUCUUCCCGUGCAUCCAAAAUUUUGAAUAAGAUUUUAAUUUUGGAGUUACAAAAUUGGUCAACAUGCAACCAACAAGGGUUGUGGGCCCAAAAAAACAGCGUUCAAAGCACAUGUAUAGACUGGCACAUGAGACAUGGAAACAAAAAACCUGAAAAGCGAAUGCCUAUGUAGGAAUGAAACACUCUCUGAUACAAAGUUUGCCAACAACUAAAUCAUUAUGUUUUCCAAGCAAAAUACCCAUGCUCUGAUCGAGGAGCUAGACAGCCAGAUAGUGUUCUAUCAUAAAAUCAAACAUUCUCCGAAAACUUCUACUGGGUUUUCUUAUUCCCAACGUUGUGAAAUCCCCUAAACAAACUUCAGAUCCUUACUACUUCAUUUACCAUAACAUUCAGCAACAUAAUUUCAUCUCUCUCUUUCUGUAGCAUCACAGAGACGCCAUAUUUAACUGUAAUUUCAUCCAUGGCUGAGAAAAAAACUUGAAUACCUGCAACGCACAAAACCUCCCAAAUUGCAAAAAACAGAAGAACACAAAAAACCAAACUUUUCGAGUUCUUUAAGCCCUUUCCCUCUUUCUGCACAAGAACGAUUACAAUUUACCCCAAACACCAAAGUUCACGCGAAAAAACCGCCAAUAUCUUAUACAUGGAGAUUCAAAGAGCCAAAGUAAAGCUAAACACACAACCCAGACCACGAAAACCGCACUAAACCCUAAUUUCACCCCUCCAAGCUGCCAAGCGUCAAUAACUGCUUCGAGCAACACAAACCCCUCCAAGAACGCGAAUGCGGACCCCAAAUUUAACAAAAAACUAACCCUAAUUCAUCAAAACAGCACUACAAAAACCCUAAAAUUCACCAGAAAACGCAAUAAAGAUUGGAUCUUUCAGAGCAAACUCACCACUGCUAUCGAAAGGCUCGUAGUCCAUAGCCAGCUUGUACCCCAAAAAUCCAACAAACCCUAAUUUCCCACGCCUCAAAACCCAGACCAGAGACCAGAUUGCUCAGACAGAUUUCGCCUCAAAUCGCCCCCAAAACUACACGGAACGAUACCGUUUCGCCUGGAUUCUUCAGCGGCUCGUGUCCCGGGCGCUAUGUAGGAGAAAUCGACGGCGAUUGCGACGCUCGGACGAGAAAUUAGUGUGCUACAAACACCGGAAAGUUUCUCUUUUGAGUUCGAGUGACUGUCUAUGCAGCAAAGCCUGGAGAGGGAAUGAGAGAGAAAAAAACACGGACUUGAAACGUGUUUUAUAUCGCCUGCCUUUUGUAAUUAAUAGUUUUUUUAUGUCCGCCUCCAUAUCGCAUUAAUGGAAAUUUGAAAGAAAAAAAUGGAAAUAAUGAUGCCAUAUUUAGUAAUAAAAAACUUAGUCUUAUUUUUGGAAACUUUCCCAAAGAGAAUUUCGUGAGUUAAUUUCCACGGAAUAAAAUAAUAAAAUUAUUUUUUAAAGAGUAUGGACCGAUAAAAUGAUCUCAUUUAUGUUAAUAAUAUGUCACCAUGUGUAUAUUUAAGGAAUUGAAUAGAGAAAUAUAUUAAUAACUACAUUGUUAAGUGGUCUUUUUUUCUCUUCGAUCUAUCAAUUCAAAAUAAGGUUAGUAACAUUUUAACCAACAUGUUAAUCGACUUGAAUGACCUCCAACUCUAAUGCAGGGCUAAGGCAAGAGGGUUUUAGAGGUUAGGGCUAUGGUUUAAGGAAAGAUUCGGGCUUUUACAUAAAUGGGUCAAGUGUCAGGUGUCUAGUUUAUGCUCUUACAAAUAUUUAGCCAAUGUUGACACUCCUAAAAGGUGCCAAGCUUGGCCGUUCCCACAAAAAAAGGAUAAAAAAAAAAAAACCUCUUUUGGCUUUCUUAAUUAUGGUUCAUAUGUAUAUUAUGUGUUUUUAAAAAUAUCAUAUUAAAAGAUGUCAUUGUUGAUAAUUUUGAUGGUAGUGACAAGAUCUUCAGAUUUGAAUUAUGCUAUAUAUUUGAUAGUAGCUAAAUCAAGCUCACCGUUAGGGUGUACUAAGCUCAAUAUUCGAAUUAUAUCAUAUAUUCAAUUGUAGGCAAAUCAAACUCACCAUCAAGGUGCACUAAGCUCAAUUAAGCUUCAUGAAUCUUACUAACAACUCAAUCAAAUAUUAAGCAUUAAGAUUUGUUAUACAACCAAGUACCCCUAAGAGAAGUAUUGGUGAUACUCAAUCUAUUGUUUCCAAGCCCAAACAACCUCUCUCACUAAUGAUGUUAGUCAAGGAUUUUACCUCAUAAAUUUUGAUGAUUACAAAAGAAUGAAUAAUGGUUUAAUCAUAUUUUUUAAGUUUCUUGAGUAUGUUUUAAAGCUAAAAAUUUUUCUCUUUCGAAGAUCAAAAGUGCAAACCAAGGAUGUAAGAGCAAAACAUGCACCAAAAAGGCUUAAAGUUAACUUUUUAUUCUAAGUUUUCAUGGAAUGUGAGGUUGAGGCAUAUUAAGGUUUUUUUUGCAUACCUUUCAACGAUACCUUGCCUUACAAUUUUUUAAAAUUCUUAUCCAAUCAAUCUUUUAUAAAUUACCUUAUAAACAUGUUUUAAAUUGGAUGAAAACCAACCCCACAUCAAUGUUUAUUAAAGCUUAUUAGUUUUCAAAAAUUAUAUUGAGAUUUAAUCUAGCUAGACCUUUGAACAUUUAUGACUCAAACGAUUGAACAAACUUAUAUUAAUUUUUGAAGUCAAGGGUGAUUGAUUGACAAUCUUUAAUUGAGUAAUGUGUAAUGGGGUUGGAUAACAGUGGCUACUGGUUGCUCAAUUGGCUAAGGGAGGCCUCAGUUGGUAUUGAAAUCGGUUGACUUGCAUCAUCCAACAGUUAAUUGUUAAAGUGUAAUGGUUAAUUAUGUGGUUCACCACCUAAUCAAUUGGUUGAAUUGUAACACUUUAUUUUAAGUUAGUGGUUGUAAUCUUGAGAAAAAUUCAUUCUUAUACUUCAACAAAAGAAGAUUUGGUAAGUGUAGGAGAAUAACUAUAAAAGCUUGUGAAUGUCUAUUGGAACCUUAAAUUUGAGUAUAAGAAGAAUUUGAACACUUUAGUUGAGAAAUCCUUGAUUUAGUGGAAAUGCCUUAGUUAAGAGGAAGUAAAAGAGAUAAGAUGUAGAUAAUUAUUGAACCACUAUAAAAGUUCUGUGUAAAAUUGAGGUAUUAACACUUUUGAUUUUAAAGAGAUUGUCAUGACUCAUAGAGAAUCUAUGAAGAAACUAAUAAAUUCAAGGGUCAUUCAACCCAUAUUACAAGCAAAAUUAGGAAAUAUUAAAGAUUAUAGUCAAACAUUAGAUCGAGUUGAUAUAUUAUAUUAUUUAUCAGAACUCUUUCAUUCAAAUAAGAAAUGUAACAUUUUGCCAUAACUCUCUCACCUACGAAGUUUAUGCAACGAGACUUAGGCCUAGAGAUUCAAUCGGAUGGUGAGCCCAAUAGCACUCUCAUCAAAGUAGAAAGAGUCCAUAUGUUUUGAACAAUGGUAACCAAGGAAGGUUUGGAGGAUUACCCAGCCUUCCCCUUAGAUAAACAGGUUAGUGAAAGGUCAUGGAGGAAUAAUAGCAUGAGGCUAGGCAAAGGAAGACUAUACAUAUAUUUAGUAACAUGUUUAAAAAUGAUUUUCAAUUUUUUACAAAAUCAAAACUCUAUUUAAGAAUGCAAAUAUGAACAAUAGUUUUCUCAAUUUACUCUCUUUGAAGGUAAUAUGUAUUUGUGUAUGAUGCAAACGUUAAUUCUAUUUUUUUUUUAAAACACUUCACAAAAACAACUUCUUAUUUGUUUGAGUCUUUAGAAAACUUUUAGACUAUAUAUUGGAACUUUAGAAUAGAGAAUGUGAUGGGAAAUCAAUUCAUUAAGGUGUUUGGACUCAAAAAUUUAUUCUCAUAGAAAUCAAAUUCUAUUCUAAUUAAUGUUUUGAUUUGUCCUUUUUAUAUGAUCGUAUGAUUCAUGAAGGACAACAUGAAUGAAUAGCUUCCCUUUUUGUUAAACCGAAAUAAGACUAAUCAUACCCUUACUUGAGUGUACCCAUAUUAGUGGAUGUAGGUAUGAUUGGUCGAACACCAUUAAAAUCCUCAUAUACCUUUAUGUGAAUUGUUCUAUUUUUGUGUCAUUGAAGUAACAUUGUUUACAUUAAAACUUCCACUAACAUAACAAAUUAUGUGUUAAAUGUGGAUGGACUUAGAAACAAAAUGAUCAAUGUGAAUACUGGCAGGCAAGUGGGGUGAUUUGUAAAGCCUUUUUCAUCAGAAAACUUAUCUCACUAUAUGGUAUGCAAGUCAAAGGGGUUCAAUCAGGGUCUUAUUUGGAUUCUGUUGCUGUCCAGCAUCUUCUUCAGCUGCUUCCCUUGUUCUUCAAUCUGCAUCUGUAAAUUUCUUUGAAUCUGAUUCCAAGAAAGAGGAAUUAACUGUUAAGGUAUAUAUAUGCAGGAGGCAAUUUGGGUUGAGUAGCAAAGGAAACAACCCCAAACCUCUAAUUGUUCAUGGAGACGCGUCUGGACUUCUAGUUGCAGUUGCAGUGCUUCUGCUACCCGCAAGCCUCUGCCAGAAGAAAAACACCCAAAGAGAUUAGAGAGAGCAUGACUAGUGAGUAGUGAUAUGAGAAGUUGGCGCUUAGAGAGAGCAUGGGUAGUCUGUCAUAUCUUACGUUUCGGGGUCAAACUUUGUUAUGAAAUCUGCACAAGUUCCCUUCUCAGAUUUUUCUGCAUUUAGAAUAGAUUAUUGUUGAAAAGUAUCAUAGACAUUGUUUCUAAAUUAAUUGUUCAACAUGGUACAUAUCAAAACUGGGUUAUUCAAACAUGUAUCGAAACUAGGCUAGCUUAGUAAAAGGUCAUUAGUUUAGAAGUCAUAUAUUUAUUUUCUUAAUUUAUUGAGUUCAUGUAUAAAUCCAAUAAAAGUUGUUAAUGAUUCAUCUAUUAACAGACCCAUCUCUUAUGUCCAAUAAUAAUCAAUGGUGAUUUCAAAGAACAUUGGAUGGAUAGAAGAUAUUGAAUCACUAUGCAUCGGAAUUUUUAAUAAGUAAGCUAAUAGUAAAUGUUAGGAGUUUAAAAAUGUUGAUUUGGUUUAGAUUUUUGGAGGAAAUAUUUGCUGAAUUAACUUAGUUGGUUCACGUUCUAGCAAAAAAGACGGUACUAUAUGAUGAAGAGAUGCAAAAAAGUCCAUUUGAUAAAACCAACAUAAUUGGUUUAUGCUUGAAGCAAAACUAGUCAAACCAACCUUCUAGCAAUGAAAAAUUCAAAUCAAAAGCUUGCUUAAGAUCCAUUUAUUUGGCUUUGAUUUGCUUUAAAUGAUUGGUUGGAUAUAAGCUAUUUUAGACCUUAGGCCCAUUUGAUUUUUAAAAGUUAUUUAAAAUUUUGGGAAGAAUUACUUAUCAAUUAAUCACUUCAAGCAAUUCUCCUAUAAUCAUUUCAAGUGAUGUGCAAGAUUUUUAAAAGUGAGUUUUCAAAAGUUUGUCAAAUGUCCAAUUCUUGUAAAAAAAAAGCACUUUCAAAACAUUAGGAAAUGCUUUUAACUUUCUCAAAAUCAUUCAAAAUGGGCUUUUAAUGUUCGAAUAUAAACAAAAAAAUAAAAUAGAAGUGCGUGAUAGUGCUUUCUAUAACAUAAUAUAUAGCUAUAAAGUGAUUUUUUUUUUUUUUUUCUAAAGAAUCACCUACAAUGGUUAUGAAUAAUCUCAAAUGUUCACUUAAAUUUUUGAAAGCUUGAUGAACACUUAAUUUCUAUACGAAAACUCUUUUAACCAUCUCAAAUUGACUGUCAAAUGACUCUCAAAUAAGUUCCAAGUUGGUUUCCAUAAUUCCCAUACCAAGCUUAGCUCCAUGGUUAUCAAAAACCAAACCAAUUUAGUCCAUUUCAGUGGGGUUGGAUUGGUUUUAUUGGUUUUCAAUUUCCAUGAGAAUUCCUACUAGCAGAAGCCCACAUGUUAAUGUUCUUGCCUUAGCAUUCAUACAUACCUUCUGUUGAUCCUGGUAGGUGCCUUGCAAUACGAUACUUCUGAAAAGCAAAAAUGGAAGAACUCUCAUUUCCAGACCCAGAAAAAAAAUGAGGAGAAACAGUAAGCCAAACAUUCUGAAUUGAGGAUGAACAUUGAAACCUGCAAGUGACUUUUGAUUUGGAAGAUGGUCAGUCCCUCAGAGCCCAUCAGCCUAAGGAUUCCCUUUGGAGUUGCCUCUGCAUUCAACCAUCAAAUUAGCAUUGAAUCAGUAAGUUCUUGUGAACUGCAAACACUACAUACGAUCACCAUUGCUGUAUGCUCACUUGCAGCUCCCCCUAGACGAUUUACAGACUCAACAAAUCGCUUGUGAAGAUCAUGAGUCCAUCUAAUCCGCGACUUGUUUGAGGCUGCUGCAGCCGGUGAAGAAGAAUUGCCUGAAGCAACAGAGUAAGUACUAUGAGAAGGAUUUGCAGACUGCCUCCUUAGUUGAAAUCUAGGGCUGGGUUCCACAAGCUGAUAGGGAAUCUGUAGAGUACUCCAUUGAAUGAAGAAGAAGUCAUGGAAUCAGUAAUCAGCACACAGAAAUAAAAUAACCAUAAGCAGUAGCCGAGAACUCACUCUUUGAUUCUGAUUUUCCCGGAGAAUUCUGUAGGGGUGCUCAUCUUCAACCUCAGACUUGAUGAACAAGAUGUCACAAACCGGUGAAUUUCGGUAUGGGGUUCCGAAGGACUUCUCAAGACAGCUGGGGAUGUUCUGAGUAUCCCUUGAUUGAGAACUUGCCGGAUCAAGGUUAGAGGAUGGAUAUGAUAGGGUUUCUGAAUCAACAGGAUAGGAAUCACAUUCUGGAAACCCCAUAUAGACUUCAGUUGCAUAGAAGGCUGAAGCUGCUGGAGAACCGAAAUGGCCAGCAAUGGUGGUGGACAUAUUAGCUGUAUUCCCCAAGUUGAUCAUCUGCUUGGAGGAGCCUCCCUCCGAGGCCGGAAACUGAUCAGGCUGGAAACAAAGUUCCAUCUUCCAUGGCUGCCGGGAAAAAGUACUACCUUUUCCAGAAUAACAGUUGACUGAUCCAGUUUUCUGUUUUUGGACAUCAAUCUUCUGAGUAUUCAUUAUGGGCAAUCAACAAGAAAUGCAAGAAAAAAAAAAAAAGAACUUUUCGUUUUGAUUGACUACUUCUCAAACUGACUGAACCAUUAUGUGAAUAUAUAAAGGAUGAAGAAGAUAAACAAUUCACAAUGAAUAUGGACUCUUAUAGGGACUAGGGACGGAUUCACUAUGAAUAUGGACUGGGGGAGUCUUCUCUCUGCAAUUCCCGUGCCCUAAAUUCAUUUUGUAUGAACCCAUGCUAGCCUUUUCAAAUACUUGAUGAAGGGUGGAUUAGUUGAUAUAGAGUCUAACAAUGAUCAUAUGAUAAACCUAAGGGAGGAAUUUAUUAAUAUAAAAGCUUUCCAUGUAAGUAAACAAAUCAAUGAAGUUGAUCCCAUCUAUAAGGAUCAUAUAUUAUUGGAAUAGGUCCUAAGAAAGGGUUAGUUAGCAUGCUAAUGUUGAUUAAUGUAUAGCUAAGGCACAGUUUUUUGAGGUCAACAAGGAUUCGAUACUUACAAAAAGCCUUCACAUUUUGUUUAUUGAGGGGCAUUAAACAAAGAUGAAAUGAUUCUUAGAUGACAAAGACAACUCUUGUACCAAGGCAAGCAUGUUAUCUUUCAAUAAACAAAGAGGAAUUCUUUUGGCUCCUUCUGUGGGCUUUACCAUGCAAACUGACCCUUGGGUGUUUGAAGGGACCAUGCAAAUAGGUUUGCCCUUAAUGGAUAAUUUGUCCUUCAACUUGUUGAUCAUUUUGUACGAUUUGUACGUCCUUCAACUUGCCGAUCAUUGUGUACGAUUUGCAAGAAUAUAUAGAUGGAUAUUAAGAGUUAUGAUUUUAUGAACCAUGGAGUUGAAUUAGAAACGCAGACUUAAAUCCUACUUCAAAUAAUAGAUAAUAAAAAAUAAACCUUGAAAGAUUUACUUUGGAUGCAUUUUUUAUUUUUUGUUUUUAAAAUAAAAAUAAACUCCAUAACAUUUAGUGUCUCUUUGGAUGCAUGGCAUAUUUUUUGUUUUUAGAAUUGAAAACUUUUAUAUAAAAGUAGAACAUAUUAUACAAAAAAGUAUAAAUUUAUAUUAUGAUUUAAAAAAAUUUUAAAUUUGAGAUAGUGAAAAUUUUUAUAAUAUCUCAAAAUUUUAAAUCAUUUUCAAAACCAUUAAUUUUUUUCACGUCUUUCAGAGUUUUUAUAUCUUAUAUAAAAAUUACUACUAUUUUAAAUUUAAAAACAAAAAAAUAGAAAAUAUAUUCAAAUAAACACUUUUUUUUUUUCAAAAAUUAAUGUAAGGGAAAAUCAUUUCAACACACUAUUAUUGGAAAGUGUUUUAAAUUUCUAUUAAAUGAGAAAAAUUGUUGGGAUGUCUCUUUCUAUAUAUAUACUUAUAUGUUUAUAAGUGAUGUGAGAUAAAAAGUUAUCAAAUGGAGAUGAACAUGUAAUGAUUAUAUCUAAUUUAUUUAUUUUUUAUUUGUUAUAAUUUUUUUUAUAGUUUCUAUCAUUUAUCUACAUAGGAUAUGAUUGACCAAACCAUAUUAAAACUUUAUGGACAUUUGUAUAGAUGAUUCCUUUUCUUGAUGUUAUUACGCCAAUAAUCGAGCAAACUUCUUCCUUUUGCAAUUAUUUGGAAGAUGACUUGGACCAUCACAACAUGUUGACUCAGAAAGCUAUAACUUGUCUUCAUUAAUUUGCAUUUUGUCAAUGGAGAAGGACACUCUAUUCUCCAACUCCCUUUGUAAAUGGGGUUUGGUAGAAUCACUUAGGCAACUGUCAAACAUAAUAUGCUCACACAUUCGUGUGUAUGAAAUUGUCUCCCACUCUGAUGGGCACUGCACAAGUGGGACAUAUGCAUAAUUGAGGUGUGAAUGUGGAUAUUGUAGACAUUCCAAAUUGAAAAAGGAGAUUGAUGCCAUAAGAGGACUGUUUUGAUGCCAAUUUGCAGUUUCCAUAUUUCCCUUUUUAGGAAUAUUGCCCCAUCACAACAUCUGCUACGAGCUUUUACAAAAGUCCGUCCACUUGGAAGCCAACAUUUAUUAAUCCAAUUUUUUACUUUUGAUCACAUCCUAAUCAGAAUUUUGUUUUUCCCUCAUACAUAUAUGCAAUACUGUAUAUAUGCACUUGGGCAGUCUAAGUAGCUCCAUUGAGUCCAACUGCUCCCCUACUUCCCCUUCUAAAAGUCAAAAUAAUAAUAAUAAUAAUAAAAAAAGAAAAAGAAAAAGAAAGGAAUAAAUUAAAGAAAUGAAAGCUCUAUUUGACACCAUGUCUGGCACAUGGGAAAGUGAGGAGUCCUUUCCUUCUUUCCUCCUUUCCUCGAGAUCCUAAAUAUAUAUUUGAUAGUAAUUUGAAUUCACUAAUUGCAUAUUAUAGAAAAACAUCAGUCCUUUAACAGAGAUUAAUUAAAUUAAUUGAUCAAUCAUCUUUUAAAUGAUCAUGUGGACAAAAACUUAGGGAUCAUGUGGGUUAAAUCAAGGGUCACGAUCAUGUGGACUAAAUUAAAUAUGUUUACAUAGUUAAAAGGAACUCUCAUAUAUUGGGUGGUGGUUAAUGAUCGACCUUGAUAUCAUUUGUUACUAUUCUCUUCCUCUCAUAUAAAUAUUGUCUAUUCCGAACUUUCAUGAUUUUAAAACAUGUUUAUAUAAUUAAAAUGAAUUAUAUGUAAAUGGUACGAGAAACUUUUAUUAAAAGAGUAUUGACAAGUCUAUUAAUAAAACUCAUUUGAAGAAUUAAUGAAUUAUCACACAAGACAAGAAAACUUGUAUAAAUUUAUUUUUAUACAAAUGAUAAAAAAGGCAAUAAUUCAAGAUGAACCGACAAAAAUUCCUAAAGGGCGUGGGGGCACAAAAACUUCAACUACACCCUCCAGCGUCAGUAUAACCUUCUUCAUUGCUGGCCUUAGAGCUGGAUCCUCUUGAAUACACCAAAUUGCCACCAUCACUAGCCUCUCCAGCCUCUCCAGCCUCUUUAUAUCAUUCAUAAUUAAGUUUCCACCAGCUUGCCUCCUCAUCAUCUUCUACCAGUUUGCCAAUUUCCUUUGCACCAACCAUUCAUAAGCUCCAUCCACUAGUGCACCCUCUUCGUCUUCCUUUGCAACCGAGGAUUUCUAGCGACAUUCCACCAAAGUUGUAAACAUCAACUUUAGCUGUGAUUGUUCCUUUCCUGAACCAUUUCGAGGCGAAGUAGCAUAUGGUCCCUCUUAUGCCACCUCCUCCUAAGAGUAGUUUAAGUUUGAUCAGCAAACAACAGCUUUGCUUGUUCAAAAUCUGAAAUCCUAGGCGUGAAAUGCCGGUCUAGGAGAAUGUUUCGGGGCUUUAUAUCACAAUGGAUGAUCUGGGUGCUGCACUCUUUUUGAAAGUGCAUUAGCCUUAUUACAACCCCAAAAGUGAGUGAAGAGACAUUGCUCAUGUAUUCGUGUACCAGAAGCCGACUAAAUUGGUCAAUCUCCUCUGCUUGAUAUCUCCUUGAAGCCAUGGGUGGCUGCUUCAAACUCUGUGUAUGAAUAAUGUGUCACAGUAGUAGUUCCCAAUAUGCUUGAAACAAACUGGAGACUGAUCAGUUUCUUUCUGUAUCAAAAGACAGAAUCCACAGCUAUAUGUCACGAACUGUUUGAUUGGUGUCUGUGACCAUAGCGAAGGUGCCGAUCAAGACUAGUAUGUUGGCUGGUUUGAGCAUAAUGAAAUGGAAAUUGCUCCAAGGAAAGGGUGUGUACGUGAUGUUGGAAGCUUCUUUAGAGUUAGCCGACCCGGUUAAUUUUGGGGAGCUUGUUUCUAGACUUGACAAUGAAGAAGAGAUUGACCACUCCUACACAAACUGGUUGGGAGCUGGAGUCGUUCCCUGAUGAGUCCAUGACAGGACGAAACCAAUCAGCAUAGUGAAAUUGAAAUGCAUGACAUACAGACCGAGUCCCUUGAUUCUUGCCCAAUGUGGUCGCCACACAGACGUGCCACCACGUUGGAAAUCUAGGCCUGUGACAUAUAGCUAACCAAAAAAAGAGAUAGAAGAACACUGAGCUGCCAAGGAGCAGUGGCCUAACAUGGAUCAAGGCAGACUUAUCAACAGCCUGUCCAAUCUGAAGUUCAUAAUUGGAGAAUGGCCAGUCUGUGUUGUUUAAUGCUAUGAACUCUACCGCAUUCUUGUCUGCUUCCCCUUCAUCUGCUUGGCAACUAGGCAAUGGAAAAUUUGGUCUUUAGAAUCUGGAGCCAAGAAAGACUACCUUUACAGGCACUCACAUCUGAACAACCCCCUUUCCUCAUCAAACAAUACAAUAGCUGUUAAAUCCACUCGCAGCUACAUUGCAAUUUUCAUCAGUAAUUGCCUGCAGAACAGACCAAGAAGAAGUAUUAAUGCAGUCCCAGUGGUUUGCAGUGUUCUUUUUCGAGUGCUUAUAGAAUCAAAGUCAAGUCUUGUCCUGUGGUAAUAGUCACUCCCAAAGUCUGUCUUCUGAUAUGAGGUUAACUUAUUUGGCAAGAUGGUAUCAGUGGGAUUCUUGAAGCUCUCCCAGGCAUAAAUAAGUAAAGCUAUAUUUUAAAAAAAAGAUUGGUUACCGAUCAGAAAAAACCUAGUAGAAUUAGCAUAGAAUAUGUAAAAACUGGAAAAUACCAUGUUAAUUUGGGCAGGUCAUCAAAACAUGUGGUUUUGGCCUCUUAAAUAUUCAAUCACAAGUACAUUCUAUAUGAUUUUAAGCUACUAGAGAAGUAGGAAAAAGAAAAUUAUGAGAAUGUCAACCAGUGGAAAAUAAUUUCCUCAAAUAACUUCUCUCAAUAUCCUUUUCCUUUGUGACAAUAUUAAAGACCGUAGGGUUACAAGUUAAUUUUCAUCUCCGGACUCCAUGUGAACGUACUUGAGUCUGAUUAUAACUCGACCCAACCGCGAGAGGUAGGCUAUUGGGUCAGUAUUUGGAUUGAGCCAUCUCCCACAAAUGAGGAAGAUGUUAGGCACAUGUGGCCCAUCAUUAAAAAAUUUAAAUUGAACUUCCCACUAACAAUUAUUUUCUCUGAUAUUGUGUGUAUAUGUUGAAGGAGGAGAUAACCAUCCAUCCAACUCUUUUUUCUCUUCUUUGAUAAGAAUAGACCAGAGUAAAAAAAUAUACAAGCAUUGGAGGGAUAAGGGUUCUAUAUAUUGCAUUUCGUGGAUUAUUUUCUAACCAAGGCUUUCGCUGAAUUUAACUACUAUGGUUGGAGGUAUGAUGUAUAGCUUAAGUUUUUAUAAUUCACUGUCUAGAAUGGAUGAACAUUACAAGUCUCGCUUGGUCUCUCCUCGAACGAACUCUAUGGGCUGGCCUAGGGCAUGAAUUUCCGGGUUUUCCACCUUUCAAUGAGUUCAACUUCUUGUCGUUUUGGGCAGAAUGCUGCAUGGAAGAACUUCAUAGAACAAAACCCAGUAUAUAUAAAUAAAGAAAAUGAUUUUCUUAUUCUAUCAGUUUUCUUGUGCUCUUAAACAACAAUGAGCAUAAGCUCUUUUCCCGAUUCGCUUCUCUUCAGUUUAUUUAGAAAUCGCAGUGUUAGAUUAUCAGUUAUAAAUUCGAUGAUGGAGAUGUAUAUAGACUUAGAAAUUAACAAAAUGAUCGACGUACAAUACUGGGAGGCAAAUGGGGUGAUUUCUAAGUCCUUUUACAUCAGAACUUAUCUUACUAUAUGGUAUGCAAGUCAGGGGGGUUCAGGGAGUUCAAUCAGGGUCUUAUUUGGUCUCUGUUGCUGUCCAGCAUCUUCUUCAGCUGCUUUCCUUGUUCUUCAAUCUGCAGCUGUAAAUUUCUUUGGAUCUGAUGCCAAGAAAGAGGAAUUAAAUGUCAAGGUAUAUAUGAAAGUGGCAAUUUGUGUUGAGUAGCAAAGGAAACAACCCCAAACCUCUAAUUGUUCAUGGAGAUGCCUCUGGACCUCUAGUUGCAAUCGCAGUCCUUCUGCUAUCCGCAAGCCUCUGCCAGAAGAAAACACCCAAAGAGAUUAGCUUUUAAUAUUGCUUUGCGUUGGUCACCAAAAAUCUAUUAAUAUCUUGUCGAAAUCAUUGAGUAAUCUGUCAUAUGAAAAGUUGGCGCUUAGAGAGAACAUGUGUAAUCUGAUAUAUCUUACGUUUCUGGAUCGAACUUUGUUAUGACAUCUGCACAAGUUCUCUUCUCGGAAUUUUCUGCGUUUGGAAUAGAUCAUUGUUAGAGAGUAUGAUAUACGUUGUGUUUUAUAUCCUAAGAUGUUUUAUUAAAAUUAAUUAUCCAAAGACAUAUCAAAACUAGGUUGUCUAACAUAGUAUAAUUAGAGCUAGGUUUAUUUAGUAGGAGCAAGAUAAUGGGUUUGAACAUCAUCAUAUGCUUAUUUUUCUAAUUUGUUGAGUCCUUUACAAAUCUAAUUGAAGUUAUUGGUGAUUUGUUUACUAACGGGUUGAUAGAUAUAUGUUUUAACAAAAAAGAUGGUAGUAAAUAGAAGUAUAAAAAGUUUUGGUUUGAUGGGUUUUUGAAGGAAUACAAUGGUAAUUGUAUGCUUGAAGCCAAACUAAACCAAGCUUCUAGUGAUGGAAAAUUCGAAUCAAACUAAGCUUGCUUAAAGACAACUUUGAUUUGGCUGAGUUUAGAUGAUUGAUUUGAUACAAACUAUUUUAGACCUUAGGCCCAUUUAGUUUUUAGUAGUUAUUUAGAACUGUAUUUGGCAUGAAGUCCAACAUACAUUUAAAAACUUUAGUCUGAAUUAUAAUGGAUACAUCUAAAAAUUAAUUUGACCAGCUAUAACCUAAUGAUAAUAAAUCACUUUAAUCGGUCCAUAAAUAUAUAUGCAGUAAUGCAUAUAAAAAAAUUCAUUCAACAUCAAAUAAUUAUAAAUCAUAAAGAAAAAAGAAGUUUUAGAACUUGAUUUGGUUUGAUAAAAAAAAACCAAAUAACUGAUUAAGAGUUAAUUUGAGAGUGAUUUUAAUUCAAGAAGUUUUAGUUUGUAGCCUUUUAUUGACAAAUUUUUUUAAAGGAAAAUCGCUUUGAACUCAUUUGGAAGUCAUUUUGAUUAAAAUGCCAUCUAUAGUGCUUUUGUUUAAUAACACUUUCAUUUAAAAUAUUUUUAAAAAGAAUCACUAAGUAUUUGAAUAUAAACUAAGAAACAAAAGCUUUAAUAGCAUUGUAUAAUGUAUUGUAUUGUGUAACAUAUCAUGCAUCAAAAAUGUUAUUUUGGAAAUUAUUACUUAUCAAAUCACUUCAAGUGAUUCUCCCAAAAUUGAUUUUCAAAAGUUCGUCAAAUGCCUAGCUAACUUUUGUAAGAAAGCUUUUUCUAACAUUAGGAAUUGUUCUUAACCCCUCUCACAAAUAGGUUUUUAGUAUUCAAGUAUAAACAAAAAACAAAUGUGUUUUUGGUUAGGCCUUAUAGAGUUCUAAGUGAUUUUUAAAAGAAUAGUCUGAAAGUAAUUAUGAAUAGUUACAAAUUACUCUUUAAAUUUUAAAAAGGUCCCAAAACAUCUAAUUUUAAAGGUAAUUAGAUAGAGACGAGUUUUGAUACCAUGUUAAAUUAUCAUUUUUCUUAAAAGUUUAAAUUUAUAAAAUUUAGGUUUAAUAUACAUAUCAUGCUCUUUAACAUUAAACAUUUCAAAAUGACUAACAAAUAAGAUCUAAGUAUGUUUCAAUAAUUUCCAAACCAAAUUAAUUGAGUUUCAUGAUUGUUAAAAAUUGAACCAAUUUCCUCAAUUUUAAUUGGGUUGGAUCGGUUUUAUGGGGUUUCUAAUGGGAAUGGGUCAUCUACCAAGACACCGGAUCAGAAAACCAAUUAACUCAUUCAAAUACUUUUAUAGCAACACGAAAAAUUAUUUCAAUUUCCAUGAGAAUUCCUACUAGCAGAAGCCCACAGGUUGAUGUUAUUGCCUUAACAUACAUACAUACCUUCUGUUGAUCCUGGUUGGUGCCUUGCAAUACGAUACUUCUGAAAAACAAUAAUGGCAGAACGCUGAUCUUCAGACCCAGCAAAAAAAAAAAAAGAAAAAAAAAAAGAAAAAAAGAAAAAAAGGAGGAACAAUAAGCCAAACAUUCAGAAUUGAGGUUGAAAAUCAAUCAAACCUGCAAGUGACUUUUGACAUGGAAGAUGGUCAGUCCCUCAGAGCCCAUCAGCUUAAGGAUUCCCUUUGGAGUUGCCUCUGCAUUCAACCAUCAAACAAGCAUUGAUUCAGUAACUUCUUCUUAACUGAAAAACCCUAUAUAUGAUCACUACUGCUGCUCACUUUCAGCUCCCCCUAGACAAUUUACAGACUCAACAAAUCGCUUGUGAAGAUCUUGAGUCCAUCUAAUCCGCGUCUUGUUUGAAGCGAAAGAAGUAGUAUUAUGAGAAGGAUUUGCAGGCUGCCUCCUUAGUUGAAAUCUAGAGCUGGGUUCAAUCUGUAGAGUCCAUUGAAUGGAGAAGAAGUCAGGAUAUCAGAAAGCAGUAUACAGAAAUAAAACAGACAAGAAGAACCAGUGGAGAACUCACUCUUUGAUUCUGAUUUUCCCGAAGAAUUCUGUAGGGCUGCGCAUCUUCAACGUCAGACUUGAUGAACAAGAUGUCACAAACCUGUGAAUUUCGAUAUGGGGUUCUAGUGGAAUUUUGAUUUUCACAGCUGGGAAGGUUCUGAGUAUCCUUUGAUUGAGAACCUGCUGGAUCAAAUUUAGAAGAUGGGUAUGAUGAGGUUACUGAAUCAGCAGGAUAGGAAUCACAUUCUGGAAACCCCAUGUAGAAUUCAGUUGCAUAAAAGGCAGAAGCUGCUGGACACCCGAAAUGGCCAGCAAUGGUGGUAGGAGUACUCCCCAAGUUGAUUAUCUGCUGGGUGGAGCCUCCCUCUGAGGCCGGCAACUGAUCAGGCUGGAAACAAAAUCCCAUCUUCCAUGGCUGCCGGGAAAAAAUACCUUUCCCAGAAUAACAGUUGAAUGAUCCAGUGUUUUGAUUCUGAACUACAUCAAUCUUCUUAGUAUUCAUUAUGACAAUCAACCAGCAAUGCAAGGAAAAAAAAAACAGAACUUUUCUCUUGAUUGACUACUUCUCAAACAGACUGAACCAUCAUAUGAAAGUAUAAACGGUGAAGAAGGUAAACAAUUCACUAUGAAUAUGGACUCUCACAGGGGCUGGGGGAGUCUUCUCUCUGCAAUGGAAAAAAGCUUCUAACUUAGGAUGUGCCAUAAAUUAAAGUAUGAACUAUGAACCCAUGCAAGCUUUUUUAAAUACUUGAUGAAGGGUGGAUUAAUUAGUUGAUCAUAGUCUAACAAUGAUCAUAUGAUAAACCCGAAGCAAUGAACUCGUUACUAUAAAAGAUUAAUUUCCAUUUAGGUAUACAAAUCAAUGAAGUUGAUCCCAUCUAUAGGGAUCAUAUAUUAUUGGAAUAAGUCCUAAGAAAGGGUUAGUUAACACGCUAAUGUUGAUUAAUGUAUAGCUAAUGCAUAGCUUUUUGGGGUUAAAAUUUGGCUAUGCGGCUAAGUGAUUAUGACAAUGUACAACAGGUAGGUCAACAAGGAUUCGAUACUUACAAAAAGCCUUCUUAUCUUGUUUAUUUAGGGGCAUUAAACAAAGAUGAAAUAAUUCUUAGAUGACAAAGACAACUCUUUGUACCAAGGCAAGCAUGUUAUCUUUCAAUAAACAAAGAGGAAUUCUUUUGGCUCCUUUUGUAGGCUUUACUAUCCAAACUGACCCUUGGGGGUUUGAAGAGACCAUGCAAAUGGGUUUGCCGUUAGUGGGUAAUUUGUCCUUCAACUUGUUGAUCAUUUUGUACGAGUUCCAAGAAUAUAUAGAUUGAAGUACAAGGACUUGAAGAAUAAGUUAAAUCAAGCAUGGAGUUGAAUUUGAAACACAAACACAAAUGCAGCCAUUCAAUCUAGAGAUUACUUCAAAUAAUAAAUAAAUCUUAUAACAUUUAGAAUGUUUGGAUGCAUUUCGUAUUUUUUUUUUAAAUAAAAAACUUCAAAAAAAUAAAAAAUAGACCUUAUAAAAUUAGUGUCUUUUUUGAUACAUUUUAUGUUUUUUUUUUAAUUAAGAACUUUUGUACAAAAGUGGAAUAUCUUGUACAAAAAGUAUAAAUUUAUCUUAUAACUUUUAAAAAUUUUGUUCGAGAUAAUAAUUUUUUUUAAUACCUCAAUUUUUUAAAAUAAUUUUAAAAUCAUUAUUUAUUUAUUUAUUUUUAAUGUAAGUCUUGAAGAGUUUUUAUAUGUAUUUUAUAUAAAAAUCACUAUUAUUUUUAAAAAAAAAAUGAAAACUAGACAAUACAUUCAAAUAAGCACUUAAUUUUUUUGCAGAAAAAUUGAACUUCAUAGAACUAGAAUAAGAGAAAAUCACAGUUGUCCACACACUUAUGUACUACAAAAAAGUGUUUUAAAUUUCUAUUUAGAUCUUUUUAUUGGACAAGAAAAGCUAUUAAAACAUACUUCUCUCUAUAUAUUCUAAGUGAUGAAAAAGAAAAAUUAUCAAAUGGAGAUAAACAUGCAUGUAAAGCUUAUAUUGACUAUAUAGUAAGGUUUUAAUAAUUGUAUCUAUUUUAUUUAUUUUUUAUUUUUAACAGUAUGUCCUAUGAUACAGUGGAAUGAAUCUCUAUCAUCCAGUGACGUAGACCAUGAUUAGUCAAGUCAUGUUAAAACCUUAUGGAUAUUUACAUAAAUGAUUUUUAUCAUGUUACUACACCAAUACUCCAUUAGAGCAAACUUCCUUUUGCAAUUAUUUGGAAGAUGACUUGUGCCAUCACAACAUGUUCAAUGAGAAAGCUAUAACUUGUCAUUUCACUAAGUUUUCAUUAAUUUGCAUUUUGUUUAUGGAGAAAGACCCUCUACUAUCCAACUCCCUUUGAAAAUGGGGUUGGUAGAAUCAUUUAGGCAACUGUCAAACAUAAUAUGCUCACACAACUGUGUAUAUGAAAUUGUCUCCCACUCUGAUGGGCACAGCCGCACAGCACAAGUGGCACAUAUGCAUAUUGACCAUGUAGCCAUGGUAGUAUGCUUUAUAUGUAAAUAGGCGGCAUAUGCGUAUAGAAUUUAGUGGCAACUCUUAUUGCUUUUUGCUUGUUCAUGAUUGAGGUGUGAAUGUGGAUAUUGUAGACAUUCCAAAUUGAAAGAAGAGAUUGAUGCAUGAGAGGACUGUUUUGAUGCCAAUUUGCAGGUUCCACAUUUCCUUUUUUAGUAAUAUUGCCUCAUUACAACAUCCCCACUUGCUUUGACAAAAGUCAGUCUACUUCGAAGCUAUAAUUUUUUAGUCCAAUCUUUUACUUCUGAUCACAUCCUAAUCAGAAUCUUGUUUUUGCCUUCAAGUUAACUGAUCCAAAGUAGCCCAUAUUCUUUUCUCCUCCUUGGAAAAAUCUGUACGUCUAUGCAGUAGUUUUGCAGUCCCAGAGCUCCAUUGAGUCCAUUUGGAUGCUGGAACAUGUUUUAAUUGAGCUCUGAAGAAUCUUGGGGAAGUUAGUCUUGUUUGUUUCUUUGGAAGGAGUUGCCUUCUGAAACAACUGGGUUCCCCUGCUCCCCCUUCUAAGAAUUCCAAAAACUUUAAUAUCACAUUUGGCAAAAAGAGAGGAGAGGAAAGGAGGAAAAGAAAUAAAAGCUCUAUUUGGCAUCAUGUUUGGAAAAUGGGAAAGGGUGGAAUUUCUUUCUUUUUUCCUUGGAGACCCGAAGGUUAUGCUUGGUUCUCGAAAAAUUUAAGGGAAAAUGUAAAAGAAAGAAAAUUGAGAAAGAAAUUAAAAAAUAAAUUUAAAGUUAAUAAAUCCAUUUUUAAUCAACAGACUGAGGUCUCCAUUUUUGGUGACUUCAAUCUUGGACCUUCCCCCACUUCUUUAUCCACAUACCAAACUAUUGUUUGGUAAUCCAUGUUCACUAAUAGCAUAUAAAAGAACAUAAUUAGUCCUUUGAAACAAAACUAAUUAAUUUGAUCAAUCUUCUAAGAUGGCAUGUUACAUAAAAGGUAACAAGAUUAUGCUACUUCUUAAAAUUUUUUCUUAUAGUGUCAAUGCCAUAAUGUGGGUACAAACUAACAGUAUAGGAACAAGUACAUUGAUAAAAAUUAAAAAAGAAAAAUUGGAAAUUUAUUCAGAGAAGUAGCAUCAAUUACCCAGGGAAUAAGUGCCUGCAGAUGUCAUUCCUUAGUCCCCAGUAUGCUUGAAACAAACUGGAGACUGAUCGGUUUCUUACAGUAUCAGAAGACAGCAGCCACAGCUAUAGCUAACCACACAAAGAGAUCGAAGAACACUGAGCUGCCAAGGAGUAGUGACCCAACAAGGAUCAAGGUAGACUUAUCUAGGCCUGUCUGCAAGCGUUUUGCUCUGUCUUCCACAUGAGAGAAGAAAUCUCUUCUGCCAACACAUUGUCUGUAUAAAUGGCUACUGCACAGAAGCAAUACUCUUUCUUCUCCUUGUCAACAGUCCAUCCAAUCUGAAGUUCAUAAUUGGAGAUUUGCCAGUCUGUGAUGUUUAAUUCUUUGAAUUCUACCACAUUGGAAAAUUUGGUCUUUAAAAUCUGGAGCCAAGAAAGAAUACCUACACAGGCACUCACAUCUGAACAGCCCCCUCCUCAUCAAAAAAUACAAUAGCUGUUGAAUCCACAAAUCCCACUGCCACAACCACUUGCAGCUACACUGCAAUUGUCAUCAGUAAUUGCCUGCAGAACACACCAAGAAGUAGUAUUAAUACAGUUCCAGUUGUUUGCAGUGUUAUUUUAGUGUUUAUAUAAUCAAAAUCAAGUGUUGCCCUGUAGUAAUGGUCAUUCUCAAAGUCUCUUAUCUUCUGAGAUGAGGUUAACUUAUCUGGCAAGAUGUAUCAGUGGGAUUCUUGAAGCUCUCCCAGGCAUAAAUAAGUAAAACCAUAUUUUCAAAAAAAUUUGGUCAUCAAUCAAGAAAAACUUGGAAGAAUUAGCAUAGAGUAUGUAAAAAAACUGGAAAUCACCAUGUUAAUUCGAGCAGGUCAUCAGUUAAUUUGGUCAAAACAUGUGGUUUUGGCCUCUUAAAUAUUCAAUCAAAAGUACAUUCUAUAUGAUUUUAAGCUACUAGAGAAGUAUGAAAAAGAAAAUUGUGAGACAAUGUCAACCAGUGGAAACUAAUUUCCUCACGCAACUUCUCUCAAUAUCCCUUUCCUUUGUGACAAUAUUCAAGACCAAAGGUUACAAGUCACAACUUAAUUUUUCAGCUUAAGACUCUUACCGUGUGAAGGUACUUGAGUCUAAUUGUAACUUGACCUAGGAAAGUAAGGGUCAUCCAUGCUUGAUACCAUUGACAUUCGUCGAACAGAAUUGAGUCACAUAAAAUGCUCAUCUCCACUAUUUGGGCUAGUUCAGCUCGAUUCAUAGUCAAAUUCUCUCUCAAAAUGAACUUUCCUGGGAUUAAGAACAAACCUUGUAUCGUAAGAAGUUUAUAAAAAUAAAUCCUAAAAAUAUUUAAGAUAGUCAACAACCAACUCUCUUCUUGAUAAGAGGUGGUGAACAAGUUCAGAACAUAGAAGAGUAAAUUUUCUAAAACAUGAAGGUGGGAAAUAAGCUCAAAAUCAUAAUUUCUAUACAAAAUCAAAAAGUUCAAUCAAGGAAUUGCAGUCAACUACUUUAAGAUAAUGACAACAUUGAAGUGGAAAACAAAACUGAAAAAAGUAUUAAAGUAAAGACAAUUUAAUUACAAUAUUCUUGAUGGGAGUAUCAUGGUAUAGAUCUUCAUUAAGACUUGGACUCUAUAAUUUUCUUUAUGAAUAAACAGCUGGUUCCUGUUCAAAUGAGAACCAAUGCUCAUAGUCAGAGACAGAAGUGUAGGCAUGGCACUAACAAUUCUGCAAAUGAUCAUCUUAAUAAUCAUCUAGUCAUACUUAAGACCUAAGAAAAACCAAAACAAGAACAAAAGAACAUCAAAAUUGGGACAGAAACAAGUGUAGCAACUACACAACAAAGAUAUAAGUCUAUCUGCUCACCUUUUGAAGGUAGUCCAUUGGGUUAGUACAAAAUAGACCGGCUUUUAUUUACAGGGGCUCUCAAUCAGUGCAGGCUGUUGAAUCAGAAGAGAGAUGAGAUAACUAAAAGAUUCAAUAAAUUCAGUACAAUAAAAUACUUCAUAUUAAAAUGUUGCUUUUGAAACUGUAAUUUUUCCAAUGAUCCAAGAUCUAAAAAUAUAUUGGCAUAAAAUUACUGUUGUUUACCUCACAUUUUUUUUUCCAUAGUGAUAUCAAACUUUGUUCUCAUAAUAAGUCCUCUAUGCUGAUCCUGGUUGUUUGAUAUGAGACACAAAAAAGAAAAAAAAAAAAGGGUAGUGCUUAAUUUAGCUUGAUGUUGAAUGGAGCAAAGUUACAACAUGUACUUAUGCAGCCAACUAAGACAUAUUAUGAUGUUGUAAGAUUCAAUGCAUUUUUCAAUAACCAUCAAUUACCGAAAAAUGCGUUCACAUGUUCUUACAUGAGAUAAAUACACAGAUAGUUAAGAGUCAUCUUUACCCAUUUAGAAAGGAAAAUUGAAGAAGACAUGAAAAUAUGACAACUGGCUUUGUUAAAAUGUGAAUUACUGAGGAUCAAUCUUCCUUUACUCUUCUUUUCUUCAUUGGAAAAUUCUUAAAUCAAACAAACAGAGCAUGCUGCACAACCAAAUUCCCUACAAUAAGACAAACAAAUGAACAGACAUCCAAUUCUAGAGAUUGUUAGAAAUUUUGAAACAUGAGUACCUGGCGAGCUACUUUAUGAAUUGGAACAUAAAUUUUCUGAACAAAAUAAGUUUAGGCAUAGAACAAAUUAUCUGACCGUAUAUCGGUGCCAUACCACUUUCAUUAAAAUAACACACCAUCGAUCCCUACUUUUGGAGUUGAGAGCAGACAAUUGCAAUCCCUCUGAUUUGCAAAUAACGAAGAGAGACAUGGGAUUAUGUUUCCUCUGGAACUUGAUUUUGCUUGUCAAUAGCCCAUCCAAUAUGAAGUUCAUAAUUAUAAGAACUCCACCGCAUUCUUCUCUGCUUCCCCUUAAUCUUCUUGGAAACUGGGCAUUUGAAAAAAUUUGGUCUUUAAAAUCUGGACCCAAGAAAGAAUACCUAUACAAGCACACACAUCUAGACAGCCUUCCCUCUUCAUCAAACAAUAUAAUAGCUGUUAAAUCCACAAAUACCACUGCCAUAACACUGGUGCCUAUGCUGCAAAUGUCAUCAGGAAUUGCCUGCACAACAGAUGAAGAAGAAGCAUUUGAGUGCUUAUAUAAUCUAAAAGCUCCAUCAUAGUAAUAGUCACUCCCAAAGUCUCUUAUCUUCUAAUAGGAGGUUCACUUGAUCUGGCAACCAGUGGAAAAAAACCUUAUAUUGAGAUGGUCCACAACCAACUCUGCUCUUAAUAAGUGGUGAGAAAUACGUAAAAUGUGAAAAAUAUAAAGAGGAUAGGGAAUAAAUGUUUAACAUUUCACAGUUUUUAAUUAUCUUGGAGUAAUGAGUUUAUCAUUUUUUUUCAAUUAUUGAAGUACUUUAGAAAGUUGAGGUUUGAGUAGGUGAGUUACCAUUUAUUGGAUUGAUUAAUUCACCCAUGCUUUAAUCAUUAGAAAGUCUGGAAAUAUAGAAGAGUAUAUUUCUAAUUCAAGAAGAUAGUGCAUAAGCUUAGGAUUUUCAUUUCUACACAAAAUCAGUUAGUUCAAUGAGGGAAUUACACUCUUAACUACUUCAAGAUAAUAACAACAUGAAAAUGGAAAAUUGAACUACAAAAGACAUCAAGAUCAAUUUAGUUACAAUAUUCUUCUUGGGAGUUUUACAGUAUAAACCUUUGUUAAGAAUUGGACUUCUUCAUUUAUACUAUGGAACCAAUACUCAUACUCACCAACAGAAGUGCAGGCAUGCCAAUGAGAAUUCUGCUAACGAGACCCUAGCAUAAGAAGAUUUAUGUCUUCUUUUGUGAUCCAUAACCACAUUCUGAAAUGGGAUCCAUGACAUUGAUGUCAAUGAUCAUCUUCACAACAACAGGAAAUAUACAGAAAUUCCUAGCCGUUGUCAAGACCUAAGAAAAGCCAAAACAGGAACAAAACAACAUCAGAAUUGGGAUAGAAACAAGUGCAUCAACUAUCAAAGUAUGUCUAUUUGCUUACCUUUAAAAGGUGGUCCACUUGGUUAGUGCAAAAUAGACUACAUUUUGUUACAGGGAUAACCAAGAAAGGUAGGCUGCUAAACCAAAAGAGAAGUCAAACAGCUAAGAAAUUUGAUCAAUUUAGUAGCAUAAAAAUACUCUACAUAAAAUUAGUAGUUUUCGAAAUGAUUCCAUAUCUAAAAAUACAUUAACAUAAAAUUAUUGUUGUUUACCUGACAUGGUUUUCCAUAGUCAUAAUGGAACUUUAUUUGUCAUGACUCAUGAGAAGUCUUUUAGGCUCAUCCUAGUAAUUUAAUAUGAGACAAAUUUUUAUUUUUAUUUUUUAAAAAAAAACAACAAAAAGUAGUGAUUAAUUUAGUUUGAUUAUGAAUGGAGCAAAGUCACAACAUGCACAUAUGCACCCAACUAAGAAUAUAUUAUGGUGUGGGUAGAGAUUCAAUGCAUAUUUGAAUAACCAUGAAUUACCUAGAGUUCUGGCACAUGCCCAAAUCUCCAACAAUAGGACUAGCUAAUGGCUUGUGUAGAUGUACAAUUCUUAAACAAUGAGACAUUUUUUUUUUUUCCUUUUGUUUAAUUUAGCACAUGCAAUUUGUUUUCCUUUGAAAAUUACUUACUAAUAAGUAGCUAACUAGAAAAUGUCCCUGGUUUCUUCCAUUUCUAUACAUGAGAAAUAGACAGAGAAAGUAAGAAAAAACCACAGCAUCCCUAUUCACUUACUGUCAAAUCAAAACAGAAUAUGAAGCGUCAAGAAAAGGAAAAUAUUAAAUAAUAAUAAAUAAAUAAAUAAAUAAAUAAAACAGAGCAUGCUGCACAACCAAAUCACCAACAACACGACUAGCAAAAGAAUUAUGCAGAUGCACAAUUCUUAAGAUUAUUAGAAAUUUUGAAACAUAAGUUUGGCUGUCUACUUUAUGAAUUAAAAGUUGAAACAUAAAUUUUCUGAAGAAAAUAAGUUUAUCCAUACAACAAUUACCUGAUUGAAUACUGAUGCAGUACCACUUCCAUUAAUACAGCACUUAGUUGAUCACUAUUUUUGGAAUGUGAGCUAUAUAACACCAUUCUAGCCCCUUCUCAAAUUGGCACCGUUGUUCCAGUGAAGGACAGUCGUAGACAUGUAGAUAAGAGAGGGAGUCUGACAGUCUCUGUUUUGUCAAGUAUUGGAGCUUAGAGCACCAUUGGAUAUUCAAUUUUUCAAGAGAGGUGAGGUGUUGAAGACCCACUUCUGUCAACGAUUGGAGCUCACAACAUUUUAUGAUCCCUAAUUCUACAAGAGAGGUGAGUUGUUGAAAACCCAAUUCCCUCAAGGAUUGGAGCCUAGGGCAGUCGCAGAUUCGUAGUACCUUGAGAGAUAUAGGGUGUUGAAAAACCGACCCUGCAAAGCAGUGGGGCUCAGGGUAGCUACUGAUCUCUAAUUUUAGAAGAAAGGUGAGUUGUUGAAGCCCUUUGCUGUUAAGAGACUUGAGAUUAGGAAGUUUUGAGAUUACAAGAGAAGUCAGAGAGGAGGGCAGCAGAUACUUAUUGGGAAAUAAAUCCACAUCUUCACAUCCACAUUCGAUGCUCAAUCGUGUAAGAGAAGCUAGUCUUUGCAAACCCCAGUCCACCUGAGGUGUGAGUUGGUUGCAGUUCCGUAUUUCAAGUUCAUGUAGGUUGGAAGGCAAACCCUCUUUCUGAAACAACACUAGUGGACAAUCCUGUAAACUCAGUUCCCCCAGAGAUGAGUGGGUGAGUGCCAGCAGCCUAAGCUGGGAGCAGCGGUCGAUGCAACAUAACUUCAAGUUGAGAGCAGACAACUCGAUAUGUACAAGAUUAGGGCACGCACUGAUGCGGAAGUCACAAAGAAAUGGGGGAUCCCCAUCUGAAAUCGAAAUGGAGAGGGAUUCAAGCCCCUGAAGACCAACGGAUGUAAAGCCAUGGUUGUUAAUAUUAUUUUACAAUAUAUUCUAUAAAUAUUUUCUUUAAUUAUUUUUUUAUUUUAACUUUAAUUUUAUAAUAAAAGUUUUUAUUUUCUAAAAUAACUAAUAUAAAAAAAUUAAAAAUUAAUAAAAUAAACAAAAUUUAUUAUACAUGGGAUAUGCAUUCUACGUCUUAUCUUAGGAUUAAUAUAUAUUAUUCUAUCAUUUUAUUUGAACUCAUGUUAGGUGAAAAGAAUGUAUUUUCGUACAAAUGAUAAAAAGGUAAUGAUUUGAGAUGAACAGAAAGAAAUUCCAAAAGCCCGUGGGAACACGGAAACUUCAACUGCACCCUCCAACAUCUAUGUAACCUUCAACUACACCCUCCAGCAUCUAUGUAACCUUCCUCAUGGUUGGCCUUAGAGCUGAAUCCUCCUGAAUGCACCAAAUGGACACCAUCACUAGCCUCUCCAGCCUCUUCAUAUCAUUCAUAAUUUGCAUCCUCAUCAUCUUCCACCAACUUUUCCAACUUCCUUUGCACAAACAGUUCAUAAUCUCGAUCCAUUAGAGCUUCCUCUCUGUCUUCCAUAUGAAAGAGGAAAUCUUCUUCUAACACAUUGUCUUUAUAAAUGACUACUUUGAAGAAACAAUCCUCUUUACAUGACUCUUUACACUUUUCCUGCUCAACCAAUUUGUGUUGUUUAAUUCUUUCAACUCCACUUCACUCUCACUCUCAAGAACAAAGUUACCAUUGUCGAGCAUGGCAGCAUGAGUAACCCUGGCCCUUUAACAGCCAACUAAGUUCUCUGCAGCUCAUAUCCUCCUUUGUCAGCGAGUUUGAACUCCCCAUUUUUGGUGAGUUCAGUCUUUGUACCCUUCUGCCACUUCUUUAUCUGCAUACCAAAUUAUUGUUUGGUAAUUCAUGUUCACUAAUUGCAUAUAGAACAUAAUUAGCCCCUGUAAAAAAAUAAUUAAUUUGAUCAAUCAUCUUCUAAGAUGGCAUGUUACAUAAAAGGUAACAAGAUUAUGCUACUUUUUUAAAUUUUUCCUUAGGGUAUCAAUUUCAUAAUGUGGGUACAAACUGAAAGUAUAGGAACAAGUACAUUGAUAAAAAUUAAAAGAGAAAAAUUGGAAAUUUAUUCAGAGAAGUAGCAUCAAUUGCCUAGGGAAUAAGUGUCUGCAAAUGUUGCUCCUUAGUCCCCAGUAUGCUUGAAACAAAUUGGAGACUGAUCAGUUUCUUACAGUAUCAGAAGACAGCAACCCAGAUAUAGCUAACCACACAAAGAGAUUGAAGAACACUGAGCUGACAAGUAGUAGUGACCCAACAAGAAUCAAGGUAGACUUAUCUAGGCCUGUCUGCAAGCCUUUUGCUCUGUCUUCCACAGGAGAGAAGGAAUCUCUUUGGCCAACAAAUUGUUUGUAUAAAUGGCUACCGCACAGAACCAAUCCUCUUUACAAGACUCUUUAAAAUUUCUCCUUGUCAACAGUCUGUCCAAUCCGAAGUUCAUAAUUGGAGAUUUGCUAGUCUGUGUUGUUUAAUUCUAUGAACUCUACUGCAUUCUUCUCUGCUUCCCCUUCACCUGCUUGGCAACUGGGCAUUGGAAAAUUUGGUCUUUAAAAUUUGGAGCCAAGAAAGAAUGCCAACACAGGCACUCACAUCUUAACAACCUCUUCUACUCAUCAAACAAUACAAUAGCUGUUGAAUCCACAAAUCCAGCUACCACAGCCUCUUGCAGCUGCACUGCAAUUGUCAUCAGUAAUUGCCUGCAGAAUAGACUAAGAAGUAUUAAUGCAGUUCCAACGGUUUGCAGUGUUCUGUUUUCAGUGCUUAUAUAAUCAAAAUCAAGUGUUGUCUUGUAGUAAUAUCACUCCCAAAGUCUCUAUCUUCUGAUAAGAGGUUAACUUAUGUGGAAAGAUGGUAUCAAUGGGAUUCUUGAAGCAUGCCCAGGCAGAAAUAACUAAAGCCAUAUUUUCAAAAAAAUUUGGUUACCAACCAAGAAAAACUUGGUAGAAUUAGCAUAUAAUAUGUAAAAAUUGGAAAAUCACCAUGUUAAUUUGAGCAGGUCAUUCAAGUACAUGUGGUUUUGGCCUCUUAAAUAUUCAAUCAUAGGUACAUUCUAUAUGAUUUUAAGCGACUACAAAAGUAUGAAAAAGAAAAUUAUGAGAAUGUCAACCAGUGUGGAAACUAAUUUCCUCAAGUAACUUCUCUCAAUAUCAUUUUCCUUUGUGACAAUAUUAAAGACCUAUAGUUACAAGUUACAACUUAAUUUUCAUCUCCGGACUUACCAUGUGAACAUACUUGAGUCUGAUUGUAACUCGACCCAACCAAGCAAGGGCCAUCCAUAGUUCAUACCAUUGACGUUGGUUGAUGGAAUUGAGUCACAGGCUAGUCCAGCUUGAAUAAUAGUCAAAUAUGCUCUCAAAAUGAACUUUCCUGAGAUUGAGAACAAACCUUGUAUCAUAAAAAGUUCAUAAAAAUAAAUCCGGAGAACAUUUAAUAUAGUCAACAACCAACUCUUUUUCUUCAUAAGAGGUGGUGAAUUAGCUCAUAACAUAGAAGAGUAAAUUUUCUAAAGCAUGAAGAUGGGGAAUAAGCUCAAAAUCAUCAUUUCUAUACAAAAUCAGAAAGUUCAAUGAGAGAAUUGCACUCAACUACUUUAAGAUAAUGACAACAUCAAUAUAAAAAACAGGACCACAAAAGUCUUAUAGUCAAGACAAUUUAAUUACAAUAUUCGUUGUGGGAAUUUUGCAGUAUAGACCUUCAUUUAGACUUGGACUUUUUAAUUUUCUUUAUGAAUAAACAAUUGGCUCCUGCUCAAAUGAAAAAUGAGAACCAAUGCUCAUAGUCACAGACAGAGGUGUAGGCAUGGCAAUACUAAUUUUGCAAAUGAUCAUUUGGUCAUAGUCAAAACCUAAGAAAAGCCAAAAGAAGAACAAUAGAACAUCAAAAUUGGGACAAAAACAUGUGUAGCAACUACAUAACAAAGAUUUGUGUCAAUCUGCUCACCUUUUGAAGGUGGUCCAUUGGGUUAGUGCAAAAUAGACUGACUUUUUUUUUACAGGGGCCCUCAAUCAGUGCUGGCUACUGAACCAGAAGAGAGUUCAGAUAACUAAAAAAUUAUAUAAAUUCAAUACCAUAAAAUACCUCACAUAAAAAUGUUGCUUUUAGAACUAUAGUUUUCCAAAUGUUCUCAAAUUUAAAAAUACAUUGGCAUAAAUGUUUACCUCAUAUAUUUUUCCAUGGUCAUAUCAAACAUUGUUCUCAUAGUAUGUCUUCUAUGCUGAUCCUUGUUACUUAAUAUGAGACACAGAAAAGAAAAAAGUAGUGAUCAAUUUAUUUUGAUAUCGAAGGAAGCAAAGUCAUAACAUGUACAUUACAUAUGUAGCCAACUAAGUACAUAUUAUGAUGUGGGUAAGAUUCAAUACAUAUUUCAAUAACCAUGAAUUACCUAAAAAUGUAUCCACAUGUUUUUACAGGGGAUAAAUACACAAGUAGCUAAGAGUCAUCUCUACCCAUUCCGAAAGGUAAAUUGAUGGUGUCAUGAAAAUAUGAUAACUGACUUCUUUAAAAUAUGAAUUACCAUGGGUCAAUCUUUCUUUACUUCAUUAGAAAAUUCUUAAAAAAGAAAAAAGAAAAAAAAAGAAAAAGACAAGAUUGAGUAUGCUGCAUAACCAAAUUCCCAAUAAGAAGACUAGAAAAUGAGUUAUGGAGACAUGCAACUGUAGAGAUUGUUAGAAAUUUUGAAACAUGAGUACUUGGGCAGCUACAUUAUGAAUUGGAACUUAACUUUUCUAAAGAAAAUAGGUUUAAGCAUAGAACAAAUUACCUGACUGUAUAUUGAUGUAGUACCAUUUUCAUUAAAAUAACAGACCAUUGAUCACUAUUUUUAGAGUUGAGAGAGGGCAAUUGCAUAUAUACAAGAUCAAUGGAUUAUGUUCCCUCUGGAACUCGAUUUUGCUUAUCAAUAGCCCGUGUACCACAUUCUUCUCUGCGCCACUUCAUCUUCUUGGCAACAGGGCAAUUGAAAAAAUUUCGUCUUUAGAAUCUGUAUCCAAGAAAGAAUACCCAUACAAGCAACAAUCUGAACAACCUCCCAUCUUCAUCAAGCAAUACAAUGGUUGUUAAAUCCACAAAUUCCACUACCAUGGCUACUGAUGUCUAUGCUGCAAAUGUCAUCAGAAAUUUCCUGCACGAAAGACCAAGAAGAAGCAUUUGUUUUUAAAAUCAGAAGCUUCUAUAUAUAGUAAAGCAUCUUAUACAAAUUGUAUAGAUUUACCUUGUAUCUUUAAAACUUACAUUUUAAAAAAUUUUAAAAUUUGAGAGAAUAAGAGCCUGUUAGACAAAGUUCUUAAAAAUAAUUUUUCGUUUUUAAAAAUAGAAAACAGUUUUAAAAAUUUAAUAACAUUGUUUGGUUAUUCUUCUCAAUUUCCCGUUUUUAAAAACAAAGUAAAAUAAAGAAUAACUUUUAGAGAAAAAGUAAAAGUUAUUUUCAUCUGUUUUUUAAAAUAAUAGAAAAACACAUGCAUUCUAUUAUUUCUCUUCUACAUAAAAUUAUCAUUUGUUUUUAAAAAAAAUUGUUUCAUAAUUAAAAACAAAAUUAUUUAUCUUUAAUUAAUAUAUAAUUGUGUAUUUAAUUUUUAUUUUUUCAUAAGACUUAACUUGAAUUUGAUUUCAUAUUAUUAUAAAUUAAUUUUAUAAAAUAAAAGUAAUACAUUGUUUUUAAAAAUAAUACAAAUUCUUUAACCUAAACAACAUUAUUGUUUUUUGUUUUAAAAAACUAUUUUUUUAAACAUCUUGCCAAACAUUCUAGUUUAUAAAAAUAUUUUAAAAAACUGUUUUUUUUUGUUUUUUAAUUUGAAAACAAUUCUUAAAAACAAAUUUUAAAAAACACCACCAAAUGAGCCCUAAUUUUUUUUUGAUACCUUGAUUGUUUUAAACAGUUUUUAAAAUUAUUAAUUUUUCAAUGUAAGCCUUUAAGAGUUAAAAUACAAAAGUUACUGUCACUUAAUUUUAGGCUUAACAAUGUAGGAGAUUUAAGUGGAGGCAAGGAAUUAAGCAGAUAUAUUCUUGAGAUUAGAAAUUUGGGUGGAACAUCAAUUUUGUAAAGAAAUUAAGUUUAAGCACACAACAAUUACCUGCCCAUGUGUUGGUGCACUGCCACUCCCAUUAAAAUAGCACCCAAUUGAUCUCUAUUUUUGGAAUGUGAGAUAUAUAACGCCAUUCUUGCCCUUUCUCGAAUUGGAGCCGUUGUUCCAGUGGAGGACAAUCGUAGACGUCCAGAUGAGAGAGGGAGCCUGGCAGUCUCUCUUUUGUCAAGUAUUGGAGCUUAGGGCAAUCCGAGAGAGUUAAGGUUUCAAGAGUGGUGAGGUGGUGAAGACCCGCUUCUGUCAAGGAUUGGAGCCUUCUGCACGACCAGAUUUCUAAUUUCUUGAGAGAGAUAAGGCGUUGAAGAACAGAUCCUGUCGAGAAUUGGAGCUCAGGGCAGUUCUCGAUCCAUAAUUCUCGAAGAGAGGUGAGUUGUUGAAGCCCCUUGUUGUCAAGAGACUUGAGAUUUGGAAGACCCCAGAUUGAAAGAUGAGUUAGAGAAGAGGGCAGCAGACACUCCUUGGGAAAUAAUUCCACGCCUUCACAUCCACCAUUGAUUGUGAAAUGAGUAAGAGAGGUCAGUCUCUGCAAAUCCAAGUCCAUCUGUGACGUGAGUUGGUUGCAGCCCCGUAUUUCAAGUUUCCGUAGGUUGGAAGGCAAACCCUCUCUGUGCAACAACAAUUCUGGACAAUACUCUAAACACAGUUUCUGCAGAGAUGAAUGGGUGUGCGCCAACAAUUUGAGAUUGGAGCAAUUGCAAAUCUCAUGGCACAUCAAAUCGAGAGCGGGCAAUUGGAUGUAUACAAGAUUAGGGCACCCAUCGAUUUUCAAUUGACGAAGAGAUGUGGGAUCCCCCUCUGAAAUCGAGAUGCAGAGCUCCUCAAGCCCCUUAAGACCAUCCAUUUUGAAAUAAGUCAACCUGGGAAAGAUGUCCAAUAUUGAGAAGGACAACGAGAGAGAAUCACAGGUACCGCCAUUGAUUGAUAGAUUUUCGAGAACCGGGUGAUGGCAUCUGAACAACUCAGGUAGAAGAAGGUCCAAUUUGGUACAAUCAGAGAUUGAUAGCGAUUUCAAUGUAGUGGGUAAGCCAACUUUGUUUGGGGAUCUGUAAAAAGAGCAAUCACAAAUUUCCAAACUGUACAUGUUGGUUUGCAGGAUUUCCUCCUCUAGUAGAGACUCCACAGAAUCACAUUUUCUAAUGUAGAGAUAGUGGGGUACCAGUGGAAGUUGCUUCAACUGAGAGACGUCUGAAAUUUCAAUUUUUGAAGUUUGACUAGCUGUGAACCCACAAGUUUGCCUUUUCAACUGUAAUUCACGAGCAGCAGGAACGUUGAGUGUAGGCACAAGCAGUUGCGGACAAUCUUUAAGGUUAAGUUCCUGCAAUGAAGAAAGGUGCAUUGGUAAUUCCCCAGAGAAUUUGCGACACCGCCAUAUAGAAAGCUUCUGGAGACCAGGGAAUUCUCCACAUAUGCCUCCACAACAUAACCAUUUCUCCCAAUUGGACAUAUCUUCAAAUGAUAGAGUUUGCAGGGAUGGGAAGGAGGGAUGAAGCGAGGAAGAAGAAUUCCCAUAAAACUCACUACCCACCAUCACUACUCCACUCAUUUUUGAGAUCUUUAUAUGUUCAAGACAAGGUAGCUGCCCCAGUGGCGGCAAUGUUGAGCAAUUCCCACAAUUCGAAAGCUGAAGGGACACGAGAUUUGAAAAUGAUCCGUCUCCAAGCCAAUCUGGAAAUGUUAGACCAGGAUACCCUCCAAUGGACAGUUUUUUUAAAUUUUGAUGAGGUGAUAACCUGUUGAGAAUUUCAUCUUGUAUAGCAUCAUGACUAAUCUCGUAACUCCAAUUCAAGGAUAACUCAUCAAGGUAUUUCUUAUCCUUCAUAUUCGCCUGCAAUGCAUCCUCAACACCCACCACAUUCUCCAUUUUUGAAAUUUCAAGUCUUCCUUGAAUCUCUGAAAGCUUCCACAAUUCUCCAAAUCGGAAUCCACUUUCUUUGCCCACAAUAAAAUUAGGCAAUUUAUGCAAACUUUUUAAUUGAUCUAUAUCAUUUGGCAUUUCUUUCAAUGAAGUAGACCCGCUAAUAUCAAGAUAGCACAAAUUAAUCAACUUCCCCAUUUUCGAAGGCAAUUCAAGAAGAAGGGGACAUUUACUCAGCAUCAUUGUUUGUAAAUUGCACAAACAACAUAUUGAUUCAGGCAAUCUUUUAAUCAUUGUUGUAGAGAGAUCCAAGUAGCGCAACUGUUUUAAAUCGUGUAUUGAAUCAGGCACAUCUGUUAUGCAGUAUUCACACAAUGACAAUACGCGCAAGGAUUUAAAUUUUGGUAAUAUAUUUUGUAAAACUCUUGUACUCAACGAAUAAAAAGGAUGGUGCCAUAAUGUCUUCACCUCUAAGAUUGUUCUGAGAUGUUUGGCUUCACAAACAGGCUCAAAAGUUUCAAAUACAACUGCCCAGUCAUCGUCACUUUUAAAGUGGAGAAAAUGGCGAGCCUUAUCAGAUAUUUUUUGCACCUUAUAAUCUUCCAAUCGAAUGCAAAAUUCUUGGGAGAUAUGUUGAGCCAAGUCAUGUAUUAAAUCAUGCAUUACAAAGCAUGAUUUUUCUCCUUUAAUACAUUUUUGAAAGAAUGACUUUGCUAAAAGUUCAUUAAAAUAUGAAUCACCUACCUCUUCCAUUCUUCUGUUACUUUGUCCUGAGUGUAAAAGCCCUUCUGCCAUCCAUAAUAGAAUCAGCUUCUCUUUGUCAAAUUCAUAAUCCUUGGGAAAAAUUGAACAGUAAGCAAAACAACGCUUCACAGGAGGAGAGAGAUGCUGAUAACUCAAUCUAAGAGAUGGAAGAAUUUCAUGAUCAGUCUGAGAAUGCCAUGUUUUGCUAUUCAAAAUAUCUUCCCAUUCUCUUCUUUCGGGCUUAGAGUACAAGAGACUCCCGAGUGCUUUCAUAGCCAAAGGCAAUCCUUGGCACUUCUUCACAAUCUCUCUGCCUAUGGGUUCAAGCUGAGGAUAAGCGCAGGGGUCUCCACUUGGAAAUGCAAGUUUUGUAAAUAGGGACCAACUAUCUUCAGGGCUUAAUGUUCCCAGCUGAUGAGUAUGGAUUGCACGCAUGACUUUUGCAACAGUUUCGCUACGACUGGUCACAACAAUCUUGCUUCCCUGGGCUGCAGCGUGGAGUGGAGUUCGUAGUCUAUCCCAACUUUCCCAAUGAAGAGACUCCACAUCCCAGACGUCGUCGAGAACGAGCAGAAAUUUCUUGUUGCCAAGGUUGUCUUUGAGUUGACGUUGAAGCAAAUCUAGGCUGUGAUCGGAAGUAGGUCUACAACCGAUUGCCUCAAGAAUUGAUUUGGUUACACCGAUAAGAAGAAACUCCGUGGAAACACAGACCCAUGCUUUCAGGUGAAAGUGUUCCUUCACUCUGUCAUCGUUAUAGAGAAGCUGAGCGAGUGUGGUCUUGCCGCUGCCGCCCAUGCCCACUAUGGACAUCACAUCUAUGACGUUGUUGGCUGCUGCAGUUUCCUUGUCAGAAAGCAACCACUUCACCAACUCCUCCUUAAUUUCACCCCUGCCGUACACGAAGGAGUCAUCCACCAAAGAAGAGGAUGGUAAUUUUGGUGACAGUUUCUCACCAUCACCUUCUUUCAGCUCAAGCUCAACUUUUUCUUUUGCUAUGUUUUCAAGUCUGGUCAUCAAGCCCUUGACCCUGGACUCCAUGCUUUGGUUGGCAAAGGGAGCCUUAACCCUGGUAGAGAACUUGUUCCACACCUGAUAAAUUCCGCCAGUUUGGACCUCAGCAGCUUCUAUCUCGCACCGCAAGGCUUCGGUAGCGAUCUCGUCCAACAGGUCCUCCGCAUGAUACACAACAUCCUUAACUUGGACCAGCCACUCUUUGACCAGUGGGUCUGAAAAUUGCUUCACCUCCGCAUCAUUGAGCGCUUUGUGGACAACCAGCAAUUUCCUCUUAAAGUCGGUGAGGAGUUCUUGGCUAAGCUUCUGUCCCCGGAUGAAGUUGACGAGCUCCGGAGAAGCCAACUUGUCGAAUAGAACUUGAAGAGAAGCCGAGAGGAGUGCGUCCGCCAUUGCAAAAGGAAUUCAGCGAGAUUGAAUACAGGAAAAAUGAAGGUAAGCGGAAUGCAGAAUCACAGCAGCAAACAGCAAAGUGAAGAGUAAAGACUGGUCUCUUUUGCCAAGGGCUUGAACUUGAAGGAAUCAUUGAUGGUGGUGGACCCAGAUGCAGACUUUUUUGCCAAACACAAUAAUUGAGUGGUGACCGGUGAGUAAAAGAAAGCAAAGGGGAAAGCAAAAGCGCAAAAAUAAGCUGAUGCCAGACUCUAAUGAGUAAGGUGGGUAGAGCUUUCCAAACAGAAAGCAAAAGCCACAAAGCAUGUACCAGCUUUUUUAUUUGUUUCCUCUUAAUUAUUUUUCUUUUUAAUAUACUCAUUUCUUUUUCUACUACUAUUAUUAUUAUUAUAACAGACGAAUAUUUGUUUCAACAUUAAUAUUCCUAAUAUUAUUACUUUCAUUUUUUGUAGUAAUAAUAAUUUCAAUAUUUAUGUUAAUACUAUUAUUUUUAAUAAUUAUAAAUAGUAUUGCAAUUCUACAAUUACUAUCAUUAUUUUUAUUGCUUAUAAUUAUUAUUAAUAGAAUUUAUUAAUACAUAUAUAUAUAUAUCCAAUCACAAUUACAAUUCAUUCACAAAAUAAUUAAUUAUAAAACAUUGUAGUCACAUUAAUAUUUAAUAAAAAUGUAGGUAUAAGCACAAGAUCGAGGAGAUAUUUUGUUUUCAUUUUGUAUUUCUAGGUUUGAAAGAAGCGUAUUUUAUAAUUUUUAUAUAACAUAUGUCUCUAUUUUUUCUUUUCUGUUUUAUUUGUUGAAAUUUUAUUCCUUAAAAGUUAAAACCAAAUUAAAAGGCAUGGUAAAAUAAGUAUUCAAGCUUAACUUGGAAUUACAAGAAUCAUUUUCAAUAAUUAGCAUUUUUAUUUUUAAAAAGUAAUGACUAAAAUUAAGAUUUAAUUAUGAUUAUAAAUUUGUUGCUUUUUACGUUUCCAUAAUGAUAUUGUUUUUUACAUAUUAAAUUUUUGGAUUUUUAUGUGACUUUUCUUUAAUUGGGGUGUGUAAAAAAGAAAAAGAAAUAAUCUUAUUUCCAUCACUGUUUGGAGUUCUUUUUUUCCUAUUAUGAAUUUGAAAAUCAAAUUAAAAAUGCUUUUGAUAAUGUUUCUAUUCAAACGUUAUGUUUAGCUCUCAAAAAUAUUAAGAAAAGAAAAAAAUAUCAAAAAAAUAAUUUUUUAUUAUACUAUAAAAAAAUAUUAAAAAAAAAAAAAUUAAAAUUAAUAAAAAAAAUUAUAUAUUUCUAAAUUAUUUAAUUUUUAUAUAAAUGAGUUAAAAUAAGUUUGAAAUAGUAAAUAAAAAUAAUUUAUUAAUUUUUAAUCUAUUUUUUAUUUUCUUUUAUUUUUUAUUUCUUUUUACUUUUCCUUUACAUUUUUUUUCCCAUACAUUUUCUCUCAUUUUUCGGAAAUCAAACAUAAUUGAAGUGUUUAUAGUAGAAGUGUUUUUUCUAAAAAUGAUUUUAGAAGAAUCACAUAUCAAAUAUUAAUUUUUCAAAAAAUAUUAUAAGUAAUUUUUUAAUACUAAAAGUGGUUUUUUAGAUUUUUAAUAAUAUUUUUAAAAUUUUGUCAAAUACUUCUCUUUUUCAUAAAAAGAUCGAAAUACUUUUAAAAUUAUUGUUAAAUCAACUUUAAGAAUAUCGAAACUAUCAAAACAUACUAUUUGAAAAUCAUAAUAAAUAUUAUGUGAAUGAUCCAAGUGGGCAUGGAUUUUCCUUUCUUUUCUUUUAUUUUAUUUUUUGUAACCCGGAGUGUUGGGUUGAAGUUGAUAUUAACACAAAAGGCCUCAUUUUUGGAAUUUAAUUAACACAAAAUUUCUUUUCAAGUUGAUAUUAAUAUAAAUAAUCUUAUGGAGUCCAUUAUUGGGUUUUCUGCAAACAUACUUCUUUCAUUGAAUCAAUUUUGGUAGGUGGUGGACCCAAGAUUCGGACCAUUUAUUUUUUUCUUUUAUUAUUAUCAAUUUGGUGGAGUUGGUGGGUAGAUUGGUGGAAUCGGAUAGUGCCAAAAAAGCAAAAGCAUCCUAGGCCCAAUAGGAUGAUGCCUACCAUUCCUUCUUUUCCACUUUUAUUUUUUGAAAUUUUAAUCCUUCCACUGGACUUGACAACCAUCUUAAAAUAAUUAUUCGGAGCUAUUGAUUUAAAAUAAUAAGAAUCAUUUUUAAUAUUUUUUUUAAGAAAAAAUAAUUAUUGUCCUAGACUCUAUUUGAUUAUAAUUUCAAAAAAUAUUUUUAAUUUAAAAAAUAUUUUUAAAAAUAUAAAAAAUUAUUUAUAAUAUUAAAAAAUCACUUAUUAUGUUUCCUAAAAUAACACUCGAGUGCUGAUUCUACUCUCCAACUUGUCAAGGAGUUCAUGGCUGAGCUUUUGUGCUGGAUGAAGUUGAUGACCUCCGGAGAAGCCAACCUGUCGAAUAGAACUUGAAGGGAAGCCGAAAGUGCGUCCGCCAUACCUGUUGACUGCAAAACUGAAGGCUGGUCUCUAUUGCCACAAUGCAUAAGGCUUGAAGGAAUGAUUGAUGGUGAUGGACCCAGAUGAAACACCAUAAUUGAGUGGUUAGUAAAACAAAGCAAAGGGGAACCAAAGGCCAAAAAAGCUGUGGUGGACGCAGAUGCUGACUUUUUUGCCAGACACAUUGCCUUGUGACUUGUUAGUAAAACAAAGCAAAGGGAAAAGCAAAAGCAGAAAAAGCAAAAAAAUUUCUCUAAAAUAUCUAUUAAAGUGUCCCACAUUUCUAGACGGAAUAUAUAUUUUUUUUAAUAAAAAAAUUAUUAUAUAGAUUAUUUUCUAAAUUUAUGUAUAAAUGUAAUUAGAUUUUUUAUAAAAUAAAAAGGCAAAGGAUUAACUAAUGACAACCACAUACAAUUUAAUAAUUAAUUAAUUAAUUAACUAAUAUUAGGUUAAUUCAGACUCAAAUUAUUUGGCCAUCAGAGUCAUGAAAGCAUAAAAAAGAAGCUAACAGCAAAAAGGGUGCAUACAAUAAAACCAAAAUUAUGUGGUAUUCCUUCAAGGAUCUUAACUCUAAAAAGCAUUAAAAUUUUGGAGAUCCGAAUAGGAUUCAAGCAACUUGCAAAGAAAUUUCCCAUAUGAAGUUGGUAAUUAUAAGGAAAAGAAAAUUUUUAAUGGAAGAAGGAUCGGACUGGAAGUAAUUGUUUGAAGUCGUCAACAUCAUGACAAAGUUGUUGGUUACUAUGGGGCUAAGAGAAAUUAUUUUUUGAAACAUUAGAUUAAAUACCAACCUCUUAUUUCGUUAUCAUGAAAAGAUGGCGACAAGAAAAUUUAGGCUAACUAGUAGAUAGGUUUAAUCGCAUGGUCCAAAUUAAGAUUGAAAUAAGAAUGCAAGUUCCGUGUCCACAACAUGCUUUCAUACCGCUGAUAUAUGAAACCACAGGUGGUUUUCUAAGUUUUGAAUCUUCCAAAAGCUUGAUAGACUUUUGGUAGGGUUGCCAAAAUUUCUAUAUAGAUAGAGUUCACAGUUGGUUUUGAAUUUUCAAAACACUUAGAAAAGAGACCUUUUGCAUCAAGUACUCGCCAAUUUUUCAAUACCUGUAAAGUUGAGAACAUGGGUUGGUGAAUCAUGUUACAUCAACUGGAAGAGAAAAAGACCUUCUUGGUGCUCACCUACCACCUUGAAAUUUAUAACCAUGGUGUAACAACCUGACUUUUGGGUUAAAAUGACCCAUUUACACAAAAAAAAAAAAAAAACAUAUAUGAUAACCACUUUAUGAAACUUAUGUUUAAAUUAGCCUUUUUGAUGCCACAUAGGAGUCAUGUCAUAGAAACAACCCAUUUACACCAAAAAAAACAUAUAUGAUAACCACUUUAUGAAACUUAUGUUUAAACUAGUCUUUUUGAUGCCAUCGUAGGAGUCAUGUCAUAGAAACAUAUCUUUUUUUUCAUAAUUUUAGUUAAAGUCUCAAUUAACAACUGAUGCUUCAUUUUUAAAUUAAAGUCGUAAUUGCCAACUGAGACUUUAUUUUUUAAUUGAAGCCUCAAUUGACAACUGAAACUUCAUUUUUUAACUAAAACCUCAAUUGCCAACCGAAGUUUCAAUAUUUUUUUAAUUUAAAAUUUAAUUAAAAACUAUUAAAUUACAAUUUAUUAUUUAAAUUAAAAAUAUACUCUUUAAUAAUAAAUUAAUCAUCAACCCAUCACCUCAUCAGUGUCAGCAUCAUUACAGCCCCCUACCUUUUUAUCCCUACGAUUAGUACAGUCACCUAUCUCUUCAGACCUACCAUCAGUGCAAUUCCUUAUCUCUUUAGACCCAUCACCAGCUACCUCUUCAGACCCACUAUUAAUACAACCCCCUAUUUGUUUAAUUUCAAUAAUAAGUUGUAAUUUAAUAAUUUUUAAUUUAAUUUGAAAGUAAAAAAAAAAAGAUAUUAAUUGAAGGCUCAGUUGAUAACUAUGGUUUAAAAAUAUCCUAUUAUUUCGAUAAAAAUAAAAUUGUCAUAUUACACAUAAAUUAAUAUAUUAAAAAACAACAAAUUGAAUAUCUUAAAUUAAUAAAUUAUACAAGUUUAUAUCUUAUUUAUAUGUUAUUUAAAUUUAUUAUUUUAAAAUUAUUAAUUCAUUAAUAAAUAAAAUAUUCAUUUAUAUUAUCUUUUAUUUAUCAAUUUAUAUUUGUUAAAGUAAUACUAGAUUCUUAAGUUUAAAUAUAAAUAAUUUAUUAUUAAAGUAUAUAUUUUUAAUUUCAAUAAUAAAUUAUAAUUUAAUAGUUUUUAAUUAAAUUUUAAAUUUAAAAAAAAAUAACUGAAGCCUCAAUUGACAAUUGAAGUUUUAGUUAAAAAAUGCAACCUCAGUUAACAAUUAAGGUUUCAGUUAAAAAAUAAAGUCUCAAUUGACAAUUGUGACUUUAGUUUAAAAAUUGAAGCUUCGGUUGCUAAUUGAGGCUUUAAUUAAAAUUAUAAAAAAAUAUAUAUAUUCCUAUGACACUUUUCCUAUGUGACACCAAAGAGAUUAUUUUGAACAUAAGUUUUAUAAAGUGAUUAGAUGUUAUAUUUUUUAUUUUAUUUUAUAAAUGGGCUAUUUUGACCCAAAACUCGUAGAACCCUUGUUCGUACAAUUAGAACAAGAAAAUGAGACCAUACAAACAAAGAAAACACUAUAAGAACAAACAUAUGUUCAACUGAAGUUCAUGAUAUAUAGAACUUCCAAGAUUACAAAAAAGAGUAGGUGCAUAUACACUGUCUUAGGGAUGUGUAGUUUCAAAAGGUUGAACUAAAGGGGAAAGGACAAGGGGGCACAGGAGCUUCAACGACUCUUUCAAGCAUCAGUAUGACCAUUCCCAUGUAGGGCAUCGAAGAAGGGUCCUCUUGGAUGCACCAAAGGGCAACCAUCACUAUCCACUCCAGCAUCGCCAUCUCAUUUCUUGCUUCCAUCAUCAUUCUUCACUAGCUUAUCCAAUCUGUGCCCUCUAUAGCAAUCAUAAGCUCAAUCAGUUAGUAUUGCUUCCUCGUCAUUUUCCGGCUGUGAAUGUUGAAAAGCACAGAAAUGGAAACAAGGACACAGAAUUUGCAAUUGAAACUUAGGGCAGUUUCAAUAGUCUGAACUAAAGGGGAAAGUACAUGGAGGCACAGAAACAUCAACCAUGCCUUCAAGCAUCAGUGUGACAAUUCUCAUGGAAGGUCUUAAUGAAGGGUCCUCUUGCAUACACCAAAUUGCUACCACCACUAACCUCUCCAGCCCUCCUCAUGUCAUUUCUUGCCUCAUCAUCAGUCUCCACAAGCAUAUCCAAUUGGUGACCUCUAUAGCAAUCAUAAGCCAAUCAGGAAGGAUGGCUUCCUCUUCAUUUUCUGUUUGGAAAUCAAUGCACAUCCUGCAACAAAUGAUCUCCAGUAACAUGACCCCCAUAACUAUAAGCGUCUAUUUUUGCUGUAAUUGACUUGCUUCUGAACCAUUCUGACACAAGUCCCUCUGAUGGUUAUAAGUGCCUGAGUUUCAUCACUCAUCACAAGCUUUGUCAAUCCAAAAUCGGAAAUCCUUGCUGUGAAUGAAUCAUCCAGAGGACAUUUUGAGGCAUGAUGUCACAGAGGAUGAUCUGUGUGCUACACUCCUGAUGUCACAGAGUACAUCAGCACUCUUGCAAUCCCAAAUCUCAUUCGAAAGUGGAUAUUUCUUCUUCCAGAAGGUCCCUUCUUUAAUUUAAGGACAGCAACCACACAAUUGUAGUCAUAUACAUAAGAUAUUCAGCAGAGGUCUUCACCUAAGCAUUCUAUCUUCUCAAAGUUUGCAGUGGCAGUUCAAACUAUGUUAAGACUUUUCUUGUUAGUCCUCUGGGUUUGAACCUUCUCCUUGUUCACCUUUUUGUACUAUGUUCAGCUUACAGCCAUGCAUUGGGCUUGUUGUAUGGAUCAACAAGGGAAAACCCAAAAAGGGACUCACAAACUGGUCUUCCAUUUGAGUCAGGUAUGCAGUAACUGUUAAAGCCACAACUCUCAGUUUCCCACCUCCCAAAUCUCCCUGAAUCUCAGAGCAAAUGUCCUUUGGGUGUAUUAGGACUGAACCCAGCUUCUUUUGCUCUGGAGCUUGGGCGAGUAUAUUUUCUGAAAACUCCAUCAAAAUCCAGCAUUUCCCAGUAGUAGUAAUCUCUGGUUGAAUCUGCACUUCCUGACUUGAGGUUAGCACUCCCUCUGUUUCGUAGAACAACAUGAAGGUCAUCCGAAUCAUCAAAAAUCACCCAUUCAUUAGAAUUGCUGCCAUUUCCAGAUUAAAGGUGUUAAGCACAAAAUUUCCAUCAGGCAGCAGACGAGGCUGGAACCUUCCCUUCGAGUAGUUGCCUUCAUCUUACUGAAAAGACGCAACGCCACCAGUUUCUAAUAUUUGAGUUGGCAAGAUUGUAUCAAGCAUGGCGGCGUAAACAACCCCAUUAACACCAGACCCAGCUUUCCAUAUGACUUGGUCCUGACCAUCAAGUGUUAACUGACCAUCAAUCAUAAGCUCUACUUCAUAUUCCAAUUUUUUUUCCAGGGAUUUUGUCAACCAGAUAGUUAGCCUGCUAGUGGACGAAAUCCAAAAGCCAAGACCCUGAUGGCAAUUUCCAUGAAAAUGAGCAAUCAGAAGCCAGAAGAGACAAUCCUAAACUAGCAUUAUACUUGGUUUCAGCCACAGCAAGAAAUGGUAGAACAAAGAGAAGCAAGAGGCAUCCAUGGCCAACAACAGGAAAAUCCAUGUUGGUAUAGAGAAUUUGGAGAAAUUGUUCAAAUUAUACCACACUUUUUAAGACGAAAAGAAGGUUGAUUGCAGAGACCCUAUGAUCAGAUUUGAAGAGUACACCAAUGGAAAGUUACUGAAUCCAUUAUCAAGCUAAUUACCUAUCAAUAUCUAAGGCUUGAUUUUCCAUUUUUAGUAGAAAAAAACUGUUCUGAGACAGUCAUAGAAGUCAAUAGUUUUCUUAUUGAUGGAAAACAAACAAUUAAAGAUAUGUCAUAAAUUCUUGUUUGGAACUCAAUCUUGAAAAAAAGUUUGUGGUUUAUUUCCUUGUAAAGGAGUUCUAGCCUUUUGCAUAAAUCAAUGUUUUGGUCUUCCAGGUGGAUCAUAUUUUUUGAUAUCUAGAAUCCACCAAGGUAUGUAGUAAGGCAUUUAUCCUAAUUGGGGUUGAAACAAACCUGAAUGAUAUAAAUCUACCCUCUAUCUUACAUCACUUCAAUACUGAAGAUACCCAGAACUCAGAACCUCGCCAAGCUAGAAGCAAUUGGAUUAACUCAACUACAAGAAAUUUUUUUUUUAUCACAUAAUUGGUUGAUUCCUUACAAACAAAAAAGUGGCUCUUGACAGAAAAUGAUUAGGAAGGCAUGCAAGCAACAAAUACAAAUUAAAUAUAAUGUAAGAUUUUCAUGGAUUAAAAAAAAUACAGGGCAAAAUAGUAUAUAUUAUUUCAACCAGUGAACAUAUGUAAAUGUUGUAUUCUAUUCCAUAAGGGAAACACUCUAUACUCAGUAGCAUAAACAAGCCCAGAAAGCCACUUAUCUCUUUCUUUUUUGCUUUUUUGCCUAUUCUCAUCUCUUAUGACCAGAAGUGCUAAGGAUGAUAUAACCUCACCAAAUAAGUUAGAAACCAGCCAAUCUAGCAGAUUCAGUAGCCGACUUGCUCUCAAUCUUCUUUGAGUCACCAAUAAGUUGGGCAUUAUGCCUCCAACAGUGGGUCUGGAAAUAUUAGAUCUGGCAGCAGGGGUGGCUAUAAAACUCUCCUUUCCAAAACACCAAGUUUCAGGGCCAGAAGUUGCUUCUGUGGCUGGUUUGUUGUGAUGACCAUUUUCUGGUCCUAAACACUAUCCUUAUCCCUGGAAAGAGGCUGCUGCUGUUUGGGCUUGUCACCAAAAGCCUGCCAUGGCUUAGAGUCUGGUCGGGGGAAUCAGAUUUUCUGCGCUGGAGUUUCCAGACUGUUGCUUCAAUCUUUUCUCUCUGCUGUUAUGAGAAGAGAAAAUAUCAGAAAAAUGAAUCGAUGGAAGAAAUUGUUUGAAAUCCAAUAGGCAUGUGUGAGAAUAGGAGAUGAUACUGGAGGAGUAGCAGUUGACUGAAGUCCAGUCGGGGUUCAGUUUUUCAAAGCAUCUCUGUUGGGUGAUGGAGUUCAAGCAGCAAGAGCUUGCAUGAGUUCCUGUAUCUUCUUCAAUCCCCAUUUCUUCAAGCUUCUUCUAGUGCUUAUGAUUGGUGGAGGUGCUUCCAUAAUCCAUCAGGGUCCGAUGGAAGAUUCUCAGCUUUUAAGUCUCUGAAUCAUACAAUUAAGAAAAUGAAGAAUGUCGAAUAAGACAAUACAACUUUGUGGGCAGGACCGCAAAAUGAAGGAAUAGUGGGAAUAUCAAUUAAGAGCAUAAUAAAUGACAAAACUACCAUAUGGCAACACAACAAAAAAUGAUUAUUGUUGUUUACCUCACAUGUUUUUCCAUAGUAAUAACCAAACUAUGUUUCUCAUAAGAAGUCUUCUAUGCCCAUCCUGGUUGCUUAUGAUGAAAUACAAAAAGGUAAAGAAAAAAAACAAGAAGUAGUGAUUGAUUUAGUUCGAUAUUGAAAUGAACAAAGUCAUAACAUGAACAUACACAAGUAUGAUAUCCUAAAAACAAUUUGCAAAAAUCCCCAACUAUUUAUCCAUAUAUUAUGCCAAUAUUAUUUACACACAUUACUUUAAUUCCAAGCAUAUUUCAAAAACCAUAAAUUACCUAAAAUGUAUCAACAAAUAGAGUUUGCUGCAUGGCCAAAUUCCCCACAAUAGGACUAGAAAAUUAUUUCUGUAGAAACAAAUUGAGAAGAUUGUGAGAUUUGGAUUGCAAAAGGAGGUCAAGACCUUUUCAAUGUAGAAGGUUUAAGUAAUUUUGUCUAUUAAACAGUGAUCAGAUGUUUUUAGGCCAUUGAGAACAUGAACAAAAAUAAAGAAAACCUUUUUGCUUUAGUGAAAAAUAAGACAUUGAAAGGAAAUGCAAUCAUAAAUCUUGCAAUUUUGUAUAUUGCAGAUUUAAUUCUCCACUUUUAUUACAUUGGAAAGAGAAUAGCAGCAAGAAAAGACCAAGCAAUCAAAAGUACUUACUGCCAAAGCACAAUACAUCCCUGGUUUCUUCCAUGACUGUAUAAGAGAAAAUAGACCAAGAAAGUGAGAAAAAAACCGAAGCAUCCAUGGUUUUCCAUAGUUAUCAAGUGGUUCACUUGGCUUAGGCACACUGCCAAAUAAAAACAGAGCAUGAAAAUGAGAGUACCAUUAGAAUAUGGCAACUAUUUGUAUCAAAAUGUGAGCACUUUGGUUCAAUCCUCCUCCACUUCUCUUCAAUAUUUGUUUCAGAGUUGAAGCCUCGAGAAAAAGAAAAUCUCUAGCACACCCCUGCCACCAUUAAAAAAAUCAGCCAUGGAAAACAUACAUAAAAUUCCUCACCUAACGUUGACAUGGACUCAAACUAUCUGAAGCUAACCUAAAUUCAUGGAGAUGAAUGGCCAAUCAAGCGAAGAACGUGCCUGUGUGAUGUUCAGUUGAUCAUCUGGAGAAGCUUGGAUCGUGUCCAUGAUUAGAUCUGUCACAUAGGAGCUGUAUGUUGGUAAUUGUCAAAUGCGGUAGUUUCCAUUUGAGAUAAUAGAUGGUGAGAAAUAUAUAGUCGGAAAAAUAAUAAAGCACAUAACCUGAUAUUCUAUUGAUUGAUUCACCCAUUCAAAAAUCAUUAGAAAGACUGGAAAUAUAGAAGAGCAAAUUUUCUAAUUCAAGGAGAUGGUAUAUAAGCUCAGAAUCAUCAUUUAUAUACAAAAUCAGGAAGUUUAAUGAGGGAAUUGCACUCAACCACUUUUAAGAUAAGAACAUCGAAAUGGAUAACAAAGCUUCAAAAAAGUCUUAAAGUCUUAAAGUCUAGAUCAAUUUAAUUGCAAUAUUCUUCUCGGGAGUUUCACAGUAUGAACCUCCAUUAAGACCUGGACUCUUCAAUUUUCUUUUCAAAUAAACAGUUGACUUGGAUAAACAAUGAGAACCAAUGGCCAUGGUCACUUACACAAUUGUAUGCAUGACCAUGACAAUUCUGCUAAUGAGAAGCUAGCACAAGAAGACUACCACCUCAAGGAUCCAUGUCAAUGAUCUCAAUGAUCAUCUGCAGGGCAACAAAAAAUAUACAGAAAUUCCAACUCAUAGUCAAGAUCUAAGAAAUUCCAAAAGAAGAACAAAACCAUGUCAAAAUUGUGAAAAAAACAAAUUCAGCAACUGCCUAACAAAAAUUUAUGUCUUUCUACUAACCUUUUGAAGUUGGUCCACUUGGUUAUUGCCAAAUAAACCGCCUUUCGUCAUAAGGACUCCAAAUAAGCUUGGGCUGUUAAACCAAAAGAGUGUUUAAACAAAUAAAAAAUUGACCAAUUCAGUACCAUAAAAUACUUCAUAUAAAAUUAUUAGUUUAGAAAUUGCAACUUUCUAAAUGAUCCUAGAUUUAAAUAUACAUUAGCAUAAAAUUGCAGUUGUUUACCUCGCAUAUUUUUCUAUUGUCAUAAUUGAACUUUGUUCCUCAUAAGAAGGCAUCUAUGUUCAUACUGGUUACUUAAUAUGGAACAUGUAUAGAAAAGAAAAAGAAAAACAAAAACAAAAAGUUAGUGAUUAAUUUAGUUUGACAUUGACUGGAGCAAAAUCACAACAUAUGCAUAUGCAAGUAUAUUAUCCUCAAAACCAUUGGCAAAAGGCACCAAGUACCCAACUAAGAACAUACUUGAAUAAACAUGAAUUACCUAAAAAUGUAUCCACAUGUUCCUAUGCAACAUAAAUACCCAAAUGCUUAGUAUCAUCUUUGCCCAUUCUAAAAGGUAAAUUGAAGAAGUCAAGGAAAUAUGAUAAUUGGCUGUGUUAAAAUACAAAUUCCCUGGGAUCAAUUUUCCUUCCCCCCCCCCCCCCCCUCCCCCUUCUUUUUUUCUCUUUCUCUGUUGGAGAACUUCUGAAAUCAAACAAAUAGAGUUUGUUGCCUGCCCAAAUCUUCAACAACUGGACCAGCCAAUAACUUGUGUAGAUGUACAAUUCUUCAAGAGUGUCAAGCAGAUUAAAAGCCUUUGAAUGCAAAAAGGAGGUCAAGACAUUAACAAUGUAGAAGAUUUAAAUAGUUCUGGUAUCAAACAUAAUAAAAUUGAUUAAACAAAACCUUAAACAAUGAGGUAUUUUCUUCAAAACAAGAUGAGCUCCACCAUUGUGUGAGCUAUUGAGAAUAUAAAAAAUAAUGGAAUCAUAAGCAAUUAAAAUUACUUACUAAUAAGCAGCUAACUAGAAUGCAUCCAUGGUUUCCUCCAUGCCUGUAUAAGAGAAAUGGAAAAAGAAAGUGAGGAGAAACCAAGGCAUCCAUGUUUUUCCACAGUAAAUAAAAUUUGUGUUCACUUGGGUUAUGCAUACAGCCAAAUAAAAACAGAGCAUGAAAAUGUGAGUUCCAUUAAAAUAUGAGAAUUGUUUGUGUCAAAAUGUGAGCACCUAGGUUGAAUCCCCAUCUACAACUCCUCAAUAUUCGUCCCAGACUUGAAGCUUCAAGGAGAAGAAAAUCUUAAAUCAAAUAAACAGAGCCAAGGAAUCAUGUAGAUAUAUUUUUUAGAUUAGAAAUUGGAACAUAAAUUUUCUAAAGAAUAAGUUUAAUCAUAGAACAAUUACCUGCUGAUGUGCUGGUGCAGUGCCACUUUCAUUAAAAUAGCUCAUCAUUGAUGAUUAUAUUUGGACUGUGAGAUAUAUAACACCAUUCUGGCCCUUUCUCAAAUUGGCACUGUUGUUUCAGUAAAGGACAUGGGUCCACAAUCAGACAAGAGACGGAGUCCGACAAUCUCUUUCUUGUCAAGUAUUGGAACUCACGGCAGCCGUAGAUAUGCAAGAUUUCAAGAGAGGUGAGUUGUUGAAGCCCCUUGCUGUCAAGAGACUUGAGAUUUGGAAGACCAUAGACUGCAAGAAAAGUGAGAGAAGAGGGCAGUAGGCACUCCUUGGGAAAUAAUUCCACGUCUUCACAUCCACCAAAGAUUGCGAAAUGAGUAAGAGAGGUCAGUAUUUGCUUCAUCUCCGCAUCAUUGAGCACUUUGUGGACAACCACCGAUUUCCUCUUCAACUCGUUGAGGAGGUCAUGACUGAGAUUCUUUCGCCGAAUGAAAUUUACGAGUUCCGGAGAAGCCAACCUGUCGAAUAGAACUUGAAGUGAAGCGGAGAGGAGUACGUCCGCCAUAUCUGUUGACUGUUGCUUUGCACAAGGAAUUCAGCGAUUCAAUUCAGGGAAAACGAAGGUAAGCAGAUGCAGAAUCACAACCAAACUGUAGAAGACUGGUAAUGUCAUGUGCACUUGGGGCCCAGUUGUGUAAUGCUUAUUAUUUAAUUUGUUGGUUGCUUAUUAUUUAAUUUGGUUGAGUCAGAGUCAUGUUGAGUUGAUUAAUUUAAUUAGUUGGGUCCAAUAAUUGUACGUGGGCAUCAUCUGUUAAUUCACAGCCAAGUAUUUUGGCUUAAGAAUAGGUCUUUAGGUUGGGUUGUUAGCUGAAUAUCAGCGUUAUGGAUUGAGUCAGUUGUUAUUUUCAGUUGUAUUUAAGUCUUUCAUGUUAAUGAGAAAGGUAUCAAAACAGUUGCAAUCAGUGAGUAUUGGAGGCUGUGGAUUUCCUCGAAUUAAUCCAACACUUUCUUAAGCUUGAACGUGACAUUGGUAUCAGAGCCAGGUCGUUCCAAUGGCUGAGGGUACAGGUACCAGAUAUUCCCAGCUUGCUGAAUCUUUGGCAGCUGUCAAACAAAAUCAAGAGCAGUAUCAGCAAAAUCAUAAUUCUUUGCAACAAGUGGUUGAAGGGCUGGCCCAUCAAUUAGAAGUGGUUGCCUCCAAUGUGCAGACAUUAGUGCAAAUGAAGACUAAGCAUAAUUCAGGUGAUUCAGAAGGGUCUAAACGACAGAUGACUAACCCUCUUUUUGAAGAUAAUGGGGGAAUUCAGACUCGUGCAGUACGGUUGGAUUUUCCUAAAUUUAAUGGAGAAGACCCCAGUGGGUGGGUCUAUCGAGCUGAUCAAUUUUUCAAUUACCAUCAAACCAAUCCACAUCACAGAGUCCUAUUGGCAUCCUUCCAUAUGNNNNNNNNNNNNNNNNNNNNNNNNNNNNNNNNNNNNNNNNNNNNNNNNNNNNNNNNNNNNNNNNNNNNNNNNNNNNNNNNNNNNNNNNNNNNNNNNNNNNNNNNNNNNNNNNNNNNNNNNNNNNNNNNNNNNNNNNNNNNNNNNNNNNNNNNNNNNNNNNNNNNNNNNNNNNNNNNNNNNNNNNNNNNNNNNNNNNNNNNNNNNNNNNNNNNNNNNNNNNNNNNNNNNNNNNNNNNNNNNNNNNNNNNNNNNNNNNNNNNNNNNNNNNNNNNNNNNNNNNNNNNNNNNNNNNNNNNNNNNNNNNNNNNNNNNNNNNNNNNNNNNNNNNNNNNNNNNNNNNNNNNNNNNNNNNNNNNNNNNNNNNNNNNNNNNNNNNNNNNNNNNNNNNNNNNNNNNNNNNNNNNNNNNNNNNNNNNNNNNNNNNNNNNNNNNNNNNNNNNNNNNNNNNNNNNNNNNNNNNNNNNNNNNNNNNNNNNNNNNNNNNNNNNNNNNNNNNNNNNNNNNNNNNNNNNNNNNNNNNNNNNNNNNNNNNNNNNNNNNNNNNNNNNNNNNNNNNNNNNNNNNNNNNNNNNNNNNNNNNNNNNNNNNNNNNNNNNNNNNNNNNNNNNNNNNNNNNNNNNNNNNNNNNNNNNNNNNNNNNNNNNNNNNNNNNNNNNNNNNNNNNNNNNNNNNNNNNNNNNNNNNNNNNNNNNNNNNNNNNNNNNNNNNNNNNNNNNNNNNNNNNNNNNNNNNNNNNNNNNNNNNNNNNNNNNNNNNNNNNNNNNNNNNNNNNNNNNNNNNNNNNNNNNNNNNNNNNNNNNNNNNNNNNNNNNNNNNNNNNNNNNNNNNNNNNNNNNNNNNNNNNNNNNNNNNNNNNNNNNNNNNNNNNNNNNNNNNNNNNNNNNNNNNNNNNNNNNNNNNNNNNNNNNNNNNNNNNNNNNNNNNNNNNNNNNNNNNNNNNNNNNNNNNNNNNNNNNNNNNNNNNNNNNNNNNNNNNNNNNNNNNNNNNNNNNNNNNNNNNNNNNNNNNNNNNNNNNNNNNNNNNNNNNNNNNNNNNNNNNNNNNNNNNNNNNNNNNNNNNNNNNNNNNNNNNNNNNNNNNNNNNNNNNNNNNNNNNNNNNNNNNNNNNNNNNNNNNNNNNNNNNNNNNNNNNNNNNNNNNNNNNNNNNNNNNNNNNNNNNNNNNNNNNNNNNNNNNNNNNNNNNNNNNNNNNNNNNNNNNNNNNNNNNNNNNNNNNNNNNNNNNNNNNNNNNNNNNNNNNNNNNNNNNNNNNNNNNNNNNNNNNNNNNNNNNNNNNNNNNNNNNNNNNNNNNNNNNNNNNNNNNNNNNNNNNNNNNNNNNNNNNNNNNNNNNNNNNNNNNNNNNNNNNNNNNNNNNNNNNNNNNNNNNNNNNNNNNNNNNNNNNNNNNNNNNNNNNNNNNNNNNNNNNNNNNNNNNNNNNNNNNNNNNNNNNNNNNNNNNNNNNNNNNNNNNNNNNNNNNNNNNNNNNNNNNNNNNNNNNNNNNNNNNNNNNNNNNNNNNNNNNNNNNNNNNNNNNNNNNNNNNNNNNNNNNNNNNNNNNNNNNNNNNNNNNNNNNNNNNNNNNNNNNNNNNNNNNNNNNNNNNNNNNNNNNNNNNNNNNNNNNNNNNNNNNNNNNNNNNNNNNNNNNNNNNNNNNNNNNNNNNNNNNNNNNNNNNNNNNNNNNNNNNNNNNNNNNNNNNNNNNNNNNNNNNNNNNNNNNNNNNNNNNNNNNNNNNNNNNNNNNNNNNNNNNNNNNNNNNNNNNNNNNNNNNNNNNNNNNNNNNNNNNNNNNNNNNNNNNNNNNNNNNNNNNNNNNNNNNNNNNNNNNNNNNNNNNNNNNNNNNNNNNNNNNNNNNNNNNNNNNNNNNNNNNNNNNNNNNNNNNNNNNNNNNNNNNNNNNNNNNNNNNNNNNNNNNNNNNNNNNNNNNNNNNNNNNNNNNNNNNNNNNNNNNNNNNNNNNNNNNNNNNNNNNNNNNNNNNNNNNNNNNNNNNNNNNNNNNNNNNNNNNNNNNNNNNNNNNNNNNNNNNNNNNNNNNNNNNNNNNNNNNNNNNNNNNNNNNNNNNNNNNNNNNNNNNNNNNNNNNNNNNNNNNNNNNNNNNNNNNNNNNNNNNNNNNNNNNNNNNNNNNNNNNNNNNNNNNNNNNNNNNNNNNNNNNNNNNNNNNNNNNNNNNNNNNNNNNNNNNNNNNNNNNNNNNNNNNNNNNNNNNNNNNNNNNNNNNNNNNNNNNNNNNNNNNNNNNNNNNNNNNNNNNNNNNNNNNNNNNNNNNNNNNNNNNNNNNNNNNNNNNNNNNNNNNNNNNNNNNNNNNNNNNNNNNNNNNNNNNNNNNNNNNNNNNNNNNNNNNNNNNNNNNNNNNNNNNNNNNNNNNNNNNNNNNNNNNNNNNNNNNNNNNNNNNNNNNNNNNNNNNNNNNNNNNNNNNNNNNNNNNNNNNNNNNNNNNNNNNNNNNNNNNNNNNNNNNNNNNNNNNNNNNNNNNNNNNNNNNNNNNNNNNNNNNNNNNNNNNNNNNNNNNNNNNNNNNNNNNNNNNNNNNNNNNNNNNNNNNNNNNNNNNNNNNNNNNNNNNNNNNNNNNNNNNNNNNNNNNNNNNNNNNNNNNNNNNNNNNNNNNNNNNNNNNNNNNNNNNNNNNNNNNNNNNNNNNNNNNNNNNNNNNNNNNNNNNNNNNNNNNNNNNNNNNNNNNNNNNNNNNNNNNNNNNNNNNNNNNNNNNNNNNNNNNNNNNNNNNNNNNNNNNNNNNNNNNNNNNNNNNNNNNNNNNNNNNNNNNNNNNNNNNNNNNNNNNNNNNNNNNNNNNNNNNNNNNNNNNNNNNNNNNNNNNNNNNNNNNNNNNNNNNNNNNNNNNNNNNNNNNNNNNNNNNNNNNNNNNNNNNNNNNNNNNNNNNNNNNNNNNNNNNNNNNNNNNNNNNNNNNNNNNNNNNNNNNNNNNNNNNNNNNNNNNNNNNNNNNNNNNNNNNNNNNNNNNNNNNNNNNNNNNNNNNNNNNNNNNNNNNNNNNNNNNNNNNNNNNNNNNNNNNNNNNNNNNNNNNNNNNNNNNNNNNNNNNNNNNNNNNNNNNNNNNNNNNNNNNNNNNNNNNNNNNNNNNNNNNNNNNNNNNNNNNNNNNNNNNNNNNNNNNNNNNNNNNNNNNNNNNNNNNNNNNNNNNNNNNNNNNNNNNNNNNNNNNNNNNNNNNNNNNNNNNNNNNNNNNNNNNNNNNNNNNNNNNNNNNNNNNNNNNNNNNNNNNNNNNNNNNNNNNNNNNNNNNNNNNNNNNNNNNNNNNNNNNNNNNNNNNNNNNNNNNNNNNNNNNNNNNNNNNNNNNNNNNNNNNNNNNNNNNNNNNNNNNNNNNNNNNNNNNNNNNNNNNNNNNNNNNNNNNNNNNNNNNNNNNNNNNNNNNNNNNNNNNNNNNNNNNNNNNNNNNNNNNNNNNNNNNNNNNNNNNNNNNNNNNNNNNNNNNNNNNNNNNNNNNNNNNNNNNNNNNNNNNNNNNNNNNNNNNNNNNNNNNNNNNNNNNNNNNNNNNNNNNNNNNNNNNNNNNNNNNNNNNNNNNNNNNNNNNNNNNNNNNNNNNNNNNNNNNNNNNNNNNNNNNNNNNNNNNNNNNNNNNNNNNNNNNNNNNNNNNNNNNNNNNNNNNNNNNNNNNNNNNNNNNNNNNNNNNNNNNNNNNNNNNNNNNNNNNNNNNNNNNNNNNNNNNNNNNNNNNNNNNNNNNNNNNNNNNNNNNNNNNNNNNNNNNNNNNNNNNNNNNNNNNNNNNNNNNNNNNNNNNNNNNNNNNNNNNNNNNNNNNNNNNNNNNNNNNNNNNNNNNNNNNNNNNNNNNNNNNNNNNNNNNNNNNNNNNNNNNNNNNNNNNNNNNNNNNNNNNNNNNNNNNNNNNNNNNNNNNNNNNNNNNNNNNNNNNNNNNNNNNNNNNNNNNNNNNNNNNNNNNNNNNNNNNNNNNNNNNNNNNNNNNNNNNNNNNNNNNNNNNNNNNNNNNNNNNNNNNNNNNNNNNNNNNNNNNNNNNNNNNNNNNNNNNNNNNNNNNNNNNNNNNNNNNNNNNNNNNNNNNNNNNNNNNNNNNNNNNNNNNNNNNNNNNNNNNNNNNNNNNNNNNNNNNNNNNNNNNNNNNNNNNNNNNNNNNNNNNNNNNNNNNNNNNNNNNNNNNNNNNNNNNNNNNNNNNNNNNNNNNNNNNNNNNNNNNNNNNNNNNNNNNNNNNNNNNNNNNNNNNNNNNNNNNNNNNNNNNNNNNNNNNNNNNNNNNNNNNNNNNNNNNNNNNNNNNNNNNNNNNNNNNNNNNNNNNNNNNNNNNNNNNNNNNNNNNNNNNNNNNNNNNNNNNNNNNNNNNNNNNNNNNNNNNNNNNNNNNNNNNNNNNNNNNNNNNNNNNNNNNNNNNNNNNNNNNNNNNNNNNNNNNNNNNNNNNNNNNNNNNNNNNNNNNNNNNNNNNNNNNNNNNNNNNNNNNNNNNNNNNNNNNNNNNNNNNNNNNNNNNNNNNNNNNNNNNNNNNNNNNNNNNNNNNNNNNNNNNNNNNNNNNNNNNNNNNNNNNNNNNNNNNNNNNNNNNNNNNNNNNNNNNNNNNNNNNNNNNNNNNNNNNNNNNNNNNNNNNNNNNNNNNNNNNNNNNNNNNNNNNNNNNNNNNNNNNNNNNNNNNNNNNNNNNNNNNNNNNNNNNNNNNNNNNNNNNNNNNNNNNNNNNNNNNNNNNNNNNNNNNNNNNNNNNNNNNNNNNNNNNNNNNNNNNNNNNNNNNNNNNNNNNNNNNNNNNNNNNNNNNNNNNNNNNNNNNNNNNNNNNNNNNNNNNNNNNNNNNNNNNNNNNNNNNNNNNNNNNNNNNNNNNNNNNNNNNNNNNNNNNNNNNNNNNNNNNNNNNNNNNNNNNNNNNNNNNNNNNNNNNNNNNNNNNNNNNNNNNNNNNNNNNNNNNNNNNNNNNNNNNNNNNNNNNNNNNNNNNNNNNNNNNNNNNNNNNNNNNNNNNNNNNNNNNNNNNNNNNNNNNNNNNNNNNNNNNNNNNNNNNNNNNNNNNNNNNNNNNNNNNNNNNNNNNNNNNNNNNNNNNNNNNNNNNNNNNNNNNNNNNNNNNNNNNNNNNNNNNNNNNNNNNNNNNNNNNNNNNNNNNNNNNNNNNNNNNNNNNNNNNNNNNNNNNNNNNNNNNNNNNNNNNNNNNNNNNNNNNNNNNNNNNNNNNNNNNNNNNNNNNNNNNNNNNNNNNNNNNNNNNNNNNNNNNNNNNNNNNNNNNNNNNNNNNNNNNNNNNNNNNNNNNNNNNNNNNNNNNNNNNNNNNNNNNNNNNNNNNNNNNNNNNNNNNNNNNNNNNNNNNNNNNNNNNNNNNNNNNNNNNNNNNNNNNNNNNNNNNNNNNNNNNNNNNNNNNNNNNNNNNNNNNNNNNNNNNNNNNNNNNNNNNNNNNNNNNNNNNNNNNNNNNNNNNNNNNNNNNNNNNNNNNNNNNNNNNNNNNNNNNNNNNNNNNNNNNNNNNNNNNNNNNNNNNNNNNNNNNNNNNNNNNNNNNNNNNNNNNNNNNNNNNNNNNNNNNNNNNNNNNNNNNNNNNNNNNNNNNNNNNNNNNNNNNNNNNNNNNNNNNNNNNNNNNNNNNNNNNNNNNNNNNNNNNNNNNNNNNNNNNNNNNNNNNNNNNNNNNNNNNNNNNNNNNNNNNNNNNNNNNNNNNNNNNNNNNNNNNNNNNNNNNNNNNNNNNNNNNNNNNNNNNNNNNNNNNNNNNNNNNNNNNNNNNNNNNNNNNNNNNNNNNNNNNNNNNNNNNNNNNNNNNNNNNNNNNNNNNNNNNNNNNNNNNNNNNNNNNNNNNNNNNNNNNNNNNNNNNNNNNNNNNNNNNNNNNNNNNNNNNNNNNNNNNNNNNNNNNNNNNNNNNNNNNNNNNNNNNNNNNNNNNNNNNNNNNNNNNNNNNNNNNNNNNNNNNNNNNNNNNNNNNNNNNNNNNNNNNNNNNNNNNNNNNNNNNNNNNNNNNNNNNNNNNNNNNNNNNNNNNNNNNNNNNNNNNNNNNNNNNNNNNNNNNNNNNNNNNNNNNNNNNNNNNNNNNNNNNNNNNNNNNNNNNNNNNNNNNNNNNNNNNNNNNNNNNNNNNNNNNNNNNNNNNNNNNNNNNNNNNNNNNNNNNNNNNNNNNNNNNNNNNNNNNNNNNNNNNNNNNNNNNNNNNNNNNNNNNNNNNNNNNNNNNNNNNNNNNNNNNNNNNNNNNNNNNNNNNNNNNNNNNNNNNNNNNNNNNNNNNNNNNNNNNNNNNNNNNNNNNNNNNNNNNNNNNNNNNNNNNNNNNNNNNNNNNNNNNNNNNNNNNNNNNNNNNNNNNNNNNNNNNNNNNNNNNNNNNNNNNNNNNNNNNNNNNNNNNNNNNNNNNNNNNNNNNNNNNNNNNNNNNNNNNNNNNNNNNNNNNNNNNNNNNNNNNNNNNNNNNNNNNNNNNNNNNNNNNNNNNNNNNNNNNNNNNNNNNNNNNNNNNNNNNNNNNNNNNNNNNNNNNNNNNNNNNNNNNNNNNNNNNNNNNNNNNNNNNNNNNNNNNNNNNNNNNNNNNNNNNNNNNNNNNNNNNNNNNNNNNNNNNNNNNNNNNNNNNNNNNNNNNNNNNNNNNNNNNNNNNNNNNNNNNNNNNNNNNNNNNNNNNNNNNNNNNNNNNNNNNNNNNNNNNNNNNNNNNNNNNNNNNNNNNNNNNNNNNNNNNNNNNNNNNNNNNNNNNNNNNNNNNNNNNNNNNNNNNNNNNNNNNNNNNNNNNNNNNNNNNNNNNNNNNNNNNNNNNNNNNNNNNNNNNNNNNNNNNNNNNNNNNNNNNNNNNNNNNNNNNNNNNNNNNNNNNNNNNNNNNNNNNNNNNNNNNNNNNNNNNNNNNNNNNNNNNNNNNNNNNNNNNNNNNNNNNNNNNNNNNNNNNNNNNNNNNNNNNNNNNNNNNNNNNNNNNNNNNNNNNNNNNNNNNNNNNNNNNNNNNNNNNNNNNNNNNNNNNNNNNNNNNNNNNNNNNNNNNNNNNNNNNNNNNNNNNNNNNNNNNNNNNNNNNNNNNNNNNNNNNNNNNNNNNNNNNNNNNNNNNNNNNNNNNNNNNNNNNNNNNNNNNNNNNNNNNNNNNNNNNNNNNNNNNNNNNNNNNNNNNNNNNNNNNNNNNNNNNNNNNNNNNNNNNNNNNNNNNNNNNNNNNNNNNNNNNNNNNNNNNNNNNNNNNNNNNNNNNNNNNNNNNNNNNNNNNNNNNNNNNNNNNNNNNNNNNNNNNNNNNNNNNNNNNNNNNNNNNNNNNNNNNNNNNNNNNNNNNNNNNNNNNNNNNNNNNNNNNNNNNNNNNNNNNNNNNNNNNNNNNNNNNNNNNNNNNNNNNNNNNNNNNNNNNNNNNNNNNNNNNNNNNNNNNNNNNNNNNNNNNNNNNNNNNNNNNNNNNNNNNNNNNNNNNNNNNNNNNNNNNNNNNGAAGUCUUGCAUCCCAAAAUUAUAAACAAAGGGAUGGAUUAUUAUUUUACAAAGGAAGAUUGUAUAUUCCAGCUUCAAAGGAGUUGAGAGAACAAAUUCUUUAUUUGCUGCACAGUAGCCCACAAGGAGGACACUCAGGAUUUCACAAGACUCUCCAUAGAGCUAAGUCUGAAUUUUAUUGGGAAGGAAUGAGGAAGGAGGUCAGAAGGUUUAUCAAGGAAUGUGAUAUAUGUCAGCAAAACAAGUCUGAGAAUAUCCACCCGGCUGGAUUGCUGCAACCAUUGCCAAUUCCUACUAAGGUAUGGACUGAUAUUUCCCUUGAUUUUAUUGAAGGAUUACCGAACUCUGAAAGCUAUAGUGUUAUUAUGGUGGUCGUGGAUCGGCUGUCUAAGUAUGCUCACUUUAUUCCUAUUUCUCAUCCGUACACUGCCUCAAAGAUUGCUCAGGUGUUCCUAGCCAAUAUCUUUAAAUUACAUGGGCUGCCUAAUUCCAUUGUUACUGAUAGAGAUCCUACUUUUACGAGUACAUUUUGGAAGGAGCUCUUUAAGCUGCAGGGAACCACCUUGAAAUUUUCAUCAGCUUACCAUCCUCAAACGGAUGGCCAGACAGAGAUUGUCAACAAGAUGGUUGAGCAAUAUCUUAGGUGUUUCUCGGGGGACAAGCCAAAAGGAUGGGUUAAAUGGCUUCCGUUGGCUGAGUGGUGGUACAACACUAACAUUCAUGCAUCUACCAAAUUAUCCCCUUUUGAAUCUGUCUAUGGCUACCCACCCCCAAAAUUAAUUCCUUAUACGCCAGGAACCACACAACUCCAAGAAGUAGAAAAUACUUUGAAGACAAGAGAUGAAAUCAUCCGCAUCCUUCGUACAAAUUUGCAGUUGGCAUAAGAUAGAAUGAAAAAAUUUGCAGAUAUUAAGAGGACUGCGAGAAGUUUCAACAUUGGGGAUUUGGUUUACCUUCGCUUACAACCAUACAAGCAGCAAUCGGUGGUGCAAAGAAGGAAUUUGAAAUUAUCUCCAAGAUUCUAUGGUCCAUAUAGAGUGCUGGAGAAGAUCGGUACUGUUGCUUAUCGGCUUGAGCUUCCUCCUGAGGCAAAAAUACAUCCGGUGUUUCACGUAUCUUGCUUAAAGGAGAAGUUGGGAGAAAGGCACCAGCUGGUUGUUACUCUUCCACCAGCAGACAAGGAUGGAGUUAUUCGACCAGAACCAGAAGAAAUAUUGCACAGGAGGUUGAAGAAGAAAAAAAUCAUGCGGUGACCGAAGUACUGGUGAAAUGGAAGGGGCUCGGUGAAGAUGAAGCAUCUUGGGUGGAAUAUUCUACCUUAGUCAAUGAAUUUCCAGACCUUGUGGACAAGGUCAUUUAAUGAGGGGGGCAAUGUCAUGUGCACUUGGGGCCCUGUGUAAUGCUUAUUAUUUAAUUUGUUGGUUGCUUAUUAUUUAAUUUGGUUGAGUCAGAGUCAUGUUGAGUUGAUUAAUUUAAUUAGUUGGGUCCAAUAAUUGUACGUGGGCAUCAUCCGUUAAUUCACAGCCAAGUAUUUUGGCUUAAGAAUAGGUCUUUAGGUUGGGUUGUUAGCUGAAUAUCAGCGUCGUGGAUUGAGUCAGUUGUUAUUUUCAGUUGUAUUUAAGUCUUUCAUGUUAAUGAGAAAGGUAUCAAAACAGUUGCAAUCAGUGAGUAUUGGAGGCUGUGGAUUUCCUCGAAUUAAUCCAACACUUUCUUAAGCUUGAACGUGACAGGUUUGUAUUAACCAAAUGCAAUAUCAUGCCUACCAAACAGUGGUGAUAAAAAAUUAAUAAAAUAAAAUAGAAAGUCAUAGAAGCACAGGCUGUCACCACCAACCAGAGAGAGAAAGAGAGAGAGAGAGAGAGAGGAGCACGUGAUCCGUCACUCACAAGUUUAAAUUAAUUAAAGUGGGCAACUAGGUUAUAUCCUAGUCUUAUUUUGAUCGGCACUCACCCCCCAAGGUUCCUUUUGUUUUUUCACUAUGUAACAUGUAACCAAAAACAUUAAGGAAAUAUUUUUUGUGUCCAAAGAUUUAUUAAUUCUCCAUAUCUGUUGCGCUGCAGAAGGAAUUCUAAGCAGAUCCAAAAAAAUGCACAUGGGGCUGCACCGAACCCCGAGAGAACCACAUGAUCUGUCACCCACAUGAUCUUUUCAAUUCAUAUAUAGUUUUAUCUAUAUCUUAUUCAUGCAUGUUUUUAAAAUAAUACAUAUUUAUUAAAUUGAGUUUUUUAAAUAUUAAUGUAAGUAUGAUAUGGUAUUAUUGAGUUAUAAAAUAAUAUAUGAUGAUAUCAUCAUAAAAUAAUACAAGUUGAUAUUAUUAUCCUAAAAUAGUCCGAGCAUAUAUAAGUUUUGAUUUCUUCUCAUUGUUUAUUAUAAAUACAAGACUACUUGGAUUUCUCUUUACAUUAUAUAUAUUUGAUAUUUUACGUGAUAUUUCUCAGAUCCAUUUAGGUCAUGAUUAUUUGUUUCACUCUUGCUUACAAAGAGUAUAUGUCAAAUUUCAUGUCAUUAAUUAUUUUAUUAUAAAUUGUAUGAUUGUGAUCAUUUAAGGGGGUACAAUGUCUUAAAACCAUGAAAUAUCAUAGAAUCUCUAUUGGGAAUAUAUAUUGCCACCUCUUUAUACCACUAGUCACCUAAUCCAUAAAAAAUAUAUUAUCAAUUUAGGAUCUCACUUAUAGGUUAAAACAAUUAUUGAUCUAAUGACUAAUGCAAUAUUCUCUCAAUAUUGAGAAUUUAUUUAACAUAGUAGCUUGGAGAAUUUGUGACAACUUGAUAGUAAUUCAAUCAUAUAACCCUUCAUAACUCUUAUUUAAUAUAUAACCAUAUAAACUAAUACAUCAAUUAUGAAGUAGUGUAAUACUAUAACUUUUGAUAAAUUGUCUAAAUUUAUGAACCAAUUAUAAACAUAUUUAUCAACUGUGAUCAAAAUAAGAUGAGUAUAUUUAAUGAGUGAAAUUUGCUCUUAUAUUUUUAAUAAGUUUUUAUAUAUUAUAUAAAAAUUAUUAUUAUCUUUGUAUUUAGAAAAAAAAGAAAAAAAAAAAGGAGUUCGUGUGUAUCAAAACAUAUCCUAAAUUAGAGAUUUUAUUUUUUAUUUUUUAUUUUUCAUUUGUUAUAGUAAAGCUAAGCUGAAGAUUUUAAUUUCUUUUUAAUCAGUCAUUUUCCAUAUGACUUGAGAAUCCAAUGGUCAAUGAGCAAACAUAGAAAAGCUAGCACCCAUAAAAAAAGAAAUUCAGGGAAAUUUUGGUGGAUCUAAUGCCAGGAUUUGUUACCAAACCCCACAAUCUCAAGAUCGGUUAAAAAGCUAUUCUAUAUCAAUACGGUGGAGUAGGUAGAUGGAUGUUGAUUGAUUGAUUGAUUGUCUCAAUUCAAUGGUAGGUCAAAAAGCAUUUUUAUAUCAAUUGGGCCAAUUUGGUGGAGUAGGUGGAUGGAUGUUGAUUGGAGGAUUGCCUCAAUUUUUUCUUUUCUAUUUUAUUUGUUGAAAUUUUAUUCCUUAAAACCAACUUAAAAAGCAUAGUUAAAUAAGUAUUCAAGCUAUUAACUUGGAAUUACAAGAAUCAUUUUCAAUAAUUAGUAUUUUUAAUUUUAAAAAGUAACCACUAGAAUUAAGAUUUAAUUAUGAUUAUGAAAAUGACAUUUUUUUUUUAUGUUUUUAUAAUGAUAUUGUUUUUUACAUAUUAAAUUUUUAGAUUGUUACGUUACUUUUCUUUAAUUAGGAUGUCUAAAAAAGAAAAAGAAAUAAAAUCAUUAAUAAUCUUAUUUCCAUCAAUGUUUGCGGUUCUUACUUUCUCAUUGUGAAUUUGAAAAUUAAAUUAAAAAUACUUUUGACUAUAUUUCUAUUCGAAUGUUAUGUUUCGUUCUUGAAAAAUAUUAAGAAAAAAAUAUAAAGAAAAAUAAUUUUCUCAUAUUUGAUUAUGCUAUGAAAAAUAUAAAAGAAAAUCAAAUAUAAUUAAAACUAGUUAAAAACUUAAGUAUUUUUAAAUUAUUUAAUCUUUAUAUCGAUGAGUUAAAAUAAGUUUGAAGUAGUAAAUAAAAAUAAAUUUUAAAAUUUUAAUCUAUGUUUUAUUUUACUUCAUUUUUUUUUCAUACUUUUUCUUUAUAUUUUCUUUCUUUUUUAUUUUUUCUCAAUUUUUUUUGGAAACCAAACAUAGUCAAAGUGUUUAUAGUAGAAGUGUUUUUUUUUUAAAAUGGUUUUAAGAGAAUCACUUAUUCAAAUAUUAAUUUAUCCAAAAAACAUUAUAAGUAGUUUUCCAACACACUUAGUGAUUUUUCAUAUUUUUAAUAAUAUUUCCUAGAUUUGAUCAAAUACUUCAAUUUUUCAUAAACAUUUUUUAAAGUUCUUAAAAUCAUUAUCAAACCAACUCUAACCAUCAAAACAUACGAUUUCAAAAUCAUAAUAAAUAUUCUGUGAAUAAUUUGAGUGGGUGUCAAUUUUAUUUUAUUUUAUUUUUAUUUUUUGUAACCUGAAGUGUUGGGUUAAGGUUGAUAUUAACACCAAAGGCCUCAUUUUUGGAAUUUAGUUAACACAAAAUUCCUUUUCAAGUUGAUAUUAUUAUAUGUAAUCUUAUGGAUUUGAAUCAAUGUAGGUGGAUGGUGAACUCAAGAUUCUUUUCUUUUUAAUAUCAAACACCAACCAAGUAAAGACAAUUUUUUUUCUUUUUUCUUUUUAAUUAUUAUUAUUAUUAUUAUCAAUUUGGCAGAGUCGGUGGGUAGAUUUGGUGGAGUCGGAUACUACCAAAAAAGCCGACAUUGAGAGUGUAUGGACAAAAGCCAAAAAGAUGAUGUCUACCAUUCUUUCUUUUCCACUUUUAUUUAUUGAAAUUUUAAUCCCUCUAAUGAACUUCACAACCAUCUUAAAAUAAUUAGGAUCAUUUUCAAUAAUUAACAUUUUUUUGAAAAAAAAAAGAGAGUAAUUAUUAACUUAGAACCUAUUUGAAAGUGAUUUUUAAAAAAUAUUAUUAGCUUAAAACAUGUUUUUUUUUUAAAUAAAAUAAAAUAAAAUUUAGCGUAAAUAAAAUUCAAGAAACAUUUUUUAAAAUUUAAAAAAUUACUUAAAAUAUGUUUGAUAGUAAUUUUAAAAAAUAUUUUUAACAUUUUUAAUACUAUGACUUUCAAGUAUUGGAAAUGCUAUAGAAACGUUUUUUAAAAACACUAUCAAAUAAAAUAGUGUUGAAAAUCACUUGUAAUGUUUUUUGAAGAAAGAUUUGAUAUGUGAUUCUCCUCAUCAAUUUGUUGUGGAGUUCAUGGCCGAGCUUUUGUGCUUGAAUGAAGUUGAUGAGCUCCAAAGAAGCCAACUUAUCAAAUAGAAAUUGAAGCAAAGCUGAGAAGAGUGCGUCCCCUAUUGUAAAAGAAAUUGGGCUAGAUUCAAUACAAGAAAAAUGAGGGUAAAUUAUUGUAUGAACUAUGAACCCAUGCAAGAUUUUUUAAACACUCAAUGAAGGGUGGAUUCAUUAGUUGAUCAUAGGGUCUAACAAUAAUCAUACGAUAAACUUGAAGUAAUUAACUAUUUAAUAUAAAAGAUUAAUUUUCAUUUAAGUAUACAAAUCAAUGAAGUUAUUAAUUUAUUAAUAGAAGGGUAUAAAAGAAGGAAAAUAAAAAAAAUGAAUUUAAAAUUAAUAAAUUAUAUUUAUAUGUUACUUUAUACUCAUUUCACUUAUUUAACUUCUAAAUAAUUUGAAAAUAUAUAAGUUAUAAACCAAUUUUAAUCAUAUUUUACUAUCUUUGAUAUUUUUACGGUACGAUCAAAUAUGAAAAAAUAAAUUUUUAAAAUAUUUUUUUUUCAUUUGUUGAUACUUUUUGGGAAUGGAACAUAACCUAAAUCUUUGAUAGUAAUAUGGAUUCACUAAUUGCAUAUUAAAAAAGAAUGUCAAUCCCUUGAUAGAGACUAAUUAAAUUACUUGAUCACUUAUCUAAGAUGGCAUAUUGUUAUAUAAAAUUUAAAAAUAUUAUAUGAAAUAUAAUCAAGAAGACAGGAAAAUAUAUUUUCAUACAAAUGAUCGAAAAGGGCAAUGAUUCAAGAUGAAUUGACAAAGAUUCCAUUUUUGAUUAGCAUACUAUGUCUCCAAAUUUCGUCGUCCCUUUGAUCAAUGAGUUUGACCUCCCCAUUUUUGGUGAGUUCAAUCUUGGACUCUUAUGCCACUUCUUUGUCUGCAUACCUAAUUAUUGUUUGGUAAUCCAUGUUCACUAAUUGCACAUAGAAUAACAUAAUUAGUCCCUUGAAACAAAACUAAUUAAUAUGAUCAAUCAUCUUCUAAGAUGCCAUGUUACAUAAAAGGUAACAAGAUUAUCCCACUUUUUUAAAAAAUUUUCCUUAGGGUGUGAAUGUCAUAAUGUGGGUACAAACUAACAGUAUAGGAACAAGGACAUUGAUAAAAAUUGAAAAAGAAAAAUUGGAAAUUUAUUCAGAGAAGAAGUAGCAUCAAUUGCCUAGGGAAUAAGUGCCUGCAGAUGUUACACCUUGGUCCCCAGUAUGCUUGAAACAAACUGGAGACUGAUCAGUUUCUUACAGUAUCAGAAGACAGCAGCCCAGCUACAGCUAACCACACAAAGAGAUUGAAGAACACUGAGCUGCCAAGGAGUAGUGACCCAGCAAGAAUCAAGGUAGACUUAUCUGGGCCUGUCUGCAAGCCUUUUGCUCUGUCUUCCAUAGGAGAGAAGGAAUCUCUUCUGCCAACACAUUGUCUGUUUAAAUGGCUACUGCACAGAACCAAUCCACUUUACAAGACUCUUUAAAAUUUUUCCUUGUCAACAGUCCGUCCAAUCCAAAGUUCAUAAUUAGAGAUUUCCAGUCUGUGUUGUUUAAUUCUAUGAACUCUACUGCAUUCUUCUCUGCUUCCCCUUCAUCUGCUUGGCAACUGGGCAUUGGAAAAUUUAGUCUUUAAAAUAUGGAGCCAAGAAAGAAUGCCUACACAGGCACUCACAUCUGAACAGCCCCCUCUCCUCAUCAAACAAUACAAUAGCUGUUGAAUCCGCAAAUCCCGCUGCCACGGCCACUUGCAGCUGCACUGCAACUGUCGUCAGUAAUUCCCUACAGAACAGACCAAGAAGUAUUAAUGCAGUUCCAAUGGUUUGCAGUGUUCUAUUUGCAGUGCUUAUAUAAUCAAAAUCAAGUGUUGUCUUGUAGUAAUAUCACUCCCAAAGUCUCUAUCUUCUGAUAAGAGGUUAACUUAGGUGGCAAGAUGGUAUCAAUAGGAUUCUUGAAGCAUGCCCAGGCACAAAUAACUAAAGGCAUAUUUCAAAAAAAUUUGGUUACCAAACAGGAAAAACCUAGUAGAAUUAGCAUAAAAUAGGUAAAAACUGGAAAAUCACCAUGUUAAUUUGAGCAGGUCAUUCAAGUACAUGUGGUUUUGGCCUCUUAAAUAUUCAAUCACAAGUACAUUCUAUAUGAUUUUAAGCUACUACAGAAGUAUGAAAAAGAAAAUUAUGAGAAUGUCAACCAGUGUGGAAACUAAUUUCCUUAAGUAACUUCUCUCAAUAUCCUUUUCCUUUAAGACAAUACGGUUACAAGUUGCAACUUAAUUUUUGUCUCCGGACUUACCAUGUGAACGUACUUGAGUCUGAUUGUAACUCGACCCAACCAAGCAAGGGCCAUCCAUAGUUGAUACUAUUGACGCUGGUUGAUGGAAUUGAGUCCCAGGCUAGUCCAGCUUGACUAAUAGUCAAAUAUGCUCUCAAAGCGAACUUUCCUGAGAUUGAGAACAAACCUUGAAUCAUAAAAAGUUCAGGAAAAUAAAUCCGGAGAAUAUUUAAUAUAGUCAACAACCAACUCUUCUUCCUUCAUAAGAGGUGGUGAAUUAGCUCAUAAUAUAGAAGAGUAAAUUUUGUGAAGAUGGGGAAUAAGCUCAAAAUCAUAAUUUCUAUACAAAAUCAGAAAGUUCAAUGAGAGAAUUGCACUCAACUACUAAAAGAUAAUAACAACAUCAAAAUAAAAAACAGAAAAAAAAAAAGAACCGUAAAAGUCUUAUAGACAAGACAAUUUAAUUACAAUAUUCGUCGUGGGAAUUUUGUGGUAUAGACCUUCAUUUAGACUUGGACUUUUUAAUUUUCUUUAUGAAUAAACAAUUGGCUCCUGCUCAAAUGAAAAAUGAGAACCAAUGCUCAGAGUCACAGACAGAGGUGUAGGCAUGGCAAUGCCAAUUUUGCAAAUGAUCAUUUGGUCAUAGUCAAAACCUCAGAAAAGCCAAAACAAGAACAAUAUAACAUCAAAAUUGGGACAAAAACAUGUGUAGCAACUACAUAACAAAGAUUUGUGUCAAUCUGCUCACCUUUUAAAGGUGGUCCACUGGGUUAGUGCAAAAUAGACUAACUUUUUCUUUAUAGGGGCCCUCAAUCAGUGUUGGCUGCUGAACUAGAAGAGAGUUCAGAUAACUAAAAAAUUCUAUAAAUUCAAUACCAUAAAAUACCUCACAUAAAAAUGUUGCUUUUGGAAUUGUAGUUUUCCAAAUGUUCCCAAAUUUAAAAAUACAUUGGCAUAAAGUUAUUGAUGUUUACCUCAUAUUUUUUUCCAUGGUCAUAUCAAACAUUGUUCACAUAGUAAGUCUUCUAUGCUGAUCCUUGUUACUUAAUAUGAGACACAGAAAAGAAAAAGUAGUGAUCAAUUUAUUUUGAUAUCAAAGGGAGCAAAGCCAUAACAUGUAUAUUACAUAUGUAGCCAACUAAGUACAUAUUAUGAUGUGGGUAAGAUUCAAUACAUAUUUCAAUAACCAUGAAUUACCUAAAAAUGUAUCCACGUGUUCUUAUAGGGGAUAAACACACAAGUAGCUAGGAGUCAUCUCUGCCCAUUUCGAAAGGUAAAUUGAUGGUGUCAUGAAAAUAUGAUAACUGGCUUCUUUAAAAUAUGAAUUACCAUGGAUCAAUCUUUCUUUACUCUUCUUUACUUCAUUAGAAAAUUCUUUUUUUUUUAAAAAAAAAGAUAGGGCAGAGCAUGCUGCAUAACCAAAUUCCCAAUAAGAAGGCUAGAAAAUGAGUUAUGGAGACAUGCAACUAUAGAGAUUGUUAGAAAUUUUGAAACAUGAGUACUUGGCCAGCUACUUUAUGAAUUGGAACAUAACUUUUUUAAAGAAAAUAAGUCUAAGCAUAAAACAAAUUACCUGACGGUAUAUUGAUCACUAUUUUUGGAGUUGAGAGAGGGCAAUUUCAUAUAUACAAGAUCAUGGGAUUAUGUUCCCUCUAGAACUCAAUUUUGCUUGUCAAUAGCCCGUGUACCACAUUCCUCUCUGCUCCCCUUUCAUCUGCUUGGCAAUCGGGCAAUUGAAAAAAUUUCAUCUUUAAAAUCUAUAUCCAAGAAAGAAUACCCAUAUAGGCAACAAUUUGGACAACCUCCCCUCUUCAUCAAGCAAUACAAUGGUUGUUAAAUCCACAAAUCCCACUACCAUGACUACUGGUGUCUAUGCUGCAAAUGUCAUCAGAAAUUGCCUGCACGAUAGACCAAGAAGAAGCAUUUGUUUUUAAAACCAGAAGCUUCUAUAUAUAAGUAAAGCAUCUUAUAUAAAGAGUAUAGAUUUACCUUAUCUAUUUAAAAAUCACAUUUUCAAAAAUUUUAAAAUUUGAGAGAAUAAGAAUCUAUUUGGUGAAGUUUUUAAAAAUAAUUUUAUGUUUUUAAAAAUUGAAAACAGUUUUAAAAAAUUAAUAACACUGUUUGGUUAUUCUUCUCAAUUUCCUUUUUAAAAACAAAAUAAAAUAAAGAACAACUUUUAAAGAACAAGUAAAAGUUAUUUUUAUCCAUUUUUAAAAAUAAUAGAAAAACAUAUGCACUCUAUUAUUUCUCUUCUACAUAGAAUUAUUAUUUUUCAAUUUUUUUGGUUAAGUAAAUUAACUCCAAAUUAAACAAAAUUUAAUGUGUUGUAUUUGUUAACAAGUCUAUUAAUUUUUAAAAAUAAUUUAAAACUUAAAUAAUAAACUCAUUAAUACCAUAAAUUUAUUAAUAUAAUAAAAUAUCUUUUUUUCUAACAAAUAAUAAAAUAGUAUAAUUUCUACUAAAAAUAUAAUUUAUGAUUUUAUUAUAAUAUUACUAUUUAUGUUUUACUAAAAACUAUAUAUAUAUUUUAAUUUAUUUGUAAUUACAAAAUUAUUUUCAUUUUCAAUAAGAAUUCAAUUAAAUUUAAUUAAUUAAUAUUAUAUAAAUUGAAUUAAAAAUAUUUUUACAAAAUUAUAAUAAUUUAAAAGAAAAAAACAAUUGAUCCGAACAAGUUUUUUUUUUUUAAAUCCUUCUAUAAUAAUAACUUACCAAAUAUCCUUAAUUUUAUAAAACAUUAAAAAAAACCUUUUUUGAUUCUUUAACAUUAAAAAAGUUUCUAAAAAAAAACAUAAGAAAUCAUGUUCAAACAACAAAUUUUAAAAAAUUAAUCAAAGUAUUUAAUUGACUUGUAUUAAAAAUGAAUAUUAAAAUUAUUUUUAUAUUAUAGAAAUUUUUGUUUCACUAUAAUAAAAAUAUUGUUUCAUAAUUAAAAACAAAAUUAUUUAUCUUUAAUUAAUAUAUAAUUGUAUAUUUAAUUUUUAUUUUUUAAUAAGACUUAACAUGAAUUUGAUUUCAUAUUAUUAUAAAUUAAUUUUAUAAAAUAAAAGUAAUACAUUGUUUUUAAAAAAUAAUACAAAUUCUUUCAUCUUAUUGUUUUUUGUUUUUUAAAAAAUAUUUUUUAAAAUAUCUUGCCAAACAUUCUGGUUUUUUUAAAAAAAAUUUUGCCCUAAAUUUUUUUUGAUACCUUGAUUGUUUUAAACAGUUUUUAAAAUUAUUAAUUUUUCAAUGUAAGCCUUUAAGAGUUAAAAUACAAAAGUUACUGUCACUUAAUUUUAGGCUUAACAAUGUAGGAGAUUUAAGUGGAGGCAAGGAAUUAAGCAGAUAUAUUCUUGAGAUUAGAAAUUUGGGUGGAACAUCAAUUUUGUAAAGAAAUUAAGUUUAAGCACACAACAAUUACCUGCCCAUGUGUUGGUGCACUGCCACUCCCAUUAAAAUAGCACCCAAUCGAUCACUAUUUUUGGAAUGUGAGAUAUAUAACGCCAUUCUUGCCCUUUCUCGAAUUGGAGCCGUUGUUCCAGCAAAGGACACGAUCCGACAUCCAGAGAACAGAGGGAGUCUGGCAGUCUCUCUUUUGUCAAGUAUUGGAGCUUAGGGCAACGGACGAUACUUAAGGUUUCAAGAGUGGUGAGGUGGUGAAGACCCGCUUCUGUCAAGGAUUGGAGCCUUCUGCACGACCAGAUUUCUAAUUUCUUGAGAGAGAUAAGGCGUUGAAGAACAGAUCCUGUCGAGAAUUGGAGCUCAGGGCAGUUCUCGAUCCAUAAUUCUCGAAGAGAGGUGAGUUGUUGAAGCCCCUUGUUGUCAAGAGACUUGAGAUUUGGAAGACCCCAGAUUGAAAGAUGAGUUAGAGAAGAGGGCAGCAGACACUCCUUGGGAAAUAAUUCCACGCCUUCACAUCCACCUCCGAUUGUGAAAUGAGUAAGAGAGGUCAGUCUUUGCAAAUCCCAGUCCACCUGUGACGUGAGUUGGUUGCAGCGCCAUAUUGCAAGUUCCCGUAGGUUGGAAGGCAAACCCUCCCUGUGCAACAACAAUUCUGGACAAUCCGCUAAACACAGUUUCUGCAGAGAUGAAUGGGUGUGCGCCAGCAAUUUGAGAUUGGAGCAAUUCCAAAUAUCAUGGUACAUCGAGUCAAGAGCAGGCAGUUGGAUGUAUACAAGAUUAAGGCACCGAUGGAUCUUCAAAUUACGAAGAGAUGUGGGAUCCCCCUCUGAAAUCGAGAUGCAGAGCUCCUCAAGCCCCUUAAGACCAUUUAUUUCGAAAUCAGUCAACCUGGGGAAGAUGUCCAAUACUGAGAAGGACAACAAGAGAGAAUCACAGGUACCGCCAUUGAUUGAUAGAUUUUCGAGAACCGGGUGAUGGCAUCUGAACAACUUAGGUAGAAGAAGGUCCAAUUUGGUACAAUCAGAGAUUGAUAACGAUUUCAAUGUAGUGGGUAAGCCAACUUUGUUUGGGGAUCUGUAAAAAGAGCAAUCACAAAUUUCCAAACUGUACAUGUUGGUUUGCAGGAUUUCCUCCUCUAGUAGAGACUCCACAUAAUCACAUUUUCUAAUGUAGAGAUAGUGGGGUACCAGUGGAAGUUGCUUCAACUGAGAGACGUCUGAAAUUUCAAUUUUUGAAGUUUGACUAGCUGUGAACCCACAAGUUUGCCUUUUCAACUGCAAUUCACGGGCAGCAAGAACGUUGAGUGUAGGCACAAGCAGCUGUGGGCAAUUUCGAAGGUUAAGUUCCUUCAAUAAAGGAAGGUGCAUUGGUAAUUCCCCAGUGAGUUUUGGACAGUUACUUAUAGAAAGCUCCUGGAAACGAGGGAAUUCUCCAUGUUUGCCUCCACAACAUAACCAUUUCUCCCAAUUGGACAUAGAGGAAAAUGAUAGAGUUUGCAGGGAUGGGAAGGAGGGAUGAAGCGAGGAAGAAGAAUUCCCAUAAAACUCACUACCCACCCUCACUACUCCAUUCAUUCCAAAGAUCUUUAUAUGUUCAAGACAAGGUAGCUGCCCCAGUGGCGGCAAUGUUGAGCAAUUCCUACAAUUCGAAAGCUGAAGGGAUACGAGAUUUGAAAAUGAUCCGUCUCCAAGCCAAUCUGGAAAUGUUAGACCAGGAUACCCUCCAAUGGACAACUUUUUUAAAUUUGGAUGAGGUGUUAGCCUGUUGAGAAUAUCAUCUUGUAUAGCAUCAUGACUAAUCCCCCGACUCCAAUUCAAGGAUAACUCAUCAAGGUAUUUCUUAUCCUUCAUUUUCGCCUGCAAUGCAUCCUCAACACCCACCACAUUCUCCAUUUUUGAAAUUUCAAGUCUUCCUCGAAUCUCUGAAAGCUUCCACAAUUCUCCAAAUCUGAAUCCACUUUCUUUGCCCACAGUAAAAUUAGAUAAUUUCUGCAAACUUUUUAAUUGACCUAUAUCAUUUGGCAUUUCUUCCAAUGAAUUAGACCCACUAAUAUCAAGAUAGCGCAAAUUAAUCAACUUCCCCAUUUUUGAAGGCAAUUCAAGAAGAGAAUCACAAUUACUCAGCAUCAUCGUUUGCAAAUUGCACAAACAACAUAUUGAUUCAGGUAAUCUUUUAAUCCAUGUUGUAGAGAGAUCCAAGUAACGCAACUGUUUUAAAUUGUGUAUUGAAUCAGGCACAUCUCUUAUGCAGUAUGCACGCAAUGACAACACCCGCAAAGAUUUAAAUUUUGGUAAUAUAUUGUGUAAAACUCUUGUACUCAACAAAUAAGGAGGCCAUGAUGUCUUCACCUCUAAGAUUGUUCUGAGAUGUUUGGCUUCACCAACAGGCUCAAAAGUUUCAAACACAGCUCCCCGGUCAUCGUCACUUUCAAAGUGGAAAAAAUGGCGAGCCUUAUCAGAUAUUUUUGGCAGCUUACAAUCUUCCAAUCGAAUGCAAAAUUCUUGGGAGAUAUGUUGAGCCAAGUCAUGUAUCAGAUCAUGCAUUACAAAGCAUGAUUUUUCUCCUCUAAUACAUUUUUGAAAAAACGACUUUGCUAAAAGUUCAUUUAAAUAUGAAUCACCUACCUCUUCCAUUCUUCUGUUACUUUGUCCUGAGUGUAAAAACCCUUCUGCCAUCCAUAAUAGAAUCAGCUUCUCUUUGUGGAAUUCAUAGUCCUUGGGAAAAUUUGAACAGUAAGCAAAACAACGCUUCACAGGAGGAGAGAGAUGCUGAUAACUCAAUCUAAGAGACGGAAGAAUUUCAUGAUCAGUUUGGGAAUGCCACGUUUCGCUAUUCAAAAUAUCUUCCCAUUCUCCUUUUUCGGCCUUGUAGUACAAGAGGCUCCCGAGUGCUUUAACAGCCAAAGGCAAUCCUUGGCACUUGUCCACAAUCUUUCUUCCUAUGGGCUCAAGCUGUGGAUAAGCGCUGGAGUCUCCAUUUGGAAAUGCAAGUUUUGUAAAUAUGGACCAACUAUCUUCAGGGCUUAAUGUCCCCAAAUGAUGAGUAGGGACUGCUCGCAUGAUUUUUGCAGCAGUUUCACUGCGACUAGUCACAACAAUCUUGCUUCCCUCUGCUGCAGUGAGGAGUGGAUUUCGUAGGCCUACCCAAUCAUCAGACUUCAUAUCCCAGACGUCGUCCAGAACAAGAAGAAAUUUCUUGUUACCUACUCUCUCUUUGAGUUUAAGCUGAAGCAAAUUUAGGGUGUCAUCAGGUUUAGUUUCAGAACCGAUUUCCUUGAGAAUUGAUUUUGUCACCUCCUCGAUGAGAAAAAUCUGAGUGGAAACACAGACCCAUGCUUUCAAGUGGAAGUGUUGCUUGACCGUGUCAUGGUUAUAGAGAAGCUGAGCGAGUGUGGUCUUGCCGUUGCCGCCGAUGCCCACUAUGGACAUCACAUCUAUGUUGUUGCCUGUUGCAUUUUCCUUAUCAGAAAGCAACCACUUCACCAUCUCCUCUUUGAUUCCAUCCCUGCCCACCACAGAGGACUCAUCCACCAAAGAAGUGGUUGGUGGCCUUGGUGACAGUUUAUCGCCCUCACCUUCUUUCAGCCCAAGCUUCUCUUUUUCUUCAGCAAUAUCUUCAAGCUUAGCAAUCAUCUCCUUCACCCUGGACUCCAUGCUUUGAUUGGCAAAUGGAGCCUUAACCCUGGUAGAGAACUUGUUCCACACCUGAUAAAUUCCACCAGGUUGGGAGUCAGCAGCUUCAAUCUCGCACCGCAAGGCUUCGGUAGCGAUCUCGUCCAACAGGUCCUCCGCAUGAUACACAGCAUCCUUAACCUGGACCAGCCAGUCUUUGACUAGUGGGUCUGAAAAUUGCUUCAUCUCCGCAUCAUUGAGCGCUUUGUGGACAACCAGCAAUUUCCUCUUCAAUUUGUUGAGGAGUUCAUGGCUAAGCUUCUGUCCCCGGAUGAAGUUCAUCAACUCCGGAGAAGUCAACCUGUCGAAUAGAACUUGAAGUGAAGCGGAUAGGAGUGCGUCGGCCAUAUCUGUUGACUGUUGCUUUGCAAAUCAAAGGAACUCAGCGAUUCAGUUCAGGAAAAAACGAAGGUAAAGCAGAUGCAGAAUCACACCACCAAACUGUAGUGGACUGGUUUGAACACGAGAUCCAAAAAUAAUGGAAAAAUAAAGAAGGCCACAGAGAGGCACAUGGGGCUGCACCAAACACCAAGGGAUGCACAUGGUCUGUCACCCUCGAGCAUAAAACUCAUGUUAUGUUUAUUAAUGACUCUUAUCUUUUUCAAAUCCAUAUAUAAUUUUAUCUAUAACUUCAUGCAUGUUUUUUUCAAUUGUUAGUAUUGAUUUUUUAUUUUUUUGUUUUUAAUAUAUUGGUGAAUCAAUUGGUGGAGUUGGGGCAGAUCUUUUGACAUUGAUCUAGGUCUUCAAUUUUUUCUAGAUUUGCUCUUUAGAAUAUUGUAUUUUAUUUACCAUUGCAAAAUAAUUAUUCAAGCUCUUAACUUGAAAAUAUUAAAAUUAUUUUUAACAAUUAGCAUUUUUGUUAAAAAAAAUAACUCGGUAGUUUAUGAAUUAAAGUAUGAAAAUUGUCAUUUUCUAUGUUUUCAUAAUGAUGUAAUUGUGAAACUCCUAACCCCCCAAAAAAAAAAAAAAGGAGAAAAGAAAUUUCACCUUAAUUGGCUUUUGUCAAAGGCAUAUAUACCUUUUACUCGCAUUAGUUCUAUACCUACUUGGAUAUCCUUGGUUUUGUACAACCGAUAAUGAAUUUCAUUCAAUUUGAUCGAUUUUGUAGUUCUUUAGUCGAUUUUAAUCAUAAUAAAAGAUUGUCUAUAUUUGAAUGUUUAUGUAAAUUCAACUGAAUUAAGAAUUUUUAUAUGACAAAAAUAAAUCUUAAUUAAAUAACCUUAUUAUUGCCUUCUCUAGCUAUAGCAGUCAUAAAACUUCUCAUAAUUACAUCAUCACCACCUUCACUUUCCAAUCUUGAAGCCACCUUGCAAGAUUCCUUAACAACAUCAUUAUUCAAUUCAAAAAAAUUUCACAUAAAUUAAAUAUAUAAAAAAAAAAAAUCAUUUUUCUCAAUUUUUAUUUUUUUUCUUUUCUGAGCAUUUGUCAAGCAAAUAAAAAAUAGGCUAAAUAACUUGAAAAUAAAUUGAAUAAUAAACCAAAGGAUGGAUUGGUAAGAUUAUUUAGUAUUGUUUAAUCAUAAUAAACAAAAGAGCAUUGCAAAGAUUAUUAUAAGAUGCCUACUUAAAUCAAUAAUAUCCUCCUCACUUCCUUCCAUAUACACGAGAUUCAAAAAAUAAAAAAAUAGAAUAAGCCAUGCGCAUGAGAUUCAUUUAGUUUUAUCGAGAGAGUUGUGCCUCUCAUGUACACACACACGCCAGAUUAAAUUGAAAGAUGAAAUAAGUCAUAGAAGGCUCAUGGGGCUGCUUAAAGCCUCACAGAGAGAGAGAGAGAGAGAGAGAGAGAGAGAGAGAGAGAGAGAGAGAGAGAGAGAGAGAGAGAGAGAGAGAGAGAGAGAGAGAGAGAGAGAGAGAGAGAGAGAGAGAGAGAGAGAGAGAGAGAUGGUUUUUUUUCUUUUCUUUACUUUUGUGAAAAAACAAUCAUUUAUGCUAUGUUUGGUUGGUUCAUAGAAAGUUUGAAGGAAGAUCGUAAGACAAAAAAAAAAAAAAAAAAACAUUGCAAAGAAAAAAAAUGAUUUAAAAUUAAUAAAUUCAUUUUACAUAUAUAUUAAUUCUUUGAUAUAAGAUUAAAUAAUUUAAAAAUAUAUAAUUUUCUUAAUCAUUUUAAUUACAUUUGACUUUUUUUCAUAUAUUUUUUUCCAUAUUUUAUAUGAUAUAAUAAAAAAUGAUAAAAUCAUUUUUCUUAACAUUUUCUUCUUUUCUUGAUAAUUUUCAGGAACUAAAUAUAAAUUUAUAUUAAAAGUAAUCCUUUAUAUUAAAGUCAUACUUGGUUCUCAUAAAGUGUUCCAAAAAAAAAUGUUAAAAAAAAAUUAAUUUUCUCCUGUUUGAUUUUACUAUUAAGAAUAUGAAAGAAAGUCAAAUAUAAUUAAAAUUAGUAAAAAAAUUUAUAUAUUUUCAAGUUAUUUAAUUUUUAUAUAAAAGAGUUAAAUAAGUAAAAUGAGUUUAAAAUAUGAUAUAAAAACAAUUUAUUGACUUUUCACAUCUAAUUAUCUUAUCCUUCAUUUGUAAUACUAGAAGUAUCAAAGAAAUGAAAAAAAGGAAACCUACAUGAGAAUUUAAAAUCAUAUGUUUGAAUGAGAGUGAAAUCUCAAAUACUAAAUUACAUAUAUUUUUAUUAAUGAAGAAAAAUGAGAAAUAAUAUUUUUUUUAAAAAGGAUCUAAAUUUUUUCCCUUUACUUUUUUUACAUGUCACAAACAUGGUUCUCUUAGUUUCUAAUCUUUCCUAAUUCAUCAAAGAAUAAAUCCCCAUAGUCAAUGACACAAGUACUGCAGACAUGGCAAUGAGAAUUCUGCUAAUGAGAAGCUAGCACCAAAAGAUUUAGGUCUUCUCUUAUGACCCAUAACCAUGACAUUCAUCUCAAUGAUCAUCUCUAUGAAGACAAAAAUUCCUCGUCACAAUACCUAAGAAAUGCCAAAACAGGAACAAAACUUCCUACCAAACUUCAAGCCCAUCUGCCUACCUUUAAAAGGUGGUCCACUGGGUCAAUGCAAAAUAGACCAGCUUUUAUUACAGAGACUCCCAAUCAAUGAAUGCAGGCUGCUAAACCAAAAUAUAAAACAAUAAGAUGUUUUUAGGUUAUUGAGAACAUGAACCAAAACAAAGAAAACUUUUUUGUUUUAGUGAAAAAUAAGACAUUGAAAGGAUAUGCAGUCAUAAAACUUGCAAUUUUGUAUAUUGCAGAGUUAAAUCUCCACUUUUAAUACACUGGAAAGGGAAUAGCAGCAAGAAAAGACCAAAGCAAUUAAAAUUUCUUACUGCCAAAGCACAAUACAUCCCUACUUUACUCCAUGCUUGUAUAAGAGAACAUAGACCCAGAAAGUGACAAAAACCUAAGCAUCCAUGGUUUUCCAUAGUUAUCAAGUGGUUCACUUGGUUUAGGCAUACUGCCAAAUAAAAACAGAGCAUGACCUUGCCAGUACCAUUAGAAUAUGGCAACUAUCUGCAUCCAAAAUGUGAGCACUUAGGUUCAAUCCUCCUCGACUCCUCUUCAAUAUUUGUUUCAAACUUGAAGCUUCACGAAAAAAGAAAAUCCCUAACACACCUGCCAUCGUUAAAAAAAUUAGCAUCAACAAGCAGACAUAAGAUUCCUUGCACCUAACAUUGACAUGGACUCAAAUUAUCCAAAACUAACCUAAAUUCAUGGAGAUGAAUGCCAAUCAAGCAAAGCACGUGCCUGUGUGAUGUUUGGUCAGUCAUCUGGAGAAGCUUGGAGCACGCCCAUGAUUAGAUCUGUCACAUGAGCUGUAUUUUGGUAAUUCUGGAAUGCGGUAUUUUCUAUUUAAGAUAAUAGAUGGUGAGAAACAUAUAGUCAGAUGAAUAAUAAAACACAUACUCUAGUAUUCUACUGAUUGAUUCACCCAUUCACUAAUCAUUAAAAAGUCUAGAAAUAUAGAAGCUUAAAUUUUCGAAUUUAUGGACAUAGUAAAUAAGCUCAUAAUCAUCAUUUCUAUACAAAAUCAGGAAGUUCAAUGAGGAAGUUGCACUCAACCGCCUUAAGAUAAUAAGGACAUCAGAAUAGAAAACAAAGCUACAAAAAGUCUUAAAGCCAAGAUCAAUUUAAUUAUAGUAUUCUUCUUGGGAGUUGCAUGGUAUAAACCUUCGUUAAGACAUGGACUCUAAUUUUCUUUUCAAAGAAACAGCUAACAUCCUGAUCGGAUAAACAAUGAGAGCCAAUGCCCAGGGCCACUAACAGGAAUGUAGGCAUGGAAACAACAAUUCUGCUAAUGAGAAGCAGCACAAGAAGACCGUCACCUUCAGGAUCCAUGUCAUUGAUCCAAAUGAUCAACUCAGCAACAGUUAAAAAAAAAAAAAGUAUACAAAAAUUCAUAGUCACAGUCGAGAUCUAAGAAAUGCCCAUAAAAGAACAUAACCACAUCAAAAUUAGGACAAAACAAGUACAACUACCUAAUAAUAAAAAAAUUGACCAAAAUACUUCAUGUAAACAAAUAAAAAAAGUUGACCAAUUCAGUAUCAUAAAAUACUUCAUAUAAAAUUUUUGCUUUUAAAAUCGUAGUUUGCUAAAUGAUCCUAGUUGGUUGAUAUGGAACACAUGGAGAAGAAAAGAAAAAACAAAAAGUAUUGAGUAAUUUAGUUUGAUAAAAAUUAAAAAGAAAAUGGAAAUUUAUUCGGAGAAGUAGCAUCAAUUACCCAUGGAAUAAGUGCCUGCAGAUGUCUCCCAAAGAAUCUUAAUUCAUUCGUAAAGCUACAAUAUUGACUACAAACUAACCAAAAAGAUCAAAAACUUUAAAUUCAUGCAAAUUAAUUUAUAAUAAAACAAAAAGAAGAGAAAUUCAUUCUCAUAUACAAAUUCUAAAAGGAAGAGUGACAAGAAAAGAUUAACUAAUAAAAACUCCAAAGGGGUGUGGUGGUAUAGAAACUUCGACCUUCCUCAUUGUUGGCCUAAUUACAGCCUCAAAGAUGAUUAAAGAGCCAUUGCUCAUGUGAUUAAAAUAUGAUAACUAGCUUUGUUAAAAUGUGAAUUACCAAGAAUCAAUCUUCCUUUACUCAUCUAGAGAUGCGUAAAUUCUAGAGAUUGUCAGAAAUUCUGAAAAGUACUUGACAGCUACUUUAUGAAUUGGAACAUAAAGUUUCUGAAUAAAAUAAGCAUAGAAUUAAUUACCUGACUGUAUAUUGGUGCGGUACCACUUUCAUUAAAAUAUCACACCAUUGAUCACUAUUUUUGGAGGUGAGAGCAAGCAAUUGCAUAUAUAUGAGAUCAGGGUACCCUCUGAUUUGCAAGUAACGUCAAUAGCCUGUCCGAUAUGAAGUUCAUAAUUAUAUGAACUCUAUUGCAUUCUCUGCUUCCCCUUCAUCAGCUUGGCAACUAGGCAUUUGAAAAAAUUUGGUCUUUAAAAUCUGGAUCCAAGAAAGAAUAACCAUACAGGCACACACACCUGGACAGCCUCCCCUCUUCAUCAAACAAUUCAAUAGCUGUUAAAUCCAUGGCCGCUGGUGCCUAUGCUGCACAUGUCAUCAGGAAUUGCCUGCACAACAGACCAAGAAGAAGCAUUUGAGUGCUUAUAUGAUCUAGCAGCUCCAUCAGAAUCAAGUGUUGCCCUGUAGUAAUAGUCACUCCUUAAGUCUCUUAUGCUUAAGUCUCUCCCCAUGUGCAGGUAGGUAUCUGGGUCUGAUUGUUACUCAACCCAACCAAGCAUGGGCAUCCAUACUUGAUACUUUUCAGGUUGGUCAAAUUGAAAUGAGUUACAUAUAAUGCUCAUCUCCCGUAUCGUUUUUGAAGCUAGUUCGGCUAGACUAAUAGACAAAUAAGCCCUCAAAAUAAACUUGCCCAGGUUGAGAACAGACCUUAUAUUGAGAUAGUCCACAACCAACUCUGCUCUUAAUAUAUAAGAAAUAAUGAAAAAUAAAUAGUCAAACAAAUAAUAAAAUGCAUAACCUAAUAUCCUAUUGAUUGAUUCACCCAGUUUUUAACCAUUAGAAAGUCUGGAAAUAUAGAAGAGUGACUUUUCGAAUUCAUGAGGAUGGUGAAUAAGCUUAGAAUCAUCAUUUCUACACAAAGUCAGUUGGUUCGAUGAGGGAAUUACACUCUUAACUACUUUAAGAUAAUACAACAACAUCAAAAAUAGAAAAUUGAACUACAAAAGGUCUUAAAUUAAGAUCAAUUUAGACAUAAUAUACUUCUUGGGAGUUUCACGGUAUAAACCUUUGUAAAGAAUUAGACUCUCCUUCUUUAAGACUAUGGACCCAAGACUCAUACUCACUGAUAGAAGUGCAGGCAUGCCAAUGAGAAUUCUGCUAAUGAGAACCUAGCAUAAGAAUAUUAAUGUCUUCUCCUGUGAUCCAGAACUAUAGUCCGAAAUGGGAUCCAUGACAUUGAUGUCAAUGAUCAUCUCCAUGACAACAGAAAAUAUACAGAAAUUCCUAGUCAUAGUCAAGACCUAAGAAAAGCCAAAACAAGAACAACGAAACAUUAAAAUUGGGACAAAAACAAGUGCAUAAGCUUCCUAAUGAACAUUUAAGUCUAUUAGCUUACCUUUAAAAAGUGGACCACUUAGUUAGCACGCAAUAGACCAGCUUUUGUUACGACUCCCAAUCAAUGCAGGUUGCUAUUAUCAUAACCGAACUUUGUUCCUCAUAAGCAGUCUUUUAUGCUGAUACUGGUAACUUAAUAUGGAACAUGUACAAAAAAGAAAAGAAAUAACAAAAAGUAGUAAUUAAUUUCGUUUGAUAUUGAAUGGAGUAAAGUCACAACAUGUGCAUAUGCAAGUAUAUUAUCCUAAAAACCACUUGCAAAAGGCACCAAGUACCCAACUAAUAUCAGACUUGAAUAACCAUGAAUUACCUAAAACUGUAUCCACAUGUUCCUGCAUGAGAUAGAUACACAGAUAGUUUCAACUUUGCUCAUUUGGAAAGAUCAAUUAAAGCUACAAUGCAAAUUACCUGGGAUGAAUUUUCCUUUGUUGGAGAACUUCUCAAAUCAAACAAAUAGAGUUUGUUGCUUGCUCAAAUCUUCAACAACUGGACCAGCCAAAGACUUGUGUAGAUGUACAAUUCCUAAAGAGUGUUGAGCAUAUUAGGAGCCUUUGAAUUCUGAAAGGAGGUCAAGACCUUAACAAUGUAGAAGGUUUAAGUAAUUCUGUUAUCAAACAUGGUAAAAUUGAUUAAACAAAACCUUGAACAGUGAGGUAUUUUCUUCUAAAAAAGAUGAGUCCACCAUUGUGUGGACUAUUGAGAAUAUAAAAAAUACGACAUCAGAAUUAUAAGUAACUAAAAUUACCUACCAAUAAGCAGCUAGCUAGAAUAAAUCCAUGGUUUUCUCCAUGCCUGUAUUAGAGAAAUGACAAAGAAAGUGAGGAAAAAAAAUCAAAGCAUUCAUGUUUUUCGACAGUAAUUAAGUGGUUCACUUGGGUUAUGCAUACUGCCAAAGCAUGAAAAUAUGAGUACCAUUAAAAUAUGAUCUGAACUGUCUGUGUCAAAAUGUCAGCACCUAGGUUGAAUCCUCAUCUACGGCUUUUCAAUAACAUUUGUCCUAGGGUUGAAGCUUCAAGAAGAAGAAAUCUUAAAUCAAAUAAAUGGAGCUAAGGAAUUAUGCAGAUAUAUUCUUGAGAUUAGAAAUUUGGAUGGCUACAUCAGGAAUUGGAACAUAAAUUUUCUAACAAAAUAAGUUCAAGCACAAAGCAAUUACCUGCCGAUAUGUUGGUGCAGUGCCAUUUUCAUUAAAAUAGCACAUCAUCGAUCACUAUUUUUGGAAUGUGAGAUAUAAAACGCCAUUCUUGCCCUUUCUCAAAUUGGCACUGUUGUUCCAGUGAAGGACACUUGAGGACAUACAGAUAAGAGAGGGAGUUUGGCCGUCUCUCUUUUGUCAAGUAUUGGAGCUUAGGGCACUUGUAGAGAUCUAAGGUUUCAAGAGUGGUGAGGUGGUGAAGACCCGCUUAAUAAAAAUUAAUAAAAUAAAUGAAUUUAUUAUAUCUGGAAUAUGUAUAUAUGUCUUAUCUUAGGAUUAAUAUAUAUUAAAUAUCCAUUAAUAGAAAACCCAUUUUUUCUCUUUCCACAAUCUAAUCCUAAUACGAAAAAUCUUGAAAUAUUAUUGGUUUUCUAGCUUUCUUUUAAUUUCUCUAAAAUUUUUCAUUAAGUAAAUAAAUUUGGAAUCAAACUAUACCUCAUAGGUAAAAUUUAUUAAUUUUUAAAAUUAAUUUCAAACUCAAAAACCAAUUUAAUUAGUACUAAAAAGUCAAAAACACAAUAAUAUUAUAAAUUCAUAGGUCAAAAUUUAUUUAAAAUAACUUGGUUAGCUUCUUCUUCACAUAUAACCUAUUUUUAUAAAUUUUUUUCAUGAAGCAAAUAAACUUCAAAUUAAUCGAGACUUGAUGUGUUGAAUUCAUUAAUGAGUUUAAUAAUUUUUAAAAAUAAUUUAAAACUUAAAUAAUUAUGUAAUUAAUACCAUCAAUUUAUAAAUAAAAAUUGGUUUCAAAUGACUCUAUUUUUUUUUAUUUUCUAUGUAAAAUUAUUAUUUUCUUAUUUUUUUGUUUCUAUUAUGCAAAUGGACUCCAAAUUAAACAAGACUUAAUGUCAUAUUUUUAUCAAUGAGUCUAGUAAUUUUUAAAAAUAACUUAAAACUUAAAUAGUGAACCAAUUACUAUUAAAAAUUUAUGGACAAAAAUUGAUUUAGAAUAAUUUUAUUUAUUCUUUUUCUUUACAUAAUCAUUAUUGUCCGAUUUUUUAAACAAAUAAACUUUAAAUUAAACAAGACUUAAUACAUCGGAUUCAUUAAUAAGUUUAAAAAAUUUUAAAAAUAAUUUAAAAUUCAUAUAAUAAACUCAUUAAUAUAAGAAAUUUAUGAAUUAAAAAUGAUUCAUAAUGACUAUUAUUUGUAUUUUUGGUUUUAUUUUAAAAAUAAUUUUUUAAAAAUAAGCGUUAGAAGACAUGUUCAAACGGACCCUUAGCUUUUAAAAAACAAUGCAAUUAUGCAUUUUACAAUCUUUUCUAAAGGUAAUUACAAAUUGUUUUAGUUGUUUUUCCACCUUUCAACCCAAAAAAUUGUUGAAAAUAUAAAUAAAAAAAAAUAUUGUGAUAUUCAACUAUUUCACUUGAAGUUACCCAAAUAUGAAAAUAAGGAUUGAAGGGUGCAAUCAUGCAACCCAAUGGCAUUGAUUUAACAUAGGUUUUGUCCAAUUUACAACCAUAUAUAUUAGUGCAAUCACUAAUAAAAACUCAUUUUAAUGAUCAAGAUAAGUCAUUCUUCUAAUUAUGAGGUAGUAUGCUACAAUUUUAGAUUGAUUGUUCAAGUUUAUGAAUUGGUUGUAAACAAUCCAUCAACUUACAAUAAACUUAUGACUUGGAUCUUUCGUAUAACUUUUUAUACACUAAAAUCUUAUACAAUGCAAGUGAUGUAAACCCGAGUGUUCAAAUAAAUAUUAAUGUAAAUAAUGGCAGAAUAAUGGAAAUAGAAAUCAUAAUAUUAUAUAUAUAUUUAUGAAAUUUCACUUAGUUAAAUCAUGUUAUAUUUUUAAAGGCUUUGAUUUUUUUAAUUGGAUCUUGGGCUUUUAGGAUUUGAUCUUGGGUUUUAGUUGUUUCAUUCGAUGUUAGGCAUUUAUAAUUUUAUUUGGGAACAAUUCAUUUGAUCGAGGCUUCAAUUUUUUGAUGUGGGCUAUAGGCUGUGAUUAUUUCGGGCUUUGGGUUUUUGUGAUUUGGGCUAGUUUUGAUCAUUUAAUUUGUUGUUUUGGGCUUUGGUUUGGAUUGAUAUUUGAUUAGGCUUUGGGUAUUGGAUUUGUUGUUUCUUAAUUUGGAAAUAAUAUUUGACAUUGGCUUUUGGGCUUCGCUUUUAAUAUGUAGUUUUGACCUUGGUUAAUUCCUAUUUGAGCCCCUGGUCGGAUUAUUUCAUUUUGGCCUAUUGAUUUGUUGACUUGGACUUUGUGUUUGUGCUUGUUUGUGAUUUAGGCUUGGUCUAUUGUUCUGGGGUUUUAGUUUGAUUGUGGGCAUUUGUGUAUUACUUUGGGCUUGGCCUUUAUAAUUGUUUUGAAUUUAUUUAUGGUAUGGGCUUGGUUGUUUGAUUUUGACCUUCUAUAUACUCUAUUUGACCUGGGCUUAGGGCUUUCAUUUAGUUUAUUUGAGCUUGGUUAAUUUGAUUUGGAUUUGGGCCUGUUAUAACUUGUAAACUAUUUAGGCUUGCUUUUCUUUUAUUGAACAGAAUCAACAAAAGUAAGGUGUAUAUUUUUUUAAACAAGCAGAAUACGCGCAUUCAAAGUUUUGAAAAAUAGUUUUGAAAAAUUAAUUUUAAUCUUUUUUAUGUAUAUAAAUAUUUUCCAAAAAUAACUUUAUGAUAUAUAUUUCUUCAAGCAAUCAUAAACGAAAAAAAAAAAAAACAAAUGAAAAUAACCGAAAACAACUCAUAUAUUUUUUCAAAAAACACCUAAACCGGCUUGCUUUUUUUUUUUUUUUUUUAUCAAACAGUUUUCCUAUUUUCUUGUUCUUAAAUAUAGAUAAACAAAAGUGGUUCAUUGUGACCCUAUCAUUUGUCUUUUGUUUUUUAAUUUUAAAAUAGGUUUUAAAAACAAGUAGAAAAAUAUGAUGAAACGAACCCUUAUCUUUUAAAAAAUAAGGCAAUUCAAAAUACAUUUUAAAAGGCAAAUUAUAAAUUUCUUUAGUUGUUUUCUCAUCUUUGAAUCGAGAAAAUUUGUUUGUACGAUCUUUCCAUCUAAUUAGUCCCUUGAAAUAUUUGUCCCCUUUUUCAGUAUUAUCAAUAUAUUUAUGACUAUUUGAAUGAAAAUAUAAGAAAAUAUCAUAAAUAUUCUCAUGAAACUCCUUGAUAGCAAUUAUUUCACUUAUCAGUGAAAAUAAAGUUACCCAAAUAUAAAAAAGGAUCGAAGGAUGCAACCCAAUGGCAUUCAUCGAGAUGGCAAAGUUUGAUACAAUUUGCAAAUACUUCUAUAUAUACUCAUCUUAUCUUAUAUUUCAUUGAAUAUAAGAUAAGAUAAAUUAAUGGAUAUUUAUCAUAUAGUAUCCCUACCAAAAAUGUCCCCUCCUUUAUUUGAACUCAUGGUAGGUGAAAGAAUGUAUUUUCGUGCAAAUGAUAACAAGGCAAUGAUUCGAGAUCAUGAAUAGAAAGAAAUUCCAAAAGCGCUACACAGUAACCUUCCUCAUGGUUGGCCUUAGAGCUGAAUCCUCCUGAAUGCACCAAAUGGACACCAUCACUAGCCUCUCCAACCUCUUCAUAUCAUUCAUAAUUUGCAUCCUCAUCAUCUUCCACCAACUUCUCCAACUUCCUUUGCACAAACAGUUCAUAAUCUCGAUCCAUUAGAGCUUCCUCUCCGUCUUCCAUAUGAAAGAGGAAAUCUUCUUCUAACACAUUGUCUCUAUAAAUGGCUACUUUGCAUAAGCAAUCCUCUUUACAUGACUCUUUAUACUUCUCCUGCUCAACCAAUUUGUGUUGUUUAAUUCUUUCAACUCCACUUCAUCCUUCGCUUUCUUCACUUUCUUCGCUUCAUCUUCAUCUGCUUGGCAACUCCACUUCACUCUCACUCUCAAGAACAAAGUUACCGAGCAUGGCAGCAUGAGUAACCCCUUUAACAGCCGACUAAGUUCUCCAAAGCUCAUAUCCUCAUUUGUCAGCGAGUUUGAACUCCCCAUUUUUGGUGAGUUCAAUUUUUGUACCCUUCUGCCACUUCUUUAUCUGCAUACCAAAUUAUUGUUUGGUAAUUCAUGUUCGCUAAUUGCAUAUAGAACAUAAUUAGCCCUUUUAAAAAUAAUAAUUAAUAUGAUCAAUCAUCUUCUAAGAUGGCAUGUUACAUAAAAGGUAACAAGAUUAUGCUACUUUUUAAAAUUUUUCCUUAGGGUGUCAAUGUCAUAAUGUGGGUACAAACUGACAGUAUAGGAACAAGUACAUUGAUAAAAAUUAAAAGAGAAAAAUUCGAAAUUUAUUCAGAGAAGUAGCAUCAAUUGCCUAGGGAAUAAGUGCCUGCAGAUGUUACUCCUUAGUCCCCAGUAUGCUUGAAACAAACUGGAGACUGAUCAGUUUCUUACAGUAUCAGAAGACGGCAGCCUAGCUAUAGCUAACCACACAAAGAGAUUGAAGAACACUGAGCUGCCAAGUAGUAGUGACCCAACAAGAAUCAAGGUAGACUUAUCUGGGCCUGUCUGCAAGCCUUUUGCUCUGUUUUCCACAGGAAAGAAGGAAUCUCUUCUGCCAACACAUUGUCUGUAUAAAUGGCUACUGCACAGAAGCAAUCCUCUUCACAAGACUCUUUAAAACUUCUCCUUGUCAACAAUCCGUCUAAUCCAAAGUUCAUAAUUGGAGAUUUGCCAGUCUAUGUUGUUAUUCUAUGAACUCUACUACCUGCUUGGCAUCUGGACAUUGGAAAAUUUGGUCUUUAAAAUAUGGAGCCAAGAAAGAAUGCCUACAUAGGCACUCACAUCUGAACAACCCCCUCUCCCCAUCAAACAAUACAAUAGCUGUUGAAUCCACAAAUCCCGCUGCCACUGCCACUUGCAGCUGCAUUGCAAUUGUCAUCAGUAAUUGCCUGCAGAACAGACCAAGAAGUAUUAAUGCAGUUCCAAUGGUUUGCAGUGUUCUGUUUUCGGUGCUUAUAUAAUUAAAAUCAAGUGUUGUCUUGUAUUAAAAUCACUCCCAAAAUCUAUCUUCUGAUAAGAGGUUAACUUAUGUGGCAAGAUGGUAUCAGUGGGAUUCUUGAAGCACGCCCAGGCGCAAAUAACUAAAGCCAUAUUUUCAAAAAAAUUUGCUUACCAACCAAGAAAAACCUGGUAGAAUUAGCAGGUCAUUCAAGUACAUGUGGUUUUGGCCUCUUAAAUAUUCAAUCACAGGUACAUUCUAUAUGAUUUUAAGCGACUAGAGAAGAAUGAAAAAGAAAAUUAUGAGAAUGUCAACCAGUGUGGAAACUAAUUUCCUCAAGUAACUUCUCUCAAUAUCAUUUUCCUUUGUGACAAUAUUAAAGACCUAUAGUUACAAGUUACAACUUAAUUUUCAUCUCCGGACUUACCAUGUGAACAUACUUGAGUCUGAUUGUAACUCGACCCAACCAAGCAAGGGUCAUCCAUACUUGAUACCAUUGACAUUGGUUGAUGGAAUUGAGUCACGGGCUAGUCCAGCUUGACUAAUAGUCAAAUAUGCUCUCAAAACGAACUUUCCUGAGAUUGAGAACAAACCUUGUAUCAUAAAAAGUUCAUAAAAAUAAAUCUGGAGAACAUUUAAUAUAGUCAACAACCAACUCUUGUUCUUCAUAAGAGGUGGUGAAUUAGCUCAUAAUGUAGAAGAGUAAAUUUUCUAAAGCAUGAAAAUGGGGGAAUAAGCUCAAAAUCAUCAUUUCUAUACAAAAUCAGAAAGUUCAAUGAGAGAAUUGCAUUCAAUUACUUUAAGAUAAUAACAACAUCAAAAUAAAAAACAGAACCACAAAAGUCUUAUAGUCAAGACAAUUUAAUUACAAUAUUCGUCGUGGGAAUUUUGCGGUAUAAACCCUCAUUUAGACUUGGACUUUUUAAUUUUCUUUAUGAAUAAACAAUUGGCUCCUGCUCAAAUGAAAAAUGAGAACCAAUGCUCAUAGUCACAGACAGAAGUGUAGGCAUGGCAAUACCAAUUUUGCAAAUGAUCAUUUGGUCAUAGUCAAGACCUAAGAAAAGCCAAAACAAGAACAAUAGAACAUCAAAAUUGGGACAGAAACAUGUGUAGCAACUACAUAAUAAAGAUUUGUGUCAAUCUGCUCACCUUUUGAAGGUGGUCCACUGGUUUAGUGCAAAAUAGACUGAUUUUUUCUUUACAGGGGCCCUCAAUCAGUGUUGGCUGCUGAACUAGAAGAGAGUUCAGAUAACUAAAAAAUUCUAUAAAUUCAAUACCAUAAAAUACCUCACAUAAAAAUGUUGCUUUUGGAACUGUAGUUUUCCAAAUGUUCUCAAAUUUAAAAAUACAUUGGCAUAAAGUUAUUGAUGUUUACCUCAUAUUUUUUUCCAUGGUCAUAUCAAACAUUGUUCUCAUAGUAAGUCUUCUAUGUUGAUCCUUGUUGCUUAAUAUGAAACACAUAAAAGAAAAAGUGGUGAUCAAUUUAUUUUGAUAUCGAAGGGAGCAAAGUCACAACAUGUACAUUACAUAUGUAGCCAACUAAGUAUAUAUUAUGAUGUGGGUAAGAUUCAAUACAUAUUUCAGUAACCAUGAAUUACCUAAAAAUGUACACGUGUUCUUACAGGAGAUAAACACACAAGUAGUUAAGAGUCAUCUUUGCUGGGCAACCAGGCAAUUGAAAAAAUUUGGUCUCUAAAAUUUGUAUCCAAGAAAGAAUACCUAUACAGGCAACAGUCUGGAUAGCCUCCCCUCUUCAUCAAGCAAUACAAUGGUUGUUAAAUCCACAAAUCCCACUACCAUGGCUACUGGUGUCUAUGCUGCAAUUGUCAUCAAAAUUGCCUGCACGAUAGACCAAGAAGAAGCAUUUGUUUUUAAAAUCAAAAGCUUCUAUAUAUAAGUAAAGCAUCUUAUACAAAAGUGUAUAGAUUUACAUUUUCAGAAAUUUUAAAUUUGAGAGAAUGAGAGUUUAUUUGGUGAAGUUUUUAAAAAUAAUUUUCUAUUUUUAAAAAUUGAAAAAAGUUUAAAAAAAUUAAUAACACGGUUUGGUUAUUCUUAUCGAUUUCCUUUUUUAAAAACAAAGUAAAAUAAAGAAUAACUUUUAGAGAACAAUUAAAAGUUAUUUUUAUCUAUUUUUAAAAAUAAUAGAAAAACACAUGCACUCUAUUAUUUUUCUUCUACAUAGAAUUAUUAUUUUUCAAUUUUUUUGGUUAAGCAAAUUAACUCCAAAUUAAACAAAACUUAAUGUGUUGUAUUUGUUAACAAGUCUAUUAAUUUUUAAAAAUAAUUUAAAACUUAAAUAAUAAUCUCAUUAAUACCAUAAAUUUAUUAAUAUAAUAAAAUAUCUUUUUUUUCUAACAAAUAAUAAAAUAGUAUAAUUUCUACUAAAAAUAUAAUUUAUGAUUUUAUUAUUAUAUUACUAUUUAUGUUUUACUAAAAACUAUAUAUUUUUUAAUUUUUUUGUAAUUACAAAAUUAUUUUCAUUUUCAAUUAGAAUUCAAUUCAAUUUAAUUAAUUAAUAUUAAAUAAAUUGAAUUUUAAAUAUUUUUACAAAAUAAAAAUAAUUUUAAAAAAAAACAAUUUAUCCAAAGAAGUCUUUUUUUAUUUUUUAAAUUCAUUUUACAAUAAUAACUUACCAAAUAUCCUUAAUUUUAUAAAACAUUAAAAAACCUUUUUUGAUUCUUCAACGUUAACAAAGUUUCUAAAAAAACAUAAGAAAUCAUGUUCAAACAAAAAGUUUUAAAAAAUUAAUUAAAGUACUUAAUUGACUUAUAUUAAAAAUGAAUAUUAAACUUAUUUUUAUAUUAUAGAAAUUUUUUAUUUCACUAUAAUAAAAAAAAUCGUUUCAUAAUUAAAAAUAAAAUUACUUAUCUUUAACUAAUAUAUAAUUUUAAUAAGACUUAACUUGAAUUUGAUUUCAUAUUAUUAUAAAUUAAUUUUAUAAAAUAACUAAUAUAUUAUUUUAAAAAAUAAUACAAAUUUUUUCAUCCAAAGUUCUUGCUUUUUGUUUUAAAAAACUAUUUUUUAAAACAUCUUGUCAAAUACUCUAAUUUUUAAAAAAUUAUAAAAAACAGAUUUUUGUAGCCCUAAAUUAUUUUUUUGAUACCUUGAUUGUUUUAAACAGUUUUUAAAAUUAUUAAUUUUUCAAUGUAAGCCUUUAAGAGUUAAAAUACAAAAGUUACUGUCACUUAAUUUUAGGCUUAACAAUGUAGGAGAUUUAAGUGUAGGCAAGGAAUUAAGCAGAUAUAUUCUUGAGAUUAGAAAUUUGGGUGGAACAUAAAUUUUGUAAAGAAAUUAAGUUUAAGCACACAACAAUUACCUGCCCAUGUGUUGGUGCACUGCCACUCCCAUUAAAAUAGCACCCAAUCGAUCACUAUUUUUGGAAUGUGAGAUAUAUAACGCCAUUCUUGCCCUUUCUCGAAUUGGAGCCGUUGUUCCAGCAAAGGACACGAUCCGACAUCCAGAGAACAGAGGGAGUCUGGCAGUCUCUCUUUUGUCAAGUAUUGGAGCUUAGGGCAACGGACGAUACUUAAGGUUUCAAGAGUGGUGAGGUGGUGAAGACCCGCUUCUGUCAAGGAUUGGAGCCUUACGCACGACCAGAUUCGUAAUUCCUUGAGAGAGAUAAGGCGUUGAAGAACAGAUCCUGUCGAGAAUUGGAGCUCAGGGCAGUUCUCGAUCCGUAAUUCUCGAAGAGAGGUGAGUUGUUGAAGCCCCUUGUUGUCAAGAGAGUUGAGAUUUGGAAGAACACAGAUUGAAAGAUGAGUUAGAGAAGAGGGCAGCAGACACUCCUUGGGAAAUAAUUCCACGCCUUCACAUCCACCUCCGAUUGUGAAAUGAGUAAGAGAGGUCAGUCUUUGCAAAUCCCAGUCCACCUGUGACGUGAGUUGGUUGCAGCGCCAUAUUGCAAGUUCCCGUAGGUUGGAAGGCAAACCCUCCCUGUGCAACAACAAUUCUGGACAAUCCGCUAAACACAGUUUCUGCAGAGAUGAAUGGGUGUGCGCCAGCAAUUUGAGAUUGGAGCAAUUCCAAAUAUCAUGGUACAUCGAGUCAAGAGCAGGCAGUUGGAUGUAUACAAGAUUAAGGCACCGAUGGAUCUUCAAAUUACGAAGAGAUGUGGGAUCCCCCUCUGAAAUCGAGAUGCAGAGCUCCUCAAGCCCCUUAAGACCAUUUAUUUCGAAAUCAGUCAACCUGGGGAAGAUGUCCAAUACUGAGAAGGACAACAAGAGAGAAUCACAGGUACCGCCAUUGAUUGAUAGAUUUUCGAGAACCGGGUGAUGGCAUCUGAACAACUCAGGUAGAAGAAGGUCCAAUUUGGUACAAUCAGAGAUUGAUAACGAUUUCAAUGUACUGGGUAAGCCAACUUUGUUUGGGGAUCUGUAAAAAGAGCAAUCACAAAUUUCCAAACUGUACAUGUUGGUUUGCAGGAUUUCCUCCUCUAGUAGAGACUCCACAGAAUCAGAUUUUCUAAUGUAGAGAUAGUGGGGUACCAGUGGAAGUUGCUUCAACUGAGAGACGUCUGAAAUUUCAAUUUUUGAAGUUUGACUAGUUGUGAACCCACAAGUUUGCCUUUUCAACUGCAAUUCACGGGCAGCAAGAACGUUGAGUGUAGGCACAAGCAGUUGCGGACAAUCUUUAAGGUUAAGUUCCUGCAAUGAAGAAAGGUGCAUUGGUAAUUCCCCAGUGAGUUUUGGACAUAGCCUUAUAGAAAGCUCCUGGAGACGAGGGAAUUCUCCACAACAUAACCAUUUCUCCCAAUUGGACAUAUCUUCAAAUGAUAGAGUUUGCAGGGAUGGGAAGGAGGGAUGAAGCGAGGAAGAAGAAUUCCCAUAAAACUCACUACCCACCAUCACUACUCCACUCAUUUUUGAGAUCUUUAUAUGUUCAAGACAAGGUAGCUGCCCCAGUGGCGGCAAUGUUGAGCAAUUCCCACAAUUCGAAAGCUGAAGGGACACGAGCUUUGAAAAUGAUCCAUCUCCAAGCCAAUCUGGAAAUGUUAGACCAGGAUAGUGUUGAAUGGACAGUUUUUUUAAAUUUGGAUGAGGUGUUAGCCUGUUGAGAAUAUCAUCUUGUAUAGCAUCAUGACUAAUCCCCCAACUCCAAUUCAAGGAUAACUCAUCAAGGUAUUUCUUAUCCUUCAUAUUCGCCUGCAAUGCAUCCUCAACACCCACCACAUUCUCCAUUUUUGAAAUUUCAAGUCUUCCUCGAAUCUCUGAAAGCUUCCACAAUUCUCCAAAUCUGAAUCCACUUUCUUUGCCCACAGUAAAAUUAGGCAAUUUCUGCAAACUUUUUAAUUGACCUAUAUCAUUUGGCAUUUCUUCCAAUGAAUUAGACCCGCUAACAUCAAGAUAGCGCAAAUUAAUCAACCUCCCCAUUUUCGAAGGCAAUUCAAGAAGAUGCCUACAUUUACUCAGCACCAUCGUUUGCAAAUUGCACAAACAACAUAUUGAUUCAGGUAAUCUUUUAAUCAUUGUUGUAGAGAGAUCCAAGUAUCGCAACUGUUUUAAAUUGUGUAUUGAAUCAGGCACAUCUGUUAUGCAGUAUCCACACAAUGACACAACACCCGCAAAGAUUUAAAUUUUGGUAAUGUAUUUUGUAAAACUCUUGUACUCAAUGAAUAAAUAGGAAAGGGUGGUACUUUGUUCUCCGCUAAGACUGUUCUGAGAUGUUUGGCUCGACCAACAGGCUCAAAACCGUCAUAGUCACUUUUAAAGUAGACCAAAUGCCUAGUCUUAUCAGAUAUUUUUUGCACCUUACAAUCUUCCAAUCGAAUGCAAAAUUCUUGGGAGAUAUGUUGAGCCGAGUCAUGUAUUAGAUCAUGCAUUACAAAGCAUGACUCUUUUGCAAAUGAUUUCUUUGUAAUAGACUCUUGAAAAAACGACUUUGCUAGAAGCUCAUUAAAACAUGACUCACCUACCUCUUCCAUUCUUUCAUCACUUUGUCCUGCGUGUAAAAGCCCUUCUGCCAUCCAUAAUAGAAUCAGCUUCUCUUUGUCAAAUUCAUAAUCCUUGGGAAAAAUUGAACAGUAAGCAAAACAACGCUUCACAGGAGGAGAAAGAUGCAGAUAACUCAAUCUAAGAGAUGGAAGAAUUUCAUGACCACUCUGGGAAUGCCAUGUUUUGCUAUUCAAAAUAUCUUCCCAUUCUCUUUGCUGGGCCUUAGAGUACAAGAGCGUCCCGAGUGCUUUUAGAGCCAAAGGCAAUCCUUGGCACUUGUCCACAAUCUUUCUGCCUAUGGGUUCAAGCUGAGGGUAAGCGCUGGAAUCUCCAUUUGGAAAUGCAAAUUUUGUAAAUAGGGCCCAACUAUCUUCAGGGCUUAAUUCUCCCAGACGAUGAGUACUGACUGCACCCAUGAGUUUUGCAACAAUUUCAAUACGAGUCGUCACAACAAUCUUGCUUCCCUCUGCUGCAGCGCGGAGUGGAGUUCCUAGUCUAUCCCAACUUUCCCAAUCAAGAGACUUUACGUCCCAGACGUCGUCGAGAACGAGCAGAAGUUUCUUGUUACCUACGCUCUUUUCCAGUUGACGCUGAAGCAAAUUUAUGUUGUCAGAGGAAGGAGGUGUAGAACCGAUUUCCUCGAGAAUUGUUUUGGUGAGGUUGGUAAGAAGAAACUCAGUGGAAACACAGACCCAUGCUUUCAAGUCGAAGUGUUCCUUCUCUGUGGCAUGGUUAUAGAGAUACUGAGAGAGUGUGGUCUUGCCGCUGCCGCCCAUGCCCACUAUGGACAUCACCUCGAUGUUGUUGCCUCUUGCGUUAUCAGAAAGCAACCAGUUCACCAUCUCCUCCUUAAUUUCAUCCCUUCCGUACACAAUGGACGACUCACCCACCAAAGAAGAGGAUGGUAAUCUUGGUGACGGUUUCUCGCCCCCACCUUCUUUCAGCCCAAGCCCAACUUUUUCUUGAGCAAUAGUCUCAAGUUUAGUAAUCAUCUCCUUCAUCCUGGACUCCAUGCUUUGAGUAGCAAAUGGAGCCUUAACCCAAGCAGGGACCUUGUUCCAGUUCCACGCCUGAUGAGUUCCGCCGGUUUGCGAGUCAGCAGCUUCUAUCUCGCACCGCAAAGCGUCGGUAGCGAUCUCGUCCAACAGGUCCUCCGCAUGAUACACAGCAUCCUUAACUUGGACCAGCCACUUUUUGACUUGUGCGUCUGAAAAUUGCUUCAUCUCCGCAUCAUUGAGCACUUUGUGGACAACCACCAAUUUCCUCUCCAACUCCUUGAGGAGGUCAUGGCUGAGAUUCUUUCGCCGAAUGAAAUUUAUGAGUUCCGGAGAAGCCAACCUGUCGAAUAGAACUUGAAGAAAAGCCGAGAGGACUGCGUCCGCCGUUGCAAAAGGAAUUCAGCGAGAUUGAAUACAGGAAAAAAUGAAGGUAAGCGGAAUGCAGAAUCACAGCAGUAAAGAGUAAAGACUGGUGUCUUUUGCCAAGGGCUUGAACUUGAAGGAAUCAUUGAUGGUGGUGGACCCAGAUGCAGACUUUUUUGCCAAACACAAUAAUUGAGUGGUGACCGGUGAGUAAACGAAAGCAAAGGGGAAAGCAAAAGCGCAUAAAAAAGCUGAUGCCAGACUCUGUUGAGUAAGGUGGGUAGUGCCAGCUUUUUAUUUGUUUUUCUUUUUAAUAUACUCAUUUCUUUUUCUACUACUAUUAUUAUUAUUAUAACAGACGAAUAUUUGUUUCAACAUUAAUAUUCCUAAUAUUAUACUUUCAUUUUUUGUAGUAAUAAUGAUUUCAACAUUUGUGUUAAUACUAUUAUUUUUAAUAAUUAUAAAUAGUAUUGCAAUUCUACAAUUACUAUCACUAUAUUUUUAUUGCUUAUAAUUAUUAUUAAUAGAAUUUAUUAAUAUACAUAUAUAUAAAACAUUUUUACAUCAAUUUAAUGGAGUAGGUGGAUGGAUGUUGAUUUGACCAUUUUUACAUAUUGAUUGAUCCAUUGUCUCAAUUCAAUGGUGGGUCGAAAGCAUUUUUAUAUCAAGUUGGUGGAGUAGGUGGAUGAAUAUUGACUGAUAAAUUGUCUCAUGAAUUUCUUUUCUGUUUUUUUGUUAAAAUUUUAUUCCUUGAAAGUUAAAACCAACUUAAAAUGCAUUGUAAAAUAAGUUUCAAGCUAUUAACUUGGAAUUACAAGAAUCAUUUUCAAUAAUUAACAUUUUUAUUUUUAAAAAGUAACUACUAAAAUUAAGAUUUAAUUAUGAUUAUGAAAAUUGUUGCUUUUUACAUUUUUAUAAUGAUACUGUUUUUUACAUAUUAAAUUUUUGGAUUGUAAUGUGACUUUUCUUUAAUUGGGAUGUCUAAAAAAGAAGUAAGAUAAUUAGAAAUCUUAUUUCCAGCACUGUUUGGAGUUCUUACUUUCUAUUGUGAAUUUGAAAAUUAAAUUAAAAAUAUUUUUGAUAAUGUUUCUAUUAUAACGUUAUAUUUAAUUCUCAAAAAAUAUUAAAAAAAAUACAAAAAAAUGAUUUUCUUAUAUUUAAUUAUGAUAUAAAAAAUAUCAAAGAAAAUAAAAUAUAAUUAAAACUAAUUAAAAAUUUAUAUAUUUGUAAAUUAUUUAAUUUUUAUAUAGAUGAGUUAAAAUAAGUUUAAAAUAGUAAAUAAAAAUAAUUUAUUUUUAUUUUCUUUCACUUUUUCUUUUUUUUUUAAUUUUUCUUUCACAUUUUCUUUCAAUUAUUUUGGGAAUCAAACAUAAUUGAAGUGUUUAUAAUAAAAACGCUUUUUCUAAAAAUGAUUUUAAGAGAAUCACAUAUCCAAUGUUAAUUUUUUUAAAAUAUUAUAAGUAAUUUUUUAAUAGUAAAAGUGAUUUUUAAAAUUUUUAAUAAUAUUUUCUUAAUUUUAUCAAAUACUUCACCUUUUUUUUUUUUAAGUAGAAGCACUUUUUUAAAUUAUUGUUAAACUAAUUCUAACAAUAUUGAAACCACCAAAACAUACUAUUUAAAAAUCAUAAUAAAUAUUAGGUGAAUGAUUCAAGUAGGCAUGGAUUUUCCUUUAUUUUAUUUUAUUUUAUUUUUUGUAACCAGGAGUGUUGGAUUAAACUUGAUAUUAACACCAAAGGCCUCAUUUUUGGAAUUUAAUUAACAAAAAAUUCCUUUUCAAGUUGAUAUUAAUAUAAAUAAUUUUAUGGAGUCCAGUUUUCUGCAAACAUACUUCUUUCAUUGAAUCAAUUUUGGUGGGUGGUGGAAUUUUUUUUUCUUUUAUUAUUAUCAAUUUGGUGGAGUCGGUGGGUAGAUUGGUGGAAUCGGAUACUGCCAAAAAAGCAAAAGCAUCCAUAGGAUGAUGCCUACCAUUCCUUCUUUUCCACUUUUAUUUUUUGAAAUUUUAAUCCUUUCACUGAAUUUGACAACCAUCUUAAAAUAAUUAUUCGGAGCUGAUUUAAAAUAAUAAGGAUCAUUUUUAAUAAUUUUUUUUAAGAAAAAAUAAUUAUUGUCUUACACUCUAUUUGAUAAUAAUUUCAAAAAAUAUUUUUAAUUUUAAAAAUUAGAUAUUUAUUAAAAUAUAAAAUAUAAAAAUCUAUUUAUAAUAUUAAAAAAAUCACUUAUUAUGUUUCCUAAAAUAACACUCGAGUUCAUGGCUGAGAUUUUGUACCGGAUGAAGUUGAUGACCUCCGGAGAAACCAACCAGUCGAAUAGAACUUGAACUUGAAGGGAAGCCGAGAGGAGUGCGUUCGCCGUACCUGUUGACUGCAAUUCUGGAGGCUGGUCUCUAUUGCCAAAAUGCACAAGCUUGGAGGAAUGAUUGAUGGUGAUGGACCCAGAUGCUGACUUUUUGGCCAAACACCAUAAUUGAGUGGUUAUUAAAAGAAAGCAAAGGGGAACCAAAGGCCAAAAAAGCUGUGGUGGACCCAGAUGCUGACUUUUUUGCCAGACACCAUUGCCUUGUGACUUGUUAGUAAAACAGAGCAAAGGGAAAAGCAAAAGCAGAAAAAGCAAUUUUUUUUCUCUAAAAUAUCUAUUGGAGUGUCCCACAUUUCUAGUCGGAAUAUAUAAUUUUUUUAAUAAAAAAAUUAUUCUAUAGAUUAUUUUCUAAAUUCAUGUACAAAUGUAAUUAGAUUUUUUAUAAAAUAAAAAGACAGUAGAUUAACCAAUGACAACCACAUACAAUUUAAUAAUUAAUUAAUUAAUUAACUAAUAUUAGGUUAAUUCAGACUCAAAUUAUUUGACCAUCAUAGUCAUGAGAGCCUAAAAGAGAAGCUAACAGCAAAGAGGAUGCAUACAAUAAAACCAAAAUUAUGUGGUAUUCCCAUCAAGCAUAUCCUCCAUCACUUCUAAAAAGCAUUAAAAUUUUUGAGAUUCGGAUAGGAUUCAAGCAACUUGCAAAGAAAUUUCCCAUAUGAAGUUGGUAAUUAUUAGGAAGAGAAAAUUUAUAAUGGAAGAAGGAUUGGAUUGGAAGUAAUUGUUUGAAGUCGUCAACAUCAUGACAAAGUUGUUGGUAACUGUGAGGCUGAGAGAUUAUUGUGGGCUCUCCUCCACAUGCCUGCCCAUGUGUCGGACCACGUGUCGCACACCCUCAGCCUUGUCUGAAUAGAUGUCAUAGUGACCAUUCUAUUCGGACCACACCUGCACCCCACCUAAGUGGGCAACAUCCCCCAACCAGACUCUGUGUCCUCUUUGCUAUAUAUAAUUAUUUUCAUCUAACAUAGGAAUGACUAAUGCGAUCUUCUUCAACCUUACGUCCAUGUUAGUGGAUUCUCACACAUUGUCCCACAUCUUCAGCAAGUUGAAACGACGGGCAGCUGCAUCAUGACAUAUUGGCUGACGACACUUGCCAACCGCUCUAAAUAAUGAUGAUUGUAAUGGGCAACCAUCAUUAUAGGAAAAGUCAAAGUGCCAACUUAGUACAAUAGUGACUCCCUCCUAAAGACUAUAAAAACCCUCCUAAAGACUAUAAAAACCCUCCUAAAGAUUCCCCCAUUUUCUCUCCUCUCUAAAGGUUCCUAUCUACCUGUGCCUGAUUUAAGCUUUGAAGGGACGUACUUGAACAACUUGUCCGAACAUCCUUUAUGCAGGGAAGAAGCUUGUCAAGAUUCCAAUUUAGCAGAAGCUCUCAAUGGCACAACAAGGGGAGAAUCCAUCUCUAGUUGACUUCGCAUCAACAAUUAUUAUUUGAAACAUCAUAUUAAAUAUCAACCUCUUAUUCAUCAAAAGAUUGGCAACAAGAAAAUUUGGCCUAACUAGUAGAUAGGUUUAAUCGCAUGGUCCAAACUAAGAUUGAAAUAAGAAUGCAAGCUUUGUGUCCACAACAUGCUUUCAUAUUGCUGAUAUACAAAACCACCGGGUGGUUUUCUAAGUUUUGAAUAUUCCAAAAGCUUGAUAGACUUUUGGAGUUGCCAAAAUUUCUAUAUAGAUAGAGUUCACAACUGUUUUGAAUUUUCAAAACACCUAAAAAAGAGACCUUUUGCAACAAGUACUUGCCAAUUUUUCAAUACUUGUAAAAGUGAGAACAUGGACUGGUGAAUCGUGUUACAUCAACUGGAAGAGAAGAUGACCAUCUUGGUGCUUACCUACCAUCUUGAAAUUUGUAACCAUAGUGUAGCAACCUGAGUUUUGGGUCAAAAUGGCCCAUUUACACAAAUAUAUAUAUAUAUAUAUAUAUAUAUAUAUAUAUAUAUAUAUAUAUAUAUAUAUAUAUAUAUAUAUAUAUAUAUAUAUACAUAUAACCAUUUUAUGAAACUUAUAUUCAAAUUAGCCUAUUUGAUGUCACGUAGGAGUCGUGUUAUAAAAAUAUAUAUAUUUUUUCAUAAUUUUAGUUAAAGUCUCAAUUGACAAUUUAUGCUUUAUUUUUAAAUUGAAGUCGCAAUUGCUAGUUGAGGUUUCAUUUUUUAACUGAAGCCUCAAUUGAUAACUGAGACUUUAUUUUUUAACUAAAACCUCAACUACCAACUGAGGUUUCAAUGAUUUUUUUUAUUUAAAAUUAAUUAAAAACUAUUAAAUUAUAAUUCAUUAAUUAAAUUAAAAAUAUAUACUUUAAUAAUAAAUUAGUCGUCAACCCAUCAUCUCAUCAGUGUCAACAUCAUUACAACCCCCUACCUUUUUAUCUCUAUAAUUAGUACAGUCACCCAUAUCUUCAGAUCUACCAUCAGUGCAAUCCCUUACCUCUUCACACUCAUCACCAAUGCAACCCCUUACCUCUUCAAACUCAUCAUUAGCAUAACCCCCUAUUUUUUAAAACUUAUUUUCAAUUUAGCUCCUUACCUUUUCAUACCCACCAUUAGCACAACCCCCUACCUCUUCUGACCCACUAUCAGUAUAACCUCUAACCUCGUUAGACCUACCUCCAUUACAACCUCCUACCUCUUCAGACUCACUAUCAGUGUAGCCCCCUACCUAUUCAGACUCAUUAUUAGUACAACCACAUACUUCUUCAGACCCAUUUUUAGUGUCUGCUAACCCAUAUGUCGAUCCCCUUUCAUUGCACCUAGAUGUUUCCUUAGCUACUUCACUAGGACCUGAGUUUAGGACAUUAGUUCUACUAUCACCGGAGUCAUUUAUAUUUGAUUCUAUACCUAUGCGAUUGACACAUCUACUCAGUUAGAUUUAUCCCCAACCAUUUUGAAAGGUAGGUGUGACCUACAUUGACUUAGAUUGCUACCUCCACCACCACCUCUAUUCCAACUCUAGCUUCAACACAAAUAGAUGUUCUUCAUAUGUCAAAUGUAGUAUCUACUACAGUUAGAAAAGAGCAACCAAAACAGAAGAGAGUACCAAUUACAUAUGAGUUAUCUCCUUGUGGAGACAUGUGAGAUUAUAUAUGUUUUUUUUUCCCACUAUAUAAAUGUUUAAUGGGUAUUUUUUUGUGACUUUGAUGAAACUACUAAAAAUUAUAUUUUGUAGUAGACUUUUUCUAAUUAAUUUCAUUAACUAAUUUUAUCAAAAAAUCUAUAUAUGUCAACUUAAGGGUGUACUAUUAUUUUAAUAAAGAUAAAUUUGUCAUAAUACAAAUAAAUUAUUAUCUUAAAUUAAUAAAUUAUAUAAUUUUAUAUCUUAUUUAUAUGUUAUAUAAAAUUAUUAUUUUAAGAUUAUUAAUUUAUUAAUAAAUAAAAUAUUCAUUUAUAAUGUCUUCUAUUUAUCAAUUUAUAUUUGUUAAAGUAAUACUAGAUUCUAAGUUUAAAUAUAAAUAAUUUAUUAUGAAAGUAUAUAUUUUUAAUUUCAAUAAUAAAUUGUAAUUUAAUAGUUUUUAAUUAAAUUUUAAUUUUUUUUUAAAAAUUAACUAGCCUUAGUUAACAAUUGAAACUUUAAUUUAAAACUGAAACCUCAGUUGACAAUUGAAGUUUUAACUAAAAUGAUGAAAAAAAAAAAUUUUAUGACAUGACUCUUAUGUGGCAUCAAAGAGACCAAUUUGAAUAUAUAUAUAUAUAUAUAUAUAUAUAUAUAUAUAUAGAUAUAUAGAUAUUAUAAAUGGGCCAUUUUGAACCAAAACUCGUAGCAACCUUGUUUGUACCAUUAGAACAAGAAAAUGAGACCAUACUAACAAAGAAAACACUAUAAGAACAAACAUAUGUUCAACUAAAGUUCAUGAUAUAUAGAACUUCCGAGAUAACACAGAUUGAACUAAAGGGGAAAGGACAAGGGGGCACAGGAACUUCAACAACUCUUUCAAGCAUCAGUAUUACCAUUCCCAUGUAGGGCCUCAAAGAAGGGUCCUCUUGGAUGCACCAAAGGGCAACCAUCACCAUCCACUCCAUCAUCGCCAUCUCAUUUCUUGUUUCAUCAUCAUUCUUCACUAGCUUAUCCAAUCUGUGCCCUCUAUAGCAAUCAUAAGCUCAAUCAGUUAGUAUUACUUCCUCGUCAUUUUCCGGCUGUGAAUGUUGAAAAGCACAGAAAUGGAAACAAGGACACAUAAUUUGCAUUUGAAACUGAGGGCAGUUUCAAUAGUCUGAACUAAAGGGGAAAGUACAUGGAGGCGCAGAAACAUCAACCAUGCCUUCAAGCAUCAGUUUGACAAUUCUCAUGGAAGGCCUUAAUGAAGGGUCCUCUUGAAUACACCAAAUUGCUACCACCACUAACCUCUCCAGCCCUCUGUAGACCCUCAAUUUUGUUCCUUUAGCACAUGUCUUUAAAUUCGUUUUCAAUGCUCCACAAUAGUUCCUUGGUGGCCCAUGGCUACUCAUACCACUUACCUUUUUCUAAGUCACCUCGGAGAUUUUGGUUGAGGGAUUAUUUGAUCCUUUAUUGUGACCCUUGGCAGCCCUAACUUAGACUUAGGCUUUUCUUGUUUUUUUAGGAUAGCUUUUAGAUACACUUGGCCCAUUAGGCACUACCCUAGGCCCACUUAGUCUCACCUUAGGCCCGUUUAGGCACACUAGGCCUACGAAGACUUUUAUUUUAUUUUAUUUUAUUUUAUUUAUUUAUUUAUUUAUUUUGUUUUUAAUUUUAAUUUUAUGAUUAUCAUUCACUUUUUAUUGGUUAUCUUCCUCUUUAUAUUAUUUUCCUUAACUUAUUUAUUUAUUUAUUAUUUUUACCAUUUUUUAAUUUAUUUACUUAUUUAUCUAUUCAUGCAAUUAUUUAACUUCAAAAAUUUCAUGUUUUUGCAAGGAAACUUACCAUUGGAGUUUAAGGAAGACGGGACUCUCCUUGGAAGGUUUUGGAGGGGAAGUUGAAAUUGGGAAGAUUGCUUUUGAUUGGAGGAUUUAAAAAAAGAAGAGAAGAAGAAAGGAAGGGGGAGAAUUUUCCUUUUUGGAAACAAAUUUAGGUCUUGAGGGGUGAUAUAUAUAGGUGAGAAAAGGAAAAGAAUAGAGAGAUUUUUCUUGGGGGGCAGAGCACACGGAAUUUUGGAAAAAAGCAAGGGACUUCGAACGGAGAUCGGGCUGUCAUUUAAUCAUCAAGAGAGGAUUUUCUCUUUCACUUCAAAGGUUAGUUUUCUAUAUAGUACUUUUAUUUAGCCUAGAUUUUUUUUUUUUUUUUUUUUGGAAAUUUUAGUUUUUGAUUAAUUCUUUGUGUUAAAGUUUAUAUUAUUUUCUUUUUAAAUCCCCAAUUAGUUUAAUUCUAAUCUAUCUUUUAGUUUAAGUUUGUUAAUGAUUUUAAUUCUUAAGUUUAAAUAAUCAUAUUGAAUAAAGUUUGUAUUUUUAAUCCCAAUUAGUUUGAUUUCAAUUCGUUUUUAAUUUAAAUGCAUUAGUUGAUCUUAAUUCUUUGUUUUAAAUAAUCACGUUAAAUAAAGUUUGUAUUUUUAAUCCCAAUUAAUUUGAUUUCAAUUCGUUUUUUAGUUUAAAUGUAUUUUGUUGAUCUUAAUUCUUUAGUUUAAAUAAUCAUAUCGAAUAAAGUUUGUAUUUUUAAUCCCAAUUAGUUUGAUUUUAAUUUGUUUUUUAGUUUAAAUGUAUUUUGUUGAUCUUAAUUCUUGACUUUAAAUAAUCACGUUAAAUAAAGUUUAUGUUUUUAAUCUCAAUUAGUUUGAUUCCAAUUCGUUUUUAGUUUAAAUACAUUUUAUUGAUCUUAAUUCUUAAGUUUAAAUAAUCAUAUCGAAUAAAGUUUGUAUUUUUAAUCCCAAUUAGUUUGAUUUUAACUUGUUUUUUAGUUUAAAUGUAUUUUGUUGAUUUUAAUUCUUAAGUUUAAAUAAUUGUAUUGAAUAAAGUUUGUAUUUUUAAUCCCAAUUAGUUUGAUUUCAAUUCAUUUUUAAUUUAAAUGCAUUAGUUGAUCUUAAUUCUUUGUUUUAAAUAAUCACGUUAAAUAAAGCUUGUAUUUUUAAUCCCAAUUAAUUUGAUUUCAAUUCGUUUUUUAGUUUAAAUAUAUUUUGUUGAUCUUAAUUCUUGACUUUUAAUAAUCACGUUAAAUAAAGUUUGUGUUUUUAAUCUCAAUUAGUUUGAUUUCAAUUCGUUUUUAGUUUAAAUACAUUUUGUUGAUCUUAAUUCUUAAGUUUAAAUAAUCAUAUCGAAUAAAUUUUGUAUUUUUAAUCCCAAUUAAUUUGAUUUUAAUUUGUUUUUAGUUUAAAUGUAUUUUGUUGAUUUUAAUUCUUUACUUUAAAUAAUCACGUUAAAUAAAGUUUGUGUUUUUAAUCUCAAUUAGUUUGAUUUCAAUUCGUUUUUAGUUUAAAUGCAUUAGUUGAUCUUAAUUCUUAAGUUUAAAUAAUUAUGUUAGAUAAAGUUCAUGUUUUUAAUCCCAAAAUAGUUUAUUUUUAAUUUAUUUGUUAGUUUAAAUAUGUAUGUGAUUUUAAUUUAUUAGUUUAAAUAAUCAUGUUAGAUAAAGUUUAUAUUUUUUUUUAAUUCUAAAUUAGUUCAGUUUUAACCUAUCUUUUAGUUUAAGUAUAUUUGUGAUUUUAAUUCAUUAGUUUAAAUAAUCUUGUUAGAUAAAGUUCAUAUUUGAAAUUCCGAUUUAGUUUAGCUUUUAUUUAUUUUUAAUUUGGAUGUGUUUGUAAUUGUAAUUUAGUAGUUUAAUUAAUCUUAUUAAAUAAAGUUCAUGUUUUUAAUUACAAUUUAAUUUAGUUUUAAUUUGUUCUUCACUUGUAUGUGUUUGUGAUUUGAAUACAUUAGUUUAAUUAAUCCCGUUAGAUAAAGUUUAAUCUUGAUUUAAUUUAUUUUUUUAGUCUAGAGGCAUUUAUGUGUUUAGUUAAUCUUAUGUUAAUUAUGGAUUGUUAUUCUCAAUUUAUGCGCUUCUUGAAUCCUUGUUGCUAAUUCUUGAUGGAUAUUUCAUUAGCUUAUUUGAUCUAAAUAUUAAUAAUUUAUUGCUUUGAUAGUUUCCUUUUUGUUCAAAGGCCAUUGGAAAAUCAUGAAGAUUGGCCUCUACCAUCACCAUUAUCAUUUUUGUUAAUUAUUAAAAAAAUUUUACUUUGAGGUUUCAUUUUUGUUUUGUUGGGUAUUUUAUUUCUUAUAUUUUAUUUUUUCCAAAUUAAUUCCUUUUAUUUUAAAAUAAAAUACUUUUCUCAAAAAAAUCAUUUUAAAAAUCUAUUUCAAAAACUCAUUUAGAGUCCUCAGGAUCAAAAUCUCUUUUUUUUUUUUUUUAUUAUUUAAAAAUAAUAUGAAACCAUAUCUUGUUCGGUUUGCAUCAUUCUCGGUUUUUAACAAAAAUUUUGGUUUUGAACAAAGACACGAAUCAAAGCUUGUGGUCCCACAUAAAUGGGAUAAUUCUGAGCUAAAUUCGUGUAUAUCAAUUGGGGAAUUGGUGAAACCCCUACAUAAGAAAAUCUUUUCAAAAAUUAUUUUUGUUGCCAUUUUUGUCACUUGUUGAAAUUAUGUCUAUCUUUUUUAGGAAUUGUAUAUAAGAUGUGUGUGAUAAUUAAUGUUUUCAUAUACUUUGAUAAUUUUUGUUAUGCCAAUUAGAUAACAAGCAUGCUAGGGUUUCUUUAUUUUAUUAUUAUCUAAUCCCUCAUGUCUUAUGGGAGCGCAUUGUAAGUUAUUUAUGCUAUCCAGGUACGCCCCCCCCUAUCGCCUACUUUCUAAAUUUUGUAAACAAUCGUGUCACUAUGAAGUAUGCAUAUGUUUGAUAAUCCUUAGGUGUUUAGAUGUGUGUUAUACUUCUAUACUAACUCUGAUGUUUUAUGAUAGCGCUUGAGAAGCGGUCCGGGUACGCAUCCUAACCUUUCUUUUAUGGCAAUUUGAUCUUGUUUAGCAUGCAAAUCUUUUGAAAUCACCUAGCCUACUUAGUAUCCAUAAUUAACCGAUUAAUUGCCAUAUUCCCCUUAACUUAAUUAGUAGAGACCUCUUUAGGGCUUAGAGGGGUGCUACCUCCUAGAGGUACCUUCCCAAUAAGUAACCUGAUCCCCGGACCAAGACUUGGGUUUUCGAAGACACGCUUUUCCAAAAAUUAUGGAGUCAUUUUUUUAGGGUUUUAUUUCUUGUUUUAUUUUCCCUUCAAAAAUAAAAAUAAAAUAAGUGGCGACUCCAACUUUUUUUAAAAUUAAUUUUUCACAAUAAAAAGUGAGUCUCGCCGAUCGAGUGGGGACGCACGUGAAAAAUGCGGGUCCACACCCUCCUCAUGUCAGUUCUUGCCUCAUCAUCAGUCUCCACAAGCAUAUCCGAUUGGUGACCUCUAUAGCAAUCAUAAGCCAAUCAGGAAGGAUGGCUUCCUCUUCAUCUUCUGUUUGGAAAUCAAUGCACCUCCUGCAACAAAUGAUUUCCAGUAACAUGACCCCCAUAACUAUAAGCGUCUAUUUUUGCUGUAAUUGACUUGCUCUUGAACCAUUCUGACACAAGUCCCUCUGAUGGUUAUAAGUGCCUGAGUUUCAUCACUCAUCACAAGUUUUGUCAAUCCAAAAUCGGAAAUCCUUGCUGUGAAUGAAUCAUCCGGAGGACAUUUUGAGGCAUGAUGUCACAGAGGAUGAUCUGUGUGCUACACUCCUGAUGCAAGUACAUCAGCUCUCUUGCAAUCUCAAAUCCCAUUCGAAAGUGGAUAUUUCUUCUUCCAGAAGGUUUCUUCUUUAAUUUAAAGACAGCAACCACACAAUUGUAGUCAUAUACAUAAGAUAUCCAGCAGAGGUCUUCACCUAAGCAUUCUAUCUUCUCAAAGUUUGCAGUGGCAGUCCAAACUAUGUUAAGACUUCUCUUGUAAGUUCUCUGGGUUUGAACCUUCUCCUUGUUCACCUUUUUGUACCAUCUUCAGCUUGCAGCCAUUGGGCUUGUUGUAUGGAUCAACAAGGGAAAACCCAAAAAGACACUCACAAAUUAGUCUUCCUUUUGAGUCAGGUAUGCAGUAACUGUUAAUUAAAGCCACAACUCUCAGUCUCCCACCUCCCAAAUCUACCUGAAUCUCAGAGCAAAUGUCCUUUGGGUGUAUUAGGACUGAACCCAGCUUCUCUUUCUCUGGAGCUUGGGCGAGUAUAUUUUCUGAAAACUCCAUCAAAAUCCAGCAUUUCCCAGUAGUAGUAAUCUCUGGUUGAAUCUGCACUUCCUGACAUGAGGAUAGCACUCCCUCUGUUUCGUAGAACAACAUGAAGGUGAUCCGAAUCAUCAAAAAUCAUCCAUUCAUCAGAAUUGCUGCCAUUUCCAGAUUAAAGGUGUUAAGGACAAAAUUUCCAUCAGGCAGCAAAAGAGGCUGGAACCUUCCCUUUGAGUAGUUGCCUUCAUCUUACUGAGAAGACGCAAUGCCACCACUUUCUAAUAUUUUAGUUGGCAAGAUGGUAUCAAGCAUGGCGGCGUAAACAACCCCAUUAACACCAGACCCAGCUUUCCAUAUGACUUGGUCCUGACCAUCAAGUGUUAACUGACCAUCAAUCAUAAGCUCUACUUCAUAUUCCAAUUUUUUUUCCAGGGAUUUUGUCAACCAGAUAGUUAGCCUGCUCGUGGACGAAAUCCAAAAGCCAAGACCCUGAUGGCAAUUUCCAUGAAAAUGAGCAAUCAGAAGCCAGAAGAGACAAUCCUAAACUAGUAUUAUACUUGGUUUCAGCUACAGCAAGAAAUGGUAGAACAAAGAGAAGCAAGAGGCAUCCAUGGCCAACAACAGGAAAAUCCAUGUUGGUAUAGAGAAUUUGGAGAACUUGUUCAAAUUAUACCACACUUUUUAAGACGAAAAGAAGGUUGAUUGCAGAGACCCUAUGAUCAGAUUUGAAGAGUACACCAAUGGAAAGUUACUGAAUCCAUUAUCAAGCUAAUUACCUAUCAAUAUCUAAGGCUUGAUUUUCCAUUUUUAGUAGAAAAAAACUGUUCUGAGACAGUCAUAGAAGUCAAUAGUUUUCUUAUUGACGGAAAACAAAAAAUUAAAGAUAUGCCAUAAAUUCUUGUUUGGAACUCAAUCUUGAAAAAAAGUAUGUGGUUUAUUCCUUGUAAAGGAGUUCUAGUCUCUUGCAUAAAUCAACGUUUUGGUCUUCCAGGUGGAUCAUAUUUUUUGAUAUCUAGAAUCCACCAAGGUAUGUAGUAAGGCAUUUAUCCUAAUAGGUUGAUCCCUUACAAACAAAAAAGUGGCUCUUGACAGAAAAUGAUUAGGAAGGCAUGCAAGUAACAAAUACAAAUUAAAUAUAAUGUAAGAUUUUCAUGGAUUAAAAAAAAUACAUGGCAAAAUAGUAUAUAUUAUUUCAACCAGGGAACAUAUGUGAAUGUUGUAUUUUUUGAUAUCUAGAAUCCACCAAGGUAUGUAGUAAGGUAUUUAUCCUAAUUGGGGUUGAAACAAACCUGAAUGAUAUAAAUCCACCCCUCUAUCUUACAUCACUUCAAUACCGAAGAUACUCAGAACUCAGAACCUCGCUAAGUUAGAAGCAUAUGUAAAAGUUGUAUUCUAUUCCAUAAGGGAAACACUCUAUACUCAGUAGCAUAAACAAGCCCCGAAAGCCACUUAUCUCUUUUUUUUUUUUUUGGCCUUUUUACUUAUUCUCAUCUCUCAUGACCAGAAGUGCUAAGGAUGAUAUAACCUCAUCAAAUAAGUUAGAAACCAGCCCAUCUAGCAGGUUCAGUAGCUGACCUGCUCUCAAUCUUCUUUGAGUCACCAAUAAGCUGGGCAUUAUGCCUCCAACAGUGGGUCUGGAAAUAUUAGAGCUGGCAGCAGGGGUGGCUGUAAAACUCUCCUUUCCAAAACACCAAGUUUCAGGCCCAGAAGUUGCUUCUGUGGCUGGUUUGUUGUGAUGACCAUUUUCUGGUCCUAAACACUAUCCUUAUCCCUGGAAAGAGGCUGCUGCUGUUUGGGCUCAUCACCAAAAGCCUGCCAUAGCUUAGAGUCUGGUAAGGGGAAUCGGAUUUUCUGUGCUGGAGUUUCCAGACUGUUGCUUCAAUCUUUUCUCUCUGCUGUUAUGAGAAGAGAAAAUAUCAGGAAAAUGAAUCGAUGGAAGAAAUUGUUUUAAAUCCAAUAGGCAUGUGUGAGAAUAGGAGAUGAUACUGGAGGAGUAGCAGUUGACUGAAGUCCAGUUGAGGUUCAGUUUUUCAAAGCAUCACUGUGGGGUGAUGGAGUUCAAGCAGCAAGAGCUUGCUUGAGUUCCUGUAUCUUCUUCAAUGCCCAUUUAUUCAGGCUUCUUCAAGUGGCUUAUGAUUGGUGGAGGUGCUUCCAUAAUCCAUCAGGGUCCAAUGGAAGAUUCUCAGCUUUUAAGUCUCUGAAUCAUACAAUUAAGAAAAAUGAAGAAUGUCGAAUAAGACAAUACAAAUUUGUGGGCAGGACCGAAAAAUGAAGGAAUAGUGGGAAUAUCUAUUAAGAGCAUAAUAAAUGACAAAACUACCAUAUGACAACACAGCAAAAAAUUCAUAAACAGCCCUGAACAAACAAUAAAUUCUCAUUUUUUGAAUAGAGAAGAACCAUUAAAAUGUGCAGGAAAUGUUUUAAAGUAAAAUCUAUUAAAAACUUUCACUAAGACUUGGACUCUUUAACUUUCUUUUCAAAUAAUCUGAAAACCCCUGCUGAGAAAGAAUAAUGAGAACCAACUACUAUGGUUGCCGAUAGAAGGGUAGGGAUGGCAAUGAGAAUUCUGCUUGUGAGAAGAUAGAAAAAGAAGAUCGUCACUUCCUGGACCAUAACUAUAGUCCAAAAUGGGAUCCAUGACAUUGAUCUCAAUGAUCAUCUCCACCACAGUAGAAAAUAUACAGAAAUUCCUAGUCAAAGUCAAGACCUAAGGAAAGCCAAAACAAGAACAAAACAUUGCCAAAAUUGAAACAAAAACAAGAGUGCAUCAACUUCCAAACAAAGAUUUUUGUCUAUCUGCCUACCAUUUGAAGGUUGUCCACUUGGUUAGUGCAAAAUAGACUAGCUUUUGUUACAGAGACUGCCAAUCAAUGCAGAUUGCUAAACCAAAAGAGAGUUCAAACAACCAAGCAACCAAACAGUUUUCAAAAUGAUUAUUGUUGUUUACCUCACAUGUUUUUCUAUAGUCAUAACCACACUUUGUUUCUCAUAAGAAGUCUUCUAUGUUAAUCCUGGUUGCUUAUUACAAUAUACAAAAAGGAAAAGAAAAAAAACAAAAAGUAGUGAUUGAUUUAGUUUGAUAUUGAAAUGAACAGAGUCACAACAUGAACAUACACAAGUAUGAUAUCCUAAAAACAAUUUGCAAAAAUCCCUAACUAUUUAUCCAUAUAUUAUGCAAAUAUUAUUUACACACUUUACUUUAAUUCCAAGCAUAUUUCAAAAACCAUAAAUUACCUAAAAUGUAUCAACAAAUAGAGUUUGCUGCAUGCCCAAAUUCCCCACAAUAGGACUAGAAAAUUAUUUCUGUAGAAACAAAUUGAGAAGAUUGUGAGAUUUGGAUUGCAAAAGGAGGUCAAGACCUUUUCAAUGUAGAAGGUUUAAGUAAUUUUGUCUAUUAAACAGUGAGAUGUUUUUAGGCCAUUGAGAACAUGAACCAAAAUAAAGAAAACCUUUUUGCUUUAGUGAAAAAUAAGACAUUGAAAUGAUAUGCAAUCAUAAAUCUUGCAAUUUUGUAUAUUGCAGAUUUAAUUCUCCACUUCUAUUACACUGGAAAGAGAAUAGCAGCAAGAAAAGACCAAAGCAAUUAAAAUUACUUACUGCCAAAGCACAAUACGUCCCUGGUUUCCUCCAUGCCUGUAUAAGAGAAAAUAGACCAAGAAAGUGAGAAAAAACCGAAGCAUCCAUGGUUUUCCAUAGUUUUCAAGUGGUUCACUUGGCUUAGGCACACCACCAAAUAAAAACAGCGCAUGAAAAUGAGAGUACCAUUAGAAUAUGACAACUAUCUGUAUCAAAAUGUGAGCACUUUGGUUCAAUCCUCCUCCACUCCUCUUCAAUAUUUGUUUCAGACUUGAAGCCUCGAAGAAAAAAGAAAUCUCUAGCACACCUGCCACCAUUAAAAAAGUCAGCCUUGGAAAACAGACAUAAAAUUCCUCACCUAAUGUUGACAUGGACUCAAACUAUCUAAAGCUAACCUAAAUUCAUGGAGAUCAAUGGCCAAUCAAGCAAAGCACAUGCCUGUGUGAUGUUUGGUUGAUCAUCUGGAGAAGCUUGGAUCAUGUCCAUCAUUAGAUCUGUCACAUAGGAGCUGCAUGUUGGUAAUUGUCGAAUGAGGAAGUUUCCAUUUGAGAUAAUAGAUGGUGAGAAAUAUAUAGUCAGAAAAAUAAUAAAGCACAUAACCUGAUAUUCUAUUGAUUGAUUCACCCAUUCACAAAUCAUUAGAAAGACUGGAAAUAUAGAAGAGCAAAUUUUCUAAUUCAAGGAGAUGGUGAAUAAUCUUAGAAUCAUCAUUUCUAUACAAAAUCAGGAAGUUCAAUGAGGAAAUUGCACUCAACCACUUUUAAGAUAAGAACAUCGAAAUGGAAAACAAAGCUUCAAAAAAGUCUUAAAGUCUAGAACAAUUUAAUUGAAAUAUUCUUCUCAGGAGUUUCACAGUAUAAACCUCCAUUAAGACCUGGACUCUUUAAUUUUCUUUUCAAAGAAACAGAUGACUUGGAUAAACAAUGAGAACCAAUGCCCAUGGUCACUUACACAAGUGUAUGCAUGACCAUGACAAUUCUUCUAAUGAGAAGCUAGCACAAGAAGACUGCCACCUCAAGGAUCCAUGUCAAUGACCUCGAUGAUCAUCUGCAGGGCAACAAAAAAUAUACAGAAAUUCCAACUCAUAGUCAAGAUCUAAGAAAUUCCAAAAGAAGAACAAAACCACGUCAAAAUUGUGACAAAAACAAAUUCAGCAGCUACCUAACAAAAAUUUAUGUCUUUCUAGCUACUAACCUCUUGAAGUUGGUCCACUUGGUUACUGCAAAAUAAACAGCCUUUCGUAAUAAGGACUCCAAAUAAGCUAAGGCUAUUAAACCAAAAGAGUGUUUAAACAAAUAAAAAAUUGACCAAUUCAGUGCCAUAAAAUACUUCAUAUAAAAUUAUUGCUUUAGAAAUUGCAACUUUCUAAAUGAUCCUAGAUUUAAAUAUACAUUAGCAUAAAAUUGCAGUUGUUUACCUCACAUGUUUUUCUAUUGUCAUAAUCGAACUUUGUUCCUCAUAAGAAGGCAUUUAUGUUCAUCUUGGUUACUUAAUAUGGAACAUGUAUAGAAAAGAAAAAGAAAAACAAAAAGUUAGUGAUUAAUUUAGUUUGAUAUUGACUGGAGAAAAGUCACAAAAUAUGCAUAUGCAAGUAUAUUAUCCUCAAAACCACUGGCAAAAGGCACCAAGUACCCAACUAAGAACAUACUCGAUUAAACAUGAAUUACCUAAAAAUGUAUCCACAUGUUCCUGUGCAUGUGCAACAUAAAUACCCAGAUGGUUAGUAUCAUUUUUGCCCAUUCCGAAAGGUAAAUUGAAGAAGUCAAGGAAAUAAGAAAAUGGGCUUUGUUAAAAUACAAAUUACCUGGGAUCAAUCUUCCUUUCCCUUUUUUUUUUUUUUUCUUCCUCUGCUGGAGAACUUCUGAAAUCAAACAAAUAGAGUUUGUUGCCUGCCCAAAUCUUCAACAACCGGACCAGCCAAUAACUUGUGUAGAUGUACAAUUCUUCAAGAGUGUCAAACAGAUUAAAAGCCUUUGAAUGCAAAAAGGAGGUCAAGACAUUAACAAUGUAGAAGAUUUAAAUAGUUCUGGUAUCAAACAUAAUAAAAUUGAUUAAACAAAACCUUAAACAAUGAGGUAUUUUCUUCUAAACAGGAUGAGCUCCAUCAUUGUGUGAGCUAUUGAGAAUAUAAAAAAUAACGGAAUCAUAAGCAAUUAAAAUUACUUACUAAUAAGCAGCGAACUAGAAUGCAUCCAUGGUUUCCUCCAUGCCUGUAUAAGAGAAAUGGAAAAAGAAAGUGAGGAAAAACCAAGGCAUCCAUGUUUUUCCACAGUAAAUAAAAUUUGUGUUCACUUGGGUUAUGCAUACUGCCAAAUAAAAACAGAGCAUGAAAAUGUGAGUUCCAUUAAAAUAUGGGAAUUGUUUGUGUCAAAAUGUGAGCACCUAGGUUGAAUCCUCAUCUACAACUCCUCAAUAUUCGUCCCAGACUUGAAGCUUCAAGGAGACGAAAUUCUUAAAUCAAAUAAAUGGAGCCAAUGAAUCAUGUAGACAUAUUUUUUAGAUUAGAAAUUGGAACAUAAAUUUUCUAAAGAAUAAGUUUAAGCAUAGAACAAUUACCGCCACUUUCAUUAAAAUAGUUCAUUGAUGAUUAUAUUUGGAAUGUGAGAUAUAUAACACCAUUCUGGCCCUUUCUCAAAUUGGCACUGUUGUUUCAGUAAAGGACAUGGGUCCACAAUCAGACAAGAGACGGAGUCCGACAAUCUCUUUCUUGUCAAGUAUUGGAACUCACGGCAGCUGUAGAUAUGCAAGAUUUCAAGAGUGGUGAGGUAGUGAAGACCCGCUUCUGUCAAGGAUUGGAGCCUUGGGCAGUGCUGGAUUUGUAAUUCUUUGAGAGACACAAGGUGUUGAAGAACAGAUCCUGUCAAGGAUUGGAGCUCAGGGCAUUUCCUGAUGUCUAAUUUUACAAGAGAGGUGAGUUGUUGAAGCCCCUUGCUAUCAAGAGACUUGAGAUUUGGAAGACCAUAGAUUGCAAGAAAAGUCAGAGAAGAGGGCAGCAGGCACUCCUUGGGAAAUAAUUCCACGUCUUCACAUCCACCAAAGAUUGUGAAAUGAGUAAGAGAGGCCAGUCUUUGCAAAUCCCAGUCCACCUGGAACGUGAGUUGGUUGCAGAACCAAAUUUGAAGUUCACGUAGGCUGGAAGGCAAACCCUCUUUGUGAAACAACAAUUCUGGACAAUACAUUAAACUCAGUUUCUGCAGAGAUGAAUGGGUGUGCGCCAGCAAUUUGAGCUUGGAGCAGUUGUGAAUUUCAUGGGACACCGAGUCGAGAGCGGGCAGUUGGAUGUAUACAAGAUUAGCGCACCCCUUGAUUUCCAAUUUACGAAGAGAUGUAGGAUCCCCCUCUGAAAUCGAAAUGUAGAGCUUCUCAAGCCCCUUAAGACCAUUGAUUGUGAAAUUAGUCAACCUGGGGGAGAUGUCCAAUAUUGAGAAGGAUAACGGGAGAGAAUUAUCGUAGGUACCGCCAUUGAUCGAUAGAUUUUCAAGGGUAGGGUGAUGACAUCUGAACAACUCAGGUAGAAGAAGGUCCAAUUUGGUACAAUUAGAGAUUAAUAGCGAUUCAAUGUAGUGGGUAAGCCACCUUUGCUUGGGGAUCCGUAAAAAGAGCAAUCACAAAAUUCCAAACUGUACAUGUUGGUUUGCAGGAUUUCCCCCUCUAGUAGAGACUCCACAGAAUCAUACUUUGUAAUGGAGAGAUUGUGGGGUACCACUGGAAGUUGCUUCAACCGAGAGACGUUUGAAAUUUCAAUUUCUGAAGUUUGAAGAGCUGUAAAGCCACAAGUUUGCCUUUUCAACUGCAAUAUGUGUAAAUCCUAAGUUUCAUUAUCCACUCACAACCAUAUAGAUAUUGUUUAUUUUGGGUCUAAUAAGACCUCAUAACUUUAAAAUACGUUUACAUGAUUAUAAACAACUCAUACAUCAGACAAAGGUCAAAAAUUGACUUUCAUACUAUUUCUUACAAUCCAUUCUCUCUUAUAUAAAUAUUAUCUAUUCUGGAUCUAAUGAGCUCUUAUAGUUUUAAAACACACUUAUAUACUUAAAAAAAUUCAUGUACAUAUGGUAUAUAUGAGAAACUUUUAUACCAAUAUGAUGUGAGAUAUCCCACUAAAAGAGUAUUAACAAGUCCAUUAAUAAAACUCAUUUGAAGAAUUAAUGAAUUAUCAUGCAAGUACUAAUAUCAAAUGAUGUAGAACCACAUACAUUCCUAAAAGUUUAAGCUAAUGGGAGGUAGAGAUAGAUCUUAUAUCCUGUUGAUUACUAAUAUUGGUUGGAUUGACCUUAUAUAUAUAUAUAUAUAUAUAUAUAUAUAUAUAUAUAUAUAUAGACACAUACGUAGGAGGAAAGAAAGUUCAAUAUGAGCAAUUUUAUUUACCCAAGUUCUGACUUUGCAAGGAGCCGGGUAAUAAAACUAAAGUGGUCUACAUCCCUAAACUCACUGUUAUGAGUAGUAAGACCAUGAACCCAAUUAGAUGUGAAUAACAUUUUCUAUCGAGAGAUGACAUAUACCCAUGUAUGCCUCCACCCCACUCAUUAAAACCCCCCAGCAUGCAUACCGUGUGCAUGCAGUGUGCCAUCCAUGGAUAGAUCCUGUCCUUUUGGAGGAACACACAAUGACCAGCCCUGUAAUUGGAAUUUUGUCAAUCAAUACAGCACCUUCAGGACCAUGACCACAUGGCAUGACAGCAAGAAAUAGCUAGCCCUACAAACUAAAGGACCCACGAAAUGGACCAUCUAAUAACAAAAUACCAAGUCUAGCUACCCAGAAGAUGUGGUUGUCUUCCUUGUUUCUUUUGGUGGAAAUCAGAAUAAACCAGAUCACCAAACUUGUGGGCAGCCUGACUUUCAUAUAUAUACUCUGACCAUUCAGUUUGGUUUCUCCAAUAUUUACCAAAAUGAAAACCCCAAUUAAGAAAUCGAAGACGAGGAAUCUUAUAUAUGACUAAGCAUCCAUCACAACGGAAAUCUUAAACAUUGAUUGAAAUAUAAACAAGAACACAGGAAACUGUAUUUUUCAUACAUGAUAAAAAAGUGCAAUAAUUCAAGAUGAACUGAUAAAAAUUCCAAAGGGGCGUGGGGGCACAGAAACUUCAACUACACCCUCCAACAUCUGUGUAACCUUCCUCAUGGUUGAUGUCACGCCCCAAGACCCACUCCAAGGGUGUGACGGUCAUUUCACACCUCAAACCCGAAGGCUUAAAGUAUAAUCUGACCCAAACAGUCAUAUUGUAACUGGAUGUUACCAAUUACCAAAUACCUGCUCAGAGUAGCGGAAACAAAAUCUAAAAUCCUCAAAAUUCAAUUUCCAAAUAACUUCCAAAUACCAAAUGAUCCAAAAUAACAUAACUAAUAGUUAAACAAAAUCCAACAUAAAAUCCUAAGUCAAAUCCUAAUGAUGACCAUUCCUCAGCCUAGCCAUCACUCCUCACCCGAACUAAGAGUACCUGAAAAAUUUUCAACAAUUGGGAAUGAGCUCACAGCCCAAUAAGGAAUAUUAAUGCAGUUCAUGGAUCAAAUAUUUUCAUUUCAAAUAAGAGAUAUCAUUUUUUUUUUCUCAUCAAAUAUCAGAGUUUCAAAAAUACCAAUAUAUUCAAAAUUCAACCAACCAAUUUCAUAUCAAAUUCAAACACUUUCACAUAAGAUUCAAUCAAAUCCAUUCAAAUUUUCAUUACUCUGGUUAUCAAAUAUCAAAUGCCCAGUUAGGUGGGACUUUUCAAAUGGGUGGCUAGCCUCAGAUUGUUCCUGGUGGACGAAACCAAACACUACUAGUACUAGUAACCUCUAACCAAACCCCUAGAGGCUGGGGUCCAAAUCAAUUACAUUCCCACCAUGAAAUGUAAAGGUCAACUAUUAUAUCCCGUUGACAGGGCCGAAUAGUCAACUAUUAUUUCCCGUUGACAAGGGCCAAAUAAACCAGAGUGAUGUUCUUGUUCAAGUAUUCAAAUUUACACAACAUAUUAUCUCCAUAUUUUGUGUCAUAAAUAAAACAAAAUAUUUCAACAUAAUAUUUAGUGCAAAACAGUUUGAUCCAUGCAUGGUAACAAAAUAUCAUUUUCUUUUCCACAAUUCAAAAUAACAUAUAAAAUAAUUUAAUUUUAUAAAUAUUGCAUUAACUUCCCUUACCUCAAAAGAAGUCCUUGAAAGCUUGGGAGAAGAAUAAUUCUGAAAAAAAAUAUAAUCUACUCUUCACCUAAUAUAACAUAAGAGAAACAAUUAUUACUAUUUAUUUAUAAUUUAACAAAUCUAUUCCUUAUUUAAAUAAAACUAAUAAAUUCCCAAUUUGUUUCUAAUAACACAUUACUAAUUUAAUUAAAUUAUAACUUUAUUUCAUUAUAAAAUUCUAUAUAUAUAUUGCUAAAUCUCUUAUUCUAUUUAUUACAAAAAUACCAUUAUUACUAUUAUCUUAUUUAUUAAUCUAAAACUAAAUAUCAUUUUUUUUUUUUUUUAUUAUCCAAUUCAAUAGCUACCUAACCAUUACUCAUUCUCGGGUACACACCAAAAAGCAAGUUUUUUUUUUUUUUUUUUUUUUUGCCUAAUGAUGAUUCAUUAUAUAUAUAUAUAUAUAUAUAUAUAUAUAAGCCUCCAUAGCCCUCUGUCAUGCCCCACCUGCUUUUUUUUUUUUUUUCCUUCCUUCUUCCUUCCGGUGUGCACACGUGUCUCUUCUUUUCUUAUCAUUAUUAUUUUUUUUAUUAACUUUUUCUAAUCCCUUCCACCACAAAUAACAAUAUAUUUAUUUACUCUUUUUUUUUUUAAAUUAACCCUAAUCUAAAAUCGAAACCUUCCAAGGAACCCCUUUUUUUUUUUUUUUCAUCUAAUAAAACUUAAGAUCUCCCAAAUUCCAAUACUAAAAUCAAAAUCUUAGAUUUUCACUAUUUGAUAUUAAAACGAAUAAAAAAUAAUCUAACCCUAAUCUAGAUUUGGGGUUUUCCAAAAAAAUAUAUCUAAUGUGUUUGAAAUUAAUCAAUGAAUCUAAAAUAUUAAACUAGGGGUUAGAAUCUUACCUAUAGAGAUCUGUUCUUCAACCCUGAAAUCUGACUCCAACCUUACAUUCUCUGGAAUUCUACGAACAGGAACUCUAUUCAGAAAAGAAGGGAAAUAAUAAAAUUUCUAAUUUAUACCUAGGGUAUUUAUUUGUAAAAUUACACUUUUAGCCCUCUUCCACUUUAUUAAAUUAAUUAUUUAACUAAUUAAAUUAUUAAUAACAAUUUCCUAAAUUACCCUUAAAAGAAAAUGUCUGGGCGUUACAUCCUCCCCUCCUUAACAAAAGUUUAGUCCUCUAAACUUGACAUACCUGAGUCUUGGAAUAAUUGAGGAUGUUUUUCUCUCAUCUCUUCUUCUAACUCCCAAGUGGCCUCUCGGAUACUAUGAUUGCUCCACUGGACCUUUACCAACUUGACAAUAGCAUGUUGUAGUACCUUAUCCAUCACAUCCACAAUUUGAACGGGUACCUCUUCAUAGGUCAAGUCUUCAAAAAUUUGAAUAGGCUCCAACUCCACAACAUGAGAAGGAUCAUAAAUAUACUUCCUUAGAGUCGAAACAUGAAACACAUUAUGAACCUUAGACAGACUUGGGGGUAAGGCUACUUUAUAUGCCAAAGUGCCUACUCUUUCUAAUAUUUCAAACGGACCCACAAAACGAGGACUAAGUUUUCCUUUUCUCCCAAAUCUCAUCACAGACUUCAUAGGUGAAACUUUCAAGAACACAUGAUCACCCACCUCAAACUCCAAAUCUCGCCUACGAUGAUCAGCAUAACUCUUAUGUCUAUUUUGAGCUGCUUUUAAUAUUUCUUUAAUCAAAACAACUUUUUCAACAGUCAACUGCACAAGUUCAGGCCCCAAAAGUUUCCUUUCUCCAACAUCAUUCCAACAUAUAGGAGAUCGACAUUUCCUACCAUACAAUGCCUCAAAAGGUGCCAUCCCAAUGCUAGCUUGAAAACUAUUGUUAUAGGCAAACUCUACUAAAGGUAAAUGAUCAUCCCAAUUACCUUGCAGGUCCAAAAUACAAGCUCUCAACAAGUCUUCCAAAACCUGAAUUACCCUUUCUGAUUGGCCAUCAGUUUGAGGAUGGAAAGCAGUACUAAAACUCAACUUAGUGCCCAAAGCUUUUUGUAGACUAUGCUAGAAUCUAGAAGUGAAACGAGGAUCUCUGUCAGACACUAUAGAAACUGGUACUCCAUGCAUUCUCACAAUCUCCUUCACAUAAAGAGAAGCUAAACGAUCUAAAGAAAAGUUGACUUUCAUAGGCAAAAAGUGAGCAGACUUUGUCAACCGAUCAACAAUCACCCAAAUAACAUUAUUACCCCCUAAGGUUCUUGGCAAUCCUAUCACAAAAUCCAUGGUAAUAUGCUCCCACUUCCACUCAGGAAUAGCAAGUGGCUGUAAAGACCCUGCUGGUCGCUGAUGUUCAGCCUUCACCUGUUGACACACUAAACACUGAGCCACAAAUUGUGCAAUAUCACGCUUCAUACCUGACCACCAAUAGUUUUGCCUCAAAUCCUUGUACAUCUUUGUCUCUCCUAGGUGGAUUGCAAACUUGGAACAAUGAGCUUCCUCUAAAAGCUCCCUCCUUAAGUCUUCAUCAUUUGGGACACAAAGUCUAGUCCCAAAUCUCAAGAUCUCAUCAUCUGACAAAACAAAAUCAGGCUUACUGCCCCUCUUAACUUCCUCCAUAACUUGCACUAAUUGGGAAUCAUUCUUUUGUAGGGUCUUAAUUCUCCCAACUAAGUCUGUUGUACUCUGAAAUUUGCUACAAGUGCUCCUAAGCCCAUAACUCGAAAGUGGACUUGUAAACUCCUCAACUCUUCAAGUAACUGCCUUUGACAACCUCUAAUAGCUGCUAGAGAACCAACUGACUUCCUACUCAAGGCAUCAGCUACAACAUUCGCCUUCCCAGGAUGAUACUGAAUAAUACAAUCAUAGUCUUUAAGUAGUUCUAUCCAUCUUCUCUGUCUCAUGUUCAACUCCUUUUGGGAAAAUAGAUACUUCAAAAUCUUAUGAUCUGUGAAUAUCUCACAAGUUUCACCAAAAAGAAAAUGUCUCCAAAUCUUAAGUGCAAAAACCACAGCAGCUAACUCCAAAUCAUGAGUAGGGUAAUUCCUUUCAUAAGGCUUCAACUGUCUAGAAGCAUAAGCUACAACUCUCCCAUGCUGCAUAAGAACACAACCCAAACCCUGAUGAGAGGCAUCACUAUACACCACAAAUCCUCCUGAACCUGAAGGGAUAGUCAAAAUAGGAGCUGACACUAAUCUAUUCUUCAACUCUUGGAAGCUACAUUCAUAAUCAUCAGACCACUCAAACUUAACUCUCUUUUGUGUCAACUUAGUUAAAGGUAGGGCAAUCUUAGAGAACCCUUCUAUAAACCGCCUAUAGUAACCAGCAAGUCCCAAGAAACUUCGAAUCUCAGUCACAGUACUAGGUCUUCUCCAAUUAGCUACAGCAUCUACCUUGCCAGGGUCAACUGAGAUGCCAUCAUUGCUUACCACAUGCCCAAGGAAAGAAAUUCGGUCUAACCAAAACUCACACUUCUUCAGUUUAGCAUACAACUGCUUAUCUCUGAGGGUCUGUAAUACAAUACUCAAAUGGCCCUCAUGAUCCUCUCUACUCCUUGAGUAUACUAAGAUGUCAUCUAUAAAAACCACCACAAACUGAUCUAAAUAGGGUUUGAAUACCCUAUUCAUCAAGUCCAUAAAAGCAGUAGGUGCAUUAGUCAAACCAAAAGGCAUAACAAGAAACUCAUAGUGCCCAUACCUAGUUCGAAAAGCAGUCUUGGGUACAUCUUCCCCUCUAACCCUCAAUUGGUGAUAACCUGAUCGAAGAUCUAUCUUAGAGAACACACAAGCACCUUGUAGCUGAUCAAACAAAUCAUCAAUCCGAGGAAGGGGAUACUUGUUCCUCACUAUCACCUUAUUCAACUCCCUAUAGUCAAUGCAAAGUCUCAUUGAGCCAUCCUUCUUUUUCACAAAUAAAACAGGAGCUCCCCAAGGUGAAACACUAGGCCUGAUAAAACCCUUGUCUAAUAACUCCUGAAGCUGAACUUUCAACUCCUUAAGCUCCACAGGUGCCAUCCUGUAUGGGGGCUUAGACAUAGGACCUGUUCCUGGUACCAGAUCGAUGGUGAACUCCACCUCUCUCUCUGGUGGCAAGCCAGGCAAAUCCUCUGGAAAGACAUCAGGAUACUCCCUUACUAUGGGUAUGUCUUCCAACUUCAAAUCACUUUCAUUACUCAUCACACUAGCCAAAAAUCCUUGGCAACCCUUCUUGAGCAAGCUACUAGCUCGCAAGGCUGAGAUCAUACGCAGUGGUCUAUCCACAUGCUUUCCUUCAAAGCUAAACUUAGGCUGACCAGGAAUACUAAACGUCACCCUUUUCUCAAAACAGUCAACAGAGGCAUGGUAGGAAGCUAACCAAUCCAUCCCCAAAAUCACAUCAAAAUCCUGAAGGUCAAGGAGUACUAAGUCAACUGGCAUUUCCCUAUAACCAAUCAUCACAAUACAAUUUCUAAGCAUUCUACUGGCCACAACAGAAUCUCCCAUAAGAGUAGCAACAAUCAAAUCAAAGUCCAUGCUAGCAACAGGCAAACCCAACAAACCAGCAAAAGAUUCUAAAACAAAAGAGUGUGUUGAUCCAGGAUCAAUCAAGACUCUAGCAAAUAAGGUGUGGAUUCGAAGAGUACCUGUCACCACAUCAGAAGUGGCCUGAGCAUCAUGAUGAGUCAUAGCAAACACCCGUCCUUGGGCUUUGGGUUUCUGUUUAUCCUCCUUAUUUUCCUCUUUAGGCUUUCUAGUGAUGAACUUCCUAUUCUCUGGACAAUCUCUGAUCAAAUGUCCUUGCUUCCCACAACCAAAGCAAGCUCCAGUCUCUCUAUAGCAUGGCCUACCCCCAUGCUUCUUACCACAAGUAGGACAAGCCCCAUCUAAAUUCUGCGCUGCCUUCCCUUUAUUCUGAUUUCUUCCUGAUGUAGACCUUCAUUGUGCUUGAUUACCAUGAGCACCAUCACUCCUAUUUCGCUUCCUUUGCUGUUCCCUAUACUGAUGAAGCUCCUCAUUAUCUUUCUUUGCUAUAAGGGCUCUGUCAACAACCUCUGAAUAGACACCAAGCUUCAGAAUAGAUAUCUUGUUCUUCAAAUAAGGCUUCAACCCAUCCUGAAACUUUAAUGCCUUUUCCUCCUCUAUAGCAAUCAACUGUGGGGAAAAACGUGAUAAAUCUGUAAAUUUGGCCUCAUACUGAGCCACAGUCAUAUCCCCCUGUUCCAAACGAAUAAACUCUCCCACCUUUUGCCGCCUAACACUGUCAGGGAAAUACUUCUUGUAGAAAGCCUCCCUAAAUUGUCUCCAUGUUAUGGGUCCCUGAUCCUCCAAAAGUCUCUUAGUCAUACGCCACCAAUGAUCUGCCUCUUUAUCUAACAUAAAAGCUGCAUAAGAGGCUUUUUGCUCCUCAGAGCAAUCUAUGACACCAAAGAAUUUCUCCAUCUUAAGGAUCCAAGCCUCUACCUCUGUGGGAUCUGUAGCACCAGAAAAGUAAGGAGGACCCAAUUUCUUGAAGUCAUCAAAAGAGCUACCCCUAGAAGAUGAAGACUGUCCCUGAACAUUAGUCCCAACAGCUCGAGCUUGGCGUUCAACUAAACCAGCUAGUGUCCCAAGAUACCUAUAGAUCCCUUCUGCACUCACGGGAGGCAAACCCUCAACUGGAGGUACAUCAUCAUUAGCCUGACUGUUUUGGGAAGAUGCAGGUCUUCUUGGUGGCAUGGUGUCCUAUAAAGCAAUAGGUGUAACUAAAUUAGUCACUAAAAAGUCAAAUAAGUAAAUCAGAAUUGUAAGGAAUAAAAGGAAUCAGACUAGAUGAAGUUAAAACUUAAACUAAUACGUCACUCAUCUAUUCCCAAAGGUACACUAAACAAGUUCCCAUCAAGAUCACAACCUAGUGCUCUGAUACCACUCUGUCACGCCCCAAGACCCACUCCAAGGGCGUGACGGUCAUUUCACACCUCAAACCCGAAGGCUUAAAGUAUAAUCUGACCCAAACAGUCAUAUUGUAACUGGAUGUUACCAAUUACCAAAUACCUGCUCAGAGUAGCGGAAACAAAAUCUAAAAUCCUCAAAAUUCAAUUUCCAAAUAACUUCCAAAUACCAAAUGAUCCAAAAUAACAUAACUAAUAGUUAAACAAAAUCCAACAUAAAAUCCUAAGUCAAAUCCUAAUGAUGACCAUUCCUCAGCCUAGCCAUCACUCCUCACCCGAACUAAGAGUACCUGAAAAAUUUUCAACAAUUGGGAAUGAGCUCACAGCCCAAUAAGGAAUAUUAAUGCAGUUCAUGGAUCAAAUAUUUUCAUUUCAAAUAGGAGAUAUCAUUUUUUUUUUCUCAUCAAAUAUCAGAGUUUCAAAAAUACCAAUAUAUUCAAAAUUCAACCAACCAAUUUCAUAUCAAAUUCAAACACUUUCACAUAAGAUUCAAUCAAAUCCAUUCAAAUUUUCAUUACUCUGGUUAUCAAAUAUCAAAUGCCCAGUUAGGUGGGACUUUUCAAAUGGGUGGCUAGCCUCAGAUUGUUCCUGGUGGACGAAACCAAACACUACUAGUACUAGUAACCUCUAACCAAACCCCUAGAGGCUGGGGUCCAAAUCAAUUACAUUCCCACCAUGAAAUGUAAAGGUCAACUAUUAUAUCCCGUUGACAGGGCCGAAUAGUCAACUAUUAUUUCCCGUUGACAAGGGCCAAAUAAACCAGAGUGAUGUUCUUGUUCAAGUAUUCAAAUUUACACAACAUAUUAUCUCCAUAUUUUGUGUCAUAAAUAAAACAAAAUAUUUCAACAUAAUAUUUAGUGCAAAACAGUUUGAUCCAUGCAUGGUAACAAAAUAUCAUUUUCUUUUCCACAAUUCAAAAUAACAUAUAAAAUAAUUUAAUUUUAUAAAUAUUGCAUUAACUUCCCUUACCUCAAAAGAAGUCCUUGAAAGCUUGGGAGAAGAAUAAUUCUGAAAAAAAAUAUAAUCUACUCUUCACCUAAUAUAACAUAAGAGAAACAAUUAUUACUAUUUAUUUAUAAUUUAACAAAUCUAUUCCUUAUUUAAAUAAAACUAAUAAAUUCCCAAUUUGUUUCUAAUAACACAUUACUAAUUUAAUUAAAUUAUAACUUUAUUUCAUUAUAAAAUUCUAUAUAUAUAUUGCUAAAUCUCUUAUUCUAUUUAUUACAAAAAUACCAUUAUUACUAUUAUCUUAUUUAUUAAUCUAAAACUAAAUAUCAUUUUUUUUUUAUUAUCCAAUUCAAUAGCUACCUAACCAUUACUCAUUCUCGGGUACACACCAAAAAGCAAGUUUUUUUUUUUUUUUUGCCUAAUGAUGAUUCAUUAUAUAUAUAUAUAUAUAUAUAUAUAAAAGCCUCCAUAGCCCUCUGUCAUGCCCCACCUGCUUUUUUUUUUUCCUUCCUUCUUCCUUCCGGUGUGCACACACGUCUCUUCUUUUCUUAUUAUUAUUAUUUUUUUUUAUUAACCUUUUCUAAUCCCUUGCACCACAAAUAACAAUAUAUUUAUUUACUCUUUUUUUUUUAAAUUAACCCUAAUCUAAAAUCGAAACCUUCCAAGGAACCCUUUUUUUUUUUUUUUUUCAUCUAAUAAAACUUAAGAUCUCCCAAAUUCCAAUACUAAAAUCAAAAUCUUAGAUUUUCACUAUUUGAUAUUAAAACGAAUAAAAAAUAAUCUAACCCUAAUCUAGAUUUAGGGUUUUCCAAAAAAAUAUAUCUAAUGUGUUUGAAAUUAAUCAAUGAAUCUAAAAUAUUAAACUAGGGGUUAGAAUCUUACCUAUAGAGAUCUGUUCUUCAACCCUGAAAUCUGACUCCAACCUUACGUUCUCUGGAAUUCUGCAAAUAGGAACUCUAUUCAGAAAAGAAGGGAAAUAAUAAAAUUUCUAAUUUAUACCUAGGGUAUUUAUUCGUAAAAUUACACUUUUAGCCCUCUUCCACUUUAUUAAAUUAAUUAAUUAACUAAUUAAAUUAUUAAUAACAAUUUCCUAAAUUACCCUUAAAAGAAAAUGCCUGGGCGUUACAGUUGACCUUAGAGCUGCAUCCUCUUGAAUGCACCAAAUUGCCACCAUCACUAGCCUCUCCAACCUCUUCAUAUCAUUCAUAAGCUUCCACCAGCAUGCCAAUUUCCUUUGCACAAACCAUUCAUAAGCUCCAUCCAUUAGUGCAUCCUCUUCGUCUUCCUUUGCAAAUGCAACACUGGAAUUGCAGCAUAGGAUUUCUAGCGACAUUCCACCAUAGUAAGCAUCAACUUUAGCUGUGAUCGUUCCUUUCCUGAACCAUUUUGUUGCAAAGUAGCAUAUGGUCCGUCUUAUGCCACCUCCUCUUAAGAGUAGUUUAAGUUUGAUCAGCAAACAACAGCUUUGCUUGUUCAAAAUCUGAAAUCCUAGGUGUUAAGUGCCAAUCUGGGAGUAUUUUUUGGGGCUUUAUAUCACAAUGGAUGAUCUGGGUGCUGCACUCCUUCUGUGCAUUAGCCUUAUUACAACCCCAAAGGUGAGUAAAGAAGCCAUUGCUCAUGUAUUCAUGCACCAGAAGCUGACUAAAUUGGUCAAUCUCCUCUGCUCGAUAUUGCCUUGAAGCCAUGGGUGGCUACUUCAAGCUCUGUGUAUGAAUAAUGUGUCACAGUAGUAGUCCCCGCUUCCCCGGUAUGCUUGAAACAAACUGGAGACUGAUCAGUUUCUUACAGUAUCAAAAGACAGCAGCCACAGCUAACCACAAAAAGAGAUUGAAGAACACUACUGCCAAGGAGUAUUCUCAACAAGGAUCAAGGUAGACUUAUCUGGGCUUGUCUGUAAUACUUUUACUAUGUCUUCCACAGGACUGAGGAAAUCUCUUCUGCCAACACAUUGUCCGCAUAAAUGGCUACUGCACAGAAGCAAUCCUCUUUACAAGACUGUUUAAAAUUUCUCCUAGUCAAUGGCCCAUCGAAUCCGAAGUUCAGAAUCGGAAUGGCCAGUCUGUGUUGUUUAAUUCUAUGAACUCUACCUCAUUCUUCCCCGCUUCCCCUUCAUCUGCUUGGCAACUGGGCAUUGGAAAAUUUGGUCUUUGAAAUCUGGAACCAAGGUAGAAUACCUAUACAAGAACUCACAUCUGAAUAGCCACGGCCGCGGCCACUAACAGCUGUACAAUUGCCAUCGGUAAGUGCCUGCAGAACAGACGAAGAAGUAUUAAUGCAGUUCCAGUGGUUUGCAGUGUUCUUUUUUUAGUGAUUAUAGAAUCAAAAUCAAGUCUUGUCCUGUGGUAAUAGUCACUCCUGAAGUCUUUGUCUUCUGACAUGAGGUUAACUUAUUUGGCAAGAUGGUAUCAGUGGGAUUCUUGA
rnacentral:lncRNA from 1 species